UAAUGUGUUCUUCCAUACUUCUAUGUUCUUUCCAAACAAGUUAGAACCCACUAUUUCUAAAACUAAGGGAAUGCCCGAACCAUAUGAAACUGCACGGUUUAAAACAUCUUCAUAACUUGGCGGUACUUUGUUAUUCUUAAAAGCCGUCCACCUCAACAAUUCAAGAGCUUCCUUCCCAUAUAGCCCUCUUACUGCAUAUGUUCUUUCUAUCCCAUGACAGGUUAGUAAGUGUUUAUCUCGGGUGGUGAUGAUGACUCUGCUUCCAGGACCGAACCAAUCAAGUCCUCCAGCCAAAGCCUCUAGCUGAUCCAGUUGGUCAACAUCAUCGAGAAUCAAAAGAAUCUUCUUCCUACAUAGCCUUUCCUUAAUGAUUGGAAUUCCCUCAGAAACAUCUCUUAACUUAAUGUUCAGUUGAACUGUUUUUGAAAGGAGCUCCUUCUGGAGAUGUUUCAAGUUUUUACGAGCUGAAUUCUCUCUAACAUUAUGAAGAAAGCAUACUCCUUCAAAUUGAUCAGCAAUGAAAUUAUAAAUUGCUUUUGCAAGUGUUGAUUUUCCCAAGCCUCUAGUACCAUAAAGUCCUACCAUGUUGACCCCUUCAUCAGAUUCCUCAUCAAGAAGCAAUUUUACUUGUUGUACUCGGGACUGUAAUCCAACAGGGUAUUUGGCAACGUGUAGAAAAACACGAUUGAUCCUAUCGGAAAUGUGUUCGACUAUAUUCUCAAUAAGCUCGUACUCAUAUCUAUUCAUGUCCAAUAGAUAAGUUAGUAAAAUCACAUCCAUGUAUUGACAAUAUAUUAUACAAUUCUAACUGUUUUGAAACAUAUACUUGUUUAAAAACAUAAAUAAAAAACAUGCUUCCUUUUUAAGCUUUAAGAUGAGAUUAAUGGGGAAAAGAAAUUAAAGAAAAGAAAAUAUAAAAAGGAAAAAUAAUAUUAAGUAAAGUGGGGUACCCUUGACUAAAAUGGUGGCCGGAGAAGUUAGCAGCUUGGGUAAGAGCCAUCUUCCAUUUCUUCAACCUCUCCAUGUUUUCCUUGUUAUUUUGGAACUUAUCUUCAUGCUUAGUAAGAUGCUCACCAUAACUCCCAGUCUGAUGUCGUACGUGAGUAGGAUCCGCACCAUAGAAAACAGGCAAAACCGAACAACCCCUUGUCUUGUAGCAGUGAAUGAUGUGGACAAGUUCGUCCAAGCAAAAUGAAGAAGAUGCAUAGUUUGCAGAAAAUAUGGGAAUCAAAAUCCUAGACUCUUCAAUGGCCUUGACAAGUGAUGGUGUGCUUUCAUCUCCUCUUUCAAGAUCGUUGUCAUCAAUGAAGGUUUUGAUUCCCUUGUCAAUAAGAGCCUUGUAGAGAUUGCCGGUAAAACCGUAAAGAGUGUCAAUGUCCCUAAAACUGAGGAACACAUGGUAUUUGAACCCAGAGGAAAUUGAAGAGGAAGAGGAAAGUGAUUGCAUAGCCAUGAGAAUUGAGAGAAAUAAGAUGAAAAAAAAGUUUGAGAAUAUGAAUGAGUAAGUUUUUGUGGUCUGUGAUGUGGAGUCUUUAAUAUGGAUCUAUAUAACAAGGAGAAAACUUGUGACAAAAAUGAUUUGUGAAACUUCUUGGCCACUUCCUAUAGCCGUGUGGACCAAUCACUAUAUGGACCUACCACCUCUUCUUGCUAAUUUCCUCAAUAUGAUUACUGUUCAAUUUUUGGACACAACUUAAAUAAAUAAACAAGUGAAAAGCCAAAUAAUAUUUCACUAUUAUUUUUUUCUUUGUUUCUGCCUAAUGCUACAAUAUACGGUUUUCAAUUUUUUUAUUUGGACACAUGAUUUCCAAUAUUGUAUUUUGACAUUGUAUACCAUUGAGAGUGAUGUUGGUUGGAGUGAGCACGACCACCCGAGAAGAGAAAAAAACUAUUUAAGACUAUGAAACCAAUAAGUAUAGCGUGUGUCUAGAUCUACGUUAAAAAAAAUUCUACAAGACAUUUUACAAGUUUUAUUUUUCAACCGAUUUUAUUCUUGUGUGUGAUUUUAUUCUUGUGUGUGAUUUUCAGUUUGUAAGUUAAUUAAUCAGUCCUAAAUAACAUGAAAUAAAAAUAAAUGCAGCCUAUGCUAUUCUAACAUCUAAUAAGACAGUUACAAAAUUAAAUCUGUUACUUAAUUACUCCUUUUUCAUUUUUGUUAUGUUAACUAUUACAAAUAGAUAUAUACAUAUAUAUGGUUGAAAGUAAGUAACAGAAGAAAUUUGAUGAAGACUAGUUCUACCUAAUAAUUUUGCUUAUUACAGAGUCAAAUUUUUUCUUUAAAAAUGGAUUUACAUGUCAUUGGUGAUCAACUAUGUCUUCAAAAUAUGACCUGUUUAACUAAAUGAUUAAUUAACCAUGCACACACAAUUAUUAGUGUAGGUUGUUAUGUUGAAUGCUUAAUUAGCCAUACAACUGUAACAUAGAAAAUUUAUAUAUAUUUCAUUCCAAAUAUGACAAGGCUUUGGAAAAAUGACUUUAAAUUUAAAUUUUCAAUUGAAGAUGAGAUGGAGAAGCUAAUUUUAUGUAAAAGAUUCUUCUAACUGAAUUAACAAUCACAUUUCAAAGUCAGAAAUAUGCUACCCUUCCCAAAGGAAUAUAUAUAUAUAUAUAUAUAUAUAUUACAUAUAUUCAAAAGUUUUGAUAGUAUUUCCGUCUUAAACUAACUAGUUAGUUAAAAACAAGAUUAGGGUAACAUAGAUAUGAAAUAUUCUUUCCUUCAUUUAUUUUCUCAAGUUUUGGCUACCAAGUCAACACUUUUACUACCGCAUGUUGAGUCUGAAACUUUCUUCUCAUCUUCCAUGUGGACAAAUGUGGGACACUUCCUUUGAAUUUCUACAUCUGUACGUGUGGACCAUUCAGCAAUAGCACCACUCAAAGACCAACCUUCAAAGUCAUUAUCCUUAACCUGUUUCCAUCAAUGAAGGAUAUGGAUAGGUGGAAGAAUAGUAAUACUUGUGUAAACUAAUGCGUGCCUUAAAAAUUAAACUAUGAAUUGCGAGCUGUGAUAUUUUGUUUAGACCUCAAAAGUCAAAAGUCUUUCUGAUAGUUAUUGUGUGUGUCAAGACAAAUACAAUCUCAUCUAUUGAACUGACAUUUUCUGCUCUUAUUCUAAGUCUAUACAAGAACUUGAUAUUUAUAUUUGAAAUUUGAUUCACCUCUUGUAAAUUCCUCCUCAUAAAAUUUUAAAGAUAAAUAAUUAGUGUUGGCACCCAAUUUAAAAAUGAAUAAAACUAAAGAAUACAACAAAUAUAAAAGUAUAAACUAUUAACGGAGGGGGGACACGGUUCUUUACUCCCAAAGAUUGUUUCAACAUCAUUUAAUAUAAUCAGAGAAUCAAUUAUCCUUUAACAACAAAAGCUAGCAACAACAACUUCAUGAUAUUUUUUUAUUAUUUCCAUUAUCCAAGGAAACAAAAGUUUACAAACGCGUCGACAUUCAAAUACAUUAUUCAAGGAUAUGGCCUCCAUAGCAAUUAUGAGCAUGGUUGUAAAUUUAAUCAAAUAAAAACACAAAUUGCAAUUAUAUUUUAUACUGCAUAGGUCAUGACUCUGGCAAAACGAUCUCAUGAAUGUUGGCUCUCAGAUUCAGUUCUUUAUCCCAUAUUACUAUAGAAAUAUAGAAAGAAAUUGUAUAAUGUUGAUAAUUACAAAUUUUGAAUAGUAGAAGUAAUGCUAGUUAUAGCAAAACCCACUAACUAUUGGUACAAGAUAUACUAACACACAGUUUUUAUUUAUAUGACCAAGCCUUUGCAUAUUUCUUCAUAUUAUCCGAUGUGGGACAUUAUUCUAAUUAUUAUUAUUGAAAUCCUCCCGCAAUUGUAUGGUUUGAGAGAGAGAUGCAACUUGGACAGUAAGUACUCGAACCUAGGAUGAAGCAGGGGUUUGGUUAGAAUAUCAGCAAGUUGAUCAUCGAUAGAAACAAAGGAUACUCGAAACUUGCCAUUUCGAACAUUUUCUCGGAAAAAAUGAUAGGCUAAGGCUAUAUGUUUCAUCCGAGAGUGAAAUACAGAAUUAGCACUAAGGUGGGUACGUAGCACCGAGGUUGUCACAAUAGAUGACUGGAUUGGAUGGUGGAGUGUGGCCUGAAGGUGAAAAACACAAGAAGGGGGGGGGGUUGAAUUGUGUUUUCUUUUUCUCUUAAAAAAGGAUUCUUCUUCUGAUAAAACUUCAGAAGCAGUUUGAUUGCUUCUGAUGAAAUGAUCAGAGUCAGAUUGCAGCGGAAAAGAACAGAGCAGAGAAAAGAAAGACAAAGACACAGGCAGUUAUCCUGGUUCCUUCCACAACACGGAAGUAGUCCAGUCCCCCUUGCACUUCCAAGGAGAUUUCACUAUAAUCACAAGAUUACAACUGCUCAAUACUUUCAAAGUAUGAGACUUCACAAAACAAUGCUCAAGCACACACGCAAGAGUCUUCCAAUGCUCAAGCACUAAGCAAGAGACUUCUAAUGCUCAAGCACGCAGGCAAGAGACUUCUAAUCAAACAAAAAUACAGAGAAUUGAGUUUGAAUUGAACACUUGAUAUACAAUCAGUGGUGUUCACAAUACAAUACAGAAAAGACUCUAGACUUUGAAUUUCUAAGAUGUAUCAAAUCAGUGCAGAAAUUCAGUGUGCUUUGUAGAAUCAAAUUGACAGAGUUUUGGCGCUUUUGAACUUAUGUAUCUCUAUCUAAAAUCUUCAAGUCUUCAUUCCUUUAUAUAGAGGCGUGAAAGAGACGUUGAGAUAAUCAGCACGUCUAAAGAGUCGUUUGAAAUCCUUUGAUUAUCCACCAGUGAUCCUUUGCCUGAUUUGGGUGUAGUCCUUUGAAGGAUAAACUUCAAAUUCAUUCCCAUCUUGAGUGUACAAAUUCUGCAGGCAUGGCUGUUGUUUUGUCUUGUAGCGUAGACAGAAAACAGAGUAGUGGAGGUAGUGGUUGUACACUUGUACUUUGUCAACUCUAUUAAUGAGAGACAAGUGCUCAGUGCUAUCCAUAUAUCCGUUGAUACCUCCCUUUCAAUUCUUCAUUCUUCUUUGAUAAGACUGAAUUGAGAAUCAGCAACUUUGAAUCUUCAGUUUGACUAAAGGAUCAAAUGUAGCUUCUGGUGAAAAUAUUGCUUCUGAUGAAAACUUUUGCUUCUGAUGACUUUCUGCUUCUGAUGACGUCAUCUCUUCAGGAGCAGUUUAGCUUCAGGAGCAGUUUUCUUCAGAUGCUCAGAAUUUCUUUUUCUUUCCAUUGUUCUUCCAAGACCUAUUGAAAUAACUUGAGUAGCCUUUGGUCCUGUACACUUGAACAAUUAUUAGUAAUAACCAAUUGACAAUUUUUAAUACCUUGUUAUCAUCAAAACUUAAUAAGGUUCAUUGUGAAACACAUUUUGUUCCAACAAUCUCCCCCUUUUUGAUGAUGACAAACAAUAGUAUUUAAAAUGUUCAAUUGUUGUUGAUCUAAUUAAUAAGUUGACUACUGGGACAGAGGUUUGUAAGCUCCCCCUGAGUCUAAUAGUUCUUUAAGGUGAGGUUUGUAAGCUCCCCCUAAGUUCUAUUCUUAUUAAUUAAAUUUCAAUAAAAUACUCAUAAAAAUCAAAUCAGAGGUAUUUAAAAGAAGUUUAGAAGUUGUUAUAGUAGGGCUCAGUGCCUUAAAAAUACUCAUAAAAAUCAAAUCAGAGGUAUUUAAAAGAAGUUUAGAAGUUGUUAUAGUAGGGCUCAGUGCCUUAAAAAUACUAUACAUUUACUCCCCCUUUUGUCAUCAACAAAAAGAAUAGAAACAAAAGAAAGAGUAUCAGAGCAAGCAGCAUUAAACAGUAAAUAUCAUCAGAGUCAAAGCUUGUAAAACAUAUUGAAGGUGAAAAAGCACAAGAUCCAGAAACAAUGAUAAUAUAUAUAAAGAAGAUUAAGAUACAAGGACACAGCUACGAAGAACAAAAGUAAAAAACAAGCUAGAGUUGGGUGUGCAACUAAGGUUGGGCUUGCUUAUACAACUGUUCUAAGAGAUACUUGAUCUGAUCAUCCUUCUUCUGAAGUAGCUCAUCCUUUUCCCUCAUUCUUCUUUUAUAUCCAGCCUGAAUUCUAGCAGCCCUAGUGAUGUACUCUUCUUCUGGAUAGAAAGGAGUGAUGUCCAGCAGAGGCUCAAAAUUCAGCUCUUUCUCCUUAGCUGCUUCAUGCAUAUCAUCCAAAAGCUUCUUCAGCAUAGCAGAGUGAGAUGACACACAUUUAGUUCUAAGCUGAUCCAGCAGCUCAUCAAAGCUCUUCUGUAGAUCCAUCCACUGAUCAUAAUAGUGAAUAGGAGGUGCAGGAACUGUUCUGCGAAGAAUCAGUGCCUGAAUCUCAUCACUAAGUCUGAUCAGUUGUUCCUCUAUAUACUCAGACUCCAGGAUAUGGUCAGGGAUGGGUGAAGGUUCAGUUUGAGUUGUAUUUGAUAUGGAAGGUUGGUCAGAGGUUAAGUCUAUUAUAGUGGGUGAAUCUGGUUGUUGUUGUUGUUCUGUUGUUUGGUCAGAAGGUAUAUGUUGGUCAGAAGUUGUUUGGUCAGGAGCAACUUGUUCAGAGGCAGUUUGCUCCUGAACAGUUUGCUCAGGGAUGGUUUGGGUUACUGUUUGGGUUUCCAAGACAGUCUUUUCAGGAACUGUCUUAGAGGCCUUAGUGGGUGUUGGUUGCAUUUCACCACCUAGAUGUUUUUCUAAGUUGUGAAGGGUUGAGUAUUCUUGGUGUUGGGGGGUUUCUGAAGUAGUUGCAUCUGAAGCUACUUCAGAGGCUUUUUGUGUGGUUGAGUUAUGUGGUGAGUUUGUUGUAGGUUCUGGGUUGGGUUGAGGUUGUUGUACACUAACAGGUUCAGGAUUAUCUGGAUAGAGUGGAUGAGUAGGAGGCAAAUUGAAUUUCUCACAAAGUUUAAUUCUAUUCUUAGAAAAUUCUAUUUGAGUUUGCUCCCAGUCAAGUGUUCCUAAAUCUGUUAGUUUGGUAGGUUUGGUUUUUAGAAGCUUGUCUAUGUGUUGGCUAAGGGGUUGGUCAUCUGAUUCUGUUGAUGAUGAAGAGGGUGAAGAGGGUAGAGAUGGAAUCUGAGUAUUAGUUGGAGCGUUAGAUGGAUUACCUGAAGACUGAGCUUCUGGAUGAACUGCUUCUGGAGCUUCUGAAGCUGGUUCUGAUGAAGUUGCUCCUGAAGCUUGCUUAUUCUUCAAGGCUUGAGAAAGCAGAGUUGCUCCAUACUUAACAGUUUCUAACUCCGAUGCUAAAGCAGCAAUGUCAGGAGUAGGCACAUACCCUGCAGCCUUGAGACGUUCAUCCCUUUCUUGUUCAUACAAAAUCUUCAUCCUUUUCUUUUCUGCUAUCUUGGAUGCAGCAACCUCCCUAGUAUACUGCUCCAUUUCUUCAGUCAUUUCGAAACUGGGCAUGACUAUGGGCUCAGAAGUUGCAGUCCUUUUUGCUUUCUUAGGGCUUGAGUCUUCAUCCCAGUUCUCUUCCAGUUCUUCCAACAUUUGUGCCCUUCUUCCUUCACUUGUCUUCAGAUUUCUUGUUAAAUUAGACCUUUUCCUUUUGAUGGUCUGAAGAGCAGCUUCUCUUUUAUUUUUGGGACUUGGAGGCUUUUCAGAAGCAGCUUGAUCAGAAGCAGCUUGUUCUGAACCAGCUUGUUCAGAAGCAGGCUGUUCUGCUGUUUCUUGAGUACUCCUUGUCCUUUUUCUGAUAAGAGGGACAUCUUCCAAAUUCUCCACUUCCUCAAGAAUGGUGGACAUAGCAGAUUUUACCUUUUUAGCUUUCUUAUGCUUCUGAGCACCCACCUCAGUAGCAUUUUCAGCAAGGUAUUCUUCCUUGGUGAUCUGCUUCUUCUUAGAUUUUCUGCUUUUGGCCACAGGCAGCUCACCACCAUACAUUUGGUCAGGAACAUCCUUCAAGCUGAUUUUCUGGUUAAAGGAUUUGUAGUGAUCCAUGAUAUAUGCCCUUUGAACCUCCAAGGGAUCUUGUUUACAGAUGGGAGGAAAGUCUGGGAUAAGAUCUGAUUUGGCAUCAGAAGGUUUCAAGUCAGUAGGACUCUUCUUCACAUCUUUUGCUUUAAUCAGAUGCAUAGCCCUUAGAGUCUCACCAUUGAUAAUCUUCCCUCUAACAGUUCCCAACUGUUCAUCUGUGAAGAUCUGAGCUUCUUUCAGCAUCUCAAUAAUUCCUCCCUGAUGGAAAAUCUCAGAGAGUAGUCUUCCAUAGGGUACCCAAGACCUUUUAUUCAGUUGACUCUCUCUGAGUUGAUGAACCAUAUGUCUGAAUAUGUAUCUGGGAAUAUUUGCCUCUACACCCUUUAUGACAAAGUGUAAGAGGAUUUUAUGUUCCAGAGAGGGCUGAUCACCACCACCACCUUUUGGUAGUAGGUUUUCGUUCUGAAUCUUCAACAUAACCUUUGUCUUGGUGUUCAUGUCAGAAUAGGCAAAGUCCUUUACCUUGUUGUAGAGAGUUUUGUUAACAAUAGCAUUCCAGGGGCUGUCCUUUGGCUUUGAAAUCCCAGCCUCAUGUUCUCCUUCUGCUGGUCUUCUGAUGACAAAGGCAAUAGUGUCCUCAGUGAUCCAGACACGGAUUCCCAUGAUGCUUGAUCUUAUCUGGGUUUUGGAGAAAGUUUCCAAGCCCAUUUCCGCUCUAGACUUCCCUUUGAGUUCAGGAUUGAGAAGAACUUUUUCAUCUUCUUCAAUCUUGGCGGCUUCCCUGUCGUAGAUGCUGGCUCUAACCCAGAAAUGACGAACCAGUGUUUGAUAAGUUGGUCCAUUUAGAAGAUUGAAGUACCUUCCCAGACCUUGUUUCUCGUAGUACUUGCCAAUGUCACAGUCGUGAGCGGCCAAAGAAUCAAAAUCCACCGGACUUUCUGAUUGAAUGUUUAAUUCCCAUUCCUCCAAGGACAUAGUUCUUCCUUUGAUUUCAUAAGCAGGAGUAUCUAUAUCCAUAUUCGAUGAAGAACCACCGGCAGAACUUGAAGAUGCCAUUGAUAUGAAGUGGUUUUAGGGUUCUAAAGAGUUUUUGAGAGGAUGAGAGAAUGUGCUUACUUACACAGAGGGUUGAGAAGAAAUUAGAAAGUGUUUGUUGUGAAGUGAGAAGUGUGUGAAAUGACUUAGUGUUUUUUAUUAAAACGUUUGUAAUUCAGAAGGGACAAACAAACACAGCAUUAAUGACAAAUUGGGGGCGCGUGUAAGUAUGUUAAAAAGCGAAUAAAAACAUCAUUGCCCUUUUUGUUAUACUCCAAUACAAAUAGACCACGUCAGAGACUCUUCAGAAAACUACCUUUUGGGUAAUGGGACAGCUGUUACAUAAAGUAACUGCCAGCGUUCCCACUAACCAAGCUAUUCAGAAGCAAAGAAUAACACUUCUGAAGUUUUAGUGCUGACGUCAUCUUCAGAAGCACAUUUUCCUCAGAACCUCAGUUUAAGAGCUUCUGAUGAACCAAAAAUGCUCCUGAAUAAACUUCAGAACCAAACUUCUUAUUCAGAGGCAAGCCAUUUUUCAAUCAGACACAAAAUGCAUGUUCAAAUUUUUCUUAAUAAAAUCAAAUCUUUCAACAGACAAAGGUUUUGCAAAUAUAUCAGCCCAUUGAUGUUCAGUAUCAAUGAAUUGUAUAUCUAAAAUUCCUUUUUGAACAUAGUCUCUGAUAAAAUGGUGUUUGAUUUCAAUAUGCUUGGCUCUUGAAUGUAGAAUUGGAUUCUUUGACAAACAAAUAGCAGCAGUAUUAUCACAAUAAAUGGGAAUACUGUUAGCAUUGAUCUGAUAGUCUUCCAACUGAUGUUUCAUCCAAAGUAGUUGUGUGCAACAACUUGCAGCUGAAAUGUACUCUGCUUCUGCUGUAGACAUAGCAAUAGUUGCUUGUCUUUUGCUUGCCCAGGAUAUCAGAUUCUCUCCCAGGAAUUGACAAUUUCCACUGGUUGAUUUUCUUUCAAUCCUAUCACCAGCAUAAUCAGCAUCACAGAAUCCAAUCAACUUAUAAUCUAGGGAUUUCCUAUACAGGAGUCCAAGAUUAGUUGUUCCUUUCAGAUACCUGAAGAUUCUCUUAACUGCAGUUAAAUGAGAUUCUCUAGGAUCUGAUUGAAAUCUUGCACACAAGCAUACACUGAAUAAAAUAUCAGGUCUAGAUGCAGUGAGGUAUAACAGAGAACCAAUCAUACCUCUGUAUAGCUUCUGGUCUACUACUGUUCCAGUAUCUUCUUUGCUUAAGGUGCAGGUUGGAUGCAUUGGAGUGUUCAUCACUUUACAAUCUUCUAGCUUGAACUUCUUCAGAAGCUCCUUUGUAUAUUUUGUUUGAUGAACAUAUACUCCUUCUUUACUUUGGUUGAUUUGAAUUCCCAGAAAGAAUUUCAAUUCUCCCAUCAUACUCAUUUCAAAUUCAUCCUGCAUUAACUUAGAAAAUUCUUUGCAAAGAGAUGCAUUAGUAGAACCAAAUAUUAUAUCAUCAACAUAUAUUUGCACAAUCAAAAUAUCUUUCUUAAGAGUCCUUCUGAAGAGUGUUGUGUCAACUUGUCCUCUUUCAAAAUCAUUUUUAAUUAAGAAAUUACUUAGUCUAUCAUACCAAGCUCUGGGAGCUUGUUUCAAGCCAUAUAGUGAUUUCUUAAGUUUAUAAACAUGGUCAGGAUGCUUAAGAUCCUCAAACCCAGGAGGUUGUUUAACAUACACUUCUUCUUCAAUGACACCAUUAAGAAAAGCACUUUUGACAUCCAUUUGAUAUAAUAUUAUGCCAUGAUUAAUUGCGUAGGAUAGAAGUAACCUGAUUGCUUCCAAUCUUGCAACUGGAGCAAAUGUUUCAGUGUAAUCAAUGCCUUCUUGUUGACUGUAGCCUUGAGCAACAAGUCUGGCUUUGUUUCUGGUUACUUCUCCUUGUUCAUUCAGCUUGUUUCUGAAUACCCAUUUUGUUCCAAUAAUGUUCUUCUGAGAAGGUUUGGGUACCAGAUCCCACACAUCAUUCCUUUGGAAUUGAUUUAGCUCUUCUUGCAUAGCUAAUAUCCAUCCGUCAUCUGAGAGAGCUUCUUCAACAGUUUUAGGCUCAAUUAUUGAAAGCAGUCCUAUUAGAGACUCUUCUUGUCUAAAAUGUGAUCUUGUUCUUCUAGGACUAUCUUUGCUUCCAAUGAUUAACUCCUCAGGAUGUGAAGAUUUGUGCUUGAAUUUAGGUUGAAUAACCUGCUGAGUGUUAUCUUGAAAGUCCUCAGAAGCACUUUCAUUCUGUACUUUUGGGCUAGGUUCUGCUUCUGAAUUAGACUCAGCUUCUGGAGUGAUUUCAGCUUCUGGACAAGAUUCAACUUCUGUAUACUUUUCAGAAUCAGAAGGUUGAUCAGAUUCUGAUGCAUCUUCAGAAUCAGUUGUACCUGCAUUACUUUCACUUUGCUCUGAAGUUUUACUUCCAGGCUCUCUAUCAUCAAAUUUUACAUGCAUAGAUUCUUCAACACAUUGUGUUUCUGAAUUAUACACUCUGUAUGCCUUUGACCUUUCAGAGUAACCUAAAAAGAUUCCUCUUUGAGCCUUGGCAUCAAAUUUCUUCAGAUAGUCUUUAGUGUUUAAGAUGUAACAAGUACAUCCAAACUGAUGAAAGUAAGAGAUAUUGGGUCUUCUUCCUUUAAAGAGUUCAUAUGUUGUUUUCUCCAACAUAGGUCUGAUAUAGAUCCUAUUUUGAAUAUAACAUGAAGUAUUGACUGCUUCUGCCCAAAAAUGUUUAGCUAAGUUGUUUUCAUGGAUCAUGGUUCUGGCCAUUUCUUGUAAGGUUCUGUUCUUUCUUUCUACAACCCCAUUUUGUUGUGGAGUUCUAGGAGAAGAAAACUCAUGGAGAAUCCCAUGUUUUUCACAAAAAAGUUCAAAUGGCUCAUUUUCAAAUUCUCCACCAUGAUCACUUCUGACUUUCAAAAUUUUCAAUUCUUUUUCAGAUUGUAUUUGAGUGCAGAAGCUGCUAAACACUUCACAUGCAUAGUCUUUACUUUUAAUGAAUUUUACCCAAGUCCAUCUGCUGUAAUCAUCAACAAUGACUAAUCCGUAUUUACUUCCAUAUAAAGAUGCAGUGUUAACUGGACCAAAAAGAUCAAUAUGGAGUAAUUCUAAGGGUCUGGAGGUUGAUAUAAUGUCCUUAGAUUUGAAAGAACUUUUCACAAUUUUCCCUUUCUGACAUGCACCACAAAGUGCAUCUGAAUGAUAAUCAAUGUUAGGCAAUCCUUUGACCAGUUGUAACUUGCUAAUUUUAGAAAUUAAUCUCCAAUUAGCAUGUCCCAACCUUUUAUGCCAUACCCAUUUUUUAUCAUUCAUUGACAGAAGGCAAACUACCUUCUGAUCAGCCAGAUCAGAGAAAUUUAUUUUAUAAACAUUCUCAACUCUCUUUCCCUUGAAUGUAAUGGAUUUGUCAUCCUUGUUGACUAGUGUGCAGUUGGUCUUACUGAACGUUACAUCAUACCCAUUGUCACAAAAUUGACUAAUGCUCAAUAGGUUAUGCUUCAGACCAUCUACUAGCCACACAUUAUUAAUUGAGAUGGAGGAAUUACCAAUAGUACCUGUACCAAUGAUCUUUCCAGUUUGGUUGCCACCAAACUUCACUUCUCCUCCAUCUUUCAUUGUAAGGGUAAGGAACAAAGCUUUCUCUCCAGUCAUGUGCCUUGAACAUCCGCUGUCUAGGUACCAUGACCUUUGUUUCUCUCUUGCCCUUAAGCACACCUGCAUUUUUGGCCAAUUCAGAUUUAGGUACCCAUAUCUUCAUGGGUCCUUUUGGGUUAGUUUUGGAGGUUUUACUUUUCCUCCCUUGCACCUUAGGGUGAAUGCUGAGUGGCUUCUGAUCAUUCAAUACUUUGGGUUUGACACCUUUUGGUAUUGUUUUCUCAGAAGCAGUAGCUGCUUUGUUCUUCUGAUCCUUUUGUUUUGGAAUUUUAGAUUCUGGUUUAAUCAGAUUCUGAUGAACAGGUUCUGAUCUUUUCAGAAUUUUAAUCUUUUGACUCUUAGGAUCAGAUUUUGUCAUUACCUUGAUCUUAAGAUUCUCUGGCUUUGAUGUGAUCUUAGCCUGUGAACCUGAAGCUUCAGGUUUUGACUGAACAGCAGUUAUAGCAUUUGUACCUUCAGGCACAAAGGUGGAUUUCAAUCCAUCCUUGAUACAAUCACAGUAGCUCUUGAGACUGUAUUCUUUGGAUUUCUCCUCAGAAUAUCCAAUCCCUUUGCCUUUGUUCUUGUAUGUGCUGUAGAUCAUAGAAGCAACUUUGCUUCUGUCUAUUCCAGCCAUAAUAAAAUCAUCCAAGGCAAUCUCAUGUUUAUUGCCUGAACCUUUAUCACAUUUUUCUUGUAGCUUCUGACAAAGACUCUUGAGUCUAUCUUCAUAUGUUGUUGAUAUGAGGUUAAACCCUUUGAGUUCUUCUUCAGAAGCUUUCAGUUCCAAUAGAGUUGAUUUUUGUUGUUUCAUCAAAUCAACAUAUUUUUCUUUUAAAUCUGUCAACUCAUUGGUUCUGUGUUCAAACAGUGAUAAAAGUUCUUUUAGAGAAUCAACAAGUUCUUGUCUAGGGAUUUUGGAAUAUACCUCAUUUUCAUCUUCUGAAUCUGAUUCAGCUUCUGAUACUGCUUCUGAUGAUACUGUUGCCACUAAUCCAACGGCUGCCUUAGCAUCAUCAUCAGCUUCUUCUUUAUCAGAACCAGAUUCACUAUCCAAAUCUUCCCAGGUCGCCAUCAAGCUCUUUUUGAUUUGCUUUCUGAAUUUACUGGAGUUGAAGCUUGAUUUCUUGGAUUUGCCUUUAAACUUCUCCUUCUGAAGAUCAGGGCAAUCAGCAAUGAAAUGACCAGGCUUCUUACAAUUGAAGCAUCCCUUCUGAUCUUCUUUCUUGAAGUUCUUGUAGCUACCUCUCUUGCUCAAAAAUUUCUUCUGCUUCCUUGCCAGAUACUCAAGCUUGUUGGACAGCAUAGCCAUCUUUACAGAUUGAUCUUCAUCAGAAUCUCCAUCAGGUGAUUCUUCUUCAGAUUCACUGGCUUUGUAGGCUUUGGAAGACUUUGAGGUCUUUCCUUUAGAUGGUAAAGCAAUGGAUUUACUCUUCUUAGAGGUUUCAUGCUCAUUUAAACUCAUUUCAUGCACUUUGAGUGAGCUAACAAGAUCUUCAACACUUAAAGUAUUUAGAUCCUUAGCUUCCUCAAUAGCAGUUACUUUGGGUCUCCAUCUUGAAGGUAAGCUUCUCAAAAUCUUACUAACAUGAUCAGAAGCAACAUAGCUUUUCUUCAGUAUCUGCAAUCCAGAAACUAAAGUUUGAAAUCUUGAGUACAUUUCUUCUAUACUCUCAUCAUCCUUCAUUCUGAAAAGUUCAUACUGAUGAACUAGCAUCAAUAAAAGAAUGGAAAUGGAAUGCUAAAUGAUAUGUAUGAAGUACCAAAGUAAACUUGUUAGUAAAAAAAAACAUAACAAGUACUAAGAAAUAAAAGCAUGCAAGAUGGCACAAAAAGUUAUCAAAAUGACAUUAAACCCUAAAAACUUAGGUAUGAAACCUAAAGCAUUCUUGGCCUCUAAUUCUCAUGCUUUAACAAAUUUUGAAAGAGUUUUCUUUAUCUCAAGUUAUAGCAUGGAAUUAUUGGAAACAUGCAAACAUGGUUUCAUGCCAUAUUUUCUAGAAUAAACUUGGCAUUUUAUAUCUUUCAAAAUAUGCAUAUAUUGUUCAUAAAAUUAAGAACUUAUGAACCAAAUCAAAACAGCAAAUCAACAUGAAAUUAUAGGCACAAAUCUCUCAUAUUAACACAUCAAGUAGCUUUUAUUACAUAUUCUCACAUCAAGGACAAAUGUGUGAAGAAGAAUUCAUAACAAAUAAUUCAAAGAGAAUUAAAAUGCUAUGAAUUAAUUAUACCAAAAUUUCAUAGAUCCUUAAUGUGCAAAAAUGUCAUAAAAACACUAAGAAAAUAUCAAGAAAUAUGUAUGAAUUUUUCUAGGAAUUUUAUCACAAUUUUAAUCAAGACAUAGGUGCAGGUAGCAAAAAAAUAGGGGUGUGAACAGCAAGAAAAAAGCAAGAAAUGUGCAGAAAAUUAAGCCCAAACCCAAAGCCCAACACCAAAACUCAGAUUGCACAGGAACCACACGAUUGAUCCAGGGUCCUGAAACCCUAGAUCAAACGGCCAGGAACCAAGGGGGGGUUGGACCGGUCCUGAACCGGUCCGGUUCACUGGCUUUAUAAGGGAGGGAAACCGGUUUUUUUUAUAAUUCUUCUUCUCCUUCUCUCUCUUCUCUCAUUCUAGUGAGAGAAGCUCUCACUUCUCUCUUCCUCACCGCGCCGGAUUCUGGAAAAACAGGAGAUGAUCUUCAUCUUCUCCGGCGGAGUUUGUUCCUCCGGCGUGGUGGCCGGCCACCCAAGGGUGGCGGCGCCGCCGCCGGAGUUGAGCAAACUCCUCCGAUUUUGAAAAUUUUUACAUUUUUAGAUAUCCUUUUUCGUGCUAUUCAUGAAUCCAAACUUAGUUUUUUGAGAAAAAGUCCCAAUCGGAGUAGAUCUAGCUUCAAAGAUUCGGAAAUUUGAAUUUUAAAGAGGAAGAAAGAGGAAGAGGAAUUGUCACCUAUUUGUGGUGUGUUGUAGAGCAAGGGAGAGAGCUUUGCUUUCUUCCGAAUCCGGAAUAUUCCUUCCUUCCUUCUCUUCUCUUUCACGUGUCUCUUUGACCGAUUUUGUGCUUGUUGUUUGGUGAUGUUCUUGGCGCGGAUUUGUGGAUUUUUGUGAUUCUUGGUACGGAUUUGGUUCGGAUUCGGUUUUGUGGCUUUUUGGUACGGAUUUGUUGCUUUUUGGUACGAAUUUGUUGCUGGAUUUUGGUACGAAUUUGUUGCUGGAUUUUGGUACGAAUUUGUUGCUUUGUUGAUUUUUCUUCUUCCCCUCUCUCUGUGAUCGUGCUUGAAUUCGCCGCUUCCGGUGGCGGAUUCGCACUUGAAUUGUGGAGCAGAGGCGAUUCGAUGAUGAAGAUUCGCAAAGAAUCUCUGAGAAUCACCCAAAAAAAGGAUGAAUUUGAUGAAUCUGUGAUGAUUUUCGGUUAGGGUUUAUGUGUGUGUUCUUGAUGAUUUUCUGUUUUGAUUUGUAACUGAAUAGAGAGAGAGAAGAAAAAAUCUGUUUGUGAUGUGUCACUGUGUGAAUGGAAUCCUCCUAAAAAAUCUGACACUGUUCCCCUUUUAUAUGCUGCCAUGUGUACCUGAACCAAUAAAAAAGUGACAUCUGGACUGGACUAAAAUUUGUGCGAAAAUUUGGACCAAAAUGCCCUUUGGGGCGUUUCUGCAGAAAAAAAUGAUAAUAAAAGGACUGAAAUGCAAUUCUUAGAAACUUUUGGACUGAAAUGUAAUUUUGGGACCUCAAUUGAGGGACCAAAAUGCAAUAAAAAAUAAAAUUGAAUAAAAAACGCAAUUUGAUCGAACGUAAAGCGAAACAAAAAUAAAAUUGACAAAACGGACUUAAAACGAACCAAUGGCCUAAAUGAGGUACUUCAAAGUAACCUCCCUAUGUCAAAAUUUCGUGUGAAAUGACCAAAAUGCCCCUAGGGCUAAAAAUGACCUAAACUGACUCAAACAGACUUGACACUGACUCGGACGCAAGUUUGAAAUGAAUUUAAACAGGGUUUACUGAUGAAAUGUUAAAAAUGAAUUUGAAAAGACUCAGAGACAGUCACAAGGAUGAAAAUGGGUCCCACUGCAGGAAAUGACCAAAAUACCCUUCUGCAUGACUUUUUGCAAAUUUUGAAAUAAACUGUAGAAAAAGCAAUGUAAUGAUUCAGAGACACCUUUGAAUGACUUUCAAGACAAGUAAAGACAUUUUGAAAGGUUUUAUGCAAAAAAACAUAGGUAAAAUUGUGAUUGAAAAAAAACUGCGAGACAGAGACAAUUUGAACUGUGCAGUUGACAUUUGAUAAUUGACAAAGUUUGAAAUGAAAUUGGGCCCAGUAUUUUUAGGUCCAAAAACAGGGUAUAACAGCUGCCCCUAUUUAAGUUUCUUUGUCUGGAGAGUCAAGAGACGGAGUCUUUGGCUUGACAGGACGAAGAUACUUAGAUAUUAGCAUUUGCACUGUGUUUGGACGUAAAAAUACGCCUACCCAUUUUCAAAUAAUAUGCAUGCCAUGCAUCAUUUGGAUUAUGAAUGCAAGACCUCAUGGGGAUUGGAAUUAACAAAAUAUGUCGUAUCCAUUGCGGGAUUGGUAGACAUUGACAAAGAUAGUGAAUAGCAGAGUAACGGGAAACUAGAAACAAGUUGGACAGGUACAAGCUGUUCUUGGAUUCAAACUAGCCACUUGACCGGGAAUGAAACAAACAGACAACUGCGAGUUGUUCUUAUGGAUUCGAACUGGUCACUUCACAGGGGAUAGAGGUUACUGGACAAAUAUGAGUUGUUCUUAUGGAUUCGAACUGGUAACUCACUUGGGGAUAUUGGAAAGUGCGAGUUGUUCUUAUGGAUUCGAACUGGUGACCCGACUGGGAAAAAGAGAAAAUUGGCAAGUACGAGUUGUUCUUACGGAUUCGAACUGGUAACUCACUUGGGGAUAUUGGAAAGUGCGAGUUGUUCUUAUGGAUUCGAACUGGUGACCCGACUGGGAAAAAGAGAAAAUUGGCAAGUACGAGUUGUUCUUAUGGAUUCGAACUGGUGACUCGACUGAAAACAUGUAAAAUUGGCAGGUACGAGUUGUUCUUAAGGAUUCGAACUGGUUACUCGACUGAAAGCAAGGCAAAUAGACAGGUGCGAGCUUGUUCUUGGAUGCGAACUGGUUACUCCACCGGAGACAAAUACAAAAUAGACAGGCGCAAGCUGCUCUUGGAUCGAGCUAGCCACUUGAGCGAACAGAAACAGAUAGACGGGUACAAGCUGUUCUUGGACUUGAACUAGCCACUUGACCCAAAAUCAUAGACACAUAGACAGGUACGAGCUGUUCUUGGAUUCGAACUGGUAACUCGACCGGGGUCAUGGAAAAGUAGAUAGGUACGAGUUGUUCUUGGAUUCGAACUGGUCACUCGACCGAAAGCAAAGGCAAAUAAACAGGUGUGAGCUUGUUCUUGGAUGCGAACUAGGUACUCCACUGGACAGAAACAUAUAGACAGGUACAAGCUGCUCUUGGAUUGAGCUGGGCACUCGACCGAUAACAUUGAAAAGUAAACGGGUACAAGUCGUUCUUGGAUGCGAACUAGUAACUUGACCAAACAGAAACAUAUUGACAGGUACAAGCUGCUCUUGGAUUGAGCUGGACACUCGACCGAUAACAUAAGCAAAUAGGUAGGUUCAAGCUGCUCUUGGAUUGAGCUUAGCCACUUGACCAAGUAGAAACAGAUUCACUGGGGAUUAGUUUUUUUUGACAAAAUAUAGAUUGAGAUUGACUUGACGUCGAUUUGAAUUGAAAGGCAAAAAUUGACCGAUAUUAUUGGCUCACAAGGUUUUGACAGAGAACCUGACAUGAGUAUCGAAUUGAGACUGAUGUUGACAUUGGAAAUGCAAUAUGCACGGAUGAUAUAACAGUUUCAUUAAAUGCAUGGGCACGUAAUAUGCAUGAUUAUGCAUGUAUGAAUGCUUGUAAUGCAUGACUGUUGGCAUUUUGUAGGCACGACUUCACGGGGAAGACAAGACAUCAGAGUAUUGGGCACGUAGUGGCUCGUGCUAUAUUACACAUUCUUGGAAAUCCUCUAUGGAGAUGACGUCGUUGGGGGACGUAUCGGAGCCAAGGCUGAGGGCAGGUAGGUAUGCAACUUGCUGGGGAUAGAAUCUUGAGAGACCUCACCGGGGAAAACGCCGUUGUGCUGGGCAUCUCAGUGCUGGGUACGUUGUAGACAUUGCAUCUGUGGUCAAUGCUUUUUGCAUGUUAUUUUUCUCAAUUUCAUCAUUUUCAUUUUUUUUUUGCAUCCCAUUUUUGCCUGGAUCGCCUUUUCGGGUUUUCGAUCCACCGGGGAAAUAAAUUCUUUUCAAUGCCCCAUUUUUGCCUGAACUGCCCUUUCGGGUUGUCAAUCCAGCGGGGUGCUCAUUUUUGCCUAAGCCGCCCUUUCGGGUUUUCAACUUAGCGAGCCUAUUCACUUUCAUGCAUUUUCAUUCUGUUUUUUCAUUCUUGCCAUUGACCACAGACUAUCCUGGAGGAGAACCUGCUUGUAACACAUAUUGAAAUAGACAUCAACAUACUCUCGCUCAUGCAUGUUUCAUUUGAAUGUACCCUGUUGCUCAGGUUUGCUUUUCAAAAUAGACCAAAGGUUUUCAAUUUUCAAAAAUGUUUGUUUCAAGCAUUGUCAUUAUCAAAAUAGAAAGAAAAUGUUUUGUAUAUAGCUUUGAAAGUAGAAGAAAAAUAGAGUUUCAAACAAAAGCAAAGGCUCAACUUGAUGUAUAAGAGUGGUGGUCAGCCAAAGGCAUGACUCCACGGAUUCACAAAGCUUGGAAAAUGGUAAUUUUAUUGGUUGGUGGUACAUUGAACACGGUAACCACUACAGUUCUUAGAAACUUUGAAUUCACAAGUACAGAAGCUUUUGAUGAAGAUAGGCAUUAACAGCUGCAGAUGCCCCAAGGGGGACGGUGGUUGGCCAGAUAUAGUUACUUGCCUUUUGUUUCAAUCUCAUUUUUGCAUGAACCGCCCUUCCGGGUUUUCGGCUCAUCGAGACGCUCAUUCUUGCCUGAGUUGUGUACAAUCUCAGCGAGCUUUUCAUAUAUUUUUUUGUCCCUUAUUUUUGCCUGGACCGCCCUUUCGGGUUUUCGAUCCACCGGGAAGCGCAUUUUUGCCUAGGCCGCCCUUUCGGGUUUUCGACCUACCACGCUGUUCUUUUCAUAUUUCUAGGCAAAGUAUUUCUUGACUAUAUCGGCAUUCACUGGAUUUGGAAGUUCUACACCAUCCACGUGUGUAAGGAUUAAAGCACCACCGGAGAAGGCCUUCUUGACAACAUAAGGACCUUCAUAGUUAGGCGUCCACUUGCCCCUUGGGUCGGGUUGCUGGCUUAUCCUCCUUUUCAAUACAAGUUCCCCUACCUUGAAUUCUCGAGGAUGGACUUUCUUGUCAAAGGCAGUCUUCAUUCUUGCUUGAUAUGACUGUCCACGAGCCAUGGCAUCCAAACGUUUUUCCUCAAUCAAAUUCAACUGAUCAUACCGGCUUUGGCACCAUUCAGCCUCGGAUAACUUUGCUUCCAUGAUCACACGGAGAGAUGGGAUCUCCACUUCCAAAGGAAGAACUGCUUCCAUACCAUAUACAAGAGAGAAAGGGGUUGCCCCGGUUGAACUGCGCACAGUAGUACGGUAACCAUGCAGAGCAUAGGGUAACAUCUCAUGCCAGUCCUUGUAAGUGGUUACCAUCUUCUGGACAAUUCUCUUGAUAUUCUUGUUGGCGGCCUCAACUGCACCAUUCAUCUGAGGUCUAUAGGGAGAAGAGUUAUGAUGCUCAAUUUUGAAUUCUUCACAAAGAGCUUGCACCACAUUAUUAUUCAGGUUGGUACCAUUGUCGGUAAUAAUCUUGCUGGGAACACCAUAUCGACAGAUGAUGUUGUUCUUGAUGAACUUAGCUACCACUUGCUUGGUCACAUUAGUAUAAGGUGCUCCUUCAACCCACUUGGUGAAGUAGUCAAUUGCCACUAAAAUGAAACGAUGACCAUUUGAAGCCUUCGGUUCAAUUCUUCCAAUCAUGUCGAUGCCCCACAUUGAGAACGGCCAUGGGGAUGAAAUAACAUUGAGGGCGUGCGGAGGCACAUGAAUCUUAUCAGCAUAGAUUUGACAUUUGUGGCACUUUCUGGCGUGCUGGUAGCAAUCAUGCUCCAUGGUCAUCCAGUAGUAACCUGCUCGUAACAACUUCCUUGACAUAGUAUGCCCUGUAGCAUGGGUCCCAAAGGUACCGUCAUGUACAUCAUGCAUUAACUGCUCUGCUUCGUGUUCAUCAACACAUCUUAACAAUACCAUGUCAUAGUUUCUCUUGUACAGAAUAUCUCCAUCUAACAGGAAUCUACUGGCCAAUCUUCUCAGGGUCUUCUUGUCUUGUUUGGAAGCACCCGGCGGAUACUCACGGCUUAGCAAGAACUGUUUGAUGUCGUAGUACCAGGGUUUAUAGUCAACCACAUUUUCGCCAGCCUGAUCGAUCACAUCCCCAAUAGCAAACACAUGCGAAGGUCUUUCAAGGCGUUGCACUUUGAUUAUUGGCACAUCAUUCCAAUGGUUUACUCGAAACAUGGAGGAUAGAGUAGCAAGAGCAUCAGCCAUUUGGUUCUCAUCACGAGGAAUAUGGUGCAGCUCAACCUUUGUAAAAUAUGUCAGCAAACGUCUCGCAUAAUCAUGAUAAGGAAUCAACUUAGCAUGGUGGGUCUCCCAUUCACCCUUUAUCUGAUUGAUGACGAGCGCAGAAUCUCCAUAGAUGUCGAGGUGUUUGAUUCUCAUGUCAAUUGCUUCCUCGAUCCCGAAGAUACAUGCUUCAUACUCAGCCAUAUUGUUGGUGCAUUCGAACAAAAUUCGGGCGGUAAAAGGAAUGUGAUGCCCUUGCGGGGAUACAAUGACUGCCCCAAUUCCUUUGCCAUAAGCAUUGACAGCACCAUCAAAGACUAAACCCCACUUGCUAUUGGGAUCUGGACCUUCAUUAAUCAACGGUUCGUCGCAGUCUUUGGAUUUCAAAUACAUGAUCUCUUCAUCAGGGAAAUCGAAUUCAAUUGGUUGGUAAUCAUCAAGAGGUUGAUAAGCAAGGUGAUCGGCAAGAAUGCUGCCUUUGAUUGCCUUUUGAGUUUUGAACACAAUAUCAUAUUCAGACAAAAGCAUCUGCCAGCGUGCAAUCUUCCCAGUAACGGCCGCUUUCUCAAAGAUAUACUUUAUCGGAUCCAUUCUGGAUAUCAACCAAGUUGUAUGAUUCACCAAAUAAUGACGCAGGCGUUUGGCAGCCCAAGCUAGAGCACAACAAGUCUUCUCAAGCAUUGUAUACCGAGUUUCACAGUCGGUGAACUUCUUGCUUAGAUAGUAGAUAGCAUGCUCUUUCUUUCCGGUUUCAUCUUGUUGACCAAGCACACAUCCCAUGGAUUCAUCAAAUACUGCCAAAUACAUAAUCAAAGGCCUUCCUUCCACGGGUGGGACAAGGAUAGGUGGUUCCAGCAGGUAAUUCUUGAUGCUAUCAAAAGCUUCCUGGCAUUCAUCGUUCCAUACAAUAGGCUGAUUCUUGCUCAAGCAAUCGAGUGAUCUCAUAUGGUAUAUCAUCAUCCUCUUCAUCUUCGGCUUCAUACACAGGGAAUUCAAAAUUUGGAGGAACCGUAGGAUUACUGUGUUCAACGGGUUUAUUAUGGUUCAAACUGCAUAGAAUGGUUGAAUGAUUUUAGAAAAUGUUUUUUUUUUCUUUUAUGCAGUUCUUUGAAAUUGAUAAGAAAAAUAAAGAUGUUUUGGUUUUUUCUGGUAUUACCAUUAUUUCCAAGAAAAAAAGAAAAAAAAAAUCACUAAAAAAUAAAAGUCGUGAAAGAAACGACGAUUUUUGUUAAUAACGGCGAUGCCGAAACAAACACGCCCUUCCAGAAAUAUCACUUUCGCUUCGGGCAGAGCGAGAGGAUGGUUAUUUUGAAAAACAAAACACUUAAGCAACAAGACACAUUAUUCGGAAACAUGCAUGAUUGAAUGAAUGUUGAUGGCAUCACAAUUUCUCGCAAUGCCUCCUGGUAUAACAAACAUAGGCCUAGGACUACAUCCAGUCGCCUCUUCAGUAAUUGCAUUGAUAAACUCAGCACUGUUGAAGAUUCAUGUGGCAUUGUACUUGUAAGGAAUAGCCUUUGUAGAAGUAUAAGGUACUGGUCCGGGCAGCCUUAUCACUUAGAGGCUCAACAUUCUCUUUUGAAGGCACGCUCUUGACGGGCGGAUCAUGAAAGACUGGCACAAUCACACAGACAUCACUGACAGUCAGAAGAUUAUCAUCCAUCAGGCUUUGGAUGUCGUCUUGAACAGUAUAGCAGCCCAAAGGAUCACAGAGGCAUCCUAGACACUUGGCAUGAUCAUGGCUGAACAGAGAGGCUUUGCAUAGCUUGAUAUGCAGAGGCACCAGAGGAGUGGCAACAUUGUGGACAUCAAGUCUAGGAGCUUCCUCACACACUUCGAUCAUAUUCACAGCGGCAUGAUUUGGAAGAGGAUUGUCAAGGACAUGUGGAACAUUAUUCUCAAAAGUCAGCUUUCCCUGAUCAAUGAGCUUCUUCACGAUAUACUUCAAAGCAUAACAUCCCUCGACAUCAUGACCUAAGGCACCUUGAUGAAAGUCACAUUUGAGAUCAGACCUGAACCUUGGAGGCAACGGAUCAGGUGGGGGCUUACCCUGUCUAGUUGUACAAUGUCCUCUCUGGAGUAGAGUUGGAAGAAGUUCUGCAUACAACAUCGGUAUAGGAGGAAAAGUUGGUCUAGUAUACUGCUGCUGUUGUUGUUGUUGUUGUUGUUGUUGUUGUUGAACCGGCAACUGUUGUUUCAUCUGUUGGGCAAUUGCAUUGACGGGCACUUGAGGCUGGCCCGGUGGCAAAGGGUACUGAUGAUAAAACGGUGGGAAGAACGGAUGUUGAGAAUACGGCAUAUAUGGGUAUGACGGAGGCAUUUGAGCUGCAUUGAUAGGAGCAACGGUAGCCAUAGAUUGACCGGCUCCAGCUGACACCAUCCCCACUUCCGUUUCUUUCUUCUUGUGGUGUCCAUUACCAUAUCUCUUCGAUGCACUCGUAGAAGAUUCAGCUUUCUCAAACACAAUGAUCCCAUCCCUGACUGCUUCCUCAAGACGGGUUCCCAUAGUGACCAUCUCCGAAAAGUUGUUCGGGGCGGCGAUGAUCAUCCUCUCAACAUAAUCUUUCUUCAAGGUCUUUAAGAAUGUCUGGGUCAUUUCUUCUUCAUCUAAAGCAGGAGUGAUACGGGCAGCUGCCCCUCUCCAUCUUUGUGCAUAUUCCCGGAAACUUUCCUCCUUUUUCUGAGAUAGGGACCUGAGGAACUCCCUAUUCGGCUUCAAACGAGUGUUAAACCCGUAGUGGCUCCUGAAAGCGGUGGCCAGCUCAUCAAAAGUAUGGACAUCGUCUUUGCUCAGACUAGUAUACCACUCUGCAGCAUCUUCCAUCAGACUGUCUUGGAAGUAAUGGAUCAUAAGGGAAUCAUUGUCCUUGUAGUUGCCCAUCUUCCGGACAUAUUUGACAAUAUGAUUUUGAGGACAAGUCAGCCCGUUAUAUUUGUCGAACUCCGGGACUUUGAACUUUUUUGGAACAUCUACCUUCGAUACUAAGCAGAGAUCCUGGGUUUUAAUGGAGUCUCCAUUUCCCCUAUUGGCCUUAAUUUCCCGUCGGAGCUCUUUGGCAAGUUCUUCCAUUCUCUCUUCCAUAGUUUCGGUUGCGGCAAUACUCCCGUGGUGUGCAUUAGCAUGGACAAAUAGAGGCACCGCAUUCACAAUGGGCUCGGUAACAGUUGUUGCAGCUUGAGUCAAGGCGGUACUAAUAGGAGUUAAGUUUGCCCCUGGGAUUGGGCCAUUGUUGGUAGUACCAGAGGUCCCUGCCCCUGUAUUAGCAGUAUAGUACAGCGGAAGCCCGUAAGGAUACCCGGAUGGCAUGAUAGAGCGGGGAUCAGUUGUUACGGUAGGAGUCACAUUUGCAGCUGUAGAAACUACAGGAACUGGUUGUUCCUGAGCAGCCAACAGAGCAGUCAUAGCAUCAUGAGCUUUGGCCAAUUCCUCCCUUAGAGAUGCCAAUUCGGUACGAAGCUGUGUGUUCUCUUCUUCCAUAGCCUUUUUCCUUCUUCUGUACUCUCUGGUUCGAUCGAUUCUAUCAGGUUCGUAGACCUUCUGAGCACGAGCCACUUUUCAAACUGUGGCAGAGGAACCAGGAAGUAGUGAGCAAUUGGAAGCCUUUGUGACCGAUGUAUGAUGCAUAUGAUGCAUGAUAUGCAGAUGCAAAUGCAAAAACGACUCUUUUUAAUGUCAUCGAAGGACUUUUUAAACAAAUUCGAAACAUUGUAAACACUGUUAAACAAGCAAAAUAAGGUUUUACAAUGGUAAACUUAUGAAUACAAGUUCACACCUGCGGUGUCUUACAAUGUUUCGAUCUGUCUAAAAAAAUCUUCGAUGUAUGCGUGAAAAAAAACUUAUGCAUGUAUGCAUGGUUGUUUUGUUUAGUUACAAAGAACAAGGUGGGUUGAGAUUCAAAGUAACAGGGCCACGGAUGGACACGGCGUCCGGUGAACUAAGGCUUUGGAUAGUAGUAACCAAGGUUCUAACACAGUUCCCAAACUGCAACCUCUCUCACAUAUAUCAUGGUAGUACAGGACGACACCCGUUCCAUGAUUAUUUGUGAGAAGGUCUAGUUUGAGUGUAGUAUCGCGUGACGACUAAAGUUUGAGACAACACUCAAUUUAGCCACCGCACUACGUCCUAAAAAGGCUAGGAUGGGUUUGGUAACUACGGUUCAUAGCUUCGUCGAACAAUUGAAAGUGAAGUGCCUAAGCAUGACAACACACGCCGACAAUAUCACCUUCAAAAUGCCUCAGCUAUGUGAGAUUGAUCGCAUAAUCCAAUACACGAGGCAACCCCCGGAUCGAAUUGUCGAUUAUAUCUCUACCUAAACAUAAGUUCACUCAGCCCGGGUAUAGGACUUUUGAUAUUCUCACCCCACACGUCAAAUGAAAAUAAACAAGUAUUCACAUAUGUAAGCAAUAAAACAAAGCGUAAAUAUAAACUAAGGAAAACUAGGCGCGACCCGCUAAAAAGAAUCCCCAGUGAAGUCGCCAUUUCUGUUAUCAUGGUUUUUGGGUGCCAAGCCAUUAAUUGGACUUGUACCUUUCGACCGUUGAUAUCUCUCUUUUUUCUUGGGAAGGGUAAAAGGAGAAAAACCCUUGAGUUUCCGAAUUCGGGGGUCGGUUUUACCACGGGAAGGUGUUAGGCACCCGGAGUAACUAUAGUCCUCUAUAGGAGCCGUUUUCCUAAGUCUAUAUUCACGCUUAUUUUUACUUACUUUUGAAAAUGGGAGGUUUAUUUAGUUAAGAAUGGGGGGAGAGAAGUUGUAAGACUUUUUAUCUUUUAGUUGAUUUGAAGAAAAUUUUAAUGUGUUGCUAUUUGAUUUUUUAAAGUUUGAAAAUGAUUUUUUGAAGAAGAGAAAGGAGGCCUUAAAGGCUUGAGAAGUAAAAAAUGUGAAGUUUGUCCAAUUUUACUUAAUAAAAUAGUCUAAGUCAUUUAAGGUUCAUUUAGAAUUUUCUUAAGAAAGUAAAAGGAAACACCAAAGGAGUUUUGACUCCAAAGUUCAUUUUAAAGAAAAAGAGCUAGAAUUAUGGAACUUGGUUUGCUUUGCGAAAAAAUAUUUUCUAAGUACUCGCGUUACCUAAUCAUACAUCUAAACGAAUGUCAUACACCGUGUGUGAGUGUCGGUGCUCGUGCCGGUGUACAUCAAUAGAGUCCAUAGUCCCUUUUACAUUGUCCUAGAUACAUUCUAUGGUCUUUGCAUGAAAUAUAAAAGAUAACACCUACCUAAAUAUUACAAUUCCAAAUAAAAGUAAAAAAAAUGGAUGCAAAGAAACUAAACUAUGUAAAAGAAUGGAAAUGGAAUGCUAAAUGAUAUGUAUGAAGUACCAAAGUAAACUUGUUAGUAAAAAAAAACAUAACAAGUACUAAGAAAUAAAAGCAUGCAAGAUGGCACAAAAAGUUAUCAAAAUGACAUUAAACCCUAAAAACUUAGGUAUGAAACCUAAAGCAUUCUUGGCCUCUAAUUCUCAUGCUUUAACAAAUUUUGAAAGAGUUUUCUUUAUCUCAAGUUAUAGCAUGGAAUUAUUGGAAACAUGCAAACAUGGUUUCAUGCCAUAUUUUCUAGAAUAAACUUGGCAUUUUAUAUCUUUCAAAAUAUGCAUAUAUUGUUCAUAAAAUUAAGAACUUAUGAACCAAAUCAAAACAGCAAAUCAACAUGAAAUUAUAGGCACAAAUCUCUCAUAUUAACACAUCAAGUAGCUUUUAUUACAUAUUCUCACAUUAAGGACAAAUGUGUGAAGAAGAAUUCAUAACAAAUAAUUCAAAGAGAAUUAAAAUGCUAUGAAUUAAUUAUACCAAAAUUUCAUAGAUCCUUAAUGUGCAAAAAUGUCAUAAAAACACUAAGAAAAUAUCAAGAAACAUGUAUGAAUUUUUCUAGGAAUUUUAUCACAAUUUUAAUCAAGACAUAGGUGCAGGUAGCAAAAAAAUAGGGGUGUGAACAGCAAGAAAAAAAGCAAGAAAUGUGCAGAAAAUUAAGCCCAAACCCAAAGCCCAACACCAAAACUCAGAUUGCACAGGAACCACACGAUUGAUCCAGGGUCCUGAAACCCUAGAUCAAACGGCCAGGAACCAAGGGGGGGUUGGACCGGUCCUGAACCGGUCCGGUUCACUGGCUUUAUAAGGGAGGGAAACCGGUUUUUUUUAUAAUUCUUCUUCUCCUUCUCUCUCUUCUCUCAUUCUAGUGAGAGAAGCUCUCACUUCUCUCUUCCUCACCGCGCCGGAUUCUGGAAAAACAGGAGAUGAUCUUCAUCUUCUCCGGCGGAGUUUGUUCCUCCGGCGUGGUGGCCGGCCACCCAAGGGUGGCGGCGCCGCCGCCGGAGUUGAGCAAACUCCUCCGAUUUUGAAAAUUUUUACAUUUUUAGAUAUCCUUUUUCGUGCUAUUCAUGAAUCCAAACUUAGUUUUUUGAGAAAAAGUCCCAAUCGGAGUAGAUCUAGCUUCAAAGAUUCGGAAAUUUGAAUUUUAAAGAGGAAGAAAGAGGAAGAGGAAUUGUCACCUAUUUGUGGUGUGUUGUAGAGCAAGGGAGAUAGCUUUGCUUUCUUCCGAAUCCGGAAUAUUCCUUCCUUCCUUCUCUUCUCUUUCACGUGUCUCUUUGACCGAUUUUGUGCUUGUUGUUUGGUGAUGUUCUUGGCGCGGAUUUGUGGAUUUUUGUGAUUCUUGGUACGGAUUUGGUUCGGAUUCGGUUUUGUGGCUUUUUGGUACGGAUUUGUUGCUUUUUGGUACGAAUUUGUUGCUGGAUUUUGGUACGAAUUUGUUGCUGGAUUUUGGUACGAAUUUGUUGCUUUGUUGAUUUUUCUUCUUCCCCUCUCUCUGUGAUCGUGCUUGAAUUCGCCGCUUCCGGUGGCGGAUUCGCACUUGAAUUGUGGAGCAGAGGCGAUUCGAUGAUGAAGAUUCGCAAAGAAUCUCUGAGAAUCACCCAAAAAAAGGAUGAAUUUGAUGAAUCUGUGAUGAUUUUCGGUUAGGGUUUAUGUGUGUGUUCUUGAUGAUUUUCUGUUUUGAUUUGUAACUGAAUAGAGAGAGAAGAAAAAAUCUGUUUGUGAUGUGUCACUGUGUGAAUGGAAUCCUCCUAAAAAAUCUGACACUGUUCCCCUUUUAUAUGCUGCCAUGUGUACCUGAACCAAUAAAAAAGUGACAUCUGGACUGGACUAAAAUUUGUGCGAAAAUUUGGACCAAAAUGCCCUUUGGGGCGUUUCUGCAGAAAAAAAUGAUAAUAAAAGGACUGAAAUGCAAUUCUUAGAAACUUUUGGACUGAAAUGUAAUUUUGGGACCUCAAUUGAGGGACCAAAAUGCAAUAAAAAAUAAAAUUGAAUAAAAAACGCAAUUUGAUCGAACGUAAAGCGAAACAAAAAUAAAAUUGACAAAACGGACUUAAAACGAACCAAUGGCCUAAAUGAGGUACUUCAAAGUAACCUCCCUAUGUCAAAAUUUCGUGUGAAAUGACCAAAAUGCCCCUAGGGCUAAAAAUGACCUAAACUGACUCAAACAGACUUGACACUGACUCGGACGCAAGUUUGAAAUGAAUUUAAACAGGGUUUACUGAUGAAAUGUUAAAAAUGAAUUUGAAAAGACUCAGAGACAGUCACAAGGAUGAAAAUGGGUCCCACUGCAGGAAAUGACCAAAAUACCCUUCUGCAUGACUUUUUGCAAAUUUUGAAAUAAACUGUAGAAAAAGCAAUGUAAUGAUUCAGAGACACCUUUGAAUGACUUUCAAGACAAGUAAAGACAUUUUGAAAGGUUUUAUGCAAAAAAACAUAGGUAAAAUUGUGAUUGAAAAAAAACUGCGAGACAGAGACAAUUUGAACUGUGCAGUUGACAUUUGAUAAUUGACAAAGUUUGAAAUGAAAUUGGGCCCAGUAUUUUUAGGUCCAAAAACAGGGUAUAACACUAAUUGUUCAUAACAUGUGCCAAAAUUUAUGAAGAAAAACAUGGCAAGAAAUUCACAAAAUUAGGCCAAAAAGAACCAAUUAAUCAAGAAAAUAACACCUACAUUUUUAUCAUCUUUAAACAGGUAGCAAUAUCACACAAAAUGUCAAAAGAUACAACAAAAAACAUAUAGAAUUUUUAGGAAAUUUUUAGAACAAAUAGAGGCGUAUAUAGCAGGAAAAUAAGGUGCAAAUAGCAAAGAAAAGGCAAAAAAACAAAAGAAACUGUAAGAUAAAGCCCAAGCCCGAAACCUAAAGGCCUGGAAGCACAGGGAUGCCAUGCUUAAUUUCUGAGUCAAUAACCGAGUGGAACAAAAGUGACUUAUAUGUAUAUGCAUCAUACAAGUAAUAAAGCAUAUCCAGGAAAUUGGGAGAGUGAAAGAGGAAUAUCAUAAGCUUAACUUCGAAGUUAAUGUCAAGGUGUAACAAAAUUGGUUUCUCUAUGAUUAGCAUUUUUACUUAGAGAAAAAAAGACAGGGGAUGUCAACCAUUCAUGAGGAAAGUAAUGGUAGACAUUACGCAAAACCAAAUUUUAUCACAUUUUACAAAGUAAAAUAAUAGGGAUUGUUAUGCCAAAUUUUUGCGUGGAAAUAAUAUUCACAGCAUGCCAUGUACUCCCUUUCAUUGAUGACCGUGUUCUUUUUAGUUGAUUUUUGUUUAAAAGUGACUUGAACAAAGUGUGGCUGGCCAUUUAUAAAUGGAUUAUUGCUAGUCAUUGUGUUUAAAUAGAUGACUAGCAGGAGUUGGCUACAGAAGUUGCAGCCACAUUUAAAUUUAUUAGAAGGCAACUAAGAAACAAGAAGAUUAGAGAUAUUGGGAGACCUCAAGAUUUUAGACUACAUGCAAAAUAAGUACCUGUUUCCAAUGUCAUGCAUCAAAAGGUUUCUCUAAGCAUUGCAUUGAAAAUUAUCAAAUCAAGAAGCUUAAAGAACCAAGAGAAAGAGUUAUAUGGUCCAUCCUUAUAGAUAAAAAAAUGUAGAUAUUUAGAGUUUUGUUAAUAUGGAAAAAAGGCCAAAUUUAGAAAUGUUAUUUAUUUUGGUAUAUCCUUGGUCUCUCUUUCCUCUUUAUGCUAUCAAUUAGUUCAUGUAAUUUUUUUGGUUCAAUUCAUUGAUGUGAUCUAAAUAGCUCAAUAUAGCUUUUUAUAAAAUGUCCACUCACGAAGCAUAGCUUACAAUAAAAUGUUCAAGUAGUAUACACAAAGAAACAAAUAAAAAUAUAUACACGAGUUAGCGCAGUAGAAAAAGCGUGCCCGUCUGGACGCUAGUAAUAAUGAAAAAUAAUAAUAAAUGAUGCAUUGGUAUUCUAAAGUGACAAUUAUUUUGAGAAAAAGAAAAAUGAGUAAAAAGAAAAUUAUUGUGAGACGGAUGGAGUAUUUAGAAAUUUAAACCUCAAAAUUCGAACAGCUUAAUAGCUAAUGCUACAAAAACUCGAAUAAAUACUCCCUCCGUCUCACAAUAUUAGUUCGCUUUUGUGCACGAUUAUUAAAGAAAUGAUUAAUUGUGUUGAUUUUAGUUGUAAAAUUAAUUGCAUUUACUAAAACACCCUUACUAAAACACCCUUAUUAAUUGUGAAAUUCAAUAAAUAAGGGUAUAAUAGUGGAAAAAAAACUAAUAAAUGUUACAUUGGUAUUGUAAAGUGACAAUUAUUCUGAGGAAAAAGAAAAAUUGUCAAAGAGAUAAUAAUUGUGAGACGGAUGGAGUAUAUGUUAACCUAGUGAGUUAACUAGAGCAAUAAAAGAGCUUAAUAUUAUCUGUCACUUUUUUCUCAAAUUCUCAUUCAAUUAUUAGUAGGACCCUGCGCUUUAUUUGGCUUUGCACUUUUACCAGCCAGUUCCUAUCUUCUGGAAACCAACGUGAAUGCCUUGAAAAUCAAAAGUAUUUUCUGAUAUUUUAAUCUCAUCUACCAAUUUGACAUUUUUCCAGCUGUCAUUCAUAGUCAAAAUUGGAAUCUAAUAAAUGUUGUAGUCUAUACAGAGUAACUUGAUACCUAUAUUUGGAGUUUGAUUUACCUUUUGUAGAUUCUUCAUUAAGUUUUAAUGAUAAAUAAUUAGUGUUAGGACCAAAAUUAAAACCGGAUAAAACUAAACAAUACAAAAAAUAUAAACCAUUAAAGAGGGGGAUACGGUUCUUUGCUCCCUAUUAAAUAUCGUUGAAACAAUAUUUAAUAAAAUCAGAGAAUCAAUAAUCAUUGAACAAGAAAAUUCAGGUUGAUAGCUAUGGCUACUCCUUUCUGCAAGACACAAGCAUUCAAAUAGAUAUGAUAAGUAACACAAUAUACAGUUACGCUCCAACAGAGAAGAUUGCUAUUGAUUACUCGACAAAAUGAUUGUGUAUCAUGCCAAAACUAAGCAUUAACCUCACCGUAAACCUCGUACGUCCUUAUCAUUUAUACAGCAUGCUUCAAUUGCAAUCACGUUAAACCUCAUUCGUAAAAGUUAAAAAUGUAUACAAGCAUUAAAUUAUCCAUACGUUUAUAGGUUAGACAGAAAGCAUGUGACGUAAGUCAAGAGAGAUAUAGCAUUUAAUACUUCAAUGCCCUCAUCACAUCCAGAAGUUGGAUCUAUACCCAUUUCGAGCUGAUUACCUCAUGGUGGAAGUUGAAACUUCCAGCCAGUAGAUCUCUAGUUAGUGAGUUGCGACAAUUUGUUAUAUUCAUUAAUCAUCUACUACACGUAAUUAACCAUAUAUUUUGUUGUGUCAAAAUAAUACAAGGAAGACAGACCCAAGCAAUUAACAUGCAUAUCUGUCAAAUAUGGAAAGGAAAAAAAAUUUAAUACUAAGAACCAGCAGUGACAUCAGACUCUUAACUCUGGAACAGGACAAAUCUGUAAUGAGUCAAAGAGUUGAAAGAGGUAUUACAGGAAAUAUGAAUGUGGACUCUUAUAAAUACGAGAAAGCCAAGAGAAAAAGGCAUGGAAUAUGUGUGAUGUCAACAUUCUUCUUCUAACCACUUCUCUCAUUUUACUAUCCUUAUUUUCUUGCAAUUUUAUUUCCUGCAAUUGUACUCAUUGUGUGUUCACAGUGAAACGUUAUCCUUUAUAUCAAUUUUAGUACCAAUACAUUGGUGCUAUGGCAUGGGCUGAAUCAGUAUGAGCUCAUUGGAAAAACAUAGAAGCCGAGUAUAAUCGAUUGGAAGAGUUGCAAAGGAUCUUUGAUUCAUCUUUCCAGUAUGUUAAUCAUAUCAUUGAAUUUUAAUGCUGAACCACUGCUAUUGAAACCUCCAUAUCCAUUUGUUUUUACUCUGACUCCACCACCACCUCAGCCGAAACCUCCUGAUCGAAGCUUUGCGCAGAUUCCCGUGGAGUUUCAAGUGAUACGGAACUUCACCAUACAUCCACUGCCUCCAGAGCCUCUAGACACCGAUCACACAGCAGUGAAUACCAUAGUUUUGCCUUCUUGUGUGGAAAUAGCAGUUUUCCCACCAUCUGUUUGUGUGAAUGAUUGUGUCAUCAUCCAGCUAUUGUUGUUCAUGUUGUUUCGGUGUUUACCAUUGGUUCGACAUCUCAGCGAAAAGGACCAUGAACAGGUAAUCCUUGUUGUUUAUCUUAGUGUUGGUUCGUAUGCUCCUAUUUCUCUAGACUAUGGCUAUACAAUGAAUGUCUUUGAGAAGAGUGAGGUUUAUGGUUAUGGUGUAGUGUUGUUGAUUGUCUUGACUUGUAAGUAUAUUGAUGAGAAAUGGAAACAAGAACCACAUUUCCACAUGGUGACAUAUGAGAAUAGAUAAUUCAGGAACUUAGUUUUUGACAAGGUUCAAAUUCAUCAACAGCCACCCAAAACAUUUAUGAGUUUGGUAGGAUUAUCUUGCCACAUAACCAGGAUGAUACAAUACUUUCAAGAGAUGUUGAAUCCCAAUAAAAAGAAUGGCACUCCUGUUGUUUUGAUUUGGUUUGAAAAUCUCCAGCAACGACAUCAAUUGUCGCUUGAACCAUACCAUGCUCACUUUUGGAGUUGCAUGAAUGCUAUCUCUCAUAAUGAUGUUAUGGCUAUUGUUCAAUUAUUUUCCUUUGUUGUCAAAUUGGUUGUUUCUAUUCCUGAAGAUGUAUCUCAAGCUAUGGGAUUGAGCCUUGCAUUUUUCAGGACAAAAAUUAAGCAUGAUAAGGCUCAUUAUUCAAUUAUUUUCCUUUCUUCUCAUUAUUCAAUGUAAAACGAUACAAAACAACCUUCAGUAUGUGAAAGAGGCUGCCAUUGUGUUUGUUUUGUUUCUACAACCAAUCCAAAUCAAGGACAAGAGUUAUCAUAUAAUAACUACUUGGAUGUUAUUACUACUUUCAACUUUGUGCGUGCAUUUCAAAUUCCAUGUGGGGUAGCUUCAAGUGAUGUUGUUUUGAAAUCUUGUAGAAUGAACACUACAGCUUGUAGCUUCUCAAGAUUAGAGUAUAGCAACUUAGGGACUUCGCAAUUGGGUUGGAAAACGAAAUUUGAUGGGGAAUGGUGCAUAGAAGAUCUUUUGGUUUUGAGAAUUGACAUGGUUCAAAGAGUCAUACCAAAGAUGAAGUGUUAUGGGCAUUGUCCACAAGGUAUUGUAGUUUCUCUUUUGCAUUGGUCCGGGCUGAAAUUGGCGAGGAAACUCAACUUGUGGAAACCAUCUAGCCUGACUGCAGACGUAAAAAGAAGAGUAGUGAUGGAAAUGACCACUUUUAUGUUCAUAGAAACAUGUAUGCUUCUCUUAUUUAGUAAGGCUCCUAACAUCAAAUAUCAUAUUAAUGUUAAUCCUACCUCAUUGCUUGUCUAUGUUGGUAGUGAUAUACAAGAUCUUCUAGCAGUUUUGGAGGAAUUUUCUUGGGUGUUUUAUCCUAAUAAAGUUACUCUUGCUAGGAUGCGUCUUGAAGCUAAUAUGAAUUCUGCAUUGUAUUUGAGCAGAUACAAUGUCAAGGUUUUCCUUCUCAAGUGCCAUACGAUGGCAGGGAGAGUGAUAUCAAUAAAUGGAGUGUCCUUCAAAGACUGAGAAAUAUUAUAUACAAGACGAAGUUCUUGCUGAACAAUUGCAGGAUCAGGUGAAGAAGCAUCAUCGGCUUGAUGGGUGUAAAUUUAAAGAAGACUUGGGGCUAAAAGAACCAAGAGACAUGAACGAUCUUCUGGUUCAGGCACAUCCUUACAUCAAUUACGAAACAGCUGAAGCCGUCAAGAAGAAACAACCUUAGAAAGAGUACAAGCUACAGGACGACAGUCAAAAAACACGAGGGAACAAUUCUCGGUUCUCGGAAUACAGUCAGUUUAACGCUUCAUGAGAACAAGUUUUCAAGCAAUGGAAAACACAGAAUUCAAAGAUGCCGGCAUCAAAGCCCCAGCGCCGUUGAAGGAAAUACCACGCAGAGACAAGUCCAAGUACUGUAGGUUCCACAUAAGUAGCGGCCACAAUACAGAAAAAAAAUUCCAGCUGAAGGAUGCAAUUGAAGAUCAAAUCAAAAAAGGGAAGUUGAAACGCUACAUCAAAGAUGAUUACCACAAAGGUGGUAAGAAGAAAUACAAAGACUCCAAUCACAAAUCUUCUCUCAGUAGUGAGUCCACAAAGAGAAAGCGCUCUCCUUCCUAGGAAGACACUCCACCCACAAAGAAACGAUUGACGUCGCUGACAGAGGCAAUAAGGAAAGGAAAAUGAUGACCACCAUUAGAAGAACGGUAAAACGUGUCUUCCUGGACGCCAUCAUGGGGAAUCUCCGAGAACGGGUCCAAAGGUACAUGAAGAGGAAGGUAGCUCAAAUGCUCGCAAUCAAUGUCACCAUACCAUCUUCUGAAGCUGAGUAUAGGACAUUAGCACAAGCAACCUUUGAAGGACAAUGGUUGUUGUAUCUUCUGCAUGAUUUCUUAGUUCCUCAUUCUUCAUCUAUUAUCAUCAUAUAUUGUGAUAAUCAAUCAGCAAAGCAUAUGGCUGCUAACCCUAUUUUUCAAGAGAGGACAAAGCAUAUCAAAAUUUAUUGUCAUGUUGUCAGGGAUAGAUUCACACAGGAAUGCUUCAUCCACUACCAGUGUCUUCCAAGGAAAAAGUAGCAGAUAUAUUGACCAAGUCACUUCACCCUGGGUCAUUGAACAUUCUUCGGCACAAGCUUGGAAUGAUUGACAUCUAUUCCAGCUUGGGGGGAUGUUGAAGCUAGUAUAGAUACAGUCAGUUAGUUAAUUAACUUGCACUGACCUUAACUCCUUGCUACCAUUCUCUAACUAUGAUUAGCUAUAGAAGUAACUACAGUUAGGAGGAUAUAAGUGAUAUAUAUACUCUUGCUAGUUCCACUUUGAAGGUGAGAAAAACACAAGAAGGGGGGGUUGAAUUGUGUUUUCUUUUUCUCUCUUAAAAAAUCUUCUUCUGAUAAACCUUCAGAAGCAGUUUGUGAGUGCUUCUGAUGAACUGAUCAGAAUUGGAUAUGCAGCGGAAAAGAACAGAGCAGAGAAAAGAAAGACAAAGACACAAGUAGUUAUCCUGGUUCCUUCCACAACACGGAAGUAGUCCAGUCCCCCUUGUACUUCCAAGGAGAUUUCACUAUAAUCACAAAGAUUACAACUGCUCAAUACUAUCUAAGUGUGAGACUUCACAAAGAUGCUCAAGCACACACGCAAGAGUCUUCCAAUGCUCAAGCACUAAGCAAGAGACUUCUAAUGCUCAAGCACGCAGGCAAGAGACUUCUGAUCAAACAAAAAUACAGAGAAUUGAGUUUGACUUGAACACUUGAUAUACAAUCAGUGGUGUUCUCAAUACAAUACAGUAAAGACUCUAGACUUUGAAUUUCUAAGAUGUAUCAAAUCAGUGCAGAAAUUCAGUGUGCUUUGUAGAAUCAAUUUGACAGAGUUUUGGCGCUUUUGAACUUGUAUAUCUCUAUCUUCUAUCUUCAAGUCUUCACUCCUUUAUAUAGAGGCGUGAAAGAGACGUUGAGAUAAUCAGCACGUCUAAAGAGUCGUUUGAAAUCCUUUGAUCAUCCACCAGUAAUCCUUUGCCUGAUUUGGGUGUAGUCCUUUGAAGAAUAAGCUUCAAAUUCAUUCCCAUCUUGAAGGCACAAAUUCUGCAGGCAUGGCUGUUGUCUUGUCUUGUAGUGUAGACAAAAAAACAGAGUAGUGGAGGUAGUGGUUGUACACUUGUACUUUGUCAACUCUACUAACGAGAGACAAGUGCUCAGUGCUAUCCAUAUAUCUGUUGAUACCUCCCUUUCAAUUCUUCGUUCUUCUUAGAUAAGAUUGAAUUGAGAAUCAGCUACUUUGGAUCUUCAGUUUGAUUAAAGGAUCAAAUAUAGCUUCUGGUGAAGAUAUUGCUUCUGAUGACCUUCUGCUUCUGAUGACGUCAUCUCUUCAGAAGCAGUUUUCUUCAGAUGCUUGGAAUUCUUUUGCUUUUCAUUGUUCUUCCAAGACCUAUUGAAAUUACUUGACUAGCUUUUGAUCCUGUACACUUGAACAAUCAUUAGUAUAAACCAAUUGACAAUUUUUAAUACCUUGUUAUCAUCAAAACUCAAUAAGGUUCAUUGUGAAACACAUUUUGUUCCAACAAUCUCCCCCUUUUUGAUGAUGACAAACAAUAGUAUUUAAAAUGUUCAAUUGUUGUUGAUCUAAUUAAUAAGUUGACCACUGGGAUUGAGGUUUGUAAGCUCCCCCUGAGUCUAAUAGAUCUUUAAGGUGAGGUUUGUAAGCUCCCCUUGAGUUCUAAUCUUAUUAAUUAAAUUUCAAUAAAAUACUUAUUAAAAAUAAAUAAUAUCAGAAGUAUUUAAAAAGUUUUGAAAUGGUUAUAAUGGGGCUCAGUGCAUUAAAAUACUAUACAUUUACUCCCUCUUUUGUCAUCAACAAAAAGAAUAAAAACAAAAGAAAGAGUAGCAGAGCAUAUAAACAUAUAAGCCUUAAAAUACAAUGUAUCAGAGCAGACAUCAUUAAACACAGCAAAUAUUAUCAGAGUUAAAGCUGUAAAACAUAUAAUUCAGAAAAACAAAGAUAAUAUUUAUAAGUUAAGAUACAAAGGCAAAACUACUAACAACUUAGAACAAAAAUUAAAACAAGCAAAGAGUGUUGGGUGUGCAACUAAGGUUGGGCUUGCUUAUACAUCUGUUCCAAAAGGUACUUAAUUUGAUCAUCCUUCUUCUGAAGUAGCUCAUCCUUUUCUCUCAUUCUUCUUUUAUACCCAGCAUGAAUUCUUGCAGCCCUUGUGAUAUACUCUUCUUCUAGAUAGAAAGGAGUGAUGUCCAGCAGAGGCACAUAAUUCAGCUCUUUCACCUUAGCUGCUUCAUGCAUAUCAUUCAACAUCUUCUUCAGCAUGGCAGAGUGAGAUGAGACACACUUAGUUCUAAGCUGAUUCAUCAGUUCAUCAAAGCUCUUCUGCAGAUCCAUCCACUGAUCAUGAUAGUGAAUAGGAGGUACAUGAACUGUUCUGCGAAGAAUCAGUGUCUGAAUCUCAUCACUAAGCCUGAUUAGCUGUUCCUCUAUAUACUCAGACUCUAGGAUAUUGUCAGGGAUGGGUGAGGGUCCAGUUUGAGUUGUAUUUGAUGUGGAGGGUUGGUCAGAGGUUAAGUCUAUAAUAGAAGGUGAUGCUGGUUGUUGUAUUUCUGUUGUUUGUUGGUCAGAGUCAUGAUGUUCAUGAACAGACUGUUCAGAAGCACCAAGAUCUUGGUCAGUAGCAACUUGUUCAGAAACAGUUUGUUCCAGAACAGUUUGCUCAGGGAUGGUUUGGGUUUCUGAUUGUUGGUUUUCCAAAACAGUCUUUUUAGGGACUGUCUUAGAGGCCUUUGUGGGUGUUGGUUGCAUUUCACCACAUAGAUGUUUUUCUAGGUUGUGAAGGGUUGAGGAUUCUUGUUGUUGGGGGGUUUCUGAUGUAGUUGCUUCUGAAACUACUUCAGAGGCUCUUUGUGGAGUUUGGUCAUUUUGUUGAUUUGUUUGGGUAGGUUCUUGGUUGGGUUGAGGUUGUUGUAUGCUAACAACUUCUGGAAUGACUGGAUACAAAGGAUGAGAAGCAGGCAAAUUGAAUUUCUCACAGAGUUUAAUUAUGUUCUUAGAAAAUUCAAUUUGUGUUUGCUCAUAGUCAAAAGUUCCAAACUCUGUUAGUUUUGUGGGUUUGAUGUUAAGGAGAUUGGUUCAUCUGAUUCUGUGGAUGAUGAUGAGGGUGAAGAGGGUGGAGUAGGUAGGGUGUGAAUCUGAGUAUUAGAUGGAGCUUGAGAUGAAAUACCUGAAGAAUGAGCUUCUGAAGGAGGUGCUUCUGGAGCUUUUGUAGAAGGAUCUGAUGAUGAUGCUCCUGAAGCUUGCUUAUUCUUCAAGGCUUGUGAAAGCAGAGUUGCUCCACGCUGAAUAGUUUCCAUCUCAGAAUCUAUAGCAGCAAUUUCAGGAUCAGGCUCAUACCCUGCAGCCUUGAGUUUAUCUUCCCUUUCCUUUUCAUACAAUUCCUUCAUCCUCUUCUUCUCUUGAAUUUUAGUUCUUGCAUACUCAUUUUCUUCGCUCAGUUGAGUCUCAGACGCUUCAAAUCUGGGCAAGACUUCAAGCUCAGUGUUGGUAGUCCUCUUUACUUUCUUAGGACUUGAGUCUUCAUCCCAGUUCUCUUCAAGCUCUUCCAGCAUCUGCGCCUUGCGUCCUUCAGCUGUCUUCAGAUUUCUUGUUAUAUAAGAUCUCUUCCUUUUGAUGGUCUGAAGAGUAGCUUCUCUUUUCUUCUUAGGACUUAGAGGUUUUUCAGAAGCAGCUUGUUCAGAAGCAACUUGUUCAGAAGCAAGCUGUUCUGCUGUUUCUUAAGCACUCCUUGUCCUUUUUCUGAUAAGAGGGACUUCAUCCAAGUCCUCCACUUCCUCUUGAAUAGUGGACAUUGCAGAUUUUUCCUUCUUAACUUUCUGAUGCUUCUGAGCACCCUUCUCAGUAGCAUCAUCAGCAAGAUAUUCUUCCUUGGUGAUCUGCUUCUUCUUGGACUUUCUGCCUUUAGCCACAGGCAGAGCACCACCAUACAUCUCCUCAGGGACAUCCUUCAGGUCAAUCUUCUUGUUGUAGGUUUUGUAGAAGUCCAUGAUGUAAGCCCUUUGUACAUCCAGGGGAUCUUUCUUGCAGAUAGGGAUGAGAUGAGUGACCAGAUCAGAUAUGGCAUCAGAUUCAUGCAUAUCAGUAUCUAGUUUCUUGAAUGUUGGAAUCAGUCUCAUCUUUAGAAGAGUUGCUCCAUUAAUUAUUUUCCCAGUGACUGCUCCCAGCUUCUGAUUAUCAUAAAUGCCAACGUCCUUCAAGGCACUUAGGAUUCCUCCUUCUUGAAAAAUUACAGAGAGCAGCCUUCCAUAAGGAACAUACUUCCUGUUUUCCAUCUGACUCUUCUUUAGUUCCUUGAUCAUGUACUUGAACAUGUACUUAGGAACAUUCAUCGUGGUCUCUUGAGUGAUGGUGUGAUGCAGGAAAACUUUGUGACCAAGUGAAGGUUGAUCACUUCCUCCACCUUUGGGAAAGAUGUUCUCAUUUUGGAUCUUCAGCAGCAACUUCUUUUGCAUGCUCAAAGUGCUGUAAGGUUUAGCAUCCUUUGAUCCAUAAAUGGUGUUAUUUACAAUUUCCUUCCAGGAGCUGGUUUUGGGAUUAGGAAUCUCUUCUCCAAAGUACUUGCCAGAGGUAUCCCUUCUCAUGGCUUGAGCAAUAAUCUGCUCAUUUAUGGUUACGGGAAUACCCAUGACAUUUGAUCUAAUCUCUGUACCAGUGAAGGCGAGUAGACCCAUUUCUUCUCUGGUUUUUCCCUCCAGAGUAGGAUCAACCAGAAUCAUCUGAGCUUCUUCCUGUCUAGCAGCAUCAAUGUCAAAUAUUGAAGCCCUUACCCAGAAUUGUCUGACCAGAACUUCAUACGUUGGACCAUUGAGAAGACCAAAAUACCCCAUGAGUUGCUGUUUCUCGUAGAACUUUACCAAGUCGCAUCCAUGGCGAGUUAAAGAGGCGAAAUCCACUGGAUUUUCUGCUUGAAUAACUAACUCUCAUUCUUCAAUAGACAUGGUUCUUCCUUUAAUCUCAUAAGCCGGAGUAUCUAUUUCCAUGUUUGAAGAUGAACCACGAGCAAAACUUGAACUUUCCAUUGAUUCGAAGGAGUUUUAGGGUUCUAAGGUGUUUUGAGAGGGAGAGUGAAUGCGCUUACUUCGCAGAGGGUUGAGAAGAAAAUAGAAAGUGUUUGUUGUGAAGUGAGUAGUGUGUGUUUGUUUUAAGUGUUUUUUAUUAAAACGUUUGCAAUUCAGAAGAGACAAACAAACAUAACAUUAAUGACAAAUUGGGGGCGCGUGAUAGUACAUUUAAAAGCAAGUAAAACAUCAUUGCCCUUUUUGUUAUACUCCAAUACAAAUAGACCACGUCAGAGACUUAUCAGAAAACUAACCUUUGGGUAAUGGGACAGCUGUUACAAAAAGUAACUGCCAACGUUCCCACUAGCCUUGCUAUUCAGAAGCAAAUAAUACCGUUUCUGAAGUCUUAGUGCUGACGUCAUCUUCAGAAGCACAUUUUCCUCAGAACCUCAGUUAAGAGCUUCUGAUGGACCAGAUGCUUCUGAAUAGACUUCAGAACCAAAAACUUCUUAUUCAGAGGCAAGCAAUUUUUCAAUCAGACACAAAGUGCAUGUUCAAAUUUUUCUUAAUAAAAUCAAAUCUUUCAACCGAUAAAGGUUUUGUAAAUAUAUCAGCCCAUUGAUGUUCAGUAUCAAUGAAUUGUAUAUCUAAAAUCCCUUUUUGAACAUAGUCUCUGAUAAAAUGGUGUUUGAUCUCAAUAUGCUUGGCUCUUGAAUGUAGAAUUGGAUUCUUUGACAGACAAAUAGCAGCAGUAUUAUCACAAAAAAUGGGAAUACUGUUAGCAUUAAUCUGAUAGUCUUCCAACUGAUGUUUCAUCCAAAGUAGUUGUGUACAACAACUUGCAGCUGAAAUGUAUUCUGCUUCUGCUGUAGACAUAGCAAUAGUUGCUUGUCUUUUGCUUGCCUAGGAUAUCAGAUUCUCUCCCAGGAAUUGACAAUUUCCACUGGUUGAUUUUCUUUCAAUCCUGUCACCAGCAUAAUCAGCAUCACAGAAUCCAAUCAACUUAUAAUCUAGGGAUUUCCUAUACAGGAGUCCAAGAUUAGUUGUUCCUUUCAGAUACCUGAAGAUUCUCUUAACUGCAGUUUAAUGAGAUUCUCUAGGAUCUGAUUGAAAUCUUGCACACAAGCAUACACUGAAUAAAAUAUCAGGUCUAGAUGCAGUGAGGUAUAACAGAGAACCAAUCAUACCUCUGUAUAGCUUCUGGUCUACUAUUGUUCCAGUAUCUUCUUUGCUUAAGGUGCAGGUUGGAUGCAUUGGAGUGUUCAUCACUUUACAAUCUUCUAGCUUAAACUUCUUCAGAAGCUCCUUUGUAUAUUUUGUUUGAUGAACAUAUACUCCUUCUUUACUUUGGUUGAUUUGAAUUCCAAGAAAGAACUUCAAUUCUCCCACAUACUCAUUUCAAAUUCAUCCUGCAUUAACUUAGAAAAUUCUUUGCAAAGAGAUGCAUUAGUAGAACCAAAUAUUAUAUCAUCAACAUAUAUUUGCACAAUCAAAAUGUCUUUCUUAAGAGUCCUUCUGAAGAGUGUUGUGUCAACUUGUCCUCUUUCAAAAUCAUUUUUAAUUAAGAAAUUACUUAGUCUAUCAUACCAAGCUCUGGGAGCUUGUUUCAAGCCAUAUAGUGAUUUCUUAAGUUUAUAAACAUGGUCAGGAUGCUUAAGAUCCUCAAACCCAGGAGGUUGUUUGACAUAAACUUCUUCUUCAAUGACACCAUUAAUAAAACCACUUUUGACAUCCAUUUGAUACAAUAUUAUGCCAUGAUUAAUUGCAUAGGAUAGAAGUAACCUGAUUGCUUCCAAUCUUGCAACUGGAGCAAAUGUUUCAGUGUAAUCAAUGCCUUCUUGUUGACUGUAACCUUGAGCAACAAGUCUGGCUUUGUUUCUGGUUACCUCUCCUUGUUCAUUCAACUUGUUUCUGAAUACCCAUUUUGUUCCAAUAAUGUUCUUCUGAAAAGGUUUGGGUACCAGAUCCCACACAUCAUUCCUCUGAAACUGAUUUAGUUCUUCUUGCAUAGCUAGUAUCCAACCAUCAUCUGAGAGAGCUUCUUCAACAGUUUUAGGCUCAAUUAUUGAAAGCAAUCCUAUUAAUGACUCUUCUUGUCUGAAAUGUGAUCUUGUUCUUCUAGGACUAUCUUUGCUUCCAAUGAUUAGCUCCUUAAGUGUGAAGAUUUGUGUUUGAAUUUAGGUUGAAUAGCCUGCUGAGAGUUAUCUUGAAUAUCCUCAGAAGCAUUCUCAUUCUGUAUUUCUGGACUAGGUUCUGCUUCUGAAUUUGACUCAGCUUCUGGAGUGAUUUCAGCUUCUGGACUAGAUUCAACUUCUGAAUGCUUUUCAGAAUCAGAAAGUUGAUCAGAUUCUGAUGCAUCUUCAGAAUCAAUUGUACCUGCAUUACUUUCACUUUGCUCUGGAGUUUUACUUCCAGGCUCUCUAUCAUCAAAUUUAACAUGCAUAGAUUCUUCAACACAAUGUGUUUCUGAAUUAUACACUCUGUACGCCUUUGACCUUUCAGAGUAACCUAAAAAGAUUCCUCUUUGAGCCUUGGCAUCAAAUUUCUUCAGAUAGUCUUUAGUGUUUAGAAUGUAACAAGUACAUCCAAACUGAUGAAAGUAAGAGAUAUUGGGUCUUGUUCCUUUAAAGAGUUCAUAUGCAGUUUUCUCCAACAUAGGUCUGAUAUAGAUCCUAUUUUGAAUAUAACAUGAAGUAUUAAUUGCUUCUGCCCAGAAAUGUUUAGCUAAAUUGUUUUCAUGGAUCAUGGUUCUGGCCAUUUCUUGUAAGGUUCUGUUCUUUCUCUCUACAACCCCAUUUUGUUGUGGAGUUCUAGGAGAAGAAAAUUCAUGAAGAAUCCCAUGUUUUUCACAAAAAGAUUCAAAUGUCUCAUUUUCAAAUUCACCACCAUGAUCACUUCUGACUUUCAAAAUUUUCAAUUCUUUUUCAGAUUGUAUUUGAGUGCAGAAGCUGCUAAACACUUCACAAGCAUAAUCUUUACUUUUAAUGAAUUUUACCCAAGUCCAUCUGCUGUAAUCAUCAACAAUGACUAAUCCAUAUUUACUUCCAUAUAAGGAUGUAGUGUUAACUUGUCCAAAAAGAUCAAUAUGGAGUAAUUCCAAGGGUCUAGAGGUUGAUACAAUGUCUUUAGAUUUGAAAGAACUUUUCACAAUCUUCCCUUUCUGACAUGCACCACUGAAGGGAUUUUAAGAGGGGUUUUUCAAAAAUUUAAUCCUCUUUGCGGAAGAAAUCCCAUUGAAACGGAUCUUGAUUAAAUCAUUAAUCACAAAUCAAAUAGAAACUUAAACACUUUAAGAUUCAUGUGUUUACCUCUUGAAGAGCAGAACCUUUGUAGAAGAAAUAUUUCUGAUCACGAGCAAAGCAAAGCAGCGAUGCCUCUACUCAGUCCACACGAACAGAACUUCUCUGAUGACCGGUGCUAGCCAAUUCCAACGGAGAUUCAGAGAGAACAAGGUUUAGAGAGCGGCGGCUAGGGUUUCACAACUUUUGUGAAUUAGGUUAAGCACUCACCAAAGGUUAAUAAUGUUUCAACACAAGGGUUCUAUUUAUAGAAUCACUUGUGUGGACAACAAGACAACACUUAAAUACACCGUACUUUACGGUGGACCGCGUUUCUCUAUUUUUCGUAAAUUAAAUAAUAAAGUCAUAUUUAAUUUUUUAAUUAAUAAUAAGUCUCACUUAUUAUUUUAUAAAUAAGUCUCACUUAUUAUUUUAUAAAUAAGUCUUACUUAUUUAUUUCUCUCAUCUAUCUGUCCUUUGUGUGUGACCCUAUAGGUUCCCGUAACGUUGGCAAUAAUAUUAAAUCACAUAUUUAAUAUUAUAAACAGUGAGCGGUAUCUAGCAACACAUCACUGCUACCCAAGUGACGAGAAUGUCAUGUGAUCUGACGAAACCUUUCUGUGAUAAUGAUCAUGUGUAUAAUUACCCUUUUGCCCUCAUGUCUAUAUUGAACACAAGGCAUAGACCGUGUCAUCCUUGUCUAGUUCAAUAUUGGGCCCGUAGACAUUUCUCCUGUUAUGUAGGAGGGGCAAAUUCCAUCUAGGUCACUCAUGUCCCUCAGCAUGAUUCAUGGAGUACCCAUCAACCAACUUUAUAGUCAUCCUGUUACGGACAACGUUUGAAUGGUGACAAAGCACUCGACUCCAACAUCUAGGGUACAUAGUGGUUUCAGGUCGAAGGGUGGAAUACACCACUAUCACUAUGAGAAUAUCUUAUGACACUUUUCAUAACUUUUACUAUGUAGUAUUCUCAUGGCGGAUCAAUCCAAUAUAAAUAUUACUCCUAAUAUUUAUAUCUAUGUGAAGACUUGAUAACUCUUUAUCCAUGAUCUGUGAGAUGUGAUCAUCAGUCUACCUACAUAAUAGUCUCUAUGCUUUAAUGAUAUCCCACUUCUCAACAAAGCUUGACUAUGGAUACUUUGAGAAUAGUUUCCAUAUGUUUAAUGGGGUCUCACAAUUAAGUUAUACUUAAUGUUCCAUUAAACGGACUAACUAUUCUAGGGACUUUAUUAUUUUGAAACAAAACAAAAUCAAUAAAGAAAUGCCUUGUUAUUAUAUAUUCACAAUAUAUAUUUAUAUCAAUAUCAUGAAACAAAGCCAAACCCAAUCAAUAUAGAUUGGCUAUUAGGGCUUAUUCCAACAAUCUCCCACUAGCACUAAAAGCCAAUCAAAUAUUAACUCAAUAUCUAUUGGUCAAGUGUUAGCAUCAAGCACACUCUUGACAAGAUACUAUACUAGCAAAUAAGGAACUCUUUUCUAUGUUGGUAGGUUAUACUUCUUUCAAUUUCCACUUUCGAUCUUCUAUCGAAAAGAAAUUGAAGUGUCAAAGUAUACAUUUGGAUCAUUGGUGAGAUCAAGUUUUCAUUGCUCACAAGAUUUAAAGCAAUUUUACCUCAUACGAGAUCAAUGGAAUCCGCAACGCAAGAAACACAUGUUUUCACUCAGUUAUGAGCUAAACAAUCCAAAUCAUAUAUAUUUGACAUCUGUAAUAGAAACAACAACUAUUUGAAGCUUGUACUUUUAUAAAUUUCAUAGUUGAUAUCCUAGCAUAACAUUUAUUCCAAAUUACGAUCUGGAUAUAUUGUACACUGAUAUGAAAGUCAACAUCAUUGUAACUCAUUUACAAUGUUUCUUUCAUCUGUGUUCAAGAAACAAUCUAUUGUCCUUUAAGACAUCCAAGGAUAUUCUUGAAGGUAUUAUAGUGUCGAACACUAUAAUCAAUUUUGGUACAUAUUGAAAAUAAUUUUCUAACCAUGUCUUACAUGUGUAGAUAAAUUAUUUUGGUGACUAGUAUGUCAUCUACAUACUCCACCAAAAUAAUUUCAAUGCUCCCACUAAUCUCCUUAUGUGCACAAGAUUUCUUUAUUGAUCAAAGUUUUCAUAAAACUUUGUUAAUAAAAUAAACAAUUUAACUUCGAGAAGAUUUCUCUAAUAAAUAAAUUUUGUAAUACAUUUACCUUUCUAGUAUCCUUUGGAUUAACGAAACCCUACAUAUAUGUCAAAUACAUAUAUAAGGUCAUUCUAAUUAAAGAAUGCAAUCUCUUUGCCAUUGUUCUUGUAUGUGCUGUAGAUCAUAGAAGCAACUUUGAUUCUGUCUAUUCUAGCCAUAAUAAAAUCAUCCAAGGCAAUCUCAUGUUUAGUGCCUGAACCUUUAUCACAUUUUUCUUGUAGCUUCUGACAAAGAAUUUUGAGUCUCUCUUCAUAUGUUGUUGAUAUGAGGUUAAACCCUUUUAGUUCUUCUUCAGAAGCUUUCAGUUCCAAUAGAGUUGACUUUUGUUCUUUCAUUAAAUCAACAUAUUUUUCUUUUAAAUCUGUCAACUCAUUGGUUCUGUGCUCAAACAGUGAUAAAAGUUCUUUUAGAGAAUCCACAAGUUCUUGUCUAAGAAUUUUGGAGUAUACCUCAUUUUCAUCUUCUGAAUCUGAUUCAGCUUCUGAAACUGCUUCUGAUGAUACUGUUGCCACUAACCCCAUGGCUGUCUUUGCAUCAUCAUCUGCUUCUUCUUUAUCAGAACCAGAUUCACUGUCCAAAUCUUCCCAGGUUGCCAUCAAGCUCUUUUUGAUUUGCUUUCUAAAUUUACUGGAGCUGAAGCUUGAUUUCUUGGAUUUGCUUUUAGAUUUCUCCUUCUGAAGAUCAGGGCAAUCAACAAUAAAAUGACCAGGCUUUUUGCAGUUGAAGCACCCCUUCUGAUCUUCUUUCUUUGAGUUCUUGUAGCCACCUCUCUUGCUCAAAAAUUUCUUUUGCUUCCUUGCCAGAUACUCAAGUUUGUUGGACAACAUGGCCAUCUUUACAGAUUGAUCUUCAUCAGAAUCUCCAUCAGGUGAUUCUUCUUCAGAUUCACUAGCUUUGUAGGCUUUUGAGGAUUUUGAAGUCUUUCCUUUAGAUGGUAAAGCAAUGGAUUUACUCUUCUUAGAGGAUUCAUGCUCAUUUAGACUCAUUUCAUGCACUUUGAGUGAGCUAACAAGAUCUUCAACACUUAAAGUGUUUAGAUCCCUAGCUUCCUCAAUAGCAGUUACUUUGGGUCUCCAUCUUGAAGGUAAGCUUCUCAAAAUCUUACUGACAUGAUCAGAAGCAACAUAGCUUUUCUUCAGUAUUUGCAAUCCAGAAACCAAAGUUUGAAAUCUUGAGUACAUUUCUUCAAUACUCUCAUCAUCCUUCAUUCUGAAUAGUUCAUACUGAUGAACAAGCAUCAAAGCUUUAGCCUCUUUCAACUUCUUGCUGCCUUCAAAGUUGGCACAUAGUGACGCAAACAUAGCCUUUGCAGUAGAUUUUUCACCCAUCUUCAUAUAUUCGGUGCGAGGUAUAGAAGCCACAAUAAUCCCUCUGAUUUUGUGGUGCUUCUUGUAAAGAUUUUUCUGAGCAGGAGUAUGUAUUCUUUGAAGGUGAGAAAAACACAAGAAGGGGGGGGGGUUGAAUUGUGUUUUCUUUUUCUCUUAAAAAAUACUUCUUCUGAUAAAACUUCAGAAGCACUUUGAUUGCUCCUGAUGAAGUGAUCAGAGUCAGAUUGCAGCGGAAGAGAACAGAGCAGAGAAAAGAAAGACAAAGACACAAGCAGUUAUCCUGGUUCCUUCCACAACACGGAAGUAGUCCAGUCCCCCUUGCACUUCCAAGGAGAUUUUCACUAUAAUCAACAAGAUUACAACUGCUCAAUACUUUCUAAGUAUGAGACUUCACAAAGAUGCUCAAGCACACACGCAAGAGACUUCCAAUGCUCAAGCACUAAGCAAGAGACUUCUAAUGCUCAAGCACUAAGCAAGAGACUUCUAAUCAAACAAAAGUACAGACAAUUGAGUUUGAUUUGAACACUUGAUAUACAAUCAGUGAUGUUCUCAAUACAAUACAGUAAAGACUCUAGACUUUGAAUUUCUAAGAUUUAUCAAAUCAGUGCAGAAAUUCUGUGUGCUUUGUAGAAUCAAUUUGACAGAGUUUUGGCGCUUUUGAACUUGUAUAUCUCUAUCUACAAUCUUCAAGUCUUCACUCCUUUAUAUAGAGGUGUGAAAGAGAUGUUGAGAUUAUCAGCACGUCUAAAGAGUCGUUUGAAAUCCUUUAAUCAUCCACCAGUGAUCCUUUGCCUGAUAUGGGUGUAGUCCUUUGAAGAGUUAGCUUCAAAAUCAUUCCCAUCUUGAAGGCGCACAUUCUGCAGGCAAGGCUGUUGUUUUGUCUUGUAGCGAAGACAAAAACAGAGUAAUGGAGGUAGUGGUUGUACACUUGUACUUUGUCAACUCUAGUAAAGAGAGACAAGUGCUCAGUGCUAUCCAUAUAUCCGUUGGAACCUCCCUUUCAAUUCUUUGUUCUUCUUGGAUAAGACUGAAUUGAGAGCCAGCUACUUUGAAUCUUCAGUUUGAUUGAGGGAUCAAAUGCAGCUUCUGGUGAAGAUAUUUUCCUUCUGAUGAAAACCUUGCUUCUGAUGAUCCUCUGCUUCUGAUGACGUCAUCACUUCAGAAGCACUCUGAACUUCAGGAGCGAUUUUCUUCAGAUGCUUGGAAUUCUUUUUCUUUCCAUUGUUCUUCCAGGACCUGUUGAAAUUACUUGACUAGACUUUGGUCCUGUACACUUGAACAAUUAUUAGUAAUAACCAAUUGACAAUUUUUAAUACCUUGUUAUCAUCAAAACUCAAUAAGGUUCAUUGUGAAACCCAUUUUGUUCCAACAAUCUCCCCCUUUUUGAUGAUGACAAACACUAGUAUUUAAAAUGUUCAAUUGUUGUUGAUCUAAUUAAUAAGUUGACUUCUGGAUAGAGGUUUGUAAGCUCCCCCUGAGUCUAAUAGAUCUUUAAGGUGAGGUUUGUAAGCUCCCCCUGAGUUCUAUUCUUAUUAAUUAAAUUUCAAUAAAGUAUAUAUAAAAACAAUAGCAAAAGUAUUUAAGAAGGUGGUUAUAGUGGGGCUCAGUGUCUUAAAAAUACUAUACAUUUACUCCCCCUUUUGUCAUCAACAAAAAGAAUAAGAACAAAAGACAGAGUAGCAGAGCAUAUAACCAAAUAAAAACAGAAGAAGAAUCAGAGCAAGAAGUAUCAGAGCAUAUGACAUUAAAAUCAAUAAAUAUCAUUAGAGUUUAAAAGAAAAGAGCAUAAUAUUUCAGAAACAUUGAUAAUAUUUAUAAAGAAAGGUUAAGGUACAAGGAUAAAACUACACAGAACAAAAGUAAAAACAAGCUAGAGUUGGGUGUGCAACUAAGGUUGGGCUUGCUUCUUCAACUGUUCUAAGAGAAGUCUAAUCUGUUCAUCCUUCUUCUGAAGUAGCUCAUCCUUCUUCUGAAGUAGUUCUUCCUUCUCUCUUAACUUCCUCUUAUGCCCAGCAUGAAUUCUUGCAGCUCUUGUGAUGUAUUCUGCCUCUGGAUAGAAAGGAGUGAUGUCCAGUAGAGGCACAAAGUUCAGCUCUUUCUCCUUAGCUGCUUCAUGCAUAUCAUCCAAAAGCUUUUGAAGCAUUACAGAGUGGGAUGAUACACACUUGGUUCUUAGCUGACUUAGUAGAUCAUUGAAGCUCUUUUGUAGAUCCAUCCACUGAUCAUAAUAGUGAAUAGGAGGUACAGGAACUGUUCUGCGAAGAAUCAGUGCCUGAAUCUCAUCACUAAGACUAAUCAGUUGUUCCUCUAUAUACUCAGACUCCAGGAUAUGGUCAGGAAUGGGUGAUGGUUGCAUUGGAGUUGUAUUUGAUGAGGAAGGUUGGUCAGAGGUUAAGUCUAUGAAAGUGGGUGAAUCUGGUUGUUGUUGUGGUUCUGUUGUUUGGUCAGAAGAUAUUUGUUGGUCAGGAGCAACUUGUUGGUCAGGAGCAACUUGUUCAGGAACAACUUGUUCAGAAACAGUUUGCUCAGGAAUGGUUUGGGUUUCUGUUUGGGUUUCCAAAACAGUCUUUUCAGGGACUGUCUUAGAGGCCUUUUUGGGUGUUGGUUGCAUUUCACCACCUAGAUGUUUUUCUAAGUUGUGAAUGGUUGAGGAUUCUUGGUGUUGGGGGGUUUCUGAAGUAGUUGCUUCUGAAGCUACUUCAGAGGCUUUUUGUGGAGUUUGGUUAUUUGGAGAGUUUGUUUGGUUAGGUUCUUGGUUAGGUUCAGGAUGUUGUAUACUGACAGGUUCUGGAAUAUCUGGAUAAAGAGGAUGAGAGGUAGGCAAAUUGAAUUUCUCACAUAGUUUAAUCCUAUUUUUGGAAAAUUCUAUUUGAGUUCUCUCAUAGUCAAAUGUUCCAUAUUCUGUCAGUUUGGUAGGUUUGGUUUUUAGNNNNNNNNNNNNNNNNNNNNNNNNNNNNNNNNNNNNNNNNNNNNNNNNNNNNNNNNNNNNNNNNNNNNNNNNNNNNNNNNNNNNNNNNNNNNNNNNNNNNUACUGAAUACGAANUCUANGCUCUGGUACCAACGUUAUUACUAAUUAAUGAUGUUGUUAUGUUGUAUAUGAAUUAGGAUUAAUGAUGUUGUUAUGUUGUAUAUGAAUUAUGAUUAAGAUGUUGUUAUGUUGUAUAUGAACUAUGAUUAUGAUGUGAUGAUCUAUGUUGUUAUGAUUUGGUUAAUAUGUGUUAUAUGAUGAUGUUUAUAAUGUGAUGAAUAUGAAGUAAAUGAUAAUUAGAAGUUGGUUGAACUAUUAAGAAUUAUUACAUAAAGAAUUAUUAUUACUAAUCGAUGAAAUUAAUUAUGUUGUUAAAUAUAAUUAUUGAAUUAUAUGCUUGAUAUUAUUGUUUUGUGAAAUCUCACCCCUUCUACUUGGAAAUGUUGCUCUUCGUAUCAGUAACUUGCAGGUGAUCGAGUUUAAGUUGCUGUUAGAUUGCUGUUGUGAGUGGAUUAGCUCUCAUGUGUGUCUUUAGGUGCUCUGAUACGUAACGGGAUGAGAAUUUUAUUGUUGUCUUUCUAUUCCUUAUGUAUUGUUUUAAGAAGAAUUAUGACUAUGGUUUUAGAUUGGAUUAUAUGAGAAAUUUAUGAAGAGACCUUCGUGCCAAAGACUGUUUAGUUAUUGAAUAAAUUCCGCUGCGAAGUGUUAAAGAUUUUGUUAUUGAAUUUUAAAGGAUAAAUAGUUAUUUAUUCAGUUUAUGAUUUUAAGAAAAAGAAUGUGACAUUCCAUUUAUGUGAAUACUCUGAUUAUAUUUAUGCGAAAUUUUUAUGUUGGGAAAACGGAGUGUUACAUAAUGUAUAUUUAUACAUAUUAUGUUGAGGGCUUGAUGCCCUGUAAGUUAAGGGCUUGAUGCCCUGUGAGCCUAUUUACACUCAAUACGUUAGGUGUAACGCACACCUUUGUUUAAUCGUUUAUUUAAUCGAGUUUAGGCAAUUAUAUUAUAAUUAUAUAGUAUAUGCAUGAUUUUGAUAUGUUUUGAUGAUUUGUGGUGAUUUUAGUGAUUUGAUUGAUGACGUGAUAAGUUAUGAGUUUUGGAAGAUUUGAUAAGGAUAUGAGAUUUAUUUUAUUGUUAAAUAGAAUAAAGAUUUGAAAAUAAUAUAAAAUAUUUAGUUGAGGGCUGUUUUGAUAUUUUAGAUAGUUUUGGGGGAGAAAGUGAGAUAAGAUAAGUAAUUAAUAGGAGAUAUAAAAGAUUAGACCUAGUUUAGAAAAACAUAACGUACGUACGACCGUUUUUGGAGAAAAGGGAGAAAAAGCCAAGUCUAGAGAAACCAAGGGGCAGUGCUGCGAUUUUCUUCAAACAAGGUAAGGGUGAGACUAAUAAUUCAAUAACGUUGAUUGCUGUAAUUCUGAUGAUUAAUUGACAAAGUUAGGAUUGGUUUAGAAAAGUUUUGGAAUUAGGUCAAAACCCUAAAAAUUGAUGAUCAAACGGUAAAACUUGUUUAGAUUGAUGUAGAAACCGUCCUUUAACCUUAGAACAUGUUUAGGAUGGAUUAUGGAAUCAAAAUUAGGCUUUGAACCAUGUUGUUUGAUGGAUUUUCGAGUAAACCCUUAGUCUGCCCGAGCUUCUGUUCAUCGCUCGCCUUGGCGAGGGAUGAUCCUCGCCUCGCGAGUGAUGAACUUCAUCGCCACGCGAGCAAUUCCCUUCGCCUCGCGAGUUGUGUGACGCAGCUCGCCACUGCGAGCAACCUUACUCACCAUCGCGAGCUAAGGCAGAGUGUAUGUUAGAUUUUGUGUUUCGACCUGUUUAGUUGGACCUUGUAUGCCUUUGAGUGCCUGAACAUACCUAGUAUUGAUUAGGAAUGAAUGUAGGAUCAGAGGGAACCCAGAACAAGAUUAGUUUGGGAGUUGAGUGGUACUCGCCAUGGCGAGUAAGAACUCUCGCCUCGCGAGCACAAUCAGAAUGUAGUUGCUUGAGUGUUUGUGCGAUCUGUGUCGCACGUGUUGACCAAGAGUGAACCCCUAAUUGGUAUUGAGACCUAAUGAUGACGUUUAAUGCAGUCUGUAGACUUGUUUAAGUUAUGUUGAUAUUAAUUGAACAUGAACUAAUGUAUUGUAUAUUCAUGCAAGAUAUGAAGGUUUGAUAAUGAUGCAAUUUGUGUGCUAUUGAUAUAAUGAUAUCAUCUUGUUAUGUGACUUGUUUAUGCUGCUUCCGUUAUUUAACUAAGUGCAUAAGUAUAUGAUGAAGUUUAGCUCCAAAUUAUUGGAUGCAUGUUGAUAUGCUGAUUACGAUGUUUUGUUCAUAAGUGUCCAUGCAUAGCAUCUCAUUGAGCUUAGUCCUCACCACGAUUAUUAGGAGUUUUGUCCUCCGCACAUUUUAUAGGAGCUUUGUCCUCCGCACGAUUAAAGUAUAUUAAUACUUAUGAUGACGAUUGGUACCACAUGCAUAUAAGGAGUCUAAGAGCAUUGUCACAUUGUCAUGAUUAAGAUGCCUUGUUGAUGAUGAUUGAAUACGUGAUUACGUGAUAAAUGUUUAUCAAUUAUGUUAUGUUGUUCAUGAUAAUUGGAUAUAUGAUUACGGUAUAACUGUUUAGUAAAUAUGCAAUGUUGUUAAAGAAAUGAUUAUGAUGUUAAUUUAUGAUUCGCAAUUACAUUGAUUAAUGUUAUUUUGUUAUGAAAUCUCACCCCUUCUGCUUGAAAAUGUUGCCCUUCGUAUGGGUAACUUGCAGGUGAUCGUGCUUAGUGUGCAGUUGCCGUCGUGAGUGGCCUUGUCUUCACUGUGUCGUCUAGGUCGCUCUGAUACGUAACGGGAUGGGGUUUAAUGUUAUACAUGCUUCAUUCUUUUACGUGAUUAAUAUGUUAUUUUUAUCAUGUUAUGGAUUACGAACUAUUUUAAUGGGGCCUACGUGCCAAACUGAUUUAUGAUUUUCGAAUUAGUAUUCCGCUGCUAUGUUAAGAAUAUUUUGUGAAGGUUAAAUUAUUAUUUAACUGUUUUUGGAUUACGUUUCUAUGUGAUAUCCCGUUUAUGGUUUUUACUCUGAUAAUUGUUUAAGAAAUUUGUAUAUUGGGAAAACGGGGUGUUACAUUGGGGGCUUGAUGCCCUGGUUGGUACCACAUGCAUGAUUAAGAAGUUGAAGUUGCAUUUGUCGAGUUCAAGUUCUUGAAACCGCGUUGUCGUUUUCGUUAAUUAAGUUGUAAUUUAUCAAUGAGUUGUUAAUGAAGAACUAUGCGAAGUAUUAAUAUUUAUUAAUCGUUGUUGUUUAUGUUGUUAUAUGAUGAUGUUUAUGAUGCGAAAUAUUAAUUAUUAUGUUAUUGAAUUUUGAAGGAUAAUUACUUAAUUAUUCCGUUUAUGAUUUUAAGAAAAGAAGUGUGACAUACCGUUUAUGUGGAUUAUUCUAAUUAUUUUUAUGAAAUUUUUAUGUUGGGAAAACGGGGUGUUACAAUUGGUAUCAGAGCAGGUCGGUCCGUCCGGCCAAGUAGUUGAGUCAUUUGUGUCGUGUGACAGUUGAAUACUGUCGUUGUGUUUUCUAAUUAAUGGUUAUGUUUUUAUUUUUAUUUUUUAUGUGAUCAUGUCUGACUAACUAACUUUAAUGUGAUUUUUGUGUAUUGAUGAAGUUUCCAUUUUGUUAUAUAGUUUAAGAUAUUUAAGUGAUCAUUGAAUUCAUUUUUCUCUUGUGUUUGAAUUUCGAGUACGAAAUUCUUUUAAGGGGGUAGAGUUGUAACGCCCUCUUUACUUAUUUAAUUAUUUUAUAGAGUUUAUAGUCCACUUUGAUAAUUUAUGUGAUUUUAUAUGAUUAUGUGAUGUAUUGAUAUUUUAUUUAAAGACUUGUUUUAUUAUUUACUAGAAUAAGAUUUGAAAAUAAAAUAAAUAUUGAGAUGUGGGGCUGUUUUGGAAUUUAGAAGAGUUUAGUGGAAAUAGAGGAAAUAAGAUAAAGUGGAUUGAGGAGAGAUAUAAGGAGGAAACUAGGUUUAGAAUUUUUUUUUACGUGAAACUGCUUUUUGGAGAAAAAGGGAGAAAACAAGAAAAGAAGAGAACCCAGAGGGAGAGAGACCGCCGAUCAUCAAUACUAAGGUAAGAGUGUGACUAACUUUCUCUAAUUCUAGGUUGUAUAAUUCUGAAAUUGAGUUUAACAUGUUGUAGGUUGUAGUUAUGGCAAUUUGGGAAUUAGGUUUUGAAGUUGUAAUUGGUUGUUAAUAGAGUAGAAAAUCCGUUGAAUUUAUGUUUAGAUCAUGGUGGUUAUUUUUAGUGCAAUGUUUUAUAUGGUUUUGAGUGCCUUAGCAUGUAUAGAAAUGGUUAGACAAGUUUUUGGAUCAAAUUUGGGCAUAGGGAAGUUAAAUUUGGGAAUUUCGGGUGAAAAGUGGAUUUUUCCCGAGUUGCUCUCUGACAGCAUGUCCUGUUCCAUGUUCUUGUGUCUUUUUCACACAUUUCUGUUUUGAAUUGGCCUUUGGUGUAAACAUGAAAGUUGUAGAUAAUUGAGUUAGUUUUCCAGUGGCUUUGGUUUGACAUGAAAAUGAUUUUUGGUUCUUGAGAUAUGAUGAAAAUACUCCAAGGAGGUCUUAGUGAAAUCUUAUGAAAUUGAAUAUGAGGCUGGGUAGGUGGCUUGAAUUGCUGAAGGACUAUGAAUUGAGUAGGAAGACUUUUCAUAUGUCCGCUAUGAUGGUAAAGGAGUUCGAGUUGCUUGAAUAGUUCAAAGAUUUGAGCCUAGUUUGCGAGAUGUCAUCUAAGAGUUUGAAGCUAGGAAUGCUGAAGAUUGAUAAUGAAUUUCUGAAAAGUAUUAAAGAAGCACAUAAAGUUGAUGUUAAGUUUGUAGACUUGUUGGUUGCUAGUAAUCAGACUGAAGACAGUGAUUUUAAAAUCGAUGAUCAAGGUGUGUUGAGGUUUCAAAAUAGAAUAUGUAUUCCAGACGAUGAUGAGAUGAAGAAGAUGAUUCUCGAAGAGAGUCAUAGAAGUAGCUUGAGUAUUCACCCGGGAGCUGCGAAGAUGUAACAUGAUCUAAAGAAGUUAUUUUGGUGGUCUGGGUUGAAACGCAAUGUGGCACAAUUUGUGUAUUCUUGUUUGAUUUGUCAGAAGUCGAAGGUUGAGCAUCAGAAACCUGCUGGUAUGAUGGUGUCUUUAGAUGUGCCAGAGUAGAAAUGGGAUAGCAUAUCCAUGGAUUUUGUGACAAGCUUGCCAAAUACUCCUUAAGGGAAUGACGUGAUUUGGGUGAUUGUUGAUAGAUUGACGAAGUCGGCUCAUUUUCUUCCGAUUAAUAUAAGUUUUCCUGUUUCUCAGUUGACAGAGAUUUAUAUUCGAGAUAUUGUGAAGUUGCAUGGUGUUCUUUCGAGUAUUGUAUCAGAUAGAGAUCCAAGAUUUACUUCUAGAUUUUGGAAAAGUUUGCAAGAGGCUUUGAGUUCUAAGUUGAGGUUGAGUUCGGCGUAUCAUCCGCAGACAGAUGGUCUGUCAGAGAGGACGAUUCAGUCGCUAGAGGACUUGUUGAGGGUUUGUGUGCUUGAGCAAGGAGGAACUUGGGAUAGUCAUCUUCCAUUGAUAGUGUUCAUGUACAAUAAUAGUUAUCAUUCUAGUAUUGGAAUGGCACCUUAUGAGGCUUUGUAUGGUCGGAGAUGCAGAACUCCGUUGUGUUGGUUUGAGUCAGGUGAAAGGGUGGUUUUAGGACCCGAGAAUGUUCAACAAACUACUGAGAAAGUUAAAAUGAUUCAAGAAAAGAUGAAAGCGUCGCAGAGUUGACAAAAGAGUUACCAUGAUAAGCGUAGAAAAGACCUUGAGUUUCAAGAAGGGGAUCACGUAUUUUUGAGAGUCACUCCUGUGACUGGUGUUGGACGUGCAUUGAAGUAAAGGAAGUUGACUCCGAGAUUUAUUGGUCCAUAUCAGAUAUCAGAAAGAGUUGGAACGGUGGCGUACCGAGUGGGUUUACCACCGCAUCUUUCGAAUUUGCACGAUGUGUUUGAUGUGUCGCAACUUCGGAAGUAUGUUCUGGAUCCAUCCCAUGUGAUCCAAAGUGAUGAUGUGCAAGUUAGAGAUAACCUUACGGUUGAGACUUUACCGGUGAAGAUUGAUGAUCGAAAAGUGAAGACGUUGAAAGGCAAGGAGAUACCUCUUGUGAGAGUCGUUUGGGAAGGAGCGACUGGUGAAAGCUUAACGUGGGAGCUAGAGAGUAAGAUGCUGGAAUCUUAUCCAGAGUUGUUUGCAUGAGGUAAAUUUUCGAGGAUGAAAAUCUUAUAAGUAUGGGAGAGUUGUAACGCCCUCUUUGAAUUAUUUAAUUAUUUAAUUGAGUCUAGAAGUUAUUAAGAUGAGUUUAUAUUAUAUUUAUAUGAUAUAUGUGUGAUGAAAAAGAUUUAUAUGAUUGAGGCGUUGUGACUUAUUUUAUUGUUUAAUAAAAUAAGAUUUGAAAAUAAAAUAAUUAUUGAGUUUAGGGGUUGUUUUGAGAUUUUAGAGAGUUUUGGGGGAGAAAGAGAAAUAAAAUAAGAUAAAUGGAGGAGAUAUAAAUAGGAGAGACCUAGUUUAGAAAAAAAAAAAUUACGUACGAUCAGUUUUUGGAGAAAAGAGAGAAAAAAGCCAAGAGGAGAGCAAGAGAUCUAGAGUGCUGCAAUUUUUUAUUCUAAGGUAAGGGUGAGACUAGCAUUCAAUUCUAUUAUCCUAUAUAAUUCAUAUGGUUGUAUUUAGCAAAUGUAGGAUUGAAUUAUAGAAGUUUGAAAACUAGGGUUAAUGAGAGAAAUUGAGGAUUAAUUGAUGUAGAAUGGUUAGAUUGAUGUAGGAACUAUUUACAAACUUUAGAUAAGUCAUAAGAUGAUUGCAGGAAUCAAUGUUAGGCUUAAAACCAUGUGAAAUAGUGAAUUUUCGUGAAAACUGCAAUUCUUCCCGAGCUAUGAUCCUCGCCAUAGUGAGUGAUGAACUUCAUCGCUCGCCACGCAAACAAGUUUUCCCCGCCCCGCGAGUUGCACCUUGCAGCUCGCCAUAUAGUGAGCAUAUUCAAUGGCCUAGCGAGUGUGACCAGAGAGGCAUCAUGAUUUCAUAAUUUUGACCUUUAAGUUGAACCUUAGAUGCUUUUGAGUGGCUGAACAUGUAUAAUGAUGAUUAGGAAAGAUUUUAGAAUGAGGUUGAACCUGGAAAGAUUUUAGAAUGAAGUUUUGUGAGUUGCACCUGAACUCGCCAUGGCGAGUAGAGGCUCUCGCCUCGCGAACUGCCCAAUUACAGAAUGCUUUGUUAGGUUAAAUGUGAUCCUUGUCGCACGAGUUGAUGUGAGUUGAUCUUAGAGGUUAGAAACUAAAUUGUUUAUCUUGAUGUUGCUGUUUCAGUAAGCCUGAAUUGUAUAAUCCAAUGUUGUUGUUUCGAUAUUGUUAUAUCAUGAUGAUUUGCAUACUGCCUAUGUUGCUGUUUGUUAUUUAACUAAGCUGCAUGAGUCGGUCUAAGUUGAUUAAGAUGAUGAUGUUGCCUUUGCUCACCACAUUGGGGGCUUGAUGCCCUGGAGCUUUAGCUCAAUUAUGUUGGGGGCUUGAUGCUCUGGAAGUAUAUUAAUACUUAUUACGUUGAGGGCUUGAUGCCCUGGAUUGAUACCACAUGCAUAUAAGAGGUCUAAGUUGCAUAGUCGCAUUCGUCGAGUCAAAGAUGUUAAGUUGCCAAGUUGUUGAAGUUGUGAUUCUUUAUAUAAGUUAUUAAUGAAGUGAUAUAUGAUAUAUUAUUAUCCAUGAUGAAUAUUAUGAUGUUUUCAUGUUGUUAAAUAUAAUUGUUGAAUUAUAUGUUUAAUAUUAUUGUUUUGUGAUAUCUCACCCCUUCUGCUUGGAAAUGUUGCUCUUCGCAUGAGUAACUUGCAGGUGAUCGAGAGUAGUUGUUGUUGCCUUGCUGUCGUGAGUGGUUAUCCCUCACUGAGUCUUUUAGGUGCUUUGAUACGUAACGGGAUGAGAUCUUUUGUGGCUAUUUCUUAUUCCUUUACGUAUUUGUUUUAUGAGUUUAAAUGAUUAAGUUGUUUAACUGAUUUAGGAGAUGUUUUGAUGAGGCCUGCGUGCCAAGACUUAUUUUUGUUGAUGAAUUUAAUCCGCUGUAAUGUUUUGGAAUUGAUUUAUGUUGAAGGAUAAUUAGUUAAUUAUCUCAUUUAUGAUUUUAUGAAGUGUAGCAUUUCGUUUAUGUGUUGAAUACUCUGAUAUAUGUUUGAAAUUUUUAAGUUGGGAAAACGGGGUGUUACACGGGGAGUGGUCGAUCGCCGGUGCACAAGGCACGACAAUGAACGACUCCCAACAGCUUAUAGAGGAACUGAAUCACACCGGAACGAGAGGGUUCCUGAGGUCGUGCAGGUAUGGAACUGCAUGGUUGAAGGAAAGCUUAUAAGAAUUGUUUGGUACUACCUAUAUCAACAAGAUGAAUCUUCUUUUCGGUAGCUCAUUCCAUAAGAACUCCGUACGAGUGAGGACAAAACACGCUGAAAAGACUCGUGUUGAUUUGUGGGGUCAGUCGACAAUCUUAGAUGCAAUCUGGAAUGUUACAUCAAGUUUCAGCUACCAAAGUCUACACUUUUACUACUAAUGUCAAGUCUGAAACUUCCUUCUUAUCUUCCAUGUGGACCAAUGUGGGACACUUCCUUUGAAUUAGUAACGUGUACCGGUCAAUGAAGGAUGGAUAGGUGGAUGAAGACUAGUAAUACUUAUGUAAACCAAUGCGUGCCUUUAAAAUCAAUGUCAAUGACUUAAAAAUCAAACUGACAUUUUCAAAUGGGUCCCUAAAAAUUAAUCAAGAACUGUGAUAUUUUGUUUAGACCUCAAAAGUUAAAAGUCGUUCUGAUAUUUAUUAUGUGUCCAAACAAAUACUUAAUCUCAUCUAUUGAACUGACAUUUUCAGCUCUUAUUAUGUGUCUAUACAUUAACUUGAUAUUUAUAUUUGAAAUUUGAUUCACCUCUUGUAAAUUCUUCAUAAAGUUUGAAAGAUAAAUAAUUAGUGUUGACAUCCAAUUUAAAAAGAGAAAUGAUAUUUGUACAACUAUUUUGUGACAACUUUUGUAUAACUUUCCUUCUCAUACUCACAUGAUGGUCUUAUCCUCUCUCUUCCUUUUUUUCUCUCUCUCUCUAUUAUUUUUGACCAAUAAAAAGAGAGAAAAACAAGGUUGUCAUUAAAGUUGUCAUGAAAUGGAUGUACAAAUAUCAUUUGCUGAUUUAAAAAUGAAUAAACUAAACAAGAAGCUAUCAUCUCUCUUUGAGAAACUUCAUUUCAACAUUUUAACCAUUAGAAGAGUGAGGAAAAUACAACAUGUUAGUAAGCUAGGUGUGUGAAAAUGAUUUCAUUUAUAAUUUCAGAAACUCAGUUCAAACGACAAGCAGGAAAAAAUACUUCAACUUACAAAAUGAUUGAUGUAAAAUCAUUAUUUUUCAUUUCUAAAUUUUAUCUGAUUCUAAUGUGUUGGUUGAUUUAAAAUAUCAUUUUAGUUGUAUUAAAAUAUUUACAUGGAAAUGUUUAAUUUGUAGGUGAUUGAUAAUUUCUAGUUGAAAAAAUAUAUUUUAUUUAAGCUACAGAAACGAGCAAGAAAGUAGAGGGGAAUGAAUACCCUGUAUGGUUCCUUAUAAAAUGAACCCAUGAGAAUAUUGGUCCAUGAUGGACCAAUUUUUUCAAUAGUUAGAUUAGAUGAACCCCAAAAUUUUAUCAUGAUCUAUAAACACUCAAUCUAACCCAUCUUCCCUUAUCAUUUUAUAAAAAAAUCAUUUUUACCCUUUAUAAUUAUUUUAAUUUAAAAUAUUACAUAUUGUUAUGGUAAUUUUUUUUUCUUGACAAAUUUGUUACAGUAAAUUUUUUUGUUGCUGUUUACACUUUUUUUCAUGAAUUUGUUACGGUAAAUGUUGGACAGCUGCAUAUUAUUAUUUGAUUUUAUUUUUACGAAAACUUACAAGUUUUUUUUAAGGAGAAUUUUUUUUUUUUUUUUUUUACAAAUAGGUGAAAGGGUACAUGCUAUUUUUUUUAAUAAGAAAAGGUACGUGUUAUUUUUAUUUUUUUGAAAGAAAAAAAUACAUGUUAAUGUUACCUGAAAAGUUUAAUUUAGUUACCGUUAUCAAUUAUUUAUUUUUGCAUUGUUUUUUUAGAAUAGUCAUAUUAUCCUUUCCAAAAGACUAAUAAUAGCAGUAACUGUUCAUUGCUAUCUUUUAUAAAACAAACUUUCUCGUUGCUAUGUUUAAGUAAAUGAAAAUAAAUUUUUGUGAGUAAAUAUUAAUUUAAUAUUAUAAUAUAAAAGAUAUGUUAAAUUAUUAAAUUCUAAAUAUUGAUCGAAAAUGAUGGGUUUUUAUUGAAAACAAUUGAAGAUUGAAUGUUGAAAUUACAGAAAGAAAAAGAAGGCAGAAAAAUAUUUUAAAAAGAGUAAAGAAAAUAAUCAGACAUGUAAAGUGCAUUAUGUUAUUGUGCAUACAUAUAAUCCAAUGGUUAUAAAUAUUGGUCCAUUAUGAACCAAUACUUACAUAGGUCCAAGCUAAAGGGAGCAGAUUCCCUCCUGUGAAAACUUUCUCCAGUUUUCUACUGUUUAAAUCUAAACCAUUAAAUACAUUAUCUCUCUUCAUUUUGACAUUUAAUUCCUAUUUAAUUCUUCACAUGUAUUUAUCAUUUAAUGGCUAGGAUUCCACAGGACUCUCCAGUCACAGGAGAAGAUCCAAUCCCCAAGCUAAAUGCCACUUUUUGAGACUUUGCCAAAGCUCGACAUGGUGUAACCACACGGUUAGAAGAAUUCAUUUUACUAUUUUAGUAACAUAAAUAAAGCUCUUCACAAAUAAGAACUGCUUCUUCCAAAAUGUGAUUACGUCGAAAAACAUUUAAACAAAGUAAGACUGCAUUCGUUCCAUACAAAUUUCAUCAUAUUAUUAUUCCUCAUGGAACUUCCCAACAGGAAAUCUAAAGUGAAACCAGUAGGAAUUUUUUGGGCUUUUGUCAAAACGUUAUGGAUGCAUUGAACUUGUCAAACAUAGAAACUGAUAAAACUUCCAAGCUAAGAGGUAUUUAAUACAAAAAAACAAGCAAUGUCAAGAAAUACAUUUUGCUCCUCUAAGUAUCUUUUGUAUCUCUUUAUUGGGAAUCCUGUCAUACCCAUCUAAUGUGUUCUUCCAUACUUCUAUGUUCUUUCCAAACAAGUUAGAACCCACUAUUUCUAAAACUAAGGGAAUGCCCGAACCAUAUGAAACUGCACGGUUUAAAACAUCUUCAUAACUUGGCGGUACUUUGUUAUUCUUAAAAGCCGUCCACCUCAACAAUUCAAGAGCUUCCUUCCCAUAUAGCCCUCUUACUGCAUAUGUUCUUUCUAUCCCAUGACAGGUUAGUAAGUGUUUAUCUCGGGUGGUGAUGAUGACUCUGCUUCCAGGACCGAACCAAUCAAGUCCUCCAGCCAAAGCCUCUAGCUGAUCCAGUUGGUCAACAUCAUCGAGAAUCAAAAGAAUCUUCUUCCUACAUAGCCUUUCCUUAAUGAUUGGAAUUCCCUCAGAAACAUCUCUUAACUUAAUGUUCAGUUGAACUGUUUUUGAAAGGAGCUCCUUCUGGAGAUGUUUCAAGUUUUUACGAGCUGAAUUCUCUCUAACAUUAUGAAGAAAGCAUACUCCUUCAAAUUGAUCAGCAAUGAAAUUAUAAAUUGCUUUUGCAAGUGUUGAUUUUCCCAAGCCUCUAGUACCAUAAAGUCCUACCAUGUUGACCCCUUCAUCAGAUUCCUCAUCAAGAAGCAAUUUUACUUGUUGUACUCGGGACUGUAAUCCAACAGGGUAUUUGGCAACGUGUAGAAAAACACGAUUGAUCCUAUCGGAAAUGUGUUCGACUAUAUUCUCAAUAAGCUCGUACUCAUAUCUAUUCAUGUCCAAUAGAUAAGUUAGUAAAAUCACAUCCAUGUAUUGACAAUAUAUUAUACAAUUCUAACUGUUUUGAAACAUAUACUUGUUUAAAAACAUAAAUAAAAAACAUGCUUCCUUUUUAAGCUUUAAGAUGAGAUUAAUGGGGAAAAGAAAUUAAAGAAAAGAAAAUAUAAAAAGGAAAAAUAAUAUUAAGUAAAGUGGGGUACCCUUGACUAAAAUGGUGGCCGGAGAAGUUAGCAGCUUGGGUAAGAGCCAUCUUCCAUUUCUUCAACCUCUCCAUGUUUUCCUUGUUAUUUUGGAACUUAUCUUCAUGCUUAGUAAGAUGCUCACCAUAACUCCCAGUCUGAUGUCGUACGUGAGUAGGAUCCGCACCAUAGAAAACAGGCAAAACCGAACAACCCCUUGUCUUGUAGCAGUGAAUGAUGUGGACAAGUUCGUCCAAGCAAAAUGAAGAAGAUGCAUAGUUUGCAGAAAAUAUGGGAAUCAAAAUCCUAGACUCUUCAAUGGCCUUGACAAGUGAUGGUGUGCUUUCAUCUCCUCUUUCAAGAUCGUUGUCAUCAAUGAAGGUUUUGAUUCCCUUGUCAAUAAGAGCCUUGUAGAGAUUGCCGGUAAAACCGUAAAGAGUGUCAAUGUCCCUAAAACUGAGGAACACAUGGUAUUUGAACCCAGAGGAAAUUGAAGAGGAAGAGGAAAGUGAUUGCAUAGCCAUGAGAAUUGAGAGAAAUAAGAUGAAAAAAAAGUUUGAGAAUAUGAAUGAGUAAGUUUUUGUGGUCUGUGAUGUGGAGUCUUUAAUAUGGAUCUAUAUAACAAGGAGAAAACUUGUGACAAAAAUGAUUUGUGAAACUUCUUGGCCACUUCCUAUAGCCGUGUGGACCAAUCACUAUAUGGACCUACCACCUCUUCUUGCUAAUUUCCUCAAUAUGAUUACUGUUCAAUUUUUGGACACAACUUAAAUAAAUAAACAAGUGAAAAGCCAAAUAAUAUUUCACUAUUAUUUUUUUCUUUGUUUCUGCCUAAUGCUACAAUAUACGGUUUUCAAUUUUUUUAUUUGGACACAUGAUUUCCAAUAUUGUAUUUUGACAUUGUAUACCAUUGAGAGUGAUGUUGGUUGGAGUGAGCACGACCACCCGAGAAGAGAAAAAAACUAUUUAAGACUAUGAAACCAAUAAGUAUAGCGUGUGUCUAGAUCUACGUUAAAAAAAAUUCUACAAGACAUUUUACAAGUUUUAUUUUUCAACCGAUUUUAUUCUUGUGUGUGAUUUUAUUCUUGUGUGUGAUUUUCAGUUUGUAAGUUAAUUAAUCAGUCCUAAAUAACAUGAAAUAAAAAUAAAUGCAGCCUAUGCUAUUCUAACAUCUAAUAAGACAGUUACAAAAUUAAAUCUGUUACUUAAUUACUCCUUUUUCAUUUUUGUUAUGUUAACUAUUACAAAUAGAUAUAUACAUAUAUAUGGUUGAAAGUAAGUAACAGAAGAAAUUUGAUGAAGACUAGUUCUACCUAAUAAUUUUGCUUAUUACAGAGUCAAAUUUUUUCUUUAAAAAUGGAUUUACAUGUCAUUGGUGAUCAACUAUGUCUUCAAAAUAUGACCUGUUUAACUAAAUGAUUAAUUAACCAUGCACACACAAUUAUUAGUGUAGGUUGUUAUGUUGAAUGCUUAAUUAGCCAUACAACUGUAACAUAGAAAAUUUAUAUAUAUUUCAUUCCAAAUAUGACAAGGCUUUGGAAAAAUGACUUUAAAUUUAAAUUUUCAAUUGAAGAUGAGAUGGAGAAGCUAAUUUUAUGUAAAAGAUUCUUCUAACUGAAUUAACAAUCACAUUUCAAAGUCAGAAAUAUGCUACCCUUCCCAAAGGAAUAUAUAUAUAUAUAUAUAUAUAUAUUACAUAUAUUCAAAAGUUUUGAUAGUAUUUCCGUCUUAAACUAACUAGUUAGUUAAAAACAAGAUUAGGGUAACAUAGAUAUGAAAUAUUCUUUCCUUCAUUUAUUUUCUCAAGUUUUGGCUACCAAGUCAACACUUUUACUACCGCAUGUUGAGUCUGAAACUUUCUUCUCAUCUUCCAUGUGGACAAAUGUGGGACACUUCCUUUGAAUUUCUACAUCUGUACGUGUGGACCAUUCAGCAAUAGCACCACUCAAAGACCAACCUUCAAAGUCAUUAUCCUUAACCUGUUUCCAUCAAUGAAGGAUAUGGAUAGGUGGAAGAAUAGUAAUACUUGUGUAAACUAAUGCGUGCCUUAAAAAUUAAACUAUGAAUUGCGAGCUGUGAUAUUUUGUUUAGACCUCAAAAGUCAAAAGUCUUUCUGAUAGUUAUUGUGUGUGUCAAGACAAAUACAAUCUCAUCUAUUGAACUGACAUUUUCUGCUCUUAUUCUAAGUCUAUACAAGAACUUGAUAUUUAUAUUUGAAAUUUGAUUCACCUCUUGUAAAUUCCUCCUCAUAAAAUUUUAAAGAUAAAUAAUUAGUGUUGGCACCCAAUUUAAAAAUGAAUAAAACUAAAGAAUACAACAAAUAUAAAAGUAUAAACUAUUAACGGAGGGGGGACACGGUUCUUUACUCCCAAAGAUUGUUUCAACAUCAUUUAAUAUAAUCAGAGAAUCAAUUAUCCUUUAACAACAAAAGCUAGCAACAACAACUUCAUGAUAUUUUUUUAUUAUUUCCAUUAUCCAAGGAAACAAAAGUUUACAAACGCGUCGACAUUCAAAUACAUUAUUCAAGGAUAUGGCCUCCAUAGCAAUUAUGAGCAUGGUUGUAAAUUUAAUCAAAUAAAAACACAAAUUGCAAUUAUAUUUUAUACUGCAUAGGUCAUGACUCUGGCAAAACGAUCUCAUGAAUGUUGGCUCUCAGAUUCAGUUCUUUAUCCCAUAUUACUAUAGAAAUAUAGAAAGAAAUUGUAUAAUGUUGAUAAUUACAAAUUUUGAAUAGUAGAAGUAAUGCUAGUUAUAGCAAAACCCACUAACUAUUGGUACAAGAUAUACUAACACACAGUUUUUAUUUAUAUGACCAAGCCUUUGCAUAUUUCUUCAUAUUAUCCGAUGUGGGACAUUAUUCUAAUUAUUAUUAUUGAAAUCCUCCCGCAAUUGUAUGGUUUGAGAGAGAGAUGCAACUUGGACAGUAAGUACUCGAACCUAGGAUGAAGCAGGGGUUUGGUUAGAAUAUCAGCAAGUUGAUCAUCGAUAGAAACAAAGGAUACUCGAAACUUGCCAUUUCGAACAUUUUCUCGGAAAAAAUGAUAGGCUAAGGCUAUAUGUUUCAUCCGAGAGUGAAAUACAGAAUUAGCACUAAGGUGGGUACGUAGCACCGAGGUUGUCACAAUAGAUGACUGGAUUGGAUGGUGGAGUGUGGCCUGAAGGUGAAAAACACAAGAAGGGGGGGGGGUUGAAUUGUGUUUUCUUUUUCUCUUAAAAAAGGAUUCUUCUUCUGAUAAAACUUCAGAAGCAGUUUGAUUGCUUCUGAUGAAAUGAUCAGAGUCAGAUUGCAGCGGAAAAGAACAGAGCAGAGAAAAGAAAGACAAAGACACAGGCAGUUAUCCUGGUUCCUUCCACAACACGGAAGUAGUCCAGUCCCCCUUGCACUUCCAAGGAGAUUUCACUAUAAUCACAAGAUUACAACUGCUCAAUACUUUCAAAGUAUGAGACUUCACAAAACAAUGCUCAAGCACACACGCAAGAGUCUUCCAAUGCUCAAGCACUAAGCAAGAGACUUCUAAUGCUCAAGCACGCAGGCAAGAGACUUCUAAUCAAACAAAAAUACAGAGAAUUGAGUUUGAAUUGAACACUUGAUAUACAAUCAGUGGUGUUCACAAUACAAUACAGAAAAGACUCUAGACUUUGAAUUUCUAAGAUGUAUCAAAUCAGUGCAGAAAUUCAGUGUGCUUUGUAGAAUCAAAUUGACAGAGUUUUGGCGCUUUUGAACUUAUGUAUCUCUAUCUAAAAUCUUCAAGUCUUCAUUCCUUUAUAUAGAGGCGUGAAAGAGACGUUGAGAUAAUCAGCACGUCUAAAGAGUCGUUUGAAAUCCUUUGAUUAUCCACCAGUGAUCCUUUGCCUGAUUUGGGUGUAGUCCUUUGAAGGAUAAACUUCAAAUUCAUUCCCAUCUUGAGUGUACAAAUUCUGCAGGCAUGGCUGUUGUUUUGUCUUGUAGCGUAGACAGAAAACAGAGUAGUGGAGGUAGUGGUUGUACACUUGUACUUUGUCAACUCUAUUAAUGAGAGACAAGUGCUCAGUGCUAUCCAUAUAUCCGUUGAUACCUCCCUUUCAAUUCUUCAUUCUUCUUUGAUAAGACUGAAUUGAGAAUCAGCAACUUUGAAUCUUCAGUUUGACUAAAGGAUCAAAUGUAGCUUCUGGUGAAAAUAUUGCUUCUGAUGAAAACUUUUGCUUCUGAUGACUUUCUGCUUCUGAUGACGUCAUCUCUUCAGGAGCAGUUUAGCUUCAGGAGCAGUUUUCUUCAGAUGCUCAGAAUUUCUUUUUCUUUCCAUUGUUCUUCCAAGACCUAUUGAAAUAACUUGAGUAGCCUUUGGUCCUGUACACUUGAACAAUUAUUAGUAAUAACCAAUUGACAAUUUUUAAUACCUUGUUAUCAUCAAAACUUAAUAAGGUUCAUUGUGAAACACAUUUUGUUCCAACAAUCUCCCCCUUUUUGAUGAUGACAAACAAUAGUAUUUAAAAUGUUCAAUUGUUGUUGAUCUAAUUAAUAAGUUGACUACUGGGACAGAGGUUUGUAAGCUCCCCCUGAGUCUAAUAGUUCUUUAAGGUGAGGUUUGUAAGCUCCCCCUAAGUUCUAUUCUUAUUAAUUAAAUUUCAAUAAAAUACUCAUAAAAAUCAAAUCAGAGGUAUUUAAAAGAAGUUUAGAAGUUGUUAUAGUAGGGCUCAGUGCCUUAAAAAUACUCAUAAAAAUCAAAUCAGAGGUAUUUAAAAGAAGUUUAGAAGUUGUUAUAGUAGGGCUCAGUGCCUUAAAAAUACUAUACAUUUACUCCCCCUUUUGUCAUCAACAAAAAGAAUAGAAACAAAAGAAAGAGUAUCAGAGCAAGCAGCAUUAAACAGUAAAUAUCAUCAGAGUCAAAGCUUGUAAAACAUAUUGAAGGUGAAAAAGCACAAGAUCCAGAAACAAUGAUAAUAUAUAUAAAGAAGAUUAAGAUACAAGGACACAGCUACGAAGAACAAAAGUAAAAAACAAGCUAGAGUUGGGUGUGCAACUAAGGUUGGGCUUGCUUAUACAACUGUUCUAAGAGAUACUUGAUCUGAUCAUCCUUCUUCUGAAGUAGCUCAUCCUUUUCCCUCAUUCUUCUUUUAUAUCCAGCCUGAAUUCUAGCAGCCCUAGUGAUGUACUCUUCUUCUGGAUAGAAAGGAGUGAUGUCCAGCAGAGGCUCAAAAUUCAGCUCUUUCUCCUUAGCUGCUUCAUGCAUAUCAUCCAAAAGCUUCUUCAGCAUAGCAGAGUGAGAUGACACACAUUUAGUUCUAAGCUGAUCCAGCAGCUCAUCAAAGCUCUUCUGUAGAUCCAUCCACUGAUCAUAAUAGUGAAUAGGAGGUGCAGGAACUGUUCUGCGAAGAAUCAGUGCCUGAAUCUCAUCACUAAGUCUGAUCAGUUGUUCCUCUAUAUACUCAGACUCCAGGAUAUGGUCAGGGAUGGGUGAAGGUUCAGUUUGAGUUGUAUUUGAUAUGGAAGGUUGGUCAGAGGUUAAGUCUAUUAUAGUGGGUGAAUCUGGUUGUUGUUGUUGUUCUGUUGUUUGGUCAGAAGGUAUAUGUUGGUCAGAAGUUGUUUGGUCAGGAGCAACUUGUUCAGAGGCAGUUUGCUCCUGAACAGUUUGCUCAGGGAUGGUUUGGGUUACUGUUUGGGUUUCCAAGACAGUCUUUUCAGGAACUGUCUUAGAGGCCUUAGUGGGUGUUGGUUGCAUUUCACCACCUAGAUGUUUUUCUAAGUUGUGAAGGGUUGAGUAUUCUUGGUGUUGGGGGGUUUCUGAAGUAGUUGCAUCUGAAGCUACUUCAGAGGCUUUUUGUGUGGUUGAGUUAUGUGGUGAGUUUGUUGUAGGUUCUGGGUUGGGUUGAGGUUGUUGUACACUAACAGGUUCAGGAUUAUCUGGAUAGAGUGGAUGAGUAGGAGGCAAAUUGAAUUUCUCACAAAGUUUAAUUCUAUUCUUAGAAAAUUCUAUUUGAGUUUGCUCCCAGUCAAGUGUUCCUAAAUCUGUUAGUUUGGUAGGUUUGGUUUUUAGAAGCUUGUCUAUGUGUUGGCUAAGGGGUUGGUCAUCUGAUUCUGUUGAUGAUGAAGAGGGUGAAGAGGGUAGAGAUGGAAUCUGAGUAUUAGUUGGAGCGUUAGAUGGAUUACCUGAAGACUGAGCUUCUGGAUGAACUGCUUCUGGAGCUUCUGAAGCUGGUUCUGAUGAAGUUGCUCCUGAAGCUUGCUUAUUCUUCAAGGCUUGAGAAAGCAGAGUUGCUCCAUACUUAACAGUUUCUAACUCCGAUGCUAAAGCAGCAAUGUCAGGAGUAGGCACAUACCCUGCAGCCUUGAGACGUUCAUCCCUUUCUUGUUCAUACAAAAUCUUCAUCCUUUUCUUUUCUGCUAUCUUGGAUGCAGCAACCUCCCUAGUAUACUGCUCCAUUUCUUCAGUCAUUUCGAAACUGGGCAUGACUAUGGGCUCAGAAGUUGCAGUCCUUUUUGCUUUCUUAGGGCUUGAGUCUUCAUCCCAGUUCUCUUCCAGUUCUUCCAACAUUUGUGCCCUUCUUCCUUCACUUGUCUUCAGAUUUCUUGUUAAAUUAGACCUUUUCCUUUUGAUGGUCUGAAGAGCAGCUUCUCUUUUAUUUUUGGGACUUGGAGGCUUUUCAGAAGCAGCUUGAUCAGAAGCAGCUUGUUCUGAACCAGCUUGUUCAGAAGCAGGCUGUUCUGCUGUUUCUUGAGUACUCCUUGUCCUUUUUCUGAUAAGAGGGACAUCUUCCAAAUUCUCCACUUCCUCAAGAAUGGUGGACAUAGCAGAUUUUACCUUUUUAGCUUUCUUAUGCUUCUGAGCACCCACCUCAGUAGCAUUUUCAGCAAGGUAUUCUUCCUUGGUGAUCUGCUUCUUCUUAGAUUUUCUGCUUUUGGCCACAGGCAGCUCACCACCAUACAUUUGGUCAGGAACAUCCUUCAAGCUGAUUUUCUGGUUAAAGGAUUUGUAGUGAUCCAUGAUAUAUGCCCUUUGAACCUCCAAGGGAUCUUGUUUACAGAUGGGAGGAAAGUCUGGGAUAAGAUCUGAUUUGGCAUCAGAAGGUUUCAAGUCAGUAGGACUCUUCUUCACAUCUUUUGCUUUAAUCAGAUGCAUAGCCCUUAGAGUCUCACCAUUGAUAAUCUUCCCUCUAACAGUUCCCAACUGUUCAUCUGUGAAGAUCUGAGCUUCUUUCAGCAUCUCAAUAAUUCCUCCCUGAUGGAAAAUCUCAGAGAGUAGUCUUCCAUAGGGUACCCAAGACCUUUUAUUCAGUUGACUCUCUCUGAGUUGAUGAACCAUAUGUCUGAAUAUGUAUCUGGGAAUAUUUGCCUCUACACCCUUUAUGACAAAGUGUAAGAGGAUUUUAUGUUCCAGAGAGGGCUGAUCACCACCACCACCUUUUGGUAGUAGGUUUUCGUUCUGAAUCUUCAACAUAACCUUUGUCUUGGUGUUCAUGUCAGAAUAGGCAAAGUCCUUUACCUUGUUGUAGAGAGUUUUGUUAACAAUAGCAUUCCAGGGGCUGUCCUUUGGCUUUGAAAUCCCAGCCUCAUGUUCUCCUUCUGCUGGUCUUCUGAUGACAAAGGCAAUAGUGUCCUCAGUGAUCCAGACACGGAUUCCCAUGAUGCUUGAUCUUAUCUGGGUUUUGGAGAAAGUUUCCAAGCCCAUUUCCGCUCUAGACUUCCCUUUGAGUUCAGGAUUGAGAAGAACUUUUUCAUCUUCUUCAAUCUUGGCGGCUUCCCUGUCGUAGAUGCUGGCUCUAACCCAGAAAUGACGAACCAGUGUUUGAUAAGUUGGUCCAUUUAGAAGAUUGAAGUACCUUCCCAGACCUUGUUUCUCGUAGUACUUGCCAAUGUCACAGUCGUGAGCGGCCAAAGAAUCAAAAUCCACCGGACUUUCUGAUUGAAUGUUUAAUUCCCAUUCCUCCAAGGACAUAGUUCUUCCUUUGAUUUCAUAAGCAGGAGUAUCUAUAUCCAUAUUCGAUGAAGAACCACCGGCAGAACUUGAAGAUGCCAUUGAUAUGAAGUGGUUUUAGGGUUCUAAAGAGUUUUUGAGAGGAUGAGAGAAUGUGCUUACUUACACAGAGGGUUGAGAAGAAAUUAGAAAGUGUUUGUUGUGAAGUGAGAAGUGUGUGAAAUGACUUAGUGUUUUUUAUUAAAACGUUUGUAAUUCAGAAGGGACAAACAAACACAGCAUUAAUGACAAAUUGGGGGCGCGUGUAAGUAUGUUAAAAAGCGAAUAAAAACAUCAUUGCCCUUUUUGUUAUACUCCAAUACAAAUAGACCACGUCAGAGACUCUUCAGAAAACUACCUUUUGGGUAAUGGGACAGCUGUUACAUAAAGUAACUGCCAGCGUUCCCACUAACCAAGCUAUUCAGAAGCAAAGAAUAACACUUCUGAAGUUUUAGUGCUGACGUCAUCUUCAGAAGCACAUUUUCCUCAGAACCUCAGUUUAAGAGCUUCUGAUGAACCAAAAAUGCUCCUGAAUAAACUUCAGAACCAAACUUCUUAUUCAGAGGCAAGCCAUUUUUCAAUCAGACACAAAAUGCAUGUUCAAAUUUUUCUUAAUAAAAUCAAAUCUUUCAACAGACAAAGGUUUUGCAAAUAUAUCAGCCCAUUGAUGUUCAGUAUCAAUGAAUUGUAUAUCUAAAAUUCCUUUUUGAACAUAGUCUCUGAUAAAAUGGUGUUUGAUUUCAAUAUGCUUGGCUCUUGAAUGUAGAAUUGGAUUCUUUGACAAACAAAUAGCAGCAGUAUUAUCACAAUAAAUGGGAAUACUGUUAGCAUUGAUCUGAUAGUCUUCCAACUGAUGUUUCAUCCAAAGUAGUUGUGUGCAACAACUUGCAGCUGAAAUGUACUCUGCUUCUGCUGUAGACAUAGCAAUAGUUGCUUGUCUUUUGCUUGCCCAGGAUAUCAGAUUCUCUCCCAGGAAUUGACAAUUUCCACUGGUUGAUUUUCUUUCAAUCCUAUCACCAGCAUAAUCAGCAUCACAGAAUCCAAUCAACUUAUAAUCUAGGGAUUUCCUAUACAGGAGUCCAAGAUUAGUUGUUCCUUUCAGAUACCUGAAGAUUCUCUUAACUGCAGUUAAAUGAGAUUCUCUAGGAUCUGAUUGAAAUCUUGCACACAAGCAUACACUGAAUAAAAUAUCAGGUCUAGAUGCAGUGAGGUAUAACAGAGAACCAAUCAUACCUCUGUAUAGCUUCUGGUCUACUACUGUUCCAGUAUCUUCUUUGCUUAAGGUGCAGGUUGGAUGCAUUGGAGUGUUCAUCACUUUACAAUCUUCUAGCUUGAACUUCUUCAGAAGCUCCUUUGUAUAUUUUGUUUGAUGAACAUAUACUCCUUCUUUACUUUGGUUGAUUUGAAUUCCCAGAAAGAAUUUCAAUUCUCCCAUCAUACUCAUUUCAAAUUCAUCCUGCAUUAACUUAGAAAAUUCUUUGCAAAGAGAUGCAUUAGUAGAACCAAAUAUUAUAUCAUCAACAUAUAUUUGCACAAUCAAAAUAUCUUUCUUAAGAGUCCUUCUGAAGAGUGUUGUGUCAACUUGUCCUCUUUCAAAAUCAUUUUUAAUUAAGAAAUUACUUAGUCUAUCAUACCAAGCUCUGGGAGCUUGUUUCAAGCCAUAUAGUGAUUUCUUAAGUUUAUAAACAUGGUCAGGAUGCUUAAGAUCCUCAAACCCAGGAGGUUGUUUAACAUACACUUCUUCUUCAAUGACACCAUUAAGAAAAGCACUUUUGACAUCCAUUUGAUAUAAUAUUAUGCCAUGAUUAAUUGCGUAGGAUAGAAGUAACCUGAUUGCUUCCAAUCUUGCAACUGGAGCAAAUGUUUCAGUGUAAUCAAUGCCUUCUUGUUGACUGUAGCCUUGAGCAACAAGUCUGGCUUUGUUUCUGGUUACUUCUCCUUGUUCAUUCAGCUUGUUUCUGAAUACCCAUUUUGUUCCAAUAAUGUUCUUCUGAGAAGGUUUGGGUACCAGAUCCCACACAUCAUUCCUUUGGAAUUGAUUUAGCUCUUCUUGCAUAGCUAAUAUCCAUCCGUCAUCUGAGAGAGCUUCUUCAACAGUUUUAGGCUCAAUUAUUGAAAGCAGUCCUAUUAGAGACUCUUCUUGUCUAAAAUGUGAUCUUGUUCUUCUAGGACUAUCUUUGCUUCCAAUGAUUAACUCCUCAGGAUGUGAAGAUUUGUGCUUGAAUUUAGGUUGAAUAACCUGCUGAGUGUUAUCUUGAAAGUCCUCAGAAGCACUUUCAUUCUGUACUUUUGGGCUAGGUUCUGCUUCUGAAUUAGACUCAGCUUCUGGAGUGAUUUCAGCUUCUGGACAAGAUUCAACUUCUGUAUACUUUUCAGAAUCAGAAGGUUGAUCAGAUUCUGAUGCAUCUUCAGAAUCAGUUGUACCUGCAUUACUUUCACUUUGCUCUGAAGUUUUACUUCCAGGCUCUCUAUCAUCAAAUUUUACAUGCAUAGAUUCUUCAACACAUUGUGUUUCUGAAUUAUACACUCUGUAUGCCUUUGACCUUUCAGAGUAACCUAAAAAGAUUCCUCUUUGAGCCUUGGCAUCAAAUUUCUUCAGAUAGUCUUUAGUGUUUAAGAUGUAACAAGUACAUCCAAACUGAUGAAAGUAAGAGAUAUUGGGUCUUCUUCCUUUAAAGAGUUCAUAUGUUGUUUUCUCCAACAUAGGUCUGAUAUAGAUCCUAUUUUGAAUAUAACAUGAAGUAUUGACUGCUUCUGCCCAAAAAUGUUUAGCUAAGUUGUUUUCAUGGAUCAUGGUUCUGGCCAUUUCUUGUAAGGUUCUGUUCUUUCUUUCUACAACCCCAUUUUGUUGUGGAGUUCUAGGAGAAGAAAACUCAUGGAGAAUCCCAUGUUUUUCACAAAAAAGUUCAAAUGGCUCAUUUUCAAAUUCUCCACCAUGAUCACUUCUGACUUUCAAAAUUUUCAAUUCUUUUUCAGAUUGUAUUUGAGUGCAGAAGCUGCUAAACACUUCACAUGCAUAGUCUUUACUUUUAAUGAAUUUUACCCAAGUCCAUCUGCUGUAAUCAUCAACAAUGACUAAUCCGUAUUUACUUCCAUAUAAAGAUGCAGUGUUAACUGGACCAAAAAGAUCAAUAUGGAGUAAUUCUAAGGGUCUGGAGGUUGAUAUAAUGUCCUUAGAUUUGAAAGAACUUUUCACAAUUUUCCCUUUCUGACAUGCACCACAAAGUGCAUCUGAAUGAUAAUCAAUGUUAGGCAAUCCUUUGACCAGUUGUAACUUGCUAAUUUUAGAAAUUAAUCUCCAAUUAGCAUGUCCCAACCUUUUAUGCCAUACCCAUUUUUUAUCAUUCAUUGACAGAAGGCAAACUACCUUCUGAUCAGCCAGAUCAGAGAAAUUUAUUUUAUAAACAUUCUCAACUCUCUUUCCCUUGAAUGUAAUGGAUUUGUCAUCCUUGUUGACUAGUGUGCAGUUGGUCUUACUGAACGUUACAUCAUACCCAUUGUCACAAAAUUGACUAAUGCUCAAUAGGUUAUGCUUCAGACCAUCUACUAGCCACACAUUAUUAAUUGAGAUGGAGGAAUUACCAAUAGUACCUGUACCAAUGAUCUUUCCAGUUUGGUUGCCACCAAACUUCACUUCUCCUCCAUCUUUCAUUGUAAGGGUAAGGAACAAAGCUUUCUCUCCAGUCAUGUGCCUUGAACAUCCGCUGUCUAGGUACCAUGACCUUUGUUUCUCUCUUGCCCUUAAGCACACCUGCAUUUUUGGCCAAUUCAGAUUUAGGUACCCAUAUCUUCAUGGGUCCUUUUGGGUUAGUUUUGGAGGUUUUACUUUUCCUCCCUUGCACCUUAGGGUGAAUGCUGAGUGGCUUCUGAUCAUUCAAUACUUUGGGUUUGACACCUUUUGGUAUUGUUUUCUCAGAAGCAGUAGCUGCUUUGUUCUUCUGAUCCUUUUGUUUUGGAAUUUUAGAUUCUGGUUUAAUCAGAUUCUGAUGAACAGGUUCUGAUCUUUUCAGAAUUUUAAUCUUUUGACUCUUAGGAUCAGAUUUUGUCAUUACCUUGAUCUUAAGAUUCUCUGGCUUUGAUGUGAUCUUAGCCUGUGAACCUGAAGCUUCAGGUUUUGACUGAACAGCAGUUAUAGCAUUUGUACCUUCAGGCACAAAGGUGGAUUUCAAUCCAUCCUUGAUACAAUCACAGUAGCUCUUGAGACUGUAUUCUUUGGAUUUCUCCUCAGAAUAUCCAAUCCCUUUGCCUUUGUUCUUGUAUGUGCUGUAGAUCAUAGAAGCAACUUUGCUUCUGUCUAUUCCAGCCAUAAUAAAAUCAUCCAAGGCAAUCUCAUGUUUAUUGCCUGAACCUUUAUCACAUUUUUCUUGUAGCUUCUGACAAAGACUCUUGAGUCUAUCUUCAUAUGUUGUUGAUAUGAGGUUAAACCCUUUGAGUUCUUCUUCAGAAGCUUUCAGUUCCAAUAGAGUUGAUUUUUGUUGUUUCAUCAAAUCAACAUAUUUUUCUUUUAAAUCUGUCAACUCAUUGGUUCUGUGUUCAAACAGUGAUAAAAGUUCUUUUAGAGAAUCAACAAGUUCUUGUCUAGGGAUUUUGGAAUAUACCUCAUUUUCAUCUUCUGAAUCUGAUUCAGCUUCUGAUACUGCUUCUGAUGAUACUGUUGCCACUAAUCCAACGGCUGCCUUAGCAUCAUCAUCAGCUUCUUCUUUAUCAGAACCAGAUUCACUAUCCAAAUCUUCCCAGGUCGCCAUCAAGCUCUUUUUGAUUUGCUUUCUGAAUUUACUGGAGUUGAAGCUUGAUUUCUUGGAUUUGCCUUUAAACUUCUCCUUCUGAAGAUCAGGGCAAUCAGCAAUGAAAUGACCAGGCUUCUUACAAUUGAAGCAUCCCUUCUGAUCUUCUUUCUUGAAGUUCUUGUAGCUACCUCUCUUGCUCAAAAAUUUCUUCUGCUUCCUUGCCAGAUACUCAAGCUUGUUGGACAGCAUAGCCAUCUUUACAGAUUGAUCUUCAUCAGAAUCUCCAUCAGGUGAUUCUUCUUCAGAUUCACUGGCUUUGUAGGCUUUGGAAGACUUUGAGGUCUUUCCUUUAGAUGGUAAAGCAAUGGAUUUACUCUUCUUAGAGGUUUCAUGCUCAUUUAAACUCAUUUCAUGCACUUUGAGUGAGCUAACAAGAUCUUCAACACUUAAAGUAUUUAGAUCCUUAGCUUCCUCAAUAGCAGUUACUUUGGGUCUCCAUCUUGAAGGUAAGCUUCUCAAAAUCUUACUAACAUGAUCAGAAGCAACAUAGCUUUUCUUCAGUAUCUGCAAUCCAGAAACUAAAGUUUGAAAUCUUGAGUACAUUUCUUCUAUACUCUCAUCAUCCUUCAUUCUGAAAAGUUCAUACUGAUGAACUAGCAUCAAAGCUUUAGCCUCUUUCACCUUCUUGCUGCCUUCAAAGUUGGCACAUAGUGACGCAAACAUAGCCUUCGCAGUAGAUUUGUCACUCAUCUUCAUGUAUUCAGUGCGAGGUAUAGAAGCCACAAUAAUCCCUCUGAUUUUGUGGUGCUUCUUGUAAAGCUUCUUCUGAGCAGGAGUAUGUAUUUUUCUAUCUAUAGCAGCUCCUUCUUCAUCUAAAUCCAGGUCAUCAACUCCAUCUUCCAGUAUGUCCCAUAACUCUUCAUCUAAUCCCAUGAUAAAGCUGUACAUAUUAGUUUUCCACCAAGAAAACUCUUCUGGAUCUCCAUUAAACCUUGGAGCUUUUCCAGAGUCUGUUUUCUUGUCAGCAGUAUCAUAGUCAUGCUUGACGCUUGUGUAUUUUGGAGUAACUGAUUCCUCAUCUCCAGACAUGUUUUUCUAAUAGAUCUUGAACUGUAACACGGUUAAGUGCUGUGAUAACAGAGCAGGCUCUGAUACCAAUUGAAGGUGAAAAACACAAGAAGGGGGGGGUUGAAUUGUGUUUUCUUUUUCUCUUAAAAAAGGAUUCUUCUUCUGAUAAAACUUCAGAAGCAGUUUGAUUGCUUCUGAUGAAAUGAUCAGAGUCAGAUUGCAGCGGAAAAGAACAGAGCAGAGAAAAGAAAGACAAAGACACAGGCAGUUAUCCUGGUUCCUUCCACAACACGGAAGUAGUCCAGUCCCCCUUGCACUUCCAAGGAGAUUUCACUAUAAUCACAAGAUUACAACUGCUCAAUACUUUCAAAGUAUGAGACUUCACAAAACAAUGCUCAAGCACACACGCAAGAGUCUUCCAAUGCUCAAGCACUAAGCAAGAGACUUCUAAUGCUCAAGCACGCAGGCAAGAGACUUCUAAUCAAACAAAAAUACAGAGAAUUGAGUUUGAAUUGAACACUUGAUAUACAAUCAGUGGUGUUCACAAUACAAUACAGAAAAGACUCUAGACUUUGAAUUUCUAAGAUGUAUCAAAUCAGUGCAGAAAUUCAGUGUGCUUUGUAGAAUCAAAUUGACAGAGUUUUGGCGCUUUUGAACUUAUGUAUCUCUAUCUAAAAUCUUCAAGUCUUCAUUCCUUUAUAUAGAGGCGUGAAAGAGACGUUGAGAUAAUCAGCACGUCUAAAGAGUCGUUUGAAAUCCUUUGAUUAUCCACCAGUGAUCCUUUGCCUGAUUUGGGUGUAGUCCUUUGAAGGAUAAACUUCAAAUUCAUUCCCAUCUUGAGUGUACAAAUUCUGCAGGCAUGGCUGUUGUUUUGUCUUGUAGCGUAGACAGAAAACAGAGUAGUGGAGGUAGUGGUUGUACACUUGUACUUUGUCAACUCUAUUAAUGAGAGACAAGUGCUCAGUGCUAUCCAUAUAUCCGUUGAUACCUCCCUUUCAAUUCUUCAUUCUUCUUUGAUAAGACUGAAUUGAGAAUCAGCAACUUUGAAUCUUCAGUUUGACUAAAGGAUCAAAUGUAGCUUCUGGUGAAAAUAUUGCUUCUGAUGAAAACUUUUGCUUCUGAUGACUUUCUGCUUCUGAUGACGUCAUCUCUUCAGGAGCAGUUUAGCUUCAGGAGCAGUUUUCUUCAGAUGCUCAGAAUUUCUUUUUCUUUCCAUUGUUCUUCCAAGACCUAUUGAAAUAACUUGAGUAGCCUUUGGUCCUGUACACUUGAACAAUUAUUAGUAAUAACCAAUUGACAAUUUUUAAUACCUUGUUAUCAUCAAAACUUAAUAAGGUUCAUUGUGAAACACAUUUUGUUCCAACAUGGCCAAAUUUAGUGAAUAGGGAAAGGACCCAUAACAGCUCACUCGCCGUGUCAGCCAAGGCUUUAUAUUCUGCUUCUGUAGAAGAGCGAGCAACAGAACAUUGUUUUAGAGAGCUCCAAGAGAUGGGCGUGCUGCCAAGAUAUAAUAGAUAACCAGUGGUCGCCUGCCCAGUCCGCAUCUGAGUAGGCAUGGAGAUUUAAUGGGUCGGUCGUCGAAAUGAAGACACCUUUGUCACAGGAACCCGCCAAAGUAUAGGAGCACUCUUUUGAGUGCAGUCCAAUACACCGUUCUGGAGUUUUGCAUGAAUUGGGCGAGUUUGUUUGUGUUGAAGGCAAUGUCUAGGAGAGUAAGGCUCAAGUGUUGGAGGCUUCCAACGAGCGCUCGAUACUCGGUUGGGGACGUACGGUAGGAGAUCGCCGGAAUCCUUGAGUAACUUAUUUGUGGCAGACAAUGGAGCGAAUGUUUGUUUUGUAUCUGCCAUGCCUGACUUAUGCAGUAGAUCAGUGAUAUAUUUCCUUUGGGAAAGGAAUAUGCCCGUAGUAGAGGGAAUAACUUCGACCCCCAAGAAAUAAUUAAGACAUCCAAGGUCUUUCAAAGAAAAACGAGCAGCAGGUGUGGCGAUGAGUGUUGAGACCUCUGCAGGAGAACUCCCAGUGACAAUGAUAUCAUCAACAUAUACUAAUAAGUAUGGUGUGUAACGCCCUCUUUAAUUAUUUGAUUAUUUUAAAUGAGUUUAGAAUAUACUUAUAUGAUUUGUAUGAUUUAUUUUGAUGAGUGAUAUUUUGUUAUGUUAUAUGUUGGUAUUUAUUAGUAUAAUAUAUAUGUUAUUUGAUUUAGAAAUAUGUAUAUGUUAUUUGAUUUAGAAAUAUAUAUAUGUUAUUUAGAAAUAUAUAUGUUAUUUGAUUUAGAAAUAUAUAUAUGUGAUUUAGAAAUAUGUAUAUGUUAUUUGAUUUAGAAAUAUAUAUAUAUAUAUGUUAUUUAGAAAUAUAUAUGUUAUUUGAUUUAGAAAUAUAUAUGUUAAUUGAUUUAGAAAUAUACAUGAUUUGUCAUAGAAAUAUACAUGAUCUGUUAUAGAAAUAUAUAUGAUUUAUGGUAGAAAUAUAUGUCAUUUGCUAUGGAAAUAUAAAUGAUUUGUUAUAGAAAUAUAUAUAAUUUGUUGUAGAAAAUAUAUGUUAUUUAGUAUGGAAAUAUAUAUAUGUUAUAGAGAUACAUUUGUUAUUUAUUAUUGUUAUAGAAAUAUUUUAUAAUAUAUAUAUAUAUAUAUAUUAGAAUAGAAUAUUAAGAUUGGGAUAUAAGAGAAAAAUAAGUAGGUUAAGGAUUUAUAUAAAUAGGAGAGACCUAGUUUAGAAAAAACAUAACGUACGACUGUUUUUGGAGAAAAGGGAGAAAAAGUCAAGAGAAGAGGGAGAAGACCUAGAGGCUGCGAUUUUUAUUCUUUAAGGUAAGGGUGAGACUAACUUUGCAAUUCUAUUAAGUAUGUGAAUCAAUUGUUAGGUUUAACAUGAUGUAGGAUGAGUUUUGAGGAAUUGAAAAGUAGGUUAAAAUUGUAGAAUUAAUGAAUAAACGGUGGAAACUUGUUAAAAAGAUGUAGAAACUGUUCUUAGACCUUAGAUAAUGAUUAAGAUGAAUUCUGGAAUUGAGAUUAAGCUUAAAACCAUGAGAGUUGAUGAUUUUUAGGCAAAACUGCACUUCUGCUUGUAGCGACAUUCAUCGCUCGCCUCCCGAGCUAUGAUCCUCGCCACGGCGAGUGAUGAACUUCAUCGCUCGCCACGCGAGCAACCUUUCCUCGCCUCGCGAGUUGCACGUUGCAGCUCGCCAUAGCGAGCAGUUGAACUCGCCUCGCGAGCUUGACCAGAGAGCAUGCAAGAUUUCGUGAUUUUGACUUUUGAGUUGAACCUUAGAUGUCUUUGAGUACCUUUAGGUGUCUACUAGAUAUUAGAGGAUUAAUUAGAACAAGAUUGAACCUGGAACAACCUUAGUUGGGAAUCUGGCUUGUACUCGCCAUGGCGAGCGGAUGCUCUCGCCUCGCGAGCACUUCCAGAAUUGAGUGCAUUUGAGGAUUUUGAGACCUGAGUUGCUUGGAUUGAUUAGGAGAGGAACCUUAGGUACUAAUGAGACCUAUUUAAGAUGUUAACUGAGAACUGUGAAGCUAUUGUGAAAUGUUAAGUGAUUAUAAUGUGAUAUAAUGUUUUAUGCAUUACCUAAGAAUUAUUUGAAUACUCAAGAUGUUGUUGAAUUGAAAUUGAUAAUAUUAUGUCAUGCUGUUUGUAUGCUGCCUAUGUUGCUGUUGUUGGUUAUGUGAAAUAUUUAUAUGCCUUAUGUGGAAAAUGUAUGAUGUUUAAGUUGUUGAUGCUUCACAUUAAUAUUGUUAUGUUGUGAAUUGCUUGUGCUGUUUCUGUUGCUGUUAUGAACUGCUAAGUUGUUUGUAAUGUGAUUUAAUGAUUAAAUGCAUUACUCUAAAUAUUAAUGAAUGAUCAAGAUGUUGUUGAAAUGAAUUGUUAUUAAGCUUGAUUGAUUAUGCUGCAAUUGUUAUUUAACUAAGUUGCAUGAGUAUGAAUAUGUUGAUGAUGAACUCCAAAUUAUUGGAUGUAUAAGUGAUAAGUUGAUUAAGGUGUCUUGUUGAUAGAGUCCAUGCAUUAGCAUUCAUUGAGCUUUGUCCUCACCAUGAUUAGGAGCUUUGUCCUCCGCACGAUAGGAGUUUUGUCCUCCGCACGAUUAAAGUAUAUUAAUACUUAUGAUGACGAUUGGUACCACAUGCAUAUAAGUGUCUAAGUUGCAUUGUCGCAUCUGUCGAGUCGAAGUCGUUGUUGAUGAAUUAUCAUCUAUGAGUUGUUAAGUGUACUUGAUGAUGUUUAUGUUAAGUUGAUAGGUUGUCUUUUAUUCAUGAAUUGAUAAUGAGAUGUUUGAUGAAUAAGUAUUAUUAUGAAUUGAUGAUGUUACGUAUAAUUGCUAAGUUGUCUUCUAUUAUGAGUUGCUAAUGAGAUGCUUGGUGGAGAAAUGUUAUUACGAAUUAAUGAUGUCGUUAUGUUGUAUAUGAAUUAUGAUUAUGAUGUGAUGAUCUACGUUGGUUAGGAUUUAGUUAUUAUGUGUUAUAUGAUGAUGUUUAUAAUGUGAUGAAUAUGAAGUAAAUGAUAAUUAGAAGUUGGUUGAGUUAUUAAGAAUUAUUACAUGAAAGAUUAUUAUUAUUAUUAAUAGAGGAAGUUAUUUGUGUUGUUAAAUAUAAUUAUUGAAUUAUAUGCUUGAUAUUAUUGUUUUGUGAAAUCUCACCCCUUCUGCUUGAAAAUGUUGCUCUUCGUAUGAGUAACUUGCAGGUGAUCGAGUUUAAGUUGCUGUUAGAUUACUGUUGUGAGUGGAUUAGCUCUCAUGUGUGUCUUUAGAUGCUCUGAUACGUAACGGGAUGGAAAUUUUAUUGUUGUCUUUCUAUUCCUUACGUAUUGUUUUUAAGAAGAUUUAUGACUAUGUUUUUAGAUUGGAUUAUAUGAGAUAAUUAUGAAGAGGCCUUCGUGCCAAAGACUAUUUUAGAUGUUGAAAUAAAUUCCGCUGCGAAGUAUUAAAGAUUUUGUUAUUGAAUUUUAAAGGAUAAAUAGUUAUUUAUUCAGUUUAUGACUUUAAGAAAAGAAUGUGACAUUCCGUUUUUGUGAAUACUCUGAUUAAUUAAAUGAAAUUUUUACAUUGGGAAAACGGGGUGUUGCAUGGUGGAACACCUGGUUUGUGGUGGAUGAAUAAAGAGGCAUCAGCAGUGGAGUUGACGAAGCCAAGGGAUAAAAGGAAUACUCGAAGCUCCGUAUACCAGGCACGAGGUGCUUGCCUUAAGCCGUAAAGUGCAUUUUUGAGACGACAAAUAUGAUCAGUGAAGUUUUUCUCGACAAAUCCAGGUGGUUGUAACAUGAAUACUUCCUCCUUGAGUGUACCUUGGAGGAACGCAUUGUUAACAUCAAGCUGGCGAAGGGACCAUCCUUGACGAACUGCAAGUGUAAGGAGAAUUCGAAUAGUCGCCGGUUUAACAACUGGACUGAAUGUUUUUGUGUAGUCACAACCAAGGCGUUGAUGAAAUCCUAUGGCGACUAGUCGUGCCUUGUUACGAUCAGUGGAGCCAUCCGGAUUUCGUUUGAUACGAAAAACCAAUUUACAUCCAACCAAAUUCUGAGCAAAGGACCGGCUAACAAGAUCCCAUGUGUUAUUGUUCUGUAAGGCAUCAAAUUCAUCUUGCAUAAUCGAGCGCCAAUCAUGGUCACGAAGGGCUUGAGUGAUAUUGCUUGGUUCGAUGGGACAUAAGGGGCGAACAUGAAGGUUAAGCUUUUUGAUGGUUUUAACAAUGUUGUUUUGAGAACGGGUGAUGAUCCCACCGACGUUGGUAGUGUGGUUGUUGUGUGGGCGAGCAGUGGGUGGGGGCGGUGGUGGAGGUGUUGGCGAUGUAGUGAUGUUGGCCAGUUCAUUGGAUGUUGGAGAUGCGGGCGAGGAUAUUUGAAUGUUUUGGGCGACCUCAUUGGAGUUUGGUGAAGAGGGCGAAGAUGUUUGAGUGGAUUCGGCGAGCUCGCUGGAUGUUUUUGAGGACGGCGACUGUUGUUGAGUGGUGUGAGCGAGGUCAUUGGGCAUUGGUGAUGAGGGCGCAGACGGGUGAGUGAUAUGGGCGAGAUCAUCUGACAUUACACCACUGACAUUUGCCGAGGAAGGGUUUGCGAUUUCCAGGGCGUUGAUUUGAUUGUGUGGGGAGCUUGGCAGGGCGCCGUUUGUUGUUGGGUCUUACCUGAGCAUUCAAGGCAGUGAAUGGGGCAGGGGGUUGUUGCUGAACAGCGGCGAUUGAUAGUUCCUGGAUGAGAAGCUUCUCAAGAAGGUCGUCAAAGGUAAUUAAGUUAUCCCUUGCAUUCACUCCGUCAUUGACAGAGCUAUAGCCGUCGUCGUGGCCAAGUGUUUAGUUUAAGAAACCCAUCCAACCAUAGCCAUUUUGACCUACAUUUACAUAAAUAAAUAAAAUGUUAAUAUUAAUAAAAAACUUACAAUAGCAACAAAAACUGAACACAUUUCAUUAUGAAAAUAGGAUAGAACAACUCUUCCCAUUCAGCAAAAAAAAAAAUAAUAAUAAAUACAUUUGUUCCUUCCUUGUAGCUAUGAAGCUUUGGGGACAGAUAAUUUAAAACGCAAGUCCUCACCAAGGGCACGCAUGGAUAGCACGAAAGGAAAUACGUCGAGCUGCAGAAAGCCAGGCGGCCACGGACUAUGUGGUUUGAGCCACUGCGAGACACGUCCUAUGACAAUGCAAAAAGCCAGACAACAAUCGAUGGAUUUCUGGUAAUGAACUGUAAAAGAAGAAAUGAAUGCUUAGGUCAUAGUUAGAGAAAAGUUCCAAAAAUAACUGACUGGACAGUCUGAAAUUCUCAUGCACACCAUUAUGCAGAAAACCAGAAACCUAACUUGCUACAAUUGUGAAAAGGAAACGUGCAUUCAAAAUGAGAAGAAAAAAAAAGAGAGGUUAAUUUCAUCAGAUAAAAGGACUUUCAAUCUAUGUAGUCAUAGAAUUUCAUUUCUAUUUUUGAUGUACUAAACUACAAUUUUGUUAUGAAACACAUAUAAGAUGAAGUUUUGAUCUAAUUUUACCUGCCGGAAAAAGGUACACAUUUACAUUAAUGGUCUUCAUACUACUUCUUUUCAUAAUACCUAAGAAAUGACAAGUUAUUGCUAUUUGAAAAUAUAUUAUUUUCGGAUAAUGAUCAACUUCUUUUUAAAAAGAUGUUUCGAAAAUAUUAUGAUUAUAAGAACUUAUGCUUUCAAAGUAUAAGGAUCUUACUUGUAACAGCAUUCAUCUAUAUGAUCCACCGCAAUUUAUUAGACGUCAGUUGAAAAGCUUCCAUCACCUUUUAAGAGUUCUGGACUGAAGGGAUAUAGCUGGAGGACGCGAGAGAUGGAUUCCCAAACUUUCAUCAGACCUGAUUGCUUUUGAUGCCUCUGAAGCAUCCUUAUGUACUAGUUGAACAAAAAUUCAAGUUGAUAGCUAUGGCUUCUCCAUUCUGCAAGUCACAAGCAUUCAAAUAGAUGUGAUAAGUAACACAAUAUACAGUUAUGCUGCAACAGAGAAGAUCGAUAUUGAUUACUCGACAAAUUUUUGUACUCCCUCUAAACUUGUCAUCAUUCUUUUUGUCUGAUUUUCAAUCACAAUAUCUCCCCACUUCAAACAAUAUGCAUUAUUAACUUUCAUGAAAUUCAUUUUACUUGUUGUUUCGUUUUUGACAUGCAGGUUUGUGACUAACCCAAGAUAAUACGUUAUCGUAGUAGCUAUUUGAUUGGUUGACUUAAGGAUUUGAUAUAAACGUCUACCACUCUGCAAUGCACUUGCGUUUCAUUUUUAACAUACAGGUUUAGGACAAUCUUAGAAAAUACUUCAUUCUUCUCUAUGUAGGACCGAGACAAAUACGUUCAUCGGACACGACACUGCCAUGCCGACACUACAUGUAUUAGUGUCCGACACCGAAUACGCUUUUGAAGUCAAGUCUUACAAGCUGUUUGUGUCUGAGACCUUAGGGUAGCUCCUAAGGACAACAAACUAAUAAAAGUAAAGGAAUGGAAAGAGAAAUGAAUCCCAGAUUGUCUUGAUUAAGCUUUUAUAUCCAAACAUGUAAAUUUGAACCACAUACAAACAAAUCAUUUUCAGGAAUUCCUUUUCAAGUGAAGUUGAACUCAUAUUUUCUUCUAAAGAAUUUUCAAAUGGUCAUUCAGAUAUAUAACAAACCUUCCAAUCGGCCAUAAUAUAUAAAUCCAAACAUAAAAAGGUUUCAGAAUAUAUACUAACAACUUAAUUUAAAAUGAAUGACUAAUAUAUAUUUAUCCAAACUUAUAAGGUUUCAAUAUUUUGCCAUUAAAACAACAAACCAUAUUAAUGCUUCUGUUAGAGGAAAUUUUGUUGACAGUCUGUAGCUUAAAACUGAAACAAUUCAAACUAAUUAGCGUUUUGUACUUUGCCGCAUAGCUAGACCCUGAUUUCUUGUUUUUGCAGCCAAACACAUGUUCAACUUACAACUAGACAUUAAAUUAUUGGGAAUAAUAUGGUAUGAACUUUAAUAUAUAUAAUACAGACAUUAAUCAAAUUGUGGAUAACAACUAAAGCAAAUUUACUGGUUGAAAAUGCAGCAAGGACAAACAAUACAUUGUGACUGUGCCCAAACGAUACUCAUGUGAUCACGAAAAGAACAGUGUUCAUCCAUUUCCUACUCUUAUUUCCUAUAUGCAAUGCAAUGGUGUCCAUAGAGGAAAAAGAGUGCUAUGGAUGUCACUCAAAUCCAACGCCAGAGACAAGAAGCUGAAAACCCUAAAAUUUUCUCUAUCAGUUGGUAGCCACAGAGGAGAAAAAUCAGCACUCAUCACCGCUGGGAUAAAAUAUGAUGAUGCAGAAACCAGGGAUAUUGAAGCUGAAGGUCGGGUGUUGUGAUGUUUCUGCCAUUGUGUCAGUGAGCAGAAAGGUGAACAUUUGACCGGGAUUGAAAGUUUGAGGGAUCGUGUCAAGGAAUGUCCAUAGGGAAUCCUCACAAUCGAGCCGGUUAGGAAGCCUAUCUUGUAAGAGUCUCCAACCAUACACAACUUUUUUUAGCACUGAUGUGAGCCAUAAUCUAUGCACUGCCUUCAAUAAUUCAUCGUCGAAAUCAUUGAAAAACGCAAAUUUCACAGCUCUUGAUAACAUCCUUUCUCUGAGAAUCUGCUGUACUCUCCGGCAACAAUUUAACAAAAUCUGAUACAGGUUCCUGCAGCUAUAAAUUUUCCACCAUUCUUUGCUCAUUCCCAUUCAGACUUCGCCACCAGCACCAGCGCCAAACCUGUAUAUUUUCCGCCUACAUCCGCUUUUGCGACAUGGUAUUGCAUCUGUCUGCAGCCAAUAUGUACAGUUCAGGAAAUAGAAACUGAUUGGUUGGUUACACUUCCACAAUUCAUUGCAAAGUAAUGUGGUUUUCACCAUUUCCUAUCGCACUUCUAAGAAGAGUUGCAAACCAGUUUGGUUCAAUGUCAAUAUCCCUUCCAAUUCUAUUGAGGGAUGCUUUAAUUACUUUUAUGGUAAAAUACACUCGUCAAAUAUGUGCUAAGGUUUUUGAAGUUGAUCAUAUGAAUAUUCAAUUAUAUCUUCUAAUAAUUUCUGUGAUUAUAUAUUGUAAUUACUUAGAAUAUGGAAAGUAUGGGUAGCAUGUGUAAAGCUGGCUGUUAUGGGUUUUUUUGGCUCAUGAAUUUGUUGGUGGUAUCUCAUUCUGUGUUGGUUUAGAGUUCUCUUCCUUUAGUUUUUGGUCCAAUGGGGGGUGAACUCUAGUGAUUUCACUAAUUAGUUUUUUAUCAGCUCCGGUUACUGGUUUUUGGCCUUGUGGGAGGUUCUUAGUUUUUUCUCAUUUUAAUGGGUUUUGGCUUACUCUCCCAUUCUGGAUGGUACAAUAAUUAUAUUUUAAAAGCUAUUAUGAUAUAAUAUAUACAAUACCUUUUUUAUGAGAAUAUUCAAAGUCUAGUUGUAAUUAAAAAUCAAACACUUUUAUUUAAGAAAUGUUAGUUCACAUCAUUGAAUAGAGAUUUGAGAUGAACCAUCUGUCAGAAUCAUACAUACAUUUGUUGUUGCUGCGACACAAGUUCUGUUGCAGAAAAAUGAUUUGGCAGAAAACUGCUUUUACACAAGAAUACCUUAUUAAUUACAAGAGCCAUACAGUGUUGUUUCUGCUACUCAAGUUCUGUCUCAAAAAACUUCUGAGUUCUGAUCUUCAUCUGCUUUAAUCUUUCUAUACGGAUUCAAGUUUGUGUACUAAGAUUGAAAUUCUCAAAACCAACGGAUUCUAUGCUGCGAGCAAUCUCUAGACAUGUCGCAUGACAAUGCAAAUAGCCAGAUGACUACAGAUGGUUUCCUGACAAUGUACAGACAAAGAACAAGUAAAUGCUUAGUUUUCGUUAGAGAAAAGUUGCCUGAGUUUCAAACAUAAUUUCUUUAUGUUUAUUUCAACAAGAGAGAAUCCACUCUUGAAAUUGUCAUACAAACCAUUAUGCAGAAAACAAAAAAUUCUGACAUGUUACGGUCAAAAUGAGAAAAUAAAAUGAAAUUCAGUUUAAAAUAUUAAUAAAUCAUAUGAAGGAAAUAUGAAUUCUUGAGAUACAUUAAGGAGUAGCAGAUCGAAGUAAAUUAAUUUUUCCUAUUGUAAGUACAAAACCAAAACUUAGAAUUAUAAAAAAGGCUUCUUUAUACCAUGAAGUACAUACAUUUAAAUAUUUCCUGAACAGAUUUUUUUAAUUUUUUUUUUUUUUGCAAUUUUUAAUCCCUUAAACUAUCUAUUUAACUGUGAUAUAAGAUGAAGUUUGUAUCUAAAUUGACCUGUUGGACAAAAGAUACACAUUUUUAUAACGGUCUUCAUACACCCUAAGAAAUGACAAGUCAUGCAUAUUUAUAAAGAUUAUAAUUAAAAGUAUUUAUGGUUUCAAAGUAUAAGGAUCUUACUUGUAACAACAUUCACAGAGGAUCCGCCGCAAUUUAUUGGAUGUGGUGCAAUUUAUUAGAUGUUUUUGUGGAUAUGUCCAACUUCCACCACAGCUUUUAAAAGUUCUGGACUGAAGGGAUAUAGGUGGAGGCCCUGAGAGAUGGAUUCCCGACCCCGAUCCGAAACAUUCAUCAGACCUGAUUGUUUCAGAUGCCUCUGAUAGCUCUGGAUUCAACUUUCCACUGGUCACAUGCAUUCAAAUAGAUUUGAUAAGUAACAUAAUAUACAGUUAUGCUCAACAGAUAAGAUCCAUAUUGAUUAUUUCGACAAAACUAAGCAUUUAGCUCACUGUAAACCUCGUGUGUGCUUAUAAGCUAGUGGAAUUUUUAUGAAUUAUGUAUCAUGUUUGAAUUGCAAUCACGUUAAAUUUCAUUCAUAAAAGUUAAAAAUCCAAAUAGCCUGAAAGCAUAUAACAUUAGUUAGGACUUCUUCAAGUUUAUGAAACGUAUAUGUUUACUAGCUAAUAGUAAAGCCACUUUCUUAAUCAACUAAAUGUAGAGCAAUAUUAAAAAACAUGUGUCGACACUGGUAGAAAUUGAAGAAAAUAACAUAUUUGAAUGUAGUCAGUGGUGUCGAUGUCGAACUUACAGACAUGUGUCGGACAUGUACACGUCUUCGUGAGAAGUGUAUGUGCUACAAAGCAUCCUCCACAGUAAGUUGAAGCAAUAUUUUAGAGUGAACAAACAUUAAUCAAGGAAUGUUGAGAUUGAGAGAAUAACAACAAAGCGGUUAACUUUAUGAUGAACCUAGACCAAGGAAUGUACCCAACAUCUUUGUAUUCUCUUCUUUCAUCAAUUCCUUUUGUUGCACCCACAUCUUUCUCUGAAAAUCCAUAAGGAUUGAAAAUUUGUUUUGUUUCCUUUUCUUUUCUGAUAAUGAUGCAUUGAGAUAGUCAGCUAAUUUUUUUCAUAACGGUCUUCAUACACCCUAAGAAAUAACAAGUCAUGCAUAUUAUGAUCAAAAGCAUAUUUAUAAAUAUAUUACUAUGAGAUGGCAAUCAAUUUCUUUUUCAAAUUAUCUUUUAUAAAUAUUAUGAUCAAAAGCAUUUAUGAUCAAAAUCUUCGAAGUAUAAGGGUCUUGCUUGUAACAACGUUAAUUCAUGAUCCGUCCCAAUUUAUAAGACCUUGUGUGAAAGUUUCCAGCUCCACUACACCUAUUAAAAGUUCUGGACCAAAGGGAUUCCAAACCUCAAAGUUCAUACCUCUGAAGCAUCCUUAUGUAAUGGCCAUGCAAAUAUUCAAGUUGAUAGCUGUGGAUUCUUAUUUCUGCAGGUCGCCUGCAUUCAAAUUUCAAACAGAUGUGAUAAGUAACACAAUAUAGAGUUAUGCUGCAACAUAUAAGAUCGAUAUUGAUUACUCGACAAGAUGAAUUUACAUAGCAUGCCAAAACUAAGCAUUUUGUGCACUGUCUGACUCCAGAAACGUCUUUAAUGAUUUGAAAAACUUGUGCAGGAAGAAACAAUUAUUUGGUUCAUGAUAAAGUUAAAUAUAUACCUUGACCAUGGAAUCUAUCUAUCAACGGUGUUCCUUUUCUUUUGUUUCAGUAAGCACGAAGUUUGGCAUGCCUGACACUAAAGCGUCGAAUUGUGAUUGCAAAGCAUUGCGACAUUCAUCUAAUUUUAUCUUUCCAUAAGAAUUGGUGAAUAUGGCAUUCUCCUCCAUGUUGUUUUUCUCCUUGUACAUGAUUCCCAUUUUUACAUUUGAUGAAUAAUAGUAGAAGUGCUUCCUUGAGUUUAGGCACAAGUUUCCCACACUACAAAGUGCUUUGUCAAAAAGAGUAUAUUUAUAGCCAUUGACAAACAAAGAAGAAUAAUAAUAAUUGUUCUAAAAGGGAUCUUUUUACGAAACCAGAAAGAAAUGGUGUGUCCCUUGCUUCUGUGCCUUGAUUUGCAUUGAAAUCCAGAAAACUUUUCUAGAUUCGAUGGAAUCCCUCGAUCUUCCUCAAAACACUUGCAUUCAUCCAAUCUAAGGAUCCUAAGAAGGUUAAUUUUUAAAUUGUCACCUGAUAUUGUUAAGUGACGAAGUUCACUAAGAUUUUGAAAGGAAAAUGGAAAUUCUCCUAUGGAAGUUUCCUUCAACAAGAUAGAUUUUAUAUUUGUCAUCUUGCAUAAUAAUUCUGGAAAACUCUUGAGACUCUUACAAUUAGAGAGUUCCAAAUUCUGAAGAGAGGGAGACUGUAAGGGUGGAAAACUCUCGAGCUUCUCGCAACCCUCUGCAUUUAAGAUUUCUAAUCUAUUUAGGUAUCUAAGUGAAUUGUGAAUUGUAACUAAAUUAUGACAUCUUGCAAACGAGAACUUUUCUAAAUUUGGAAGCCAUGAGACAUCGGGUGUAUAGAUUAAAUCUUGACAAUUGUCGAAUAUCAACACUUUCAUAUUCUCAAGCUUCUGCAUAAACACACAGAAGAAACAAAAAAUAAAUAAAUAAAAACCAAACACUAUACUCUCAUAGUGAAUUAUAAAUAUAUACAAUUAGGAAAUGGAACUAUAUAUGUACAAAAAAAAUGAUAUUGUUUAACUUGCCUUAUUCAAACUACUAGAUGAUGGAGACCUCAGAAUACAUCCUUUCAUUACCCUCAAACUUCUUGGAAGAUACUUGAGACUUUGAAUAUGAUAGCCAUUUUCAGUAAUAAACGUUUUGAGGUGUGUCAUCUUCUUGAAGGCCUUUCCAUUCUUGUCUAUUACGGAUUCCAUAGAGUGCAAAUUCAUAUAUAUCAUUUCAAUUUUACUGGUUCCCUUUUAACGAAAAAAAAAAAAAAAAGAUGAAUCAACCACAAUACAAAUAAGAUAGAGAAAUUUAUGUGUAAUUAACUGAAAAGAAUUAGUAGUAUCAGAUGCUUGUAUACAUAUCCAAAAAGAGCAAAGUCAUGUUAAAAGCUAAAUAACAAAUUGUUCCUGCAUAUCAAUCUUACUCACAGUGUUUUCUUCUAGAACUUCAAAUAUAUCCUUUUCAAACCAUAACCUGCUUCUUUUUCCAGGCUCAAAAGGUGAUUCUAGUCGGACGAGUUCUUUACCCAUGUUCUCUAUCAAGUUAUGUAAUGACACAUGACUAUCGUAUUCAAAAUGGUCAAUGAGACAUUUUUCAACUAGCACUUCAACAUGAUGAUUUAUGCAAUGACCAUAAUGAGCAUGAAGUAUUUCUUUGACCUUUUCCCAUUUACAACCUUUGAAGCAACAAGCAAUGUCUAGAAAGACACUUUGCUCCUCUUCCUCCAAAGAAUCAUAGCUCACUUUAAGUAUUCUUUGGAUCUCUUUAUUGGGAAUCUUUUCAUACCAAUCUAAUGUAUUCUUGCAUUCUUCUAUGUUCUUUCCAAACAAGUUAGAACCCACUAUUUCUAUAACUACCGGAAGGCCAGAAGCAUAAGCAACUACACGAUUCAAAAUCUUUUCAUAACUUGAAGGAACUUUGUCAUUUUUAAAAGCCAUCCACCUCAACAAUUCAAGAGCUUCUGUCACAUUCAACCCUUUUACUGCAUAUGUUUUUUCUAUCUCAUGACAGGCUAGUAAGUGUUUAUCUCGGGUGGUGAUGAUGACUCGGCUUCCAGGACCGAACCAAUCAACUCCUCCAGCCAAAGCAUUCAGUUGCUUCAUAUUGUCAACGUCAUCGAGAAUCAAAAGAAUCUUCUUUCUACACAACCUUUCCUUUAUGAUUGAGAUUCCCUCACUGACAUCUGCUAACUUAAUUUUCAGUUGAAGUGUCUUUGAAAGGAGCAUCUCCUGGAAACGUUUCAAGCUAUUUGAAGCUGAAUUCUCUCUGACUUGUUCAAGAAAACAUAAACCUUCAAAUUGAUCAGCAACAAAAUUAUAGAUUGCUCUUGCAAGUGUUGAUUUACCUGAGCCUCCAAUCCCAUAAAUUCCAACCAUAUGGACCCCAUCAUCAGGUCCCUCAUCAAGAAGCGAUUUCACUUGUUGUACUCGAGACUGCAAUCCAACAGGGUAAGUGGCAACAUGUAAGGACUGUCGACUGAUCUUGUUGGAGAUGUAUUUGACUAUCUUUCCAAUAAGCUCGUAUUCAUAUCUAUUCAUGUCCAAUAAUAUAAGUUAGUAUGUAACAACAUCACACAAUCACAUCCAUGUACUCAUAAUAUAUUAUACAUUUUUAACUAUUUUGACAUAUAAAUAACUAACAAUUGUUUAAAAACAUAAAUAAAAAAGGUGUUACACAUUUAGGCUUUAAGAUGGUAUUGAGGAAUAGAAAUUAAAUAAAUUAAAUGCAAAAAGCAAAACAGGAAUUAAGUAAAUAGGCGUACCCAUGACUAUCAUCAUGGUAGCUGGGCAAGUUAGCAGCCAGACUCAGAGCCACUUUCCAUUGCUGCAACCUCUCCAUGUUUUUCGUAUCAUUUUGAAACCUAUUUUCAUGCUCAGCCAAUGCUUUACCAUACCUACCUGUAUGAUGUCGCACAUCAGUAGGUUCCACACCAAAGAAAACAGGCAAAACGAGGCAACCCUUGGUUUUGUAGCAGUGAAUGAUGUGGACAAGUGUGUCCAAACAAGAUGAAGAAGAUGCAUAGUUGGCAGAAAAUAUGGGAAUCAAAAUCCUGGAUUCUUCAAUAAUGAUUGGUGUGACUUUGUCUCUUCUUUGAAGAUCACUGUCAUCGUCAUCAUGGAAGGUACGAAUUCCCUUGUCAAUAAGAGCCUUCAAGAGAUUGCCGGUGAAACCGUACCGAGUGUCGGUGCCCUUACAAAUGAGGAACACAUCGUAACUGAAUGCAUAGGAAAAUGAAGAGGAAUAGAAAGGUAAUUGCAUGGCCAUGAGAAUUGAGAGAAAUAAGAUGAGAAGAGUUUGAGAAUGCAGAAUAUGAAUGAGGAUGUUUUUGUGGUGUGAUGUGAAACUUUAAGACAAGGAGAAAACUUCUGACGAAAAAUGGUCUAUGAAACUUCCUUGCCAUUUCCUAUUGCCGUGUGGACCAGUCAUUGUCUACCGCCUCUUGUAAAGUAAUUUCUUCAAUGUGGUUACUGUUCAACUUUUGGGGAAAACUUAAAUAAAUAAUAAAUAAAUAACCGGUUAACAACCUAAAAGUAUAAAAAUUAAAUUAAAUUUUGCAUUGAAAAUAACACUUUUUCAACAUUUAAAAAAUAACUAAAAAAGAGAAUAUUUCAUUUUAUAACUCUCAACAAGUGUUCUUCCUUAUUUAUAUUGUACUAUGUUUAUUCAUUUUCUCAUCUUGCGUGUGGACCGGUGUAGAAAACUUUUUUUUUUUUUUUGAAAGGACCAGUGUAGAGAACUUGUUAUGACAAAUUUUCUAUAUCCCUGCGUGUGGACCAAUCACCAAUAAUCUAUAUCCCUACGUGUUGACCAAUACCAACCCUGCCUUGAAAAUAUUACCACUUGACCCAAUUGGUUAGUUAACUAACCAUGCAUGCACACACAAUUAUUGCCCUAGGUUUUAGGUUAAAUAAUCAUUUUUAAAAUGAGUGUCACUUUAGUCAAAAAAAAUUGUUUAAAAAUAAAUAUCUUUAUCUUUAUCUUUAUUAUAUAUAUUGCGCUAUUUUUUCUUAAAAGUACACGUGUCAUCCUAGAAUUCUAAGGAACAUUUAAUGUUGUUCUGAUUCAAUGCAUUUCAUGUUUUUUUAUUUAAAUUGUUUUUGCUAUUUAAUUUCAUUACUAAAUUAAGGGCAAAAUUGAUGCAAUUUACUUGCUUCUUUUUUUCUAUAAAUAUUGUUCGUGAGUCUCAACAUUUUCACGUCAUUCAGAAUUCAAUUUUGAAAUUCUUCUCUGAAAUCUCUCUUAUAUUUUAUUGAAACACUUUUCUUCUUAGCAUAUUUUUUUUCAUCACUCUAAUUUCAAAAGCUGAUUCAAUUUAUGAUAUCAAUCCACUAAAUGUUGUGGAUAUCCAUGUAUUUUGUCCAAAUUCACAUAUUCGCCCUAUGAUAAUUUCAAGUUCUAACGGUUUAUGGCAUGGAUGUAACGCCCACUUUCGUUUAAUCGUUAUUUAAUCGAGUUUAGGCAAUUAUAUUAUAAUUAUAUAAUAUAUGCAUGAUUUUGAUAUGUUUUGAUGAUUUGAUUGAUGACGUGAUAAGUUAUGAGGUUUGGAGGAUUUGAUUAAGAUAUGAGAUUUAUUUUAUUGAUAAAUAGAAUAAAGAUUUGAAAAUAAUAUAAAAUAUUUAGUUGAGGGCUGUUUUGAUAUUUUAGAUAGUUUUGGGGGAGAAAGUGAGAUAAGAUAAGUAAUUAGGAAGAGAUAUAAAUAGAGAAGACCUAAUUGUUAGAAAAACUGAUUGUACGUGAAAACUUUUGGAAAAGGGAGAAAAAGCUUAGAGAGGAGCAAGAGACCAAGAGGGCUGCGAUUUUCUUCAUAACCAGGUAAGGGUGGGACUAAUAACUCAGUAGCAUUAACCUCUGUAAUUCUGAUGAUUAGUUGACAAAGUUAGGAUUGAUUUAGAGAAGUUUUGGAAUUAGGUCAAAACCCUAAAAUUUGAGAAUAAACGGUAAAACUUGUUUAGAUUGAUGUAAGAAUUGUCCUGUAACCUUAGAAUAUGUUUAGGAUGAAUUCUGGAAUCAAAACCAAGCUUAGAACCAUGUGAAACGUCGGAUUUUUGUGAUUUUAGGAAGCCUGGCCGUAGCGACAUUCAUCGCUCGCCACGGCGAGCUAUGAUCCUCGCCUCGCGAGUGAUGAAGUUCAUCGCUCGCCACGCGAGCCCUUCCUUUUCGCCUCGCGAGUUGUUUGGUUCAACUCGCCAUGGCGAGCAACCCCUCCUCGCCUCGCGAGCUUAGGCAGAGUGCAUGUCAUAUUUUGUGUUUCGACCUUUUUAGUUGGACCUUGGAUGCCUAUGAGUGCCUAAACAUACCUAGAGAUGAUUAGGAAUGAUUUUAGGACAGGAUUGAACCCAGAACAACAUUAGUUUGGGAGAUUAGUGUUACUCGCCAUGGCGAGUAAGUACUCUCGCCUCGCGAGUACAACCAGAAUGUAGUUGCUUGAGUGUUUGUGCGAUCUGUGUCGCACGAGUUGAUCAAGAGUGAACCCCUAAUUGGUAUUGAGACCUAGUGGUGACGUUUAAUGCAGCCUGUAGAGUUGUUUAAGUUAUAUUGAUAUUAAUUGAGCAAGAACUAAUGUAUUGUAUAUUCAUGCAAGAUAUGAAGAUUUGAUAAUAAUGCAAUUUAUGUGCUAUUGAUAUAAUGAUAUCAUCUUGAUAUGUGACUUGUUUAUGCUGCUUCCGUUAUUUAACUAAGUGCAUAUGUUUAUGAUAAGGUUUAGCUCCAAAUUAUUGGAUGCAUGUUGAUUACGAUGAUUACGUGUUUUGUUCAUAAGUGUCCAUGCAUAGCAUAUCAUUGAGCUUAGUCCUCACCACGAAAAUUAGGAGCUUUGUCCUCCGCACGUUUUAUAGGAGCUUUGUCCUCCGCACGAUUAAAGUAUAUUAAUACUUAUGAUGACGAUUGGUACCACAUGCAUAUAAGGAGUCUAAGAGCAUUGUCACAUUGUCAUGAUUAAGAUGCCUUGUUGAUGAUGAUUGGUUAUGUGAUUACGUGAUAUGUGUUUAUUAAUUAUGAUAUGUUAUUCCUAAUGAUUGGAUAUAUGAUUACGUGAUAACUGUUUAGCAAUUAUGCAAAGUUAGUAAUGGAAUGAAUAUGAUGUUAAUGUAUGAUUCUCAUUUACAUUGAUUAAUGUUAUUGUAUUAUGAAAUCUCACCCCUUCUGCUUGGAAAUGUUGCCUUUCGUAUGGGUAACUUGCAGGUGAUCGUGCUUAGUGUGCAGUUGCCGUCGUGAGUGGCCUUGCCUUCACUGUGUCGUCUAGGUCGCUCUGAUACGUAACGGGAUGGGGUUAUAUGCUAUAACAUGCUUCAUUCUCUUACGUGGAUAAUAUGUUAUUUUUAUUAUGUUAUGGAAUAUGAACUAUUUUGAUGGGGCCUACGUGCCAAACUGAUUUAUGAUUUUUGAAUUAAAUAUUCUGCUGCUAUGUUAAAGAUAUGGUGAAGGUUAAAUUAUUAUUUAACUGUUUUUGGAUUACGUUUCUAUGUGAUAUCCCGUUUAUGGUUUUUACUCUGAUAAUUGUUUAUGAAAUUUGUAUAUUGGGAAAACGGGGUGUUACAAUGGACAUCAUAGAUCUACCCAAAAAAAAGUUAGAUAAUAUAAUUUUUUUUUUGUUGUUGUGGAGAAUGUCCAUUUGUUGGGUUUUUUUCCAUCUAUAAUAUAUGUUAUGUUCGGUUUCAUAUUCUAUUGAAAUUUUGCCUUUAGAUUGUUGGUUAGUCCUGUAUAAAUAUUUUUGUAAGAUUUUGUUUUGUUUGUGUCUGCUUCCCAUUUGUACUUAUUCCAUAAAAGAUUUUGAUUUAUUGUGUUAUUUCCUUUUGGUUGCCAUUGUAACACUAAGAUCAAUUAUUUUUAUAUCUAUGAUCUUUUGUUUAAUUUAUUCAUGUUUUGAUGUGUAUAUACGUUUGUAAUCAUUUUGUAUAUAAUCAAUUCAUUUCUUAGACAUAUAAUUCAUAGGUACCUAAAUUAGAGUGAUUUUAUUUGUCAAUAUACAACGAAUGUGAUUCGGUGGAUGCUAUCAAAAUGAGAUUGAUUUCGUCAAUAAUAUAAUAUUAAUUUAUUUCUCCUAAAAACAUUUAUUCAUUUUACAUUUUUAUAAUUUAAUUGGGAAUAAUUAUACUCCAAGCAAUAAUUAUUCUAAAAGAUAUUUAAACAUAAAUUGUUACGAAUCAAAAAAAUAGAAACUUCUUUUUUAUACAAAAAAAAAAUUAGAAACUAUUAACCGUCAAUUGCCAAAGUAUGUCUGACAUAUAUAUUAGCAUAUAUUCCUUGGAGUAAGCAUCAAUUUUCCUCAUAGAACCGCUUGACCAAAUAUUACAAAACAAAACACGAUAUAAUGAUCCAUUUUAAUAUUGGUUUGAUCUCUACCAAAAAAAAUAUAUAUUGGUUUGAUCUUAAUUGCUUUAAUGGAACUUAAAUAAAAUAUAAUGUAAUUGAUUCAUUUUAAUAUUGUUAAAGUAAACAUAAAUGAUUGCAAUUAAAAAAAAAGUAAACAAAAAUGUCACACAAUUAUCCAAGAGCGUUUAGAUGAGAUGACACGAGUCUCUUCUAGCUUAACCAGGUCCUUGAGCAAGCAACAAUUUUAACUUUUGUCACACAUUUAGGUCCCACAAGACUCGAAAGAUUAGUCUCCACGGUUACGCGCCCGGAGGAUAUCUGAUUUCCACAAAACAAAUGUCACAUAGUUUCCAUUUCUAAAAUUGUUACUGUACACAUGACAUCUUUCUUUGUCAAACCUACCUAAGCAAUAUUGAUAUGCCUCUAUCUGAUCAUGAGACAUCACCGGAACAGAGAAAAAAAAUGAUAUAUUAAUAAAACCAACGAUUGCAUAAACACAAACACAUAGCUAGAGACUCUAGAAAAGAUCCUUGCAACUCCAAGUAAAUAAAAAAUAUAUAUGUUGUCGUGAACUUUAAAAACAAGUUUUGUUUAAAUUUAUUUAUUUCAUUCAAACCCUACAAAAAUGCAUCAUUUUAGGUAAAUUUAUUAGAAAAAGUAGGUAAAAGAGAACAAAUGUGUUUCAUUCUAAUUUUGGACCAAAAUAUCAAUUUUCUAUAAUAUACUUUUAUUUACGAUUACGGUUUGAGAGAGUUUUUUUUUUCAUAAGUGUCUCAUUAUAUGUAUUGGUCACCUUUACAUAAUUUUUAUCACAAAAAAAUUAAUAAUAAGUAUGGGUUCUUUCAUAUGGCCGUUUUCAAAUGUAGUACUCGAUGUUAUGUUAUGUUAUGUUAUGAUUGGUAUAUUAGUUAAUUUCAAUUUUUUUAAUUUUUUUUAUCACUAUUACUUCCAAAAGAUCAAUACUCACUAUUACAAUUUAGUUUUAUGAUUUAUAUCAAAACAAUUUUUAAACAACUACCAUCUAUCUCUAAUUAUAAGCAAAAAUGUUCAUUCAAGCAGUUUAGCAUGCAUUGUUUGUCGGCCUAUUAAAUUUAGUAGUAUUUUCUCCUUUCUUAAGGAGGUUGUAAUGAAUGAUAUGAUGAAUAAAAUGCUAGGUGUUAACGUCAUUAGUUGUUUCUAGGAUGAAUAUGGUGUCAAAUGAUCUUAAUAUAACAUUUAAAUCAUAUGGUAUGCAAUUUCAAUUAACAUUUUAUUUUGCAAUAACCAUAAAUAGAAGUCAUAUAAAUGUCUAUGUAGGUAUUUAUCUUUCGAAUCAUGUCUUUACACAUGGAUAACUUUAUGUUAUUGUCUCUCGCCUUACAUCUAAAAAUGAAUGAAAUUUCUAAAUUCGAUGAAGAAAAUAAUAUUUGCAAUGAGACUACGAAUGUUUUGUAUCACAAUGUUUUGCAAAAUUUGUAAACAUUAAUAAUGAAAUCAAGUUAUUUCUUUUAUAGGGAAAUGCUAACCGGUGCCCCCGGGGCACUGGUUAAGGGUAUGAAAAAGGAAAUUAUAUAGUAGUUAAUGCAUUAAAAUUGUGUAAUUAAUUUAUCAUAAUGUCAAAAAUAGUUUCCUUUUAUGGUAAUAAUUCCCUUUUAUGGUAUGUUUAACCCGUUCCCCGGGGGCACCGGUUAGCAAGACCCUUCUUUAUAUUAUAUUAUGCUAUUGUUAUUCUUAAAAUUUAUUUGUGGUUUAUAUCAGUAGCAAUUAACCUCUCAUUAUUGUAUUUAUGGCACUAGAAAUGACAAUAAAUUGGUUUCAAUGCAAUGAUAUAUAUGACAACAACAUGUAUUGCAUUUAAAUAAGGAUGUAACUUUCUUCCCUUUCAAUUCUUCCCUUUCGAAUUUGAAAUCUUAACCAUUAUUUCCUUUAUUUUCAUUCCCGCAUAUUUCAUCUAUUAGAGACCAAAAUAAUUAAAUUCAAAUGGUUAAUACACCUCAAUAUGACCAAUACAUGAACCAAAUAAUUGAAUUCAAAUGGUUAAUAAGCUCUCUAAGGACAUAUUGUAUGAAAACACACACUCCUCAUCAUCUAAAUAAAGCUUGCUUAUUGGGUGUACUGCAUAGUCACUCAUUCAUGUUAGCAUUUUUUUCCAAUAAAUUUCAACACAUGUUGAAUUACAUGCAUUAUACAUAUUUUUCCUUCAAAAAAAUGCAUUAUACAUAUUUAAAUUUGUCAUUUAUUUUAAUUGAUUUAUGGUGAAAAAUAGCCAAAAAAAUUUAACGUGCAAGAUGCAAAUUAGCCAAGUUUUCUUCUUAUUUUUAAACGCUAAUAAUUGCAAUAGUUUUCCUAAUAAAUGCAUUACUAACUAUUUAAUCAUUAAUUAACCAUUUUUUUUUUGAAGAAUCAUUAAUUAACCAUUAAGUUUAGCAUAUUUCCUCACUUUUUAUAUUUUACGAUCCAUAAAUCAUGCAAUUGCUUAUGUGAUUUUUAUUAAGUCAUGUAGUUUUUUUUUCUCUAAAAAAAAAGUCAUGUGGUUUUUUUAAUCUCUAUUAUAAACAUUUCCCUUAUUUUAUUUUGAUAGUAUAUGUGGCAAGCUUAUAUUGAAAGGUGCAGUUAAUGUCUUUCUAUCAACCAAUGAGUAUGAAUCGUGACUCAUAAUCUUUGAACUAACGAAUCAAAAUAGAUCAUGACUCAUUUUGUUAAGUGAAUGUGGCAUCUUCACAUGAUCUACAUCUCAUUUAAUGUUUUCUUAUCAUCCAAUUAAAUUGAAUUAUGACUCAUUUAUUUUUUAUUAGCCAAUCAAGAUGGACCAUGACUCAUUUAGUUUUCACCAACCAAUCAAAAUUGAUUACACAAUGAUUUUUGUCUCUGUAUAUAGACAAUUUGUUUUUCAUUAUUUUCAUGUGUCUCUUCCCCCCAUAAAUUUUUUCGUAAAAACAAGUAUUUUAUGUGUUUUUCUUUUUUAUUUGUAUCUAAUUGUUUAUUGUUAAUGCUACUUUCUCAGGGUUCCAUUGGAGAGCAUGUGUCUACGUUCUACGACUUCAAGAUGUUCAACAUCAACAAUAUAAUUUUUAAUCAACAAUAUAUUGCAAAGAAAAAAUGAUGUAUUGUCGAAAUUUAAAUAAUUGAGGUUACUUAAAAAACUAUUGAAUAUUUUAUUUUUUUAAAAUAAACUAAAAAUAAAAAUAUUUUAAGUUUUUUAUUAUUGUUUCACAUCUAAUUUUUCAAAAGGAAUAUUUCAUGUACUAAAAAAAAUCGAUAAAUUUAAAAAAAAAUCAUUAAAUUUUGAAUAAUUCAAUUUGAAUAAUUAGUUUUUUUUUUCUAUGUAUAAUCAUGACAAAAUAAAUUAAGACUCAUUAAUGUGACCAUUUAAAUUAAAAUGAUUCUAUUAAAUGUCUCAUUUAUUGGGUCAGAUGAUAAAAAAAUAUUAUUUAAAUGAUACUAUUAUAUGAUAUCAUGUUUUGAUUCACUAUUGUUGCUAUUAAUAGCAUUCCUAAUUAAGAUUGGCUCGGCUAAUAACGAGUUAACUCAACCUCAAGAGCUUUGAUUUAAACCCCACUAUUAUCGUGAAGAUAUCUUUGAUAGGGAGUAACUUUGUGAGUGUUCAUUGUGUCAUGAGACAUAUCUUGAUCUUGAUGUGUCCUCAGAGUCUAACUCACCUAAAAAAAAUUAUAAUAAAAAAAAACAUUUUUUUUUAAAUUGUAAAAUGUAUAGAUUAUGAUAGUAGUCUUUGAAAAACAUCAAUUUAUUUUAUGAAAAGUUAAGGGUGUGUUUGUUUCAAGGCAAGAAAUUACAUUCCUUGAAACGACAUUCCUACCCAUUUCUUUGGUAAAAAUUUAGAUUUCCUGAAAUAUUUUAGAAAUUAAUUAAUUUAAAAAAUAAAAAUGGAAAUAAACGUUAAUGGUAGUUAGAAUUUAUGGCAAGUUGAGUUUUAUUACCAUAUGAAUUUUAGAUUUCCAUCCUUUAAGCAUGAAAAUAACAAUAGAAGAAAACAUGUGUAAAUAACAUUCCUCAUAAUAUAAUAUUCAUGGGAACAAAUUUUCAAAACUUGAAACAAACAUGAGAAUGUUGCAUAUUUCUAAUCUCACGUUCGUAGGAGUCAUAUUACAAACCUUGAAAUAAACACACCCUAAGGCCUAAAGUCUCUUUAACAUAUUCUAAAGGUUAACUUUUUUUUUUUUUUAAGAAAUAAUAAUAACAAACACAAAUUAAAAGGAGAAUUGAAUGAUAUCAAAAAUUAAAUUUUAGCAAUAACUCAGUGAUUUUGUAAUUUUCAAUUUUACGAAUUUUCAACGAAACUUUUUAUACAAUUUAUUUAGGGGCCCUCAAAAAAGUGAAUAUAGAUAGGGUGCUUCUAUAGCCACCAUUCUCUACAUGCACCUUAUUUAUUUGCUCCACAAUGGGGGUGUUUAUUUAUUAUGGUGUUAAAUAGGUGAAACACUCAUCAUUGUGGAUAGUCUUAGAGAUAAAAGAGCACUCACAAAUAUAUUUAUGUUUACUUAUCUCCAAGGAUAUUAGCUGAGUUCGAAACUCAAAAUCUUGAAAUUCAAAGUUUGUCCUUCUGCUACUAGAUUAAACCCUUAAGUUGGAAAAUCGCAUUGAACAACAAAAUGAAUUUUUAUUUCAAAUUAAUAAUGACAAAUGAAAUAUCCCUUAUACCCAAACCAUCUCUCAUCUUAAUUUUUUACUAAAAGAGUUUGUUGGUUUAAUUGUUCAUGCUAAUUGGGAUUGCUCAGUCAAACAUAUUUUUCAAAAGUUAUUGGUAAUUUUGUGGAUUUUUUGAAGGAGUUGAAAAAAUGACACCACAAAAUGAAUAAAACCUUAAGUCAUCAAGUAUAUUGGUCAUCUAACGUAUAUGUAAAAUCUACUUUAGCAUCCAAUAUAGAACUUUAACUCGCACUUGACACAUUGACAUCUCUACAUUAAGUUUCAGACUCUUUGCGACUGGGAUAUAGAGAUAUAAUAAAAUAAAGUUAUACAGAUGCACAACAUGCUAAAAAAGGUAGGUUAAUGGUGACUUUAUAUAGAGUUUUUAUCCCUUUCAUUCAUGAUAAAUAAAGAAUUAAGCAAGUGUAAUCCAAAAUAGAAGAAAACAAUUUAUCUUAAUGUUAGGACUUAGCGUAAACUGGGUUGGAUAAUCAGAUUAGACUAAGAGCAACUACUCAAGUGAGAUUAACAUCACAUAUUCAUCCAAAUCCUAAAGACAUUAGAUUAUAGGUCAUCUCACUUAUAUGUUUGUCACUAUAUUUUCUUGCAUUCAAUCUGAAACUAAUAUAAGACAUGUUAACAUCUCUCCCUUUAGGUGUGAGACUGACAUCUGUGAUUUGGUAACAAAGCCAAAUAAAACUAGAUGAAGACAUAUCAUUGUAAAAAUGGUCAGUUGGUGGUGAUUUAAUGGAUGGAGGUUUACGUUAAUUUCUUUCAUGAGAUGUUACGAAAUAAAUUAGAUAAGGAAAUAAAUUAAAAUAAUAAUUUGAACAUGAGAGAAAUGAUAAGAAAAAAAAAGGAUUGUGUGCUUUUAUGGUUGCGUAUAAGGAAUAGAGUGAAUUAUCAAUAAUUUUACUGGUUCGAUUCAGGAGUUGGACAUUUUUUAGUAAAUAUUUAACCAAAAUAUUAGACUAACUAAAAAAACGCCAAGUUAUUUUAAAGUUUCUGAUAAGUAUUUAUUUUGUCAAAUCAACCGCAGUUGAGCACGUAAACGAAUUCCUUCUAUCAUUGGUUCCAGGAGACGAAAAGGAAUAUAUCAGUUCUGAUACGAUUUGCAAAUCAGACGAGAAUAAUGAGGUACAAAGUGUCAAGUUAUGGAUUUGAUAAAGAGAGCGACAAAACUGCUAUGUUCAAAAUCAAUAGGCUAAAGUGCACUUUUCUCCCCUUAACUUUAAAAAAGUUGCAAUUUUGGCCCCCUAUAAAUAAAAACUACAAUUUUGACCCCCUAAGAUUUAGCUCCUUUGCAACUUUGGUCCUUUUGGCCAAUUUUGACCAAAUCAACGCUGAUUUGGCAUGCCAUGUGUGUAUUUUUUAAUUAUUAAUUUUUUAAAAGCUACAUAAUCAUGUAUUAAAUUAAAUAAAUUAAAAAAGAAAUUGAAAAUUUUUUAAAAUCAAAAAAUUGUAAAAAAAAAUAGUAUUAUUUAUUACAUCAUUUAUGUUAUUAACCAUUUUUUUUUAAAGGAAUGUUAUUACCCAUUUGAUUAUCCCUUUUAUUUUAUUUGUUUAACAACAAAUUACAGGUGAGGUCUAUGUUACCCUCUCUUGUUUAGAGGGUAAUUUAUCUUCUCAUGAUAUCAACCAAUCAAAAUGUAAUAUACAUGGGUACAUUAAAUGUCAAAUAAAUGAGUAGAUUUUUUCUAAAAUAAAAGUGUUAAUUUUAAAUUUUUUUUUAAGGAAAGUUAAUCUUAAUCAUAAGGUAACUUUUAAUACUUUUAAUUUUUAUUUAAUUUUUUUUUGUAAAAUAACAAAUGAUUUUUUUUUUUAUAUUAAGGUGUUCAAUCUUAAUUAACUUACACUACAAGACUUAUAACAAAUAAAAUUUUACAUCAAAUUUCUUUCGUUUGGAUGUCCUUAAAUUCAUCAUUUACAUUCAUAAAAUUUCUUCCAUUCCAUUACUCAAAACGUGAGAACAAAAAUAUCUCCUUCUUUCAAAUUUCUUCUUCUUUAUUCUUCCAUAUUGAUCAAUUUUGUUUCUUUUUCAUUAUUCUUUCCAUUUUGAUUGUUCAAUUUUGUCGUUCCAAAUUGCCGCAAUUUCCAAUUAUCGUGAGAAUUGUCGUUGUUUCUAGAACCGCGUCAGGUAUCGUGACUUAUUUUUUUUAGGUUUAAUACAUCAUUUGGUCCCUUAACUUAUUUUUGGAUUUCAUUUUGGUCCUUUAACUAUAAAGUGUCUCAAUUUGAUCCCAUAAAUAUUCUGCCGUUUACUCUUUUGGUCAUCUCCGUUAAUUUUUUAAAAUAUAUUAUUCUUGAUAUAAUUUUAACCACUUGAUUGCAGGUCUAUAGUAUCUAAGAGUGAACCAUCAACACUUGAUUUUUUACGGUUUUCUUCAUCUUCUCUCUUCUUCAUACUAUGCAAACUUCAAAUAUGCAGAACCAAAAAAUACAUCAAAUCCUAAAAUCUUAAACACAUCAACAACACCUUGUUUAACACUCAUAAAAAAAGUCCAUAGAAAUUUAUCAAUAGUAAUCAACAACAAAAUCAUCAUCUCAUAUUAUCACACCUCCAAUUUCUUAAAUCCAGAAAUCGUCAACAACAAUGUCUUUUUCUUCUUAGAAUUUGAUUAUCGGCUACAAUAAAUAAAUCUUUCAAAACCUUUAAAGGUCCACACUUACGGUUUAUACCUCCUUUUCCUUUAUAAAUUCAUAGCUUUAAUUCCUACAACAACCCAACAGACACAUAUUAUUCUUUGUUUAAUUUCUGUCUAUCUCUUAUAUUUCACUUUCUUGUUGCCUUCUCUAAAAUAAUACAAAUAUGAACAAAAUUGCAGCCUUGUUCUUCAUGGCACUUUUACUCUCCUGCAUGCUCUUCCACUCUUCACGCCCUGACCCAUCUUUUCAAAAGGAAUUUUUGGUAGCAACACAUAAUCCGGAUAAAAGCAAAACUCAAAGAAAUCAUCAAACCCAAAAAAAAAAAAAAAAAUAUAAAAUCUCCAGGUCCAAAGUAAUUUACUUAUAAACAACCCAGCAAGAACAACUGAUUAUUGCUAAGAUGAAAGGGACCAGAUUUGAAUCAAACCCAACAAUUGAAUAUGUAUAUUUGAAUUCAAACGAAACAUGAGAUGAAUUGCGUUGUUUCAAGAGAUCAGAUAAAAGGGGCAGAUUGUACGGGAAUGAGAUGAAUUGCGUUGUAUGCAAGAUGAAGGAAUGAGUUUUAGAGAUAGGGAGAGAUGGGGGUGGUUAUGAUCGAGAGAAAGAGGUCCAUAGAGAGAUGGUUAGUUGAUAGAGUGGAAAUGGAUCUUUCUGGUUUUUUUUUUUUUUUUUUUUUAAGAUGAAGAUGAAUAAAGAUCUGAUGUAGAAGACUACUACGGAAAGAAGAUGAAGAAAAAAAAUGAGGUGAUUGUGGUUUAUUAUAAGCUACAGAAGAUCCCCCUCUAUGAUCCAACAAUUUUCAUUUUAAAAAAAGAUCAAACGGUUAAAAUUAAAAAAUUUAAUAAAGUUUAUGGUAGACCACCUACAAAGUUAAUUCACCUUAGACAUUUAAAGUUAAAAAUUAACGGAGAGGACCAAAAUAGUAAACGGAAGAAGAUUUAUGGGACCAAAUUGAGACAAUUUAAAGUUAAGGGAUCAAAAUGAAAUUCAAAAAUAAGUUAAGGGACCAAAUGAUGUAUUAAGCUUUAUAAGCAGCCAACCUAAUAAAAUCUGUUAACACGCAUAGACCUGUCUCAUUAUCAGCAAACGUCUUUAAUUUCAAAUAAAAGAACAAAAGCCUCAUCACAUAACCAUUUCAGCAGCAACCAAAAAAAUGCUAGCAAACUCCCACAACAACACCUACUAGCAGCCCUCAAAGUACAACGGAUGAUUUACCCAAUUGUUAUAAUUAACUACCUCACAACCAAGAAAAAUCAAAUCAAAAAGAAAAAUCAAGUCAUCAUACCUGACGUUGUACUAGAAAUAACGACAUUUCUCACGAUAUUUGAAAUCAUGACGAUUCUCACAAAAAUUGAAAAAUACGGCAGUUGGGAACGACAAAAUUGAACAAUCAAAAUGGAAGGAAUAAAUUUUAUGAAUAUAACUGAUAAAUUUAAGGGCAUUCAGAUGAAAGAAUUUUGAUGUGAAAUUUUAAUUGUUCUAAUUAAGCCAGUCAUGUAGUGUAGAUUAAUUAAGAUUGAACACCUAAAUAUAAUUAAGGCAAUAUUAUAUUAUGGGUCAUUUAUCUUAUUUAUUUGUAACACUUUGGUACUUUGUCUUUAUUUUUUUCCCGCUUAGGUCCUUUAUCUCUCUUAAAAGCACAUAUAAAUCUUUUUUCGCAUUUUUUUAAUUAAAAAAUACAUAAUUUUAUUUUUAAAAAUAUAUUUUUAUUAAACUUGGAAAAAAAUCCAAAAAUAUGAUGAAGAUGUUCAUCAUCUUCAUCUUCUUCCUAUGAAUCUUCAUCAUCUUCUUUAAAUAAAUAAAAAAUUCUACUAAAAUAUAUCUCCAAAUAUCGUGAAUUAAUAUUAUAUUCACAUCAAAUCUUAUUUUAAACACAAAAAUCAAAACCUUAAUUUCACAAAUGUUGUAAGGCGAAUGGUGGAGGCUUAGUCAGUGGCGGAAGGGUUAGGCUUUACGAAAGUUAAUAUUGUUCUGGAAACAACAAAAUUGAUGUGCAAAGCUGCUAUCAAUUUUGGGGUUAUUUUUAUGUCGGGCUUGAAUAUUGAGUUAGAAAAUAAUAAUAAUAUACAGCGUGACAAUUUAUAUAACUAAUUUUUUUUUUUUUUUUUGUGAUGAAACUAAAUCUCUUUCUCUAUAGGGGUUUGAUUUUUGUGUUUAAAAGAAGAUUUGAGGUGAAUAUAACAUUAAUUCAUGAUAUUUGGAGAUAUGUUUGUGUGGAAAUGUUUUUGAUUCAAUGAAGAUGAUGAACAUCUUCGUCAUAUUUCUGGAUUGAAAAAUGUUACAUGAACACCCUUUAAUCAUACACCCUAUUGUACAUCCUAUGUAUUAAGGAUAUUUUGGUAAAUUCAUCUCACAACCAUACUUUCUCUUUCAUCUCCUCUCCCUUUUCCUUGCCACAUGUCAGGAUUUUAUGUGGGUGUAAGAGGUGUAUUGCCACAUGGGUGUGUACAUGUAUCACCACUCUUCUGGAUUUGUUUCAUUUUAAUAUAACCCCCCAUUGCAUUUUUCACAUUUAUUAAGAAAUGUUGUCUGUGCAGUUAAUGUGUCUGAUUUAUGUUACAAUUUUACUAAACUACCCUCAUUCCACUAUUAAUGGAUUACCUCGGUUGCCUUUAUUAUACUUACAUUAAUUGUACUUUUUUAAUGAAGAACUACACCACCAUAUUUAUGACAACGCCUCCUUUUUUUUUUCUUUUCCAUUUAGUGACCUCGUUCCACUUGCCAACUGCAUUGGUACUAAAGUUAACUAUUAAAAUUCUGAAAAUUUCACACUAAAUGGCGCCAGUAUUUUGUUUUCUUUUUUGUAUUCUUUUUCUUCAUAGCUGUCAUUUUCAUACUCAUAUUCGGGGAACUUCUCAAUGUGCACACCUUGGACUUCAUUUUCUUCAGUUUGUUUGGAUUGGACUUCAUCUUCUUCAGCAUGUACCAUAGCAGCAACUUGUUGGACUACCUCUGAUGCAACACUAUCAUAGGAAUCUUCCACUACCUCCAUUGUAAUGUCAAAAUCGUAUGAAUCUUGGGCUACCUCCAUUUGUGCCGUAGUACUAAUAUGGUUCUGAUAGUAUCAAUAACUUCUCAUUUUAUACUACUCCUACCAAACUAGAGUAAGGUUAUCAAGAGUCACUAGGGAGUAAUUGUUACGGAUGCAUACAACCAAAGAGAGAAUUAAACUCUUUUCUCUUCCCGGUGUUGUUUAAUAAGAUAAUGUGAAAAGUCAAUUUAUUGUAAUUUUAGAAUUAGUAGUAGUAUUAAAUAAGGGUAUAUAUGGAAAAAAUAAUUAAUGCGUGUUGUAAUUUGAAAAGGGUUUACAUUUAGGACAAAAAUAAAAACAAAAUGUGGUUACAUAUAGGGAUGGAGGGAGUAAACUCUAGCAAAAAAAGUGUGAUUGCGAUUAAUUCUAAAAAGUGCGAUUGCGAUUAAUUGAAAAUCGCAGAAGCUCUCACAAACUGACUUACUGCGAUUAAACGAUUGCGAUUGCGGUUAAUUGAAAAGUCAUGCGAUUGAAAUUCUUCAAGUUGCGAUUGCCUUAAGAAUACAAACGUGUUGCGUCUAUCACUUCUGUGUUGCUUUAAGUGCUUCUUCUUCCUUCUUCCCAACAUGCGAUUUGCAGUUGCGACGGGUUCUAUUGAAAAGAAAUUGAAUUAACAAACACAGCUAGUUUUGCGAUUGGUUACUCACGAUUUGCAAUUGCUUCUGCGAUUUGUGCGAUUCAACUACCUGAGUUUUCAUUACUGUAAGUCACUGCUUUACAUUCCAACUUCGAGUUGGACUCAGCUACUCUAGUGCAGCGCUAUCGUCUCUAGGCCAUGGUGAUUCAGAAUUUUAUGCUAUUGUUUCUAGUAUUAUAUUUCAGUUAUCUUUACAUUCCACCAACUUUGAGGUGAAGUUUGUUAGGAGAGAAGCGAACAUGGUUGCUCAUAGCUUAGCUAGGGCGGUCUGUUCUUGGGCUAGUCACUGUAUUUUUGAUUCAUAUCCUUCUUCUAUUGAUUAAUGAUAAUAGUUAACUUUGCUUUGGUAAAAAAACAAAAAAAACUAAACUCUGCUUAAUACAUAAAACCAAUUUUUGUUAUAAAACUAAUUUUGCAGGAAAUUAGGAACAAUGUAUAAAACCAACGCAUAGUAACAUUUUUGUAUUAUGUACAUUUGCUAUUGACAUCUUUUCUUAAUUUAUCGUCAAUAUUCCUAUGUGACCUCCAGUAUGGAGGAUGCAGAAAGCUCAAAGAUAAAUUUAAGAUAGGCUCUGAUACCAUAUCAAAAUUUAGGAUACGGUCUAACUCAACCUUACAAAAUCGGAUUGUACGGUGAGGAGUGUUUCCUCUUUAUAAACUCUUCUCAAGAAUCCUAUCUAUCUGAUGUGGUACUAAUCCCACCGAGUGUUGGAACAUCAAAUACAUUAGCCAAUGAUGCCUCCAUAUUGGAAUGACACCAUUUGAUAUAUUUUUAUGUCCAAUAAUAAUUUUUCUUUGUCUUAUUUUUUAGGCUUAAGUGCAGUUUUUCCCCCUUAAGUUUCAAAAAGUUGCAAUUUUGACCUCUUAUUUAAUAAAAUGACAAAUUUAAUCCCUUAUGUUUUAACCCCUUUACAAUAGUAGUCCUUUUGUUCAAUUUUGACUUUGUCAAUGCUUACAUGUCAUGCCACGUGUGCAAUAAUUAAAUUAAAAGAUUAAAAAAUACCACAUAAUUAUUUUUUAAAUUAAAUAAAUUAAAAAAGAAAAUGAAAAAUUAAAAGUAUCAAAAAAAUUGAAAAAAAAAUAGAAAAGGAAAAGAAAAAAGAAGAAAAAAAACGUGAAUUCAUAGAACAACAACAAUUUCAGCAAGGUUCCAUUAUUCUUCAAUUUAUUUCCUUCUUCAUUAUCUAAUCUAACUUAUUCCUAAUCGUAGUUAACACUCCAAACCCUAAUUCUACUUUUUUAGGCGCCAAACAAUCCUAGCCCUUGGAUCUACACCUUUGGGCGCCACUUAUUUAUCAGCCAUAGAUCUGAUCUUGCUGCUGGCUGGCACAAAUCACAAUUCAAAUUCAAGUUUACGGUGCAUUGUAAAUUGACAAAUAGUUAAUGUUAUCGGUUUUGAAUACAGUGUUGCAUAUCCAUUUCAUUGGGAAACAAUGGCUCUGACCUAACCCUCCUUUCUCUCCAUCUCUCUACGAUUCCUCGUCUUCUUCAAAAACACACAAAAUCCCUUCUUCUUCUUCUUCUGCCUUCAUUUCGACCCUCUAAAGUAAAUGCAUCAUCGUUGACCACCACUGCGUCGGAAUAUGCUCUUAACCGCGCCGGAGUUGAACCACCGUUGUUAAUCACCGCGUCGGAUUCGCUCUUUAUCGCACCAGUGUCGCUGUUAGAAGCUUCUCCACCGUUCAAUUUUUAAUUCCGCAACUUCACCCGUAAUCGCUGCGAUAAAGAUUGAGAGCUAAAAAAGAAUCCCGCAUCAAACAAAGUUAAGGUAAUGAUUAAUGAUUCGUUAUACUUUGCUUGCUAUAGAUACAUAGAUGAAUAAAUUUGGUGGCUUGCCUUCAUUUGAUUUUGCUUGCUGUUGAAAUUGGGUUUUCAAGGUGUAGUUUUGAACCAAUCAAUUUGCUCGAUUCAUCAUUUGUUAAUUUUUGUUUUUAAUUUUUUUUAGCUUCAGUUCAAAAUAGUUGAAGAACUUAACGGGGUUGUGAGUUUUUGUUUUAUAUAAUUUCUAAUAUGCGAUUAUGUCUUUUUUGCAUGUUUGUUCAUGAUGUUUAACUCUGUAUUUCCCUUUUUUGUUACUUAUGUAGGUUGUUUUGGUUUUUGUUCUAAUCAUGGAAAAUCAUUUGAGUUUAGUGUUACAAAGUGAGCUUGAAAAUCUAUACAAAGAUGCUAUGAGAACAUUGAGUUCACUUGCUUUUUGAAUCUUCUUAGAGUUUGGUGUUCUAUGUUAAAAAAAAUUAAAACCACUACCAUAGGAUGAAGCAAUAGUUUUAGAAUCAAAUGUUGAUUGACAGGAAGAUAUAUUUAUUGUCGAAGAUGUCUAACUUGCUGCCCCUGUGUUUGUUGUUAUGUUAUAUUACUUUAUUAGAUUCUAUGAUCGAUUAUUUCCUUCAUUCUUUAUGGUUAAAUCUGCAAUUUUUGUUUGAGGAUUCCAAAAUAUCAUGUUUGCUCCUAUGCACAAUAAGAAUUCUGCUAAUUGAAUUUGCUAGAUAAUUAUCAACUAGCUCAUGUAGUUCUGCAUUUAAAAAGUAAUAGGGCAUUCUGAAGCAGCAAUUAGCCAACAUACUGGUGUUUGCAUAUAUUUUUAGUUCAUUUGUAAGUGUUAUCUUACUAUUGCUUCCUUUUCUCUCCAAACAGAUUUUGCUCCAACAGAAAAUAAAGAUGUUAUGUCAGUUCUAUUAAUGAUUUUUCCGAAGUAAUAUUUUGAUUUUUGGAAGACUUAAAAUGACAUCCAUCCAAGCUUGAGUGAUUCAUCAAAUGGAUGAACAACAAAGCAUCAUGAACAACUUUCUUGAUAUAUUAACUGAUGGUGUUCAUUCCUUGAAGCAGGAAAACAACAAAGGCUAUGAAAGGUGACUUUUUAUGAUCUAUAUGAAAUACUGCAUGUUUGCUGCUAUAUUAAUUUUGAAGAAUUAAAGUGCUGCUAUAUUAAUUUUGACUAAGUCAAAUCAACCAAAGUGUUGAUAUAGUAUUAUAUAGUACAAAGAAGGAAUACUCUAAAAAAAUAUAAUUAUGCACAUGUAUGUCACUUUGUGUAGCUAAAACCAUUUUCAUUAUAUACGUCGACCAUGCUUUGCUGUCAAAGUUUAUAAAUGAAAUCUAUAUGUGGUCAUAUUAAGCCUAAUGCUAGUAUCAAUGUCACUUAAGUGAAGGAGGUGUGCACUGCUACCGUAAUGCUUAUCUUUUCCAUCUCAUGAAUUCUAAUGAUCAAAUUUAGUAUAUGCAAAGGCUAUAUUACUCUGCAUGAUCAUAUUAGCAAAAUGCUUGAUAGAAAAGACUGAACCCAAUAAGAUAAAUAUUUUGAAAUAGUCUUGGUAUAUGUAGCAUAGUGAUUGUUUUAAUUAUGCUUGAAAAUUGCAAGACUUAACACUUGGAAUAGGCAACCAAGAUCCUAUCUUCAAGCAAUACAGCUUGCCAAAGGGUGAGGUUGGUUACCCCAAUGGAAUAUUUAACCCUUUGCACCAACUUUGGAGGCUAAAGAGAAGGAAAUUUCUAACGUUAUAUUUGCAAUGUUGGCAUUCUUGGGAUUUAUCAGUCAGCACAGUGUCACAGGAAAAGGACGAUUUGAUAACCUCUUGCAGCACCUUUCAGACCCAUGGCACAACACCAUUGUUCAAACACUGAGUGGCGGCAACUAAAAUGUUUGUUGUAUCUAAUGAUAUGAAAGCCUAUGUUAUUCUAAUGUAAUCAUGAAUGGAUGAAUUUUGAAAGAUAUCUGAGCAUGAUUGUUAAGAUCCUUAAUUUAUUUCCAUGUACAGAGGAACUAAGUGGGUUUUUUAAAUAAAAAAAAUAGGCGUAGGUGUACCUUAGUGGUUAUGGAACUCUUUUGCAAGCCAUCCAUUUAAUAUAUGACAAUUCCCGUUCUUUGAGUGAAAUCAGAUUCUACAUAUAUUUGAGUUUUAUAUGCAUGUGGUCUUGGUUUAAUUUUGAUGUCUUGACUUUACUAUAUACACAAUUUAUGUGAUCUUUUGGAUUAUACCAAUUUGAGUUUUAAAUUUAUUACUAACAAGAUUCAUAAAUUGACAAAAAAAGUAAUUGUUUACCUCUUAUAAAUAGAACAAAAAAUUGUAACAAGAAAGAUUAAUCGUUAAAAAACAAUAGCGCUUCAACUAUAAUAGACAUUUGCGAUUGAACGGAUGACAAUGGAGAUUAUUUCAACACCACUUUAAAUGUAGUGUAUAAAGAGAUAUUUCAAAAUGUGUGAAUAAUUGUUGUAUGUCCUAAAAUAUUGAUUAUGUUGAAUUGUUUUCUUAUCUAUAUAAUAGAUCAUAUUGUAAUAUGUUAGCUUUUCCAUUGUUUAUGACCCGGGCGGUAGCACGGGUAAAAGUCCGCCCGGAUAAAAGUUCUAGUCAAUUCCAACCCCAAUUGCGGUACAACAACAUCGACAACUUUUUUUCUUCUUCUUUACUAAGAUUACUAAGAUUGUGAUUACUAAGAUUUAUUUGGAUAAGGAUAGGAAAAGCUUGUUGUGCUGCCGCUGAUAAGGAGGGUACCAAGUUUGCUCCUGAAGACAUUAUGCAAAACGUUGAUUAGUUUAAUUAUAUUAUUACUUUUGGUUGUAUUGUUACUAGAACUUGAUUUUCUUGGUGAUUUGAAUGUUUUGUGAUUAAGAUCUGAAUUAUUUUCAGAAUUUUGGGAAGUUUAUGUUUUGUUAAAAAAUAAAAAUGAGGGAGAUGAUUGUUGGGUUUGAUGAAGUAACUGGGUUAAUAAGAUGAAGAAGAAGGAGAUUGAUGAAUAUGCACUCUAGAGAGAAAGAAGGUUCGAAAGAAUCAUGGAAAGAAGAAGAUGAAUAACGUUUUUUUUUUCCUUUUCUAAUUUUUUUUUUUCUGAUUUUUUUUUAAUUUCUCAAUUUCUUUUUUAAUUUAUUUAAUUUAAAAAUGAUUAUAUGGUUUUUUAAUUUUUUAAUUUAAUAAUUACACACGUGUCACCCAUUUAAGCGUUGACCAAGUCAAAAUUGGACAAAAAGACCACUAUUGCAAAGGGGCUAAAACAUAAGGGACUAAAUUUGCAAUUUUGUUUAAUAAAGGGCCAAAAUUGUAACUUUUUAAAACUUAAGGGGGGAAAAGUGCACUUUAGCCUAUUUUUUAUUGUUAACUUUACGGUCAUAAAGGUUGGAAAAAGAAAGGAUGAGUUGAGCGCAGCAUCAAAAUGGAUGGAGAGACAAGUUGAUGAUACUCCUCCGUCUCUAAAUAAUAAUCGUUUAAGGUUUUUGCACAAUUAUUAAGGAAAUGAUUAAUUGUGUUGAUUUUGAUGAUGAAAUUAGUAUCAUUUACUAAAACAUCAUUAUUAAUUGUAAUUCUUUAUCUUCUUAUAUAUUAAAGUUAACAUGUAAGCCCUAAUUUUAACCUAAACCCUAUUGCAUAAUUUUACUGUUUUAACCCUAAUGGUCACACCUAAUCUCCUAUUUUCAUGAACAACCCUAAUGCUCGCACCUAAUCUUCUUAUAUAUUAAAGUUAACCCGUAAGCCCUAAUUUUAACCCUAAUCUAUAUAAACAGGUGGAAGAAACAUUUCAACAAACAGUUAAAGGGUAUCAUUUACGGUAAAGGCCAAAUAUUUGAUAAAAGAAAAAUUAUUUAAAUAAAACAUUUUACAUNNNNNNNNNNNNNNNNNNNNNNNNNNNNNNNNNNNNNNNNNNNNNNNNNNNNNNNNNNNNNNNNNNNNNNNNNNNNNNNNNNNNNNNNNNNNNNNNNNNNAAGGAAUGUGAUGCCCUUGCGGGGAUACAAUGACUGCCCCAAUUCCUUUGCCAUAAGCAUUGACAGCACCAUCAAAGACUAAACCCCACUUGCUAUUGGGAUCUGGACCUUCAUUAAUCAACGGUUCGUCGCAGUCUUUGGAUUUCAAAUACAUGAUCUCUUCAUCAGGGAAAUCGAAUUCAAUUGGUUGGUAAUCAUCAAGAGGUUGAUAAGCAAGGUGAUCGGCAAGAAUGCUGCCUUUGAUUGCCUUUUGAGUUUUGAACACAAUAUCAUAUUCAGACAAAAGCAUCUGCCAGCGUGCAAUCUUCCCAGUAACGGCCGCUUUCUCAAAGAUAUACUUUAUCGGAUCCAUUCUGGAUAUCAACCAAGUUGUAUGAUUCACCAAAUAAUGACGCAGGCGUUUGGCAGCCCAAGCUAGAGCACAACAAGUCUUCUCAAGCAUUGUAUACCGAGUUUCACAGUCGGUGAACUUCUUGCUUAGAUAGUAGAUAGCAUGCUCUUUCUUUCCGGUUUCAUCUUGUUGACCAAGCACACAUCCCAUGGAUUCAUCAAAUACUGCCAAAUACAUAAUCAAAGGCCUUCCUUCCACGGGUGGGACAAGGAUAGGUGGUUCCAGCAGGUAAUUCUUGAUGCUAUCAAAAGCUUCCUGGCAUUCAUCGUUCCAUACAAUAGGCUGAUUCUUGCUCAAGCAAUCGAGUGAUCUCAUAUGGUAUAUCAUCAUCCUCUUCAUCUUCGGCUUCAUACACAGGGAAUUCAAAAUUUGGAGGAACCGUAGGAUUACUGUGUUCAACGGGUUUAUUAUGGUUCAAACUGCAUAGAAUGGUUGAAUGAUUUUAGAAAAUGUUUUUUUUUUCUUUUAUGCAGUUCUUUGAAAUUGAUAAGAAAAAUAAAGAUGUUUUGGUUUUUUCUGGUAUUACCAUUAUUUCCAAGAAAAAAAGAAAAAAAAAAUCACUAAAAAAUAAAAGUCGUGAAAGAAACGACGAUUUUUGUUAAUAACGGCGAUGCCGAAACAAACACGCCCUUCCAGAAAUAUCACUUUCGCUUCGGGCAGAGCGAGAGGAUGGUUAUUUUGAAAAACAAAACACUUAAGCAACAAGACACAUUAUUCGGAAACAUGCAUGAUUGAAUGAAUGUUGAUGGCAUCACAAUUUCUCGCAAUGCCUCCUGGUAUAACAAACAUAGGCCUAGGACUACAUCCAGUCGCCUCUUCAGUAAUUGCAUUGAUAAACUCAGCACUGUUGAAGAUUCAUGUGGCAUUGUACUUGUAAGGAAUAGCCUUUGUAGAAGUAUAAGGUACUGGUCCGGGCAGCCUUAUCACUUAGAGGCUCAACAUUCUCUUUUGAAGGCACGCUCUUGACGGGCGGAUCAUGAAAGACUGGCACAAUCACACAGACAUCACUGACAGUCAGAAGAUUAUCAUCCAUCAGGCUUUGGAUGUCGUCUUGAACAGUAUAGCAGCCCAAAGGAUCACAGAGGCAUCCUAGACACUUGGCAUGAUCAUGGCUGAACAGAGAGGCUUUGCAUAGCUUGAUAUGCAGAGGCACCAGAGGAGUGGCAACAUUGUGGACAUCAAGUCUAGGAGCUUCCUCACACACUUCGAUCAUAUUCACAGCGGCAUGAUUUGGAAGAGGAUUGUCAAGGACAUGUGGAACAUUAUUCUCAAAAGUCAGCUUUCCCUGAUCAAUGAGCUUCUUCACGAUAUACUUCAAAGCAUAACAUCCCUCGACAUCAUGACCUAAGGCACCUUGAUGAAAGUCACAUUUGAGAUCAGACCUGAACCUUGGAGGCAACGGAUCAGGUGGGGGCUUACCCUGUCUAGUUGUACAAUGUCCUCUCUGGAGUAGAGUUGGAAGAAGUUCUGCAUACAACAUCGGUAUAGGAGGAAAAGUUGGUCUAGUAUACUGCUGCUGUUGUUGUUGUUGUUGUUGUUGUUGUUGUUGAACCGGCAACUGUUGUUUCAUCUGUUGGGCAAUUGCAUUGACGGGCACUUGAGGCUGGCCCGGUGGCAAAGGGUACUGAUGAUAAAACGGUGGGAAGAACGGAUGUUGAGAAUACGGCAUAUAUGGGUAUGACGGAGGCAUUUGAGCUGCAUUGAUAGGAGCAACGGUAGCCAUAGAUUGACCGGCUCCAGCUGACACCAUCCCCACUUCCGUUUCUUUCUUCUUGUGGUGUCCAUUACCAUAUCUCUUCGAUGCACUCGUAGAAGAUUCAGCUUUCUCAAACACAAUGAUCCCAUCCCUGACUGCUUCCUCAAGACGGGUUCCCAUAGUGACCAUCUCCGAAAAGUUGUUCGGGGCGGCGAUGAUCAUCCUCUCAACAUAAUCUUUCUUCAAGGUCUUUAAGAAUGUCUGGGUCAUUUCUUCUUCAUCUAAAGCAGGAGUGAUACGGGCAGCUGCCCCUCUCCAUCUUUGUGCAUAUUCCCGGAAACUUUCCUCCUUUUUCUGAGAUAGGGACCUGAGGAACUCCCUAUUCGGCUUCAAACGAGUGUUAAACCCGUAGUGGCUCCUGAAAGCGGUGGCCAGCUCAUCAAAAGUAUGGACAUCGUCUUUGCUCAGACUAGUAUACCACUCUGCAGCAUCUUCCAUCAGACUGUCUUGGAAGUAAUGGAUCAUAAGGGAAUCAUUGUCCUUGUAGUUGCCCAUCUUCCGGACAUAUUUGACAAUAUGAUUUUGAGGACAAGUCAGCCCGUUAUAUUUGUCGAACUCCGGGACUUUGAACUUUUUUGGAACAUCUACCUUCGAUACUAAGCAGAGAUCCUGGGUUUUAAUGGAGUCUCCAUUUCCCCUAUUGGCCUUAAUUUCCCGUCGGAGCUCUUUGGCAAGUUCUUCCAUUCUCUCUUCCAUAGUUUCGGUUGCGGCAAUACUCCCGUGGUGUGCAUUAGCAUGGACAAAUAGAGGCACCGCAUUCACAAUGGGCUCGGUAACAGUUGUUGCAGCUUGAGUCAAGGCGGUACUAAUAGGAGUUAAGUUUGCCCCUGGGAUUGGGCCAUUGUUGGUAGUACCAGAGGUCCCUGCCCCUGUAUUAGCAGUAUAGUACAGCGGAAGCCCGUAAGGAUACCCGGAUGGCAUGAUAGAGCGGGGAUCAGUUGUUACAGUAGGAGUCACAUUUGCAGCUGUAGAAACUACAGGAACUGGUUGUUCCUGAGCAGCCAACAGAGCAGUCAUAGCAUCAUGAGCUUUGGCCAAUUCCUCCCUUAGAGAUGCCAAUUCGGUACGAAGCUGUGUGUUCUCUUCUUCCAUAGCCUUUUUCCUUCUUCUGUACUCUCUGGUUCGAUCGAUUCUAUCAGGUUCGUAGACCUUCUGAGCACGAGCCACUUUUCAAACUGUGGCAGAGGAACCAGGAAGUAGUGAGCAAUUGGAAGCCUUUGUGACCGAUGUAUGAUGCAUAUGAUGCAUGAUAUGCAGAUGCAAAUGCAAAAACGACUCUUUUUAAUGUCAUCGAAGGACUUUUUAAACAAAUUCGAAACAUUGUAAACACUGUUAAACAAGCAAAAUAAGGUUUUACAAUGGUAAACUUAUGAAUACAAGUUCACACCUGCGGUGUCUUACAAUGUUUCGAUCUGUCUAAAAAAAUCUUCGAUGUAUGCGUGAAAAAAAACUUAUGCAUGUAUGCAUGGUUGUUUUGUUUAGUUACAAAGAACAAGGUGGGUUGAGAUUCAAAGUAACAGGGCCACGGAUGGACACGGCGUCCGGUGAACUAAGGCUUUGGAUAGUAGUAACCAAGGUUCUAACACAGUUCCCAAACUGCAACCUCUCUCACAUAUAUCAUGGUAGUACAGGACGACACCCGUUCCAUGAUUAUUUGUGAGAAGGUCUAGUUUGAGUGUAGUAUCGCGUGACGACUAAAGUUUGAGACAACACUCAAUUUAGCCACCGCACUACGUCCUAAAAAGGCUAGGAUGGGUUUGGUAACUACGGUUCAUAGCUUCGUCGAACAAUUGAAAGUGAAGUGCCUAAGCAUGACAACACACGCCGACAAUAUCACCUUCAAAAUGCCUCAGCUAUGUGAGAUUGAUCGCAUAAUCCAAUACACGAGGCAACCCCCGGAUCGAAUUGUCGAUUAUAUCUCUACCUAAACAUAAGUUCACUCAGCCCGGGUAUAGGACUUUUGAUAUUCUCACCCCACACGUCAAAUGAAAAUAAACAAGUAUUCACAUAUGUAAGCAAUAAAACAAAGCGUAAAUAUAAACUAAGGAAAACUAGGCGCGACCCGCUAAAAAGAAUCCCCAGUGAAGUCGCCAUUUCUGUUAUCAUGGUUUUUGGGUGCCAAGCCAUUAAUUGGACUUGUACCUUUCGACCGUUGAUAUCUCUCUUUUUUCUUGGGAAGGGUAAAAGGAGAAAAACCCUUGAGUUUCCGAAUUCGGGGGUCGGUUUUACCACGGGAAGGUGUUAGGCACCCGGAGUAACUAUAGUCCUCUAUAGGAGCCGUUUUCCUAAGUCUAUAUUCACGCUUAUUUUUACUUACUUUUGAAAAUGGGAGGUUUAUUUAGUUAAGAAUGGGGGGAGAGAAGUUGUAAGACUUUUUAUCUUUUAGUUGAUUUGAAGAAAAUUUUAAUGUGUUGCUAUUUGAUUUUUUAAAGUUUGAAAAUGAUUUUUUGAAGAAGAGAAAGGAGGCCUUAAAGGCUUGAGAAGUAAAAAAUGUGAAGUUUGUCCAAUUUUACUUAAUAAAAUAGUCUAAGUCAUUUAAGGUUCAUUUAGAAUUUUCUUAAGAAAGUAAAAGGAAACACCAAAGGAGUUUUGACUCCAAAGUUCAUUUUAAAGAAAAAGAGCUAGAAUUAUGGAACUUGGUUUGCUUUGCGAAAAAAUAUUUUCUAAGUACUCGCGUUACCUAAUCAUACAUCUAAACGAAUGUCAUACACCGUGUGUGAGUGUCGGUGCUCGUGCCGGUGUACAUCAAUAGAGUCCAUAGUCCCUUUUACAUUGUCCUAGAUACAUUCUAUGGUCUUUGCAUGAAAUAUAAAAGAUAACACCUACCUAAAUAUUACAAUUCCAAAUAAAAGUAAAAAAAAUGGAUGCAAAGAAACUAAACUAUGUAAAAGAAUGGAAAUGGAAUGCUAAAUGAUAUGUAUGAAGUACCAAAGUAAACUUGUUAGUAAAAAAAAACAUAACAAGUACUAAGAAAUAAAAGCAUGCAAGAUGGCACAAAAAGUUAUCAAAAUGACAUUAAACCCUAAAAACUUAGGUAUGAAACCUAAAGCAUUCUUGGCCUCUAAUUCUCAUGCUUUAACAAAUUUUGAAAGAGUUUUCUUUAUCUCAAGUUAUAGCAUGGAAUUAUUGGAAACAUGCAAACAUGGUUUCAUGCCAUAUUUUCUAGAAUAAACUUGGCAUUUUAUAUCUUUCAAAAUAUGCAUAUAUUGUUCAUAAAAUUAAGAACUUAUGAACCAAAUCAAAACAGCAAAUCAACAUGAAAUUAUAGGCACAAAUCUCUCAUAUUAACACAUCAAGUAGCUUUUAUUACAUAUUCUCACAUUAAGGACAAAUGUGUGAAGAAGAAUUCAUAACAAAUAAUUCAAAGAGAAUUAAAAUGCUAUGAAUUAAUUAUACCAAAAUUUCAUAGAUCCUUAAUGUGCAAAAAUGUCAUAAAAACACUAAGAAAAUAUCAAGAAACAUGUAUGAAUUUUUCUAGGAAUUUUAUCACAAUUUUAAUCAAGACAUAGGUGCAGGUAGCAAAAAAAUAGGGGUGUGAACAGCAAGAAAAAAAGCAAGAAAUGUGCAGAAAAUUAAGCCCAAACCCAAAGCCCAACACCAAAACUCAGAUUGCACAGGAACCACACGAUUGAUCCAGGGUCCUGAAACCCUAGAUCAAACGGCCAGGAACCAAGGGGGGGUUGGACCGGUCCUGAACCGGUCCGGUUCACUGGCUUUAUAAGGGAGGGAAACCGGUUUUUUUUAUAAUUCUUCUUCUCCUUCUCUCUCUUCUCUCAUUCUAGUGAGAGAAGCUCUCACUUCUCUCUUCCUCACCGCGCCGGAUUCUGGAAAAACAGGAGAUGAUCUUCAUCUUCUCCGGCGGAGUUUGUUCCUCCGGCGUGGUGGCCGGCCACCCAAGGGUGGCGGCGCCGCCGCCGGAGUUGAGCAAACUCCUCCGAUUUUGAAAAUUUUUACAUUUUUAGAUAUCCUUUUUCGUGCUAUUCAUGAAUCCAAACUUAGUUUUUUGAGAAAAAGUCCCAAUCGGAGUAGAUCUAGCUUCAAAGAUUCGGAAAUUUGAAUUUUAAAGAGGAAGAAAGAGGAAGAGGAAUUGUCACCUAUUUGUGGUGUGUUGUAGAGCAAGGGAGAGAGCUUUGCUUUCUUCCGAAUCCGGAAUAUUCCUUCCUUCCUUCUCUUCUCUUUCACGUGUCUCUUUGACCGAUUUUGUGCUUGUUGUUUGGUGAUGUUCUUGGCGCGGAUUUGUGGAUUUUUGUGAUUCUUGGUACGGAUUUGGUUCGGAUUCGGUUUUGUGGCUUUUUGGUACGGAUUUGUUGCUUUUUGGGUACGAAUUUGUUGCUGGAUUUUGGUACGAAUUUGUUGCUGGAUUUUGGUACGAAUUUGUUGCUUUGUUGAUUUUUCUUCUUCCCCUCUCUCUGUGAUCGUGCUUGAAUUCGCCGCUUCCGGUGGCGGAUUCGCACUUGAAUUGUGGAGCAGAGGCGAUUCGAUGAUGAAGAUUCGCAAAGAAUCUCUGAGAAUCACCCAAAAAAAGGAUGAAUUUGAUGAAUCUGUGAUGAUUUUCGGUUAGGGUUUAUGUGUGUGUUCUUGAUGAUUUUCUGUUUUGAUUUGUAACUGAAUAGAGAGAGAAGAAAAAAUCUGUUUGUGAUGUGUCACUGUGUGAAUGGAAUCCUCCUAAAAAAUCUGACACUUCGUUUCCCCUUUUAUAUGCUGCCAUGUGUACCUGAACCAAUAAAAAAGUGACAUCUGGACUGGACUAAAAUUUGUGCGAAAAUUUGGACCAAAAUGCCCUUUGGGGCGUUUCUGCAGAAAAAAAUGAUAAUAAAAGGACUGAAAUGCAAUUCUUAGAAACUUUUGGACUGAAAUGUAAUUUUGGGACCUCAAUUGAGGGACCAAAAUGCAAUAAAAAAUAAAAUUGAAUAAAAAACGCAAUUUGAUCGAACGUAAAGCGAAACAAAAAUAAAAUUGACAAAACGGACUUAAAACGAACCAAUGGCCUAAAUGAGGUACUUCAAAGUAACCUCCCUAUGUCAAAAUUUCGUGUGAAAUGACCAAAAUGCCCCUAGGGCUAAAAAUGACCUAAACUGACUCAAACAGACUUGACACUGACUCGGACGCAAGUUUGAAAUGAAUUUAAACAGGGUUUACUGAUGAAAUGUUAAAAAUGAAUUUGAAAAGACUCAGAGACAGUCACAAGGAUGAAAAUGGGUCCCACUGCAGGAAAUGACCAAAAUACCCUUCUGCAUGACUUUUUGCAAAUUUUGAAAUAAACUGUAGAAAAAGCAAUGUAAUGAUUCAGAGACACCUUUGAAUGACUUUCAAGACAAGUAAAGACAUUUUGAAAGGUUUUAUGCAAAAAAACAUAGGUAAAAUUGUGAUUGAAAAAAAACUGCGAGACAGAGACAAUUUGAACUGUGCAGUUGACAUUUGAUAAUUGACAAAGUUUGAAAUGAAAUUGGGCCCAGUAUUUUUAGGUCCAAAAACAGGGUAUAACACUAAUUGUUCAUAACAUGUGCCAAAAUUUAUGAAGAAAAACAUGGCAAGAAAUUCACAAAAUUAGGCCAAAAAGAACCAAUUAAUCAAGAAAAUAACACCUACAUUUUUAUCAUCUUUAAACAGGUAGCAAUAUCACACAAAAUGUCAAAAGAUACAACAAAAAACAUAUAGAAUUUUUAGGAAAUUUUUAGAACAAAUAGAGGCGUAUAUAGCAGGAAAAUAAGGUGCAAAUAGCAAAGAAAAGGCAAAAAAACAAAAGAAACUGUAAGAUAAAGCCCAAGCCCGAAACCUAAAGGCCUGGAAGCACAGGGAUGCCAUGCUUAAUUUCUGAGUCAAUAACCGAGUGGAACAAAAGUGACUUAUAUGUAUAUGCAUCAUACAAGUAAUAAAGCAUAUCCAGGAAAUUGGGAGAGUGAAAGAGGAAUAUCAUAAGCUUAACUUCGAAGUUAAUGUCAAGGUGUAACAAAAUUGGUUUCUCUAUGAUUAGCAUUUUUACUUAGAGAAAAAAAGACAGGGGAUGUCAACCAUUCAUGAGGAAAGUAAUGGUAGACAUUACGCAAAACCAAAUUUUAUCACAUUUUACAAAGUAAAAUAAUAGGGAUUGUUAUGCCAAAUUUUUGCGUGGAAAUAAUAUUCACAGCAUGCCAUGUACUCCCUUUCAUUGAUGACCGUGUUCUUUUUAGUUGAUUUUUGUUUAAAAGUGACUUGAACAAAGUGUGGCUGGCCAUUUAUAAAUGGAUUAUUGCUAGUCAUUGUGUUUAAAUAGAUGACUAGCAGGAGUUGGCUACAGAAGUUGCAGCCACAUUUAAAUUUAUUAGAAGGCAACUAAGAAACAAGAAGAUUAGAGAUAUUGGGAGACCUCAAGAUUUUAGACUACAUGCAAAAUAAGUACCUGUUUCCAAUGUCAUGCAUCAAAAGGUUUCUCUAAGCAUUGCAUUGAAAAUUAUCAAAUCAAGAAGCUUAAAGAACCAAGAGAAAGAGUUAUAUGGUCCAUCCUUAUAGAUAAAAAAAUGUAGAUAUUUAGAGUUUUGUUAAUAUGGAAAAAAGGCCAAAUUUAGAAAUGUUAUUUAUUUUGGUAUAUCCUUGGUCUCUCUUUCCUCUUUAUGCUAUCAAUUAGUUCAUGUAAUUUUUUUGGUUCAAUUCAUUGAUGUGAUCUAAAUAGCUCAAUAUAGCUUUUUAUAAAAUGUCCACUCACGAAGCAUAGCUUACAAUAAAAUGUUCAAGUAGUAUACACAAAGAAACAAAUAAAAAUAUAUACACGAGUUAGCGCAGUAGAAAAAGCGUGCCCGUCUGGACGCUAGUAAUAAUGAAAAAUAAUAAUAAAUGAUGCAUUGGUAUUCUAAAGUGACAAUUAUUUUGAGAAAAAGAAAAAUGAGUAAAAAGAAAAUUAUUGUGAGACGGAUGGAGUAUUUAGAAAUUUAAACCUCAAAAUUCGAACAGCUUAAUAGCUAAUGCUACAAAAACUCGAAUAAAUACUCCCUCCGUCUCACAAUAUUAGUUCGCUUUUGUGCACGAUUAUUAAAGAAAUGAUUAAUUGUGUUGAUUUUAGUUGUAAAAUUAAUUGCAUUUACUAAAACACCCUUACUAAAACACCCUUAUUAAUUGUGAAAUUCAAUAAAUAAGGGUAUAAUAGUGGAAAAAAAACUAAUAAAUGUUACAUUGGUAUUGUAAAGUGACAAUUAUUCUGAGGAAAAAGAAAAAUUGUCAAAGAGAUAAUAAUUGUGAGACGGAUGGAGUAUAUGUUAACCUAGUGAGUUAACUAGAGCAAUAAAAGAGCUUAAUAUUAUCUGUCACUUUUUUCUCAAAUUCUCAUUCAAUUAUUAGUAGGACCCUGCGCUUUAUUUGGCUUUGCACUUUUACCAGCCAGUUCCUAUCUUCUGGAAACCAACGUGAAUGCCUUGAAAAUCAAAAGUAUUUUCUGAUAUUUUAAUCUCAUCUACCAAUUUGACAUUUUUCCAGCUGUCAUUCAUAGUCAAAAUUGGAAUCUAAUAAAUGUUGUAGUCUAUACAGAGUAACUUGAUACCUAUAUUUGGAGUUUGAUUUACCUUUUGUAGAUUCUUCAUUAAGUUUUAAUGAUAAAUAAUUAGUGUUAGGACCAAAAUUAAAACCGGAUAAAACUAAACAAUACAAAAAAUAUAAACCAUUAAAGAGGGGGAUACGGUUCUUUGCUCCCUAUUAAAUAUCGUUGAAACAAUAUUUAAUAAAAUCAGAGAAUCAAUAAUCAUUGAACAAGAAAAUUCAGGUUGAUAGCUAUGGCUACUCCUUUCUGCAAGACACAAGCAUUCAAAUAGAUAUGAUAAGUAACACAAUAUACAGUUACGCUCCAACAGAGAAGAUUGCUAUUGAUUACUCGACAAAAUGAUUGUGUAUCAUGCCAAAACUAAGCAUUAACCUCACCGUAAACCUCGUACGUCCUUAUCAUUUAUACAGCAUGCUUCAAUUGCAAUCACGUUAAACCUCAUUCGUAAAAGUUAAAAAUGUAUACAAGCAUUAAAUUAUCCAUACGUUUAUAGGUUAGACAGAAAGCAUGUGACGUAAGUCAAGAGAGAUAUAGCAUUUAAUACUUCAAUGCCCUCAUCACAUCCAGAAGUUGGAUCUAUACCCAUUUCGAGCUGAUUACCUCAUGGUGGAAGUUGAAACUUCCAGCCAGUAGAUCUCUAGUUAGUGAGUUGCGACAAUUUGUUAUAUUCAUUAAUCAUCUACUACACGUAAUUAACCAUAUAUUUUGUUGUGUCAAAAUAAUACAAGGAAGACAGACCCAAGCAAUUAACAUGCAUAUCUGUCAAAUAUGGAAAGGAAAAAAAAUUUAAUACUAAGAACCAGCAGUGACAUCAGACUCUUAACUCUGGAACAGGACAAAUCUGUAAUGAGUCAAAGAGUUGAAAGAGGUAUUACAGGAAAUAUGAAUGUGGACUCUUAUAAAUACGAGAAAGCCAAGAGAAAAAGGCAUGGAAUAUGUGUGAUGUCAACAUUCUUCUUCUAACCACUUCUCUCAUUUUACUAUCCUUAUUUUCUUGCAAUUUUAUUUCCUGCAAUUGUACUCAUUGUGUGUUCACAGUGAAACGUUAUCCUUUAUAUCAAUUUUAGUACCAAUACAUUGGUGCUAUGGCAUGGGCUGAAUCAGUAUGAGCUCAUUGGAAAAACAUAGAAGCCGAGUAUAAUCGAUUGGAAGAGUUGCAAAGGAUCUUUGAUUCAUCUUUCCAGUAUGUUAAUCAUAUCAUUGAAUUUUAAUGCUGAACCACUGCUAUUGAAACCUCCAUAUCCAUUUGUUUUUACUCUGACUCCACCACCACCUCAGCCGAAACCUCCUGAUCGAAGCUUUGCGCAGAUUCCCGUGGAGUUUCAAGUGAUACGGAACUUCACCAUACAUCCACUGCCUCCAGAGCCUCUAGACACCGAUCACACAGCAGUGAAUACCAUAGUUUUGCCUUCUUGUGUGGAAAUAGCAGUUUUCCCACCAUCUGUUUGUGUGAAUGAUUGUGUCAUCAUCCAGCUAUUGUUGUUCAUGUUGUUUCGGUGUUUACCAUUGGUUCGACAUCUCAGCGAAAAGGACCAUGAACAGGUAAUCCUUGUUGUUUAUCUUAGUGUUGGUUCGUAUGCUCCUAUUUCUCUAGACUAUGGCUAUACAAUGAAUGUCUUUGAGAAGAGUGAGGUUUAUGGUUAUGGUGUAGUGUUGUUGAUUGUCUUGACUUGUAAGUAUAUUGAUGAGAAAUGGAAACAAGAACCACAUUUCCACAUGGUGACAUAUGAGAAUAGAUAAUUCAGGAACUUAGUUUUUGACAAGGUUCAAAUUCAUCAACAGCCAACCCAAAACAUUUAUGAGUUUGGUAGGAUUAUCUUGCCACAUAACCAGGAUGAUACAAUACUUUCAAGAGAUGUUGAAUCCCAAUAAAAAGAAUGGCACUCCUGUUGUUUUGAUUUGGUUUGAAAAUCUCCAGCAACGACAUCAAUUGUCGCUUGAACCAUACCAUGCUCACUUUUGGAGUUGCAUGAAUGCUAUCUCUCAUAAUGAUGUUAUGGCUAUUGUUCAAUUAUUUUCCUUUGUUGUCAAAUUGGUUGUUUCUAUUCCUGAAGAUGUAUCUCAAGCUAUGGGAUUGAGCCUUGCAUUUUUCAGGACAAAAAUUAAGCAUGAUAAGGCUCAUUAUUCAAUUUAUUUUCCUUUCUUCUCAUUAUUCAAUGUAAAACGAUACAAAACAACCUUCAGUAUGUGAAAGAGGCUGCCAUUGUGUUUGUUUUGUUUCUACAACCAAUCCAAAUCAAGGACAAGAGUUAUCAUAUAAUAACUACUUGGAUGUUAUUACUACUUUCAACUUUGUGCGUGCAUUUCAAAUUCCAUGUGGGGUAGCUUCAAGUGAUGUUGUUUUGAAAUCUUGUAGAAUGAACACUACAGCUUGUAGCUUCUCAAGAUUAGAGUAUAGCAACUUAGGGACUUCGCAAUUGGGUUGGAAAACGAAAUUUGAUGGGGAAUGGUGCAUAGAAGAUCUUUUGGUUUUGAGAAUUGACAUGGUUCAAAGAGUCAUACCAAAGAUGAAGUGUUAUGGGCAUUGUCCACAAGGUAUUGUAGUUUCUCUUUUGCAUUGGUCCGGGCUGAAAUUGGCGAGGAAACUCAACUUGUGGAAACCAUCUAGCCUGACUGCAGACGUAAAAAGAAGAGUAGUGAUGGAAAUGACCACUUUUAUGUUCAUAGAAACAUGUAUGCUUCUCUUAUUUAGUAAGGCUCCUAACAUCAAAUAUCAUAUUAAUGUUAAUCCUACCUCAUUGCUUGUCUAUGUUGGUAGUGAUAUACAAGAUCUUCUAGCAGUUUUGGAGGAAUUUUCUUGGGUGUUUUAUCCUAAUAAAGUUACUCUUGCUAGGAUGCGUCUUGAAGCUAAUAUGAAUUCUGCAUUGUAUUUGAGCAGAUACAAUGUCAAGGUUUUCCUUCUCAAGUGCCAUACGAUGGCAGGGAGAGUGAUAUCAAUAAAUGGAGUGUCCUUCAAAGACUGAGAAAUAUUAUAUACAAGACGAAGUUCUUGCUGAACAAUUGCAGGAUCAGGUGAAGAAGCAUCAUCGGCUUGAUGGGUGUAAAUUUAAAGAAGACUUGGGGCUAAAAGAACCAAGAGACAUGAACGAUCUUCUGGUUCAGGCACAUCCUUACAUCAAUUACGAAACAGCUGAAGCCGUCAAGAAGAAACAACCUUAGAAAGAGUACAAGCUACAGGACGACAGUCAAAAAACACGAGGGAACAAUUCUCGGUUCUCGGAAUACAGUCAGUUUAACGCUUCAUGAGAACAAGUUUUCAAGCAAUGGAAAACACAGAAUUCAAAGAUGCCGGCAUCAAAGCCCCAGCGCCGUUGAAGGAAAUACCACGCAGAGACAAGUCCAAGUACUGUAGGUUCCACAUAAGUAGCGGCCACAAUACAAGAAAAAAAAUUCCAGCUGAAGGAUGCAAUUGAAGAUCAAAUCAAAAAAGGGAAGUUGAAACGCUACAUCAAAGAUGAUUACCACAAAGGUGGUAAGAAGAAAUACAAAGACUCCAAUCACAAAUCUUCUCUCAGUAGUGAGUCCACAAAGAGAAAGCGCUCUCCUUCCUAGGAAGACACUCCACCCACAAAGAAACGAUUGACGUCGCUGACAGAGGCAAUAAGGAAAGGAAAAUGAUGACCACCAUUAGAAGAACGGUAAAACGUGUCUUCCUGGACGCCAUCAUGGGGAAUCUCCGAGAACGGGUCCAAAGGUACAUGAAGAGGAAGGUAGCUCAAAUGCUCGCAAUCAAUGUCACCAUACCAUCUUCUGAAGCUGAGUAUAGGACAUUAGCACAAGCAACCUUUGAAGGACAAUGGUUGUUGUAUCUUCUGCAUGAUUUCUUAGUUCCUCAUUCUUCAUCUAUUAUCAUCAUAUAUUGUGAUAAUCAAUCAGCAAAGCAUAUGGCUGCUAACCCUAUUUUUCAAGAGAGGACAAAGCAUAUCAAAAUUUAUUGUCAUGUUGUCAGGGAUAGAUUCACACAGGAAUGCUUCAUCCACUACCAGUGUCUUCCAAGGAAAAAGUAGCAGAUAUAUUGACCAAGUCACUUCACCCUGGGUCAUUGAACAUUCUUCGGCACAAGCUUGGAAUGAUUGACAUCUAUUCCAGCUUGGGGGGAUGUUGAAGCUAGUAUAGAUACAGUCAGUUAGUUAAUUAACUUGCACUGACCUUAACUCCUUGCUACCAUUCUCUAACUAUGAUUAGCUAUAGAAGUAACUACAGUUAGGAGGAUAUAAGUGAUAUAUAUACUCUUGCUAGUUCCACUUUGAAGGUGAGAAAAACACAAGAAGGGGGGGUUGAAUUGUGUUUUCUUUUUCUCUCUUAAAAAAUCUUCUUCUGAUAAACCUUCAGAAGCAGUUUGUGAGUGCUUCUGAUGAACUGAUCAGAAUUGGAUAUGCAGCGGAAAAGAACAGAGCAGAGAAAAGAAAGACAAAGACACAAGUAGUUAUCCUGGUUCCUUCCACAACACGGAAGUAGUCCAGUCCCCCUUGUACUUCCAAGGAGAUUUCACUAUAAUCACAAAGAUUACAACUGCUCAAUACUAUCUAAGUGUGAGACUUCACAAAGAUGCUCAAGCACACACGCAAGAGUCUUCCAAUGCUCAAGCACUAAGCAAGAGACUUCUAAUGCUCAAGCACGCAGGCAAGAGACUUCUGAUCAAACAAAAAUACAGAGAAUUGAGUUUGACUUGAACACUUGAUAUACAAUCAGUGGUGUUCUCAAUACAAUACAGUAAAGACUCUAGACUUUGAAUUUCUAAGAUGUAUCAAAUCAGUGCAGAAAUUCAGUGUGCUUUGUAGAAUCAAUUUGACAGAGUUUUGGCGCUUUUGAACUUGUAUAUCUCUAUCUUCUAUCUUCAAGUCUUCACUCCUUUAUAUAGAGGCGUGAAAGAGACGUUGAGAUAAUCAGCACGUCUAAAGAGUCGUUUGAAAUCCUUUGAUCAUCCACCAGUAAUCCUUUGCCUGAUUUGGGUGUAGUCCUUUGAAGAAUAAGCUUCAAAUUCAUUCCCAUCUUGAAGGCACAAAUUCUGCAGGCAUGGCUGUUGUCUUGUCUUGUAGUGUAGACAAAAAAACAGAGUAGUGGAGGUAGUGGUUGUACACUUGUACUUUGUCAACUCUACUAACGAGAGACAAGUGCUCAGUGCUAUCCAUAUAUCUGUUGAUACCUCCCUUUCAAUUCUUCGUUCUUCUUAGAUAAGAUUGAAUUGAGAAUCAGCUACUUUGGAUCUUCAGUUUGAUUAAAGGAUCAAAUAUAGCUUCUGGUGAAGAUAUUGCUUCUGAUGACCUUCUGCUUCUGAUGACGUCAUCUCUUCAGAAGCAGUUUUCUUCAGAUGCUUGGAAUUCUUUUGCUUUUCAUUGUUCUUCCAAGACCUAUUGAAAUUACUUGACUAGCUUUUGAUCCUGUACACUUGAACAAUCAUUAGUAUAAACCAAUUGACAAUUUUUAAUACCUUGUUAUCAUCAAAACUCAAUAAGGUUCAUUGUGAAACACAUUUUGUUCCAACAAUCUCCCCCUUUUUGAUGAUGACAAACAAUAGUAUUUAAAAUGUUCAAUUGUUGUUGAUCUAAUUAAUAAGUUGACCACUGGGAUUGAGGUUUGUAAGCUCCCCCUGAGUCUAAUAGAUCUUUAAGGUGAGGUUUGUAAGCUCCCCUUGAGUUCUAAUCUUAUUAAUUAAAUUUCAAUAAAAAUAACUUAUUAAAAAUAAAUAAUAUCAGAAGUAUUUAAAAAGUUUUUGAAAUGGUUAUAAUGGGGCUCAGUGCAUUAAAAUACUAUACAUUUACUCCCUCUUUUGUCAUCAACAAAAAGAAUAAAAACAAAAGAAAGAGUAGCAGAGCAUAUAAACAUAUAAGCCUUAAAAUACAAUGUAUCAGAGCAGACAUCAUUAAACACAGCAAAUAUUAUCAGAGUUAAAGCUGUAAAACAUAUAAUUCAGAAAAACAAAGAUAAUAUUUAUAAGUUAAGAUACAAAGGCAAAACUACUAACAACUUAGAACAAAAAUUAAAACAAGCAAAGAGUGUUGGGUGUGCAACUAAGGUUGGGCUUGCUUAUACAUCUGUUCCAAAAGGUACUUAAUUUGAUCAUCCUUCUUCUGAAGUAGCUCAUCCUUUUCUCUCAUUCUUCUUUUAUACCCAGCAUGAAUUCUUGCAGCCCUUGUGAUAUACUCUUCUUCUAGAUAGAAAGGAGUGAUGUCCAGCAGAGGCACAUAAUUCAGCUCUUUCACCUUAGCUGCUUCAUGCAUAUCAUUCAACAUCUUCUUCAGCAUGGCAGAGUGAGAUGAGACACACUUAGUUCUAAGCUGAUUCAUCAGUUCAUCAAAGCUCUUCUGCAGAUCCAUCCACUGAUCAUGAUAGUGAAUAGGAGGUACAUGAACUGUUCUGCGAAGAAUCAGUGUCUUGAAUACUCAUCACCUAAAGCCUCGAUUAGCUGUUCCUCUAUAUACUCAGACUCUAGGAUAUUGUCAGGGAUGGGUGAGGGCCAGUUUGAGUUGUAUUUGAUGUGGAGGGUUGGUCAGAGGUUAAGUCUAUAAUAGAAGGUGAUGCUGGUUGUUGUAUUUCUGUUGUUUGUUGGUCAGAGUCAUGAUGUUCAUGAACAGACUGUUCAGAAGCACCAAGAUCUUGGUCAGUAGCAACUUGUUCAGAAACAGUUUGUUCCAGAACAGUUUGCUCAGGGAUGGUUUGGGUUUCUGAUUGUUGGUUUUCCAAAACAGUCUUUUUAGGGACUGUCUUAGAGGCCUUUGUGGGUGUUGGUUGCAUUUCACCACAUAGAUGUUUUUCUAGGUUGUGAAGGGUUGAGGAUUCUUGUUGUUGGGGGGUUUCUGAUGUAGUUGCUUCUGAAACUACUUCAGAGGCUCUUUGUGGAGUUUGGUCAUUUUGUUGAUUUGUUUGGGUAGGUUCUUGGUUGGGUUGAGGUUGUUGUAUGCUAACAACUUCUGGAAUGACUGGAUACAAAGGAUGAGAAGCAGGCAAAUUGAAUUUCUCACAGAGUUUAAUUAUGUUCUUAGAAAAUUCAAUUUGUGUUUGCUCAUAGUCAAAAGUUCCAAACUCUGUUAGUUUUGUGGGUUUGAUGUUAAGGAGAUUGGUUCAUCUGAUUCUGUGGAUGAUGAUGAGGGUGAAGAGGGUGGAGUAGGUAGGGUGUGAAUCUGAGUAUUAGAUGGAGCUUGAGAUGAAAUACCUGAAGAAUGAGCUUCUGAAGGAGGUGCUUCUGGAGCUUUUGUAGAAGGAUCUGAUGAUGAUGCUCCUGAAGCUUGCUUAUUCUUCAAGGCUUGUGAAAGCAGAGUUGCUCCACGCUGAAUAGUUUCCAUCUCAGAAUCUAUAGCAGCAAUUUCAGGAUCAGGCUCAUACCCUGCAGCCUUGAGUUUAUCUUCCCUUUCCUUUUCAUACAAUUCCUUCAUCCUCUUCUUCUCUUGAAUUUUAGUUCUUGCAUACUCAUUUUCUUCGCUCAGUUGAGUCUCAGACGCUUCAAAUCUGGGCAAGACUUCAAGCUCAGUGUUGGUAGUCCUCUUUACUUUCUUAGGACUUGAGUCUUCAUCCCAGUUCUCUUCAAGCUCUUCCAGCAUCUGCGCCUUGCGUCCUUCAGCUGUCUUCAGAUUUCUUGUUAUAUAAGAUCUCUUCCUUUUGAUGGUCUGAAGAGUAGCUUCUCUUUUCUUCUUAGGACUUAGAGGUUUUUCAGAAGCAGCUUGUUCAGAAGCAACUUGUUCAGAAGCAAGCUGUUCUGCUGUUUCUUAAGCACUCCUUGUCCUUUUUCUGAUAAGAGGGACUUCAUCCAAGUCCUCCACUUCCUCUUGAAUAGUGGACAUUGCAGAUUUUUCCUUCUUAACUUUCUGAUGCUUCUGAGCACCCUUCUCAGUAGCAUCAUCAGCAAGAUAUUCUUCCUUGGUGAUCUGCUUCUUCUUGGACUUUCUGCCUUUAGCCACAGGCAGAGCACCACCAUACAUCUCCUCAGGGACAUCCUUCAGGUCAAUCUUCUUGUUGUAGGUUUUGUAGAAGUCCAUGAUGUAAGCCCUUUGUACAUCCAGGGGAUCUUUCUUGCAGAUAGGGAUGAGAUGAGUGACCAGAUCAGAUAUGGCAUCAGAUUCAUGCAUAUCAGUAUCUAGUUUCUUGAAUGUUGGAAUCAGUCUCAUCUUUAGAAGAGUUGCUCCAUUAAUUAUUUUCCCAGUGACUGCUCCCAGCUUCUGAUUAUCAUAAAUGCCAACGUCCUUCAAGGCACUUAGGAUUCCUCCUUCUUGAAAAAUUACAGAGAGCAGCCUUCCAUAAGGAACAUACUUCCUGUUUUCCAUCUGACUCUUCUUUAGUUCCUUGAUCAUGUACUUGAACAUGUACUUAGGAACAUUCAUCGUGGUCUCUUGAGUGAUGGUGUGAUGCAGGAAAACUUUGUGACCAAGUGAAGGUUGAUCACUUCCUCCACCUUUGGGAAAGAUGUUCUCAUUUUGGAUCUUCAGCAGCAACUUCUUUUGCAUGCUCAAAGUGCUGUAAGGUUUAGCAUCCUUUGAUCCAUAAAUGGUGUUAUUUACAAUUUCCUUCCAGGAGCUGGUUUUGGGAUUAGGAAUCUCUUCUCCAAAGUACUUGCCAGAGGUAUCCCUUCUCAUGGCUUGAGCAAUAAUCUGCUCAUUUAUGGUUACGGGAAUACCCAUGACAUUUGAUCUAAUCUCUGUACCAGUGAAGGCGAGUAGACCCAUUUCUUCUCUGGUUUUUCCCUCCAGAGUAGGAUCAACCAGAAUCAUCUGAGCUUCUUCCUGUCUAGCAGCAUCAAUGUCAAAUAUUGAAGCCCUUACCCAGAAUUGUCUGACCAGAACUUCAUACGUUGGACCAUUGAGAAGACCAAAAUACCCCAUGAGUUGCUGUUUCUCGUAGAACUUUACCAAGUCGCAUCCAUGGCGAGUUAAAGAGGCGAAAUCCACUGGAUUUUCUGCUUGAAUAACUAACUCUCAUUCUUCAAUAGACAUGGUUCUUCCUUUAAUCUCAUAAGCCGGAGUAUCUAUUUCCAUGUUUGAAGAUGAACCACGAGCAAAACUUGAACUUUCCAUUGAUUCGAAGGAGUUUUAGGGUUCUAAGGUGUUUUGAGAGGGAGAGUGAAUGCGCUUACUUCGCAGAGGGUUGAGAAGAAAAUAGAAAGUGUUUGUUGUGAAGUGAGUAGUGUGUGUUUGUUUUAAGUGUUUUUUAUUAAAACGUUUGCAAUUCAGAAGAGACAAACAAACAUAACAUUAAUGACAAAUUGGGGGCGCGUGAUAGUACAUUUAAAAGCAAGUAAAACAUCAUUGCCCUUUUUGUUAUACUCCAAUACAAAUAGACCACGUCAGAGACUUAUCAGAAAACUAACCUUUGGGUAAUGGGACAGCUGUUACAAAAAGUAACUGCCAACGUUCCCACUAGCCUUGCUAUUCAGAAGCAAAUAAUACCGUUUCUGAAGUCUUAGUGCUGACGUCAUCUUCAGAAGCACAUUUUCCUCAGAACCUCAGUUAAGAGCUUCUGAUGGACCAGAUGCUUCUGAAUAGACUUCAGAACCAAAAACUUCUUAUUCAGAGGCAAGCAAUUUUUCAAUCAGACACAAAGUGCAUGUUCAAAUUUUUCUUAAUAAAAUCAAAUCUUUCAACCGAUAAAGGUUUUGUAAAUAUAUCAGCCCAUUGAUGUUCAGUAUCAAUGAAUUGUAUAUCUAAAAUCCCUUUUUGAACAUAGUCUCUGAUAAAAUGGUGUUUGAUCUCAAUAUGCUUGGCUCUUGAAUGUAGAAUUGGAUUCUUUGACAGACAAAUAGCAGCAGUAUUAUCACAAAAAAUGGGAAUACUGUUAGCAUUAAUCUGAUAGUCUUCCAACUGAUGUUUCAUCCAAAGUAGUUGUGUACAACAACUUGCAGCUGAAAUGUAUUCUGCUUCUGCUGUAGACAUAGCAAUAGUUGCUUGUCUUUUGCUUGCCUAGGAUAUCAGAUUCUCUCCCAGGAAUUGACAAUUUCCACUGGUUGAUUUUCUUUCAAUCCUGUCACCAGCAUAAUCAGCAUCACAGAAUCCAAUCAACUUAUAAUCUAGGGAUUUCCUAUACAGGAGUCCAAGAUUAGUUGUUCCUUUCAGAUACCUGAAGAUUCUCUUAACUGCAGUUUAAUGAGAUUCUCUAGGAUCUGAUUGAAAUCUUGCACACAAGCAUACACUGAAUAAAAUAUCAGGUCUAGAUGCAGUGAGGUAUAACAGAGAACCAAUCAUACCUCUGUAUAGCUUCUGGUCUACUAUUGUUCCAGUAUCUUCUUUGCUUAAGGUGCAGGUUGGAUGCAUUGGAGUGUUCAUCACUUUACAAUCUUCUAGCUUAAACUUCUUCAGAAGCUCCUUUGUAUAUUUUGUUUGAUGAACAUAUACUCCUUCUUUACUUUGGUUGAUUUGAAUUCCAAGAAAGAACUUCAAUUCUCCCAUCAUACUCAUUUCAAAUUCAUCCUGCAUUAACUUAGAAAAUUCCUUGCAAAGAGAUGCAUUAGUAGAACCAAAUAUUAUAUCAUCAACAUAUAUUUGCACAAUCAAAAUGUCUUUCUUAAGAGUCCUUCUGAAUGUCUUUCUUAAGAGUCCUUCUGAAGAGUGUUGUGUCAACUUGUCCUCUUUCAAAAUCAUUUUUAAUUAAGAAAUUACUUAGUCUAUCAUACCAAGCUCUGGGAGCUUGUUUCAAGCCAUAUAGUGAUUUCUUAAGUUUAUAAACAUGGUCAGGAUGCUUAAGAUCCUCAAACCCAGGAGGUUGUUUGACAUAAACUUCUUCUUCAAUGACACCAUUAAUAAAACCACUUUUGACAUCCAUUUGAUACAAUAUUAUGCCAUGAUUAAUUGCAUAGGAUAGAAGUAACCUGAUUGCUUCCAAUCUUGCAACUGGAGCAAAUGUUUCAGUGUAAUCAAUGCCUUCUUGUUGACUGUAACCUUGAGCAACAAGUCUGGCUUUGUUUCUGGUUACCUCUCCUUGUUCAUUCAACUUGUUUCUGAAUACCCAUUUUGUUCCAAUAAUGUUCUUCUGAAAAGGUUUGGGUACCAGAUCCCACACAUCAUUCCUCUGAAACUGAUUUAGUUCUUCUUGCAUAGCUAGUAUCCAACCAUCAUCUGAGAGAGCUUCUUCAACAGUUUUAGGCUCAAUUAUUGAAAGCAAUCCUAUUAAUGACUCUUCUUGUCUGAAAUGUGAUCUUGUUCUUCUAGGACUAUCUUUGCUUCCAAUGAUUAGCUCCUUAAGUGUGAAGAUUUGUGUUUGAAUUUAGGUUGAAUAGCCUGCUGAGAGUUAUCUUGAAUAUCCUCAGAAGCAUUCUCAUUCUGUAUUUCUGGACUAGGUUCUGCUUCUGAAUUUGACUCAGCUUCUGGAGUGAUUUCAGCUUCUGGACUAGAUUCAACUUCUGAAUGCUUUUCAGAAUCAGAAAGUUGAUCAGAUUCUGAUGCAUCUUCAGAAUCAAUUGUACCUGCAUUACUUUCACUUUGCUCUGGAGUUUUACUUCCAGGCUCUCUAUCAUCAAAUUUAACAUGCAUAGAUUCUUCAACACAAUGUGUUUCUGAAUUAUACACUCUGUACGCCUUUGACCUUUCAGAGUAACCUAAAAAGAUUCCUCUUUGAGCCUUGGCAUCAAAUUUCUUCAGAUAGUCUUUAGUGUUUAGAAUGUAACAAGUACAUCCAAACUGAUGAAAGUAAGAGAUAUUGGGUCUUGUUCCUUUAAAGAGUUCAUAUGCAGUUUUCUCCAACAUAGGUCUGAUAUAGAUCCUAUUUUGAAUAUAACAUGAAGUAUUAAUUGCUUCUGCCCAGAAAUGUUUAGCUAAAUUGUUUUCAUGGAUCAUGGUUCUGGCCAUUUCUUGUAAGGUUCUGUUCUUUCUCUCUACAACCCCAUUUUGUUGUGGAGUUCUAGGAGAAGAAAAUUCAUGAAGAAUCCCAUGUUUUUCACAAAAAGAUUCAAAUGUCUCAUUUUCAAAUUCACCACCAUGAUCACUUCUGACUUUCAAAAUUUUCAAUUCUUUUUCAGAUUGUAUUUGAGUGCAGAAGCUGCUAAACACUUCACAAGCAUAAUCUUUACUUUUAAUGAAUUUUACCCAAGUCCAUCUGCUGUAAUCAUCAACAAUGACUAAUCCAUAUUUACUUCCAUAUAAGGAUGUAGUGUUAACUUGUCCAAAAAGAUCAAUAUGGAGUAAUUCCAAGGGUCUAGAGGUUGAUACAAUGUCUUUAGAUUUGAAAGAACUUUUCACAAUCUUCCCUUUCUGACAUGCACCACUGAAGGGAUUUUAAGAGGGGUUUUUCAAAAAUUUAAUCCUCUUUGCGGAAGAAAUCCCAUUGAAACGGAUCUUGAUUAAAUCAUUAAUCACAAAUCAAAUAGAAACUUAAACACUUUAAGAUUCAUGUGUUUACCUCUUGAAGAGCAGAACCUUUGUAGAAGAAAUAUUUCUGAUCACGAGCAAAGCAAAGCAGCGAUGCCUCUACUCAGUCCACACGAACAGAACUUCUCUGAUGACCGGUGCUAGCCAAUUCCAACGGAGAUUCAGAGAGAACAAGGUUUAGAGAGCGGCGGCUAGGGUUUCACAACUUUUGUGAAUUAGGUUAAGCACUCACCAAAGGUUAAUAAUGUUUCAACACAAGGGUUCUAUUUAUAGAAUCACUUGUGUGGACAACAAGACAACACUUAAAUACACCGUACUUUACGGUGGACCGCGUUUCUCUAUUUUUCGUAAAUUAAAUAAUAAAGUCAUAUUUAAUUUUUUAAUUAAUAAUAAGUCUCACUUAUUAUUUUAUAAAUAAGUCUCACUUAUUAUUUUAUAAAUAAGUCUUACUUAUUUAUUUCUCUCAUCUAUCUGUCCUUUGUGUGUGACCCUAUAGGUUCCCGUAACGUUGGCAAUAAUAUUAAAUCACAUAUUUAAUAUUAUAAACAGUGAGCGGUAUCUAGCAACACAUCACUGCUACCCAAGUGACGAGAAUGUCAUGUGAUCUGACGAAACCUUUCUGUGAUAAUGAUCAUGUGUAUAAUUACCCUUUUGCCCUCAUGUCUAUAUUGAACACAAGGCAUAGACCGUGUCAUCCUUGUCUAGUUCAAUAUUGGGCCCGUAGACAUUUCUCCUGUUAUGUAGGAGGGGCAAAUUCCAUCUAGGUCACUCAUGUCCCUCAGCAUGAUUCAUGGAGUACCCAUCAACCAACUUUAUAGUCAUCCUGUUACGGACAACGUUUGAAUGGUGACAAAGCACUCGACUCCAACAUCUAGGGUACAUAGUGGUUUCAGGUCGAAGGGUGGAAUACACCACUAUCACUAUGAGAAUAUCUUAUGACACUUUUCAUAACUUUUACUAUGUAGUAUUCUCAUGGCGGAUCAAUCCAAUAUAAAUAUUACUCCUAAUAUUUAUAUCUAUGUGAAGACUUGAUAACUCUUUAUCCAUGAUCUGUGAGAUGUGAUCAUCAGUCUACCUACAUAAUAGUCUCUAUGCUUUAAUGAUAUCCCACUUCUCAACAAAGCUUGACUAUGGAUACUUUGAGAAUAGUUUCCAUAUGUUUAAUGGGGUCUCACAAUUAAGUUAUACUUAAUGUUCCAUUAAACGGACUAACUAUUCUAGGGACUUUAUUAUUUUGAAACAAAACAAAAUCAAUAAAGAAAUGCCUUGUUAUUAUAUAUUCACAAUAUAUAUUUAUAUCAAUAUCAUGAAACAAAGCCAAACCCAAUCAAUAUAGAUUGGCUAUUAGGGCUUAUUCCAACAAUCUCCCACUAGCACUAAAAGCCAAUCAAAUAUUAACUCAAUAUCUAUUGGUCAAGUGUUAGCAUCAAGCACACUCUUGACAAGAUACUAUACUAGCAAAUAAGGAACUCUUUUCUAUGUUGGUAGGUUAUACUUCUUUCAAUUUCCACUUUCGAUCUUCUAUCGAAAAGAAAUUGAAGUGUCAAAGUAUACAUUUGGAUCAUUGGUGAGAUCAAGUUUUCAUUGCUCACAAGAUUUAAAGCAAUUUUACCUCAUACGAGAUCAAUGGAAUCCGCAACGCAAGAAACACAUGUUUUCACUCAGUUAUGAGCUAAACAAUCCAAAUCAUAUAUAUUUGACAUCUGUAAUAGAAACAACAACUAUUUGAAGCUUGUACUUUUAUAAAUUUCAUAGUUGAUAUCCUAGCAUAACAUUUAUUCCAAAUUACGAUCUGGAUAUAUUGUACACUGAUAUGAAAGUCAACAUCAUUGUAACUCAUUUACAAUGUUUCUUUCAUCUGUGUUCAAGAAACAAUCUAUUGUCCUUUAAGACAUCCAAGGAUAUUCUUGAAGGUAUUAUAGUGUCGAACACUAUAAUCAAUUUUGGUACAUAUUGAAAAUAAUUUUCUAACCAUGUCUUACAUGUGUAGAUAAAUUAUUUUGGUGACUAGUAUGUCAUCUACAUACUCCACCAAAAUAAUUUCAAUGCUCCCACUAAUCUCCUUAUGUGCACAAGAUUUCUUUAUUGAUCAAAGUUUUCAUAAAACUUUGUUAAUAAAAUAAACAAUUUAACUUCGAGAAGAUUUCUCUAAUAAAUAAAUUUUGUAAUACAUUUACCUUUCUAGUAUCCUUUGGAUUAACGAAACCCUACAUAUAUGUCAAAUACAUAUAUAAGGUCAUUCUAAUUAAAGAAUGCAAUCUCUUUGCCAUUGUUCUUGUAUGUGCUGUAGAUCAUAGAAGCAACUUUGAUUCUGUCUAUUCUAGCCAUAAUAAAAUACAUCCAAGGCAAUCUCAUGUUUAGUGCCUGAACCUUUAUCACAUUUUUCUUGUAGCUUCUGACAAAGAAUUUUGAGUCUCUCUUCAUAUGUUGUUGAUAUGAGGUUAAACCCUUUUAGUUCUUCUUCAGAAGCUUUCAGUUCCAAUAGAGUUGACUUUUGUUCUUUCAUUAAAUCAACAUAUUUUUCUUUUAAAUCUGUCAACUCAUUGGUUCUGUGCUCAAACAGUGAUAAAAGUUCUUUUAGAGAAUCCACAAGUUCUUGUCUAAGAAUUUUGGAGUAUACCUCAUUUUCAUCUUCUGAAUCUGAUUCAGCUUCUGAAACUGCUUCUGAUGAUACUGUUGCCACUAACCCCAUGGCUGUCUUUGCAUCAUCAUCUGCUUCUUCUUUAUCAGAACCAGAUUCACUGUCCAAAUCUUCCCAGGUUGCCAUCAAGCUCUUUUUGAUUUGCUUUCUAAAUUUACUGGAGCUGAAGCUUGAUUUCUUGGAUUUGCUUUUAGAUUUCUCCUUCUGAAGAUCAGGGCAAUCAACAAUAAAAUGACCAGGCUUUUUGCAGUUGAAGCACCCCUUCUGAUCUUCUUUCUUUGAGUUCUUGUAGCCACCUCUCUUGCUCAAAAAUUUCUUUUGCUUCCUUGCCAGAUACUCAAGUUUGUUGGACAACAUGGCCAUCUUUACAGAUUGAUCUUCAUCAGAAUCUCCAUCAGGUGAUUCUUCUUCAGAUUCACUAGCUUUGUAGGCUUUUGAGGAUUUUGAAGUCUUUCCUUUAGAUGGUAAAGCAAUGGAUUUACUCUUCUUAGAGGAUUCAUGCUCAUUUAGACUCAUUUCAUGCACUUUGAGUGAGCUAACAAGAUCUUCAACACUUAAAGUGUUUAGAUCCCUAGCUUCCUCAAUAGCAGUUACUUUGGGUCUCCAUCUUGAAGGUAAGCUUCUCAAAAUCUUACUGACAUGAUCAGAAGCAACAUAGCUUUUCUUCAGUAUUUGCAAUCCAGAAACCAAAGUUUGAAAUCUUGAGUACAUUUCUUCAAUACUCUCAUCAUCCUUCAUUCUGAAUAGUUCAUACUGAUGAACAAGCAUCAAAGCUUUAGCCUCUUUCAACUUCUUGCUGCCUUCAAAGUUGGCACAUAGUGACGCAAACAUAGCCUUUGCAGUAGAUUUUUCACCCAUCUUCAUAUAUUCGGUGCGAGGUAUAGAAGCCACAAUAAUCCCUCUGAUUUUGUGGUGCUUCUUGUAAAGAUUUUUCUGAGCAGGAGUAUGUAUUCUUUGAAGGUGAGAAAAACACAAGAAGGGGGGGGGGUUGAAUUGUGUUUUCUUUUUCUCUUAAAAAAUACUUCUUCUGAUAAAACUUCAGAAGCACUUUGAUUGCUCCUGAUGAAGUGAUCAGAGUCAGAUUGCAGCGGAAGAGAACAGAGCAGAGAAAAGAAAGACAAAGACACAAGCAGUUAUCCUGGUUCCUUCCACAACACGGAAGUAGUCCAGUCCCCCUUGCACUUCCAAGGAGAUUUUCACUAUAAUCAACAAGAUUACAACUGCUCAAUACUUUCUAAGUAUGAGACUUCACAAAGAUGCUCAAGCACACACGCAAGAGACUUCCAAUGCUCAAGCACUAAGCAAGAGACUUCUAAUGCUCAAGCACUAAGCAAGAGACUUCUAAUGCUCAAGCACUAAGCAAGAGACUUCUAAUCAAACAAAAGUACAGACAAUUGAGUUUGAUUUGAACACUUGAUAUACAAUCAGUGAUGUUCUCAAUACAAUACAGUAAAGACUCUAGACUUUGAAUUUCUAAGAUUUAUCAAAUCAGUGCAGAAAUUCUGUGUGCUUUGUAGAAUCAAUUUGACAGAGUUUUGGCGCUUUUGAACUUGUAUAUCUCUAUCUACAAUCUUCAAGUCUUCACUCCUUUAUAUAGAGGUGUGAAAGAGACGUUGAGAUUAUCAGCACGUCUAAAGAGUCGUUUGAAAUCCUUUAAUCAUCCACCAGUGAUCCUUUGCCUGAUAUGGGUGUAGUCCUUUGAAGAGUUAGCUUCAAAAUCAUUCCCAUCUUGAAGGCGCACAUUCUGCAGGCAAGGCUGUUGUUUUGUCUUGUAGCGAAGACAAAAACAGAGUAAUGGAGGUAGUGGUUGUACACUUGUACUUUGUCAACUCUAGUAAAGAGAGACAAGUGCUCAGUGCUAUCCAUAUAUCCGUUGGAACCUCCCUUUCAAUUCUUUGUUCUUCUUGGAUAAGACUGAAUUGAGAGCCAGCUACUUUGAAUCUUCAGUUUGAUUGAGGGAUCAAAUGCAGCUUCUGGUGAAGAUAUUUUCCUUCUGAUGAAAACCUUGCUUCUGAUGAUCCUCUGCUUCUGAUGACGUCAUCACUUCAGAAGCACUCUGAACUUCAGGAGCGAUUUUCUUCAGAUGCUUGGAAUUCUUUUUCUUUCCAUUGUUCUUCCAGGACCUGUUGAAAUUACUUGACUAGACUUUGGUCCUGUACACUUGAACAAUUAUUAGUAAUAACCAAUUGACAAUUUUUAAUACCUUGUUAUCAUCAAAACUCAAUAAGGUUCAUUGUGAAACCCAUUUUGUUCCAACAAUCUCCCCCUUUUUGAUGAUGACAAACACUAGUAUUUAAAAUGUUCAAUUGUUGUUGAUCUAAUUAAUAAGUUGACUUCUGGAUAGAGGUUUGUAAGCUCCCCCUGAGUCUAAUAGAUCUUUAAGGUGAGGUUUGUAAGCUCCCCCUGAGUUCUAUUCUUAUUAAUUAAAUUUCAAUAAAGUAUAUAUAAAAACAAUAGCAAAAGUAUUUAAGAAGGUGGUUAUAGUGGGGCUCAGUGUCUUAAAAAUACUAUACAUUUACUCCCCCUUUUGUCAUCAACAAAAAGAAUAAGAACAAAAGACAGAGUAGCAGAGCAUAUAACCAAAUAAAAACAGAAGAAGAAUCAGAGCAAGAAGUAUCAGAGCAUAUGACAUUAAAAUCAAUAAAUAUCAUUAGAGUUUAAAAGAAAAGAGCAUAAUAUUUCAGAAACAUUGAUAAUAUUUAUAAAGAAAGGUUAAGGUACAAGGAUAAAACUACACAGAACAAAAGUAAAAACAAGCUAGAGUUGGGUGUGCAACUAAGGUUGGGCUUGCUUCUUCAACUGUUCUAAGAGAAGUCUAAUCUGUUCAUCCUUCUUCUGAAGUAGCUCAUCCUUCUUCUGAAGUAGUUCUUCCUUCUCUCUUAACUUCCUCUUAUGCCCAGCAUGAAUUCUUGCAGCUCUUGUGAUGUAUUCUGCCUCUGGAUAGAAAGGAGUGAUGUCCAGUAGAGGCACAAAGUUCAGCUCUUUCUCCUUAGCUGCUUCAUGCAUAUCAUCCAAAAGCUUUUGAAGCAUUACAGAGUGGGAUGAUACACACUUGGUUCUUAGCUGACUUAGUAGAUCAUUGAAGCUCUUUUGUAGAUCCAUCCACUGAUCAUAAUAGUGAAUAGGAGGUACAGGAACUGUUCUGCGAAGAAUCAGUGCCUGAAUCUCAUCACUAAGACUAAUCAGUUGUUCCUCUAUAUACUCAGACUCCAGGAUAUGGUCAGGAAUGGGUGAUGGUUGCAUUGGAGUUGUAUUUGAUGAGGAAGGUUGGUCAGAGGUUAAGUCUAUGAAAGUGGGUGAAUCUGGUUGUUGUUGUGGUUCUGUUGUUUGGUCAGAAGAUAUUUGUUGGUCAGGAGCAACUUGUUGGUCAGGAGCAACUUGUUCAGGAACAACUUGUUCAGAAACAGUUUGCUCAGGAAUGGUUUGGGUUUCUGUUUGGGUUUCCAAAACAGUCUUUUCAGGGACUGUCUUAGAGGCCUUUUUGGGUGUUGGUUGCAUUUCACCACCUAGAUGUUUUUCUAAGUUGUGAAUGGUUGAGGAUUCUUGGUGUUGGGGGGUUUCUGAAGUAGUUGCUUCUGAAGCUACUUCAGAGGCUUUUUGUGGAGUUUGGUUAUUUGGAGAGUUUGUUUGGUUAGGUUCUUGGUUAGGUUCAGGAUGUUGUAUACUGACAGGUUCUGGAAUAUCUGGAUAAAGAGGAUGAGAGGUAGGCAAAUUGAAUUUCUCACAUAGUUUAAUCCUAUUUUUGGAAAAUUCUAUUUGAGUUCUCUCAUAGUCAAAUGUUCCAUAUUCUGUCAGUUUGGUAGGUUUGGUUUUUAGAAGCUUGUCUAUAUGUUGGCUAAGGGGUUGGUCAUCUGAUUCUGUUGAUGAUGAAGAGGGUGAAGAGGGUAGAGAAGGAGACUGAGUAUUAGUUGGAGCUUUAGAUGGAUUACCUGAAGAAAGAGAUUCUGACUGAGAUGCUUCUGGAGCUUUGGUAGGAGGAUCUGAUGAUGUGGCUCCUGAAGCUUGCUUAUUCUUCAAGGCUUGAGAAAGCAGAGUUACUCCAUGCUGAAUAGUUUCUUUCUCUAACUCAGAGAUCAAAGUAGAAACUUCAGGUUCAGGCGUAUACCCAGCAGCUUUGAGUUGUUCUUCUCUUUUCUUCUUCUGUCUUUCCUGUUUCAUCUUUGCCUUCCCAGAAGCGAUAAGAUUAUCAGCGUAUUGCAAUUGUUCUUGUGAAGGAACAAACAUUGGCAUUUUACUAGGCUGACUAUCCUCAGCUUUCUUGACUUUCUUGGGACUAGGUUCCACAUCCCAGUUCUCUUUAAGUUUUUGUAGAAUCUGCUCUUUUCGUCCCUCAGCUGUCUUCAGAUUUCUGGUUAAAUUAGACCUUUUCCUUUUGAUGGUCUGAAGAGCAGCUUCUCUUCUCUUUUUGGGACUUGGAGGCUGUUCAGAAGCAGCUUGUUCAGAACCAGUUUGUUCAGAAGCAGGCUGUUCUUCUGUUUCUUGAGCACUCCUUGUCCUCUUCCUGAUAAGAGGGAUUUCAUCCAAUUCCUCCACUUCUUCUUGAAUGGUGAAUGUUAUACCCUGUUUUUGGACCUAAAAAUACUGGGCCCAAUUUCAUUUUCAAACUUUGUCAAUUAUCAAAUUUCAACUGCACAGUUCAAAUUGUCUCUGCCUCGCAGUAUUUUCAAUCACAAUUUUACCUAUGUUUUUCUUGCAUAAAACCUUUUGAAAUGUCUUUACUUGUCUUGUAAGUCAUUUAAAAGUGUCUCUGAAUCAUUACAUUGCUUUUUCUACAGUGUAUUUCAAAAUUUGCAAAAAGUCGUACAGAAGGGUAUUUUGGUCAUUUCCUGCAGUGGGACCCAUUUUCAUCCUUGUGACUGUCUCUGAGUCUUUUCAAAUUCAUUUUUAACUUUCCAUCAGUAAACCUUGCUAAUUUCAUUUCAAACUUGCAUCUGAGUCAGUGUCGAGUCAAUUUGGCUCUGUUUAGGUCAUUUUUAGCCCUAGGGGCAUUUUGGUCAUUUCACAUAAAAUUUUGGCAUGGGGAGGUUACUUUGAAGUACCUCAUUUAGGCCAUUGGUUCGUUUUAGUCCGUUUUGUCAAUUUUAUUUUUUUGUUUCGCUUUACGUUUGGUCAAAUUACGUUUUUUAUUCAAUUUUAUUUUUUUAAUUGCAUUUUGGUCCCUCAAGUGAGGUCCCAAAAUUGCAUUUCAGUCCAGUUUCUUUUCCAAUUUUCAUUUUAGUCCUUUUUUGGUCAAUUGCAGUUUAGUCCUUAAGUUUUGUUUUUUGCAAGAAGGUCCAAAUUUCAUUUUUUUUGUCCAAGGCCGUGUCAUUCUUUUUUUUUCAGGUCCAGGUGUCACUUUCUCAUUUGUUCAGAGGCACACAUGUCAUGCUAUAAAAGGUGCACAGUGCCACUCAAGGCCAUGAAUCACACGCCAACUCAUAAACACAAAAUAAAUUUUCUCUUUCUCAGCAAUUAGAUCAAAAACAGAAAAUUCUCAGAAUUUCUCAAGAACACCAAGAACACAAAACCCUAACCGUUUUCCAGAAAGCAAGAAUCAUCAAAAUUCGUUGGAUUUUCCAUUGAUUCUCAGAGAUUCCUUAGGAAUCAUCAUCAUUGAAUCAUCUCCUUCGCAAUUCAAGGCACGGAUUCACUGCAGAAGCAGCAAAUUCCAGUACCGAUCACGAAGAAGGUUCAGCGAGAAGAAGGGGGAAAGAAACAAGGUUCUAAACCGGCGAAGAAGAUGAAGAAACAGAACCGGUGAAUCACCGAUUUAUUUUCGGUCCAAAGAACAAGCAGAAGCAUCAAAAAUCAGCAAGAACAGAAUCAAGUUUUCUGAAGAAUCUCACAAAAUCUCCAAUCAAAAAUUUCAGGUAAAACUCAGAAUCUUUUUAAAAAAUAUAAUAUCACAGUUGAACCUGUAAAAACAUGCAAGCAAUACAGAUCUAAGAUUUCCAGAAUUCAAAAGCGAAGCCGUAACCGUAAACACAAAACCUAGAUCCAUAAGGAUCUAAGUUUUGAAAGCAAGAACGAAUACCAGAAAAGUAAUCAAGCGACGAAACGAUGUAGAUCUUUAAAGAUCUAAAUGCUUUUGUUCAAAAAUCAAAGAAAACAUUUCAAGACCGUAUGAAAUUUUCUAGAUCUGCGUCGUUUCAAGCUGUUUUUGAAAAGAUAAUUGCCAGAUUCUUGAUUAGGGUUUAAAAACGAAUGGAUUGGUGAAGAAAUUUUGGCAUUCUGGAAAUUUUAGGUCACCGGAGUUCAUGAACUCGCCGGAGAAGAUGAAGCUUCCGGCGGACCUUCAAGGUCUCCGCCGUGGCUUCAUCCUCACCGGCGGUGAGGGUUAGAGAGAGGCGAGAGAAGAGGGAAGCUUAGAGAGAGAAAGAGAUGGAAGAAAUGGACUGGACCGGCGUCUACGUCCUUAUAUAGACGUUUGAACCGGUCCGGUUUAUUUUGCUUCCAUUUUGAACCGUAGGAUCUAGGGUUUCUUUUGUUGAAUGGCUGUGAUGCGUUGUUACUGUAUGCUUGAUUUACGUUACCAUGCGCUGCGUGUUUUGAACCGUUAGAUCUGGAUCCGGAUCAAUCCAACGCCUCUGAGGCCUUUGGAUGAUCCAGGUCCAGUCUGUUUUGGGUUUUGGUUUGGGCCUCAGUUUUCUUUCACGUUUUUUUGCUUUUUUUUGCUAUUUGCACUGUUUUUCUUUGCUAUUUGAACCAAUGUCUUGAUUAAAAAUUUUGAUAAAUUUCCUAGAAAAUCCAUGCUUACUUCUUGACAUUUUCUCGAUGUUUUAUGGUGUUUUUGCACGCUGGAAUUAGCAAAAUUCUUGUAUGAUUAAUCCAUGGCAUUUUAAUUUUUUCUUGGAUUAUUUCUUAUGAUUAUUUUGUCAAUUCUAUCAUUGAUUUGCGAAUAUGUGAUAAAUGCCAUUUGACAUGUUAAUGUGAGGUGCUCAUGCCUACAAUCCUAUGUUUACUUUGCUGUUUUAGAUUGAUUCAUGAAACCUUGAUUGUAUGAGCAAUGUAUCCAUAUUCUAAAAAAAAUAAUAAUAAAAUGAUAAUUCUAUCUCAAAAUUGGUAUGAAGCUAAGCUUGUUUGUUUCUAAUGAUCCUAUGUUUAUAGCUUGAGAUAAAAGAAACUAUUUCAAACUUGCUAUAGCAUGAGAAUUAGAAGCUACAAAUGCCUUAGGUUUCAUAUCAAAAUUUUAGGUUUUAUUACCAUUUUAUUACUAUCCUUAUGGCAUUUUAUGCGUUUUUGCCUCUUGCUACUCUUUAUGCUUUAUUUCACUAACAAGUUUAUUUCCAUGUUUCAUGCAUCUCAUUUAGCAUCCCCUCCACUUUCUUUAGCCUAGCAUUUAUUUUUUGCAAGUUUUAAUUCAUUUGGUAAUGUAAUUUGUUAUCAUUGAUUUGUAGCUUGGCAAAGGGGCCAUAGAAUGUAUUUAGGCAAUUUUUGUAAUAUGGACUAUGGACACUAUGACGCACCGACACGCACACACUCACCUUAGAUGUAUGCAUAGGAUUGUAUGGUUAAAUAAGCGUUUAGGUUUUAAACACUUAGAGAAAAUCCAUCUUUUUUCAAAAAAACAAUUGAACUUCACUUCAAAAAUUUUCAUAAUAAAUAUGAAGUCAACACUUCAUUUUUUUUCCUUUCUUUUUUCUUAAGAAAAAUUCAAUUCACCUUAAUCAUUUAGACUUUUUUUUUCAAUCACUAAUCAAACCUCACUUUUUUGCUAAAUCUCAUGCUCAUGAAGCCUCCCAAUCUCCUUCUUCAAAACCAUUUUCAAAACUAAAAAUCAAACAAUUAAAACGAAAAAACAAGUCUUUUUAGCAAGAACUACGCCGGUUUUGAUCCCGUAAAACGGUACGUAGGCAAUGAGUCAAAACUCAUCCAAGCCGAAAUAAAACCCAAUUCUACUUCUUCUCACCCCCCAUUCUUCACUAAUCAUACUUUUUUUUUACAAAUAAGCAAUAAAACUAAAGCGUAGAAAUAAAUUUAGGAAAGCGGUUCUUAUGGAAUACCAUAAUCGCUCCGGGUGCCUAACACCUUCCCGUAGCGAAAACGACCCCCGAACUUAGAAUCUAAGGGUUUUUUCUCAAUUUUACCCUUCCCGAGAAAAAAGAGAGAUAUCAACGGUCAAAAGGUUCAAGUCCAAUUAAUGGCUUGGCACCCAAAAACCAUGAUAACAGAAAUGGCGACUUCACUGGGGAAUUUUUUUAGCGGGUCGCGCCUAGUUUUCCUUAGUUUAUAUUUACGCUUUAUUUUAUUGCUUACAUAUGUGAAUAUUUGUUUAUUUUCAUUUGACGUGUGGGGUGAGAAUAUCAAAAGUCCUAUACCCGGGCUGAGUGAACUUAUGUUUAGGUAGAGAUAUAAUCGACAAUUCGAUCCGGGGGGUGCCUCGUGUAUUGGAUUAUGCGAUCAAUCUCACAUAGCUGAGGCAUUUUGAAGGUGAUAUUGUCGGCGUGUGUUGUCAUGCUUAGGCACUUCACUUUCAAUUGUUCGACGAAGCUAUGAACCGUAGUUACCAAACCCAUCCUAGCCUUUUUUAAGACGUAGUGCGGUGGCUAAAUUGAGUGUUGUCUCAAACUUUAGUCGUCACGCGAUACUACACUCAAACUAGACCUUCUCACAAAUAAUCAUGGAACGGGUGUCGUCCUGUACUACCAUGAUAUAUGUGAGAGAGGUUGCAGUUUGGGAACUGUGUUAGAACCUUGGUUACUACUAUACAAAACCUUAGUUCACCGGACGCCGUGUCCAUCCGUAGCCCUGUUACUUUGAAUCUCAACCCACCUUGUUCUUUAACAAACACAAUCAUGCAUACAUGCAUCCAUGCAUAAACAUUUUUUCAUGCAUUCAUCGAAGGGUUUAAACAAAUGGAAAUUUUUGUAAAUAAUCACAGGUAUGAAGAAGACUAAGUGCUACAAGUUCAAGGAAGUGGAUUUGGUUAGUUUGAGAGAGUUGGCACUCAAGGUCAAGAGUCAAACAGGGUUCCGACUCCGGUAUGGGGGAUUGCUUACUUUGCUCCGAACCGAUGUGGACGAGAAGCUAGUGCACACUCUAGUGCAAUUUUAUGAUCCAAGCUUCCGUUGCUUCACUUUUCCGGACUUCCAGUUGGUUCCUACUCUCGAGGCUUACUCCAAUCUAGUGGGUUUACCUAUAGCCGAGAAGACGCCUUUCACCGGUCCCGGGACUUCUCUUACUCCUCUGGUUAUUGCUAAGGAUCUCUACCUCAAGACUUCCGACGUCUCCAACCAUCUUAUUACCAAGUCUCACAUCCGGGGGUUCACUUCAAAGUAUCUUCUUGAUCAGGCUAAUCUCAGUACUACUCGUCAGGAUACACUCGAGGCUAUUCUUGCUUUGCUUAUCUACGGGCUCAUUCUCUUUCCGAACCUCGACAACUUCGUGGACAUGAAUGCUAUCGAGAUCUUUCAUUCCAAGAACCCGGUUCCUACUUUGCUAGCAGAUACCUACCACGCCAUUCAUGACAGGACUCUCAAGGGCCGUGGGUAUAUUCUUUGCUGCACACCUCUUUUGUAUAGGUGGUUUAUUUCACACCUUCCGAGUUCCUUCCAUGAUAACUCGGAAAAUUGGUCCUACUCUCAGCGGAUUAUGGCUCUCACUCCUAAUGAGGUGGUCUGGAUCACUCCCGCCGCUCAAGCCAAGGAAAUUAUCAUGGGUUGUGGAGACUUUCUCAAUGUACCUCUUCUUGGUACUCGUGGAGGAAUUAACUACAACCCCGAGCUUGCUAUGAGACAGUUUGGUUUUCCUAUGAAGUCGAAGCCCAUCAAUCUUGCUACAUCUCCAGAGUUCUUCUUCUAUGCGAAUGCUCCUACCGGACAAAGGAAAGCUUUCAUGGAUGUUUGGUCCAAGGUUCGAAGGAAGAAUGUGAAGCAUCUAGGUGUGAGAUCCGGUGUUGCUCAUGAGGCCUAUACUCAGUGGGUGAUAGAUCGAGCUGAGGAGAUUGGUAUGCCUUAUCCAGCUAUGAGAUACGUGUCUUCGUCUACUCCAUCUAUGCCUCUACCUCUACUCCCCGCGACUCAGGAUAUGUAUCAGGAGCAUCUAGCUAUGGAGAGUCGUGAGAAGCAAGUGUGGAAAGCUCGGUACAAUCAAGCCGAGAAUCUAAUCAUGACUUUGGAUGGUAGAGAUGAGCAGAAGACUCAUGAGAAUCUAAUGUUGAAGAAAGAACUAGCUAAGGCCCGGAAGGAAUUGGAAGAGAAAGACGAGCUGCUUAUGAGGGAUUCCAAGAGAGCCAGAGGACGACGAGACUUCUUUGCCAGAUACUGUGAUUCAGAUUCCGAGUCCGAUGAUCUUCCGACUACUUCCUAUGCUUGAGGGCUUCAUGUGUUUAUUUCAAAGUCUUUCUUUUGAGAAUACUAUGUAGUUUUGAUUAUUUGCAAGAUUUCUAAUUUGUUUAAAAAUCCUUCGAUGAAAAAAAAUAAGUCUUUUGCAUUUGCAUUUGCACAUCAUGCAUCAUAUGCAUCAUGCAUUGGUCACAAAGGCUUCCAAGUGCUCACUAUCUCCUGGUUCCUCUGCCGCAGUGUGAAAAGUGGCUCGUGCUCAGAGAGUUUACGAACCUGAUAGAACCGAUCGAACCAGAGAAUACAGAAGAAAGAAAAGGGCUAUGGAAGAAGAGAACACACAGCUUCGUACCGAAUUGGCAUCUCUAAGGGAGGAAUUGGCCAAAGCUCAUGAUGCUAUGACUGCUCUGUUGGCUGCUCAGGAACAACCAGUUCCUGUGGUUUCUACAGCUGCAAAUGUGACUCCUACUGUAACAACUGAUCCCCGCUCUAUCAUGCCAUCCGGGUAUCCUUACGGGCUUCCGCUGUACUAUACUGCUAAUACAGGGGCAGGGACCUCUGGUACUACCAACAAUGGCCCAAUCCCAGGGGCAAACUUAACUCCUGUUAGUACCGCCUUGACUCAAGCUGCAACAACUGUUACCGAGCCCAUUGUGAAUGCGGUGCCUCUAUUUGUCCAUGCUAAUGCGCACCACGGGAGUAUUGCCACAACCGGAACUAUGGAAGAGAGAAUGGCAGAACUUGCCAAAGAGCUCCGACGGGAAAUUAAGGCCAACAGGGGAAGCGGGGACUCCAUUAAAACCCAGGACCUCUGCUUAGUAUCGAAGGUAGAUGUUCCAAAAAAGUUCAAGGUCCCGGAGUUCGACAAGUAUAACGGGCUGACUUGUCCUCAAAAUCAUAUUGUCAAAUACGUCCGGAAGAUGGGCAACUACAAGGACAAUGAUUCCCUUAUGAUCCAUUACUUCCAAGACAGUCUGAUGGAAGAUGCUGCGGAGUGGUAUACUAGUCUGAGCAAAGACGAUGUCCAUACUUUUGAUGAGUUGGCCACUGCUUUCAAGAGCCACUACGGGUUUAACACUCGUUUGAAGCCGAAUAGGGAGUUCCUCAGGUCCCUAUCUCAGAAAAAGGAGGAAAGUUUCCGUGAAUAUGCGCAAAGGUGGAGAGGGGCAGCUGCCCGUAUGACUCCUGCUUUAGAUGAAGAAGAAAUGACCCAGACAUUCUUAAAGACCUUGAAGAAAGAUUAUGUUGAGAGGAUGAUCAUCGCCGCCCCGAACAACUUUUCGGAGAUGGUCACUAUGGGAACCCGUCUUGAGGAAGCCGUCAGGGAUGGAAUCAUUGUGUUUGAGAAAGCUGAAUCCUCUGUGAGUGCAUCGAAGAGAUACGGUAAUGGACACCACAAGAAGAAAGAAACGGAAGUGGGGAUGGUGUCAGCUGGAGCCGGUCAAUCAAUGGCUACCGUUGCUCCUAUCAAUGCAGCUCAAAUGCCUCCGUCAUACCCAUAUAUGCCGUAUUCUCAGCAUCCGUUCUUCCCACCGUUUUAUCAUCAGUACCCUUUGCCGCCGGGCCAGCCUCAAGUGCCCGUCAAUGCAAUUGCCCAGCAGAUGAAACAACAGUUGCCGGUUCAACAACAACAACAACAACAACAACAGCAGCAGUAUACUAGACCAACUUUUCCUCCUAUACCAAUGUUGUAUGCAGAACUUCUUCCAACUUUACUCCAGAGAGGACAUUGUACAACUAGACAGGGCAAGCCACCACCUGAUCCGUUGCCUCCAAGGUUCAGGUCUGAUCUCAAAUGUGACUUUCAUCAAGGUGCCUUAGGACAUGAUGUCGAGGGGUGUUAUGCUUUGAAGUAUAUCGUGAAGAAACUCAUUGAUCAAGGGAAGCUGACUUUUGAGAAUAAUGUUCCACAUGUCCUUGACAAUCCGCUACCAAAUCAUGCCGCUGUGAAUAUGAUCGAAGUGUGUGAGGAAGCUCCUAGGCUUGAUGUCCGCAACGUCGCAACUCCUCUGGUGCCUCUACACAUCAAGCUGUGCAAAGCUUCUCUGUUCAGCCAUGAUCAUGCCAAGUGUCUAGGAUGCCUCCGUGAUCCUUUGGGUUGCCAUGCUGUUCAAGACGACAUCCAAAGCUUGAUGAAUGAUAAUCUUCUGACUGUUAGUGAUGUUUGCGUGAUUGUGCCAGUUUUUCACGAUCCGCCUGUCAAGAGUGUACCUUUGAAGAAAAAUGCUGAGCCUUUGGUGAUAAGGUUGCCAGGACCAAUUCCUUAUGUUUCGGACAAGGCUGUUCCAUACAAAUACAAUGCUACUAUGAUAGAAAAUGGAGUAGAGGUGCCUCUAGCCUCCUUUGCCACAGUAAGCAAUAUUGCCGAAGGGACUUCUGCAGCACUAAGAAGCGGGAAGGUUCGUCCGCCAUUAUUUCAGCAGAAGGUAGCUACACCGACCAUCCCACCAGUUGAAGAAGCAACUCCAACCGUUGUUUCACCCAUUGCUACAGAUGUGAAUCAGCCAGGCAAAUCUAUAGAGGAUUCGAAUUUAGAUGAGAUUCUGAGAAUAAUAAAGAGGAGCGACUACAAGAUCGUUGAUCAGUUGCUGCAGACUCCUUCGAAGAUAUCUGUCUUGUCGUUACUCUUAAGCUCUGAGGCUCACAGGAAUACCUUGUUGAAAGUGCUGGAGCAGGCUUAUGUUGACCACGAAGUUACGGUAGAUCGUUUCAGUGGCAUAGUGGGAAAUAUUACUGCUUGUAACAACCUCUGGUUUAGUGAAGAAGAGUUGCCGGAAGUGGGAAAGGGUCACAAUCUGGCUUUGCACAUCUCGGUGAAUUGUAAAUCAGACAUGAUAUCAAAUGUGUUGGUGGAUACCGGUUCCUCUCUCAAUGUAAUGCCCAAGACAACUCUAGAUCAGUUGAGCUACCGAGGGACCCCUUUGAGAAGAAGUACUUUCUUGGUCAAAGCUUUUGAUGGAUCUCGAAAGAAUGUGCUGGGAGAGAUAGACUUGCCGAUAACUAUUGGCCCUGAGAAUUUCUUGGUUACCUUCCAAGUGAUGGACAUUAAUGCAUCCUACAGUUGCCUACUGGGAAGACCGUGGAUACACGAUGCAGGUGCGGUUACUUCCACCUUACAUCAGAAGUUGAAAUUUGUGAAGAAUGGAAAACUCGUUACAAUCCAUGGUGAAGAAGCAUACUUAGUCAGCCAGUUGUCUUCUUUUUCUUGUGUUGAAGCAGGAUCUGCCGAAGGGACUGCUUUCCAAGGUUUGACCAUUGAAGGUGCAGAGCCUAAGGAAGCUGGGGCUGCUAUGGCUUCAUUGAAAGAUGCUCAGAGAGCCAUCCAAGAAGGUCAGACUGCCGGCUGGGGCAAGGUGAUACAGGUCUGUGAGAACAAGCGUAAAAAAGGUCUCGGGUUCUCCCCGUCAUCAAGGGUUUCCUCGGGAGUCUUCCACAGUGCAGGGUUUGUUAAUGCUAUCUCUGAAGAAGCCACUGGAUCUGGUCUCAGGCCUGUAUUUGUUACACCAGGAGGCAUUGCGACAGAUUGGGAUGCCAUUGACAUUCCUUCAAUCAUGCAUGUUUCUGAGUAAUGUGUCUUGUUGCUUUAGUGCUUUGUUUUCAAAAUAACAAUCCUCUCGCUCUGCCCAAAGCGAGAGUGAUAUUUUCUGUAAGGGCAUGUUUGUUUCGGCAUUGCCGUUGAUUAAUAAAAUUGUGUCGUUUCUUCCACGACUACUUUUUUUUUUAGUGCUUUUUUCCCCUUGGAAACAAUGGUAAUGCCAGAAAAAACCAAAACGUCUGUAUUUUCUUAUUAAUUUCAAAAAUCUGCAUGAAAAAAAAAAACUCUUUCUAAAAUCAUCCAAUCAUUAUAUGCAGGUUGAACCAUAAUAAACCCGUUGAACACAGUAAUCCUACGAUUCCUCCAAGUUAUGAUUUCCCUGUGUAUGAAGCCGAAGAUGAGGAAGGUGAUGACAUACCGUAUGAGAUCACUCGGUUACUUGAGCAAGAAAAGAAAGCCAUUCAGCCUCACCAAGAAGAGAUUGAGCUUAUCAACAUAGGUACCGAGGAAAACAAGCGAGAAAUCAAGAUUGGUGCUACUCUAGAGGAAAGGGUUAAACAGAAGAUCAUCCAACUCCUCCGGGAAUAUCCGGAUAUUUUUGCAUGGUCCUAUGAAGAUAUGCCAGGUCUAGAUCCUAUGAUUGUGGAGCAUCGGAUCCCCACCAAGCCUGAAUGUCCUCCCGUCAGGCAGAAAUUGAGAAGGACUCAUCCUGAUAUGGCUCUCAAGAUUAAGAGUGAAGUUCAAAAGCAGAUUGAUGCGGGUUUCCUCAUGACAGUUGAGUAUCCCGAAUGGGUUGCCAAUAUUGUGCCUGUGCCAAAGAAGGAUGGUAAAGUCCGGAUGUGUGUUGACUUCAGAGACCUGAACAGGGCCAGUCCAAAAGACAACUUUCCAUUACCUCAUAUUGAUGUGCUUGUUGAUAAUACUGCUCAAUCUAAGGUGUUCUCCUUCAUGGACGGUUUCUCCGGUUAUAAUCAGAUCAAAAUGUCUCCUGAAGAUAGAGAAAAGACAUCUUUCAUCACUCCAUGGGGUACUUUCUGCUACAAGGUGAUGCCGUUCGGUCUAAUCAAUGCUGGUGCUACCUACCAAAGGGGAAUGACCACUCUGUUUCAUGACAUGAUUCACAAAGAAGUUGAGGUAUAUGUGGAUGACAUGAUUGUGAAGUCAGCAGAUGAGGAGCAGCAUGUUGAAUAUUUAACAAGGAUGUUUGAAAGGUUGAGAAAAUACAAGCUGCGAUUGAAUCCCAACAAAUGUACAUUCGGUGUCAGGUCCGGAAAGUUAUUAGGCUUCAUUGUCAGCCAAAAGGGCAUUGAAGUCGAUCCUGAUAAAGUCCGGGCCAUCCGAGAAAUGCCAGCUCCACAGACAGAGAAGCAAGUCAGAGGUUUCUUGGGACGUUUGAAUUACAUCUCCCGAUUCAUAUCUCAUAUGACUGCAACCUGCGGGCCGAUCUUCAAGCUACUUAGAAAGAACCAGCCUGUUGUAUGGAAUGAUGAAUGCCAAGAAGCUUUUGAUAGCAUCAAGAAUUACCUGCUGGAACCACCUAUCCUUGUCCCACCCGUGGAAGGAAGGCCUUUGAUUAUGUAUUUGGCAGUAUUUGAUGAAUCCAUGGGAUGUGUACUUGGUCAACAAGAUGAAACUGGAAAGAAAGAGCAUGCUAUCUACUAUCUAAGCAAGAAGUUCACCGAUUGUGAAACUCGGUAUACAAUGCUUGAGAAGACUUGUUGUGCUCUGGCCUGGGCCGCUAAACGCCUGCGUCAUUAUUUGGUGAAUCAUACAACCUGGUUGAUAUCCAGAAUGGAUCCGAUAAAGUAUAUCUUUGAGAAAGCUGUUGUUACUGGGAAGAUUGCACGCUGGCAGAUGCUUUUGUCUGAAUAUGAUAUUGUGUUCAAAACUCAAAAGGCAAUCAAAGGCAGCAUUCUUGCCGAUCACCUUGCUUAUCAACCUCUUGAUGAUUACCAACCAAUUGAAUUCGAUUUCCCUGAUGAAGAGAUCAUGUAUUUGAAAUCCAAAGACUGCGACGAACCGUUGAUUAAUGAAGGUCCAGAUCCCAAUAGCAAGUGGGGUUUAGUCUUUGAUGGUGCUGUCAAUGCUUAUGGCAAAGGAAUUGGGGCAGUCAUUGUAUCCCCGCAAGGGCAUCACAUUCCCUUUACCGCCCGAAUUCUGUUCGAAUGUACCAACAACAUGGCUGAGUAUGAAGCAUGUAUCUUCGGGAUCGAGGAAGCAAUUGACAUGAGAAUCAAACACCUCGACAUCUAUGGAGAUUCUGCGCUCGUCAUCAAUCAGAUAAAGGGUGAAUGGGAGACCCACCAUGCUAAGUUGAUUCCUUAUCGUGAUUAUGCGAGACGUCUUCUGACAUAUUUUACAAAGGUUGAGCUGCACCAUAUUCCUCGUGAUGAGAACCAAAUGGCUGAUGCUCUUGCUACUCUAUCUUCCAUGUUUCGAGUAAACCAUUGGAAUGAUGUGCCAUUAAUCAAAGUGCAACGCCUUGAAAGGCCUUCGCAUGUGUUUGCUAUUGGGGAUGCGAUCGAUCAGGCUGGUGAAAAUGUGGUUGACUAUAGACCUUGGUACUACGACAUCAAACAGUUCUUGCUGAGCCGUGAGUAUCCGCCGGGUGCUUCCAAACAAGACAAGAAGACUUUGAGAAGAUUGGCCGGUAGAUUCCUGUUAGAUGGAGAUAUUUUGUACAAGAGGAACUAUGACAUGGUAUUGUUAAGAUGUGUUGAUGAACAUGAAGCAGAGCAGUUAAUGCAUGAUGUACAUGACGGUACCUUCGGGACCCAUGCUACAGGGCAUACUAUGUCAAGGAAGUUGUUACGAGCAGGUUACUACUGGAUGGCCAUGGAGCAUGAUUGCUACCAGUACGCCAGGAAAUGCCACAAAUGUCAAAUCUAUGCUGAUAAGAUUCAUGUGCCUCCACACGCUCUCAAUGUUAUGUCAUCCCCAUGGCCGUUCUCAAUGUGGGGCAUCGACAUGAUUGGAAAAAUUGAACCAAAGGCUUCAAAUGGUCAUCGUUUUAUCUUAGUGGCAAUUGACUACUUCACCAAAUGGGUUGAAGCAGCAUCUUAUACCAAUGUGACCAAGCAAGUGGUAGCUAAGUUCAUCAAGAACAACAUCAUCUGUCGAUAUGGUGUUCCUAGCAAGAUUAUUACCGACAAUGGUACCAACCUGAACAACAAUGUGGUGCAAGCUCUUUGUGAAGAAUUCAAAAUUGAGCAUCAUAACUCUUCUCCUUAUAGACCUCAGAUGAAUGGUGCAGUUGAGGCCGCCAACAAGAAUAUCAAGAGAAUUGUCCAGAAGAUGGUAACCACGUACAAGGACUGGCAUGAGAUGUUACCCUAUGCUCUGCAUGGCUACCGUACUACUGUGCGCAGUUCAACCGGGGCAACCCCUUUCUCUCUUGUAUAUGGUAUGGAAGCAGUUCUUCCUUUGGAAGUGGAGAUCCCAUCUCUCCGUGUGAUCAUGGAAGCAAAGUUAUCCGAGGCUGAAUGGUGCCAAAGCCGGUAUGAUCAGUUGAAUUUGAUUGAGGAAAAACGUAUGGAUGCCAUGGCUCGUGGACAGUCAUAUCAAGCAAGAAUGAAGACUGCUUUUGACAAGAAAGUCCAUCCUCGAGAAUUCAAGGUAGGGGAACUUGUAUUGAAAAGGAGGAUAAGCCAGCAACCCGACCCAAGGGGCAAGUGGACGCCUAACUAUGAAGGUCCUUAUGUUGUCAAGAAGGCCUUCUCCGGUGGUGCUUUAAUCCUUACACACAUGGAUGGUGUGGAACUUCCAAAUCCAGUGAAUGCCGAUAUAGUCAAGAAAUACUUUGCCUAGAAAUAUGAAAAGAACAGCGUGGUAGGUCGAAAACCCGAAAGGGCGGCCUAGGCAAAAAUGCGCUUCCCGGUGGAUCGAAAACCCGAAAGGGCGGUCCAGGUAAAAAUAAGGGACAAAAAAAAUAUAUAUGAAAAGCUCGCUGAGAUUGUACGCAACUCAGGCAAGAAUGAGCGUCUCGAUGAGCCGAAAACCCGGAAGGGCGGUUCAUGCAAAAAUGAGAUUGAAACAGAAGGCAAGUAACUAUAUCUGGCCAACCACCGUCCCCCUUGGGGCAUCUGCAGCUGUUAAUGACCAUCUUCAUCAAAAGCUCCUAUACUUGUGAAUUCAAAGUUUCUAAGAACUGUAGUGGUUACCGUGUUCAAUGUACCACCAACCAAUAAAAUUACCAUUUUCCAAGCUUUGUGAAUCCGUGGAGUCAUGCCUUCGGCUGACCACCACUCUUAUACAUCAAUUUGAGCUUGUGCUUUUGUUUGAAACUCUAUUUUUCUUCUACUUUCAAAGCUGUAUACAAAACAUUUUCUUUCUAUUUUGAUAAUGACAAUGCUUGAAACAAACAUUUUUGAAAAUUGAAAACCUUUGGUCUAUUUUGAAAAGCAAACCUGAGCAACAGGGUACAUUCAAAUGAAACAUGCAUGAGCGAGAGUAUGUUGAUGUCUAUUUCAAUAUAUGUUACAAGCAAGUUCUCCUCCAGGAUAGUCUGUGGUCAAUGGCAAGAAUGAAAAAACAGAAUAAAAUGCAUGAAAAUAAAUAAGCUCGCUAAGUUGAAAACCCGAAAGGGCGGCUUAGGCAAAAAUGAGCACCCCGCUGGAUUGAUAACCCGAAAGGGCAAUUCAGGCAAAAAUGGGGCAUUGAAAAGAAUCUAUUUCCCCGGUGGAUCGAAAACCCGAAAGGGCGAUCCAGGCAAAAAUGGGAUGCAAAAAAUGAUGAAUGAGAAUUGAGAAUAUAACAUGCAAAAAGCAUUGACCACAGAUGCGAUGUCUACAACAUGCCCAGCACAACGGCGUUUUCCCCGGUGAGGUCUCUCAAGAUUCUAUCCCCAAGCAAGUUGUUUACCUACCUGCCCUCAGCCAUGGUCCCGAAACGUCUCCCAACGACGUCAUCUCCAAAGAGGAUUUCCAAGAAGGUGUAAUAUAGCACGAGCUACUACGUGCCCAAUACUCUGAUGUCUUGUCUUCCCCGUGAAGUCGUGCCUACAAAAUGCCAACAGUCAUGCAUUACAAGCAUUCAUACAUGCAUAAUCAUGCAUAUUACGUGCCCAUGCAUUUAAUGAAACUGUUAUAUCAUCCAUGCAUAUUGCAUUUCCAAUGUCAACAUCAGUCUCAAUUCAAAACUCAUGUCAGGUUCUCUGUCAAAACCUUGUGAGCCAAUAAUAUCGGUCAAUUUCUACCUUUCAAUUCAAAUCGACGUCAAGUCAAUCUCAAUCUAUAUUUUGUCAACAAACCAAUCCCCAGUGAAUAUGUUUCUGUUCGGUCAAGUUACUAGUUCGCAUCCAAGAACGACUUGCACCCGUUUACUUUUCAAUGUUAUCGGUCGAGUGCCCAGCUCAAUCCAAGAGCAGCUUGUACCUAUCCAUUUGUUUCUGUCCAGUCGAGUAACCAGUUCGAAUCCAUAAGAACCACUCGUACCUGCCAAUUUUACAUGUUUUCAGUCGAGUCACCAGUUCGAAUCCGUAAGAACAACUCGUACUUGUCAAUUUUCUCUUUUUCCCAGUCGAGUCACCAGUUCGAAUCCAUAAGAACAACUCGCACUUUCCAAUAUCCCCAAGUGAGUUACCAGUUCGAAUCCAUAAGAACAACUCAUGUUUGUCCAGUAACCUCUAUCCCCGGUGAAGUGACCAGUUCGAAUCCAUAAGAACAACUCGCAGUUGUCUGUUUGUUUCAUCCCCGGUCAAGUGGCUAGUUUGAAUCCAAGAACAGCUUGUACCUGUCCAACUUGUUUCUAGUUUCCCGUUACUCUGCUAUUCACUAUCUUUGUCAAUGUCUACCAAUCCCGCAAUGGAUACGACAUAUUUUGUUAAUUCCAAUCCCCAUGAGGUCUUGCAUUCAUAAUCCAAAUGAUGCAUGGCAUGCAUAUUAUUUGAAAAUGGGUAGGCGUAUUUUUACGUCCAAACACAGUGCAAAUGCUAAUAUUUAAGUAUCUUCGUCCUGUCAAGCCAAAGACUCCGUCUCUUGACUCUCCAGACAAAGAAACUUAAAUAGGGGCAGCUGUUAUACCCUGUUUUUGGACCUAAAAAUACUGGGCCCAAUUUCAUUUUCAAACUUUGUCAAUUAUCAAAUUUCAACUGCACAGUUCAAAUUGUCUCUGCCUCGCAGUAUUUUCAAUCACAAUUUUACCUAUGUUUUUCUUGCAUAAAACCUUUUGAAAUGUCUUUACUUGUCUUGUAAGUCAUUUAAAAGUGUCUCUGAAUCAUUACAUUGCUUUUUCUACAGUGUAUUUCAAAAUUUGCAAAAAGUCGUACAGAAGGGUAUUUUGGUCAUUUCCUGCAGUGGGACCCAUUUUCAUCCUUGUGACUGUCUCUGAGUCUUUUCAAAUUCAUUUUUAACUUUCCAUCAGUAAACCUUGCUAAUUUCAUUUCAAACUUGCAUCUGAGUCAGUGUCGAGUCAAUUUGGCUCUGUUUAGGUCAUUUUUAGCCCUAGGGGCAUUUUGGUCAUUUCACAUAAAAUUUUGGCAUGGGGAGGUUACUUUGAAGUACCUCAUUUAGGCCAUUGGUUCGUUUUAGUCCGUUUUGUCAAUUUUAUUUUUUUGUUUCGCUUUACGUUUGGUCAAAUUACGUUUUUUAUUCAAUUUUAUUUUUUUAAUUGCAUUUUGGUCCCUCAAGUGAGGUCCCAAAAUUGCAUUUCAGUCCAGUUUCUUUUCCAAUUUUCAUUUUAGUCCUUUUUUGGUCAAUUGCAGUUUAGUCCUUAAGUUUUGUUUUUUGCAAGAAGGUCCAAAUUUCAUUUUUUUGUCCAAGGCCGGGUCAUUCUUUUUUUUUCAGGUCCAGGUGUCACUUUCUCAUUUGUUCAGAGGCACACAUGUCAUGCUAUAAAAGGUGCACAGUGCCACUCAAGGCCAUGAAUCACACGCCAACUCAUAAACACAAAAUAAAUUUUCUCUUUCUCAGCAAUUAGAUCAAAAACAGAAAAUUCUCAGAAUUUCUCAAGAACACCAAGAACACAAAACCCUAACCGUUUUCCAGAAAGCAAGAAUCAUCAAAAUUCGUUGGAUUUUCCAUUGAUUCUCAGAGAUUCCUUAGGAAUCAUCAUCAUUGAAUCAUCUCCUUCGCAAUUCAAGGCACGGAUUCACUGCAGAAGCAGCAAAUUCCAGUACCGAUCACGAAGAAGGUUCAGCGAGAAGAAGGGGGAAAGAAACAAGGUUCUAAACCGGCGAAGAAGAUGAAGAAACAGAACCGGUGAAUCACCGAUUUAUUUUCGGUCCAAAGAACAAGCAGAAGCAUCAAAAAUCAGCAAGAACAGAAUCAAGUUUUCUGAAGAAUCUCACAAAAUCUCCAAUCAAAAAUUUCAGGUAAAACUCAGAAUCUUUUUAAAAAAUAUAAUAUCACAGUUGAACCUGUAAAAACAUGCAAGCAAUACAGAUCUAAGAUUUCCAGAAUUCAAAAGCGAAGCCGUAACCGUAAACACAAAACCUAGAUCCAUAAGGAUCUAAGUUUUGAAAGCAAGAACGAAUACCAGAAAAGUAAUCAAGCGACGAAACGAUGUAGAUCUUUAAAGAUCUAAAUGCUUUUGUUCAAAAAUCAAAGAAAACAUUUCAAGACCGUAUGAAAUUUUCUAGAUCUGCGUCGUUUCAAGCUGUUUUUGAAAAGAUAAUUGCCAGAUUCUUGAUUAGGGUUUAAAAACGAAUGGAUUGGUGAAGAAAUUUUGGCAUUCUGGAAAUUUUAGGUCACCGGAGUUCAUGAACUCGCCGGAGAAGAUGAAGCUUCCGGCGGACCUUCAAGGUCUCCGCCGUGGCUUCAUCCUCACCGGCGGUGAGGGUUAGAGAGAGGCGAGAGAAGAGGGAAGCUUAGAGAGAGAAAGAGAUGGAAGAAAUGGACUGGACCGGCGUCUACGUCCUUAUAUAGACGUUUGAACCGGUCCGGUUUAUUUUGCUUCCAUUUUGAACCGUAGGAUCUAGGGUUUCUUUUGUUGAAUGGCUGUGAUGCGUUGUUACUGUAUGCUUGAUUUACGUUACCAUGCGCUGCGUGUUUUGAACCGUUAGAUCUGGAUCCGGAUCAAUCCAACGCCUCUGAGGCCUUUGGAUGAUCCAGGUCCAGUCUGUUUUGGGUUUUGGUUUGGGCCUCAGUUUUCUUUCACGUUUUUUUGCUUUUUUUUGCUAUUUGCACUGUUUUUCUUUGCUAUUUGAACCAAUGUCUUGAUUAAAAAUUUUGAUAAAUUUCCUAGAAAAUCCAUGCUUACUUCUUGACAUUUUCUCGAUGUUUUAUGGUGUUUUUGCACGCUGGAAUUAGCAAAAUUCUUGUAUGAUUAAUCCAUGGCAUUUUAAUUUUUUCUUGGAUUAUUUCUUAUGAUUAUUUUGUCAAUUCUAUCAUUGAUUUGCGAAUAUGUGAUAAAUGCCAUUUGACAUGUUAAUGUGAGGUGCUCAUGCCUACAAUCCUAUGUUUACUUUGCUGUUUUAGAUUGAUUCAUGAAACCUUGAUUGUAUGAGCAAUGUAUGCAUAUUCUAAAAAAAAUAAUAAUAAAAUGAUAAUUCUAUCUCAAAAUUGGUAUGAAGCUAAGCUUGUUUGUUUCUAAUGAUCCUAUGUUUAUAGCUUGAGAUAAAAGAAACUAUUUCAAACUUGCUAUAGCAUGAGAAUUAGAAGCUACAAAUGCCUUAGGUUUCAUAUCAAAAUUUUAGGUUUUAUUACCAUUUUAUUACUAUCCUUAUGGCAUUUUAUGCGUUUUUGCCUCUUGCUACUCUUUAUGCUUUAUUUCACUAACAAGUUUAUUUCCAUGUUUCAUGCAUCUCAUUUAGCAUCCCCUCCACUUUCUUUAGCCUAGCAUUUAUUUUUUGCAAGUUUUAAUUCAUUUGGUAAUGUAAUUUGUUAUCAUUGAUUUGUAGCUUGGCAAAGGGGCCAUAGAAUGUAUUUAGGCAAUUUUUGUAAUAUGGACUAUGGACACUAUGACGCACCGACACGCACACACUCACCUUAGAUGUAUGCAUAGGAUUGUAUGGUUAAAUAAGCGUUUAGGUUUUAAACACUUAGAGAAAAUCCAUCUUUUUUCAAAAAAACAAUUGAACUUCACUUCAAAAAUUUUCAUAAUAAAUAUGAAGUCAACACUUCAUUUUUUUUCCUUUCUUUUUUCUUAAGAAAAAUUCAAUUCACCUUAAUCAUUUAGACUUUUUUUUUCAAUCACUAAUCAAACCUCACUUUUUUGCUAAAUCUCAUGCUCAUGAAGCCUCCCAAUCUCCUUCUUCAAAACCAUUUUCAAAACUAAAAAUCAAACAAUUAAAACGAAAAAACAAGUCUUUUUAGCAAGAACUACGCCGGUUUUGAUCCCGUAAAACGGUACGUAGGCAAUGAGUCAAAACUCAUCCAAGCCGAAAUAAAACCCAAUUCUACUUCUUCUCACCCCCCAUUCUUCACUAAUCAUACUUUUUUUUUACAAAUAAGCAAUAAAACUAAAGCGUAGAAAUAAAUUUAGGAAAGCGGUUCUUAUGGAAUACCAUAAUCGCUCCGGGUGCCUAACACCUUCCCGUAGCGAAAACGACCCCCGAACUUAGAAUCUAAGGGUUUUUUCUCAAUUUUACCCUUCCCGAGAAAAAAGAGAGAUAUCAACGGUCAAAAGGUUCAAGUCCAAUUAAUGGCUUGGCACCCAAAAACCAUGAUAACAGUGAACAUAGUAGAUUUAUCCUUCCUGGCCUUUUGAUGCUUCUGAGCACCCUUCUCAGUAGCAUCAUCAUCAAGAUAUUCUUCCUUGGUGAUCUGCUUCUUCUUGGACUUUCUGCUUUUAGCCACAGGCAGAGCACCACCAUACAUUUCUUCAGGGACAUCUUUCAAACUAAUUUUCUUGUUGUAGGUUGUGUAGAAGUCCAGAAUGUAUGCCUUUUGAACAUCCAGGGGAUCCUUCUUGCAUAUGUGUAUCUCAUUAGAGACUAGAUCAGAUAUGACAUCAGAUUCAUGCAUAUCUGAAGCUAGUUUCUUGCAAGUUGAGACCAGCCUCAUAUUGACCAUGGUUGCCCCAUUAAUUAUCUUUCCUGUGACUGCUCCCAGCUUCUGAUUGUCAUAAAUGCCCACAUCCUUUAGGACACUUAAGAUUCCUCCUUCCUGGAAAAUUAUGGAGAGCAGCCUUCCAUAAGGAACGAACUUUCUGUUCUCCAACUGACUCUUCUUGAGUUCCUUGAUCAUGUACUUAAACAUGUACUUGGGAACAUUCAUGGUUGUUUCCUGAUUGAUGGUGUGAUGCAGAAAGACCUUAUGACCAAGAGAGGGUUGAUCACUUCCUCCACCUUUGGGAAAGAUAUUCUCAUUCUGGAUCUUCAGUAGCAUUUUCUUUUCCAUACUUAAGGUGCUGUAGGGCUUAGCAUCCUUUGAUCCGUAGAUAGUGUUGUUUACUAUCUCCUUCCAUGGGCUUGUUCUGGGGUUAGGAAUCUCUUCUCCAUCAUAAGUCCCAGAAGCAUCCCUUCUCAUGGCUUGAGCAAUCACGUGCUCAUUGAUUGUUACAGGAAUGCCCAUGACAGAUGAUCUAAUCUCAGUCCCAGUGAAGGCGAGUAGACCCAUUUCUUGUCUGGUUUUUCCCUCCAAGGAAGGAUUAAUCAGGAUCAUCUGAGCUUCUUCCAGUUUAGCAGCAGCUUUAUCAUACACAGAAGCUCUAACCCAGAAUUGUCUUACCAGCACUUCAUAGGUUGGUCCGUUGAGAAGACUGAAAUAACUCAUCAAUUUUUGCUUCUUGUAAAAUCUUACCAAGUCGCAUCCAUGGUGAGUUAGAGAAGCGAAGUCCACUGGAUUUUCCGCUUGAAUGAUUAACUCCCAUUCUUCGAUAGACAUGGUUCUUCCUUUGAUUUCAUAAGCAGGAGUAUCUGUAUUUGACGACGAACCACCAGCAGAACUUGAAGAAGCCAUUGAAAUGGAGUGGUUUUAGGGUUCUAAAGUUUUUGAGAGGAUGAGAGAAUGCGCUUACUUUCGCAGAGAGUUUAGAAGAAAAUAGAAAGUGUUUGUUGUGAAGUGAGUAGUGUGUGUUUGUUUUAAGUGUUUUUGUUAAAACGUUUGCAAUUCAGAACAGACAAACAAACAUAGCAUUAAUGACAAAUUGGGGGCGCGUGUUAGUAUGUUUAAUUGCAGAUAAAACAUCAUUGCCCUUUUUGUUAUACUCCAAUACAAAUAGACCACGUCAGAGACUUUUCAGAAAACUAACCUUUGGGUAAUGGGACAGCUGUUACAAAAAGUAACUGCCAACGUUCCCACUAACCUUGCUAUUCAGAAGCAAAAGAUACCUUUUCUGAAGUAUUAGUGCUGACGUCAUCUUCAGAAGCAAAUUUUCCUCAGAACCUCAGUCAAGAGUUUCUGAUGGACCAGCUGCUUCUGAAUAAACUUCAGAACCAAAACUUCUUAUUCAGAAGCCAGCAAUUUUUCAAUCAGACACAAAGUGCAAGUUCAAAUUUUUCUUAAUAAAAUCAAAUCUUUCAACAGAUAAGGGUUUUGUAAAUAUAUCAGCCCAUUGAUGUUCAGUAUCAAUGAAUUGUAUAUCUAAAAUCCCUUUUUGAACAUAGUCUCUGAUAAAAUGGUGUUUGAUCUCAAUAUGCUUGGCUCUUGAAUGUAGAAUUGGAUUCUUUGACAAACAGAUAGCAGCAGUAUUAUCACAAAAAAUGGGAAUACUGUUAGCAUUAAUCUGAUAGUCUUCCAACUGAUGUUUCAUCCAAAGUAGUUGUGUACAACAACUUGCAGCUGAAAUGUAUUCUGCUUCUGCUGUAGACAUAGCAAUUGUUGUUUGUCUUUUGCUUGCCCAGGAUAUCAGAUUUUCUCCCAGGAAUUGACAAUUUCCACUGGUUGAUUUUCUUUCAAUCCUGUCACCAGCAUAAUCAGCAUCACAGAAUCCAAUCAACUUGUAAUCUAGGGAUUUCCUAUAAAGGAGUCCAAGAUUAGUUGUUCCUUUCAAAUACCUGAAGAUUCUCUUAACAGCAGUUAAAUGAGAUUCUCUAGGAUCUGAUUGAAAUCUUGCACACAAGCAUACACUGAAUAAGAUAUCAGGUCUAGAUGCAGUGAGGUAUAACAGAGAACCAAUCAUACCUCUGUAUAACUUCUGGUCUACUACUGUUCCAGUAUCUUCUUUGCUUAAGGUGCAGGUUGGAUGCAUUGGAGUGUUCAUCACUUUACAAUCUUCUAGCUUGAACUUCUUCAGAAGCUCCUUUGUAUAUUUUGUUUGAUGAACAUAUACUCCUUCUUUACUUUGGUUGAUUUGAAUUCCAAGAAAGAACUUCAAUUCUCCCAUCAUACUCAUUUCAAAUUCAUCCUGCAUCAACUUAGAGAAUUCUUUGCAAAGAGAUGCAUUAGUAGAACCAAAUAUUAUAUCAUCAACAUAUAUUUGCACAAUCAAAAUGUCCUUCUUAAGUGUCUUUCUUGAAGAGUGUUGUGUCAACUUGUCCUCUUUCAAAAUCAUUUUUAAUUAAGAAAUUACUUAGUCUAUCAUACCAAGCUCUGGGAGCUUGUUUCAAGCCAUAUAGUGAUUUCUUAAGUUUAUAAACAUGGUCAGGAUGCUUAAGAUCCUCAAACCCAGGAGGUUGUUUGACAUAUACUUCUUCUUCAAUGACACCAUUAAGAAAAGCACUUUUGACAUCCAUUUGAUACAAUAUUAUGCCAUGGUUAAUUGCAUAGGAUAGAAGUAACCUGAUUGCUUCCAAUCUUGCAACUGGAGCAAAUGUUUCAGUGUAAUCAAUGCCUUCUUGUUGACUGUAACCUUGAGCAACAAGUCUGGCUUUGUUUCUGGUUACUUCUCCUUUUUCAUUCAGCUUGUUUCUGAAUACCCAUUUUGUUCCAAUAAUGUUCUUCUGAAAAGGUUUGGGUAUCAGAUCCCACACAUCAUUUCUCUGAAACUGAUUUAGUUCUUCUUGCAUGGCUAAUAUCCAACCAUCAUCUGAGAGAGCUUCUUCAACAGUUUUAGGCUCAAUUAUUGAAAGCAAUCCUAUUAAAGACUCUUCUUGUCUGAAAUGUGAUCUUGUUCUUCUAGGACUAUCUUUGCUUCCAAUGAUUAACUCCUCAGGAUGUGAAGAUUUGUGUUUGAAUUUUGGCUGAAUAACCUGCUGAGUGUUAUCUUGAACAUCCUCAGAAGCAUUUUCAUUCUGUUCUACUGGACUAGUUUCUGCUUCUGAAUUAGACUCAGCUUCUGGAGUGAUUUCAGCUUCUGGACGAGAUUCAACUUCUGAAUGCUUUUCAGAAUCAGAAGGUUGAUCAGAUUCUGAUGCAUCUUCAGAAUCAGUUGUACCUGCAUUACUUUCACUUUGCUCUGGAGUUUUAUUUCCAGGCUCUCUAUCAUCAAAUUUUACAUGGAUAGAUUCUUCAACACAAUGUGUUUCUGAAUUAUACACUCUGUAUGCCUUUGACCUUUCAGAGUAACCUAAAAAGAUUCCUCUUUGAGCCUUGGCAUCAAAUUUCUUCAGAUAGUCUUUAGUGUUCAAGAUGUAACAAGUACAUCCAAACUGAUGAAAGUAAGAGAUAUUGGGUCUUCUUCCUUUAAAGAGUUCAUAUGCAGUUUUCUCCAACAUAGGUCUGAUAUAGAUCCUAUUUUGAAUGUAACAUGAAGUAUUAACUGCUUCUGCCCAAAAAUGUUUAGCUAGAUUGUUUUCAUGGAUCAUGGUUCUGGCCAUUUCUUGUAAGGUUCUGUUCUUUCUCUCUACAACCCCAUUUUGUUGUGGAGUUCUAGGAGAAGAGAAUUCAUGGAGAAUCCCAUGUUUUUCACAAAAAAGUUCAAAUGGCUCAUUUUCAAAUUCUCCACCAUGAUCACUUCUGACUUUCAAAAUUUUCAAUUCUUUUUCAGAUUGUAUUUGAGUGCAGAAGCUGCUAAACACUUCACAAGCAUAAUCUUUACUUUUAAUGAAUUUUACCCAAGUCCAUCUGCUGUAAUCAUCAACAAUGACUAAUCCAUAUUUACUUCCAUAUAAAGAUGCAGUGUUAACUGGACCAAACAGAUCAAUAUGGAGUAAUUCUAAGGGUCUAGAGGUUGAUACAAUGUCUUUAGAUUUGAAAGUGCUUUUCACAAUUUUCCCUUUCUGACAUGCACCACAAAGUGCAUCUGAAUGAUAAUCAAUGUUAGGCAAUCCUUUGACCAGUUGUAACUUGCUAAUUUUAGAAAUUAAUCUCCAAUUAGCAUGUCCCAGCCUUUUGUGCCAUACCCAUUUUUUAUCAUUCAUUGACAGAAGGCAAACUACCUUCUGAUCAGCCAGAUCAGAGAAAUUUAUUUUAUAAACAUUUUCAACUCUCUUUCCCUUGAAUGUAAUGGAUUUGUCAUUCUUGUUGACUAGAGUGCAGUUGGUCUUACUGAACAUUACAUCAUACCCAUUGUCACAAAAUUGACUAAUGCUCAAUAGGUUAUGCUUUAGACCAUCUACUAGCCACACAUUAUUAAUUGAGAUGGAGGAAUUACCAAUAGUACCUGUACCAAUGAUUUUUCCAGUUUGGUUGCCACCAAACUUCACUUCUCCUCCAUCUUUCAUUGUAAGGGUAAGGAACAAAGCUUUCUCUCCAGUCAUGUGCCUUGAACAUCCGCUGUCUAGGUACCAUGACCUUUGUUUCUCUCUUGCCCUUAUGCACACCUGCAUUUUUAGCCAAUUCAGAUUUAGGUACCCAUAUCUUCAUGGGUCCUUUUGGGUUAGUUCUGGAGGCUUUACUUUUCCUCCCUUGUACCUUAGGGUGAAUGCUAAGAGGCUUCUGAUCAUUCAAUACUUCAGGUUUAACACCUUUUGGUAUUGUUUUAUCAGAAGCAGUGGCUGCCUUGUUCUUCUGAUCCUUUUGUUUUGGGAUUUUAGAUUCUGGUCUAAUCAGAUUCUGAUGAACAGGUUCUGAUCUUUUCAGAAUUUUAAUCUUUUGACUCUUAGGAUCAGAUUUUGUCAUCACCUUGAUCUUAAGAUUCUCUGGCUUUGAUGUGAUCUUAGCCUGUGAACCAGAAGUUUCAGGUUUUGACUGAACAGCAGUUACAGCAUUUGUACCUUCAGGCACAAAGGUGGAUUUCAAUCCAUCCUUGAUACAAUCACAGUAGCUUUUGAGACUGUAUUCUUUGGAUUUCUCCUCAGAAUAUCCAAUCCCUUUGCCAUUGUUCUUGUAUGUGCUGUAGAUCAUAGAGGCAACUUUGCUUCUGUCUAUUCCAGCCAUAAUGAAAUCAUCCAAGGCAAUCUCAUGUUUAUUGCCUGAACCUUUAUCACAUUUUUCUUGUAGCUUCUGACAAAGAAUUUUGAGCCUAUCUUCAUAUGUUGUUGAUAUGAGAUUAAACCCUUUUAGUUCUUCUUCAGAAGCUUUUAGCUCCAAUAGAGUUGACUUCUGUUGUUUCAUUAAAUCAACAUAUUUUUCUUUUAAAUCUGUCAACUCAUUGGUUCUGUGUUCAAACAGUGAUAAAAGUUCUUUUAGAGAAUCCACAAGUUCUUGUCUAGGAAUUUUGGAAUAUACCUCAUUUUCAUCUUCUGAAUCUGAUUCAGCUUCUGAUACUGCUUCUGAUGAUACUGUUGCCACUAACCCCAUGGCUGCUUUUGUAUCAUCUUCUGCUUCUUCUUUAUCAGAACCAGAUUCACUAUCCAAAUCUUCCCAGGUUGCCAUCAAGCUCUUUUUGAUUUGCUUUCUAAACUUACUGGAGCUGAAGCUUGAUUUCUUGGAUUUACUUUUAGAUUUCUCCUUCUGAAGAUCAGGGCAAUCAGCAAUAAAAUGACCAGGCUUCUUGCAGUUAAAGCACCCCUUCUGAUCUUCUUUCUUUGAGUUCUUGUAGCCACCUCUCUUGCUCAAAAAUUUCUUUUGCUUCCUUGCCAGAUAUUCAAGUUUGUUGGACAGCAUAGCCAUCUUCACCGACUGAUCUUCAUCAGAAUCUCGAUCAGGUGAUUCUUCUUCAGAUUCACUGGCUUUGUAGGCCUUUGAAGAUUUUGAAGUCUUUCCUUUAGAUGGUAGAGCAAUGGAUUUACUCUUCUUAGAGGAUUCAUGCUCAUUUAAACUCAUUUCAUGCACUUUGAGUGAGCUAACAAGAUCUUCAACACUUAAAGUGUUUAGAUCCUUAGCUUCCUCAAUAGCAGUUACUUUGGGUCUCCAUCUUGAAGGUAAGCUUCUCAAAAUCUUACUGACAUGAUCAGAAGCAACAUAGCUUUUCUUCAGAAUUUGCAAUCCAGAAACUAAAGUUUGAAAUCUUGAGUACAUUUCUUCAAUACUCUCAUCAUCCUUCAUUCUGAAUAAUUCAUACUGAUGAACAAGCAUCAAAGCUUUAGCCUCUUUCACCUUCUUACUGCCUUCAAAGUUGGCACAUAGUGAUGCAAACAUAGCCUUUGCAGUAGAUUUGUCACUCAUCUUCAUAUAUUCGGUGCGAGGUAUAGAAGCCACAAUAAUUCCUCUGAUUUUGUGGUGCUUCUUGUAAAGCUUUUUCUGAGCAGGAGUAUGUAUUCUUCUGUCUAUGGCAGCUCCUUCUUCAUCUAAAUCCAGAUCAUCAACUCCAUCUUCCAAUAUGUCCCAUAGCUCUUCAUCCAAACCCAUGAUGAAGCUAUACAUAUUUGUUUUCCACCAUGAAAACUCUUCUGGAUCUCCAUUAAACUUAGGAGCUUUACCAGAGUCUGUUUUCUUGUCAGCCGUAUCAUAGUCAUGCUUGACACUUGUGUAUUUUACGGUUGUAGUUGAUUCCUCUCCUCCAGACAUGUUUUUCUAUAGGAUCUUGAUCUGUAACACUGUUAAGUGCUAUGAUAACAGAGCAGGCUCUGAUACCAAUUGAAGGUGAGAAAAACACAAGAAGGGGGGGGGGUUGAAUUGUGUUUUCUUUUUCUCUUAAAAAAUACUUCUUCUGAUAAAACUUCAGAAGCAGUUUGAUUGCUCCUGAUGAAGUGAUCAGAGUCAGAUUGCAGCGGAAGAGAACAGAGCAGAGAAAAGAAAGACAAAGACACAAGCAGUUAUCCUGGUUCCUUCCACAACACGGAAGUAGUCCAGUCCCCCUUGCACUUCCAAGGAGAUUUUCACUAUAAUCAACAAGAUUACAACUGCUCAAUACUUUCUAAGUAUGAGACUUCACAAAGAUGCUCAAGCACACACGCAAGAGACUUCCAAUGCUCAAGCACUAAGCAAGAGACUUCUAAUGCUCAAGCACUAAGCAAGAGACUUCUAAUGCUCAAGCACGCAGGCAAGAGACUUCUGAUCAAACAAAAAUACAGACAAUUGAGUUUGAUUUGAACACUUGAUAUACAAUCAGUGGUGUUCUCAAUACAAUACAGUAAAGACUCUAGACUUUGAAUUUCUAAGAUUUAUCAAAUCAGUGCAGAAAUUCUGUGUGCUUUGUAGAAUCAAUUUGACAGAGUUUUGGCGCUUUUGAACUUGUAUAUCUCUAUCUACAAUCUUCAAGUCUUCACUCCUUUAUAUAGAGGUGUGAAAGAGACGUUGAGAUUAUCAGCACGUCUAAAGAGUCGUUUGAAAUCCUUUAAUCAUCCACCAGUGAUCCUUUGCCUGAUAUGGGUGUAGUCCUUUGAAGAGUUAGCUUCAAAAUCAUUCCCAUCUUGAAGGCGCACAUUCUGCAGGCAAGGCUGUUGUUUUGUCUUGUAGCGAAGACAAAAACAGAGUAAUGGAGGUAGUGGUUGUACACUUGUACUUUGUCAACUCUAGUAAAGAGAGACAAGUGCUCAGUGCUAUCCAUAUAUCCGUUGGAACCUCCCUUUCAAUUCUUUGUUCUUCUUGGAUAAGACUGAAUUGAGAGCCAGCUACUUUGAAUCUUCAGUUUGAUUGAGGGAUCAAAUGCAGCUUCUGGUGAAAAUAUUUUGCUUCUGAUGAAAACCUUGCUUCUGAUGAUCCUCUGCUUCUGAUGACGUCAUCACUUCAGAAGCACUCUGAACUUCAGGAGCGAUUUUCUUCAGAUGCUUGGAAUUCUUUUUCUUUCCAUUGUUCUUCCAGGACCUGUUGAAAUUACUUGACUAGACUUUGGUCCUGUACACUUGAACAAUUAUUAGUAAUAACCAAUUGACAAUUUUUAAUACCUUGUUAUCAUCAAAACUCAAUAAGGUUCAUUGUGAAACACAUUUUGUUCCAACAUUCUUCGGUCUACAACAGCUCCUUCUUCAUCUAAAUCCAGGUCAUCAACUCCAUCUUCCAAUAUGUACCAUAGCUCUUCAUCCAAACCCCAUGAUAAAGCUAUACAUAUUUGUUUUCCACCAUGAAAACUCUUCUGGAUCUCCAUUAAACUUUGGAGCUUUACCAGAGUCUGUUUUCUUGUCAGCAGUAUCAUAGUCAUGUUUGACACUUGUGUAUUUUAAGGUUGUAGUUGAUUCCUCUCCUCCAAGACAUGUUUUUCUAUAGGAUCUUGAUCUGUAACACUGUUAAGCGCUAUGAUAACAGAGCAAGCUCUGAUACCAAUUGAAGGUGAGAAAAACACAAGAAGGGGGGGUUGAAUUGUGUUUUCUUUUUCUCUCUUAAAAAAUCUUCUUCUGAUAAACCUUCAGAAGCAGUUUGUGAGUGCUUCUGAUGAACUGAUCAGAAUUGGAUAUGCAGCGGAAAAGAACAGAGCAGAGAAAAGAAAGACAAAGACACAAGCAGUUAUCCUGGUUCCUUCCACAACACGGAAGUAGUCCAGUCCCCCUUGUACUUCCAAGGAGAUUUCACUAUAAUCACAAAGAUUACAACUGCUCAAUACUAUCUAAGUGUGAGACUUCACAAAGAUGCUCAAGCACACACGCAAGAGUCUUCCAAUGCUCAAGCACUAAGCAAGAGACUUCUAAUGCUCAAGCACGCAGGCAAGAGACUUCUGAUCAAACAAAAAUACAGAGAAUUGAGUUUGACUUGAACACUUGAUAUACAAUCAGUGGUGUUCUCAAUACAAUACAGUAAAGACUCUAGACUUUGAAUUUCUAAGAUGUAUCAAAUCAGUGCAGAAAUUCAGUGUGCUUUGUAGAAUCAAUUUGACAGAGUUUUGGCGCUUUUGAACUUGUAUAUCUCUAUCUUCUAUCUUCAAGUCUUCACUCCUUUAUAUAGAGGCGUGAAAGAGACGUUGAGAUAAUCAGCACGUCUAAAGAGUCGUUUGAAAUCCUUUGAUCAUCCACCAGUAAUCCUUUGCCUGAUUUGGGUGUAGUCCUUUGAAGAAUAAGCUUCAAAUUCAUUCCCAUCUUGAAGGCACAAAUUCUGCAGGCAUGGCUGUUGUCUUGUCUUGUAGCGUAGACAAAAAAACAGAGUAGUGGAGGUAGUGGUUGUACACUUGUACUUUGUCAACUCUACUAACGAGAGACAAGUGCUCAGUGCUAUCCAUAUAUCCGUUGAUACCUCCCUUUCAAUUCUUCGUUCUUCUUAGAUAAGAUUGAAUUGAGAAUCAGCUACUUUGGAUCUUCAGUUUGAUUAAAGGAUCAAAUAUAGCUUCUGGUGAAGAUAUUGCUUCUGAUGACCUUCUGCUUCUGAUGACGUCAUCUCUUCAGAAGCAGUUUUCUUCAGAUGCUUGGAAUUCUUUUGCUUUUCAUUGUUCUUCCAAGACCUAUUGAAAUUACUUGACUAGCUUUUGGUCAUGUACACUUGAACAAUCAUUAGUAAUAACCAAUUGACAAUUUUUAAUACCUUGUUAUCAUCAAAACUCAAUAAGGUUCAUUGUGAAACACAUUUUGUUCCAACACACUUGUAUUUCAGUUUUGUCUAAAAUAAUACAAUGAGAAUAAAUUUUAGUUCUCCUUCAAGCUUUCUUCCUCCAUUGAUGGAGUUUAUGCUAUAAUUUUCCAGUUAUAGCAUUCAUUUCUCUCUUGGUGUAUUAAUUCUGAAAAAAAAAGUCCUUCUUUCUAUUAAGUUAUAGCGAUUCAUUUCUCUUCUUGAUGUAUAAUCGACUCAUUAUAACCUUAACCUAAUGUUUGGAAGUACAAAACCAAAACUUUGAGCUAUGAAACGAUAUUCGUCACUUCCAUUUGCUUGAUCAAAACAAGGGCAUCUAUUGAACUAUGAUAUAAGAUGAAGUUUCUAUCUAAUUUCACUUGUUGGACAAAAGCUAUCCAUUUACAUUAAUUGUCUUCAUACUACUUAACAAAUUACAAGUCAUGCAUAUUUAUAAAUAUAUUGCUAUGGAAUAACAAUCAAUUUCUUAUUCAAAAGAUCCUUCAUAAAGAUUAUGAUUAAAAGCACUUAUGAUUUCGAAGGGCCUUCCUUGUAACAACGUUCAUUCAUGAUCCUGCCAAGCUGCACUACACCUUUUAAAAGUUCUGGACCAAAGGGAUUCCAAACCUCAAAGUUGAUACCUCUGAAGCAUCUUAUGUUAAUGGCUACACAAACAUUGAAGUUGAUAGCUAUGGAUUCUUAUUUCUGCAGGUCACAUGCAUUCAAAUAGAUGUGAUAAGUAACACAAUAUACAGUUAUGCUGCAACAUAUAAGAUUGAUAUUGAUUACUCGACAAGAUGAAUUUACAUAGCAUGCCAAAACUAAGCAUUUUGUGCACUGUCUAACUCCAUAAGUCUUUAAUGAUUUGAAAAACUUGUGCAGGUAGAAACAAUUAUUUUGUUUAUGAUAAAUAUGUACCUACCUGGACAAAGGAAUCUAUCUAUCAGUGGAAUUGUGAUUGUAAAGCAUUGAGAUAUUCAUGAAGGUAAGUCGACAUAUACAGAAUAAGCAGCGGAUUAAAAUUUCGAUUUACUUUCCUUGGAUCAUUACGAAUUGGAACUUGAACCAGUGAUUCGAUUGUUACCUUAGAACGAUUGGUCUGAAAACGAUCGGUGGAAUCUGCGAACCGGAAUCACGAUCACAGCCAAGCAAAUAGCAGAGCCUCUAUCAAGUCCACACGAACAGUGCUCCUCCAAAAGCUCGGUGCUAGCCAAGAAGACGGAAGUCAGAUAACUAGGGUUUCUGCAAAAGAACGUAACCGCAAACUAUUGCACUAGGGUUCUAUUUAUAGAACUCUUUAUGUGCUUUGCAAGUCAAACUCGUUUUUGACUUCACUAAGCCCAAUACGAGUUUAGUAAACUUUGCUAAAUAAUUAGCAUUAUUUACUAAGCGCACCCUUUAUAUAAGUCGUACUUAUACAUAUCUCUUUUGACUGUUCUUUUUGUGUGACCCUUUAGGUUCUAGUCACGUUGGCAAUAAUAUUAAAUCUAAUAUUUAAUAUUAUAAACAAUUAGCGGUAUCUAGCAACACAUCAUUGCUACCCAAGUGACAAGAAUGUCAAGUGAUCCGACGAAACCUUUCAUGAUAAUACAUAUGUGUAUAAUUACUCCUUUGUCUCAAUAUCUUCAUUGAUCCCAAGGCAUAGAUAGUGUCACCCUUGUAUAGAUCAAUGUUCAUUUAUCUUGAUUCCGAAAUAUACUAUUUAACGAAUAAGUCCAAUAUCUUAUAUUGACUUAGUUCGGCAUGGCCAUGCAUAUUUAUAGUCAUAUUUCAUCAAGAGGCCUAAAGAUAUAUCUCCUGUUUAUGAGGAGGGACAAAUCCCAUCUAGGAUACUCAUGCCCCUCAGCAUGAUUCAUCAAGUACCCAUCAACCAACGUUAUUUUUAUCCUUUUACAGACAACGUUAGAAUGGCAACAAAGCACUUGAAUCCACAUCUAGAGAUCAUAGUGGUUUCAGGUCUAAGAGCGAUAUACAUUAUUAUCAUUGUGAGAAUAUCUUAUGACAUUUUCAUAACUUACUAUGUAGUAUUCUCACAGUGGGUCAAUCCAAUACAAAUAUUACUCCUAAUAUUUAUAUCUAUGUAUAGACUUGAUAUCUCAUAUCUAUGACCCAUGAGAUGCGGUCAUCAGUCUACAUACAUAACAGUCUCGACGCUUUAUUAUUAUCCUUUAUACAUAUUAAAGCUUUGACUACGGAUACAUUUAAGAAUAGCGUUCUAUAAUAUAAUGUAAUCUCAUGAUUAAGUCACACUUAAUAUAUUAUUACACGAACUAUCUAUUCUAAGGACUUUAUUAACAUUAUCUAAAUAUAAUAAAGAGUGUCAUAUAUUAUUACAAUAAUAAAAGUCAUGAUACAUAAAAUAGGUUUAACAUAAACUAUUGGCCUCUAGGGCUUACACCAACAAUCUCCCACUAGCACUAGAGCCAAUUAGGCAUAAACCUAAUACCCAUAGAUCUAGUAUGACCAUCAUGCUUCUGCUGGGCAAGAGCUUUAGUAAGUGGAUCAGCGACAUUGUCCAAUGUUGGUAAUUUGCAUAUUUUAACAUCUCCUCUUUCGAUAAUCUCUCGAAUAAGAUGAUAACGCCUUUGUAUGUGUUUGGAUUUCUUGUGAGAUCUAGGUUCUUUGGCUUGUGCGAUUGCACCAUUGUUAUCACAAAGUAAUUCAAUGGGAUCCACAAUACUCGGAACAAUUCCAAGAUCAGAAAUAAAUUUCUUAAUCCAAACAGCUUCUUUUGCGGCAUUGGAUGCAGCAAUAUACUCGGCUUCAGUUGUAGAAUCAGCGACUGUUUCUUGCUUCGAACUUUUCCAGCUCACAGCACCGCCAUUUAAGCAAAACACAUAUCCAGAUUGCGAUCUAAAGUCAUCAUGAUCGGUGUCAUACCCCAAAUUUUGACCUAAGGUCCCACUGACACUCGUCUCCGAACUCGGAUCAGACUCACAUUUCAGUGAAAAAUUCGGCAAGGAGGUAUUUUGAAAUACCUCAUAAAGUUCCGAAUCGGGCCCUCUUCUCUCAGUCUUUAAUUAUUUAUUUCCAUCUUUUAUUCUUUUUUAAAUCGUUUAAUUUUUAUUUUGUUUAGUUAAUUAUUUAAUUUUUGUUUAGAUAAGUCCAAGAAGUCCAAAGUCUGUAUAAUCAUUUUUAUUUUGCAUUCUUUAUUAUUAUUAUUUGUUAAAAUCCAAAAAGUGGUCCUCAUCCAAAGAAAACUGUCACGCGCAUCAUCCCAUCCCAAUCCUCAUCCGCAGCCAAGGAACGACGGAUACACAUUUUCCUCCCAAAGCCACCAUAUUUUCUGCACUCUUCAACAAACCCUAAUCUCCAAAUCCCACACUAUAAAAGCAACUUGCAGAACACAAACCAAGGGGGGGAUACACAAAGAAACAAACAAUUUCACGGCCGAAAUUCCCAAUCAAAACCUGCAUUAAAACAACCGAUAACACGCACAAAAAAACGUCCAAUCCAUCAUCGAUCCCAAGCUGCCAAAAUCGUGACCCUUUUCAAACUAGCACAAUCUCCAGCAAUCCGAAUCCAGCAACCGUCAUCAAACCUACACCACGUACAGCCAUAAACCGGUCGCACGAUCAACUGACGUCGAGCCCAGCACCAGGUAACGAACGAGCUGCAGCGGAUCGCCGGAACCACUGAAUCGGGUUCAUACACCAACAGAAGCAAACGGACGUGUCGGAACCGAGUCGGAACGUACCGAAGCACAAGGUAGCGACCGGAGUUCACACCACCGCAGACAAAACCGUCGCAAAUCAACCGCCGCAAACAAAAGGUAGUCUCUUUUCUAACUUCUUAGAUCUAGUUUCAAUUUAGCUGUUGUGGAAUUUUUGAGGUAAGAUUUGAGAAGAGGGUGAAAUUUAGGUUAGAAAUCCAAAAAAAAAAGACCCUUUUGUCUCCAGCGCGGCGGCGCAGCCGCGUUGGCUCGUCGGCCACCGCGCCGGAACUCCCUCCACCACCCAUUCUCCAACCGGAGAAGAAAGAAGAAACAAGAGAGAGAGAUGAGAGCAUUUUUCUGUGAAGAGAGAGAAAGGGAUGUAGGAAAUGAGUGAAAAAAACCGUUACACCCUUUAUAUAGCCCCCUGAACCGGUUUGGUUCUCCUGAACCGAUUCAGGCUUGAACCAAACCGGUUUAAGCCCACUAAGCGCGCCCCAGCCUGUCCUCUAAGCCCAAUUCUUUUUUAUUGCUUUCUGCACACCCCUGUUUAUUACUGCACCCCCACCUUGUGUUUGGACCAUUUUUUUACCUUUUAUUCUUUUUUCGUAUUUAUUUAUUUAUUUUUAGCAUUUUUAUUUUAUUGCAGACCUUAGAAUGUAAAUAGGUUUUUUAUGUAAUAGUCAUAGAUUUUAUAUUUCUAACUUGGGGUAGCCGCGCUUUUUAUUUUUAUGCUCCGUUAGUUUAAUUUUUAGUCCAAUUAUUCAAAAAAACAACAAAAACAUCAAAUACCAAAAAAUUACAAAAAAUAUUUUUCAUAAACAAACCUUGAUCCUAAAUCAAGUGAUCGUCUCUUUUUAUUUUUAUUUUCUUAAUCAAAUAUCCAAACAAUUUAAUCAUACUUUGAGUCAUCUUUCUUUUAAUAAAAAACACAAAUCAAUUCUUAUUUUGCCACUUGGCUUUUCCUUUUAAAACCUUUUUUCAAAACUAAUAAAAAACACAAAACCAAUCAAACGUUGUUUUCUACCCCGAACUACGAGGUUUUGAUCCUUCACGGGUACGUAGGCAGAGGACACUCGUCCUUUCAAACAAUAAAAAAUGUAGAUAAAUUAGGUCUCAUUUUAUUUUCUUUUUCAUCACAUUAAUUCCUUCUUUUCAAAAUAAGCAAGCAAGUUAUAGCACAUUGAAUUAAAUAAAACCAAGAGGUUCCCGUAGAGUACUACGGACAUAAAGGGUGCUAAUACCUUCCCUUUAUGUAACUAACCCCCGAACCCUAAAUCUUUUCAAAAUGGGGUAGUUUGAACUUUUUUUUUGCCCCCUUUUCUUAAAAAUUAAAUGUUCAGUCGUGAAAUAAAUUAGUGAGUCAAAAGCUAAUCAAAUAGCCUUGAUCUCCGAAAAAUGACGCGACAGAAAUGGCGACUUCACUGGGGACGCCCCCUAAAGAGGGUUGAGCCUAACUUGGCCUUAUUUAAUUCUCUAUGCUAUAACUUGCUUAAAACAAAAAAACAAAAAAACAAAAAGAUGGAAAUAGUUGUACAUAUCUUCUCUUUUCUUUCUCCUCUUUUCUCUUAACAUGAGUGGUGAGAUAAGUCCUACACCCGGGCUUGAGUUAAAUAUAAGAUAGGACGGGGUACAACCAUAGUGCCAUACCAGGAGCGGUCCUGUGCUAUGUGUGCAUGUGGUAUAACCCCACUCAACGGAGGUCUCAAAGUAAUAUGAUGUCACCAUGAGCAGUCGUGAUUGGCGCUAUUAUUUUUGAAUGACCGUCGAAGUUGAGAAACCUUAGUAACCCUUAACCCAUCUUGGCCUUUUUAGGACGUAGUGCGGUGGCUAAACCAAGAGCAGUCUUGACUUUGGUCGACACGCGAUACUACACUCAAACUAGACUUACUUCUGGAUGUUAUUGGACUAGGAGCGGUCCUAUACACCGAUAUGUUCAUAAGGGAAGUUGUAAUUUGGGAAUUUAGUAGAACCCGUGAUGCAGGUACAUUUGAAACCAUAGUCCUUACCAAAUGGCGUCGAUAUCCUUGGCUCCAACAUUGUGGACUUAACCUCACCAUGCAUGAUCAUACAUGCAUUCAUCCAUAAAAAACUUUUUUUUUCAUCAAAAUAUCGAAGGACUUAGAUAAGUUUUCGUAAACAUCAAAGAUAUGGUCCUUGUAAGAAGGAACACCAAGAAAUACAACUUCAAAAAUCUUAACUAAGCUUUAGCUUUUGUUAAGAACCUUUCCUUGGUUUCGUUCUUACUUUUGAAAGGGAACCAAUUGCAACACCUUUACAAUUUUUAAAUAAAACAAUGUUCCUUAUCAAGUCUACAAUUACUUUGACAAGUCCUUCAAAAAAACGUGUGUAUUUUUUGCAUAAGCAUAUCAUACAUCAUUUUGCAUUCAAGUUUGAGUCUUACACUGUGUCUUUUCUGCUAAAGGUCAAUCCGUCUCAAAAGAGUCAUGGCAUCGUCGUCUGGAACCCACUCGCAUUUACAACACUCGAGCAAUCAUGAGGAAAAGAUGGAGUUUCUUGAACAAGAAAAUCAACUGCUUCGUGAGGAAGCGGCAGUCAUGCGAACUAAGAUGGAUGAAAUGACUGAAUUGAUGAAAGCAUUGACGGCUGCACAUAAUCAACCACCACCUCCUCCUCCUAUCAGCACUCAGGCCGAAGCAACUGUCUCUAUUGCCCCUGAAUGGGCGAUACCUGUCAGUAUUCCACCAAAUUCUAUGCCAGAAGGUCGUCCUUGGGGUGUCCCUAUUUGUCUCAGUGAAGUAUUUCGUCCUAUUGCUUGUGAAGCUCAGAUGCCUACUCACCUGCACACGGCUCAAGUACCCCUACCUACCAUGAGGGUCACUCCAGCCACCAUGACCUACUCAGCACCUAUGAUGCAUACAAUUCCGCAAACUGAAGAGCCUAUCUUUCAUUCAAGGAAUGCAGAGGCUUACGAGGGAGUAAGCGAUCUACGAGAAAAGUAUGAUGAACUACGCCGAGACAUGAAAGCUCUCCAUGAAAAAGGGAAAUUUGGGAAGACUGCGUACGAUCUCUGUUUGGUACCAAGUGUGCAGAUACCUCACAAAUUCAAGAUCCCAGAUUUCGAGAAAUACAAAGGGAGUUCUUGUCCUGAAGAGCAUCUAAAAAUGUAUGUGAGAAGGAUGCCUGCGUAUGCCCAAGAUGAUCAGAUUCUUAUCUACUACUUCCAAGAAAGCUUGAUUGGCCCUGCUUCAAAGUGGUACACAAACCUAGACAAAACAAAGGUUCAAACUUUCCGUGACCUUUGUGAAGCUUUUGUGGAACAAUACAGUUAUAAUGUGGAUAUGGCUCCAGACCGAAGCGAUCUUCAGGCAAUGACUCAAGAGAGCAAGGAAACAUUCAAGGAGUAUGCCCAGCGAUGGAGGGAUACCGCUGCUCAAGUCAUCCCGCGUGUAGAAGAGAAAGAGAUGACCAAGCUCUUCUUAAAAACUCUUAAUCAGUUCUACUACGAGAAGAUGGUCGGAAGUACACCCAAGAACUUUGCUGAGAUGGUUGGUAUGGGCGUACAGUUGGAAGAAGGAGUCCGAGAAGGACGAUUGGUCAAUGAAAGUGUCCCCGCAUGCAGUUCAAAAAAGAAAGACCAGGAAGUGAAUAUGGUGAAAGGUCAUCCUCGACGACAGGCUCAUCCGCAAUUCAAUCCACAUCAUCAGGCUCAGAAAACACCGCAGUAUGAUCUGAUUCCUAUGAAAUAUGCGGAGCUGCUUCCUUCUUUGCUUGAAAGAAACCUUGUCCAGACCAGACCACCUCCGCCGAUACCUAAGAAAUUGCCGGCUAGGUGGAGACCUGACCUCUUUUGUGCCUUCCAUCAAGGGGCACAAGGUCAUGACGUUGAGCAUUGUUUCUCCUUGAAGAUUGAAGUCCAGAAACUGAUUGACAAUGAUGUAUUGCCUUUCAAGAAUUUGAAUCCGAGUGUGUAGCCACAAUUGGGUCGAUGUUUAUGUCUUCUUCUGCUACUCAACUUGUUUCUAGUGAUAUGUUUGUUUGUUUACUAUCUUUUCAAAAAAAAAAAAACAUCCCUUCGUCCCGCCCGAGAUGAAAGUGAACUGGUGUAGGGCUUUUUGCUUUAAGAAAUUGUCCUCAUUAAUAAAAAGGUCGUUUUGAUCCCGACUUUGCUUUUAUUUUGUGCUUUUUCUUGGAAAAUGGUAAUACAAAAAACCAAAAAAUCUUUCUUUAAUCAUUCUCAAAUAUCUGCAUAAUCAUAACUUAUACUUACUUGUCAAAAUCAAUAAUCAAAUCAUGCAUUAAUAAACCCGUUGAACACAAUAACCAUGUACCCUCUACCAACUUUGAGUUCCUUGUAUCCGAAGUUGAAAGAGACAUGAAUGAAGAGACUCAUGACAAGAUCUCUCGCAUACUGGGGCAUCAUAAGCCGCCAAAGCUACAAAAAAUCAUGAAGAUAGUUCAGAGGAUGGUAAUCGCUUACAAAGACUAGCUCGAGGUGCUAUCAUUUUCUUCGCUCAGAUAUCCUGCUUCAGUACACAUUUCAACAGGGGCAUCCCCCCUCCUUCCCUCAAGUAUACAACAUGAAGGUGAUGCUUCCGGCACGAUCAAAGUCCCAACAAUAGGAGUCAUGUCAAAGUCCAAGCUUGAACAAACUUAAAAUGCAUGACGACCUUGUACAAUCAUGUCAAAAAAGUUUGAAAACAAACUUCCAACAAGAAGGUUCGUCCCCGUGAAAUUCAAGAAUGAGACUUUGUGCUCAAAAAGAUACUAUAUUUCCAAUCAGACUCCAGGGGCAAGUGGACGCCUAACUAUUAAGGAUCGCGUGCAAUAACUUUUACAACUAUGGAUGAUGACAAACUUGCACUUCCUAUGAAUGUCGGCGCAGUCAAGAAAUACUCUGUCAAACAUAAAAGCUCGAUAAGUCGCAAACCUGAAAAAAGGCGGCUUAGGCAAAAAUGAGCGUCUCGGUGGACUAAAAACCCGAAAGGGCGGUCCAGGCAAAAUUAGAGACAUGAACAAAAAAAUAUUCCUGAUAGAUUGAAAACCCGAAAGGGCGAUCUAUGCAAAAGUUAAGGAUCAAAAAGACAAAGUAACUGCAUCCGGUCAAGCACAAUCCACUUGAGGCAUCCAACUAUCAAAAGACCUCCGACUCGAAGCAUCUGCAGAUCAAAGACUCGGAACAGGGGCACUCAAAGUUGUUAGGGAGAAUAGCGGUUUUUUUUGUGUUCAAUGUACCGUUCCCAUUACAUUUACCAUUUUUCCAAAAUUUUCAAAAAUCCGUGGAGCCAUGCCCUUGGCAGGUCACCACUCAAUUCAUCAAACUUGAGCCUGUGCCCAUUGAUUUGGAACUCUCAUUUAUUCUAUUUGCAUAAUUUCUUCUUAAAGCAAAAAAUUUCAAAAUACAAAACUUUUUUUUUACAUCUCUUGAAAAGUGUGAACAACAAACACAUUCUCUUUGAACUCGUGAGUAGGUGAAGCGUACAUCAACAUUUGCUUCGAGAACGGUUACACUCCGGAAGAGAAACAUGGCUAAGCACUAUGGAAAGGACCUCUACUUUGAGCAAGAUGCAGUCAUAAUCCAAAAUACAAAAAAAGAAAUACAAAAAAUCAAAGCUCGCUAAGUUGAAAACCUGAAAAGGCGGCUUAGGCAAAAAUGAGCGUCCCGGUGGACUGAAAACCCGAAAGGGCGGUCCAGGCAAAAAUUAGGGGCAGAAGAAAAAGAAUAUAUUCCCGGUGGACUGAAAACCCGAAAGGGCGGUCCAGGCAAAAAUUAGGGGCAGAAGAAAAAGAAUAUAUUCCCGGUGGACUGAAAACCCGAAAGGGCGGUCCAGGCAAAAAUUAGGGAUUUUUCAAUAAAACAAAAGGCAUGACUGCUGAAGCAUACCAAUGGAAGGACACUCUGUGCCGGUUUACAAAUGGCGACUUCUUCCAGACUUCUUUCAUCAACAAUGGGCUCACCCCCCAGGAGGCAUCGGUGGCUACCUAGUGCCAGGUUCUUACACCAUCAACGGCUCGAUUUGCUCACAAUAAUAUUAUCUCCAAGGAAGGUUGCCGAGUGUUUGUAAUGCAAUGCUGGUCCGACUCCCAUCUUACCUGUCUUGUCUCGGCUCAUCGAGUCACCUGUCAUAUACAGUUUAUACGGUCAUGCAGUCACACAUUCAUACAUUCACACAUCCAUACAUUCAUACAAUCAUGCAUUCAUCAAUAUUUUUCACAUAUUUCAUACAUUUAUGCAUAAAUAGCAUAUGCAUAACAUUAAUUCGCACAUAAUUGCAUCAAUCAUCCGGAAUCUCGUUUUGGUCGUAUCUCUUCAGUUCGGUCUUAACUUAUCGUUUUGUCAACCCGAAAAGUUUCUAACAAAUGAACGUCUUGUUUUACUUUCUUUGUCAAAAGUGUCAUCCCCGGCAAAAAAGCCGUGCUAGUUAUGUCACUAAUCAAUGUCAAUUUCAAUUUCAAAUUCAAAAGUGUCAUCCCCGGCGAAAAAGCCGUGCUAGUUAUGUCACUAAUCAAUGUCAAUUUCAAUUUCAAAUUCAAAAGUGUCAUCCCCGGCGAAAAAGCCGUGCUAGUUAUGUCACUAAUCAAUGUCUUGUUUCGUCUUACCUUCAUACGACUACCAUACGGGUAGUAGGUAAUCUAUGUCAUUUGUCUUCCUACGACUAUCUUACGGAUAGUAGACAAUGUCUUGUUUCGUCUUACCUUCAUACGACUACCAUACGGGUAGUAGGUAAUCUAUAACAUUUGUCUUCCUACGACUAUUUUACGGAUAGUAGACAAUGUCUUGUUUCGUCUUACCUUCAUACGACUAUCUUACGGGUGGUAGGUAAUCUCAUUUAUUUGUCUUUAUACGGCUAUCUUACAUAUAGUGGACAAUGUUUCCUGUGUCUUACCUUCAUACAACUAUCAUACGGGUAGUAAGGUAAUACAACUCUUGUCUUCUUACAUCUACCAUACAGAUAAUAGACAACUUUUUUCCCCCAGUAAAACUACAAUAUUCCCCAGUAAAGUCGGAUCCCUUUCUUCGAAGAACUUGGGUAUCCCAGCGUCUUUUCAUUCCAGUCAAGCCGUCAUUGUCAUCAUGCAUUCAUAAUUAAAUCAUGAGCAUUCAUAAACAUCUUAGGUCAAAAUUGGUGUACUUUUGUAUUUAAGUCUCUUCGGCCCAUCGAAUCUCUGGACGAAGAAACUUAAAUAGGGGCAUCUGUCAUACCCCAAAUUUUGACCUAAGGUCCCACUGACACUCGUCUCCAAACUCGGAUCAGACUCACAUUUCAGUGAAAAAUUCGGCAAGGAGGUAUUUUGAAAUACCUCAUAAAGUUCCGAAUCGGGCCCUCUUCUCUCAGUCUUUAAUUAUUUAUUUCCAUCUUUUAUUCUUUUUUAAAUCGUUUAAUUUUUAUUUUGUUUAGUUAAUUAUUUAAUUUUUGUUUAGAUAAGUCCAAGAAGUCCAAAGUCUGUAUAAUCAUUUUUAUUUUGCAUUCUUUAUUAUUAUUAUUUGUUAAAAUCCAAAAAGUGGUCCUCAUCCAAACAAAACUGUCACGCGCAUCAUCCCAUCCCAAUCCUCAUCCGCAGCCAAGGAACGACGGAUACACAUUUUCCUCCCAAAGCCACCAUAUUUUCUGCACUCUUCAACAAACCCUAAUCUCCAAAUCCCACACUAUAAAAGCAACUUGCAGAACACAAACCAAGGGGGGGAUACACAAAGAAACAAACAAUUUCACGGCCGAAAUUCCCAAUCAAAACCUGCAUCAAAACAACCGAUAACACGCACAAAAAAACGUCCAAUCCAUCAUCGAUCCAAACCCCAAGCUGCCAAAAUCGUGACCCUUUUCAAACUAGCACAAUCUCCAGCAAUCCGAAUCCAGCAACCGUCAUCAAACCUACACCACGUACAGCCAUAAACCGGUCGCACGAUCAACUGACGUCGAGCCCAGCACCAGGUAACGAACGAGCUGCAGCGGAUCGCCGGAACCACUGAAUCGGGUUCAUACACCAACAGAAGCAAACGGACGUGUCGGAACCGAGUCGGAACGUACCGAAGCACAAGGUAGCGACCGGAGUUCACACCACCGCAGACAAAACCGUCGCAAAUCAACCGCCGCAAACAAAAGGUAGUCUCUUUUCUAACUUCUUAGAUCUAGUUUCAAUUUAGCUGUUGUGGAAUUUUUGAGGUAAGAUUUGAGAAGAGGGUGAAAUUUAGGUUAGAAAUCCAAAAAAAAAAGACCCUUUUGUCUCCAGCGCGGCGGCGCAGCCGCGUUGGCUCGUCGGCCACCGCGCCGGAACUCCCUCCACCACCCAUUCUCCAACCGGAGAAGAAAGAAGAAACAAGAGAGAGAGAUGAGAGCAUUUUUCUGUGAAGAGAGAGAAAGGGAUGUAGGAAAUGAGUGAAAAAAACCGUUACACCCUUUAUAUAGCCCCCUGAACCGGUUUGGUUCUCCUGAACCGAUUCAGGCUUGAACCAAACCGGUUUAAGCCCACUAAGCGCGCCCCAGCCUGUCCUCUAAGCCCAAUUCUUUUUUAUUGCUUUCUGCACACCCCUGUUUAUUACUGCACCCCCACCUUGUGUUUGGACCAUUUUUUUACCUUUUAUUCUUUUUUCGUAUUUAUUUAUUUAUUUUUAGCAUUUUUAUUUUAUUGCAGACCUUAGAAUGUAAAUAGGUUUUUUAUGUAAUAGUCAUAGAUUUUAUAUUUCUAACUUGGGGUAGCCGCGCUUUUUAUUUUUAUGCUCCGUUAGUUUAAUUUUUAGUCCAAUUAUUCAAAAAAACAACAAAAACAUCAAAUACCAAAAAAUUACAAAAAAUAUUUUUCAUAAACAAACCUUGAUCCUAAAUCAAGUGAUCGUCUCUUUUUAUUUUUAUUUUCUUAAUCAAAUAUCCAAACAAUUUAAUCAUACUUUGAGUCAUCUUUCUUUUAAUAAAAAACACAAAUCAAUUCUUAUUUUGCCACUUGGCUUUUCCUUUUAAAACCUUUUUUCAAAACUAAUAAAAAACACAAAACCAAUCAAACGUUGUUUUCUACCCCGAACUACGAGGUUUUGAUCCUUCACGGGUACGUAGGCAGAGGACACUCGUCCUUUCAAACAAUAAAAAAUGUAGAUAAAUUAGGUCUCAUUUUAUUUUCUUUUUCAUCACAUUAAUUCCUUCUUUUCAAAAUAAGCAAGCAAGUUAUAGCACAUUGAAUUAAAUAAAACCAAGAGGUUCCCGUAGAGUACUACGGACAUAAAGGGUGCUAAUACCUUCCCUUUAUGUAACUAACCCCCGAACCCUAAAUCUUUUCAAAAUGGGGUAGUUUGAACUUUUUUUUUGCCCCCUUUUCUUAAAAAUUAAAUGUUCAGUCGUGAAAUAAAUUAGUGAGUCAAAAGCUAAUCAAAUAGCCUUGAUCUCCGAAAAAUGACGCGACAAUCGGUCUGAAAACUAGCAUCAAUGUAACCAAUUACAGAGAGCUCUUCUUAACCUCCAUAGAUCAAGAAGGUAUCCUUAGUUCUUCUCAAGUACUUAAGGAUAUUCUUGACAGCGAUCCAAUAUUCGUUGCCAGGAUUAGACUGGUAUCUGCUCGUAGCACUUAAAGCAUACGAGACAUCUGGUCGAGUACAUAUCAUAGCAUACAUGAUAGAACCAAUUGCUGAAGCAUAUGGAAUAUCACGCAUUCGAUCCCUUUCGUCAUCAGUCGAAGGGGAUUGAGUCUUUGAUAGAUUUAAUCCUGACGACAUAGGAAUGAAUCCUUUCUUGGAUUCAUGCAUAUUAAAACGUCUCAGGACUUUGUCUAUAUAUCUACCCUGACUUAAGCCAAGCAAUCUUUGUGAUCUAUCUCUAUAGAUCCUGAUUCCUAAUAUAUAGGAGGCUUCACCUAAGUCUUUCAUAGAAAAGCAUUUCCGUAACCAAGUUUUGAUUUCUUGUAAUGUAGGGAUGUCAUUUCCGAUUAAUAAUAUGUCAUCCACAUAUAAAAUCAGAAAUGAAACUAUGCUCCCACUAACCUUCUUGUAAACACAAGGCUCAUCUUCAUUUUUAAUGAAUCCAUACUGUUGUACAGUUUCAUCAAAGCGAAGAUUCCAACUUCUGGAAGCUUGCUUCAAUCCAUAGAUUGAUCGCUGCAAUUUGCAUACCUUUUUGGUUGCUUUAGGAUCGCCAAAACCUUCAGGUUGUGUCAUGUACACAUCCUCAAGAAGAUUUCCAUUAAGGAAAGCAGUUUUGACAUCCAUUUGCCAGAUUUCAUAAUCGUGGUAUGCAGCGAUGGCAAGUAAGAUCCGAAUGGAUUUAAUCAUUGCAACUGGUGAAAACGUUUCAUCAUAGUCUACACCAUGAAUUUGUUUGAAGCCUUUAGCAACCAGUCGCGCUUUGUAGGUACUAACCUUUCCAUCCAUGUCAAUUUUCUUUUUGAAAACCCACUUGCAUCCUAUAGGAUUAAUUCCUUCAGGUGCAUCAAUCAAGUUCCAAACUUGAUUUGUGUACAUGGAAUCCAUUUCAGAUUUCAUGGCUUCAAGCCACUUCUCAAAUUCGGGGCCAGUUAUGGCCUCCGUGUAAGUCACAGGCUCAUCUUGGUCCAUGAGCAAUACAUCACCCUCUUGUGAUAUGAGAUACCCAUAUCUUUCGGGUUCUUGACGUAUCCUGCUAGACCUACGUGGUUCUUGUGUUACUGGGGCAGGAUUUUCUGUCAUAACAGUUUGGGUAUCCUGUCCUUGUUCCUCUACCGGUAUUUCAGUACUCUGUGGGUCUUGAAUUUCUUUAAGAUCUACUUUGCUCCCACUGAUUCUCCUAGAGACAAAAUCCUUCUCAAGGAAGACUCCAGUUUUGGCAACAACAAUUGUGCCUUCAGGUGGUUUGUAAAAGUAGUAUCCUCUAGUUUCUUUAGGAUAUCCCACAAAGAAACAUUUUUCAGAUUUUUGUUCAAGCUUAGUAGACAUAAGUCGUUUUAUAUAAGCUUCACAACCCCAAAUCUUAAAAUGUCCCACAUUGGGUUUUCGACCAUUCCAUAUCUCAUAUGGUGUCUUUUCUACCGCUUUAGAUGGAACUCGGUUAAGUGUGUAAGCUGCAGUUAAUAAGGCGUACCCCCAUAAGAAGUUUGGAAGUUCAGCAUGACUCAUCAUAGAUCGGACCAUGUCUAACAAGGUUCGAUUUCUCCUUUCAGAUACACCGUUCCAUUGCGGUGUUCCAGGAGGUGUGAGUUGGGACAGUAUUCCACAUUCUUUAAGAUGAUUGUCAAACUCUAAGCUCAAAUAUUCUCCACCUCGAUCAGAUCGAAGCAUUUUGAUUUUCUUGCCUAGUUGGUUUUCUACUUCAUUUUGAAAUUCUUUGAAGAAAGUAAAUGAUUCAGAUUUAUGUUUCAUUAGAUACACAUAUCCAAAUCUACUAAAGUCAUCGGUGAGUGUAAUGAAGUAGUGAAAGCCUCCUCUAGCAGUUAUGUUUAGGGGUCCACACACAUCAGUAUGUAUGAGACCUAAAAGAUCACUAGCCCUUUCACCUUGACCGGUAAAUGGAGCUUUUGUCAUUUUUCCCAAUAAACAAGAUCGACAUGUUUCAUAUGAUUCAAAAUCAAAAGAAUCCAAAAAUCCAUCUUUAUGGAGUUUGGAAAUGCGAUUCUCAUUUAUAUGUCCUAAACGACAAUGCCAAAGGUAAGUUGGAUUCAACUCAUUAGGUUUCAACCUUUUCGCAUUAAUGUUAUAGAUAGGCAUAUCGAGAUCUAAGACAUAAAGUCCAUUACUCAAAUUUGCGUUAGCAUAAAGAAUAUUAUCCAAAUAAACGGAACAACAUUUGUUCUUUAUUGUAAAUUCAAAACCAGCCUUGUCCAAACAAGAAAUUGAAAUAAUAUUCCUGCUAAUGGCAGGUACAUAAUAGCAGUUUUCUAAAUUAAGUAAAAGACCACUAGGUAAGGUCAAUACAUAAGUUCCAACAGCUAAAGCAGCAACCUUUGCUCCAUUGCCAACUCUAAGAUCGACCUCGCCUUUUGCCAAUGCUCUACUCUUUCUCAGACCCUGCACAUCAGUACAAAUAUGAGAACCACAUCCAGUAUCUAAUACCCAUGAUGUAGAAGUAGACAUAUUAAUUUCUAUAACAAAAAUACCUGCAGAAGUAGUAGGAACAUUUCCAUUCUUCUUAUCUUCCAGAUACUUUGGAUAGUUUCACUUCCAAUGCCCAGCGUUGUUGCAAUAGAAGCACUUAUCAUCCUUAGCCACGCCUCCAGUAGGCUUCAAAGCUUUGGUUGAUGGCUUGGCAACAAUUUUGCCUUUGCCAUUUCCCUUAGACUUAUUAGGCUUCUUAUGGUGCUUUUUGAACUUGCCAUUAUUAACCAUUAAAAUGGCAGCAACCUUUCCUUUUCCCUUCAUGUUUUUCUCAGCAGUUCUCAACAUAGCUGCAAGCUGUGGAAGUGUCUUGUCCAUAUCAUUCAUUAGAAAGUUAUGGACAAAACCGUUCAGGCUUUCAGGCAACGAUUGCAGCACAAGAUCAACGACUAGCUCUUGUUCAAGGACAAAUCCCAAACGAGCUAGAUUUUCAGAGUACCCAAUCAUUUUGAGCACAUGAGGUCCUACAGGACCUCCCUCUGACAGCUUGGUGGAAAACAGGGCUUUAGAGACAUCAAACCUCUCAUGCCUGGCUUGCUCUUCAUAAAGAGUCUUUAGAUGUUCGAUCAUAUCGAACGCUGUCAUCCCUUCAUGCUGUUUUUGCAGCUCGGGAGUCAUUGAAGCCAGCAUGAUGCAUGAAACUUCUACGGAAUCAUUGAGAUGCUUGGCAUGAGCAUUUCUUAGAGCCGCAGAAGCUCCAGCAGGAGGUGUCUCAGGAAUGGGUCCAUCCAGCACAUACAGCUUUUUUUCGUGGGUGAGGACAAUCCUCAUGUUACGGGACCAGUCUAUAAAAUUUGUUUCAGUCAAUUUUUCCUUUUCGAUGAGGGAUCGCAAAAUCUUUGUGGAAGCGUUAUUGGCCAUCUACAAUUUAAAAUGUGCAAAAUAAGUAUCAUGAAAAAUAUUUAAUUUGGUCUUUAAUUAAAUACGCUCCCACUAUUUUACUCAAAUCAAAUGACCUUCAAACAUUUGACUCGGAAAAUCCCGUUGGAAGAUUUUCUAGUGGAUUGAAAUCCUUAUUUCACCUUGUUUUAAGCCAACGGGGGCUGUACUUAAAACUUAGCUAUUUAGGUAGGAACAUUUCCAGUUGUAUCUUAUACAACUUUCAAAUCAAUUGGCGGAAUAACUCUUUAUUCAAUUUCUAUCAUAUAGAAGUCGUCCAAUUAUAGCUUCUAAAUUUAUUCUAAUCUUAUUAAAAUUAAUUUAGUUAAGUUUGACCCAAAAGAAUAACACUUGGAUAAAUUGGAUUACCGCACCGCAACUUACUAGUAUAGAAUAUGCGCUUUACGGAGGCAAAACUCACAUAUUCGAUAUUAGUCUUGAAGGGUGUUAAACUUUUGGAAAGCUUUAAACUUAAUAUUUAAAUUGAAGGAUUUUUAUUAAAUUUGAUCUCACCUCACCACGGCUUAUAUAUCAUAUAUAUAUUCGCACUCCAAUCAAAACAUGCAUAACAUUUAUACAUAUUAAAAGUGACAUGAUUAUGGCCAUCCUAACGCUAUGACUCUCUCAAGCCAAUGAGAGAAUCUGAACUAAUCCUAGAAACGACCUUGCUUCUCCAAGCUUGACGUCCAGGACCAUCCUUACGUCUUGAGUUCUAUUACCUCCUUUGUAUUCUAUUUACAUUACAUAUGAUGAAAACUCGUUUUACAUACGAGGGAGUGGAUGAGAAGAGAAUGUACAAUAGAGAUAUAAGAGAAAGGCACGGCACGCAGGCCGUAUUUUAAUAUCCAAAAGAAAUAAAAUAAAAGGACUAUGGCCAUAAUCAUUCACAUGAUAAUAAUAACAAACACACUUUUAUUAUUAUUAAUUAUUCCUUAUAAUUAAAUAAAUUAAAUUAAAAUUCGACAUAUGAUCACCUACGCAGAUUAUUCCUUAUUGAACGAUUCACUUUGAAUUAACACCGUAUUUCGCAUCAACACUUGACACGUUUCUGAUUACCCUAAUCAUUUCGGCAAACCCUAAUUCUGUUACAACAAUCUGAUCUUUAUUAAACAAGUACUCUGAUUUCAUUCACGUAUCAUGACCGAGUCUAGGAUGCUUCACCAGAGUUCACAGAAUCGGUUACGAAGCUCCAUACAUCAGAUCAAUCAACAUGAAAAUAUCAUCUGACUUAUUUAAACUAUGAUCAGAUCCAGUAUAUCAUAUAUACCGUUGUUAUACAAAAUUUACCAAUCAUGCUUCUGUCAAUAUGUAUGAUCGAAAGGUUUGAUGUUUCACCAGAAACGGUUUCUGAAACAUCAAAACGGUUCGAAAAGCCAUGCACAUUCACGUGAUUGAUAUUAUUAUUUACUGCGUUUUAUGAUCGAUCAAUCAUGUUUCUGUCGAUAUGUAUAAUCGAAACGUCGAUGUUUCAACAGAAACGGUUUCUGAAACAUUGAAUCAAGUCGAAAACACAUGCACAGAAAACAUAAUAUGAUGCGAUGCCAAUUUUAAUCUUUCUUUAUUAUUUAAGUUCGUUCAAUAUGUUUAAUCAAAUUAAAACAUAAAGCAGUAACAAAACAAUCCGAUUCAAGGUUUCGUAAUUGGCUCUGAUACCACUGAAGGUAAAUCGACAUAUACAGAAUAAGCAGCGGAUUAAAAUUUCGAUUUACUUUCCUUGGAUCAUUACGAAUUGGAACUUGAACAAGUGAUUCGAUUGUUACCUUAGAACGAUUGGUCUGAAAACGAUCGGUGGAAUCUGCGCACCGGAAUCACGAUCACAGCCAAGCAAAUAGCAGAGCCUCUAUCAAGUCCACAGGAACAGUGCUCCUCCAAAAGCUCGGUGCUAGCCAAGAAGACGGAAGUCAGAGAACUAGGGUUUCUGCAAAAGAACGUAACCGCAAACUAUUGCACUAGGGUUCUAUUUAUAGAACUCUUUAUGUGCUUUGCAAGUCAAACUCGUUUUUGACUUCACUAAGCCCAAUACGAGUUUAGUAAACUUUGCUAAAUAAUUAGCAUUAUUUACUAAGCGCACCCUUUAUAUAAGUCGUACUUAUACAUAUCUCUUUUGACUGUUCUUUUUGUGUGACCCUUUAGGUUCUAGUCACGUUGGCAAUAAUAUUAAAUCUAAUAUUUAAUAUUAUAAACAAUUAGCGGUAUCUAGCAACACAUCAUUGCUACCCAAGUGACAAGAAUGUCAAGUGAUCUGACGAAACCUUUCAUGAUAAUACAUAUGUGUAUAAUUACUCCUUUGUCUCAAUAUCUUCAUUGAUCCCAAGGCAUAGAUAGUGUCACCUUUAUAUAGAUCAAUGUUCAUUUAUCUUGAUUCCGAAAUAUACUAUUUAACGAAUAAGUCCAAUAUCUUAUAUUGACUUAGUUCGGCAUGGCCAUUCAUAUUUAUAGUCAUAUUUCAUCAAGAGGUCUAAAGAUAUAUCUCCUGUUUAUGAGGAGGGACAAAUCCCAUCUAGGACACUCAUGCCCCUCAGCAUGAUUCAUCAAGUACCCUGUAACGCACCGUUUCACUAAUGUAAAAAAAAAAAUAAUAAUAAUAGUAAUUAAAUGAAAUAGAUGUACACAAAACAUGGAAGCUACUAGAUUUUUCCCACACACCCUUUUCUCAUUCUCUUUCCCGUAUUCCUCUUUCCUCUUUGUUCUUUCAUGUCACCGCUUCUUCCUCUUCCAAAUUUUCUACUUUUUCCUUCAAAUCAUCAAUUUUCUUCCUCAAAUCGAACACCCAAAAUAAAUAUUAUGCAUCUAAGCAAGCUAUUUCAUAGUACAAGCUCUAUUUGGUAGAAUUUUGGGAUUUGAGUUUGUGCCUUGGGAAAGAAGAGGAAUACCCAUAUAGUGAAAGUUGUUCAUUGAGACUUCUUGGAGGUAUAUUUAUCAACUUACAACUCAAUUAGUGCAUAUUUAGACAUGAUUAGUUGUUAGAAAUUAAUUUUUUGAGAUUAGAGUAGAUUGUUUGGGGAAUUUGUGGUUAACUAUAGUUAGAGAAGUAGUAGAAUGAGUUUCUAAUUCAUGAGAGAAUAUUAUUGAUGUUCAGAUAUGACGCCAGACGCUUCACAUGCUUCUUCAGGAGUGGUUAGAGCGCAAACAUAGUUGAUUUGUCGUAACUGUGAGUUGAUGACGAUCAUUAUCACUUAUUUUAAUUAUCGCUAUUAUUGAUAUUUUGGUAAUUUUAUAAGUUAAAGUAUUUCUCAAAACGGGAAGCACACCUUUUAAACAUUUUUUUUUUAUCGUUGAAAUUGAUGUUUAAGGUCAUGAAUAUUAUUAUGGUCUCUGUUUUGAACUUGUCUAUGAUUUAUUGAGCAAAUGUUUUGCAAUCGAGAUUUAGUUACAUCUACUAUGAUGUGAGUUUUGAGAUAUGGAGAAAUACGGUUUUGAGAAAUAUGUUAUUGGUUUGAAAAUUAUUUUGGUACUAUUAUACACUCUGGAUUUGAGUUUUUGAUUGACCUAUGUCUUAUGAUUUAUGAAGUGGUGGAUUUAAGAAUUGAAAUUUAUUUCAGGUAUCUUGGCACUAGUUUUCAAUGUUGUAAAGCAUGGUUUAAAGUAUGCGCGUUUGAAAGGAAUUGAAAUUAAUAUGUACGCGAUUUGGAUUUGGAUUUGGAUUUACUUAUGAUGAUAAGUAGUAGAUUUUCGAUUGAGUUUGAUGAACGUAUAUUGACAUGAGUUUCGUUAUGUUCCGAAAUAUGGUUUUAGACAUGUGUUUUAAGAAUGGUGUUUUGAAAAUUACGGUUAUAAUGACGACGACCUAGAUGCACCUAGUAUGUGAUUUCAAUUAGGUAGAAUUACCCCGUUAGAUGGAGCCGCCCCUAUGGAAAGGCCGCCAUUAGGAGGAGAGGGCUAUCAAUGAGAGGUAAACUCCCUAAUUGAAAAUGUUUUACACUUUGUUUUGAGUCGAGAGAAAAGAGCUAUCCGUUAGAUGGAGCCGCCCCAUGGAAAGGCCACCAUUAGGAGGAGAGGGCUAUCAACGAGAUGAAGCUAGUUCUCGAUUCACCCCAUUUGAUUAUUUUCACCAAAGUUUGAUUUCUAUACUUUAUUUAAAGUUGAUUAUUUUGGUAUUAUGAAAUUGAAUAUGAUUUUAUAUUUUCUUUGAAGUGAUUAUUUUGAUUCCAUUUCAUUAAGCCCGAUUUUUAUAUUCUAUUUGGAUUUGAUUAUCUCGAUUCCUUUUCAUUAUAAUCGAUUUAUAUAUUUUCUUUAAAGUUGUGGAUUUGGUUUCACCUCUUGACGACAUUGAAAUUUUGAUAUAGUCUUAUUUGGUUUGAUAAAAUUAGAAAGUUUUAUGAAUUUUCAUGGUACACUUGAUUGUGAAUUUAUUAUAUUUUUAUACAGUUACUAGCCUUGUAAGUUAAAAAUUAGAUUUGAGAAAAGAAAAAAAAAAAAAAAUUCGUGCCCUUGUGUGUUUCCCUUCUAGUUGGUGGUGGUUGUUGUCUCCUCACUAAGUCUUUGUGACUUACCCCUUCUUCUUACAUUUUUUCAGAUUCAAAGUCAAGUGCGUAGAAAGCUUGUAGCAGAGUUAAAGAUAUAUCAAUGUCAUUCUUUUGGUAGGUUUCCUAUGUGUAUGAACUGAAUGGUCGAUGUAUCUGCAACUAUUGAUAGUCUAGAAAUGUUUUGUUUUAAAUUGUAUAAACAUCUAGUUAUGUCACUUUGAGAUUCUGCUGAUAAUACAAGUAUAUAGAAAGAAUUCAUAUCUUGGAUAGUAUUAAAAAUUCAAAGGACACUUUGUCGAAAUUUCAUUGGAUAUCAUUUUAAGUGAAAGUCAAUUUGAAAAUUAUUUAAAUUAUAGUUUGUCAAGUGUUGUCAUUAGGCUUGCCGGACUAGGAUGUUCUAGUUCGUGCGUCGGUCACGAUUGUGAAUUUUUGGGUCGUGACAUACCCAUCAACCAACGUUAUUUUUAUCCUUUUACAGACAACGUUAGAAUGGCAACAAAGCACUUGAAUCCACAUCUAGAGAUCAUAGUGGUUUCAGGUCUAAGAGCGAUAUACAUUAUUAUCAUUGUGAGAAUAUCUUAUGACAUUUUCAUAACUUACUAUGUAGUAUUCUCACAGUGGGUCAAUCCAAUACAAAUAUUACUCCUAAUAUUUAUAUCUAUGUAUAGACUUGAUAUCUCAUAUCUAUGACCCAUGAGAUGCGGUCAUCAGUCUACAUACAUAACAGUCUCGACGCUUUAUUAUUAUCCUUUAUUCAUAUUAAAGCUUUGACUACGGAUACAUUUAAGAAUAGCGUUCUAUAAUAUAAUGUAAUUUCAUGAUUAAGUCACACUUAAUAUAUUAUUACACGAACUAUCUAUUCUAAGGACUUUAUUAACAUUAUCUAAAUAUAAUAAAGAGUGUCAUAUAUUAUUACAAUAAUAAAAGUCAUGAUACAUAAGAUAGGUUUAACAUAAACUAUUGGCCUUUAGGGCUUACACCAACAAUUCAUCCACUUUUCUCUCUCCAUAUGAAUUGGUGAAUAUGGCAUUCUCCUCCAUGUUUUUUUUUCUCCUUGUACAGUUGAUUCCCAUUUGUGCAUUUGAAGAAUAAUAGUAGGAGUGCUUCCUCAAGUUUAGGCACGAGUUUCCCACACUGCAAAGUGCUUUGUCAAAAAGAGUAUAUUUAUACCCAUUGACAAACAAAGAAGAAGAAUAAUUGCUCUAGAAGGGAUCUUUUUACGAAACCAGAAAGAAAUUGUGUGUCCCUUGCUUUUGUGCCCUAGUUUGCAUUGAAAUCCAGAAAGCUUUUCUGGAUUCAGUGUAAUAGCUCGAUUUUCCUCAAAACACUUGCAUUCAUCCAAUCUAAGGAUCUUAAGGAGGUUAAUUUUUAAAUUGGCACUUGAUAUUGUUAAAUGACUAAGUUCACUAAGAUUUUGAAAGGAAGAUUGAAAUUUUUCUAUGGAAGUUUCCUUCAACAAGAUAGAUUUUAUAUUUGUCAUCUUGCAUAAUAAUUCUGGAAAACUCUUGAGACUCUUACAAUUAGAGAGUUCCAGAUUCUGAAGAGAGGGAGACUGUAAGGGUGGAAAACUCUCGAGCUUCUCGCAACCCUCUGCAUUUAAGAUUUCUAAUCUAUUUAGGUAUCUAAGUGAAUUGUGAAUUGUAACUAAAUUAUGACAUCUUACAAACGAGAACUUUUCUAAAUUUGGAAGCCCUGAGACAUCCGGUAUAUGGGUUAAAUAUUCACAAUUGUUCAAUAUCAAGACUUUCAUAUCUUCAAACUUCUGCAUAAACACGAAGAAGAAACAAAGAAAUACUCAAUAAAAAUCAAACACUAUACUCUCAGUGAAUUUUUAAAUAUACACAACUAGAAAAUGAAAACAUAUAUGUACAAAAAAAAAAGAAAUUAUUUAACCUGCCUUGUUCGAACUACUAGAUGAUGGAGACUUCGGAAUACAUCCUUUCAUUACCCUCAAACUACUUGGAAGAUACUCGAGACUUUUAGAAUGAUGGCCAUUUUCAGUAAUAAAUGUUUUGAGGUUUGUCAUCUUCUCGAAGGCAUUUCCAUUCCAAUCAAUAUCAGAUUCCAUGGAGGGGAAUUUCAUAUUUAUCAUUUUGAUUUUCCUUGUUCCCUUUUAACAACAAAAAAAAAAAAACACAUGAAUCAACCACAAUAUAUACAAAUAAGAUGUACAUAAAUUUAUGUGUAAUUAAGUGAAAAGAAUUAGUCGUAUCGAUCAGAUGCUUGUAUACAAAUUCAAAAAGAGCAAUGUCAUGUUAAAAGCUAAAUUUAACAAAUUGUUCCUAGAUAUCAAUCUUACUCACAGUGUUUUUUUUUAAAACAUGAACUAUAUCACGCUCAAACCACAACCUACUGCGUUCUCCAGGCUCAUCGGGUGAUUCUUGUCGGACGACUUCUUUACCCAUGUCCUCUAUCAAGUCAUGUAAUGUCACAUAACUAUCAUAUUUCAAAUGGUCCAUGAGAGAUUUUUCAGCCAAAACUGCAACAUGAUGUACUAUGCAAUGACCAUAAUGAGCAUGAAGUAUUUCUUUGACCUCUGGCCAUUUACACCCUUUGAAGCAACAAGCAAUGUCUAGAAAGACACUUUGCUCUUCUUUCUCCAAAGAAUCAUAGCUCACUUUAAGUAUUCUUUGGAUCUCUUUAUUGGGAAUUUCUUCAUACCCAUCUAAUGUACUCAUUGAAUCUUGUACGCUCCUUCCAACCAAAUUGGACCCUAUUAUUACAAUAGCUAAUGGAAGGCCAGAAGCAUAAGUAAGUGCACGGUUUAAAAUGUCUUCAUGACUUGAAGGAACAUUUUCUUUGAAAGCCAUCCACCUCAACAAUUCGAGAGCUUCUGUCGCAUUCAACCCUUCUACUGCAUGUGUACUUUCUAUCCCAUGAAUCUUUAGUAAGUGUUUGUUUCGAGUAGUAAUGAUGACUCUACUCCCAGGACCGAACCAAUCAAGUCCUCCAGCCAAGGCCUCUAGCUGAUCCAGUUUGUCAACAUCAUCAAGAAUCAAAAGAAUCUUCUUUCUACAUAGCCUUUGCUUAAUGAUUGGAAUUCCCUGACUAACACCUCCUAACUUAAUGUCCAAUCUAACUGUUUUUAAAAGGAGUUUCUCUUGGAGAUGUUUCAAGUUAUCUGAAGUCGAAUUCACUCUCACAUUUUCUAGAAAACAUAAAACUUCAAAUUGAUCAGCAAUGAAAUUAUAAAUUGCUUUUGCAAGUGUUGAUUUACCUAUGCCUCCAGUACCAUAAAGUCCUACCAUGUGGACCUCAUCAUCAGAUUUUUCAUCAAGAUGCCCUUUCACAUGUUGUACUCGGGACUGUAAUCCAACAGGAUAUUUGGCAACAUCUAAGGGCUCACGACUAAUCCUGUUGGAAAUGUCUUCGACUAUCUUUCCAAUAAACUCGUAUUCAUAUCUAUUCAUGUCCAAUAAGAUAAGUUAGUAUAAAAGGGAAUUAAAAACGUAAAUAAAAAUGGUAUUUCUAAUUUGGGAAUUGAAAUUAAAGAAAGAAAAUAUAAAAGGGAAAAAUAGGAUUUAAGUAAAGUGGGCUACCCAUGUUUAUAAUGCUGGCCAGACAAGUUAGCCGCUUGGCUCAGAGCUUCUUUCCAUUGCUGCAACCUCUCAGUGUUAUCCUUAUCAUUUUGAAACUUUUUUUUAUGCACAGCUAAUGCUUCACCAUAUCUACCUGUGUGAUGUCGCACAUCAGUAGGAUCCACACCAAUAAAAACAGGCAAAACAAGACAACCCUUUGUAUCGUAGCAAUGAGUGAUGUGAACAAGUUCGUCCAAACAAAAUGAAGAAGAUGCAUAGUUUUCAGAAAAUACGGGAAUAAAAAUCCUAGAUUUUUCAAUGGCAUUUUUUAGUGAUGGUGUGAUUUCAUCUCCUCUUUGAAGAUCAUUGUCAUCAAUGAAGGUAUAGAUUCCCUUGUCAGUAAGAGCCUUGUAGAGAUUUCCGGUAAAACCGUGGCGAGUGUCCGCGCCCCUAAAACUGAGGAACACUUGGUAAGUGAAUGAGGAAGGUGAUUGCGUAGCCAUGAGAACUGAGAGAAACUUAUGACAAGGAGUUUGAGAAUGCAGAAUGUGAAUGAGUAAUUUUCAGUUAUUUUUUGUGGUCUGUGAUGUGCUGUCUUCAAUAUGUAAAUAUAAAACUUACGACAAAAAUGAUAUGUGAAACUUCCUGGCAACUUCCUAUAGCCGUGUGGACCAAUCAUACAUUAAAUAACAUUGUACUACAACCUCUUCUUCUUGGUUAUAGCAUAUUUAUAGUAAAGAAAAUACUCUACAAGACUUUUUACAAGUUUUAGUUUUCAACUGCUUUUAUAUAUUCUUCUGCUGAAUGUAAAUUUUCACUUUGUUACUUAAUUAAUCAAUGUUAAAUAACAUGAGCUUAAAAUAAAUGCAAACUAUUUCAUUCAAACAACUAAUCAAAGAAAGCAAUGCAUACAUCAAAAAAAUUAGAAAAUCUUGGGUUUUUUUUUAGCAUAAUAUGAAUUUUUUUUUAGAAAAUCUUGGGGUUUUUUUUCGAAAUUUAAAAAAUUAGAAAAAAAAUUCGGAUUUUAAUUUAAAUUAAGAAGAUAUUUAAAAUUUAUGAAAUUUAAUUAUCAAAAUAAAAAAAAGAAAAAAAUCUGAAUGUUUUUAAAUAAUCUGGGGGUUUUAAAACAAUAGAAAAAAUUCGAAAUUAAAAAAAGUUAAGAUAUUUUGGGUUUAUAAAAAAGAUUUUUUGUAUUUUUAUUAUUUCUCUGUUUUUUUUUUAAAUCAUGCUAGGUGGAAAUUUAAAAAAAAAAAAUAUCAUGUCAGCACGCCACGUCAUCUAAUUUAUCUAGUUGGUUGUAGGGUGUAAACCAAAGAAUCUUUAUUUUACAGUAACAAAAAAAAAAAUUCAUAAGGGGUAAACAAAAAGACCCUCAAAUAGCAGGGGCUAAAAGCUUAUUCACCCUUCCAUUUAUUUUCUAAAGUUUUGGCUCUACAUUUUACCAUCAAGUCUGAAACUUCCUUCUCAUCUUCCGUGUUGAUUUGCAAGUCAUUGGGAACCAAAUGGUAACUUCCUCCCCAUUUCUUAUUUCUGUAAAGUAACCAUAACAUCCUUCUUCCAUGUAAUUUCUUUAAAGCAACGUGAAUGUCUUAAACAAGAAAGAAGAAGAAAAAAAAAGGUAAAAAUGUAUGUCUCCUUAAAUUGGGUAGAAUGCUAUAACCUAUAAGUAGCCCAUCUAGUUGAAUGCUAAAACUAAAGCAUCAUUUUUAACACAUUUUUGUAUUAUUUGGAGUUUGACGCACCUCCUGGAGAUUCUUCAUUAAGUUUUAAUGAUAAAUAAUUAGUGUUAUAGAACCCAAUUUUAAAAAAUGGACAAAACUAAACAAUAAAAAAAAGUACAUACUACUGGGUUCAUCCACAAAUCUCUACUUGUGUGAAUUCUCAAGUUGAUAUUGUCAAUUUGUUUAUCUAAAAAUAAAAAAUAAAAAUUAUGGUUGACUAAUAAAUACACAUUUGCUGAGGUCCUGAUUUUGGCACCUCCUGUAGGUUCUUUGCUCCCUAUUUUACCGUGGUCAUUUCAUGGCAGUAGGCAUGUCACAAAUUUUGGCAUCUUUUUCAUAACAAUAAAAAGAAGCUCCAUUACACCAUCAGGAUACAUUUUGGUUACUUCUAACCAAAGAAAAACAAAAUGGAAAAUUUGCAUUUCAAAUAUCAUCAAUAGACAUGUUAAUUGAGUCUCACAUUUGAUUUAACUUGUGCUUCCAACAGUAGUAGUAUCAACGGGACCCGGAUUCCGUGCAUUAAUAAAAGUCCAUAGUUUCAACUUUCAUGCAGUUGUUAAUCUCGGCCCUUUGUUAUCGGAUGGUUCAGAUUACAGAUACACUAAUUCGGUUUUCAACCAUCUCAACCGUAGAUUUAAAUCAGACAGACUAGAUUGGGAAUCCAUUUCCAUAUCAACUCCAUGAAAAACACUAAUAAAUAGACUAAAAGAAUUAUCCCACAUCAUGUACAACCAAAGAUUCCAAGUACUUCCCUUUCCAUCACAAACCAAAACAAAGAAACCAAAAGGCUAACAUUACAUCAUAUAUUGUUGUUCUAAAUUACAUCCUUGACCAUGGUUAACAAUUUGGCGAGGGAAGGGAAAAGACAAGAAUGACCCACAAAAUAAAAACUUCUCAAUUCAUUAUGCAGGAAUGUGAAAGUGCACAACUCUUUCCAUAUCAUCUUUAAAAUUUUGAUAAUGAAAAGCAUCAUGGAUGCAAAGGUAGUGCCUUUCCCUUUCAAUGAUUAACCUAAUCAACUUAGGGUAAUAUUGACAUCAUCACCAAGUGUGAAAAAAUCGAAGAAUACUUCAAGACGAUAUCGGUUCGUAAGGGUAUGAUAACCAGGGGUGCUUUAGAGCUUCAGAUGCAGAAGGUCGCUUCUUCGGGUUAACCUCGAGCAAAUGAUCAACAAAGUCAAUGAAGCCUUGGUCCCCCAUCGGUAAUCUAUGCCUCAGAUGUCUUCUUUGGAAUCAGGUAUUGUAACCUGUUGCUUUCCUGCAUAUCAAUUCACAGUACCUCACUGAAUAAUUUUUCCAUGAUAAUUAAACGUAUGAUAACAUAGGCAUGUUUCGAUUCGGUUAUUUGUGGUUAUCAAUUAUCAUACACACAAUUGUAUCAUAAUAUGGGCCCUUAUGAGACCGUUCAAAAGAGUUUAUGGAAACAACUUAUGCCUUUACUAGAGCUUUGUUAUUUUAUACGAAAAGUAUGGACAAAAAAUUAGAAGAAGUGCUCUAACAAAAAUAAGAAGAAAAAAUGAUAUUCUGUUUUUAUUUGUAAAUAAAUAAUCCACUAUGUUGAUGAGAGUUGGUAGGCAUGGCAAUGGGGCGGGGUGGGGACGGGUUUUACCUUCCCCGUCCCCAUACCCGAUUCUCAUAUACUUAACCGUUACCCUACCCAUACCCAACGGGGAUGAGAAAUUGAAUCACAUCCCCGUCCCCGACGGGUUCGGGUAUCCCCGUCCUCGCAUUGAAUAAUUUUUUUAAUAAAAAAUAUAAGUUUUUUUGCAUCCCCAAGAGCAACGUUGUAAUACAUUAUCCAACAAUAAGUUCACUUUCACAUUUGUUAGACAAAAUUAUUUAGUUGAUUCUUUAAAUAUCAAUGAUAGUUUUUAUUAACAUGACAAUUAUCAAACAAAAUAACAUAACAUAUCAACAUAAAGUAGUUUUUUACAUUUGGGACGGGUUUGGGUAUGGAUUCGGGGUGGGUACCUAUAUACCCGUUACCCGUCCCAUACCCGUGUUUCGAGAUCGGGGAAAACUCAUACCCAUACCCAAACCCAAUCAAAACGGGGAAAACCCGUCAAAUUGAGUUUGGUUCGGACGGUUAACCACGGGUAUGGGUUUUGUUGCCAUGCCUAAGAGUUGGGCAGGUUGGAGGAAGAAGAGAGUAUUGAGGACAUAUGAACCUCAAAUGAAAAGUAUACCCUAUCAAAUUCGUUUGGGAAGGGUUAAAAUUGAUAUCUUUUAAUGAUUUGUAGGGGUAAGGAUAUAAUUGUUAGGGUAUAGAGUAAAAAAUUUCCACCCCAAAUCCAUGGAAAAUUAAGCUGAAAUGAAGAUCCUCUCAUACUAAAAAAAAUAAAAAAAUAAAUUAAAGAAGCCAAAAGGAUAUCUUAGAAGUUGAACCAUUGACCCAUGACAUGCCAAAGCGUGCCUGAACCACACAUUAUCCACAAUAUUUACAUGCAUAUAUAAAAAAUAAAAAUAAAAAUUGCAACUAAUUCCUCCAUCUUAUUUUUUAUUUGUUUUCUGUUAAUUACACGUAUAAAAUGUUAGAAAGUACUCACUUGUGUUAAAAUAUAAACCACUUUUAUUUUUUCACACAACUUAAAUGAUAGCGCAGAAAACCAGAAGCGGAAGCUUGUUCAGAAGCUCUGUUCAGAAGCUAGUUCAUAAGUAGUUUUAGAAGCAGUUUCUAAUUCUAAGGUGUCAUACCCUAAAUUUUGACCAAGGAUCCCACGGACGCGUGUCGUUUGACUCUAGCCGAUCUCAUGAUUCAGUGAAAAUUUCGGCAGGGAGGUAUUUUAAAAUACCUCAUUUUUUGCUCCGAUUGCAGGCACUUUCCUCUCGUUUUAUUUCAUUAUCUAAUUUCCAUCUUUUAUUUUUAAUUUUAAAGUUAGUUACUUUUUUUUUAAUAGUUAAUAAAUGUUUAUUUUCCAGUUUUUGUCCAAUAAAGUUAAUAAGUCCAAAAAUUCCAACAAGGGUCCUUUUUUUUCUUUUUUCAUUUCUCCUCCGUACGCCUCGUGUUCAGCCAAUUUCACAGGGUCAAUUUUUUGUUUCCAAAUCUGGGAAGGCGGUAGUAACUUCUGCAAGUUAUUUCCUUACUCAAUCCAACCCUAAUGCUAUAAAAGCAAACCUGCAAAAUACAGAAAAGACAGAAAACUUUCCACGGCCGCAAACAAAAAACCCUAGCCGCAAGCAGAAAAAGCAGAGACUUUUCAACCGCAGUCACCUUAUGAACAAUUCAUGAAUGUUUAUCCACAAAUUUCCUAUAAGCCACAAAUUCACCAGAAACUCACAAACCACAAAAUCGUAUAACAUCCAAAUAUUACCAGGAACCAUGAAUAAUAGGAAGAGCAUCUAAUUUCAAACUCGAAAAUCGUUCAUCGCUAACAACAACGAAUUCGAAUCUGUCACCAACGUUCGAUUUCGAUUUGUUUUUUGUUUCAGGCUCAUAAACAACACAACAGGUUCGUGGGAUAUUCGGAAGAGAGAAAGAGUCUUCCGACUCUGGCAUAGCAAGCAGCAGAUCAAAGUUUUCUCGUUUAAAUUCGCUCUUUCUCCGAUCCAAUCAGAGGUAAAACUUUCACUAACUUAUAUAGCAUGCAGAUUUGUUUCGAUUCCGGAUGUUUGAUGGCCGUUUUUGUUUGUUCUUUUGGUCGGUUCUAAAAACUGUAGAUCUAGAGGUUUAAGGUUCGAUUUUGUAGGAUUUAAGGCUAGAAACGAGUGUAGGAAUAGGAGUAGAAGAGAAAGAGCUAAAAAAAAAACGAAAAAGGCUAAUUUUAAAGUCCGGUGCGGCGGCGCAGCCACCCUUGGCCGGCGGCCACCGCGCCGGAAAACUCAAAGAAGAACAGAAAAGAAGAAGAAAGAAGAGAGAGACGUAAGAACAGAGAAAGGAAGGAGAGAGAAAUGAAUGGGGAAAGUGAAAGAAAUGGGUCAUACACCCUAUUUAUAUAACUUCGAACCCGGGCGGGUCUAACCGACCCGCCCACGACCCGUUUCUGCUUAAAGCCCUUUUUUUUUUUUAUUCACUACAGUUUUACUAAUUGCACCUCUGUUUUUGCUUUCUGCACCCCUUUGCUAAAAGAAAAUUAUCUAAAAAACUUACAAAAAUAUUGUGUUUGUUUUAAUUUUUUUAUUUACUGUUUUUAUUUUAUAAUUGCCAUUUUUUAUUUAUUUAGAAUCAUCUCAUGCAUAUUUUAAUUUCUUGUCAUUUUAUUGUCAUUAAUUUUUUUUUUUAGUGUGUAUAAUUAGGAAAUUGAUGUAAUUUAUUUUGCGCAUUUUUUUUUUAUUUCUUAUUAUAUUUCUCUUGAGACCAUAGAAUGUAUCUAGGAGGGUAUGUAAUAGUGUAGUAACACACGCACCGACACUAUGCCGCUUUAUUUACCGCUUAUUUUAUUUUUGCUCCGUUACGUUAGUUUUUAAGGUUAGUCUAAAAAAAAAUCAAAUAUGCAAAACUCCCAAAAUAUUUUCUUAAUAAACCUUGGUUUGUAACCCAAGUGUUUUCCUUUUUAUUUUCUUAAUCAAAUGCUUAAUUGAAUUAACAUUCAUAAUAGACUUGACUUCUUUGUAAUUAAAAUUUGACCAACCUCACCUUAUUUUAUCUCAUGCCUUGAGGCCUCUUAUCUCUUCUUAAAACUAUUUUCAAAAAUUAAAAUCAACCUAACCCACCAAAGAAAUUCUUUAGGUGAACUACAUUGGUUUUGAUCCCUUUUCUUUAAGGGUAUGUAGGCAUAGGAUUUUUAUCCUUCCAAAUCAAAUAAAAAUAACCAAAAACAUACUUCUUCUUCCUCCAUUCUUUCACUUAGAUUUUUAGAUAAUAAUUUUCAAAUAAGCAAAUCAAUUUAGCACAAGAUAAAUUAGGUAAGAGGUUCCUACGGAAUACCGUAGAUGCUUAGGGUGCUAGCACCUUCCCUUCGCAUAACCAACCCCCGAAUCCAAAGUCUCGAUAAGGGUUUUUACUCAUUUUUUCCCUUCCCACGAAUAAAAAUCGAGAGUUCAAAGAUUGACGAUUCAAAUCAAUUAAUGGUUUGAUAUCCGAAAAUCACGAGCACAGAAAUGGCGACUUCACUGGGGACUUAAAUUCUACGCGGGUUAAACCCACCUUAUUUUUAUUUUAUUUUGUGUUGUACUAUUUGUUUAUGCUUUGUGCAUAUUUGCUUGCAUACCUUGUUACGUGAGUGGUGAGAUAAGUCCUACACCCGGGCUUGAGUGAAGCAUAAGAUAGGACGGAGUACGAUCAUAGUGCCAUACCAGGAGCGGUCCUGCGAUAUGUGUACACGUGAUGUAACUCCACUCAACAUAGGUCUUUCAAAAGUAAUAAUAUGUCGUCAUGAGCAGUCGUGAUUGGCGUUAUUAUUUUUGAAGUCCGCUAAACGUUGAGGACCUUUAGAUCACCCUUUAACCCAUCUUGGCUUUUUUUUUUUUUAGGACGUAGUGCGGUGGCUAAACCAAGAGCAGUCUUGACUUUGGUCGACACGCGAUACUACACUCAAACUAGACUUACUUAUGGAUGUUAUUGGACUAGGAGCGGUCCUAUACACCGAUAUGUUCAUAAGGGAAGUUGUAAUUUGGGAACUUGGUAGAACCCGUGAUACAGGUACAAUUUGAAACCAUAGUCCUUACCAAAUGGCGUUGUCACCUUUUGACUCCAACAUUGUGGACUUAACCUCAUUAUGUAUUCUAUGUACUUCAGCAUAAGCAUGCAUCCAUGCAUUCAUUCAUAAAUGUAUUUUUUUCAUCCAUUAAAUUGUCGAAGGACUUAGACAAGCAUUUUUUGUAAAUAUUGUAGAUGGAUUCUAAGACGAGGAGUAUUAAGAAGUACACUUUCAAGAAACCGGAUUUGACAAGGCUAAGGGAGUUAGCAUCUCAUGUGACUAAUCCAAGAGAUUUUCGAGAACGUCAUGGGAGAUUACUUGACCUCCUCAAAGUGAAGGUCGAAGAUGGAAUUUUAGAGACUUUGGUGCAGUUUUACGACCCAAUUUGUCACUGCUUCACGUUUCCCGACUACCAGUUGGUCCCCACUCUUGAAGAAUAUUCCUUUUGGGUUGGCUUACCAGUAUCCGAGGGAGAACCUUUCAACGGCCUUGAACCCAGCCCCAAAAAUGCAACUAUUGCAGAAGCCCUUCAUCUCAAACCUUCUGACUUGGUUCAUCCUCACUUCACCAUUAAAAACAACCUCCAAGGCUUAACCGCCAAGUUCCUCUACCAAAAAGCCUCCGACUUUGUGAAAGCCAAAAAGACCAAUGCCUUUGAAUCUAUUUUCACCUUACUCAUAUACGGCCUUUUCUUGUUUCCCAACAUGGACAACUUUGUCGACCUCAACGCAAUUAAGAUUUUUCUAGCCAAGAACCCAGUUCCCACUUUACUUGCAAACACUUACCAUUCUAUUCACCACAGAAAUAUCCGAGAGGGUGGACUGAUUGUUUGUUGUGCACCCCUGCUAUACAGAUGGUAUGCUUCACAUUUAACUAAGUCUGUCUUCUCCAAAGAGAACUCCGGGAAAGCUUCUUGGUCUGAGAGGAUCAUGCCUCUCACUCCAGCUGACAUUGUGUGGGUCCAUGCGGGUACUAACACCGCAGGAAUUAUUGGCAGUUGUGGAGAGUUUGAAAAUGUGCCCCUUAUCGGUACGUGUGGAGGAAUUACUUACAACCCUACUCUUGCUAUGCGUCAGUACGGAUACCCUAUGAAGGGGAGACCUGACAGUCUUUCUCUGUCCAAUGAGUUUUAUCUUAACAAAAAUGAUCAUACAAAUUUGAGGAUGCGGUUUGUGCAAGCUUGGCACUCUAUUCGUAAGUUUGAUGGAAUCCAAUUGGGAAGAAAACAGAGCUUUGCACAUGAAUCGUAUACACAGUGGGUGAUUGAUAGAGCUACAGCUUUUGGUAUGCCUUAUACCUUGCCAAGAUUCUUAUCUUCGACCGUUCCAGAAAUACCUUUACCUCUACUCCCACAAACCAAGGAAGAGUACCAAGAGCGUUUAGCCGAAGCGGAACGUGAGAUACAUAUGUGGAAAAGGGAGUGUCAGAAGAAGGAUAAGGAUUAUGAGACUGUAAUGGGCUUGCUGGAGCAAGAAGCCUAUGAUAGCCGACAGAAAGAUGUGAUAAUCGCCAAGCUGAAUGAAAGAAUCAAGGAGAAGGAUGCCGCCCUUGAUCGAAUUCCCGGGCGAAAGAAGAAGCGUAUGGAUCUCUUUGAUGGUCCACAUUCUGAUUUUGAGGAUUAGUCCGCUUCAGGAGCUUGAGAGUCUCAGUUUGUUUUUCAUGUCUUUUUCUUAGUUUUUCUUUAUGUAUUUUGGAGUCUAUCCCUUGACUCAGUUUGUUAAAAGGGAAUUAUUUGUGUUUUACUUUAAAGUCUAUCUCUUGGCUUUGUUGUUAGAAAGGGAAUUAUCUUGUGAUCAACUUUGUUUUUUAGUGAAUUGUUUAGGUUGAUAUGUUUACAAAAUUGCUUCUAUAGGUCCUUCGAUAAAAAAAUAUAUAUAUAAAAAUUGCAUAUUCUGGCAUAUAGCAUAUCAUGCAUCAUAUUGCAUUCAUAAAAAGUGUCAAAGCCAAGUCUCAUACUUUCCUCAUUUCUGCCUCAGGAAAAAAAGCCAAGGUGGCCCGGCGUAUUCAGUACAAACCUACCCGUGUUCAUCAUACCCGAGCAUACAUCAAGAAGAAAAUGGCAGCUGCUGAACAAACGAACAAUGAUCUUAGGGAGGAGGUUAGUAGCCUCAAAGAAGGUAUGGAAAAGAUAACUGCAAUGAUGAUGGACAUGAUGGCCGCACAGGCACAAGCCUCUCAAGCAAAAAUUGUUCAGACUGUUCAGGCAGAUGUUGAAGUCUCUCAGCCUGCUGGUUCUACUGCAACUAUUAGUGCUCCACAGCCCUUGGUGAAUCAGUUCUCCUCUGGUGAUAUGACAAAUAUGUAUAAUUCAGGGUUUCGUCCUGCUGGCUCUCUCGGUUCUUCUAUUCCUCCUCAGUAUCAUAUGCCGCCAGGCUAUCCGUGGGGCAUGCCACUCGCAAAUAAUGAAGGUGGUCGUCAUAAUGCACCAGAAAUGCAGCUUCCUUUUGGACAUCAACAAACACCGUUUUAUCAGUCCGGCCAGCCUUUUCCUCAGGCUACUAUGACCUAUGCUGGACCCCUUGUUCAUGCUGCUCAUCAAGAAGAAGAACAGGUUUAUCACUCCAAUAGUGUGGCUGGUGAUGAUAGGGUGGGAAACUUGGAAGAAAGGUUUGAGGCGGUGCACAAAGAGUUAAAGACUAUCCGCGGUAAAGAAAUGUUCAGUCAGAAUGUGAAUGACCUCUGCUUGGUUCCAGAUGUGGUGAUACCUCAUAAGUUUAAAAUGCCGAUCUUUGAAAAGUACACAGGGGAUACUUGCCCUGAGAUGCAUUUAGUCACAUAUGUCAGGAAGAUGGUAGCUCACAAGAAUAAUGAGCCUCUGCUUAUUCACUGUUUCCAGGACAGUUUGACUGGUCCCGCACACACAUGGUAUAUGAAUUUGAAGGGCAUCACAACCUUUGAGGAAUUGGCCAAUGCUUUCAUCCAACAGUACAAGUAUAACUCUUAUCUGGCACCUAACCGGAAAGAACUGCAAUCUAUGACUCAGGGUGAUAAGGAAUCUUUCAAGGAAUACGCUCAGCGCUUCAUUCAAAAGUCUGCUCAGAUCCGUCCGCCUCUAGAUGAAAGAGAAGUGUCUGAUCUAUUCUAUGAGACUCUGAGCCCUUUCUACUCAGAGAAGAUGCUUGGUUGUGCUUCACAAAAGUUUACUGAUAUGGUAGAUAUGGGUGUGCGCAUUGAAGAUUGGGUCCGUAGGGGACGUGUGAGUAAAGAUGGUACUUCUUCAGGUGGUUCAUCUAAUGGUAACAGGAAGUUCGGAAAUGGGUACUCAAAGAAGAACGCUCAAGAGGUUGGCAUGGUGGCCCAUGGCGGAUCCCAGCCUAUAUACCCUAGCUACCCCUAUGUUGCUAACAUUCCAUCACCUACCCCAACUCCACAAAAUCCAAACUAUCAACUACAAAGGCCUCAAACACCCCAUCCAUAUUAUCCACCACUAUAUCAACCACAACCUUAUCAACCCCAACCGUUUUAUCAACAACCAUACUAUCCCCCACCACCUCAACAACAACAGCCUCGCCCUCGAGCUCAACAACAACAGCCUCGCCCUCAAAGAAACCAAUUUCCCCCUAUCCCCAUGACAUAUGAAGCCUUGUUACCUUCUUUGCUUGCCAGAGGUCUUGUUCAGACCCGACCACCUCCUCGUGUGCAGAACCCUUUACCCCCAUGGUUCCGUGCUGAUAGAAAUUGUGCCUUCCAUCAAGGGGCACCAGGACACGACAUUGAACACUGUUACCCCCUUAAAGAGGCAGUUCAAAAGUUGAUUCACAGCAAAGAUUUAUCCUUCACUGACCCGAACCCUACUGCUCCAGACCAUCCUCUGCCACCCCAUGGGCCUACUGUUAACAUGGUUGAAGAUUAUCAAGAAGGGGGUCUUGUCACUCGCUCUCAGGAUAUCAAAACUCCGUUGGUUCCAUUACAUGUGAAGAUGUGUGAGGCAGCUAUGUUUAGCCACAAUCAUAAUAUUUGUGAAGUAUGUUCUGUGGAUCCCCGCGGUUGCGCGCAGGUUCAAGAUGAUGUGCAAGGGCUAAUGGAUCGGGGAGAGCUGGUAGUCACGAGGGAGGACAAGAGUGUAUGUGUUGUAAUCCCUGUGUUCAAGGAUAGUGCGAAACCAAUUGAUGGUGUUACUCCAGUGUUCAAGGACAAUUCCAAGCCAGCUGUCACUCCUCUUGUGAUUUGUGUGCCGAGACCCGAGCCGUUUUUCUCUCCAAACGCCAUGCCGUAUAACUAUGAACCUACAAGCAUAGAGAAUGGUAAAGAGAUAUCCUGGAGCCCUUCAACUUCCGUGAGUAACAUUGCGGAGAGUAGUCAAAUUCUGAGAAGUGGACGUAUCCUUCCGGUUGUUGUGCAAGCAAAGAAGAAAGCUCCGGUGAUAGAGUCAGUGCCAAUACAAGAUCCUAGCAAGGGUAAGAGUGUGGUUCAACCUGGUGAAACUGAUAAUGAUGAGAUCUUGAAGCUGAUCAAGAAAAGUGAUUAUAAGAUAGUGGAUCAGUUAUUGCAGACUCCAUCAAAGAUUUCUAUCAUGUCAUUAUUGACAAGCUCUGAUGCUCAUAGGGAUGCGUUGAUGAAAGUGUUGAAUCAAGCUUACGUAGACCACGAUGUGACUUUGGGUCAAUUUGGGAGCAUUGUUGGAAAUGUGACGGCAUGCAACAAUCUGAGUUUCAGUGAUGAAGACCUCCCAGUGGAAGGGAAGAACCAUAAUAUGGCCUUGCAUAUCUCUGUUAUGUGCAAAACAGAUUCUUUGUCCAAUGUCUUGAUAGACACCGGUUCUUCUCUCAAUGUGAUGGCGAAGACGACCUUUGAUAGAUUGACAUAUUCAGAUGGAUUUAUUAGGCCUAGUUGCGUAUCAGUAAGGGCGUUUGAUGGAUCCAGGAAGUCGGUAUGGGGAGAAGUAGAUUUACCUAUCACUGUUGGGCCCCAAGAGUUUAAAGUUACAUUCCAGAUAAUGGAUAUUCAAGCUUCCUAUAGCUGUUUACUUGGUAGACCAUGGAUUCAUGAAGCCGGGGCAGUAACAUCCACCCUUCAUCAAAAGUUAAAGUUUGUGAGUCGUGGAAAACUUGUUACAGUAAGUGGCGAAUCAGCUCUUUUGGUUAGCCAUUUGUCGUCUUUUUCCUUCAUUGGUGGUGAAAGUUCGGAUGGAACGUCAUUCCAAGGACUUUCGGUCGAAAGCGGUACUACAAGAGGUGAAACAUGCAUGGCCUCUCUAAAGGAUGCUCAGAGAGUAAUUCAAGAAGGAAAAGCAGAAGGUUGGGGGAAGUUAGUACAGUUGCCUGAGAACAAGCGCAAAGAAGGUCUGGGUUUCUCCGGCAAUAAGCAAGUGAUGUUCGACCCAACUAGAGGUACUUUUCACAGUGCUGGAUUCAUUAAUGCGCCACCUGAGACUAAUGCAAUCUUGGAAGAUCAAUCAGAAGAGGUGGCCCCUGACUUUGUAACUCCGGGUGGAAACUGCUGCAAUUGGAUUGCUGUUGACAUCCCUUCUGCGAUACCUCUUUCUAAGUAAUGUGUUUGUCUUUUUUGUUGCUUUUUUUAGAAAACUCCUUUCGUCCUACCCAGACGAAAGUGAAAUCUUGUCGGGUUUGUUUUUGCUUUGAGUUUGUUUUCAGUAUUAAUGAAAAUUGUCGUUUCUGUCACGGCCGUUAUUUUAUUUUAGUGCUUUUUCUGGAAAAAUGGUAAUACAAAAAACCAAAAAAAACUUGUUCUCUUUUUCUUUUAAAUAAUAUACAUCAAUUUCAAAGGUCUGCAUUCACUCUUUUACUAAAAAAAUCAAUCAUGAAUCAUAUGCAGACUGAACAUACAUGAGCCCGUUGAACAUGAUGACCCUAUGUUACCUCCCAACUUUGAGUUCCCAGUUUACGAGGCUUGGGUAGAAGAGGAUGAAGAGAUUCCCGAUGAACUCCGAUGGAUGUUAGAGCAAGAAAGAAAAGCUAUUCAGCCUUACAAGGAAGAAAUAGAGUUGAUCAACCUGGGCACUGAGGAUGAUAAAAAAGAAAUUAAGAUUGGAGCGUCGUUGGAGGCGUCUGUCAAGAAAAAGAUAAUUGAGCUUCUCAGAGAGUAUGAUGAUAUAUUUGCAUGGUCCUACAAAGACAUGCCGGGGUUAGACCAUGAUGUUGUGGAACACCGUUUGCCUUUAAAGCCCGAGUGUCCUCCAGUCAAGCAGAAGUUAAGAAGAUCUCAUCCAGAUAUGGCUCUCAAGAUCAAAGAGGAAGUGCGAAAGCAAAUUGAUGCAGGUUUCUUGAUUACCUCUGAAUAUCCUCAAUGGUUGGCCAACAUAGUGCCCGUUCCAAAGAAAGAUGGUAAGGUCAGAAUGUGUGUUGACUAUCGGGAUUUGAACAAAGCUAGUCCGAAGGAUGAUUUCCCUUUACCUCACAUUGAUGUAUUGGUUGAUAGUACUGCUAGAUGCAAGGUAUUCUCCUUCAUGGAUGGAUUCUCCGGGUAUAACCAGAUCAAGAUGGCUCCAGAAGAUAGAGAAAAGACGUCGUUCAUCACGCCUUGGGGCGCGUUCUGCUACUUAGUAAUGCCGUUUGGGUUGAUAAAUGCUGGUGCCACUUACCAGAGAGGCAUGACUAAAAUAUUCCACGAUAUGAUACAUAAAGAGAUUGAAGUGUAUGUGGAUGACAUGAUUGUCAAAUCAGGUACUGAAGAAGAACAUGUUGAGUAUUUGUUGAAGAUGUUCCACCGGUUGAGAAAGUACAAACUCCGUUUGAAUCCUAACAAGUGUACCUUCGGUGUUAGAUCCGGCAAGCUCUUGGGUUUUAUCGUCAGCCAGAAGGGUAUUGAAGUAGAUCCUGACAAAGUCAAAGCUAUCAGGGAAAUGCCUGCUCCAAGGACAGAGAAACAAGUUAGAGGUUUUCUAGGAAGACUGAACUACAUCUCCAGAUUCAUCUCUCAUAUGACUGCCACAUGUGGGCCGAUAUUCAAGUUACUCCGUAAAGAUCAAGGGAUUGUUUGGACGGAAGAUUGCCAGAAAGCUUUUGACAGCAUCAAAGGGUAUUUGUUAGAACCUCCGAUUCUUGUCCCUCCGGUCGAAGGGAGGCCUUUGAUCAUGUAUUUGACUGUGUUAGAAGAUUCUAUGGGCUGUGUGUUGGGUCAACAAGACGAGACUGGAAAGAAAGAGCACGCCAUUUACUACUUGAGUAAGAAGUUUACCGAUUGUGAGUCCCGAUAUUCUAUGCUUGAGAAAACCUGUUGCGCUUUGGCAUGGGCUGCUAAGCGUCUUCGUCACUAUAUGGUUAAUCACACUACUUGGUUGAUAUCCAAAAUGGAUCCGAUCAAGUACAUUUUUGAGAAGCCGGCUUUAACAGGAAGAAUUGCUCGUUGGCAGAUGUUAUUGUCCGAGUAUGAUAUUGUCUACCGCACUCAGAAAGCCAUCAAAGGUAGUAUUCUGGCUGACCAUUUAGCUCAUCAACCAAUUGAAGAUUAUCAGCCUAUCAAGUUUGAUUUUCCAGAUGAAGAGAUCAUGUAUUUAAAGAUGAAAGAUUGUGACGAACCGUUGUUUGGUGAAGGUCCUGAUCCAGACUCCAAGUGGGGUUUGAUAUUUGAUGGGGCGGUUAAUGUCUAUGGUAAUGGAAUAGGGGCAGUUAUCCUUACUCCAAAGGGUACUCACAUUCCUUUCACUGCAAGACUCCGGUUUGAUUGUACGAACAACAUUGCAGAAUAUGAAGCUUGCAUCAUGGGUAUUGAAGAAGCCAUUGACUUGAGGAUUAAAAAUAUUGACAUAUACGGAGAUUCUGCUCUUGUGAUUAACCAGAUCAAAGGAAAAUGGGAGACUCAUCAUGAUGGUUUGGUACCGUACAGAGACUAUGCAAGACGUCUUUUGACUUUCUUCAACAAGGUGGAACUGUACCACAUUCCUCGGGAUGAGAAUCAAAUGGCGGAUGCCCUAGCUACUUUAUCUUCAAUGAUCAAAGUGAAUCAUGGCAAUGACGUGCCGCUGAUCAGUGUCAAAUUCCUUGAUAGGCCUGCUUAUGUGUUUGCAGCCGAAGCAGUUUUCGAUGAUAAGCCGUGGUUUCAUGAUAUUAAGGUGUUUCUUCAAACUCAAGAGUACCCUCCUGGGGCAUCCCGUAAAGAUAAGAGAACUUUAAGAAGAUUGUCUGGUAACUUCUUUCUAAGUGGAGAUGUUUUGUACAAAAGGAACUUUGAUUCAGUUUUGCUCCGAUGUGUGGACCGACGAGAAGCAGAUUUGUUAAUGCAUGAGAUACAUGAAGGAUCAUUUGGGACCCAUUCUAGUGGAUAUUCAAUGGCUAAGAAAGCAUUGAGAGCAGGCUACUACUGGAUAACGAUGCAUGCUGACUGCCAUCACUAUGCUAAGAAAUGUCACAAAUGCCAGAUUUAUGCGGACAAGAUUCAUGUGCCGCCGUCUAUGCUCAAUGUUAUCUCAUCUCCGUGGCCGUUCUCUAUGUGGGGCAUUGAUAUGAUUGGUCGGAUCGAACCAAAAGCUUCCAAUGGACAUCGAUUCAUACUAGUGGCCAUUGACUACUUCACCAAGUGGGUUGAAGCGGCUUCUUAUGCCAAUGUGACCAAGCAAGUGGUGGUCCGGUUUAUCAAGAACAAUAUCAUAUGUCGCUAUGGCGUCCCUAACAAGAUUAUCACGGAUAAUGGUACGAAUCUGAACAAUAAAAUGAUGAAGGAAUUGUGUGAUGAUUUCAAGAUUGAGCAUCAUAACUCUUCUCCUUAUAGACCCCAGAUGAAUGGUGCAGUCGAAGCUGCAAACAAGAAUAUCAAGAAAAUUGUGCAGAAGAUGGUGGUCACCUAUAAGGACUGGCAUGAGAUGUUACCCUAUGCUUUGUAUGGUUACCGUACUUCAGUGCGUACUUCAACAGGGGCAACCCCUUUCUCCUUGGUGUAUGGUACGGAAGCGAUACUUCCUGUAGAAGUUGAAAUCCCGUCUUUGAGAGUCUUGAUGGAAGCUGAGUUGUCAGAGGCUGAAUGGUGUCAGAAUAGGUACGAUCAGUUGAAUUUGAUUGAGGAGAAGCGCAUGGCUGCUUUGUGUCACGGACAACUAUAUCAGACAAGGAUGAAACAAGCAUUUGAUAAGAAGGUUCGUCCCCGUGAAUUUAAAGAAGGAGACCUAGUAGUCAAGAGUAUCAAGUCUUUUCAACCAGACCCUAGGGGCAAGUGGACACCUAAUUAUGAAGGUCCCUAUGUAGUGAAGAGAGCUUUCUCUGGUGGUGCUUUAAUUCUUACAACCAUGGAUGGAGAGGAUUUACCUCGUCCUGUGAAUUCUGAUGCAGUCAAGAAAUACUUUGUCUAAAUGUUUAUAAAAGAACAGCUCGGUAGGUUGAAAACCCGAAAGGGCGGCCUAAACCAAAAAUGAGCGUCUCGGUGGACUGAAAACCCGAAAGGGCGGUCCAGGCAAAAAUUAGAGACAAAAAAAAAAAAAAAAAAAAAAUAUAUAUCCUGAUAGAUUGAAAACCCGCAAGGGCGAUCUAUGCAAAAUUUAAGGAUUAUGACAAGUAACUGCAUCAGAUGAAGCAUCAUUCACUUGGGGCACCUAAGCCGUCAAAAGAUCUUCGAUAUUGAAGCAAUCGAAAUAGUGGAAUCCAAAGUUGGUAGGAAGUAUGAUGGUUAUUGUGUUCAAUGUACCUUCCCCAUAUUAAUUACCAUGUUCCAAACUUUGUGAUCUGUGGUGCCAUACCUUUGGUUGGUUACCAUUUAUUUUAAAUCAAUUUGAGCCCGUGCCUUUUAUUUGAAGUUCCUAUUUAUUCUAUGUGCAAGUUCUCUUCCAUUUUUACUGUUAAUACUUGAGGUAAAAACUUUGAAAAUUCCUUUUAAAAAAAAAAAAAAAAAAAAAAAUCUUUAUGUUUUCUUUUGGAAAAAGCAAAAUUGACAAACAUUUUAUCUUUAAUUCACGUAUCGUAGAAACAUGUGUCAAUGUUCGAUCAAAAGCACGGGUAUGGUCAUUGCUAAAAAAAUAUAAAAGAAAAAAAAGAAAAAAUGAACUCGCUAAGUUGAAAACCCGAAAGGGCGGCUUAGGCAAAAAAGAGCAUCCCGGUGGAUUGAAAACCCGAAAGGGCAGUCCAGGCAAAAGUUAGGGAUUUCAAAGUAUACCAAAGGAAAAGCAAUGACUAUUUGAAGCAUGAGCUUGUGAAAGUACUCCAGUUCAAUCCAGAAAUGGCGACUUCGGCUAGUGGUCUGACUAUUGGUUCAUUGCCCCAUCAGUGUUUUGCUUAAAGGGUUGUGCCCUGAUGAAGAUUACCGGGUUGUUUGUACUAUGGUACCGGGCCAUUUCCGUUCUGGACCUGCCCAAUCACCCCUCAAAAAUCUUGCCAUUGUAUUGUCAUAUGUGUCUCAUACAUAUUCAUUCAUUCAUGCAUAGAUAGCACGCAUACAAAUAUCAUUCAUGUAUGGUUGCAUUAUUACCAGGUGUCUUAUUUCAGUGUGUCCCGUAAAAAGUAUCUUCCCCAAUGUGUUUAAUUCAAGGUUGUCACCAGUUAAAGCUUAUUUCAAGUGGCAGGUCCCUCCGAGCAAUCUUUGUGUCAAUUCAGUUUAGCUCCCCAGUAACUUUUGUAAGCUAUCCUCGUACUGGUAGCAGUUGACUUUUAUUAUGUUGGUCGUUACCCGAGUUGAGGUAACUGACGGUAUUUCCUUUUCAUAAGUUGGUCGUUAUCCGAAUUGAGGUAACUGACGGUAUUUCCUUUUCUUAUCGUAUGUUGGUCGUUACCCGAGUUGGGGUAACUGACGGUAUUCAUUUUUCGUAUUUCGGUCGUUACCCGUGUUGAGGUAACUGACGGUAUUUCCUUUUCAUAAGUUGGUCGUUAUCUGAGUUGAGGUAACUGACGGUAUUUAUUUUUCGUAUUUCGGUCGUUACCCGUGUUGAGGUAACCGACGGUAUUUCCUUUUUGUAAGUUGGUCGUUACCCGUGUUGAGGUAACUGACGGUAUUUCCUUUUCAUAAGUUGGUCGUUAUCUGAGUUGAGGUAACUGACGGUAUUUAUUUUUCGUAUUUCGGUCGUUACCCGUGUUGAGGUAACCGACGGUAUUUCCUUUUUGUAAGUUGGUCGUUACCCGUGUUGAGGUAAUCGACAGUAUUUUCUUCCGUAUGUCGGUCUUUACCUUAGUAAGGGUAAUAGACAAUUUUUCUCUCCGCAUAAUGGUAAAUGGUUUUCCUCCCCAAUAAUAUUUAUCUGUAUGUCCCCCAGUCAGUAGGUGUUCACUAUCCUUGCAUUCGUAAGUGCAUCGUAAGUAUUCAUAUUAUUACAGUCAUGAGCAUGGCAUUCUUAGCAUUUCAAUUGGUCAAAAUUAGCGUACUUAAUAUUUAAGUCUCUCCCACCCAUGGAUUCUAAAGUUGAUAUUUGUAAAUCCCUGUGACGGAGAAACUUAAAUAGGGGCAUCUGUCAUACCCUAAAUUUUGACCAAGGAUCCCACGGACGCGUGUCGUUUGACUCUAGCCGAUCUCAUGAUUCAGUGAAAAUUUCGGCAGGGAGGUAUUUUAAAAUACCUCAUUUUUUGCUCCGAUUGCAGGCACUUUCCUCUCGUUUUAUUUCAUUAUCUAAUUUCCAUCUUUUAUUUUUAAUUUUAAAGUUAGUUACUUUUUUUUUAAUAGUUAAUAAAUGUUUAUUUUCCAGUUUUUGUCCAAUAAAGUUAAUAAGUCCAAAAAUUCCAACAAGGGUCCUUUUUUUCUUUUUUCAUUUCUCCUCCGUACGCCUCGUGUUCAGCCAAUUUCACAGGGUCAAUUUUUUGUUUCCAAAUCUGGGAAGGCGGUAGUAACUUCUGCAAGUUAUUUCCUUACUCAAUCCAACCCUAAUGCUAUAAAAGCAAACCUGCAAAAUACAGAAAAGACAGAAAACUUUCCACGGCCGCAAACAAAAAACCCUAGCCGCAAGCAGAAAAAGCAGAGACUUUUCAACCGCAGUCACCUUAUGAACAAUUCAUGAAUGUUUAUCCACAAAUUUCCUAUAAGCCACAAAUUCACCAGAAACUCACAAACCACAAAAUCGUAUAACAUCCAAAUAUUACCAGGAACCAUGAAUAAUAGGAAGAGCAUCUAAUUUCAAACUCGAAAAUCGUUCAUCGCUAACAACAACGAAUUCGAAUCUGUCACCAACGUUCGAUUUCGAUUUGUUUUUUGUUUCAGGCUCAUAAACAACACAACAGGUUCGUGGGAUAUUCGGAAGAGAGAAAGAGUCUUCCGACUCUGGCAUAGCAAGCAGCAGAUCAAAGUUUUCUCGUUUAAAUUCGCUCUUUCUCCGAUCCAAUCAGAGGUAAAACUUUCACUAACUUAUAUAGCAUGCAGAUUUGUUUCGAUUCCGGAUGUUUGAUGGCCGUUUUUGUUUGUUCUUUUGGUCGGUUCUAAAAACUGUAGAUCUAGAGGUUUAAGGUUCGAUUUUGUAGGAUUUAAGGCUAGAAACGAGUGUAGGAAUAGGAGUAGAAGAGAAAGAGCUAAAAAAAAAACGAAAAAGGCUAAUUUUAAAGUCCGGUGCGGCGGCGCAGCCACCCUUGGCCGGCGGCCACCGCGCCGGAAAACUCAAAGAAGAACAGAAAAGAAGAAGAAAGAAGAGAGAGACGUAAGAACAGAGAAAGGAAGGAGAGAGAAAUGAAUGGGGAAAGUGAAAGAAAUGGGUCAUACACCCUAUUUAUAUAACUUCGAACCGGGCGGGUCUAACCGACCCGCCCACGACCCGUUUCUGCUUAAAGCCCUUUUUUUUUUUUAUUCACUACAGUUUUACUAAUUGCACCUCUGUUUUUGCUUUCUGCACCCCUUUGCUAAAAGAAAAUUAUCUAAAAAACUUACAAAAAUAUUGUGUUUGUUUUAAUUUUUUUAUUUACUGUUUUUAUUUUAUAAUUGCCAUUUUUUAUUUAUUUAGAAUCAUCUCAUGCAUAUUUUAAUUUCUUGUCAUUUUAUUGUCAUUAAUUUUUUUUUUUAGUGUGUAUAAUUAGGAAAUUGAUGUAAUUUAUUUUGCGCAUUUUUUUUUUAUUUCUUAUUAUAUUUCUCUUGAGACCAUAGAAUGUAUCUAGGAGGGUAUGUAAUAGUGUAGUAACACACGCACCGACACUAUGCCGCUUUAUUUACCGCUUAUUUUAUUUUUGCUCCGUUACGUUAGUUUUUAAGGUUAGUCUAAAAAAAAAUCAAAUAUGCAAAACUCCCAAAAUAUUUUCUUAAUAAACCUUGGUUUGUAACCCAAGUGUUUUCCUUUUUAUUUUCUUAAUCAAAUGCUUAAUUGAAUUAACAUUCAUAAUAGACUUGACUUCUUUGUAAUUAAAAUUUGACCAACCUCACCUUAUUUUAUCUCAUGCCUUGAGGCCUCUUAUCUCUUCUUAAAACUAUUUUCAAAAAUUAAAAUCAACCUAACCCACCAAAGAAAUUCUUUAGGUGAACUACAUUGGUUUUGAUCCCUUUUCUUUAAGGGUAUGUAGGCAUAGGAUUUUUAUCCUUCCAAAUCAAAUAAAAAUAACCAAAAACAUACUUCUUCUUCCUCCAUUCUUUCACUUAGAUUUUUAGAUAAUAAUUUUCAAAUAAGCAAAUCAAUUUAGCACAAGAUAAAUUAGGUAAGAGGUUCCUACGGAAUACCGUAGAUGCUUAGGGUGCUAGCACCUUCCCUUCGCAUAACCAACCCCCGAAUCCAAAGUCUCGAUAAGGGUUUUUACUCAUUUUUUCCCUUCCCACGAAUAAAAAUCGAGAGUUCAAAGAUUGACGAUUCAAAUCAAUUAAUGGUUUGAUAUCCGAAAAUCACGAGCACAUAAGGUUUUGUGAAUUAUAGAGAGAAUUGAGAGAGAAGAAAAGUUAUGAUGAAAUUGUAAUUGAUUCUUAUUGAUUCUCCAUACGAAAAAUGUACAAAGGAGGUAGCUUAUAUACAAUAUCUAGCUAAGUUGCUUGAAGCACAAGCAAUGUAACAAACUCUAGAUCUUAUCUGCUAACGUUUAACAAACCUGUAACAAACUUCAUAACAAACUAAAACAAAAUGUGAUUAACCACUGAUUGUGAUUAUCACUAAACUAAACUUGAAUUAAAACAAACUAACAUCCUCCCUUAAUUCAAGUUUCCACUUCCUUCAUUCCAAUCAAGCUUCUGAGCUUGAUGAAUAUGUCAACCUUCAAUGCCUUAGUGAAUAUGUCUGCAAGCUGCAGCUCAGUAGAGCAAUGAACAAUCUGCAGUGCUCCCUUGUUUACUUGCUCCCUUAGAAAAUGAAACUUGGCUUCUAUAUGCUUUCUGUAACGCCCACUUUCGUUUAAUUAAUUAUUUAAUCGAGUUUAGACGAAUUAUAUUAUAUUUAUAUAAUAUAUGUGUGAACUUUGUUGAUUUAUGACGAUUUAGAUGAUUUUGAGAUGAGUUAUGAGAUUUGAUGAUUUUUGUUGAGAUAUGAGACUUAUUUUAUUGUUAAAUAAAAUAAGAUUUGAAAAUAAAAUAAAAUAUUUAGUUGAGGGUUGUUUUGAGAUUUUAGAGAGUUUUGGGGGAGAAAGUGAGAUAAGAUAAGAAAUUGGGAAGAGAUAUAAAAAGGAAAGACCUAGGUUUAGAAUACGUUUUGUACGUACGACUGUUUUGGAGAAAAAGCCAUAUAAGGGAGUAGACCAAGAGGGAGAGCUGCGAUUCUGCAAAAUAAGGUAAGGGUGAGACUAAUGAUUCAGUAAUGUUAAUUCGUAUAAUUCUGAUGAUUAAUUAGCAAGAAUUAGGAUUGAAUUGGAGAAACCGAAAACUAGGUCAACUCCCUAAAAUUGAUGAUCAAACAGUAAAAAUUGAUGAGAUGGAUGUAGAAACUGUCCCUUGACCUUAGAAUAUGUUUAGGAAGAAUUAUGGAAUCGAAAUUAGGCUUUAAACCAUGAGUUUAGAUGAAUUUUUGAAGAAAACUACAUUCUGCCCGAGCCAACAUUCAUCGCUCGCCCUGGCGAACGAUGGUCCUCGCCUUGGGAGAGAUGAAGUUCAUCGCUCGCCACGCGAGUUACAAGUCGUCGCUCGCCACAACGAGCAACCCUACUCGCCAUAGCGAGAAUGACCAGAGAGCAUGUUGAUUUUCGUAUUUCGGACUUUUGAGUUGAACCUUGGAUGUUUUUGAGUACCUUUAGAUGUUUACUAAAGAUUAGAGGAUGAUUUAGAACAAGAUUGAACCUGGAACAACCUUAGUUGGAAAUCUGGCAAGUACACACCAUGGCGAGCAGAUGCUCUCGCCUCGCGAGCACUUCCAGAACUGAGUGCUUUUGAUAAUGUCGUGACCUGAGUUGAAUGAAUUGAUUAGGAAUGGAACAUUAGGUAGUAAUGAAACCUAUUUAAGAUGUCAGCCAGAAUCUGUGAAGUUGUUUGUAAUGUGAUUUAACGAUUAAAUGCAUUACUUGAUUUAUUCUUGAAUAAACUAGAUGUUGUUGAAAUUACAAUGUUGUUGUGAUCUGAUUAUGCUGCUGUUGUUCUUUAACUAAGUUGCAUGAGUCUAUACAUGAUGAAUAAGAUGUUGUUGAGCUCCAAAUUAUUGGAUGCAUAUUGAGAUGUUGAUUAAGAUUGUUUUAGAUUGAUUGAGUCCAUGCAUUAGCAUACUUUUGUUGGGGGCUCAUGCCCUGGAGCUUUGUCCUCACCACGAAUUGAGCUUUGUUCUCACCACGAUGCCUUAAUAGUAUAUUAAUACUAUGAUGUUGGGGGCUCAUGCCUUGAUUGGUACCACAUGCAUAAAGAGGUUUAGAUUUGCAUUGUCGCAUUUGUCGAGUCAAAAGAUGUUAUGUUAUUGAUGAUGAUUGAAUGAUGUGGAUACUUAUUAAUUGUUUAUCAAAGAUGCAAUGAUAUUUAAGAUUGUUUAUGUUGUUAAUUAUGAUUUUGAAUUAUAUUGAUUAAUAUUAUUGUUUUGUGAAAUCUCACCCCUUCUGCUUGGAAAUAUUGCUCUUUGUAUGAGUAACUUGCAGGUGAUCGAGCUUAGUUGUUGUUGUGCUGUCGUGAGCGGCCUUUCCUCACUGAGUCGUCUAGGUCGCUCUGAUACGUAACCGGAUGUGGUUUUAUGAUAUGCAUGCUUCAUUCUCUUACGUGAAGAAUUAUGAUAUUUAAUGAAGUUGAUUAAUUGUUGAGAUAUUUUGAUGGGGCCUACGUGCCAAAACGAUUUAUGGAUUUUUGAAUUAACUCCGCUGCAAUGUUUAAGAUAUUUUCUUGAAAGUUAAAUUGUUAUUUAACUGUUUUGCGAUUAUGUUUGAAGGUGAUAUCCCGUUUGUGAUGUUCACUCUGAUAAUUGUUUAGAAAAUUUUAUAUUGGAAAAACGGGGUGUUACAAUUGGUAUCAGAGCAAGUCGGUCCGUCCGGCCAAUUAGAAGAGUCUUGUCGAGUCUUAGUAAUAUUUGUAUUACUAUCUUAUGUUGUUGUUGCUACUUGUUGUAGAAUAUCAGAAAUGGCUGGAGGAAACGAUGUUGCGUUAGCUGCUGCUCUACAAGUUGUUGCCCAAGCUGUGGGACAACAACCUAACGCGAACGCUGGUGUGAAUGCUGAGACUAAGAUGUUGGAGACUUUCAUGAGGAAUCAUGUAACACCCCGUUUUCCCAACGUAAAAAUUUCAUAAAAAUAAUCAGAGUUUUCCAUGUAAACGAAAUGUCACAUUCUUUUCAUAAAAUCAUAAACUGAAUAAAUAACUAUUUAUCUUUAAAAUUCAAAAAAAUCUUUAAUACUUCGCAGCGGAAUUUAUUCAAUAACUAAAACAGUAUUUGGCACAAAGGCUUCUUCAUAGAUGUCUCAUAAAAAUCCAAUCUAAAAACAUAGUCAUAAAUCUUCAAAAACAAUACAUAAGGAAUAGAAAAGCAAUAACAAGUUCUCAUCUCGUUACGUAUCAGAGCACAUAAGACACACGAGAGAGAAACUUCACACGACAUCAACUAUUCUUGGUUACCUGCAAGUUACUCAUACGAAUAGCAACAUUUUCAAGCAGAAGGGGUGAGAUUUCACAAAACAAUAAUAUCAAGCAUAUAAUUCAUUAAUUAUAUUUAACAACAUAAAUAACUUCCUCUAUUAGUAAUAAUAAUCCUUCAUGUAAUAAUUCUUAAUAACUCAACUAAUUUCUAAUUAUCAUUUACUUCAUAUUCAUUACAUUAUAAACAUCAUCAUAUAACACAUAAUAACCAAAUCAUAAUCAACAUAGAUCAUCACAUCAUAGUUCAUAUACAACAUAACAACAUCUUAAUUCUAAUUCAUAUACAACAUAACAACAUCAUUAAUUCGUAAUAACAUUUCUCCACCAAGUAUCACAUUAGCAACUCAUAAUAGAAGACAACUUAACAACUAUACGUAACAUCAUCAAUUCAUAAUAAUACUUAUUCAUCAAACAUCUCAUUAUCAAUUCAUGAAUAAAAGACAACUAUCAACUUAACAUAAACAUCAUCAAGUACACUUAACAACUCAUAGAUAUCAUCAUGUAAUCAUCAUCACUAAUAACUUUAAAACAACUCAAUGUAAUCAACAUCUCACUAUAAUAAUAAUCAUAUACGACACAACAUAAUCAUCGCUUAAUAAUAAUAAUCAUAUACAAUACAACAUAAAUCAUCAUCUUAUAAUGAUAUGAACAACACAUAUUAAUCAUCUUAUAAUAAUAUAAUAACAACAUAUACAUCAUCUUGUCAUAAUAUAAUAAUAUAACAACAACAUAUUCAUCACUUAAUGAUAACAAUUAUAUACAUCACAACAUAUAGCAUCAUAAUAACAUCGUAUAAUCAACAUCGUAAACAACAUCAUAACAUUAUAAUCAGUAUCAUAUACAACAUCAUAACAACAUAACAAUAUCAUAAUCAAUAUCUUAAACAACAUAGCAACAUAACAAUAUCAUAAUCAAUAUCUUAAACAACAUAGCAACAUCUUAGUCAACAUCAAACAUCGUAUAAUCUUCAUAGGUACUUCUUUAACAACACAUGGGUAGAAAACAACUCGACAACUCAUAGAUGAUAAUUCAUCAUCAACUUAACAAAUUCAUCAACAACGACUUUGACUCGACAAAUGCGACAAUGCAACUUAGACACUUAUAUGCAUGUGGUACCAAUCGUCAUCAUAAGUAUUAAUAUACUUUAAUCGUGCGGAGGACAAAGCUCCUAAUCAUGUGGAGGACAAAGCUCCUAAUCAUGGUGAGGACAAAGCUCAAUGAAUGCUAAUGCAUGAACUCUAUCAACAAGACACCUUAAUCAAUUUAUCACUUAUACAUCCAAUAAUUUGGAGUUCAUCAUCAACUUAUUCAUACUCAUGCAACUUAGUUAAAUAACAAUUGCAGCAUAAUCAAAUCACAUCAAGCUUAAUAACAAUUCAUUUCAACAACAUCUUGAUCAUUCAAUAAUAUUUCGAGUAAUGCAUUUAAUCAUUAAAUCACAUUACAAACAACUUAGCAGUUCAUAACAGCAACAGAAACAGCACAAGCAAUUCACAACAUAACAAUAUUAAUGUGAAGCAUCAACAACUUAAACAUCAUACAUCUUCCACAUAAGGCAUAUAAAUAUUUCACAUAACCAACAACAGCAACAUAGGCGACACGUAAACAUCUCAAUAUAUAACAACAUCAAAUGAUGAUCAACAACAACUUAAACAUCAUAUAUAAUUCACAUAAUGCAUAUACAAAUAUAUUACAUUACUAUCAACACUAAAUCAUAUUAUAAUAGCUUCACAGAUCAUCAGUAAUAUUAUAUUCAACCCACAUUCCUACCCCAACACUAAAUCAUAUUAUUAUACUCUUAAACACCUUAAUUGAACUCAUAGAACUUCUAAUUUUGAGGGUUGGUAUUAUCCCAUAAGUUUUGGAUUAACUUAGAAAUGGUUAUGCUGAAUUUUCAUAAGAUUUCACUAUGACCUACGUGCAGUAAUUUGACCAUAACUCAAGUUCUAUAAAUUGUUUUAACGUCAGACCAAUGGCAUUAGAAAGCUAACAUCCAUACCUACAACUUUCAUGUUUACACCUAAGACCAAUUAUGUACCAAUCAAUAGCAGUUUUCAUUUCAAAUUCGGACAAAGUUGUGCUGAAAUUCAUAAAAAUUCACUAAGACAUCCUUGGAGUAUUUUCAUCAUAUCUCAAACACCAAAAAUCAUUUUCAUGUCAAACUAAAUCCACCGGAAAGCUAACACAAUUAUCUACAACUUUCAUGUUUACACCAAAGGCCAAUUCAAAACAGAAACGUGUGAAAAAGACGCAAGAACGCGAAACAGGGAAUGCUGUCAAAGUGCAGCUCGCGAGGCGAUUAAGUGUACUCGCUGUGGCGAGUUGCGACGGACAAAUCUACGGGAACAGACCAAUUUUCACUCCAAAAGCCCCAAUUUCAUCGACUCAAAUCCCAAAUUUGAUAGAAAACUCAACCUAUGUUUAUUCUACAACCUGAACUUCAAUUAUUAACACAAUUUCGUUGGUUUCUACACUUUUCAAUUCAAAAAUCAAUAAUCAAAACAUAAUCCCAAUUAUCCAACCUAAGAACAACAACAUGUUAAAUCACAAAUUCAGAAUCAUAGGCUUAAGAAGAUUGAAUGUUAGUCUCACCCUUAGCUUAAAGAAUGAAAAUCGCAGCCUCUAGGUCUUCUCCCUCUUCUCUUGGCUUUUUCCUCCUUUUUCCAAAAACAAUGUACUAGCAAUUGUUUUUCUAAAACUAGGUUUUCUCUCCUUUUUAUAAAAAUCUUAACGUACUUAUUUUUCUCUUAAAUCCCAAUCUUAAUAUUCUAUCCCAAUAUAUAUAUAUAUAUAUAUAUAUUUCCAUAACAAAUCAUUUAUACUUCUACAACAAAUCAUAUAUAUUUCUAUAACAAAUGACAUAUAUUUCUAUAACAAAUCAUAUAUAUUUCUAUUACAAAUCAUAUAUAUUUCUACAACAAAUAACAUUUAUAUUUCUAAAUCAAAUAACAUAUAUAUAUAUAUAUAUAUAUAUAUAUAUAUCUAAAUCAAAUAGUAUAUAUAUUAUACUAAUAAAUACCAACAUAUAACAUAUCAAAAUAUCACUCAUCAAAAUAAAUCAUAUAAAUCACACAAAUCAUAUAAGUAUAUUCUAAACUCAUUAAAAUAAUCAAAUAAUUAGAGAGGGCGUUACAAAUCAUCCUCCAACCUUCAAAGGAAGAUAUGACCUUGAUGGAGCCCAGACGUGGCUUAAGGAGAUUGAGAGGAUUUUCCGUGUGAUGUAGUGCACUGAGGUUCAGAAAGUGCGAUUCGGUACGCAUCAGCUAGCUGAGGAAGCUGAUGAUUGGUGGGUUAGCCUUCAACCUAACCUAGAGCAAGACGGUGCUACUGUGACUUGGGCUGUGUUUAGGAGAGAGUUCCUGAGAAGAACCUUUCCGGAAGAUGUUCGCGGGAAGAAAGAGAUCGAGUUCCUUGAGCUAAAGCAAGGAAACAUGUAUGUGACCGAGUAUGCUGCCAGGUUCGUGGAGUUGGCAAAGUUCUAUCCACAUUAUACUGUGUUCAGGAGAGAGUUCCUGAGAAGAUACUUUCCGGAAGAUGUUCGCGGGAAGAAAGAGAUCGAGUUCCUUGAGCUAAAGCAAGGAAACAUGUCUGUGACCGAGUAUGCUGCCAAGUUCGUGGAGUUGGCAAAGUUCUACCCACAUUAUACUGCUGAGACUGCUGAGUUCUCGAAAUGCAUCAAGUUUGAGAAUGGUUUGAGGCCUGACAUUAAGAGGGCGAUCGGAUACCAACAAAUCCGAGUUUUUCCAGAUUUGGAGAAUAGCUGCAGAAUUUAUGAGGAGGACACCAGAGCUCAUUACAAGGUUGUUAAUGAGCGGAAGACUAAGGGCCAGCAGAGUCGCCCUAAGCCCUAUAGUGCCCCUGCUGAUAAGGGCAAACAGAGGAUGGUCGAGGAAAGACGGCCUAAGAAAAAGCAUGUUCCUGCUGAGAUUACUUGUUUCAAUUGUGGUGAGAAAGGCCACAAGAGUACUGUUUGUCCUGAGGAGGUGAAGAAGUGUUUCCGGUGUGGCAAGAAGGGUCACACAUUAGCUGACUGCAAGCAUGCUGACAUCGUGUGCUUUAAUUGCAAAGAGGAGGGUCAUAUUGGUUCCCAAUGCAAGCAGCCUAAGAGGGCGCCUACUACGGGUUGAGUUUUUGCUCUAGCUGGUACUCAGACAGAGAAUGAGGAUGGUUUGAUCAGAGGUACUUGUUAUAUUAAUAAUACUCCAUUUGUUGCUAUUAUUGAUAAUGGUGCUACGCAUUGUUUUAUUGCUUUCGAUUGUGUUUCUGCUUUGGGUCUUGAUUUGUCUGAUAUGAAUGGAGAGAUGGUUGUCGAAACUCCAGCUAAGGGUUCGGUGACUACUUCUCUCGUAUGUUUGAGAUGUCCUUUGUCUAUGUUUGGUCGUGAUUUUGAAAUGGAUUUAGUUUGUCUACUUUUGAGCGGUAUGGAUGUGAUUCUGGGUAUGAAUUGGUUAGAGUACAACCAUGUUCAUAUCAAUUGUUUUAGCAAGUCAGUGUAUUUCUCUUCCGUCGAAGAGGAAAGUGGUGCAAAGUUCUUAUCUACUAAGCAGGUGAAGCAACUGGAACGCGAUGGUAUUUUGAUGUUUUCGUUGAUGACCUCUUUGUCUAUUGUGAAGCAACUGGAACGCAACUGGAACGCGAUGGUAUACAUAGUGUUGUGAAGCUACAUGGAGUUCCUUCGAGUAUUGUGUCGGAUAGGGAUCCGAGGUUCACUUCUAGGUUCUGGAAGAGUUUACAGGACGCUUUGGGUUCGAAGUUGAGGCUGAGUUCGGCUUAUCAUCCUCAGACAGAUGGUCAGUCGGAGAGAACGAUCCAAUCAUUGGAAGACUUGUUGAGAGUGUGUGUGCUUGAACAGGGUGGAGCUUGGGAUAGUCACCUACCGUUGAUAGAGUUCACCUACAACAACAGUUAUCAUUCGAGUAUAGGAAUGGCACCAUUCGAAGCUUUGUAUGGUCGAAGGUGCAGGACUCCAUUGUGUCGGAUAGGGAUCCAUNNNGGUGGUCUGGGUUGAAGAGAGAUGUUGCUCAUUUUGUGUAUGCAUGUUUAACUUGUCAGAAGUCUAAGGUUGAACAUCAGAAGCCUGCAGGAUUGUUGACGCCAUUGGAUGUACCGGAGUGGAAAUGGGAUAGCAUUUCUAUGGAUUUUGUGACAAGUUUACCAAACACUCCGAGGGGACAUGAUUCGAUUUGGGUGGUGGUUGAUAGGUUGACGAAGUCGGCACAUUUUAUUCCUAUCAACAUCAGUUAUCCGGUAGCUCAGUUGGCUGAGAUUUAUAUACAUAGUGUUGUGAAGCUACAUGGAGUUCCUUCGAGUAUUGUGUCGGAUAGGGAUCCGAGGUUCACUUCUAGGUUCUGGAAGAGUUUACAGGACGCUUUGGGUUCGAAGUUGAGGCUGAGUUCGGCUUAUCAUCCUCAGACAGAUGGUCAGUCGGAGAGAACGAUCCAAUCAUUGGAAGACUUGUUGAGAGUGUGUGUGCUUGAACAGGGUGGAGCUUGGGAUAGUCACCUACCGUUGAUAGAGUUCACCUACAACAACAGUUAUCAUUCGAGUAUAGGAAUGGCACCAUUCGAAGCUUUGUAUGGUCGAAGGUGCAGGACUCCAUUGUGUUGGUUUGAAUCAGGAGAAAGUGUUGUGUUGGGACCGGAUUUAGUUCAGGAGACUACAGAAAAAGUCAAGAUGAUCAGGGAGAAGAUGAAAGCGUCGCAGAGUCGACAGAAGAGUUACCAUGACAAGCGGAGAAAGGCCCUUGAGUUUCAAGAGGGUGAUCAUGUAUUUCUAAGAGUUACUCCGAUGACGGGUGUAGGACGUGCUUUGAAAUCGAGGAAGUUGACUCCGAAGUUCAUUGGUCCGUAUCAGAUUUCAGAGAGGAUUGGAACGGUGGCAUAUAGAGUUGGCUUGCCACCACAUCUAUCGAACUUGCAUGAUGUGUUCCACGUGUCACAGUUGCGGAAGUAUGUAGCAGACCCUUCGCAUGUCAUUCCGAGAGAUGAUGUGCAGGUUAGGGACAAUCUCACAGUUGAGACCUUGCCGUUGAGGAUCGAUGAUCGGAAAGUAAAAGCUUUGAGGGGCAAGGAAAUACCCUUAGUGAGAGUAGUUUGGGGUGGAGCAACUGGUGAAAGUCUGACUUGGGAACUGGAAAGUAAGAUGAGGGACUCUUAUCCUGAGUUGUUUGUUUGAGGUAAGAUUUCGAGGACGAAAUUCUGUAAUUUGGGGAGAGUUGUAACACUCUAAUAUUUAUUUAAUUAUUUUUAAUUGUGUGGUGUCAUUUAUGUGAUUUUUUUUGGUGAUUUAUGUAGUGUGUAUAUAUUUACUAUAUGAUUAUUUUAUUAAAUAAUUAAAAUAGGAGUAAAAUAUGAUUAAUUAGAAUUAUUUAGGAGGAUAAGGAUUAAUUGGAAUUAAUAGUGAUUAGGAGGGGUUUAAUGAAAAAUAGGAGUUACACUUUGAAGGGAUUAAGGAAAGAAAAAGAGAGAAAAACAGUUUAACGUACAAAACAUACAAGUUUGGGAGAAAACCAAGAACAAGGGAGAAGAGCCUAGGAAUCAUUUGCUGCUGCAUUUUUUUCUGCAAAUCUAAGGUAAGGGUGAGGUUUACCGCAAUUCUAUAGAUUCUGAAUGUUGAUUUGUUCUAACAGGUUCAUGUGAGAAAUUGGGGAAAACUAGGUUUGUGGUUGAUUAAGGGGUUUUUAGUGUAGGAAUUGUAGAAUCGAGGUUAGAAAUGGGUUCUGAGUGCAUAAAACCUUUCAUUGCAUAUCUGUAAACUAAUUUGGGGAGUGAAUUGAGGGAAAAUGGGAUUUUUGGGAAAAACCUGCAUUCUGCCCGUACAGAAGUUCAUCGCUCGCCUCGCGAGUAGCCAUUACUCGCCAUAGCGAGUGAACAACUUCAUCGCUCGCCUCGCGAGUGAUACAGCUCGCCAUGGCGAGUAGCCUUGUAAAAAUCUGAAUUUUUGAAAUGUUGUUAUAAGCCGUAUUUUGGGUAGUUUCGUGUACCUAGAUGAUUUUAGUGAUGAAUGGUGGAAGUUUUAGGUUAAAAGGAUGAAUAGAGAACUUAGGAUUGGAGUUUGAGUGAGAAAAAUGUCAUUUUUCCCGAGAGCACCCUUUUUCUGUUCGCCUCGAGUUCGCAUCCAACUCGCCAUGGCGAGUAACUGUCUUUCCUGAGCUCGCCAUAGCGAGCAGAUGAGCUCGCGAGGCGAGCUGCCCAGUAUCUGGCUGAUUAUUUUCUGUUGUUGUUUGAAUGGUAUAUUUUGUUGAAUUAUUGCAUGGCUUGUAUGAUGAUAAGUAUCUCCUUGGAUGUUUUGGUUGGUUUUGAUGAAUGGAUGCUGACUGAAUGAAUGUUGUGUUUAAUUAAAAUUCCUUAACGUUGUAAGUUGGUUGGUGAAUCAUAUAUAUGUAUAUGUCUAGGUUGGGUAGUAUGUAGAUAUACUCAAUGGGGAUUAGUUGCAUUAACAUAACAGCGGGAGAGCUUCGGCUCUGGAAUGCUUAGUCGUUCAAAGUGGUGGAGUACUAGUUACUCAAAGUGGUGUAGUGGUGAGGACUUAUGUCCUGUUGAGAAUGCUUUAACCAUUCGACAGCGGUGUGGGUCACGGCCCUGAUUCUUGGUACCACAUGCAUGGGUGUUAGAGGAGUUUUAGUGGAGUGGUGAUAAGUUGCAUUUGUUAUUGAGAGGUUUAUGAAUUAUUAUUGUUGAUAUGAUGUGAAAUGAUGUUAUGUAAAUAAUAAUGUGGAUGAUUUAUAUGAUAGGGUGUUAGAUUCAAUUGAUGUAUUCUUUAUCUAUAUUUUGUUGUGAAUCUCACCCCUUCUGCUUGAAAAUGUUGCCCUUCCUAUGGGUAACUUGCAGGUGAUCCUGAGUAGUUGGUGGUGGCUCAUUGUGUCUAGGACUCUGAUGCGUGGGAUGGGAUUUAUAGUUUUAAAUUACUACCAUGUAUCAAUUUUUGGAACAAUUUAAUGUAGUCCAUGUUUAAUGUUGAAUUUGAUGUUGAGGCUUAAUGCCAAGAUUUUAUUUUGGAUAAUGGAGUUUAAAUUAAAGAUUAUUCCGCUGCAGUUAAAUGAAGGAUGUUGUUAAAUAGUUUUAAUCUAUUUAAAAAUUUAUAUUUUGUAGUGUGACAUACCGUUUGAUGUUGAAACUCUGAUUUUAUAUUAUAAUUAAAUUGAUUUUGGGAAACGGGGUGUUACAUGUAGUUGCUUCUGUGAGUGGCCUUGCCUCACUGUGUCGUCUAGGUCGCUCUGAUACGUAACGGGAUGGGGUUAAUGCUAUAACAUGCUUCAUUCUUUUACGUGAACUGCCAUGAUAAUUUAUGCUUUGAUAAACUCUUUUUAGAUACUUGUUGGGCUUGCGUGCCAAAACGUUUAUGAUUUAUGUUUAUGAUUUUCCGCUGCGAAUGUUUAAGAUAUUGGUUAAAUUAUUAUUUAACUGUUGGAUUACGUUAUAUGUGAUAUCCCGUUGCUUGAUGCUUACUCUGAUAAAUGUUAUGCUUUUAAAGAAAUUUUAAAUAUUGGGAAAACGGGGUGUUACAUAUGCGACUUUCCUGAAGUUUUUCCAGACGAAAUUCCAGAUGUGCCUCCAGAGAGGGAAGUCGAGUUUUCUAUUGAUCUUGUUCCUGGAAUGAAGCCGGUGUCGAUGGCACCUUAUCGUAUGUCUGCUUCCGAGUUAGCUGAGUUGAAGAAAUAGUUAGAAGAAUUGCUUGAGAAGAAAUUUGUUAGACCAAGUGUUUCACCUUGGGGAGCGCCAGUUUUGCUAGUGAAGAAGAAAGAUGGUAGCAGGAGAUUGUGUAUUGACUAUCGUCAGUUGAACAAAGUUACUAUCAAGAAUAGGUAUCCACUUCCGAGAAUUGAUGAUUUGAUGGAUCAGUUAGUGGGUGCACGUGUUUUCAGCAAGAUUGAUUUAAGAUCAGGUUAUCACCAAAUUAAAGUAAAAGAUGAAGAUAUGCAGAAGGCAGCUUUCAGAACGCGUUAUGGUCACUAUGAAUAUAAAGUUAUGCCUUUCGGUGUGACCAUUGCACCUAAAGUGUUUAUGGAGUAUAUGAAUCGCAUCUUCCAUGCAUUUUUAGAUCGGUUCGUGGUUGUGUUCAUCGAUGAAAUUUUGAUUUACUCCAAGACUGAAGAAGAACAUGCUGAGCAUCUGAAGAUUGUCUUGCAAGUGUUGAAAGAGAAGAAACUUUAUGCUAAAUUAUCUAAGUGUGAAUUCUGGUUGAAAGAAGUAAGUUUUCUUGGCCAUGUUAUUUCUGGUGAUGGUAUUGCAGUGGAUCCGUCUAGCUGAAGCGGUAUCGCAAUGGGAGACUCCUAAGUCAGUUACUGAGAUUAGAAGCUUCUUGGGUUUAGCUGGUUAUUAUAGAAGAUUUAUUGAAGGAUUUUCUAAGUUAGCACUUUCGCUAACGCAGUUGACUUGUAAAGGUAAAGCCUUUGUGUGGGAUGUUCAAUGCGAGAACAGUUUCAGUGAAUUGAAGAAACGUUUGACGACAGCUCCGGUUUUGAUUUUGCCGAUGUCCGAUAAGCCUUUUGUGGUGUAUUGUGAUGCGUCCAAGUUGGGUUUAGGUGGUGUACUUAUGCAAGAUGGUAAAGUGGUAGCUUAUGCUUCAAGAAAGUUGAGAAGAAUUACCCGACGCACGAUUUAGAGUUGGCAGUUGUGGUCUUUGUAUUGAAAAUAUGGAGACAUUACUUGUAUGGUUCGAGGUUUGAGGUGUUUAGCGAUCACAAGAGCUUAAAGUAUUUGUUCGAUCAGAAGGAAUUGAAUAUGAGGCAGCGAAGAUGGCUAGAAUUGCUGAAAGAUUAUGACUUUGGUUUGAAUUAUCAUCCAGGUAAAGCUAAUGUUGUUGCAGAUGCCUUGAGCAGGAAGACAUUGCAUAUGUCCGCUUUGAUGGUUAGAAAGUUCGAAUUACUUGAACAGUUUAGAGAUAUGAGCUUGGUUUGUGAAUAGUCACCUCAGAGUGUGAAACUGGGAAUGCUGAAGAUUGAUAGUGAAUUUCUGAAGGGUAUUAAAGAGGCACAGAAAGUUGAUGUCAAGUUUGUAGACUUGUUGGUUGCUAGUAAUCAAACUGAAGAUGGUGACUUUAAAGUCGAUGACUGAUGGGAUAAAACCGCAAGUGCACGGUCUUAUCGAAGUAGUAAAAUAAGAGUAUCGUUCCGACAGGGAGUUAUGAAUUCAAUUAUCUUUUAACAAUGAUUAGAAUUAAAGUAUAGGAAGUAGAAAGUUGUAUUUUUAUAUAUUUAAAAGAAAAUAAUAAUAAAAGAUAUAAGCCUUGGGAUUAUUGGUUCAUCCUAACGACAAGUCCUUCUCAAACCAAACUAUUAAACUUAUAACUUUAUGUUAGACCUAAUUUCUCAAGACAGUUUCUCUUUUGUUCCUCUAGCAACCAAGCCUAUUUCGCUGACUUGAUUACUAUUAGAUUUUGGUUCCUCUAACAACCAAACCUAUUUCGCUGACUUGAUUGUUAUUAGUUCCCUUUGCAAUCCUUGUCUAAAUUCACUUGUUCGAAUAUCAAAGCUCCACUUUCGUUUUAUGAAUUGAUAUUUGAGAUGAUGGAUAAACAAUUAUCAAACCCUCCACUUUCGUUUCCACAGUUUGAUAAUGGUUUAUCCAUGUUAAAGCGGUGAAUUUAGAUAAGGAAUUAGGGUUACAUAAGAUUAAGGUUUAAAGCUUGGUUUGAUUAGGAUUAUGUCAUUAGAAUUAUCCAACAAUCCCAAGACAAGAGAAGUCUAGUCACUGACGUUCAUCGUAGACAAGGGGAAGAAGAGAGAAAGCAUAAAAGUAAAUAACAAUAAAGUAAAAUGAACUUUUAUUAGAAAGACAAUUGUCACAUAUUGUAUUCCAAGAAAAGAUGAAUAUUUGUGAUGGCUAGCUACUCUAUUUAUAGUACACAAUUGACUUAAAAUCUAAGCAAGUAUAUUCCAAGAAUAUUCCUCGGUAGAUUGUGCGCCAAAAUAGAAUAGCUUGGCGUCCAAGCAAAAGCAGCAAAAGGUGUUCUGGAGAAUAUUCCAAGUAUAUUCCACGAGACAUAUUUUUGUCUCCGAAUCUUCAUAUUUUUGUACCGAAUCAGCUCCAAAUCCCUUUCUUUUGCUCCAAGACUCAAUCCAUCCAAUAUUCGUUCCUGAAAUAUAAUAAAAUGCAAUUGUAGUAAAAUAGUUCAAGAAAGGAAAUAAUAUUAAUAUAAAAUAAACUUAAAUCUAAAUAAAACUAAACUAAAUAACAUAUUAAAAUAGAUAAUAAAUGACUCAUCAAUGACCAUGGUGUGUUGAGAUUCCGAGGUCGGAUUUGCAUUCCUGACGAUGCAGAGAUGAAGAAAAUGAUUCUUGAAGAGAGUCAUAAAAGUAGCUUGAGUAUUCAUCCGGGAGCUACAAAGAUGUAUCAUGAUUUAAAGAAGAUUUUCUGGUGGUCUGGAUUGAAACGUGAUGUGGCACAAUUUGUGUAUUCCUGUUUAGUUUGUCAGAAGUCGAAGAUUGAACAUCAGAAACCUGCUGGUAUGAUGGUAUCUUUAGAUGUGCCAGAAUGGAAGUGGGAUAGUAUAUCCAUGGAUUUUGUGACGAGUUUGCAGAAUACUCCUAUAGGGAACGAUGCAAUUUGGGUAAUCUUUGAUAGAUUAACGAAGUCAGCUCAUUUUCUACCGAUUAAUAUUAGUUGAGGGCUGUUUUGAGAUUUUAGAGAGUUUUGGGGGAGAAAGUGAGAUAAGAUAAGAAAUUGGGAAGAGAUAUAAAAAGGAAAGACCUAGGUUUAGAAAACAUUUUGUACGUACGACUGUUUUGGAGAAAAAGCCAUAGAAUGGAGUAGACCAAGAGGGAGAGCUGCGAUUCUGCAAAAUAAGGUAUGGGUGAGACUAAUGAUUCAGUAAUGUUAAUUCGUAUAAUUCUGAUGAUUAAUUAGCAAGAAUUAGGAUUGAAUUGGAGCAACCGAAAACUAGGUCAAAUCCCUAAAAUUGAUGAUCAAACGGUAAAAAUUGAUUAGAUGGAUGUAGAACAGUCCCUUGACCUUAGAAUAUGUUUAGGAUGACUUCUGGAAUCGAAAUUAGGCUUUAAACCAUGAGUUUAGAUGAAUUUUUGAAGAAAACUGCAUUCUGCCCGAGCCAACAUUCAUCGCUCGCCAUGUGAGCCAAUACCCCUUGCCUCACGAGUUACAAGUCGUAGCUCGCCACAGCGAGCAUGACCAAAGAACAUGUUGAUUUUUGUAUUUUGGACGUUUGAGUUGAACCUUAUAUGCUUUUGAGUACCUUUAGAUGUUUACUAAAGAUUAGAGGAUGAUUUAGAACAAGAUUGAACCUGGAACAACCUUAGUUGGAAAUCUGGCAAGUACUCGCCAUGGCGAGCAGAUGCUCUCGCCUCGCGAGCACUUCCAGAACUGAGUGUUUUUUAUAAUGUCGUGACCUGAGUUGAAUGAAUUGCUUAGGAAUGGAACAUUAGGUAGUACUGAAACCUAUUUAAGAUGUCAGCCGAAAUCUGUGAAGUUGUUAAGAACUGUUAAGUUGUUUGUAAUGUGAUUUAACGAUUAAAUGCAUUACUUGAUUUAUGCUUGAAUAAACUAGAUGUUGUUGAAAUGAAUUGUUGUUAUGAAAUUACGAUGUUUUUGUGAUCUGAUUAUGCUGCUGCUGUUAUUUAACUAAGUUGUAUGAGUCUAUACAUGAUGAAUAACAUGUUGUUGAGCUCCAAGUUAUUGGAUGCAUAUUGAGAUGUUGAUUAAGAUUGUUUUAGAUUGAUUGAGUCCAUGCAUUAGCAUACUUUUGUUGGGGGCUCAUGCCCUGGAGCUUUGUCCUCACCACGAAUUGAGCUUUGUCCUCACCACGAUGCCUUAAUAGUAUAUUAAUACUAUGAUGUUGGGGAGCUCAUGCCCUGAUUGGUACCACAUGCAUAAAGAGGUUUAGAUUUGCAUUGUCGCAUUUGUCGAGUCGAAAGAUGUUAUGUUAUUGAUGAUGAUUGAAUGAUGUGAAUACUUGUUAAUUGUUUAUCAAAGAUGCAAUUAUGUUUAAGAUUGUUUAUGUUGUUAAUUAUGAUUUUGAAUUAUAUUGAUUAAUAUUAUUGUUUUGUGAAAUCUCACCCCUUCUGCUUGGAAAUGUUGCUCUUCGUAUGAGUAACUUGCAGGUGAUCGAGCUUAGUUGCUGUUGUGCUGUCGUGAGUGGCCUUGCCUCACUGAGUCGUCUAGGUCGCUCUGAUACGUAACUGGAUGUGGUUUUAUGAUAUGCAUGCUUCAUUCUCUUACGUGAACAAUUAUGAUAUUUUAUGAAGUUGAUUAACUGUUGAGAUAUUUUGAUGGGGCCUACGUGUCAAAACGAUUUAUGGAUUUUUGAAUUAACUCUGCUGCAAUGUUUAAGAUAUUUUCUUGAAACUUAAAUUGUUAUUUAACUGUUUUGCGAUUAUGUUUGAAGGUGAUAUCCCGUUUGUGAUGUUUACUCUGAUAAUUGUUUAGAAAAUUUUAUAUUGGGAAAACGGGGUGUUACACUUGCUUCUUCCAUGCAGAACUGGAUUUCUUGCUAAGCUUAUAGCAGAUUUGUUGUCUAUGAGCAAUUCUAUAGGUCUGCUAACCUCUAUCUCCAUCUCCUUGAGUAUAUUUUCAAGCCAUAUUGCCUGACAUGCUGCCAUACACCCUGCAAUAUACUCAGAUUCACAGGUUGACAAUGCUACAAUUGGUUGCUUCUUAGCACACCAUGAAAUUGGAGCAUUCAUAAACUUGAAUAGGUACCCUGAAGUGCUCUUUCUAUCUUGUUUGUCUCCACACCAAUCAGCAUCAUAAUAUGCUAUCAGCUCAAUAGAAUUUUCAUUUAAGCACUUAGGAAAUAAAAUGUCAUACUGUAGUGUUCCUUUGAUGUAUCUCAUCACUCUUUUGGCUGCUAGCAGGUGAGAUACUCUUGGUUCACUCAUGAAUCUACUGAUUAUGCCAACUGCAUAUGCAAUAUCAGGUCUACUAUUGCAUAGAUACCUCAGUGAACCAACUAUUUGCUUGAACAAUGUAGGAUUCACACGUUCUUCAUCUUCAUUCAUCACCAGUUUUACAUUUGUCUCAGUUGGUGAUGAUGAUGGAUUGCAGCUCAUCAUAUUGAACCUCUUCAAUAUGUCAGAUGCAUACUUCUUUUGGUGCAUCACCAAUCCCUCUGCAACUUCAGUAAACUCCAUGCCUAGAAAGUAUGUCAAUUUUCCUAAAUCUGACAUUUCAAGCUCACUCAUCAUCUGUGAUUUAAAUGCUUCUAUCUCAUUCAUAUCACUACCAGACACUAUCAAAUCAUCAACAUAAAGACAGCUGAGUAGUUGAUUAUCUUCACUUCCUUUCUUCACAUAUACACCAUACUCAGACUUGCAUUUAACAAAUUCUUGCUGCACAAGAAAGCUGUCAAUUCUCUUGUUCCAAGCUCUUCGUGCCUGUUUCAAUCCAUAGAGAGCUUUGUGUAAUCUAUACACCAUAUCUUCUUUCCCUUUGAUUUUGAAACCUGGUGGUUGUGUCACAUACACUUCUUCAUCUAAAGGACCAUUCAGAAAAGCAGAUUUUACAUCCAAAUGAUGCAUUGGCCAGUUUCUUCCACAAGCUAUAGCAACUAUCAAUCUCACAGUUUCCAAUCUAGCAACUGGAGCAUAUACUUCAAAGUAAUCUAUACCGGCCUUCUGCAUGAAUCCCCUAGCCACUAAUCUUGCUUUGUGCUUGGCUACUUCACCAUUUGGCUUCAGUUUCAAUUUGAAAACCCACUUUACAUCUAUUGUGGGAAUUGUGUGACUGGAACUCUUCUCUUUCUUGGUCCAAUCCCAUGCUUCAUUUUCACAGAUUUUUACAUCUCUACUAAUCACUAUAGAGUGAUUUAGAGGAUGAUACCAUUUGUAUGCACCUAUUUCAUGAUAGCCAACCAGUAUCAUAGGCUCACUCUUGUCCCCCAACUUUCUUCUCUUAGAUGUAUGCUGCAGUUCUUACUGCUUCUCCCCAAAAUGUAUUAGGCAUCUUCUUCAUCUUUUGCAUACUUCUGGUCAUGUCAAGCAGGCUUCUAUUCCUUCUUUCUGCCAAACCAUUGUGUUGUAGAGUAUAAGGAGCAGUGACUUCAUGCACGAUGCCAUUGUCUUCACAAAACUUCUCAAACACCUUUGAGGUAUACUCACCACCACCAUUAGUUCUUAAAAACUUAAUGGAUUUACCACUUUGUUUUUCAACUAAGAUUUUAAACUUCUGGAACAUAUCAAAUGCUUCACUUUUGGCCUUAAUCAAAUAUAGCCAGAGUUUUCUGCUAAACUCAUCAACAAAACUGAUGAAAUAUUUAUUUCCUCCUAAUGAAGGAACCUCUAAAGGACCACACACAUCUGAAUAUACAACAUUAAGCAGCUCCUUUGAUCUACUUGCUGAACUUGAACUGAAUGCACUUCUAGGUUGCUUCCCCAACAAGCAAGUAUCACAAACUGUGUUAGGUAUCUCCAUUUUUAGGCACUCCCAAAAUCAUUUCUUUAUCAACCAAUUUAUUAAGACCUCUAAAAUUGAGAUGACCAAAUCUAUAGUGCCAUAACCAACAACCUUCAUCUUUUACCAUAGCAGAUAAACAGUUCAAAUCUACAGCUUUCAUAUUGGUCUGAAAGGUUCUAUUCUUUGCAAGAAGAGUUUUCAAUACUAACCUUUGAUGAUGAUCAAACAACUUAAAGGUGUUGUCCUUCAUAGUAACUGAGUAUCCUUUCUGAAUGAAUUGACCUACACUCAGCAAGUUGCACUGCAUUCUAGGAACAUAGAGAACUUCUUCAAUUAUUGCCACUUUCCCAUUCUUUCCUUCAAUAGCAAUAUUCCCCAUUCCUUCUGCAACUAAGACUCUAUUAUCUGCAAGUUUCACCUUUGUGUUUCUUCCAGAAUCCACUUCUCUUAACCAUGUCUUGGUUCCAGUCAUAUGAUUAGAACAACCAGUAUCUAAGAACCAACUUUUUGAAUUGCAGCUCUCAUUACUAGUUGUUGUAACCAUCAUGAAUAAUGACUCAGAAUCUGAAUCAUCUUGAGCAAUUUUGGCUUCCUCUUCAUCAUUCUUUGAUUGCUUUCCUUUACCAGACCAACAUUCAGAUGCAUAAUGUCCAAAUUUCUCACAUUUGAAACACUGAAUCUUCUUCUUAUCAACUUUCUUCUUUUGAUUAGAAUUUCCUUCCUUUGAAGAUUCACCUUUAUCAGAUCCAUUGUUCUUGCCUGUAGACCAGUUUCCUCCCUUAGAGUUUUUCUUCCCUUUCUUGAAGUUCUUCCUAUCAUAAUCAUCCUUCUUGAUAGUUUGAACUUGCAGGGCUUGUUGAAUUGAUCUUUCAUUGCUUCUUUCUGAAACCAUCAAUUCAUGAGCUUCUAAUGAACUCUGCAACUCCUCAAUCUUCAAUGUCUUAACAUCUUUUGAUUCCUGAAUUGCCACCACAAUGAAAUCAAAUCUUGAAGAUAGGGUCCUCAUAAUCUUUUCAACUAUCUGUUGAUCAGUGAUUGCUUCACUACAAGCCUUCAUCUGAUUCACAAGAUUGAUGAGUUUAGAGAUGUAUUCAGAAAUCUUCUAUUCAUCUUCCAUUUGCAUCAGUUCAAACUUCCUUCUCAGUGAUUGAAGCUUAAUCAAUUUCACUUUAUCAUCACCUUCAUGAUACUUUGAAAGAAUGUCUCAUGCUUCCUUUGAACUCAAUGAUUUUGAGAUUCUUUCAAAGUUUCCUUCAUCAAGACUUUGUUGAAUCAAGAAUAGAGCCUUGCAAUCUUUCUUCUUCAAUUCCUUGUGUGCGUUCCUUUUCACUUCAGUGACAUUCGCUGUAACGCCCUCUUUGAAUUAUUUGUUUUAUUAAGAAGAGUUUAGAAUAUAUUAUAUGAUUAUAUGAUUUAUUAAGUGGCUUAUUAUAUUAUUUAAUAGAAUAAGGUUUGAAAAUAAAAUAAUAUUGAGUUUAAGGGUUGUUAUGAGAUUUUAGAAAGUUUGGGGGGAGAAAGAGAAAUAAGAUAAGAUAGAUGGUGGAGUUAUAAGUAGGAAAAACCUAGUUUAGAAAGAAAAGAAAAGAAAAAACAACCAAUUUUAGAGAAAAGGGAGAAAAAGCUAAGAGAAGGGAGAAACACCUAGAGAGCUGCGAUUUUCAUUGUUAAGGUAAGGGUGAGACUAACUUUCUCUAAUUCUAAGUCGUAUAAUUCUGAAAUUGAAUUUAACAUGGUUGUAGGUUAAAGUUUUAGAAUUUGAGAAUUAGGGUUAAAAGUAUUUUUUGUUUGUUAUAAUGAAUAUGUUAAAUUCGUGCUAUAAUUUAUCGGUGUGAUUUUGGUAUGCUCUUAUCUUUAAAUUUAUGACUUUGAUGUGCUAUAUUCGGUGAAUUCUAUAUUCGAUCAGUAUAAGAGAUGUUCUGUAUGUUGUCCUAUUGUAUGAUUAUUUUACAAAUCGUAGAAGGUAAAACCGCUGCACAGUUACCUGACUCAUUGGCUUGUUUUCAUUAUAUAAUAAUUUGAAUUAGCUAGUUAUUUUGCACUUGUUAAUUGUUCAUGACAUCGUACUUCUUGUUAAUAGGCUACAAUUUGUGUUUACAUGUUUCCUGUUAGUUAUAAUUGACAAUCGAUUUACUUUGAUUUCAUAUACUAGUCCUUAUUUUACGUGAACCAAUUAUAGGACCUUCCUUUUGUUAGUUAUAAUUUUACUGAUGUUUACUAUGUGCAGAAUUUUAUGUAACAAAUUUUGACUGUUUAAAAUAGAGUAACUUGCCUUUGUUUAUCGUGAUUUUUAAAUGCUUAUCAUAUCUAAUAGGUGGUCCUUCAACAAAACAAGUAAAAAUAAGUCCCCAAAUUGGUUAUGAUUCUAGUUCACAAUCGGAUUUAGAUUGCAAAUCAGGAUAUUUGAUUUGAUUUUAAUUUACAAUGAUUUGAAUAUUUAGUUUAAUUAAAAUGUUUGAUAAUAUGUAAUGAUGAAUUAUUUGAUGAUGUGUUAUUUGAAGAUGUGUUGAUAUAAAGAUGUGCUAUUUGAAGAUGUGUGUUUUAAAGAUGUGUUAUAUAAGCUGCAAAUGUCAGUCUAAGUUGUGAAGUUGUAAGAUGUUGAUCCAAAGUAUUGGAGUCUUAAAUUAUUGACGUUGUCUAAGUUGUGAGUUGUCGUUCCAAAGUAUUGGAGUCUUAAGUUAUUGACGUUGUCUAAGUUGUGAGCUGUCGUUCCAAAGUAUUUGAGUCUUAAGUUGUUGAUGUUGUCUAAGUUGUAAGUUUUCGUUCCAAAGUAUUGGAGUCUUAAGAUGUCGAUGUUGUCCAAGAUGUAAGUUGUUGAGUCCAUGCAUACUCAUUUAAGUUGAGGGCUUGAUGCCCUGGAGCCUUUGCUCAAAUAAGUUGAGGGCUUGAUGCCCUAGAAGUCUAUUUACGCUCAAAGAAGUUGAGGGUUUGAUGCCCUAGGAGCCUAUUUACGCUCAAUACGUUGGGGGCUUGAUGCCCUGGUUGGUACCACGAUUAAGAGGUCGUAGUUGCAUUUUGUCUAGAUGGUUCAAGAUGUGUAAGAUGUCUAAGUUUCAUUGUCGAGUUGAAGUCGUGUCGUUGUUGUUAAGUUGUUAAUUACCCAUGUGUCGUUAAUGAAGUGCUUAUGAUGUGAUUAUGUUGUUAUAUGAUGUGAAGUAUAUGAUGUUAUAAAAUGAUGUUUAUGUUUGUUUUUUUUUUGACAAUAUAAAAUGAUAUUUAUGUUGUUAUAUGACGUUGUGUAUAAUGUGAUGAAUAUGAAGUUAAUGAUGAUUAGAAGUUGAUUGAAUUAUUAAUGAAGUCUUAUAAGAAGACUAAUGUUCUUAAUUAUUGAAGUAUAAGUAAUUAAAUGCUUUUGAUGAAUUAUAUGCUUAUUAUUAUUGAAUGUGAAAUCUCACCCCUUCUGCUUGGAAAUGUUGCUCUUCGUAUGAGUAACUUGCAGGUGAUCGAGAAUAAGUAGCUGUUGAUUGUUGUCGUGAGUGGCUAUCUCUCACCGUGUCUUUAGGUGCUCUGAUACGUAACGGGAUGAGAACUUCAUGGCUAUUUUCUAUUCCUUACGUAUUACUUUAUGAAGAUUAUGACUAUGUUUUUAGAUUGGAUUUUUACGAGAUAUUUUAUGAUGAGACCUUCGUGCCAAAGACUAUUUAGAUGUUGAAAUAAAUUCCGCUGCAAAGUAUUGAAUAUUUUUUUAUUGAAUUUUGAUGGAUAAUUAGUUAAUUAUUCCGUUUAUGAUUUUUAAGAAGUGUAGCAUUCCGUUUACGUGGAAAACUCUGAUUAUGUAAAUGAAAUUUUAUAUUGGGAAAACGGGGUGUUAAAUUCGCAGCUAAUUCACCUACACCAUUAUGCACAAUUUCAAGCAAAUCUUGUGCUCCAAACAGAUUCUUCAUCACUGCACUCCAUCUUUUCCAAUUGCGUGCUUCAAGAAUUGGAAGAUGUGUGUUGAAACUGCUGCUACCAUUCAUGGUGUUUCCUUCAGCGUUUCUUCCUACAAAUUGCAUGAUUAUUGAAGAUCUUGAUAACCCCUUAGAACGAAACCAAAGGCUCUUGAUGCCAAUUUGAUAGCGCAGAAAACCAAAAGCGGAAGCUUGUUCAGAAGCGGAAGCUUGUUCCUAAGCUCUGUUCAGAAGCUAGUUCAGAAGCAGUUUGAGAAGCAGUUUCUGAUUCUAAGGUUUUGUGAAUUAUAGAGAGAAUUGAGAGAGAGAAAAAUUAUGGUGAAAUUGUAAUUGAUUCUUAUUGAUUUUCCAUACGAAAAAUGUUCAAAGGAGGUAGCUUAUAUACAAUAUCUAGCUAAGUUGCUUGAAGCACAAGCAAUGUAACAAACUUUAGAUCUUAUCUGCUAACCUCUAACAAACUUCAUAACAAACUAAAACAAAAUGUGAUUAACCACUGAUUGUGAUUAUCACUAAACUAAACUUGAAUUAAAACAAACUAACAUUAAAAGCUUUAGUUAAUCUUGUAUAGGAAAAGAAAAAUUAAAAAAAAAAUUAUUAGAUAGUAAAACCACAAGGAUAUUAAUAUUUGAUUAGUAUUAUAAAACAAAAUAAAAAUUAGACAAAAUUUUUAAACUAUAAUUUACUCAUAUUGCUGGACCUAUGCUUUUAUUUCACAAGAGACUUUCACCAAGUGGGAAACUUCCUUCUUAUUUUCUGCCUCAAUUGAGAUGGGUGAUUUUAGGUCAAAAAUUGAUUCUAUAUCAUCCCUCUUUGAUGGAUGAAAGAGAAUAAACUAGAAUUUUGAUGACGGAUCACAAAAAAGAAAAGGAAGAGAAAACCAAACUCAUUGAGAUGUGAGCUUGCAGGCUUUUUCUGAGUUCUACAAAUAGAACGGUGAGCUGUGAGCAUGUGCAUUUUCUUUUAAGUGUUUUUCUGUUCUAUUUUUAAAAUGGCGAGCAUGCCAUUGACUUUUUUUUAAAAUAUUAAAGCCCUCAACUGGCACCCUUCUUGGACUUGCUCAAUGAAGAACAUAUGAUGAAUUAAAAGACAAGUAACCCAAUCAAAACUCCACCGUCAUAUGAUCACGUCUUGUGUUAACCAAUCAAAUCAACAAAUUUGCAUAUUGAAAGAUUAAAAGGAUGGAUAAUCACGCCUUGAGCAUGCCACUGGACGAAAAGAAAAAAAUAACAAAGAAGGACGAAAAAAAUUCUCCAUUUUAAAUUGUGAUAUGAAUAAAUAAAACCACAGGUUGUGGUAUGAAAUAUAAGGCAUAAAGCGAAAGAUCGUAUCAAGCAUUUAUAGAAAAAAGGGAUGAGAAUUUCACCAAUAGUUAGUCGUACAAAAAGUUUUGCAACACAUCCAGAAUCGAAAAUAAUAAUAAAAUUCAACACAUUUCAUAUUAUUUAUCAUUUAUUUCCUUUUUCAUCAUGUAUAAUAUAUAUACCACAUUGUCUCUUUGUUGUGGUGAACGGAGAUAGACCACAUUUUCUCUUCGUUGUGGCGAACAUAUAUAUAUAUAUAUAUACCACAUUUCUCUUCGUUGUGGCGAACGGUAUUCAUUUCAUAAUAUUAUGAGCACUUGAUUCAUAGGCUGCAUUUUCUCUUCGUGGCAGCCAACGGUAAUCAUAAUUACUAUGAGCUUGUAACUCAUAGGCUGCAUUAUCUCUUCGUGACAGCAAACGGUUAUCAUAAUUAUACUAUGACUCUACUACCAGGACCGAGCCAACCAAGCUCUCCAACCAAAGUUCGCAACUGCUUUAGUUUGUCAACAUCAUCGAGAAUCAACAAAACUUUCUUUGUAUGUAGCCUUUGUUUUAUGAUUGGAAUUCCUUCAGUUAUAUGUCCUAACUUAUAUGUCGAGUAAGUGUCGUUUUACCCAAUCCUCCACUAAUACAUGGAGGAUCAAUAUAACAAUCAAAUUAUAUAUUCCUCGAAUAAGAAAUUGUCAUCAUUGUAACUAAUACAUGGAGGAUCAAUAUAGUAAUCAAUAAAAUUAACAUACAAUUUUAAUCAAAUAUCUUUAUAAACCUUCUAUGUUGUUAUUAUCUGAGGCAAAAAAAAUAAAGUUUAUAAUGUUUUUUUAGAGAUUGAUUAUAAUGUUCUUUACUAGAGCUUUGUUAUUUUAUACGAAAAGUAUGGACAAAAAAUUAGAAGAAAUGCUCUAACAAAAAUAAGAAGAAAAAAUGAUAUUCUGUUUAAUAAAUAAUCCACUAUGUUGAUGAGAGUUGGGCAGGUUGGAGGAAGAAGAGAGUAUUGAGGACAUAUGAACCUCAAAUGAAAAUUAUACCCUAUCAAAUUCGUUUGUGAAGGGUUAAAAUUGAUAUCUUUUAUGAUUUGUAGGGGUAAGGAUAUAAUUGUUAGGUUAUAGAGUAAAAAAUUUCCACCCCAAAUCCAUGGAAAAUUAAGAUGAAAUGAAGAUCCUCUCAUACUAAAAAAAAUAAAUUAAAGAAGCCAAAAGGAUAUCUUAGAAGUUGAACCAUUGACCCAUGACAUGCCAAAGCGUGCAUGAACCACUGCACAUUAUCCACAAUAUUUACAUGCAUAUAUUAAAAAAAAAAAAAAAAAUUGCAACUAAUUCCUCCAUCUUAUUUUUUAUUUGUUUUCUGUUAAUUACACGUAUAAAAUGUUAGAAAGUAUUCACUUGUGUUAAAAUAUAAACCACUUUUAUAAUUUCACACAACUUGAAAAGCUUUAGUUAAUCUUGUUUAGGAAAAGAAAAAUAAAAAAAAAAUGUAUUAGAUAGUAAAACCACAAGGAUAUUAAUAUUUGAUUAGUAUUAUAAAACAAAAUAAAAUUUAGACAAAUUUUUAAACUAUAAUUUACUCAUAUUGCGGGACCUGUGCUUUUAUUUCACUAGAGACUUUUAUAUCACUUUUUAUCAUUUUUCAAUAUAAUAUUUUCAUUCUAAAUUGUUUAACAAAGAGUUUAUAUUACCCCAAAGCAUCUCAGUGGGGACAUAUGGUUCUUUGCUCCCUAUUUUAUCCUUUCAUCAUUUCAUGGUAGCCACCCACCACUCUUCCCCCUAUCAAUUAUCGUUCAACAUUUUCUUUAGUAAAUCAUUAAAGAACCAUUAUUUUUGUUGCCCUCGUACCACGUCAUUAAUUGUCCUAAAAACGUUACUAUAUCUGUCUUUAAUUAUGAAAUUCUUUUGAAAAAAUAAUUAACCAUUUUUCAUAAGAUCCUCUAGUAUUUCCAAAUACAUUAAUUAUUUUAAAGGUUGGAAAAAGAAAUGAUGAUAUUUAGAAAUUUAGACUUUUUAGUCAUAAAGGUGGUUGGGAAAAGAAAUGAUGGUAUUUAGAAAUUUAGACUUUUUAGUCAUAAAGGUUGGAAAAAGAAAUGAUGAUAUUUAAAAAUUUACACUUACAAAUCAAAUAGCUUAAUAAGUAAUGCUGCGAAUUAUGGAACCUAACUCAUCUUUAUAAAAUCAACUUGUAAAACGAGAAGUUUCCUCCUCAAUAUAAACUCUUCUCAAGAAUCUUAUCUAUCCGUUGUGGGACUAAAUCCACUGUGUUGGCUGCUAACAUUCCUAUCUUCUGUAAAACAAUGUGGUGGCCCUAAAAAUCAAACUGAUACUCCCUCCAUUCCUUUUUACCAACUCUUUCUUUUUUCUCUUGUCUAUUUCCGCGUGGGUUGUGGUCCCAAAAAGACUACCUUAUAAAUUUAAAAUUCAACCCUUUAGAUGUUAGUGUUCUUCUUUCUCCCUAACUUUAAAAUUAACAAUUCCUUUACUUUUCUGAUAUCUUUUUUUUAAUAUUGCAAUGACGUUCUCCAUAAUUUUUUCUAUUUAUCUAAAGAGACGUUAUGGUUUUUUAUUUGGUUAAAGACUAUCACCUAGUGGGUAACUUCCUUCCCAUUUCAUAUCUUCGGUAAAGUAAAAAAGUAUCAUUUUUCCUACAUCAUUCUUCCAUGUAAUUUUUUAGUCUCAGCAAGAAUAGAUUUGAUGUGAUCUUAUAAUAAGCAAGAACCAAGAAGUCACAUAAGUGAUAACUCUAAAUUUCUAGACUUUAAAUAGAUAACUCUAAAUCAAAAUACUCAUUAAAUUAUGGUUUCUAGUUCAAAUUUGCUGAAUGGUCUCUAGUUUUAAAUUUGGAAGCCCCUCUAUAUGUGAGGAAAUUUAUUUGGGUGUAUAUUAAUUGUUUUUUUUUUACGAACUAUAAUAAAGCUUGUAAAAAAACUACUUUACCUUCAAAAUUGUGUUCAAUGUGGGGAUUAUGGUGAAAAUACUUGACAUAUUUUUGUUACUUUUCUAAUUGCUACAGAGACUUGAAGAGGUUUAGGUGUAUGGAUUUGAUUGAACCAUAUAUUAUGACAGUUGAUGGUAUUGUUAAUUGAUUUUUUACUAUUGCAAACAAAUUGCAUAUGGUAAAAAACGUAUAGUAUGUGGUGUCAACAAUUUUAUUAUUUUUCAAAAAAUAAAAUGUUGAGUCAUCAAAUUACAACUUUGUUUUAUGUUAUAUUAUAGUUUUUAAUUGGCUCAACAAAUUAUAAAAACUAAAUUUCUUCAAUGUUCAUACAACAUUCUCCGGAGAGGAUGAAGUUAUUCUGUAAAAUUCAUGGUUAUUCUGUCCGUAAAAUUGAAGAAAAUGAAGUGGACUCAUGUUUCUCUCUCCUCUAAUUAACACACUACCGUUAGAUUAAUCAAAUGGUUGAGAACCGCGCAGGAGUGGAUCCAUUUCAAAAAAAAAAAUUUGAGGCCCAUAUAUCCUUGAGGGAGGCCCAGCUCGUUUGAGCUGGUUGCACCCCCUUAGGGACGCCCCUGCUCAUAUGCUGCAUUAUCUCUUCGUGGCAGCUAACGGUAAUCAUAAUUACUAUGAGCUUGAAACUCAUAGGCUGCAUUAUCUCUUCGUGGCAGGAAACGGUUAUCAUAAUUACUAUGAGCAUUUAACUCAUUGGCUGCAUUAUCUUUUCGUUGCAGCAAACAAAUAUCAAUUUUUAAGUAUGACCAAUUAGUCCAUAGGUUGCAUUCUCUCUUCGUUGCAAUAAACAGAUGUUAAUUUUGAAAUAUUAUGAACAAUUAGUCCAUAAACUGCAUUAUCUCUUCGUUGUAGAGAACGGCUUCUAUCAUAACGCUCAAAAAAUCAAAUCAACUGCACUUCUCAUAAGUAUAUGAUAAAGAUAAACAAGUUAUUUUAGCACUUCUCAUAUAGACAUGCAUCGAAAGAAACACACAUGCAUCAACAACAAAAGAAAAAUUAACACUUUUCAUCUCAAAUCCUUAUUUAUUAAUUUUGUUCGGUCUGCAACAAUUUAACCUAAUUUUUUCCCACUCAUUUGCUUUAUUAGGUUUGCAAUUAUUUAACCUAACAAAUUCAAUCUAAAAAAAUGCAUCACACCAAUUUCAUUUAUAUCUUGCCUUUUUUUUUUUUUAAGGAAAAAUAUUUUCUACACUUAUUUGAUUUGAUGUUGCACGUUUGUUCUAGAAACUUUAAUGAUGCACUUAUUAUUUCUCGGGGAUCAUUUUGUGCAAAGACUAUUGAGAAGUUGUCUUUCGUAAUUUAUUAGAUAAAUUUUGGCAUUUUUGCUAGCUGAGUUGUGAUUUAUGGGCAUACAAAACAAAUUGAAAAACAUAUAUUAUGAUUUAUGCUCUUCAUGUUUAUCUCAUUGUACUUUGCUGCUAAAAAGUUUAUCCAAAUUUUACAGCUAUGAUAGACAGGUUACGCCUUGAUAAGACUUAUUUUGGAAUUAUUUUAUUAAUGUAUCAUGCUCUAUAAAGAUUAAAAUCAUAAUGAUAUAUUUUGGGUUGAAUGAAAAUAUGAGUAUACAUAUAAAUUGGGAUCUAUAACAUGUUUGAUCUAUCAAAGGUUAUAGUAAUUAGGUAUUAGGAAUACCAACCGGUACUUCUAGGUCUUUAGUACUCUUCAGAUGGGGACAAAAGAAUGCAUGCUUAUAUACGGUAUGUUGGGGACAAGAGCCUUGUAUAGGACGAUGGAUAAUUAGAGUUUUCCAUUAUUCUGUAUAUUUAUAACAUCUUUUUAGACUCCAAAUAAAUUAUUACUCCUCUUAUUAUGAUGCUUUAUCAUUUUAAAAAUUCAAAAAUUAGAAAAUUCAUAACAUUAGUUUUAACUUCCGAAAGUUUUGUCUAAAUAACUUAAUAACUUUUAUAUAUAAUUUUUUUUAGGGUUAACAAUGGCGAUGUAAACUCAUCAGUACAAGAUGUACCUAAGAGUACACCCCAACCAAAUAAGAGUCAUACAAGUUAUAUGCAUGAGAAUACAACAUAGGAUCCGACCACCAUCUGUGAGUGCCAUACACAAACGUAGUGUUUUUAGCUUUUAGCCACCACAAAGAAUGAAAUUUUACUUUAUUUAAAAGCUGUAAAAUAGGCGUUUCUACGCUGUUAAAAAUCCUAUUAUUGCGUUCUCCCCAUAUCAGCCAGACACAAAGAAGCCAAAGUAAUUGAAGGAACGCUCAGCGAGCCUUUGAUGAACCUGUAUACUGAGUAAAUUGGAAGAAGUGAUCAAUUAUAUUGAGAGGGUCUACACCAGACACACCAAUCCAAGACCGGAGGAUAUGCUGCCAUAACGACCUGAAAACAUCACAAUGGAGAAACAUAUGGGACGCUGACUCCGCAUGACCGCACCCUGACACACAAAUAUCUCCCUCGAUCGUUUCAAAUACCCUUAAAUCAUUAUUUAACAAAAUUAAAAAAUUAAUUACAAACAACAAAAUUUUAACUAAAAAAAAACUAAUAUAUAAUUUUUCAUCAUAUUUCAAUACAAUGUUUUCAUUUUAAUUUCUUUAACAAGAGUCUCAAACACAUUCCUUUGCAUUUCCGAUUUUAUAUUACCCCAAAGCAUCUCAAUGGGGGACAUAUGUUUCUUUGCUCACUAUUUUAUCCUUUUCAUCAUUUCAUGGUACCCCCACCCACCACUUUCCCCCUAUCAAUUACGUUUCAACUUUUUCUUUAGUGAAAAUCAUUGAAGAACCAUUAUUUUUGUUGCCCUCGUGCCACGUCAUUAAUUGUCCCAAAAAAUUAGAAAACUUGAAAGGGAGUAACUGUUAUAUACUACCUCCGUCCCCAAUUAUAAGACCCUUUUGAGAAUUUUUUUUUUCUUUUUUAUAAGAUCUCUUUGGUAUUUCCAAGUACAUUAAUUAUUUCUUUACCAACAUAUCUUUAUUUAUUUUGCAUCUUUUUCUUCAAUCAACAAUAAAUAUUUUGUUGAAAACAUAAAUUAACUCUCUCUCUUAAGGAUAAAAUUGUAAAAACAACAGUAAUUAUAUACAAAUUUAAUACUACAACCAACUUCUUAAUCUCCGUAAUUUUUAUAAAAGACUCCUAUAUAUAGGGACUGACAGUUCCAAUUCUCCUUUUUCUAUAGCCGUCGUGUGGACCAGUCACAAUAAUCAUACCACCCACAUGUAAGAAACUUCCUUCCUAUUUCCUAUCUUCUAUACAAUAACCAUCACUUUUUCUACCUCCUCUUUCCAUGUAAUGUCUGUAAAGCAAUGUGAAUGUCUUAAAAGAAGAAGAAAAAAAAGGUACAGUUUGUGGGAAGCAUAAUGUGAUUAGACCUCAAAAAUCAUAUAGCAUAAAAACAAUAAAUAAUAAUUCUCUUUUUUAAAGUAACUUAUGUCCUACUUUUCAUUGGUAAUUUUUUAAUCAUAAAGGUUGGAAAAAGAAAUAAUGAUAUUUAGAAAUUUAGACAUACAAAUCAAACAGUUUAAUAAGUAAUGCUGUGAAUUAUGGAACCUAACUCAUCUUUAUAAAAUCAAUUUAUAAAACGAGGAGUUUCCUUCUUUAUAUAAACUCUUCUCAAGAAUUUUAUCUAUCCGUUGUGGGACUAAAUCCACUGUGUUUUGGCUGCUAACAUUCCUAUCUUUUGUAAAACAAUGUGGGGGGCCUAAAAAUCCUAAAAAUCAAACUGGUGCUCCCUCCGUUCCUUUUUACCAACUUUUUUUUUUCUCUUGUCUAUUUCCGCGUGGGUUGUGGUCCCAGAAAGACUACCUUAUAAAUUUAAAAUUCAACCCUUUAGAUGUUAGUGUUCUUCUUUCUCCCUAACUUUAAAAUUAACAAUUCCUUUACUUUUCUGAUAUCUUUUUUGUUAUAUUGCAAUCACGUUCUCCAUAAUUUUUUCUAUUUAUCUAAAGAGACAUUAUGGUUUUUUAUUUAGUUAAAGACUAUCACCUAGUACGACUUCCUUCCCAUUUCAUAUCUUCGGUAAAGUAAAAAAGUAUCAUUUUUCCUACAUCAUUCUUCCAUGUAAUUUUUUAGUCUCAGCAAGAAUAGAUUUGAUGUGAUCUUAUAAUAAGCAAGAACUAAGAAGUCACAUAAGUGAUAACUCUAAAUUUCUAGACUUUAAAUAGAUAACUCUAAAUCAAAAUACUCAUUAAAUUAUGGUUUCUAGUUCAAAUUUGCUGAAUGGUCUCUAGUUUUAAAUUUGGAAGCCCCUCUAUAUGUGAGGAAAUUUAUUUGGGUGUAUAUUAAUUGUUUUUUUUACGAACUAUAAUAAAGCUUGUAAAAAAAAAUACUUUACCUUCAAAAUUGUGUUCAAUGUGGGGAUUAUGGUGAAAAUACUUGACAUAUUUUUGUUACUUUUCUAAUUGCUACAGAGACUUGAAGAGGUUUAAGUGUAUGGAUUUGAUUGAACCAUAUAUUAUGACAGUUGAUGGUAUUGUUAAUUGAUUUUUUUACUGUUGCAAACAAAUUGCAUAUGGUAAAAAGCAUAUAGUAUGUGGUGUCAACAAUUUGAUUAUUUUUCAAAAAAUAAAAUGUUGAGUCAUCAUCAUAAUCUUGUGUUUGAGUCUCCAAAAUACCGGGUCAAUAUCACAUACUUAUGAGACUUGAGAGGUCAAAAGUACAAUUAAACCUAAAUCAUAUUGCUCAGUCUUUUGUGUUUGAGUCUCCAUUAUUUCUGAUGUGUUGGAAAAAGAAAGGUUGACUUGAAGUCAACAUCAGAAUGAAGUAAGUAACCAUCACUUUUCCUACAUCCUCCUGCCAUGUAAUUUCCAUAAAGCAAUGUAAAUGUCUUAAAGAAAAAGAAUGGAAAAAAGGUAUAAGUUUGAGGGAAACAUCAAUAUGAAAAGGACCUAAAAAAUCAUAAAGCUUAAAAACAGUACCUAAAGGGAUCAAAACGUUGAUUCUUAAUCCCAUUGUAAACUAGUUUGUCAACAACACUCCUAUAAGCAUGGUUGUAAACUUUUUUUUUUACUGGAGCAUGGUCGUAAACUUAAGCAAGUAUAAACAGCAAAUUCCAAAAAUAUUUUAGAAUGCAUCAUAUCUAACACUAGAUCACAUUAUAUCUGAACAAUAGCAGUUCAUUAAGUCGGAUUCUAGAGAACAAAGGUCACGACUCUUGCAAAAGGAUGUCAUAAAUGUCGGUUCUUUAUCACACAUUACUUCUUCUAGAUCAAAGCGAUCUUUCCUAGUAAGGACAGAGUAGUUUGAGAAAUCCAUCCAACCAUAACCUUUUUGACCUGGUACACUACAUAAAAUGAUGUCAAAUCAUUUUCAUAUAAGUUAAGUUGCAUUCAAAUAAGCUAUAAGUCGAUUUAAAACAAGUCUCACAAGUGCUUCUAUCAGUUUAUAAGCUCAAAUAAGUCAAUAGAAACAAACCCUAAAUAGUUAAUUAAGAUUCAAAAUUCCAUUAAAUGCAUGAUUAGGCCUGACAGCACCAAAUUGACUACAGAAACAGCAAUAACUAAAAUCAUAACCAAAACCAUUAACUAAAAAAACAAGAACAUAAACUGAGAUAAAAUGAAUUUCACUUAAGAGUUAUUUAUGAGUGUCCAUUGAGAAGAAACAGGAGCAAGAAGUGUGAAACUUCCUUAUGUAUAUCCGUGUGAACCAAUAACACAAUAAAAUAAUUUUACCAACUCUUUCUUUUUUCUCUUGUCUAUUUCCGCGUGGGUUGUGGUCCCAAUUAAAAUCAACCCUUUAGGUGUUAGUUUUCUGUCUCCUUGACUUUAAUAUUAAUAAUUCCUUAUCUUUUUUCUCUUGUUUUGGAUUUUUUUUUUUUUGGGAAAUGUUAACCAGACCAGUGCCCCGGAGAACCGGUUAACAUGAUCCAAUUUUUUUAUAUUUCAAUGACUUUGUCCAUAAUUUUUCUGUUUAUCUAAAGAGACAUUAAGGUUUCACUGUUAUAGAAAAAAUGAAUGAGACAAUUAUUUUGGAUUAAAAUGAUAUAUUGUGUGGCUCUCUGCUUUUAUUUAGUUAAGUAAGUAAGCAUCACUUUUCCUACAUCAUUCUUCCUUCCAUGCCAUUUCUUAAUCCCAUUGUAAACUAUUUUGUCAACAAGAAUAGCACACUCCUAUCAGAUUUUGGCAUCCUUUUCCAUACCCUCUCUAUUCCUUCUACCGUUCCAUACAACCCAAAUAUUAAUUAAUUUACAUAAUUAUUACAAUAUUAUGUAGUGCAAUCAAUCAAAAUUUUAUUGAUAUCAAAGCUAAAGAUUAAUUGAAGAUUGUUGUAUCGUCAUUUAACAUAAUCAUGCAAUCAACAAUCAUUGAACAACAAAAGUUAGCUACAUCAAUUUCCUGAUAUUUGCUUUUCCAUUUCACUUCAAUAUAUAUUUAAGAGCGUGUAGACAUUUAAAUGCAUUAUCCUACAAGUACUUCUACAAUGGUAUUGAUUUUACAAGCUAUAAGCAUGGUUUUAAAUUUUUGUAAAUCAGGUUAAAUACCAUUUAUCGAUGUUAAAAUUUCGUGUGUGAUUUACUUCUCAAUAUGUUAAUAGGUCAGACUUCAGACAUCAAGAGUCAAUAGAUGUCUCUUCUUAGCAGCAAUCCCCAUGGAAAUUUUGUCAAACAAUUAAGGAAGUUUUUGACGAAAGUUACAAUUUCUGAAGGUAAUUGACUAUUUGCUCAAAUAAGAAGUUGAAGGUUCAUUUAAAAGACUAUUUUAAUAAAAAAAAUCUUUAAGAUUUUAAAAGACUGUGUGAGAUUUUAUUGAUUCUGUGAGAUUUUAAAAGACUUUCUAUAUAAAAGACUUAUUUUUGAUCCAACUGUACUAAUAUAACAAUGACUUAUUUUUUAUGCUAUUUUACAUUAUACUAACUAUUUUAGAUUAUUCACUGUUAAUUUUACAAUUAUAAAUGUUGGAAAAAGAAAGAUUGAGUUGAGGGGAACAUCUGAAUGGAUUGAAAGAUUAGGUAAUGAUAUUUAGGAAUUAAACAGCAUAAUAUCCUUGUUAAACUUGCCAGCUAUUUUUCACUUUUUUUUUUUUGGUUCAACACUUGUAGCAAGUGGGAAACUUCCUUCCCAUUUCAUAUGUCUGUAAAGUAACACUAUCACUUUCCCUACAUCUUUCUUCUAUGUAAUUUCUUAAAAGCAAUGUGAAUGUCUUAAAAAAAGGUUUUAAUGAUAAAUAAUUAGUGUUAUAGAACCCAACUUAAAAAAUCAUUUCAUGGCACCCACCCACCACUCUGCCCCCUGUCAUAUGCACAUGGCAGUAGUCAUGUCACAAAUUUUGGCAUCUUUUUCCUAACUGCUCCGGGUUUAACGUAAUUGACAUGGUUAACUUAGCGAUACUACUUUUUCAAGGUUCACAGCUCCAGAUAAUUUCGUCCAAAGCUUUCAAGCUUAAUUUCCCUGGAGGCCGACUAUGGCCUCUAUUAGAGAAAACCGGACAGACCGCAAUGUUAGUGUCCAUUGUAUGCUAGUUGUAGAUAAAAUGAAAACUAACAUCAGAAUGUGAGCAGAAAUCCACAAACUAUAACAAAUUUAUGAAGUAAACUUCCCCUCCUGAUUCACUGUUAAAUUUAUGAAACUCAUGUAUAAGUUGGCUUUGAGUUGUUCACUCACUAUUAACAAAUGUUCCUUCCUGCAGUGCAACAAAGGAAUGAAAAGUGAUAAGUAAGAUGAUUACUUGAAUCGAUAUAUCUAAAACUUAUGACCUAAAUGGUAUGUGAAACUUCCUGGCCACUUUGAAUAGCCGUGUGGACCAAUCACAUACUAAAUAUAACUGUACUACCGCCUCUUCUUGCUAAUUUCUUCGAUCAAUGUGAUUACCGUUCAACUUAUGGUUUCCCAAAUUUACAAGUACUUCUACAAUACUGUUGAUUUUACAAGUGAUAAGCACGGUUGUAAACUUAAGUAAAUAAAAACAGAAAACUCCAGAGAACAAAACUCACCACUCUUGCAAAAGGAUCUCAUAAAUGUUGGUUCUUAGAUUUAGUUUUUAUCAUGAAUUACUUCCUCUAAAUCAGAAAGCUUCCAGUAAGGACAGACUUUAGACUGAGAAAUCCAUCCAACCAUAUCAGUUUUGAUCUUGUACGCAAAAAGCAAAUAUGUGGAGCUGCAUAAGGAUCAUGUGCAAUGUUCAUUUCAUAUCCAAUGUAGCAAUGCCACAGUACAACUGAAUUGCAAAGCAUAUCAUUACUCACUGCCAUUUCAAACAAGCCACAGAUUCUGUGGUUUGAGCCACCUAUAGACAUCUCGUAUGACAAUGCAAAAAGCUAGACAACUAUAGAUGGUUUCUGUCAAUGUACACUAAAAGAAGAAAUGAAUGGUUAGUCAAUAGUUAGAGAAAAGUUGCUAACAUUACUGACAGGACAGUCUGAAAUUGCCAUAAACACCAUUAUACAGAAAACCAAAAACCUAGCUUGCUACAAUUGUAAAAAGAAAAUGUUCAUUCAAAAUGAGAAAAAAUAAGAUUCAUUUCAUCAGAUAAUAGUAAAUUAAUUUUUCAGCAAAAAGACUUUGAAUCUAUUAAGUUAUGGAAUUUCAUUUCUCUUUUUGAUGUACAAAACUAAAACAUUAUGAGACACGAUAUAAGAUGAAGUUUCAAUCUGAUAAGGGUGUUAUGUGGGUUGUUCGUGAGUUGCAAAAUUUUAUUAUAUUCAUUAAAUGUAAUUAACCAUAUAUUUGAAUUGCAUAAAGUAAUCCAAAUUGAUGUUGAAAUUGUUGUUAGAUUUUGUGUCAAUAACACAGCUCUAACACAAUCAAAUACGUAUACGCCAGAAGCCACCACGACAUACCAACUAAAAAUGGUGUUAUCUAGCAAUUAACAAGCAUCUCUGUCAAAUAUGGAAGGUAAAGAAAUCUAAUACUUUGAACCAGCACUGACUCAGACUCUUAACUCGGAACAAGAAUAAUCCUAGCUUCUGAAUUUACAAGUGAGACAUCUUCUCACCAUAGAAGAAGUUAAUGAAUUGGGACACCAAAUAUAUCCUGGUUAAGCUUCAUGAAGCGAACAGGGCUUCAUUAGCAUGGGCAUACAUCUUUGUAACCACUGAAUAUAUGUGGUUUGUGCCGGGCAAUACAAUUCUGUAAGGAAUUUAUAAUAAAAAUCAUCAUCACAUAUUACUAACAACAAAAAUAAUUACCCAGAAAAACAUGUACUUCUACAAGCAAGUAAAACAUAGAAAUUUAUUAUCCAAGGUUGCCAUCCAGAAUUUACAUGUACUUCUACAUGUAUUGAUUCUACAAGCUAAUCCUUGCUUGUAAACAUACAGUAAUGAAAGCAUCAAAUUCAAACAAUAUCUGCAGCACAAACAUCCUCCACAAAACCUUACAUCAGGUCUCACUAUAUCAAUACCAGAGCACCGUAGUUUGAUUCUUAAGAACGGAAGUCGUGACUCAUGCAAAAGGAUCUUAUAAAUGUCGGUUGUCAGAUUCAGUUCUUUAUCCCACAUUACUUCCUGUACAUCAGAAAGCUCAUUACCAUAGUUGCUUCAACCUGGUAUGCACAUUUUACAUAAAUCAAAUAAUAAUAAUAGUAAUUACUCACAAUAUAGCAGCAAAAACUUUAGUGUAGAAACACUCUUCACAUUCAGCAGAAAACAUAUCCAUUUCUCCGUUAUAGCUUAGAAACAGUGGAGAGAUAUCUCCAUAGUCCUUUUAAGUUCUACUAAAUAUCUAUGUCGAAAGUCAAAACACCUAGUAAACAGUGAUUUUUUUUUUGCACAUUUUUGGGGAGAGGGAACAAUAUUUUAGCAUUAGAGAAGUAAUCUAAAACACAAAUGAAGAUACGUCGAGAUGCAGAAGGAUCAUGUCAAUGUUCCAUUCACAAUACCCAAUGUAAAACUGAGAUGUUAAGCAUAUCAUUACCCAAUACCCUUUCGUACAAGCCAUAGAUUCUGUGGUGUGAACCAUCUCUACACAUCUCGAAUGACAACGCCGAAAGCCAGACAACUACAGAUGGUUUCCUGACAAUAUACAGUCAAAGAAGAAUGAAUACUUGGUUUAUAAAUAGAGAAAAUAUGACCUGAAAAGAAAAUAUGUCAUAGAAACAGGGAGUGUUCAGUCAAAAUGAGAUAAUAAGGGAAAUAUUAAAGCAUGAGAAAUGUAAGAAAAAGGUUAAGGAGCAGCAGAUACAAGUAAAUCAAUGUAAUGCUUGAAAGUACAAAACUAAAACUUAGUUAUAAAGUUCAUAAAACAAAAUUUUUAUUUUAAUUCAUCCAUUUGCUAGAUCAAAAACAAAAUUUAAUGUUGUUUUCUUAUACUAUAAAUUUUCCACCACAGAUGCCAUGUUUUUGCAAUUUUGAACUUGAUAUAAACGAUGAUAUAAGAUGAAGUUUAACUUGACCUGUUGGACAAAAGCUACAUAUAUAGAUUAACAGUAUUCAUACUCCCUAAGAAAUGACAAGUUAUGCAUAUUCAGAAAUAUAUUACUUUGGGAUAAUAACCAAUUUCUUUUUCAAAAGAUCUUUCACAAAGAUUAUGAUUAAAAGCAUUUAUGCUUUCAAAGUAUUAGGAUCUUAAUCUUACUUGUAACAACAUUCUUUUAGGAUCUGUUGCAAUUUAUUAGACAUUGUGUGAAAGUUGCCAAACUCCACUACACCUUUUAAAAAUUCUGGACCAAAGGGAUUCAGCUGAAGGCUGUGAGAGAUGGAUUCCAAGCAUCCUUAUGUGACAGCUACGUAUUCUCCUUUCUGCAGGUCACAAGCAUUCAAAUAGAUGUGAUAAGUAACACAAUAUACAGUUAUGCUGCAAUAGAAAAGACUCACGUUGAUUACCCGACAAAAUGUUUUAUAUUCAAGCAUUUAGCUCAAUGUAAACCUCAUGUGUUAUUAAGUAAUGUUUCAAUUGUAAUCACGUUAUACUUCACAUCAAAGUUACAAUAUGACAGUCUAUUAAUUGAACUACAGCACUUGCAAACUAUGUUUAAAAAUUCAGUGGUUUCAAAAUUCGACAUUAUGAACCAUAUGAAAAACCAUCCUCCCUAUGAAGCAUGACACCGGACUCGACACUUACAUGUAAUCGCAUGUGUCGAACACAAACACUUGUUGGGCACCAGACAUGCUUCAAUGAGAAUUGUUUGUGCUACAAAACAUCCUGCACAUUAAAUUCAAACAAUAUUUUAGACUGCAACAAUGCAAAAGUUUAAACAGAAAACCACAAACCUGUGAUUAAUUGAGAGAAUCUAGGUCCGGUGCUCCUUUUGUUUUCUGAAUCUAGCCCUGAAUUUAGGAUGCACCCAAAUCUUUUUCUGAAGAUUUAUACGGAUUGAAAAUUUAUUUCGUUUCCGUUUCUUUUGUGAUAAUGAAGCAUUGAGAUAUUCAUUUGAUUUUGUCUUUCUAAUAUAAGGAUUGAUAAAUACCACAUUCUCCUCCUCCGUGUUGCUUUUCUCUUUCCACACGUGGAUUCCCAUUUGUGCAUUUCUGAAUAUUAUAUUGUCACGAUCCUUCAACUUAAAUUCCACAUGGAUCCAUUCAUUUUUCAAAAGUCCUUUGUCCAUUAUAUACUCAAAUUGUCUUUUACUGAGUUCAUUCAAUUUCGGGGUAUGAAACAAAUUUGUAUGCUUAAGGUACACAUAGCUAAAGCGGUGACAAUAAUCUAUCUUCAUAUUCAUUCACAAAACAAUUGACUCUUGUGACAGCCGACCAAUUAUUGCCUUCUGUAGGAAUACAAAUAUAAGUCAUAGAAGGGAUUUCUUUACGAAACCAGAAAGAAAUUGUGUCUCCCCUGCUUUGGUGCUCAAACCAAUCUGGUAUCCCCUCUGUUCCGUUUGGGAAAUAAAAAUAAGUGCAUCGAGCCUCAUGUAGUUCCUGUUAGUGUAUAUGAAAUACAAAUAUAUAUUACACAUUAUCAAAUAUAAAUAUAUAUGAAAUACUAUAGUGCAAUAAAAAACAACAACAAACCUGAUUCAUUAACAUUCUUCUACUUGAUGAACUCAAUGAUUCACAUCCAUAAGCAUCAACCACUUCAAGAUUUGGUGGAAUCCCUCUAAUUUCCUCAAGAGAUUUGCAAUCAUACAAAUUAAUAUGACUAAGAUGGUGACACUAUAGAAUACAUUCUAUCAUUAUGUUUUGGGAACCUCAGCAUUCCAAAUUCCCGUACUGAUAACUCAUCAAGUUCACUGAGAUUUUGAAAUGAAGAUGGCAAUUCUCGUAUGGAAGUAUACCAAAACCAAAUCUUGUCUAUAUUUGUCAUCUUGCAUAAUAAUUUUGGAAAACUUUUGAGACUAUAACAACAAGAAAGCUUCAAUUCUUUAAGAGAUGCCAACCCUAAAGGUGGAAAACGUUUGAGCGUCCUGCAACCAAAUGCACUUAACCUUUCAAGUUUAUUUAGGUGUCCAAUCGAAUUGUGAAUUGUAAUUAAAUUCUUACAAUAUUCAAAUGAUAACUUUUCUAAAUUUGAAAGCCCUGAGACAUCGGGUAUAUGUGUUAAAUAUUCACAAUGGUCCAAUAUCAAGAUUGUCAUAUCCUGGAACUUCUGCAUAAACACAAAGGAAGAAACUAUAAAUAAAUUAAAAAGCAAACACUAUACUUUCAUAGUGAUUUCUUUUCUGUUGCUGAAAAAGAAAUCAUUGUACAUUAUAAAUAUAUACAGUUAGAAAAUGAUUUUAUUUCACUUGCCUUGCUUAAAAUACUAGACGAUAGAGACUUUGAUAAACAUCCUUCCCAUUUCAAUGCUUUCAAACUGCUUCGAAGAUACUUGAGACCUUUAGAACAAUGGCCAUUUUCAAUAAUAAGUGUUUUCAAUCUUGUCAUCUUUUUGAAGGCCUUUCCUUUCUUGUCUAUUACAGAUUCCAUAGAGUGCAAAUUCAUACAUAUCAUUUCAGUUUUACCAGUUCCCUGUUAACAAAAAUAAAAAUAAAAAAUGCAUCAACCACAAUAAAAAUCUGUUACAGAGAAAUUUACAUGUAAUUAAGUGGAAAAAUAUACUAGUAUGAGAUGGUCAUAUUUAGUCCAAAAUGAGCAAAGUUGUAUUAAAACUAAAUAACAAAUUGAACAUAGAUAUCAAUCUUACGCACAGUGUUUUCUUUUAAAACAUGAACUAUAUCAUCUUGAGACCAUAACCUGCUUCUUUCUCCAGGCUCUUUAGGUGAUUCUUGUCGGACGACUUCUUUACCCAUGACCUCUAUCAAUUCAUGUAAUGUCACUUUGAUACCACUGAAACAGCACCAACUAAUAUUUAUGAGAGACUUAUCAACCAACACUCCAAUGUGGCUUUCUAUGGAAUAACCAUAAUGAGCAUGAAGUAUCUGUUUGACUUUCUCCAAUCUACAUCCUUUGAUGCAACAAGCAAUAUCCAAAAAGACACUCUGCUCCUCUUCUUCCAAAGCAUCAUAGCUGAGUCUAAGUAUCUUUUGGAUAUCUUUAUGUGGAAUUCUUCCAUACUUAUCUAAUGUAGACUCACAUUCUGCAAUACUCUUUCCAAACAAGUUAGAACCCACUACUUCUAUCGCUAAUGGAAGGCCAGAAGCAUAUACAACUGCACGCUUUAAAAUGUCUUCAUAACUUGAAGGAACUUUCUCAUUUUUAAAAGCCUUCCACCUCAACAAUUCAAGAGCUUCUGUCCCAUUCAACUCUUCUACUGCAUAUGUUUUUUCUAUCCCAUGACAGUCUAGUAAGUGUUUAUCUCGGGUGGUGAUGAUGACUCUGCUUCCAGGACCGAACCAAUCAAGUCCUCCAGCCAAAGCAUCUAGCUGAUCCAGUUUGUCAACAUCAUCAAGAAUCAAAAGAAUCUUCUUUCCAUGUAGCCUUUCCUUUAUUUUAGGAAUUCCUUCGCUAACACUUCCUAACUUAAUUUCAAGUUGAAGUGUUUUUAAAAGGAGCUCCUGCUGGAGAUUUUUCAAGUUAUUUGAAGCUGAACUCUCUUUCACAUUUUCAAGAAAACAUGAGCAUUCAAAUUGAUCAGCAAUAAAGUUAUAAAUUGCUUUCGCAAGUGUUGAUUUUCCCAAGCCUCCAAUCCCAUAAAUUCCAACCAUAUGGACCCCAUGAUCAGAUCCUUCAUCAAGAAGCGAUUUCACUUGUUGUACUCGAGACUGCAAUCCAACAGGGUAAGUGGCAACAUUUAAGGGCUGUCGACUGAUCUUGUUGGAGAUGUAUUUGACUAUCUUUCCAAUAAGCUUGUAUUCAUAUCUAUUCAUGUGCAAUAAGAUAAGUUAGUGUCUAACAACAUCACAAUCACAUCCAUGUACUAAGAAUGUAUUAUACAUUUCUAACUAUUUCGACAUAUAAAUAACUAAUAGUACUUGUUUAAAACUGUAUAUAAAAAAGGUAUUUCCCUUUUAACCUUUAAGAUGAGAUUAUUGUAAAAUUGAAGUUGAAGAAAUAAAAUAGAAAAGGGAAAAAUAGGAUUUAAGUAAAGUUGGGUACCCAGGAGGACUAUCAUGGUAGCCGGACAAGUUAGCAGCCUGGCUCAGAGCGUCUUUCCAUCCCUGCAACCUCUCCAUGUUUUUCGGAUCAUUUUGAAACCUCUUUUCAUGCUCAGCCAAUGCUUCACCAUAACUACCUUUAUGAUGUCGCACAUGAGAAGGAUCCACACCAAAGAAAACAGGCAAAACAGGGCGACCCUUUGUCUUGUAGCAAUGAAUGAUGUGGUCAAGUUCGUCCAAACAAAACGAAGAAGAGGCAUAGUUGAUAGAAAACACAGGAAUAAAAAUCCUAGACUCUUCAAUGGCCUUGAGAAGUGAUGGUGUGAUUUCAUUUCCUCUUUGAAGACCAUUGUCAUCAAUGAAGGUGUUGAUUCCCUUGUCAGUAAGAGCCUUGUAGAGAUUGCCGGUGAAACCGUACCGAGUGUCACUUCCUCUGAAACUGAGGAAUACUUGGUAUUUGUAAUCAUAGGAAAUUGAAGUGGAAGAGGAAGGUGAUUGCAUAGCCAUGAGAAUAUGAAUGAGAAGUUUUUGUGGUCUGUGAAGUCUUUGAUAAGUAACUUUAUAACUUAUGAGAAAAGUUAUGACAGAAAUGGUAUGUGAAACUUCCUAUAGUCGUGUGGACCAAUCAUUGUACUACCACCUCUUCUUCUUGCUAAUUUCUUCCAUGUCAUUACUGUUCAUCUUUUGGACAAAUCUUAUUCUUCUGCUGCAUGUAAUUUUUCACUUUGUUACUUAAUUAAUCAGUGUCUUAAAUUACAUGAGCUUAAAAUAAAUACAAGCUAUGCCAUUCAAACAUACAAUUAAAGACAGUUAGUAAUGAAAAUAUCAGAAAGUUUUGAUCAUAGUAUAGAUAUGAAAUAUUAUAGUUUCUAUUUAUUUUGAAAAUAUUACCACUUGAACCAAAUGGUUAAUUAACCAUGCACACACAAUUAUUAUUGUACAUGUUUACGUUAAAUGUUUAAUUAGCUAUCCAACAGAACUAAUAUAACAAUGUCCUAUUUUUCAUGUUAAUCUUACAUUGUACUAACAGUUAUAAAUGUUGGAAAAAUAAUGACUGAGUUGACGGCAAAAUCAGAAUGGAUAGAAAUCAAACUUGGAAGCUAUUUUUCACUGUUUUUUGGUUCUACACUUUUACCAAAUGGGAACUGGGAAGCUUCCUUCCCUUUUCCUUCUUCCAUGUAAUUUCUUUAAAGCAAUGUGAAUGUCUUAAAAGAAGAAAAAGGUAAAAAAUUAUGUCUCCUUGUAAUUGGGUAGAAUGCUGUAACCUAUAAGUAGCCAAUCUAGUUGAAUGCUGAAACUAUAGCAUCAUUUUUAAUGAUAAAUAAUAAGUGUUAUAGAACCCAACUUAAAAAAAUGGAUAAAACUAAACAAUGAAAAAGUAUAUACUAGCAAAGUUUCAUCCACAAAUUUCUACUUGUGUAAACUUUCAGGUAACUAUUGUCACUUUGUUUAUCUAAAAAAAAAAAAAAAUAGAUAAAAAUUGAUUAAUAAAUAACUCAUUAAGCUUGAUCCCAAAAAAAUAAACACCCACCCACCACUCUGCCCCCUGUCACAUAUGCACAUGGCAGUAGGCAUGUCACAAAUUUUGGCAUCUUUUUCAUAUGCUACAAUAUAAAGGUCAUCAAAACUUCUAACCAUAUCCAUAUAAAAAUAAACAAAAUGAAGCUCCAUUACACCAUCAAGAUACAUUUUGGUUACUUCUAACCAAAGAAAAAUAAGGAAAAUUUGCAUUUCAAAUAUCAUCAAAUGACAUGUUAAUUGAGUCUCACAUUUGCUUUAACUUUGCUUCCAACAGUAGUAGUAUCAACAGGACCCGGAUUCCGUGCAUUAAUAAUUGUUAAUCUUGGCCCUUUGUGAUCGGAUGGUUCAGAUUACAGAUACAUUAAUUCGGUUGUCAACCAUCUCAACCGUAGAUUUAAAUCAGACAGACUAGAUUGGGAAUCCAUUUCCAUAUCAACUACAUGAAAAACACUAAUAAAUAGACUAAAAGAAUUAUCCCACAUCAUGUACAACCAAAGAUUCCAAGUACUUCCCUUAAUUUCCAUCACAAACCAAAACAAAGAAACCAAAAGCCUAACAUUACAUCAUAUAUUGUUGUUCUAAAUUACAUCCUUGACCAUGGUUAACAAUUUGGCGAGGGAAGGGAAAAGACAAGAAUGACACAAAAUAAAAACUUCUCAAUUCAUUAUGCAGGAAUGUGAAAGUGCACAACUCUAUCCAUAUCAUCUUUAAAAUUUUGAUAAUCAAAAGCAUCAUGGAUGCAAAGGUAGUGCCUUUCCCUUUCAAUGAUUAACCUAAUCAACUUAGGGUAAUAUUGACAUCAUCACCAAGUGUGAAAAAACCGAAGAAUACUUCAAGAUGAUAUCGGUUCGUAAGGGUAUGAUAACCAGGGGUGCUUUAGAGCUUCAGAUGCAGAAGGUCGCUUCUUCGGGUUAACCUCCAGCAAAUGAUCAACAAAGUCAAUGAAGCCUUGGUCCCUUAUCGGUAAUCUAUGCCUCAAAGAUGUCUUCUUUGGAAUCAGGUAUUCUAACAUGUUGCUUUCCUGCAUAUCAAUACACAAUACCUCACUGAAUAAUUUUUCCAUGAUAAUUAAACAUACAAUGCAUGUUUAAUAUGAGCAUGUUUAGAUUGGGUUAUUUGAGCUUAUUAUCAACUUGCAUAAGCACUUAUGAGACUGUUUGGGAGAAUUUAUGGAAACAACUUAUGACAUGUUCAUAAGCUAUUUUCAAGUAAUUUCCGUAAACUCUCUAGGAUUGCAAAUGAAAUUAACUUACAGCUUAUAUGAAAAUAAUUUGACUUUAUUUUAUCUUUUAUUAUAGAAAAUAACAUAUAUAAGCACUUACAUGGGAAGUGUCUAUACUGCAAGCUUAAUUAAGUUGUUUAUCCAAACAUGGCAAUUACAAGCGAACGAAAAUAGUCAAUUUUAGAAAUUUUAGGGAGCUAUCUCUUGUUUUGCUUUUUGAAGACGGUGCAAAUGAAAAGAUAUCGCAAACUUUAAGAUUGUUCGCUGAUGCAUUUCAUAUGCAAAGACAUUUUAGAAAUGAAUUUCUUACCUGAUUCCUCUCAUAAAGCAUAUGAAUUUUUGUGAAGUACUUAGUAUCCCGUCCUUUUGCUAGCAUGCUUUGACCAAUUGGACAGAUGAUCCCAAUUACCCUAGCUAGCAGUGUUGCCGGGGAAUCGUUUUGGAAUUAUACCUACAAUUAAGAAUCAAGAUUUAUGUGUGUAUUCACUAAAGCAAAUACAGAUUUGACAUCCGCUUUCACCCAAAAAUGUAAAAACCCUACAACUGCAAGAACACAUUAGCGUCUAAAGAUACAUAGGGGGACUUGUUCUGUUCUAUUCUCUAUAUAGUUCCACUAAGACAACAGAAACUCACUAGCCACUAUUUAACAACACCCAAAUCAUUUUCAAAUUUAAAAUAUACUUAAUCAGUUAAUUUCAGGUAGUGUUUAGAACACGAAUGGAAUUAAAUGGGACAGCUUAUUUUUGCUUCAACAACUUUUCUGUUCUAUUUUUUAUUUGCUUUGAAAUUGUAGAAUAUAAAUUAUUCUAUCCUAUUCUAACCUGACUACCAAAAACUUCCUUAAGACUAAGAGUGAUACAAUCCAACUAGAGUGGGCAUGGUUCGGUAAACCCAAAAAACCAAACCGAACCGAACCGUUUCAUGUUGGCAGCUAACCGAACUGAACCAAAAUUAUGGUUUGGUUAACCAUUUGCUUACCUAUUAACCAUACCGAACCGAACCAAAACAAAUAUUUUUUAUCCAAUGAAUAAAAUCACUUUUAUUAUAAAAAAUAACAAAUUAAAAUUAAAAGUUAGAAUAGUUUAUUUCUUCAAAAACAACUUAUCUUAUACAAAACAGUUUAUUUUAAAAAACAGCUUAUUCAAAAAAAAUUAUUUUAUGAAAAACAAUUUAUUACGAUCUCUUUUUAAAAAUAGCUUAUUCGAAACCGCUUAUUUUAUGCAAAACACCUUAUUUUAAAAAAUAGCUUAUUCAAACAGCUUAUUUUAUGAAAACAACUUAUUUUAUUCAAAACAUGUUUUGAAUAAGUUGUUUUUUUUAAAAUAAGCUGUUUUGAAAAUAAGGUGUUUUUCAUAAAAUAAGUUGUUUUUCAAAUAAGCUAUUUUGCAUAAAAUUAGCUGUUUUGAAUAAGCUGUUUUUUUAAAAUAAUUUGUUUUCAUAAAAUAAGCUGUUUUGAAUAAGUUGUUUUUUAAAAUAAGGUGUUUUGCAUAAAAUAAGCUGCUUUGAAUAAGUUUUUUUUUUUAAAAUAAACUAUUUUGCAUAAAAUAAGGUGUUUUUCAAAUAAGCUGUUUUUUUAAAAUAAGUUGUUUUCAUAAAAUAAGCUGUUUUAAAAAUGAGGUGUUUUGCAUAAAAUAAGCUAUUUUAAAUAAGUUGUUUUUUUGGAAAGAUCCAACAAAAAGUUCAAGUGGUUUCCUUAAAAAAAAAAAAAAAAAACAGUUCAAGUGGUUUGGCUCGGUUCAAACGGUUCGGUUCGGGAUGGUUCAAGAACUGUUAAUAAAUUAACGGUUCGGUUCGUGAACCAUUAUAAUGGUUCGGUUAUUUUUGGUUCAGUUCGGUUCGCGCGGUUCGGUUCGGUUCAUGGUUCUUUCUGCCCACCCCUAAAUACAACAUAACAGAGCAAAUAUGUCUUACACAAAUUGGCAUCUAAACAAUGCCAUCACCGAGGGAAAAACACGAAUCAAGGAUCAAGCAGUAAAUUUUGGGGUAAAUUAGACCUAGUGUGUAUUAAAGAGCAAAACUAGAACAUCUUCAUGUACCUCUAAAACAACUACUUCCAAGAUCAAUGACCUUCACCUCACAUCGGCUGUAGCUUUUAACCAAAAUAUUCUCCGGCUUCAAGUCACAAUGUAUUAGUCCAAGGUUAUGUAAAUACUGAAGUGCUUCCUAAUAUUGAAUGGUAAUUGACUGCAAUAACUUAUGAAACUCGUAUAAGUUGGCUUUGAGUAGUUCACUCACUAUUAACAAAUGUUCCUGCAGUUCAACAAUGGAAACGAAUCAAAAGUGGUAAAGUCAGAUGAUUAAGUUGAUAGAUAUUUCUCAAACCACUUUGAAUAUAGCUUUGAAGAAUAGUCCUUAUAAUGGAAUUCAGUUCUUUCUGAAAUAUGACAAGUGUGAAUAGUUAUAUUUUAUAACAAAUUCUGGAAUGUAUCAAAAAAAUGUGAUAGUCAAAAACACAUUAAGUGGUUGUAGUUAAAAUUAUCAAAACUAUAACAAAUGUACUAUUGUUGCAGCUGCAGCACAUAUUAGUAUAGGGCCAAGUCUAUGGUGCGGGGACUUAAGUCUUGCACCAUGCACAACGUGGUUUUUACCAUUGGAUCAAUAAGGCUCAGUAUUAAAUUAAAUGAAAUAUGGUGAGAUUUAUUGAUCCAAUGGUGGCAAAUAAGCUUGUGCACGAAGCAAUACUAUUUUGCUUUUGCACAUUAGACAAGUCUUGAUAUAGAAGUAGUAACAAGAUGAGUAGCAGAUCGAAAAUCACUUACUCUGUAAUAAAAAUAAUCAUAUAAUCGCAAAAUGUGAUACUUGUCUCCAGGAUCAUGCUUAUUGACAUACUUGAGAAGUUUGAUUUCAUCAAGGCAUUGAUCAAGGAAAUCCUUGUUGUUCUUUAUAAUUUUAACACAAACAUGAUAGCGGCUAGAUACUUGGUCAUGAGCUUGUAUAGCUUUACUAUAAAUGCAGCAAAAUCCAGAUACUUGGUGACAUGAUAGCGGCCAGCUAUUACCGAAUUUAAAACAACAUGGAAAUUCUUGUCCUCCUCAAAGCCAGUUCUGAACAACAAAACAUAGUUUUAGAUAGCAUGUCAAAGCCAAAAGGAGAAACACCAUGGAAUAAUUUCAAGAAUAGCUAUUGUGCAACAUAACAAAAGUAUCUACAUAGACGAGCUCAUUGAGCCUUCUGACAUGGCAUAAAGUUAAACAGAUAAAUAUUCGGAAAAGCUUAGUAAGCAUCAGCAUAUGACUUCCCCAAUUUCAACAAUGUUUUCGAUCGAAUUAUCAUGACAACACAUGUAUGUUAUACAGUCUCGCGUACGGUAACUUCUCAAUUUCUUGUAAGAACAAAAUUAAGGAAUAGAAAAUCUUCAGGAGUUUACAGCAAUUGUCAAGUCAUGCAGAGCACAGGACUGCUUGAAUUAUUACUUUAUGCAGUCAUUUUGAUUGUGCUGAUUUCAUGACUACUACACGAGGGCACAAGUACAAGUGCACGAUAUUUCUAAAGAAAAAUAAUGAAUUUUAUUCAUCAUAAAUCAUUAAUAUUUUCAGAUCAUAAAGUCUUAGUUUCAUCUUAUUUUCCAUUAUUAACACAACCAAAUAUUUCACAAAAUGUUGUUUGUGCUUGCUAGUGUGGACAUCCAAAAGUCUGAAGAUUAACUCAAUGCGCUGUAAUGAACGGAAUAAUAAUUAAUGCAUUAUAAGGCUUUUAAAUAUCAGAUAUGCACAUGCCACUAAAAGUAGCACAAUGUCAGAAGUUUUAGAAUCUUUUCCCUAUCGUCUCUAUUCUCUAUCCUUCCGUUCACCCUUGCAAUAGUCAAAUCUUAAAUUUACACAAUCAGAUAGGACAGCCAAUAAAUCUUGUAUUGAUUUCAAAAGCUAUAGAUUUAUCAAAGAUUGUUGCAACAUCAUUAAUAUAAUCAGAAAACCAACAAUCAUUGAACAACAAAAGGCCGGCCUCCAGUUUUUACAUGUACUUCUACAAUGGUAUUAAUUCCACAACCUAUUGCAUUCUUGUAAACCUACAGUAAUGAAAGCAUCAAAUUCUAUCUGCAGCACAAGCAUCCUCCCUAAAAACUUACAUCAGGUAUCACCAUAUCAAGACAACAGUGUUGCAUUAAUUACUAUACCAAUAACAUUCACAACAACUGGAUUAUGGAGAUCAAAAGUCGCAACUCUUCCAAAAGGAUCUGAUAAAUGUCGGUUUUUGAUUCAGUUCUCCGGCUUUACUUUUUGUAGAGGAGAAAGCUCUUUUGCAGUAAGGACAGUUAAGUUUGAUAAACCCGUCCAACCAUAGUCGUUUCGACCUGUAUGCAAAUUUACAUAAAUAAAUCAAAUAAUAAUAACUUACAAUAUAUCAACAAAAAAGUAGACACAUUUGAUUAUGAAAAUUUUAGUGUAGAACAACUCCUUCCUUUCAUAAAAAAUAAAUACAUAUUUGUCCCCCCAUAUAGCUUAGAAACCAUGGAGAGAAAAGAUCGACAUUGAUUACCUGACAAAUUUUUUGUAUAUGACCUUCCAAAUCCAAUCCAUUUAGCUCACUGUAAACCUCUUGCAUGCUUAUAAGAUAGUAAAAAAAAAUUCAGUAAUGUUUCAAUUGCAAUCAUGCUAUAAUUCACAUCAAAGGUUAAAAACAUGUGUGCUAAUAAUUUUCCAUGUGUGAAAUCAUAUGACAUUGGGAGAGAUUUAUGAAACCAGGAUACGUAAUAUGGGUGUAAUACGGAUACGAUCGAGGAUGCGUUAAAUUUUUAAAAUUUAGUAUGCGAUAUGGCUAAAAUAUGUUAACAUGAUUUAAUUCAUAAAGAUACAAUAGACUUCACAUCCAAGCAGAAACCCUUGUAAAAAGUGACUUAAUAAAAACGUGUAUAGUUACUAAUAGUAAGGACACUUAAAUUCAUCAACCAAAUGUAGACCCAUAUUCAAAACAUCUACAUAAACAUGGACAUCGUAUUCAACAAUGACAACACCAAUAGUAAUUUGCAGAAAUAAGCUAUCUGAAUGCAAUAUGAUAUAUUGGCCAUUUGAACAUAUUUGAGAAACAAUAAUUGGUUUAUAAUAAUGAUAAUGAUGUACCUAGUCAUGUUGUUUUCCUUUUCUUUUUUGUCUGUAAGCACCAUGUUCUGCAUGCCUGAUGACAAUAAAGCUAGAUCUUGCUGCUGCAAACUUUCUGUCUCUGAAACUUCGAACCUUUUUACUCCAUCUGAUUUUGUUUCUUCCAAGCUCCACCUAUGCGCAGUUUCUGUCUCUGAAACUCCCACUUCCACAAAUCUAUGCUUUUCUUUUGUUUCAGUAAGCACCAAGUUCCGCAUGCCGGACACUACAGCUAGAUACUGCUGCUGCAAACUUUCUGUCUCCGAAACUUCCAAGCUUUUAACUCCAUCUGAUUUUGUUUCUUCCAAGCUCCGCCUCUGCAAACUUUCUGUCUUUGAAACUUCCACAAACCUUUGUUUUUUAAGUGUAGGACGAAAUUUCCUUAUCUUUCUAGGAGGAUUGGGGAAUAAGGCUUGGGAAUAAUAAGGCUUGGUUGUUGUAGUUGUUCUAUUAGGAUUGGUGAAUAUCACAUCCUCAGUGUUGCUUUUCUCGUGGAUUCCGAUUUGUGCGCUGCUUAAUUUUUUAAUCUCAUCAGGCACGAAUAUCUCAUCCUCACUUAAAUCAUGAUCCUUUAUGUUGCUUUUCUCCUUCACCACAUGGAUUCCCAUUUGUGCACUACGGUAGAAAUCAUCCUCCUCCGUGUCGAUUUGCUCCGUGUUGCUUUUCUCCUGGUAGUGGAUUACCAUUUGUGAACUGCUUUCAGUGAAUAUCUCAUCAUCACUAAAAUCAUCCUCCUCCGUGUCGAUUUCCUCCUCUGUGUCGGUUUCCUCCGUCCACGACACGUGGAUUCCCAUUUGUAAUCUCCUUAAUUUUUUAAUCUCAUCCUCACUGAGAUGUAAAUCAUCUUUCUCCCAAUCAAUCUCCACAUGAUUCAAUUCAUUUUUUUUAAUUGUUCGUAUCAUUUCAGGCAUAUGGUUAAAAUUGUCGUAAAUACGUGAUUUUAAUCCCAGAUCAAACAAAAAUGUAUGUUUCGACGGCAGAAGUACAUUUUCAUAGUUUAAUUCCCAAUGAAGAGGACAUUCAUCACCAUUUAGAAACAAAUUGACUUGUGGAAUCUCCACAGAUUCUGGAUUAAGAAUAAUACAAGUUAUACAAGGGAUCUUUCCAUGAAAAGAGAAAGAAAUUGGUUCGUUAACCUUGAUUUGAUACUCGAACCAAUUUGGAAUCCCCUCACUUCCAGUUGGAAAAUAAAAAUCCGUGUGUCCAGCCUUGUGUAGUUGCUGUUAGUUAAGAAUAAGAUGUAUUACAUUAUCGAUUAUAUAUCAAUAUCAAAUACUAUCUAUCAAAUACUACUGCACAAUAAAACAACAAACAAACCUGACUCAAUAACAUUCUUCUACUUGAGGAACUCAAUGAUUCACAGUCCUUUGCAUGAAAUAUUUUAAGAUUUGGUGGAAACCCUCUAAUUUCCUCAAGAAACUUGCAGCCAUCCACAUAAAUGUUUUUAAGAAGGUGACAUUCACUAAGGCACUCAGGAAGAAUUUUGAAAUUGCUCUCAGAUAAGACUAGAUUUUCCACAUUAACACACCACAUUAGAAGUAUUCGGAGAAAUUCAUCUGAGAGGUUGCUCUUUUCAAUUCUAAGAUGGUUCACAUUUGAAAAUACUAUAGAAUUCAUUUUAUCAUUUUGUUUUGGGAACCUGAGCAUUCCACAUUGAUAUAUUUGUAAGCGAUCAAGUUCACUGAGAUUUUGAAUUGAAAAUGGAAAUUCCAUGCAAGUUUCAUUCAACCAAAUAUCUUUUAAAUUUGUCAUCUUGCAUAAUAAUUCUGGAAAACUCUUGAGACUCUUACACAUGGCGAGUUCCAAUCUCUUAAGACAGGGCAGUUGUAAAGGUGGAACACUCUGGAGCUUGAUGCAAUAUUUUGCAUCUAAGAUUUCAAGUCUGUUUAGGAAUCCAACUGAAUUGUGAAUUGUAAUUAAAUUCUCACAAAAUUGAAACGAUAACUUUUCUAAAUUUGGAAGUCCUGAGACAUCGGGUAUUUGGGUUAAAUAUUGACAACUGUUCAAUUUCAAUACUUUCAUAUAGUUGAACUUCUGCAUAAAAAAUACAAAUAAUUAAGCUAAAAUUAAAAUUAUAAUCUAAUAGUGAAUUAUAAAUAUACACAAUUGAAAAAUGAAUUUAUUUCACUUGCCUUGUUCAAAAUACAAGAUGAUAGAGACUUCGAAGGACAACCAUUCCAUUUGCAAAAUCUCAAACUACUUGGAAGAUAGUCAGGACCUCUAGAAAACUGACCAUUUUCAAUGAUAAGUGUUUUGAGAUUUGUCAUCUUCUUCAUGGCCUUUCCAUUCCACUCUAUUACGUUUUCCAUUGAGGGACAAUUCAAAUGUAUCAUUUCAAUGUUCCUAGUUCCCUUUUAAGAAAAAUAAAACAACAGAAUAAACCACAAUAUAAAUAAUAUACAUGUAAUUAAGUGGAAAAAAAUAAUAGUAUGAGAUGAUCAUAUUUAGUCCAAAAAGACCAAAAGUCAUAUUAAAACUAAAUAACAAAUUGAUAUUAUAUAUCAAUCUUACUCACAGUGUUUUCUGUUAGAACAUGAACUAUAUCGUCUUGACACCAUAACCUACUUCUUUCUCCAGGCUCUUUAGGUGAUUCUUGUCGGACGACUUCUUUACCCAUGUCCUCUAUCAAGUUAUGCAGUGUCACUUUAUAAAUAGAUCCAGAAUGGUAAGUACAAAUCUGAACAAGAGAUUUUUCAGCCAACACUCCUAGAUGAUGUGUUAUGCAAUGGCCAUAAUGAGCACGAAGUAUAUCUUCAACCACUUCCAAUCCACAUCCUUUGAAGCAACAAGCAAUGUCUAGAAAGACACUCUGCUGCUCUUCCUCCAAAGCAUCAUAGCUUACUUUAAGAAUCUCGUGGAUCUUUUUAUUGGGAAUCUUCUCAUAUCCUUCUAACGUACCCUUCCAUUCUUCUAUCCUCUUUCCAAACAAGUUGGAACCCACUACUUCCAAAACUAAGGGAAGUCCUGAAGCAUAUGAAACUGCACGGUUUAAAACGUCUUCAUAAACUGAAGGUACUUUGUUAUUCUUAAAAGCCAUCCACCUCAACAAUUCAAGAGCUUCUGUCCUACACAACCCUUCUAAUGCAUACUUUCUUUCUAUAUCAUGACUGGUUAGUAAGUGUCUGUCUCGAGUGGUAAUGAUGACCCUGCUUCCAAGCCCAAACCAAUCAGGUUCUCCUGCCAAAGCCUGUAGUUGCCCCAUAUCGUCAACAUCAUCGAGAAUCAAAAGAAUCUUCAUUGAAUGCAGCCUUUCCUUUAUAUGAGAAAUUCCCUCACUAACACCUCCUAACUUAAUUUCAAGUUGAAGUGUUUUUAAAAGGAGCUCCUCCUGGAGAUGUUUCAAUUUAUUUGAAGCUGAAUUCUCUCUCACAUUUUCAAGAAAACAUGAGCAUUCAAAUUGAUCAGCAAUAAAAUUAUAAAUUGCUUUUGCAAGUGUUGAUUUACCCAAUCCUCCAGUACCAUAAAGUCCUACCAUGUGGACUCCAUCAUCAGAUCUUUCAUCAAGAAGAGAUUUCACUUGUUGUACUCGAGACUGCAAUCCAAUAGGAUAAUUGGCAACAUGUAAGGGCUGACGACUGAUCUUGUUGGAGAUUUCUUUCACUAUCUUUCCAAUAAGCUCGUAUUCAUAUCUAUUCAUGUCCAAUAAGAUAAGUUAGUAUGUAACAACAUCAUAAUCACAUCCAUGUACACUCAGAAUAUAUUAUACAUUUCUAACUAUUUUGACAUAUAAAUAACUAAUACUUGUUUAAAAACGUAAAUAAAAAAGGUAUUUGAUCUCAUUUAACCUUGAAUAUGAGAUUAUUGGGUAAUUGAAAUUGAAUAAAGAAAAUACAAAAGGGAAAAAUAGGAUUUAUGUAGUGUUGAGUACCCAGGAGGACUAUCAUGGUAGCCGGAAAAGUUAGCAGCCUGGCUCAGAGCCACUUUCCAUCGCUGCAACCUCUUUAUGUUAUCCUCAUCAUUUUGAAACCUUUUUUUAUGCUCAGCCAAUGCUUGACCGUAACUACCUUUAUGAUGUCGCACAUGAGAAGGUUCCACACCAAAGAAAACAGGCAAAACGACGCGACCCUUUGUCGUGUAGCAAUGAAUGAUGUGAACAAGUUCAUCCAAACAAAAGGAAGAAGAGGCAUAUUUGAUAGAAAACACAGGAAUAAAAAUCCUGGAUUCAUCAAUGGCCUUGAGAAGUGCUGGUGUGAUUUCAUCUCCUCUUCGAAGAUCAUUUUCAUCAAUGAAGGUAUGAAUUCCCUUGUCAGUAAGAGCCUUGUAGAGAUUGCCGGUAAAACCGUAUCGAGUGUCAGUGCCCCUAAAACUAAGGAACACUUGGUAAGUGAAUGCAUAGGAAAAUGAAGAGGAUGAGGAUGAGGAAGGUAAUUGCAUAGCCAUGAGAAUUGAGAGAAAUUGGAUGAAAAAAGAGUUUGAGAAUGCAGAAUAUGAAUGAGUAAGUUUUUGUGGUCUGUGAUUUGGAGUCUUUAAUAUAACAAGGAGAAAUUGUUCUUAAUAAAUAGUUAUUUUGGUCAUAAGUUUUUGCGGUCUGUGUUGACAAAAAUGGUUUGUGAAACUUCCUGGUCACUUCCUAUCUAUAGCCGUGUGGACCAAUCACAUACUAAAUAUCACUGUACUACACUUCUUCUUGCUAAAUUCUUCAAUGCGAUUAAUGUUCAACUUUUGGAGAAAACUUAAAUAAAUAAAUAAACAAGUGAAAACUUAUGACAAAAACAAACAUGAUUUCCGAUAUAUAUACUACCUCCGUUCCUUUUUAAUUGUCACAUUUACUACCAUAUCAUGUCUGAAACUUCCUUCUCAUCUUCUAUGUGGUCCAAUGUGGGACACUUCCUUUGAAUUUUCUACAUCUGUACGUGUGGACCAUGCACCAAUAGCAGUAUAGCACCAUUCAAAGAAAAACCUUGUAACCAUGAAUGAAGGAUGGAUAGGUGGAUGAAGACUAGUAAUACUUCUGUAAAUCAAUGUGUGCCUUAAAAGUCAAUGUUAAUGCCUUAAAAGUCAAACUGAAAUUUUCAAGUGGGAUGCUAAAAAUGAAUUGAGAGCUGUGAUAUUUUGUUUAGACCUUAAAAGUCAAAAGUCAUUAUGAUAUUUAUUGUGUUUGCGGCCGAACAAAUACUUAAUCUCAUCUUUGGAACUGACAUUUCCAACUAUUAUUCUAAUUCUAUACAGUAACUUGAUAUUUAUAUUUGAAAUUUGAUUUACCUCUUAUAAAUUCUUCAUAAAGUUUUAAAAAUAAAUAAUUAGUGUUGGAACCCAAUUUAAAAAUGAAUAAAACUAAACAAUACAAAAAAUAUAGAAGUAUAAACUAUUAAAGGAGGGGGACACAGUUCUUUGCUCCCAAUUAAAGAUUGUUGCAUCAUAAUUUAAUAUAAUCAGAGACUCAAUAAUCCUUGAACAAGAAAAGUUUGCAACAUCAACUUCAUGGUAUUUUCUUUUUCUUUCAAUUAUCCAAGGAAAGAAUAGUUUACAAACGCGUCGACAUUCGAAUACAUUAUCCAAGGAUGGCCUCCUGAAAUUUAUUCAAAUAAAAACACAAAUUGCAUUAUUAUUUUAUACUGCAUAGGUCAUGACUCUGGCAAAAGUAUUUCAUGAAUGUUGGCUCACAGAUUCAGUUCUUUAUCCCAUAUGAGUUCCUUUAGAUCAGAAUGCUUUUUUCCUGCAAGGAUAGUACGUUUAGUUUAAGAAACCCAUCCAACCAUAGCCGUUUUGAAUAAAAUAUUAAUAAAAGUACUUACAAUAGCAACAAAUACAAAACAUGUUUCAUUAUGAAAAUUUAAGGUUAGAACAAACUCUGCCCAUUCAGCAAAAAAAGAAACACAUUUGUUCCUCCCUAUAAAGCUUUUGGGAGAGGUAAUUCGAAAUACAAGUCCUCACCAGGGCAGGCAUGGAUAACACGAAAGGAAAUAUGUCGAGUUUGCAGAAGGAUCAUGUGCAAUGUUCAAUUCAUACUCAAAACAUUUCGUAUGACAAUGCAAAAAGCCAGACAACUACAGAUGAAUUUCUGUUAUUGACCUGUAAAAGAAGAAAUGAAUGCUUAGUUCACAGUUAAAGAAAGUUGCAAAAUUACUGAUAGGACAGUGUGAAAUUCUUAUACUCAUGCUCAUGCUAGGAUAGGGAAAUUGAAGGUAGAUAUUAGAAGCAUCUCAUACUCAUGCUUAUUUCAACAUGAGAGGAUCCACUAUUAAUCCACUAGAUACAUUAAAGAGAAAUGUCGAACCAAUUUGUAAGAACUUAAAAAUAAAUAGAAGAAAAAAGAUAACAAGUAGGAGAUAAAAGUAUAUUAAUUUUUGAGAAAAAUGACUUUCUUUCUAAUAAGUUAUAGCAUUUCAUUUCUCUUCUUGAUGUAUAAUCCACUCAUUACAACCAUAACGUAAUGAUUGGAAAUAAAAAACCAAAACUUUGAAAGCAUUCAUUCUGAAAGAUCUUUCAUAAAGAUUAUAUAUGAUUGAAAGCAUUCAUGCUUACUUGUAAACAGAAAUGACAAGUUGAUAGCUGUAGCCUCUCCUUUCUGCAGGUGACACACAGUCAACAGAUAAGAUCGAUAUUGAUCACUCGACGAAACGACUUUACAUAACAUGCCAAAUCUAAGUAUUGAGCCCACUGUAAAUCUCGCUUGUGCUUAUAAGCUAUUGGAGUUUUUAUCAAUUAUGAAUCAUGUUUCAAUUGCAACCACAUUGAAUUUCAUUCUUUAAGUUACUAAUAAUGCUAUGGAUGUUCCAUAUGUUUAUUGGUCAAAAUGAAAGCACAUAAAAUUAGUUAGGAGAGAUACAAGUUCCAAUUUGAAUCGUAAUUACUCAGAUCAUGAAGACUUCAACAUCGAAUGUCAACUUUAUAGGCUUAAAGUGGCUAUAUUUACAGUGAGACAGUCAAACUCUGAGAGAACCUUCAUUUUGACAUUUUAACCAUAUGAACAAGGAGAAAAUAAAAAAGUUGAUAAUAAUGAUAAUGAUGUACCUGGAGCAAGGAAUCAAUCUAGCCAUGGUGUUCCAAUUCUUUUGUUUCAUUAAGAACCAAGUUCCGCAUGGCUGACACUAAAGCUAGAUGUUGUUGCUUUUUCACUAACCUUUGCUUUUUCAGCGGUGGGUGAAAUUGUAAUAACGAAGCAUUGCGAUGUUCAUCUGAUUUUCUCUUUCUAAUAUAAGGAUCAGUGAAUACCACAUUCUUCUCCUCUGUGUUGCUUUUCUCAUUCCACACGUGGAUUCCCAUUUGACCACUCCUUAAUCUUUUAUUCUUCUCUUCCUCACUAAGUAUUUUAAAAUCCCAAUCAUCCAACUUAAACUCCACAUGGAUCCAUUCAUUUUUCAAAAGUUCUUUCUCGCAUUGUCUUUUACUGAAUCUAUUCAAUUUCGAGGUAUGAAACAAAGUUGUAUGGUCAGUCAGCAAACUAUUGUGGCAAUAUUCUGUCUCAAUAUAACCAUUCACAAAAACAUAGACCCUAUUGGUAUCAAGAAAGCCUUCCGGAAGAAUAAAUAUACAAGUUAUUGAAGGGAUUUCUUUACGAAACCAGAAAGAAAGUGUGAGUCCCCUGCUUUGGUGCUCAAACCAAUCUGGUAUCCCCUGCUCUGUUCCGUUUGGGAAUUCAAAAUAGGUGCAUCCAGCCUCAUGUAGUUUCUGUUUGUUUAUACAAAAUAAUAAUAAUAAUAAUUACACUAUGAAUUACAAAUUAAAUAUUAUAUAUAAAAUACUGUGCUAUAUAUAUAAAACAACAACUAACCUGACUCAUUAACUUUCUUUUACUUGAGGAACUCAAUGAUUUGCAUUCGCUUGCAGAAAGCCAUUUAAGAUUUGGUGGAAUCCCUCUAAUUUCCUCAAGGGACUCGCAGUCCCUCACAGUAAUUAGAACAAGAUGGUGACAUUCACUAAGGCACUCAGGAAGAAUUUUGAAAUUGCUAUAUGAUAAGUCUAGACAUGUCACAUUAACAAACCACUUGAGAAGUAUUGGGAGACAUUCAUCUGAGAGGUUGCAAUCCAUGAGAGUAAGCUCUGUCAUAUUUGAAAACACUAUUGAAUACAUCUUAUCAUUCUGUUUUGGGAACCUCAGCGUUCCAUUUGCCACUGAUAACUCUUGAAGUUCACUGAGAUUUUGAAAUGAAAAUGGCAGUUCUCUUAUGGAAGUACUAAUCAACAAAAUAUUGUCUAUCUUUGUCAUCUUGCAUAAUAAUUCUGGAAAACUAUCGAGACUCUCACAACCACUGAGAUUCAAUUUCUUAAGAGAUGCCAAACCUAAAGGUGGAAAACGUUCGAGCUUUCUGCAACCAUAUGCACUUAACCAUUCAAGUUUAUUUAGGUGUCCAAUAGAAUUGUGAAUUGUAAUUAAAUUAUCACAACAUGUAAACGAUAACUUUUCUAAAUUUGAAAGGCCUGAGACAUCGGGUAUAUGUGUUAAAUAUUCACAAUAGUUCAAUGUCAAGACUUUCAUAUUCUGAAACUUCUGCAUACACACAAGGAAGAAACAAAUCAAUAAAUUAAAACUCAAAGACAAUAAUACUUUCAUACUGAUUUCUUUUGUUGACUGAAACAAAAUCAUUGUGAAGUUAUUUCACUUGCCUUGUUUAAAAUAUUAGAUGACAGACACUUCGAUAAACAUCCUUUCCAUUUCAAUACACGCAAACUGCUUGGAAGAUACUUCAGACCUCCAGAAAAAUGGCCAUUUUCAAUGAUAAGUGUUUUCAGUUUUGUCAUCUUCUUGAAGGCCUUUCCUUUCUUGUCUAUCACGGAUUCCAUGGAGUGGAGAUUCAUAUAUAUCAUUUCAAUUUUACUAGUUCCCUUUUAACAAAGAUAAAAACAUGAAUCAACCACAAUAAAAAUAAGACAUAGAUAUAUUAACAUGUAAUUGAGUGAAAAGAAAUGCUAGUAUCAGAUGAUCAUAUUUAGUGCAAAAAGAGCAAAGUCGUAUUAAAACUAAAUAACAAAAUGAUCAUAGAUAUCAAUCUUACUCACAGUGUUUUCUCUUAAAACACGAACUAUAUCAUCCUGACAGCAUAACCUACUUCUUUCUCCAGGCUCUUUAAUUGAUUCUUGUCGGACGACUUCUUUACCCAUGUCCUCUAUCAAGUCAUGUAACAUCACAUAAUCGCGAUAUUCCCAAUAUUGGUCUAUGAGAGAUUUUUCAGCCAACACUCCUAGAUGAUGUGUUAUGGAAUGGCCAUAAUGAGAAUGAAGUGUAUACUUUGCAUCUUCCCAAUUAUAUCCUUUGAAGCAACAAGCAAUGUCCAGAAAGACACUUUGCUCCUCUUCUUCCAAAGAAUCAUAGCUCACUUUAAGUAUCUUUUGGAUCUCUUUAUUGGGAAUCCUGUCAUACCCAUCUAAUGUAUACUUCCAUUCCUCUAUGUUCUUUCCAAACAAGUUAGAACCCACUAUUUCUAUAACUAACGGAAGGCCAGAAGCAUAUGCAACAGCACGGUUUAAAAUCUCUUCGUAACCUGAAGGAACAUUGUCACUUUUAAAAGCCAUCCACCUCAACAAUUCAAGAGCUUCUGUCCCAUACAGCCCUUCCACUUUAUGCAUACUUUUUAUCCCAUGACAGGUUAGCAAGUGUUUGUCUCGAGUGGCAAUGAUGACUUUGCUUCCACGGCCGAACCAAUCAGGUCCUCCAGCCAAAGCAUGUAGUUGCUUCAUAUUGUCAACAUCAUCAAGAAUCAAAAGAACCUUCUUUCUAUGUAGCCUUUCCUUUAUAUAAGGAAUUCCCUCACUAACACCUCCAAACUUAAUUUCAAGUUGAAGUGUUUUUAAAAGGAGCUCCUCCUGAAGAUGUUUCAAUUUAUUUGAAGUUGAAUUCUCUCUCACAUUUUCAAGAAAACAUGAGCAUUCAAAUUGAUCAGCAAUAAAAUUAUAAAUUGCUUUUGCAAGUGUUGAUUUACCCAAUCCUCCAGUACCAUAAAGUCCUACCAUGUGGACUCCAUCAUCAGAUCUUUCAUCAAGAAGCGAUUUCACUUCUUGUACUUGAGACUGCAAUCCAACAGGGUAAUUGGCAACAUGUAAGGGUUGACGACUGAUCUUGUUGGAGAUGUAUUUGACUAUCUCUCCAGUAAACUCGUAUUCAUAUCUAUUCAUGCCCAAUAAGAUAAGUUAGUAUGUGACAACAUCACAAUCACAUCCAUGUUAUUCUUUAAGAUGAGAUUAUUGUGAAAUUUAAAUUAAAGAGAGAAAAUAUAAAAAAAGGUACCCAGGAGGACUAUCAUGGUAGCCGGAAAAGUUUGCAGCCUGGCUCAGAGCCACUUUCCAUCCCUGCAACCUCUCCAUGUUAUUCUUAUCAUUUUGAAACCUCUUUUCAUGCUCAGCCAAUGCUUCACCAUAACUACCUUUCUGAUGUCGCACUUUAGUAGGUUCCACGCCGAAGAAAACAGGCAAAACGAGGCGACCCUUUGUCUUGUAGCAGUGAAUUAUGUGGACAAGUUCGUCCAAACAAAACGAAGAAGAGGCAUAGUUGAUAGAAAACACAGGAAUAAAAAUCCUAGAUUCAUCAAUGGCCUUGAGGAGUGAUGGUGUGAUUUCAUCUCCUCUUGGAAGAUCAUUGUCAUCAAUGAAGGUAUGGAUUCCCUUGUCAGUAAGAGCCUUGUAGAGAUUUCCGGUAAAACCGUGGCGAGUGUCAGUGCCCCUAAAACUGAGGAACACUUGGUAAGUGAAUCCAUAGGAAAAUGAAGAAGAAGAGGAAGCUAAUUGCAUAGCCAUGAAAAUUGAGAGAAAUUGGAUGAAAAAAGAGUUUGAGAAUGCAGAAUAUGAAUGACUGGUCCGUGAUGUGGAGUCUUUAGUAUGUAACUAUAAAAGGAGAAAACUUACGACAAAAGUAGUAUGUGAAACUUCCUAGCCACUCCUAUAGCCGCGUGUACUAACUAUAUUUUAAAAUUAUAAAUGUCGGAAAAAGAAAGGCAGCAUCAAACAGCUUAAUAAACUAAUGCAUCAAAAGAGCUUAAUAUUAUCUCUUACUUUUAUGAGACUUCUUUCUCAUUUCCUAUCUUCUGUAAAACAAUGUGAAUGCCUUAAAAAUCAAACUUACAUUUUCAGGUGGGACCCUAAAAAUGAAUUAUGAGCUUAAGUGAUACUUUGUUUGGAGUUUGGACCUCAAUUGACAUUUCCAGCUGUAAUUCCAAUACAUGUUGAUAUUUCAUUACUUUGUAAACUAGUCUCUUAACAAGAAUAACACACUGAUAGACUAUAGAUAUGAUACUAUGCAAAAAGUAAACUAACUCCAUUCUGUUUUGCUAACUAACUCUGCUUAAUAAAUAAAACCAAUUUUUGCAGGAAAUUAGCAACAAUGCAAAUUGGGUAGAGUAACUUUUUAACAGACUUUUGAAUGCUAAAACCAAAGCAUCAUUUUAAACAGACUUUUUUUUAACACACUUUUGUGUGUAUUAGUAACACUUUUGUAUUAUAUUUGAACACAGAACAGAUUUAGUAAAAACUAAGCAAGGUGAUAAAUAUGGAGUAAUAUAGUUUGCAAAAAGCAACAAAUGCAUUCAUGAAAAGGCACUAUCAAUCUCUAAAGCUUGGUGCCAAUUCAUCUAUAAAACUAACAUUUCCAGCUGUUAUUCUAAGUCAAAACUUGUUUUUUUAAUAACAAAGGUUAAUUAAACUUUUUUUAAUAACAAAGGUUAAUUAUUAGUAUUUUCUUUUGUUAGGACUUUAACCCCUGAACUUUUAACUCCUCAACUUCUUUAAUCUCUUAGCUCAAAAUUGAUUUCAAUUCAUGUUGUACUUUAAUUGAGUAACUUGAUGUCUAUAUUUGAAAUUAGACUCACCUCUUCUAAGUUUUUAUUAAGUUCUAAUGAUAAAUAAUUCGUUUUACAACCCAAAAAAAAAAAAUGAAUAAAAUUAAACAUAUAAAGUAUAUACUAGCAAAGGUUCAUCCACAAAUUAUAAUUCAAUUUAUAAAAAUAUCAAAAUUGUUAAAUCGGACAUCAUGAUCGAGUUCAAACCACGACUCUUUUUUAUCAAAAAAAUUAAAAUAAAAAAGGUUGACUAAUAAAGUAACUCAUUAAGCUUGUUCCAAAAAAAAUAUACACAUUUGCUCCGGUCUAAAUUUUGGCAUAUUUACUGCAAUAUUCUCUUUGCUUCUUAUUUUACCCUGUAAUUGUUUCAUGGCACCCACCCAUCACUCUGCCCCAUGUCAUAUAUGCUCAUGGGCAGUAGGCAUGUCACAAAUUUUGGAUCUUUUCCCUAACUGCACCGGGUUUAACAUAAUUCGCAUAGUUUUCAAGAAAUGAUAUUUGAACAAUUAUUUUAUAAUAAUUUUAUGACAAUUUUCUCUCUCAUAUUCACAUUAUAUUUUUAUUAUCUUUUUCUAUUACUUUGAUUUUCGUGUCAAUACAUAUUUUUCUUUGUAAACAUAUGGUUGUCCAUUUGAUUGUCAAACAAAUAGAUGUUCAAAUAACACUGCUGAUAUUAAAUUAACCAUGCUACAAUAUAAAGGUAAUCAGAACUUUACUUUUCUUUUUCAAAAAAGGUCAACCAUUUUUUUAUGACUAGAAAUCUAGAUAAGCGUUCAAAGAGCCUUUCACGACUGAUAUCUCUCUCGAGCAUAAAAACGUAACUCAUUAAAUAAGUAAAUUUGUUCCUUUCCUGUCGAGCUCAUGGAACUUGGGAAGAAAAUAGUUGAUCAAUAGGGUUGAGAAUAGGCCAGGUCAAGCUUUGAUAGGCCUGAGCCUGACCUACGAAAAAAUUUGCAGGCCUGAGCCUGGCCUAUGGCCUUUCAUAGGCCUAUUUUUUUGGCUUGGCCUUGCCUAUUUAAAAGUCUGGCCUGGCCUGAAAGCCUAUUUACAGGCCUACUUACUAUUAAAGUCACUAAACAUUCCAUUUUAUCUACUUUUAAAUAGGCUUAAUAGACCUCAAAGCCUAUUUGAGUGUAAGACUUGUCUAUCACUAUAAGGCCUUAAAAGCUUAUUUUACUAUAAUGAUUUAAAGCCUAUUUAAAAAGUCCACUAUGAAGCCUAACAUGCAUAAACAGGCCGGCCUAUUAGGCUUCAUAGGCUUUUUUGAUAGCCUAAGUCUGGCCUAUUUACUUAAAUAGGCUUUUUAAAAAGCCUAAGCCUAACCUUUUUAAUAAACAGGCCAGGCCAGGCCAGGCCAUAGGCCCCUGUAGGCCGGCCUGACCUAUUCCCAACCCUAUUGAUCAAGUUACAUUUUAAUGAUUUUGGAUAAAAAUAGAAAUGAAAGAGAAUAUGGAUAAAAACAUAAUUGCAUAAAUUAAUAGAUAUAAUCAAAUUUUACAUAGGAGAAAUUACAAUCAAAAUGAAAGAAAGUGAACUCUUUGCAUUGUUGACUCAAAAUACUCAUAUUGCUCCAAAACUCUAAAAUACAUUUGAGAUGGGUGAAGGUUCAUAGUGUAAAAAUACAUUUGAGAAUAAACAAAAUGAAGCUUCAUUACACCAUCAAGAUACAUUUUGGUUACUUCUAACCAAAGAAAAACAAAAGGCAAAUUUACAUUUCAAAUAUCAUCAAAUGACAUGUUAAUUGAGUCUCACAUUUGCUUUAACUUGUGCUUCCAACACUAGUAGUAUCCGCAGGACCCGGAUUCCGUGCAUUAAUAAAAGUCCAUAGUUCCAUGCAGUUGUUAAUCUCAGGCAUUUGUGAUCGGAAGGUUCAAAUUACAUAUACACUAAUUUGGUUUACAACCAUCUCAGUUGUAGAUUUAAAUAAAACAGACUAGACUGGUGCAAUUACUAGUGGGAAUCCAUUUCCAUAUCAACUAAAUGAAAAACACUAAUAAAUAGACUAAAAGAAUUAUCCCACAUCGAUGAUAUCAUGUACAACCACAGUUGUCAAAAUUAGGAAUUUACUUCAGGUCGAAAGGGAAUAGUAAAAUCGGGACUCGUAAAAUCACAAUCAAAAUCGAAGGAUUUUACUCAAUGACUUGAGUAGAAACAAUAUAGGAAAUUGUAAAAUCAAAAUCGAUAAAUUUUUCCAAAAUAAUAAUAAUAUGUUAUAAAUGGUAUAUAGUCAUAAAUGAAUUAUAGUUUAUAAGAAAUCGUAAAAGACAACAAUGUUACAACCAAUUUUUGAAGACUUCCCUUUCCAUCAGAAACCAAAAGCCUAACAUUAAAUCAUAUAUUAUUGUUAUAAAUCACAUCCUGUUAACAAUUUGGAGAGGGAAGGGAAAAAGACAAGAAUAACCCACAAAAUAAAACUUCUCAAUUCAUUAUGCAGGAAUGUGAAAGUGCACAACUCUUUCCAUAUCAUCUUUAAAAUUUUGAUAAUGAAAAGCAUCAUGGAUGCAAAGGUAGUGCCUUUCCCUUUCAAUGAUUAACCUAAUCAACUUAGGGUAAUAUUGACAUCAUCACCAAGUGUGAAAAAACCGAAGAAUACUUCAAGAUGAUAUCGGUUCAUAAGGGUAUGAAAACCAGGGGUGCUUUAGAGCUUCAGAUGCAGAAGGUGCUUCUUCGGGUUAACCUCGAGCAAAUGAGAAACGAAGUCAGUGAAGCCUUGGUCCCCCAUUGGUAAUCUAUGCCUCAAAGAUGUCUUCUUUGGAAUCAGGUAUUCUAGUCUGCUGCUUUCCUGCAUAUCAAUACACAAUACCUCACUGAAUAAUUUUCCUAUGAUAAUUGAACAUACAAUGAUAAGUGUCUUGUGAGACUGAGAAUUUAUGGAAACAACUUAUGACAUGUUCAUAAGCUAUUUUCAAGUAAUUUCCAUAAAUUCUCUAGAUUUGCAAAUGAUAUCAGCUUACAGCUUAUAUGAAAAGAAUUUGACUUUAUUUUAUCUAUUAUUAUAGAAAAUAACAUAUAAAAGCACUUACAUGAUAAGUGUCUAUGAUAUAAGCUUAAUUAAUUUGUUUAUCCAAACAUGGAAAAUACAAGCGAACGAAAAUAGUCAAUUUUAGAAAGCUAUCUCAUGUUUUAAUUUUUAAAGACGAUGCAAAUGAAAAGAUAUUGAAAAUUUUAAGAUUGUUCGCUGAUGCAUUUCAUAUGCAAAGACACUUUAGAAAUGAAUUUCUUACCUGAUUCCUCUCAUAAAGCAUAUGAUUUUUUGUGAAGUACUUAUAAGUAUCCCGUUCUUUUGCUAGCAUACUUUGACCAAUUGAACCGAUGAUCCCAAUUACCCUAGCUAGUAAUGUUGCCGGGGAAUCGUUUUGGAAUAAGACCUACAAUAAGCAUAGUUGAGUUCAUUAAGAAUCAAGAUUUAUGAGUGUAUUCACUAAAACAGAUACAGAUUUGACAUCCGCUUUCACACAAAAAUGUAAAAACCCUACAACUGCAAGAACAUAUAACUUAAAAGAAAUUCACAGUACCAAAUAUGUCAAAUCAUUUUCACUUCUAAGGAUACUUCGUCAAUUUAUUUAAGGCAGCUUUUGAUGCACAGAUAAAAUGAAACAGGGCGACUCGUUCUCUUCUAUUCUCUAUAGAGUUCCACUAAAACAACAAAGAAACUCCAAGCGUUGUCAAUCGCAGAUCGCAGAAAAUAGUGGUUUGUUCCGAUUCUGCUACACAGGAGUUCAAUAGUGCCACUAGAGGAACUAUUUGACAAUAUUUUGUACUAUAAUGCGUGAUAAAGAACAAAAACGAUUUUUUCAAAUUCCGCUACGUUAUAGCCGCUAUUUAACAACACCCAAAUCAUUUUCAAAUUUAAAAUAUACUUUAUUAGUUUAUUUCAGGUAGUGUUCGGAACACGAAUGGAAUUAAAUGGGACAACUUAUUUUUGCUUCAACAAUUUUUCUGUUCUAUUUUUUAUUUGCUUCGAAAAUGUAGAAUAUAAAUUAUUCUAUGCUAUUUUAACCUGGCUACCAAAAACUUCCUUAAGACUAAGAGUGAUACAAUACAAUACAAUCAUACCCCAAUUUUUGACCUAAGAGAGCACUAACACGGGUCAUUUAGCUCCGACUGGUCUCAGCCUUUCGAGCAAAAAAAUUCGGCAGAAAGGUAUUUUAAAAUACCUCAUAUUUGAUUCCGAGUCGGGUCCUCUUCUCUCAAUUUUCAUUUAAUUUUAAUUUCCAUCUUUUAUUAACUUUAAAUUCAUUUUUUUAACCUUUAUUUUAUGAGAAUUGCUGUUCCCACAUAUAGUAUGGCUGUGCCACACGAGUAAAAUACCAAAAUGCCCUUCGGCAGUUUGCUACCGAAGUUUUAAGGAAACCGGCGGCAGUUAACUGCCGAAGAAAACCUCGGUAGUUAACUGCCGAGGAAAUCUGAACAUAACCAGAACGCAGAAACUCAGUUUUCUUCAUUCUUCAAACUUCUUCCAAACCAUCCAACUUCUCCAACUUCUCCAAAUUCGUUUUUUCAGCAAAAUCAAGUGCAUCAUCUUCAUUUAAACACAAGUAAGUAUGUUGACUCAUUUUUAAUCAUAAUGUUAGUUUGGGUAGGUUUUUUUUUUAAAAAAAAUGGUAGUUUUCAUGUGGUUAGGGUUGAUGUAGGAAUUGAAUUUUUUAUGAGUGCAUGUAGUUUAUAAUUGAAUGUAGUUGGUUUAAUUGAUGAUUGAAUGGUGUUAGGGUAUAAUAUGGUUUUGAAUGGUGGCAAAAGAAUACAUUUUGAGUAUGUUUGAUACUUUGCACACAAAGUGUUUGAUAAAAUGUGUCAAUGACAAAUUUAUUGAUUAUUUAGUUAGUUUAGGUAUUGGAUACGAUCUUGAUUGUAAUUUGAAAAAAUGUAUGUUGAAUUAAGUUGAAUGCAUAUUGAAAAACUGUAUAUUGAAUUAGGUUGAAUGUGUAUAUUGAAUUAUGUUUAGUUUAGGUUGAAUGUGUAUGAUAAUGCAUUUGAUUUUUUACGUUUGAAUGUUAAUGAUAAUGUGUAUGAUAAUGUUUAGGUUUAAUCAAUGUCUUUAUUUUGGUAAAGUGGUUUAAUGUGAAAGCGGUUAAGUUUAGGUUAUGUUUAGGUUGAAUGUGAAAGUCUAGGUUUUGUUUAGGUUUAGUGUUUGUUGAUAAAGUGGUUGAAUGAUAUUAAUUUUUUAUUUUUAUUUUUUGUAGAUAUGGCCGAUCAGGACCCCAUUGAUCCAUCGAAGAUGAUUGGUGGUAGGCGUGCCAUGACUCAGAGCCACCGUAGGGAGAGGCAGGGCGGCCACAUCCCAAAGAGGGGUAGAGGUCGAAGAGGAGAUGGCUCAGGAAGCUCUCAGGCUACACAGCCUGAGGAGUCACAGGUUGUUGACCCGCCACAGCCUGUUGACCAGACUGGGGUGGAGUACCUGAACUAUCAGAAUCAGGUACAGCAUGAUGUGACGGAUGGUGGAUAUGACCAGGAUCAUAUACCACAGCAGCAGGAUGCAGGAGACGAGGAUGACAUUGCAGCAGCUGCUGCACCGGAGGUGUUACCUACGGACCCUCCAUUUCCUGGUGGACCGGAGGACCUGUCAUUGCUCCACUCUUAUGCCGAUCAUGUGGCUUUGCCACUCUGGUAUAAUUCAAAUAAUGUAAGUGUAUUUAUUUUAAAUGUUUUUUCUUUAUGUUAAAAUAUUUUCUUUAAUUUAAAUGUGUGUUUGUUUAAUUAUUGUUAUCAUGGUUUUUGGGUGCCAAGCCAUUAAUUGGACUUGAACCUUUUGACCGUUGAUAUCUCUCUUUUUUCUUGGGAAGGGUAAAAGGAGAAAAACCCUUGAGUUUCCGAAUUCGGGGGUCGUUUUCGCUACGGGAAGGUGUUAGGCACCCGGAGCGAUUAUGGUAUUCCAUAAGAACCGCUUUCCUAAGUUUAUUUCUAUGCUUUAGUUUUAUUGCUUAUUUGUAAAAAAAGAAGGUGUGAUUAGUUAAGAACGGGGGUGAGAAGGAGUAGAAUUUGAUUUUUAUUUCGGCUUGGAUGAGUUUUGACUCAUUGCCUACGUACCGUUUUACGGGAUCAAAACCGAUCGUAGUUCGUUCUCAAAAAUGGUUUUUGUUUUUGUUGAUUGAUUUUAAGUUUGAAAAGAGAUUUUGAAGAAUAGAGAUGAGAGGCCUCAAGGGCAUAAGAUUUGGAAAAUGUGAGGUGGAAUUAGUUACUUUGCAAAAUGACGUCUAAGUAUGAUUAAAAUUUAUUAGAAAUUUUACUUAAGAAAAUAAAAGGGAAAUAAGGAGUUUUGACUCCUAUUUUAUUUUCAAAAAGGUUUUCAAGUGAGGUUAUUUGCAUGUUUUGGAAAAAGUUGGAUUUUCUCUAAGUGUUCAAAACUAAACGUUCAUCUAAUCAUGCAAUCCUAGCCAUACAUCUAUGCAUACAAUCCUAAGCAUACAUCUAGGGUGAGUGUGUGCGUGUCGGUGUGUCAUAGUGUCCAUAGUCCAUAUUACAAAAAUUCCCUAAAUACAUUCUAUGGCCCCUUUGCCAAGCUACAAACCAAUGGUAAAAUAUUACAUCACCGAAUGAAUUACAAUUUGCAAAAAAAGAAAACUAAACUAAAGGAGACAAUAGUGAAGAUGGUGAAGUGCUAUGAAGUGAUCAAUAUGAAAGGAAAUGUUAGUAGAAAAUGGUAAAAAAAGAAAGAAUGUGGCAUGAAGCGAUGGAAGAAAGUAUGGCAUAAAACAGUAAAGUGACGAUGAAAAUAAGCCGGAAACAUGUAACGAAUAAUGCACAUGAUGCAAGAACAAAACUCAACACAUCAGAACAGUGGCGUAUGCAUAGCAAACAGUAGCAAAAUUCAUAUGGAAUAGUAUGCAAAUCAAACAUGACGAACACGAUCAUCAUGCACAUGAAGUAACGGGUAAAAAUGCGAGAAAAGUGACUAAAAAAAUAGUAAAAACCCUUGACAAAACAACACUAAAAUUUUUACCAACUUUUCCAAGCAAAAUACCACUGAAAAUUACCAAGAAAAAUAGUAAAAUGACAUGGUAAAUUUCUUGGAAUUUAUUGAUAAAAAUUAACAUGAAUAAAGGGUGCAAACAGCAGGCAAGUAUGGUGCAAAUAGCAAAAAAUAAACAAAAACGUGAAAAGAAAUCUAAGCCCAACCCAAAGCCCAAUGCAGACUGGACCUGGAUCAUCCAAAGGCCUCAGAGGCGUUAGAUUGAUCCAGACCUAGAUCUGACGGUUCAAAAUAAGCAGCGCAUGGUAACACAGAUCAAGCACAUGGAAACAACGCAUCAUAACCAUUCAAAUGAAAAAACCCUAGAUCCUACGGUUCAAGAUGAAAACAAAAUAAACCGGACCGGUUCAAACGUCUAUAUAAGGACGUGGACACCGGUCCAGUCCAUUUCUUUCAUCUCUUUCUCUCUCUAAGCUUCCCUCUCCUCUCGCCUCUCUCCAGAACCUCACCGCCGGUGAGGAUGAAGCUACGGCGGAGACCUUGAAGGUCCGCCGGAAACUUCAUCUUCUCCGGCGAGACUAUGAACUUCCGGUGACCUAAAAAUUCCAGAACUUAAAGAUUUUUGCAUAUUUCGAUUCGUCCUUUAACCCUAAACACGAAUCCAGCAAUUAUUUUUUCAAAUACGGCCUGAAACGACGUAGAUCUAAAACUUUUCAUACGGUUUUGAAAAUGAUUUUGAUCUUUUUGAAAUAAAACGUUUAGAUCUUUAAAGAUCUACAUCGUUUCGUUGUUUGAUUCCGUUUCUGGUACUCGUUCUUGCUUUCAAAAUUUAGAUCCUUAUGGAUCUAGAUUUCGUGCUUACGGUUACGGUUUUCUCUUUGAAUUCUGGAAAUUUUUAGAUCUGUUUCUCGCGUGAUUUUGCAGGUUUAAAUUAUGAUUAUUUUCUGAGAAAAGAUUCUGAGUUUUACCUAAGGUUUUGGUUGAAACCUUUAAUGGAGGAAAUCUUUGGGAGAACUUGAAUCUGUUGUUUUCUGAUGAUUCUUGAUUCUUCCGCUUGCUUCACCGGUCCAGAUUCUGCAGAUUCUGCUUCUUUCCUUCUUCUUUCUCUUCACUGCUUCCUCGUGAUCAGUGCUUGAGCUCGUCGCGUUUCAGUGAUGAACUCGCACUUUGAAUUGCGAGGAAAUUGGUUCUGUGAUGAUGAUUCCGUAUUGAAUCUCUGAGAAUCAAUGAGUAAUCAAAGAAACUUUGUUGAAUUCUGUUGAAUUUGGUGUUUUUGUGUUGAUUCGGUGGAAAUCAAUGGUGGAUUGAGGUGGUUAUGGUUUCUGCCAUUGAUGAAUCUUUGAAGCUUUUUUUGUUGAUUCUGUUUUGGUGAGUUGGCACUUGGUGAAUGAAAAACGUCUGAAAUUCAUUGCCACUGUGUUGCUUUUAUAGCUGACAAGUGUACUGUCUGGCCAAUGGAAAACUGACACAUGUCCUGGACUUGUGAUUUGGGCGCUGCCUUGUAAUUUAGGACUUUGAGGACCUCCCUGCAAUUUUGUAAAAUAUGGAACUGGACUGCAAUUUUAAACAGAACUAAAAAGUAUAAAAAUUGGACAAUUUGGACUUAAAUGCAAUUUUAACAAAAUUAAGGGACUAAUAAUGCAAAAAUAAAAAUAAAAUGAAUUAAAAUUUGUAAUUUUGACCAAACGUAAAGCGAAACAAAAAUAAAAUUGACAAAACGGACUAAAACGAACCAAUGGCCUAAAUGAGGUACUUCAAAGUAACCUCUCUAUGCUAAAAUUUUAUGUGAAAUGACCAAAAUGCCCCUAGGGCUAAAAAUGACCUAAACAGACUCAAAUUGACUUGACACUGACUCAGAUGCAAGUUUGAAAUGAUUUUAGCAAGGUUUACUGAUGAAAUGUAAAAAAGAAUCAAUUUGAAAAGACUCAGAGACAGUCACAAGGAUGAAAAUGGGUCCCACUGCGGGAAAUGACCAAAAUACCCUUCUGUACAAUUUUUGCAAAUUUUGAAAUAAACUGUAGAAAAAGCAGUGUAAUGAUUCAGAGACACUUUUGAAUGACUUACAAGACAAGUAAAGACAUUCCGAAAGGUUUUAUGCAAGAAAAACAUAGGUAAAAUUGUGAUUGAAAAUACUGCGAGGCAGAGACAAUUUGAACUGUGCAGUUGAAAUUUGAUAAUUGACAAAGUUUGAAAUGAAAUUGGGCCCAGUAUUUUUAGGUCCAAAAACAGGGUAUAACAGCUGCCCCUAUUUAAGUUUCUUCGUCUGGAGAGUCAAGAGACGGAGUCUUUGGCUUGACAGGACGAAGAUACUUAAAUAUUAGCAUUUGCACUGUGUUUGGACGUAAAAAUACGCCUACCCAUUUUCAAAUAAUAUGCAUGCCAUGCAUCAUUUGGAUUAUGAAUGCAAGACCUCAUGGGGAUUGGAAUUAACAAAGUAUGUCGUAUCCAUUGCGGGAUUGGUAGACAUUGACAAGAUAACAUAUAACAGGGUAGACAGCAGACUAGAAGCAAAUUGACGGGUACAAGCUGCUCUUGGAUUGAGCUGGGCACUUGACCAAACAGAAACAUGUUGACAGGUACAAGCUGCUCUUGGAGUGAGCUGGGCACUUGACCGAUAAUGUUGAAAAGUAAACAGAUACAAGCUGUUCUUGAAUUGAACUGGCCACUUGAUUGAAAAACAAAGACACAAAGAUAGGUACAAGCUGUUCUUGGAUCGAACCUGCCACUUGACCACACAGAAACAAAGGCACGAGCUGUUCUUGGAUCGAACCUGCCACUCGACCAAAUAGAAACAAAUUGAUGGGUACAAGCUGUUCUUUGGAUCGAACUUGCCACUUGACCAGACAGAAACAAAGGUACGAGCUGUCCUUGGAUCGAACUUGCCACUCGACCAAACAGAAACAAAUUGAUGGGUACAAGCUGUUCUUUGGAUCGAACUUGCCACUUGACCAGAAAGAAAGAAAUUGACGGGUACAAGCUGUUCUUUGGAUCGAACUUGCCACUUGACCAAACAGAAACAAAGGUACGAGCUGUUCUUUGGAUCGAACUUGCCACUCGACCAGACAGAAACAAAGGUACGAGCUGUCCUUGGAUCGAACUUGCCACUCGACCAAACAGAAACAAAUUGAUGGGUACAAGCUGUUCUUUGGAUCGAACUUGCCACUUGACCAGAAAGAAAGAAAUUGACGGGUACAAGCUGUUCUUUGGAUCGAACUUGCCACUUGACCAGAAAGAAAGAAAUUGACGAGGGGAUUGGUUUGUUUUGACAAAAUAUAUAUUGAAAGUGACUUGACGUCGAUUUAAUUUGAAAAGUAGAAAUUGACCAAUAUUAUUGGCUCACAAGAUAACAGGGGUGUUGGUUAUUGACUUGAAAUUGGCAUUGCUAUUUGAAUUGAAAUUGACAUUGAUACUUGAAUUGAAAUUGACGUUGACAUUGAAUUUGAAAUUUGACAUUGAAUUGAAAUUGACAUUGAUAUUGACAUUGAAUUGAGAUUGACAUUGACAUUUGAAUUGAGAUUGACAUUGAUAUUGAAUUGAAAUUGACAUUGAUAUUGAAUUUGACAUUUGUAUUGGAAAUUGAAUGUGACAAUUGACAUUUGAACUGAAAUUUGACACUGACAUUGAUAUUGGAAAUGCAACAUGUAUGGAUGGUAUAACAAUUUUUAUCAGAUGUAUAGACAUGUAAUAUGCAUGAUCAUGCAUGUAUGAAUGAUUGAAAUGCAUGAUGGUUGACAGUUUGUAGACACGACUUCACGGGGAAGACAAGACAUUAGAGUAUUGGGCACGUAGUGGCUCGUGCUACAUCAUAGAAAUCCUCUUUGGAGAUAACGCCGUUGGGAGACGUACCAGAACCAUGGCUGAGGGUAGAUAGCUAAUCAACUUGCUGGGGAUAGAAUCUUGGAAGACCCGACUGGGGAUAACGCCGUUAUGCUGGGCAUUUCAGUGCUGGGUAUGUUGUAGAUAUCGCAUCUGUGGUCAAUGCUUUUUGCAUGUUAUAUUCUCAUUUUUCACAUCCUAUUUUUGCCUGGAUCGCCCUUUCGGGUUUUCGAUCCACCGGGAAAAUAGAUUCUUUUCUUGCCCCAUUUUUGCCUGAACUGCCCUUUUGGGGUUGUCAAUCCAGCGGGGUGCUCAUUUUUGCCUAAGUCGCCCUUUCGGGUUUUCAACUUAGCGAGCUCAUUUAUUUUCAUGCAUUUUCAUUCUGUUUUUUCAUUCUUGCCAUUGACCACAGACUAUCCUGGGGAAGAGCCUGCUUGUAACACAUAUUGAAAUAGACAUCAACAUAUACUCGCUCAUGCAUGUUUCAUUUGAAUGUACCCUGUUGCUCAGGUUUGCUUUUCAAAAUAGACAAAAAGUUUUCAAUUUUUAAAAUGUUUGUUUCAAGCAUUGUCAUUAUCAAAAUAGAAAGAAAAAUGUUUUGUAUAUAGCUUUGAAAGUAGAAGAAAAAAUAGAGUUUUCAAACAAAAGCAAAGGCUCAAAUUGAUGUAUAAGAGUGGUGGUCAGCCAAAGGCAUGACUCCACGGAUUCACAAAGCUUGGAAAAUGGUAAUUUUAUUGGUUGGUGGUACAUUGAACACAGUAACCACUACAGUUCUUAGAAACUUUGAAUUCACAAGUACAGAAGCUUCUGAUGGAGACGGUCAUUAACAGCUGCAGAUGCCCCAAGGGGAUUGUGAUUUGCCAGAUAUAGUUACUUGCCUUUUGUUUCAAUCUCAUUUUUGCAUGAACCGCCCUUUCGGGUUUUCGGCUCAUCGAGACGCUCAUUCUUGCCUGAGUUGCGUACAAUCUCAGCGAGCUUUUUCAUAUUUGUUUUUUUUGUCCCUUAUUUUUGCCUGGAUCGCCCUUUCGGGUUUUCGAUCCACCGGGAAGCGCAUUUUUGCCUAGGCCGCCCUUUCGGGUUUUCGACCUACCACGCUGUUCUUUUCAUAUAUCUAGGCGAAGUAUUUCUUGACUAUAUCAGCAUUCACAGGAUUUGGAAGUUCAACACCAUCCAUGUGAGUAAGAAUCAAAGCACCACCGGAGAAGGCCUUCUUGACAACAUAAGGACCUUCAUAGUUAGGCGUCCACUUGCCCCUUGGGUCGGGUUGCUGGCUUAUCCUCCUUUUCAAUACAAGUUCACCUUCCUUGAAUUCUCGAGGACGGACUUUCUUGUCAAAAGCAUCUUUCAUUCUUGCUUGAUAUGACUGUCCACGAGCCAUGGCAUCCAUACGUUUUUCCUCAACCAAAUUCAACUGAUCAUACCGGCUUUGGCACCAUUCAGCCUCGGAUAACUUUGCUUCCAUGAUCACACGGAGAGACGGAAUCUCCACUUCCAAAGGAAGAACUGCUUCCAUACCAUAUACAAGAGAGAAAGGGGUUGCCCCGGUUGAACUGCGCACUGUAGUACGGUAGCCAUGCAAAGCAUAGGGCAACAUCUCAUGCCAAUCUUUGUAAGUGGUUACCAUCUUCUGGACAAUCUUCUUGAUAUUCUUAUUGGCUGCCUCAACUGCGCCAUUCAUCUGAGGCCUAUAAGGAGAAGAGUUGUGAUGCUCAAUUUUGAAUUCUUCACAAAGAGCUUGCACUACAUUGUUGUUCAAGUUGGUACCAUUGUCGGUAAUGAUCUUGCUGGGAACACCAUAUCGACAGAUGAUGUUGUUCCUGAUGAACUUGGCUACCACUUGCUUGGUUACAUUGGUAUAAGAUGCAGCUUCGACCCAUUUGGUGAAGUAGUCAAUUGCCACUAAGAUGAAACGAUGACCGUUUGAAGCCUUCGGUUCAAUUCUUCCAAUCAUGUCUAUGCCCCACAUUGAAAACGGCCAUGGGGAUGUCAUAACAUUGAGAGCGUGCGGAGGCACAUGGAUCUUGUCAGCAUAAAUUUGACAUUUGUGGCAUUUUCUGGCGUGCUGGUAGCAAUCAUGCUCCAUGGUCAUCCAGUAGUAACCUGCCCGUAACAACUUUCUUGACAUAGUAUGCCCUGUAGCAUGGGUCCCGAAGGUACCGUCAUGUACAUCAUGCAUUAACUGCUCUGCUUCAUGUUCAUCAACACAUCUUAACAAUACCAUGUCAUAGUUUCUUUUGUACAGAAUAUCUCCAUCCAACAGGAAUCUACUGGCCAAUCUUCUCAGGGUCUUCUUGUCUUGUUUGGAAGCACCUGGCGGAUACUCACGGCUUAGCAAGAACUGUUUGAUGUCGUAAUACCAGGGUUUAUAGUCAACCACAUUUUCACCAGCCUGAUCGAUCACAUCCCCAAUAGCAAACACAUGUGAAGGUCUUUCAAGGCGUUGCACUCUGAUUAUUGGCACAUCAUUCCAAUGGUUCACUCGAAACAUGGAAGAUAGAGUAGCCAGAGCAUCAGCCAUUUGGUUCUCAUCACGAGGGAUAUGGUGCAACUCAACCUUUGUAAAAUAUGUCAGCAAACGUCUCGCAUAAUCACGGUAAGGAAUCAACUUGUCAUGAUGGGUCACCCAUUCACCCUUUAUCUGGUUGAUGACAAGUGCAGAAUCUCCAUAGAUGUCGAGGUGUUUGAUUCUCAUGUCAAUUGCUUCCUCGAUCCCGAAGAUACAUGCUUCGUAUUCAGCCAUAUUGUUUGUACAUUCGAAUAGAAUCCGGGCGGUAAAAGGAAUGUGAUGCCCCUGCGGGGAUACAAUGACUGCUCCGAUUCCUUUACCAUAAGCAUUGACAGCACCAUCAAAGACUAAACCCCACUUGCUAUUGGGAUCUGGACCUUCAUUAAUCAACGGUUCUUCGCAGUCUUUUGAUUUCAAAUACAUGAUCUCUUCAUCGGGGAAAUCGAACUCAAUUGGUUGGUAAUCAUCAAGAGGUUGGUAGGCAAGAUGAUCGGCAAGAAUGCUACCUUUGAUUGCCUUUUGAGUUUUGAACACAAUAUCAUAUUCAGACAAAAGCAUCUGCCAUCGUGCAAUCUUCCCAGUAACAGCAGCUUUCUCAAAGAUAUACUUGAUUGGAUCCAUUCUAGAUAUCAACCAAGUUGUAUGAUUCACCAAAUAAUGACGCAGGCGUUUGGCAGCCCAAGCUAGAGCACAACAAGUCUUCUCAAGCAUUGUAUACCGAGUUUCACGGUCGGUGAACUUCUUGCUUAGAUAGUAGAUGGCAUGUUCUUUCUUUCCAGUCUCAUCUUGUUGACCAAGUACGCAUCCCAUGGAUUCAUCAAAUACUGCCAAGUACAUAAUCAAAGGCCUUCCUUCCACGGGUGGGACAAGGAUAGGUGGUUUCAGCAGGUAAUUCUUGAUGCUAUCAAAAGCUUCUUGGCAUUCAUCAUUCCACACAAUAGGCUGAUUCUUUCUGAGUAGCUUGAAGAUCGGCCCGCAGGUUGCAGUCAUAUGAGAUAUGAAUCGGGAGAUGUAAUUCAAACGUCCGAGGAAACCUCUGACUUGCUUCUCGGUCCGUGGAGCUGGCAUUUCUCGGAUGGCCCGGACUUUAUCAGGAUCGACUUCAAUGCCUUUUUGGCUGACAAUGAAGCCUAAUAACUUUCCGGAUCUGACGCCGAAUGUACAUUUGUUAGGAUUCAAUCGAAGCUUGUACUUUCUCAACCUUUCGAACAUCUUUGUCAAAUAUUCAACAUGCUGCUCCUCAUCUGUUGACUUUACAAUCAUGUCGUCCACAUAUACUUCGACUUCUUUGUGAAUCAUAUCAUGAAACAGAGUAGUCAUUCCCCUUUGAUAGGUAGCACCAGCGUUAAUUAGGCCGAAUGGCAUCACCUUGUAGCAGAAAGUCCCCCAUGGGGUGAUAAAAGAUGUCUUUUCUCUAUCUUCAGGAGACAUUUUGAUCUGAUUGUAACCGGAGAAACCGUCCAUGAAGGAGAACACCUUAGACUGAGCAGUAUUAUCAACAAGCACAUCAAUAUGAGGUAAUGGGAAGCUGUCUUUUGGACUGGCUUUGUUCAAGUCUCUGAAGUCAACACACAUCCGGACUUUACCAUCCUUCUUUGGCACAGGUACAAUAUUGGCAACCCAUUCAGGGUAUUCAACUGUCAUGAGGAAACCCGCAUCAAUCUGUUUUUGAACCUCACUCUUAAUCUUAAGAGCCAUAUCUGGAUGAGUCCUUCUCAAUUUCUGCCUGCCGGGAGGACAUUCAGGCUUUGUGGGGAUCCGAUGCUCCACAAUUUUAGGAUCUAGACCUGGCAUAUCCUCAUACGACCAUGCAAAGAUGUCCGGAUAUUCCCGGAGGAGCUGGAUGAUCUUCUUUUUAACCCCUUCCUCUAGAGCAGCACCGAUCUUGAUUUCUCGCUUGUUUUCCUCGGUACCUAUGUUGAUAAGCUCAAUCUCUUCUUGGUGAGGCUGAAUAGCUUUCUUUUCUUGCUCAAGUAACCGAGUGAUCUCAUAUGGUAUGUCACUUUCUUCAUCUUCAGCUUCGUAUACCGGGAAUUCAAAGUUUGGAAGAGGCAUAGGAUUACUAUGUUCAAUGGGUUUAUUAUGGUUCAACCUGCAUAUAAUGAUUGGAUGAUUUUAGAAAGAGUUUUUUUUCAUGCGGGUUUUUGAAAUUAAUAAGAAAAUACAGAUGUUUUGGUUUUUUCUGGUAUUACCAUUAUUUCCAAGGAAAAAAGCACUUAAAAAAAAAGCAGUCGUGAAAGAAACGACAAUUUUUAUUCAUCAACGGCAAUGCCGAAACAAACGCGCCCUUACAGAAAAUAUCACUUUCGCUUUGGGCAGAGCGAGAGGAUUGUUAUUUUGAAAACAAAGUACUAAAGCAACAAGACGCAUUACUCGGAAACAUGCAUGAUUGAAGGAAUGUCAAUGGCAUCCCAAUCUCUAGCAAUGCCUCCUGGUAUGACAAAAAUGGGCCUGAGACCAGAUCCAGUUGCUUCUUCAGUGAUAGCAUUAACAAACCCAGCACUGUGGAAGACUCCCGAGGAAACCCUUGAUGACGGGGAGAACCCGAGACCUUCUUUACGCUUGUUCUCAUGAAGCUGUAUCACCUUGCCCCAGCCGGCAGUCUGACCUUCUUGAAUAACCCUCUGAGCAUCUUUCAAUGAAGCCAUAGCAGCCCCAGCUUUCUUAGGCUCCGCGCCUUCAAUGGUCAAACCUUGGAAAGCAGUCCCUUCAGCAGACCCUGCUUCAAUACAAGAGAAGGAAGACAGCUGGCUGACUAAAUAUGCUUCUUCACCAUGGACUGUAACGAGUUUUCCAUUCUUCACAAACUUUAACUUCUGAUGCAAGGUGGAGGUUACCGCGCCCGCGUCAUGUAUCCAAGGCCUUCCCAAGAGGCAGCUGUAUGAAGCAUUAAUAUCCAUGACUUGGAACGUGAUUAAGAAGUUCUCAGGGCCAACAGUUAUUGGCAAAUCUAUCUCCCCGAGGACAUUCUUGCGGGACCCAUCAAAUGCUUUCACUAGGAAAGUGCUUCUUCUUAGCGGAGUCUCACGGUAGCUCAACUGGUCCAGCGUUGACUUGGGCAUUACAUUCAAAGACGAUCCUGUGUCCACCAGCACAUUAGACAACAUAUCAGAUUUACAAUUCACCGAAAUAUGCAAAGCCAAAUUGUGGCACUUUCCCACUUCAGGUAACUCGUCUUCACCAAACCACAGAUUGUUACAAGCUGUAAUAUUCCCCACUAUAUCACCAAACCGAUCCUCGGUAACCUCAUGGUCGACAUACGCUUGCUCCAACACCUUCAACAAAGUCUUUCUGUGAGCCUCAGAACUCAGAAGCAAAGAUAGGACAGAUAUCUUCGACGGCGUUUGUAAUAACUGAUCCACGAUCUUAUAAUCGCUCCUUUUGAUUAUCCUCAGGAUCUCGUCCAGGUUGGAGUCCUCUAGAGACUGACUGGACUGUCCCACACCUUGAACAACGGGAGAUACAUCAGUCGGGAUUGACUUAUCAGCAGGUGAUGCAGCAGGUAUCUUUUGCUGGAACAAAGGAGGACGAACUCUUCCACUCCUUAACACCGCUGUGGUCCCUUCAACAUUGUUAUUCAUCACAACUGAGGACGCCAAAGGUGCCUCCUUUCCAUCUUCAACAACGGUAGCAUUAUACUUAUAAGGGACGGCCUUGUCUGAGGUAUAAGGUACCGGCCCAGGCAACCUUAUCACUAGUGGCACCACGUUCUCUCUCAUGGGUGAACUCCUUGCAGGCACAUCAUGGAAUACCGGCACAAUUACACAAACAUCACUAACAGUCAGAUGAUUAUCAUUCAUCAAGCUCUGGAUAUCCUCUUGCACAACGCGGCAACCCAAGGGAUUAAGGGCGCACUCGGAGCAACUGUCAUGAUCAUGUUUAAACAAAGAAGCCUGGCAAAGUUUAACAUGCAGGGGCACCAAAGGAGUCGCAACAUUACGGACAUCUAGUUUGGGCGCUUCUUCAUACGCUUCAAUCAUGUUUACUGCAGCAUGGUCUGGAAGAGGGUUAUCAAGGACAUGAGGAGUACUGUUCUCAAAAGUCAGCUUUCCUUGGUCAAUAAGCCUCUGGACAAUAUACUUUAAAGCAUAACACCUCUCAACGUCGUGACCCAAGGCCCCCUGAUGAAAGUCACACUUGAGAUCAGUACGAAACCUUGGUGGUAAUGGAUCUGGCGGAGGCCUACCCUGCCUAGUCGUACAAUGACCUCUCUGAAGUAAUGUUGGAAGUAAAUCAGCAUACAACAUCGGGAUUGGAGGAAAAGUAGGCCUAGCAAAAUGCUGCUGUUGUUGCUGUUGUUGUUGCUGAACUGGUGGUUGUUGUGGCUUCUGUUGCACAAUAGCAUUCACGGGUACCUGAGGUGGUCCUGAUGGCAAAGGAUAUUGAUGGUAAAACGGUGGGAAGAAUGGAUGCUGAGAAUAUGGUGUACAGGGGUAUGGUGGAGGUAGCUGAGCAACAUUAACAGGGGCGACAGUAGCCGUAGACUGACCUGCUCCCGAGGAUACCAUUCCAACCUCUGUUUCCUUCUUCUUGUGGUGGCCAUUGCCAUACCUCUUCGACCCACUUGUAGAAGACUCACCCUUCUCAAAUACAAUGAUACCCUCUCUGACGGCCUCCUCUAGACGAGUCCCCAUAGUUACCAUUUCAGAAAAGUUGCUAGGGGCAGCAAUAAUCAUCCUUUCAAUGUAGUCUUUCUUCAAGGUUUUCAAGAAAGUUUGGGUCAUCUCCUCUUCUUCUAGAGCGGGAGUAAUACGGGCAGCAGCUCUCCUCCAUCUUUGGGCAUAUUCACGGAAACUUUCGUCCUUCUUCUGAGAGAGGGACCUGAGAGAUUCCCUAUUUGGCUUUAAUCUGGUAUUGAACCCGUAAUGACUCUUGAAGGCAGCAGAUAACUCGUCAAAAGUAUGGAUGUCAUCCUUGCUCAAACCAGUAUACCACUCUGCAGCAUCUUCCAUCAGACUAUCCUGGAAGCAGUGGAUCAUAAGUGAGUCAUUGUCUUUGUAAUUUCCCAUCUUGCGGACAUAUUUGAUGAUAUGAUUUUGAGGACAAGUCAGCCCGUUGUACUUGUCGAACUCCGGGAGCUUGAAUUUCUUCGGAAUGUCUACUUUGGAUACCAAACAUAGGUCGCGAGCUUUGGCGGAGUCACCGCUCCUUUGACUAGCCUUGAUUUCCUGUCUGAGCUCUCUAGCAAGUUGUUCCAUCAUCUCCUCCAUAGUUCCAGUUACUGGAGUAUUCCUGCGGAGUACCUCAGCAUGUGUACCUUGGGAAGUUGUGGCCAUGAUGGGCUCAGCCAUAGUCGAAGUUGCUUGAGUUGAUGUAGUGUUGAUAGAAGUCAUAUUAAUCCCAGGAAUUGGGCCAUUGUUAGCUGUGCCAGAGGUUCCUGCUGUAGUACUUGGAGUGAAGAACGGUGGAAGCCCAUAUGGAAACCCCACUGGCAUAGUAAAGCGAGUGUCUGCAGAAGUGGUUGGGAGCACGCUUGUAGUCACCGGUGCAGUUGUGGCUGUAGGGAUAGCUGUAGCUGAUUGCUCUUGAGCGGCUAGCAGAGCAGUCAUGACAUCAUUAGCUUUAGCCAAUUCCUCCCUUAGAGUGGCUAACUCGGUGCGGAGCUGAGCGUUCUCUUCUUCCAUAGCCCUUUUCUUUCUUCUGUAUUCUCUGGUUCGAUCAAUUCUAUCAGGUUCGUAGACCCUCUGAGUACGAGCCACUUUUCACACUGCGGCAGAGGAACCAGGAGAUAGUGAGCAUUUGGGAGCCUUUGUGACCAAUGCAUGAUGCAUAUGAUGCAUGAUAUGCAAAUGCAAAUGCGAAAGACUUAUUUUUUCAUCGAAGGAUUUUUAAACAAAUUAGAAAUCUUGCAAAUAAUCAAAACUACAUAGUGUUUUCAAAAAGGAAGACUUUGAAAUUUCAACAAGAUAAACAAAUGAAGCCCUCAAGCAUAGGAAGUAGUCGGAGCAUCAUCGGACUCGGAAUCUGAAUCACCGUAUCUGGCAAAGAAGUCUCGUCGUCCUCUAGCUCUCUUGGAAUCCCUCAUAAGCAGCUCGUCUUUCUCUUCCAAUUCUCUCCGGACCUUAGCUAAUUCCUUCUUCAACAUCAGGUUAUCAUGAGUCUUCUGCUCAUCUCUACCAUCCAAAGUCAUGAUUAGAUUCUCAGCUUGAUUGUACCGAGCUUUCCACACUUGCUUCUCACGACUCUCCAUAGCUAGAUGCUCCUGAUACAUAUCCUGAGUCGUGGGGAGUAGAGGUAGAGGCAUAGAUGGAGUAGAUGAAGACACGUAUCUCAUAGCUGGAUAAGGCAUGCCAAUCUCCUCAGCUCGAUCUAUCACCCACUGAGUAUAGGCCUCGUGAGCAAUACCGGAUCUCACACCUAGAUGCUUCACACUCUUCCUUCGAACCUUGGACCAAGCAUCCAUGAAAGCUUUCCUUUGCCCGGUAGGAGCAUUCGUGUAGAAGAAGAACUCUGGAGAUGUAGCAAGACUGAUGGGCUUCGACUUCAUAGGGAAACCAAACUGUCUCAUAGCAAGCUCGGGGUUGUAGUUGAUUCCUCCACGGGUACCAAGAAGAGGUACAUUGAGAAAGUCUCCACAACCCAUAAUGAUUUCCUUCACCUGAGCGGCAGGAGUGAGCCAGACGACCUCAUUAGGAGUGAGAGCCAUAAUUCGCUGCGAGUAGGACCAAUUCUCCGAGUUGUCAUGGAAGGAACUCGGAAGGUGCGAAAUAAACCACCUAUACAAAAGAGAUAUGCAGCAAAGAAUAUACCCACGGCCCUUGAGAGUCCUGUCAUGAAUGGCGUGGUAGGUAUCUGCUAGCAAAGUAGGAACCGGGUUCUUGGAAUGGAAGAUCUCGAUAGCAUUCAUGUCCACGAAAUUGUCGAGGUUCGGAAAGAGAAUGAGCCCGUAGAUAAGCAAAGCAAGAAUAGCCUCGAGUGUAUCCUGACGAGUAGUGCUGAGAUUAGCCUGAUCAAGAAGAUACUUUGAAGUGAACCCCCGGAUGUGGGACUUGGUAAUAAGAUGGUUAGAGACGUCGGAAGUCUUGAGGUAGAGAUCUUUUGCAAUAACCAGAGGAGUAAGAGAAGUCCCGGGACCGGUGAAAGGCGUCUUCUCGGCUAUAGGUAAACCCACUAGAUUGGAAUAAGCCUCGAGCGUAGGAACCAACUGGAAGUCCGGGAAAGUGAAGCAACGGAAGCUCGGAUCAUAAAAUUGCACUAGAGUGUGCACUAGCUUCUCUUCCACAUCGGUUCGGAGCAAAGUAAGCAAUCCCCCAUACCGGAGUCGGAACCCUGUUUGACUCUUGACCUUAAGUGCCAACUCUCUCAAACUAACCAAAUCCACUUCCUUGAACUUGUAGCACUUAGUCUUCUUCAUACCUGUGAUUAUUUACAAAAAUUUCCAUUUGUUUAAGCCCUUCGAUGAAUGCAUGAAAAAUGUUUAUGCAUGAAUGCAUGUAUGCAUGAUAUUUUUUUCCUUUUCAAUUACGGAGAAAACAUGGAGGGUUGAGAUUAAAGUCGAGGAGCAAUGGGCGGACACGAUGCCCGGUAAACUAAAGUUUAGGAUAAUAGUAACCAAGGUUCCUAAUGAAGUUCCCAAACUGCAACCUCUCUUACGUAUAUCAUGGUGGCACGGGACAACAUCCGUUCCAUGCUUAUUCGUAAGAAGGUCUAGUUUGAGUGUAGUAUCGCGUGACGACUAAAGCUUGAGACAACACUCAAUUUAGCCACCGCACUACAUCUAAAAAAAAGGCCAAGGAUGGGCUUGGUAACUACGGUCCAUAGCAUCGUCGAACAAUUGAAAGCAAAAUGCCUAAGCAUGACAACACACGCCGACAAUAUUACUUUCAAAAUGCCUCAGCUAUGUGAGAUUGAUCGCAUAAUCCAAUACACGAGGCAACCCCCGGAUCGAAUUGUCGAUUAUAUCUCUACCUAAACAUAAGUUCACUCAGCCCGGGUAUAGGACUUUUGAUAUUCUCACCCCACACGUCAAAGGAAAAUAAACAAGUAUUCACAUAUGUAAGCAAUAAAACAAAGCGUAAAUAUAAACUAUGGAAAACUAGGCGUGACCCGAAUUAAUAUCCCCAGUGAAGUCGCCAUUUCUGUUAUCAUGGUUUUUGGGUGCCAAGCCAUUAAUUGGACUUGAACCUUUUGACCGUUGAUAUCUCUCUUUUUUCUUGGGAAGGGUAAAAGGAGAAAAACCCUUGAGUUUCCGAAUUCGGGGGUCGUUUUCGCUACGGGAAGGUGUUAGGCACCCGGAGCGAUUAUGGUAUUCCAUAAGAACCGCUUUCCUAAGUUUAUUUCUAUGCUUUAGUUUUAUUGCUUAUUUGUAAAAAAAGAAGGUGUGAUUAGUUAAGAACGGGGGUGAGAAGGAGUAGAAUUUGAUUUUUAUUUCGGCUUGGAUGAGUUUUGACUCAUUGCCUACGUACCGUUUUACGGGAUCAAAACCGAUCGUAGUUCGUUCUCAAAAAUGGUUUUUGUUUUUGUUGAUUGAUUUUAAGUUUGAAAAGAGAUUUUGAAGAAUAGAGAUGAGAGGCCUCAAGGGCGUAAGAUUUGGAAAAUGUGAGGUGGAAUUAGUUACUUUGCAAAAUGACGUCUAAGUAUGAUUAAAAUUUAUUAGAAAUUUUACUUAAGAAAAUAAAAGGGAAAUAAGGAGUUUUGACUCCUAUUUUAUUUUCAAAAAGGUUUUCAAGUGAGGUUAUUUGCAUGUUUUGGAAAAAGUUGGAUUUUCUCUAAGUGUUCAAAACUAAACGUUCAUCUAAUCAUGCAAUCCUAGCCAUACAUCUAUGCAUACAAUCCUAAGCAUACAUCUAGGGUGAGUGUGUGCGUGUCGGUGUGUCAUAGUGUCCAUAGUCCAUAUUACAAAAAUUCCCUAAAUACAUUCUAUGGCCCCUUUGCCAAGCUACAAACCAAUGGUAAAAUAUUACAUCACCGAAUGAAUUACAAUUUGCAAAAAAAGAAAACUAAACUAAAGGAGACAAUAGUGAAGAUGGUGAAGUGCUAUGAAGUGAUCAAUAUGAAAGGAAAUGUUAGUAGAAAAUGGUAAAAAAAGAAAGAAUGUGGCAUGAAGCGAUGGAAGAAAGUAUGGCAUAAAACAGUAAAGUGACGAUGAAAAUAAGCCGGAAACAUGUAACGAAUAAUGCACAUGAUGCAAGAACAAAACUCAACACAUCAGAACAGUGGCGUAUGCAUAGCAAACAGUAGCAAAAUUCAUAUGGAAUAGUAUGCAAAUCAAACAUGACGAACACGAUCAUCAUGCACAUGAAGUAACGGGUAAAAAUGCGAGAAAAGUGACUAAAAAAAUAGUAAAAACCCUUGACAAAACAACACUAAAAUUUUUACCAACUUUUCCAAGCAAAAUACCACUGAAAAUUACCAAGAAAAAUAGUAAAAUGACAUGGUAAAUUUCUUGGAAUUUAUUGAUAAAAAUUAACAUGAAUAAAGGGUGCAAACAGCAGGCAAGUAUGGUGCAAAUAGCAAAAAAUAAACAAAAACGUGAAAAGAAAUCUAAGCCCAACCCAAAGCCCAAUGCAGACUGGACCUGGAUCAUCCAAAGGCCUCAGAGGCGUUAGAUUGAUCCAGACCUAGAUCUGACGGUUCAAAAUAAGCAGCGCAUGGUAACACAGAUCAAGCACAUGGAAACAACGCAUCAUAACCAUUCAAAUGAAAAAACCCUAGAUCCUACGGUUCAAGAUGAAAACAAAAUAAACCGGACCGGUUCAAACGUCUAUAUAAGGACGUGGACACCGGUCCAGUCCAUUUCUUUCAUCUCUUUCUCUCUCUAAGCUUCCCUCUCCUCUCGCCUCUCUCCAGAACCUCACCGCCGGUGAGGAUGAAGCUACGGCGGAGACCUUGAAGGUCCGCCGGAAACUUCAUCUUCUCCGGCGAGACUAUGAACUUCCGGUGACCUAAAAAUUCCAGAACUUAAAGAUUUUUGCAUAUUUCGAUUCGUCCUUUAACCCUAAACACGAAUCCAGCAAUUAUUUUUUCAAAUACGGCCUGAAACGACGUAGAUCUAAAACUUUUCAUACGGUUUUGAAAAUGAUUUUGAUCUUUUUGAAAUAAAACGUUUAGAUCUUUAAAGAUCUACAUCGUUUCGUUGUUUGAUUCCGUUUCUGGUACUCGUUCUUGCUUUCAAAAUUUAGAUCCUUAUGGAUCUAGAUUUCGUGCUUACGGUUACGGUUUUCUCUUUGAAUUCUGGAAAUUUUUAGAUCUGUUUCUCGCGUGAUUUUGCAGGUUUAAAUUAUGAUUAUUUUCUGAGAAAAGAUUCUGAGUUUUACCUAAGGUUUUGGUUGAAACCUUUAAUGGAGGAAAUCUUUGGGAGAACUUGAAUCUGUUGUUUUCUGAUGAUUCUUGAUUCUUCCGCUUGCUUCACCGGUCCAGAUUCUGCAGAUUCUGCUUCUUUCCUUCUUCUUUCUCUUCACUGCUUCCUCGUGAUCAGUGCUUGAGCUCGUCGCGUUUCAGUGAUGAACUCGCACUUUGAAUUGCGAGGAAAUUGGUUCUGUGAUGAUGAUUCCGUAUUGAAUCUCUGAGAAUCAAUGAGUAAUCAAAGAAACUUUGUUGAAUUCUGUUGAAUUUGGUGUUUUUGUGUUGAUUCGGUGGAAAUCAAUGGUGGAUUGAGGUGGUUAUGGUUUCUGCCAUUGAUGAAUCUUUGAAGCUUUUUUUGUUGAUUCUGUUUUGGUGAGUUGGCACUUGGUGAAUGAAAAACGUCUGAAAUUCAUUGCCACUGUGUUGCUUUUAUAGCUGACAAGUGUACUGUCUGGCCAAUGGAAAACUGACACAUGUCCUGGACUUGUGAUUUGGGCGCUGCCUUGUAAUUUAGGACUUUGAGGACCUCCCUGCAAUUUUGUAAAAUAUGGAACUGGACUGCAAUUUUAAACAGAACUAAAAAGUAUAAAAAUUGGACAAUUUGGACUUAAAUGCAAUUUUAACAAAAUUAAGGGACUAAUAAUGCAAAAAUAAAAAUAAAAUGAAUUAAAAUUUGUAAUUUUGACCAAACGUAAAGCGAAACAAAAAUAAAAUUGACAAAACGGACUAAAACGAACCAAUGGCCUAAAUGAGGUACUUCAAAGUAACCUCUCUAUGCUAAAAUUUUAUGUGAAAUGACCAAAAUGCCCCUAGGGCUAAAAAUGACCUAAACAGACUCAAAUUGACUUGACACUGACUCAGAUGCAAGUUUGAAAUGAUUUUAGCAAGGUUUACUGAUGAAAUGUAAAAAAGAAUCAAUUUGAAAAGACUCAGAGACAGUCACAAGGAUGAAAAUGGGUCCCACUGCGGGAAAUGACCAAAAUACCCUUCUGUACAAUUUUUGCAAAUUUUGAAAUAAACUGUAGAAAAAGCAGUGUAAUGAUUCAGAGACACUUUUGAAUGACUUACAAGACAAGUAAAGACAUUCCGAAAGGUUUUAUGCAAGAAAAACAUAGGUAAAAUUGUGAUUGAAAAUACUGCGAGGCAGAGACAAUUUGAACUGUGCAGUUGAAAUUUGAUAAUUGACAAAGUUUGAAAUGAAAUUGGGCCCAGUAUUUUUAGGUCCAAAAACAGGGUAUAACAAUUAUUAUAUCCAGUUUUAUAUGUGUAUUUUUAAAUUAUAUUUUGUAUGUUUAAUUAUUAUAUCAACCUUUAUAUGUGUUUUUUUUUUAAUUAUUUUUCUUUAUGUUUAAUUAUUUUCUUUAAAUGUGUGUUUGUUUUAAUUAUUAUAUACACUGUUAUAUGUUUAUUUUUUUAAUUCUAUUUUUUAUGUUUAAUUGUUUUGUUUAUAUGUGUUUUUGUUUAAACCAUAUUUAUUUUUCUAUUAUUUCAGGUUCGUAAGACCCGCGUGCUUAAACCGAUUAAUCAUGGGGCCAAGAUUCUCACUCUCGGACGCCCUAACGCGAAUGAGAAUUGGUUUUGGGAUGCGCUUCAGCAGAGCGGGCUACAUGAUUUGGUUUACUUGGGGUACUCCACCGUGCCUCAUGCCCUGCUGCUGACUUUAUGCGAGAGGUGGCAUCCGGAGACCAGCACCUUCCACAUGCCGAUGGGGGAGAUGACUGUGACAUUGGAUGAUGUCGCAUGUCUGACGCAUCUUCCUAUUGAGGGGCGGAUGUUGGCUCAUGGGAAGAAGAUGCCCAGGCAUGAGGGAGCGGCACUGCUGAUGACGUAUCUGGGUGUGUCCCAGAAUGAGGCUGAGAAGAUCUGCAACCAGGAGUACGGCGGGUACAUUAGCUACCCGAGGCUGAGGGACUUCUAUACCUCGUACCUUGGUAGGGCCAACGUAUUGGCGGGUACGGAGGAUCCUGAGGAGCUUGAGGAGCUGGCGAGAGUCAGGACAUACUGCGUCCGGUGUUACCUUCUGUACUUGGUCGGAUGCUUGUUGUUUGGCGAUAGAAGCAACAAGCGCAUCGAGCUGAUAUAUUUGACGACCAUGGCGGACGGCUACGCAGGGAUGCGUAAUUAUUUCUAGGGAGCUAUGACCCUCGCCUACCUAUACGGCGAGUUGGCGGAUGCAUGUAGGCCUGGACACAGAGCGCUUGGGGGGAGCGUGACACUGCUCACUGUAAGAAAACUUAAAUUUUUUAUUUACGUUAACUUUAUUUUUUUGUUAACUUUUAUUUUUUUGUUAUAUUUUUCCGUGCGUAAUAAUUUAUAAAUGUUAUUUGUUUGCUUUGUGCAGGCAUGGUUUUUGGCGCAUUUUCCAGGGUUUUUUAGUGUUGAUCUCAACACUGACUACCUGGAAAACUAUCCGGUUGCAGCGAGGUGGAAGCACCAGAAGGGUCAUGGGGAGGGAAUCACGUAUCGGUCACUGCUCGAUCGUAUACAGUUAGAUGAUGUAUGCUGGAGGCCGUACGAGAAGCACAGAGAGAUCCAGGACUUCGAGGAGGUUUUCUGGUAUUCUGGAUGGAUUAUGUGCGGCGUCCGUAGGGUGUACCGUCACUUGCCCGAGAGGGUUUUGAGGCAGUACGGAUACGUGCAGACCAUCCCCAGACAUCCGACUGAUGUUAGGGACCUCCCACCGCCUUCCAUUGUGCAGAUGUUCGUCGACUUCGGCACUCACACGCUUAAGGCGGACGCUCGGGGUGAGCAGGCAGGAGAGGAUACAUGGCGGGUGGCGGAUGGCUAUGUCCUGUGGUACGCUAGGGUGUCUCACCCUCAGAUCUUGCCACCUAUUCCAAGAGAUCUUCCGAGGCCUGCAAAUGAAGAGCAGAUCAUUGCAGAGCAGUGGCAGCGGUAUGAGGCGAGAAGUUCGCCUGACACCUAUGACAUGGUCAGUGGCGUUGUUGCCUACGCUGAUGCGCAGUUAGGCCAGGAGGAGGUCAUGAGCAUGACCCCUCAGCAGUGGUUUGAGGCCAUGACCCAUAUGAGGGAGCAGAUCGCGCCGAUUUUGACCAGGAGGAGAGCCCAGAGGCCGAGGAGGAGGCACCAUCAGCAGGAUCAGGACCAGUAGUACUAUUUUCCUUUUUUAUGACUUAUUUUUUGGUUUUAGUCUUUUAGGGAUAUUUGUAUAUUUGUAUAUUUCUACUUUGAUGACAUUAUUUUUAAUUUCAUGGGCUUUUUUUACUUUGUUUAAUGUGCAAAUAUAGGUUGCUUUAAUGUGCAAAUAUAGGUUGCUUUAAGAACAUAAAACAUAAAAAUAAGUUGACAGUAGGAAAAAUAGGGAUGAGAAACAAUGAUUUUGUUUCAAAUAGUAGAACUUAAGAGAAAAAUAUAAAUUAAAUAGAUCUAAUUUAUAAUACAUUUAAAAAUAGUAGAACUUAAGACAAUGGCUGGAAAUGGUAUCUAAAAAUGAUAGGUGCUGCACAAAGGACAACUCUUUCCAUAGUUUCAGAUCAAGAAUUGGCGAAGAUGUGAGAGAACUUGAGAAUAUAAUAUAAGUGUCCCGUUCAUUUGCUCGCAAUUCGUGAAAGAAGAAUUGACGAAGAUUUGAGAGAACUUGAGAAUUUUGUGAAGUUUUGGAUGUUCAGUUUUCCUCGGCAGUUAACUACCGAGGUUUUCUUCGACAGUUUUCUUCGGCAGUUAACUGUCGAGGAUCUUCUACACUACAAAAUCUGGCAGAAUCUCCUCUCAUCCAUUAUUGAUCUUAUCUUCCAAAUAAUUUCUUCAAAUGUCUCUCAAAUUCUCUCUAAAAAACACAACCAAAUCCAACAAACUUUAUUCAACAAAAUCACAAGUAAGUAAUUAUAAUGCUAUUAACUUACAUUUUAGUUGUUAUAAAUGUUAUUAUUUUUUAGUUUUUGAGUACAUUUAUUAUUUUUUAGUAGAUUUACAUGUUAUAAUUAAAUUUUAGGGUAUAUGUUAGUUGAUUAAUGUUGUUAAAAUAUUUGCAUGAUGUUUAUGUUAUAUGAUUAAUUUUUUUAUUUUAGUAAGAGUAUAUGAUUUAUAAUUUUAGGGUUAUUUUUAUGAAUUUUAGAGUGUAUAUAUAAUGUGUUUUUGAUUGAUUGUUUUUAGUUUCUUAUUGUGUAGAUUUAAAACAAUGGUCGGGUGGAUCGACGUUCAUGCGCAAUUUAACGGCGGAGAACCUCAAAGGUUGAAGGUUCGGUGCCUUGGUGUAACGUUAAGAGGUCUCAAGGAUAAACUCACUGAAUUCAACCAAGGAGUCAACCCCAGAGACACAAGGAUGGUGGAACACAUUUGGUAUAAACGUCCAACGCUCGACGAGGGGAGAGUAUCAUUCAGUUGGGUGGAAUUAACGAACGACGAAAACGUGACGACCAUGUUUUGGAAGCACAGCAUGUUCCAGUGGAUCGAUAUGCGGGUGAAGUUGCUUAGAUCAACUGAAGAUAUCAUCAAAAGUUUGAUUCCGCCACAAGAUCGUCAUUAGUUAGGGUAAGGUGCAUUCCAACUACAACAUUUGUCUUCCUUUGAAUGAGGUAAUUCAAACUUGUCAAACAACAGGACUCAAGCAUUUCGCAAGCACCUCAUGUUUCUCCUUUGAAAAUAUUAAAUUUUUGUUAUGCUGGUUUAGAUGAAGGUAUUAAGUGUCAAGGAUUGAACCUCAAUUCGGUGGCACUUGAAUACCAUCAUCUAAAGCAAGCCUCACAAAAAUUUAUUAUUUUCAAAGGGAAAACAUGAGGUGUUUGGCGAAAUGUUUGAGUCCUGUUGUUUUGCAGGUUUGAAUUAUCUCAUUCAAAGGUAACACAAUUGUUGUGGUUGGAAUGCACAUUCCAACUGCAACAAUUGUCUUACUCUGGAUGGGGCAAUUCAAACUUGUUAGGCAGGACUCUAGUAUUCGAUGAGCAUCUUGAAUAAUGGUAUUCAAGUGUCAAGAAAUGCACCUCAUUCUUUUCACACUUGAAUACCAUCGUUCAAGAUGCUAAUCGAACACUGGAGUCCUGCUGCUUAGCAAGUUUGAAUUUGCCCCAUUCAGUGGUAAGAUGAUUGUUGCAGCUGGAAGGAAAAUUUCGGAAUCUAAUGUGUAAGGCAAUGUAAUGUGAUAACAUAUAUUUUGUUUUGAAUGGAACAAUAAUUAUCUUAUUUUUUUUUCAAAUUUAUUUAUUCCAAAUGCAAUUUUAUUCUAAGUACCAUAAUGAAACAAAAUGUGCGCGACACAAAAAUAAAACAUAAAAAAAUCCAAAACAAUUAGGCAUUAAAAGCCAUUACAUUCAUUCUUCCUCGUCACACAAAUCAAUUGGCUUGUCCGCUACAGUCCCUGCGGUACCUUGUUUUGGUUGAGGACCGAAAUAGCAUGUCCUCCCGCUCCUCCUCAACCUCGAGUGAUUGUACACCGGCACCUUCGAACCCUUCUUUUUUUCGGAACCAUCGCAAACAAUUACAUGCCACGUCAUAGGUGACUUUUCUUUUUUCGUCUCAUCAUCGUGAACGUUACCUUGAUUCUGAUUCUGAGACAUAUCUACAUUAAAAAAAAAUAUGGCGAUCAAUUCAACCUACACUAACCUAAACUAUCCUAACAUAUCAUAAAAUCAACAAAUCAAUAUAAUCAAACCUAUAUAAUCGAAAUUUAACAAAAAAUAACAUACAAUUCGACCACAAAGCAACAAUGCAAUAGGAUUCAAAAAACUUACUUGUUUUUGUGAUUAAAAUUGGCUUCUAAUGGCUUCAAAUGACUCAAAAUCGCACCUUCAAAAAUUAAAAACGCAACAAUGGAGUUUCGGAAACUCCUAUGAAGUUCUGUUCUUAUAACAUUCUCCUCAGCAGUUAACUACCGAGGUUUUCCUCGACACUGAACUGCCGCCGGUGUCCUAAAAACUUCGGCAGUUAACUGCCGCCGGUUCCUAAAAACCUCGGUAGCAAACUGCCGAGGGGCAUUUUGGUAUUUUACUAGUGUGGCACAGCCAAACAACAUGUGGGAACAGCAAUUCUCUUAUUUUAUCUUAUUUUUGUUUUAUUUAUUCUUAGUCCCUUUAUUUUAUUUUUAAUGUCCAAAAAUAAAUCAAAAUUUUGUCCGAUAAUAUCUAAACACACAGCUCAUUCACACAGCUCAAAACAGGCUGUCAUGUUCCUCUCCAAGCAACAAAAUUCUGCUUUAUAAAUACAACACACAAACCAGCCAAGAGAAAGAGGAGGGCCCAACGACAAUAACAACUUAAAAAACCUGCUACAACACAAAUCAACCCACAACCACGUAAUAACAAAAUCAAACUCAGCAACAAUCACCAAACCCUCUCAAACCCUAACCCCACAGUCACAAAAGCUAGUUUCAAACCAUCGACACAAUCACCAAACAUAAUCAAACCGAAUCAAACCUUUUCUUCAACAUACCCAAACCAACAAGUCGUACAAAAACAAACAGAUCCGAUAAAAAAAACACACAAGAAAAGGUAGUUCUUUUCAAACGUUUCAGAUCCAGGUUGUUAUAGACUUCAUUUCGAAUUUUUAAGGCUAAUAACGUAUAGAGGAGAGGGAGUAGAAGAGAAAGAACAAAAAAAAAAAAAAAGGAGUACAUCAUCACUCCGGCGCGGCGGCGCGGCCAUCUUGGCCGGCCGGCCACCGCGCCAGCCACCGGAGAAGAAGGUGGCGACGGAGAAGAAUUCUAGAGAGAAGGCAGAGCCUCUCUCUCUAGAAAUAAGAGAAGAGAGAGAAGUUUGAAAUUAAAAUGAUUAAAAAAACCGGAGCUGUGUAUUUAUAAAAGGGAUUGGAGCGGUUCAACCCCUGAACCGGUCUAUUCCAGGCCCACACGCGCCCGGCCUCACCCAAGGCCCAAAUCCUCUUCAUUUUAUUUUCUGCACCCUCCUUUACUGCUCACACACACCCCAGCAUCUCAUUUUUCUAAUUUCUAUUUCAUGCAUUUUAAUUCUCUCUCUAUCUGUUAAUCCAGAGUACUCUGGUCCUAUAUUAACUAUUAAUAUUAUAUUUUUGUUUAAUUUAAUUAUUCUCCAGAACAAUCUGGUCCUUGUUAAUUAAAUUAAUCCAGAGUGCUCUUGUCCUAUAUUAACUAUUAAUAUUAUAUUUUUUUUAAUUUAAUUAUUCUCCAGAACAAUCUGGUCCCUGUUAAUUAAAUUAAUCCAGAGUGCUCUGGUCCUAUAUUAACUGUUAAUAUUAUAUUUUGUUUAAUUUAAUUAUUCUCCAGAACAAUCUGGUCCCUGUUAAUUAAAUUAAUCCAGAGUGCUCUGGUCCUCAAUUAACUGUCAAUAUUAUAUUUUGUUAUUCUCCAGAAUAAUCUGGUCCUUGUUAAUUAAUUUAAUCCAGAGUGCUCUAGUCCUAAAUUAUUUGUUAAUAUUAUAUUUUUGUUUAAUUUAAUCAUUCUCCAGAGUGCUCUGGUCCCCUGCUUUUAUUUUCAUAACUUCGUUAGUUUAAUUUUUAUUUACUAUUCCAAAACAACAAAAACAUUCAAAUAUAAAAAAAUUCAUAAAAAGAACUUUUCAAAAUAAACCUUGAUCUUAAAUCAAGUGACCGUCUUUUUAUUUUAUUUUUCUUAAUCAAAUUUCAAAUCAAUUCUAAUUCAACUUCAAGUCAAUUUCUUUCAAUCUAAAAAACACAAAUCAAUUCUCAUUUGCCACUUGGCUUUUUAUUUCAAACCUUUUUCAAAAACUAAUAAAAAACACAAAAUCAAUCAAACGUCAAUUUCUACCCCGAACUACGAGGUUUUGAUCCCUCACGGGUACGUAGGCAGAGGACACUUGUCCUUCCCAAAUCAACUAAAAAACAAUUUUCUUUUUUCUCUUCAAUUGAAAUUAAUUUCUUUUUUUUCUUUUCAACUCAUCAUUCAAUUCUAUUUUUAUCUCUUCAAAAGCAAGCAAGUUUAAGCACAAAAAGUUAAAUAAAAUCAAGAGGUUCUCGUAGAGUACUACGAAUAUUUAGGGUGCUAACUGUUGUACCCUGAUUUUGGACCUAAAAAUACUUGUUCAAAUUUAUUUUCUACCACUAACAUUUGUUAAUUCGCUGUUAUUUUACUCCGAACAUUUACUCUUUUUUCAUCUGCAUAUCUUACUGUCUCCAUCUCGGAGUAUUUUCAAUCAUAAUUUUGUCUUUGAUUUUCUCGCAUAAAACUAUCCAAAGUGUCUGUCUUGCAUUUUUAUUUCAAAGCAUCUGCAAAAAUCAUACAAAAGGGUAUUUUGGUCAUUUCCUGCAGUGGAACCCAUUUUAAUCCCUGUAAUUGUCUCUGAGUCUUUUCAACUUGUUUUGCAAAUCAUUGUUAAAUCUCUUUUUAAAAUCAUCUCAAAAUUACAUUUGAGUCAGUUUGGGUCAGUUUAGUCCCUAGGGGCAUUUUGGUCUUUUCCUGUCAAAAUUUCGACAGGGAGGUAUUUUAAAAUACCUCAUGUCGGUAAUUUGUUCGUUUUAGUCCGUUUGUUGAUUUUAUUUUUCGUUUCACUUUACCUUUUUACCAAUUACCAAUUUUAAUUCAUUUUAUUUUUUUAUUUACAUUUCGGUCGCCCAAAAGAGUCCCAAAAUUGCAUUUUUGUCCAAUACUUUUUUUAAUUGCAUUUUUUUAGUCUUUUUUUUAUUGCAGAUUAGUCCUCAUAUUAACUUUUUUGCAGAUUAGUCCAUAAGUCCAAAACGGUCCAGAUGUCAUUUUUUCAUUGGUUCUCAGAUACACAUGGCAGGCUAUAAAUAGUAAAUGUGUCAGAUCCAUCACAAUCAGUCAGAAAAAUCAGAAUCAAUCACAAUCACUCUCAAACAGAAUCUUUUUCUCUCUCUCAUCCAUAACAUAAUCUUUUUCUCUCUCUCAUCCAUAACAGAAUCAAAACAGAAAAAAAAAACUCAGAAAAAGAGGAAGAACACCAAGAACACCUCAUCACCAAAAUCAACAGAUCUAAAUCGGAUCUGCUCAAAAUCAGCUCCAACCACCACAAAAUCAACAAAUCCGAACCGGAUUCACUCAAAACCACCGCGAAUCACCACAUCAACACCAAAACGUACCGGAUUUUCGAGCAAAAACAACACCAACGGAGGGUAUAGCGCGCGCGAAAGAGAAGAGGAGGAUUCGAAGUUUUUCCGAAGAUUUUUCUCCGUUUCACGACAGAGGUAACGCAUUUCUCUCCUCUUUUUUCUCCGUUUUCGCGCGCAUAUGUAGUGUAAAAAAGGUGUGAAAAAGUUUGUUACGGAUAUGUAUUUGUAGAUCUAGGCGUGUACGUUCGGAUUUUGAAAACUUUGAGGCCGAAUUCGGACACUAGAGAGAAAAGGAUAUCUAGAUCCGUAGUUUUUUUUUAAAAAAAGUGUGAAAAAUUUUCAAAGAAAAAAUGUAGAUCUAGUCCGAAUCGCUCCGUUCUCGCUAAAACUAACGCCGGAUUUGUGUAGAGGAGGUGGUCACGGAACUUUUGAUGUAAAAAUUUUUAAAAAAAAAAAAGAAGUUCGAAUUUUCCGGCGCGGUGGCGCCGCUGCCGGAAACCGGCCGGCCGCCGUGCCGGAAUCACCACCACCACCCACCUUCGCCGGCGGGAUUUUUAGAGAGAAGGGAGAGCUUCUCUCUCUAAGUGUGACUUAGAGAGAGAAGAAGAAGAGGUUUGUGUGUUUUUUGUGGGAAAUUCCUUUUUAUACUCCCUCCGUUCCCACGCGCGCGCGUGCAUGCUUCUGUGGUGUUCCCUCGCUCUGUGAACCAUCAGAUCUGGAUUGUUCCAAGAUCUGAUGGCUGCUGUGUGUUUGAUUUUGAAUCCUGUGUGUGAUUUUUUGUGUGGAAUAUGGUAUAUCUUCUGUUUGAACCGUUAGAUCUUUGAUCUAACGGUCACUGUGCUUCCUGCAUUUUUACACUAUCUUUUGUGCUUUUUUUUGGACCCUUGGAUCUUUGAUCCAGUGGCUGUGAUGUGAUCUUGGGAGUUAGAUCUGGACCUCUGGAUUCAUCCCGCGGUCCAGAUUAAAUCCUGCUGAGCCUCUUUUUAAUUGCUUUUUAAUUGUGUUUUAAAUACUUUUUUUACACUUUCUUGGUGUUUUAUGCUUCUAAAAAAAUUUCUAAAAAUAUUUCCCUAUCAUUUUAAUUUUUCCUCUAAGUAUUAGAAUUUAUUUGCUUAUUUUUGCAUUUAUUUUCUUUACUUUGUUCUUUUAAUUUUUGCUCAUUAAAUUCCAUAUAUGUUCUUGAUGCAUUUUUUCAUAUUGUCAUAUUUUUGCAUGUGAAAUAAUGUGUGAAAAUAUCUCUAGGAAUAUGAUAUAAUGCUUGGCUUGAGUGUACUCUUAUGAUCCUCACAUUGUAGUUUAAAUUCAAACCUUUCAAAAAUGGCUAUAAUGAGGGAAUUAUAGGUCAUAUGCAUGUAUGAGUGUUAUACCUAAAUUCUAGGUGUAUUUUUACUACUUUGUUUCAUUGCAUUAUUUUCUUUCUCUUGUGCUAUUCAAUUCUAUAUUGCUUGCAUUUUUUUUUUUAUUAUCAUUUUGUACUUGUGUUACUAACUCUUAUGCUUCAUAUCUCACUCAUUCCAUAAGCACCUAAUCUUUGUACCCUCAUUGCUCCUAGUUUAGGUUUUUCUUUUUGUAUUCAUUUCUAUGCCAAUUGGUUUGUAAUAAAUUUAGUUAGUUUAGUUUAGUUUACAUUCUUGCAAGACCAUAGCAUGUAUCUAGGACUCAAUGUAAAGGACUAUGGACACUAUAAGUGAUGUACACCGACACGAGCACCGACACAUGCACACACCCCACAUGGAUGUUCUAGAUGCAUGAUUAGGGAAUGUAUGCUUAGAUGUAUGCUUAGGUUUUACAACGCUUAGACAAAAAAAAUCAUUUUUCAAAAAUAUGAAUAACCUCAAUUGAAAACUUUUUUUUCUAAAAUAGGAGUCAAAACUCCUCAUUUCCCUUUUGUUUUCUUAAGAAAAAAAUCCCAAUGAAUUUUAAUCAUACUUAGACUUUAUUUUGCAAAAUAACUACUUCCACCUCACAUUUUCCAAAUCUCAUGCCCUUGAGGCCUCUCAUCUCCAUUCUUCAAAAUUCCUUCUUUCAAACUUAAAAUCAACCAACAAAAACAAAAACAAUUUUCGAGAACGAACUACGUUUGGUUUUGAUCCCUUAAAAGGGUACGUAGGCAAUGAGUUAAAACUCCUCCAAGCCAAGUAAAAUAAAAUCCCAAUCAUCUUCGCUUCCCCCAUUCUUCACUCAAAUAAAAUUUCUCUUUUAAAUAAGUAGGCAAUAAAAAUAAAGCGUAGAAAUAAACUUAGGAGAACGGUUCUUAUGGAAUACCAUAAUCGUUCCGGGUGCCUCACACCUUCCCGUAGCGAAAGCGACCCCCGAACUUAGAAUCUAAGGGUUUUUUCUCAAUUUUGCCCUUCCCAAGAAAAAAUAGAGAAUAUCAAAGAUUGAAAGGUUCAAGCCUAAUUAAUGACUUGACACCCGAAAAUCGCGAUAACACUAACACCUUCCCUAAAUAUAACCAACCCCCGAACCCUAAAUCUCUUCAAAAUGGGUUGUUUGUAACUUUUUCCCCUUAAAAAAAUUUGUUCAGUCGUGAGAUAAAAAGCGAGUCAAACGCCAGUCAAAUGGCCUUGACCUCCGAAAAAUGGCGCGACAAAUACAAUACAACAUAACUGUUGAGUUUUGUCUUCAAAUUUGUGGUCUGGAAGAACAGGGAAAUCGUGACACGAUUGUGGCAUCGUGACACGAUUUCGGGGUGCCGUGAGCUAGGUUGCAGGGUGCAAAAUCGUGGCACGAUUGUGAGAAAUCGUGACACGAUCGUGAAACUUGCUCGUUAAGUAUCCUUGAUAUUGACUGGUCGUUUCUUGGGUGGUACGCAGAUCGUGACACGAUUGCAAUAGAGGAAGACUAGUAUAAAGUGUUCUUGUGCAGAUUUGAAGAGAGAGUUGGAAGAGAGAGAGACUUGGGAAAUCAAAGGGAGAAACUCUAGGGUUUAGGGUUCUUUGAUUAGAGUAUCUCUUGGGUUGAAAACAUGGGAAACACCAUGUAGAGAGAAUCAUUGAGUGUCUUGGUGAGAUUGGGAAAAGGGUAGAAAUUAGGGUUUGUUCAUUGUGAACUUGUCAAGCUAAUUUCUUGUAACCUUUUGUAUCCCUUUUGUAAGAACUCUUUGAUAGUGGAUUGGAGAGUACAAACUCUCCUCCAGAGUAGAUCAAGUUUGGACCGAACUGGGUGAACAAUCUCUUGGUGCUUUUGUUUUCUUCUUCCCUCUCCUUUUAUCUUGUGUAUUGAGUUUCUCACUUGUUUCCUAGAUUAGAUCUAGGUGGUGUUUUGUUGAUUAUUGCUUGCACACACACUUUGUUCGGUGGUUACCACUCUCCUUUGCUCCACACAUCAUUCUUGUAUUGGUGUGGUUCGAUCUAGGUGAUCGGAAUUCACAACAAUAACAGAUCAAAUACGACCUGCACAAAUUGGCAUCUAAACAAUGCCAUCACCGGGGGGAAAACACGAAUCAAGGAUCAAGUAGUAAAUUUUGGGGUAAAUUAGACCUAGUGUAUUAAAGAGCAAAACUAGAGCAUCUUAAUGUUUAAAAAAUUUAUGGCAUUUUGCAAUUGAAUUGACUAUAUGUUAUACAUACUUACAUUGCCGGUACAAAGUUCUGCCAAGAUGCAUCCAAGGGACCAGAUAUCAAUCUUCUUGUCAUAUGAAAGCCCGAGAAUAACCUCAGGAGCACGAUAGGACCUCGACUGAACAUAUGAGCAAAGGUGAUCUGUCUCAAAACAACUACUUCCAAGAUCAAUGACCUUCACCUCACAUCGGUCGUAGCUUUUAACCAAAAUAUUCUCCGGCUUCAAGUCGCAAUGUGUUAGUCCAAGGUUAUGUAAGUACUGAAGUGCUUCCAAACAUUGAAUGGUAAUUGAUUGCAAUAACAAAUCAAGACAAGUUUCUAAUGAGACAGUAGUAGAAUCUAUCUAUACCUAUAUAUGAAGUGAAUACCAAUGUUUUCUGUAGUUUUUUUCUUUCAAUAUUUUUCGAUUAAAAUAACAAAUCUUCUUGCCUGUUAGAGGAAAUUUUGUUGACUAUCUGUAAUUAUGACACUAUGUCAUUACUAGUUUAGUAGACAUUUUCAUGUAAUUUUUAGGGUAAUUUAUCAAAAUUGUAGAAGCUGAAAGCACAAAAAAAAAAUGAUGAAUUCCGAUUUCCAGCAAGUUCCAAUUCGGGCCCCGAAUCCAAUCAUUCGGGCCCGAAUUCCAGCCACCAGAAGAGCAAUUUGGUGCGUGAAAAUUAUUGCUUGAAUUAGAAGUGCAAAUUACCAUAGGAGAACUUCGGAGGAUUCGAAGGUCUUAACCAUACUUCGCUCUAAUUUUCUUAAAACCAACUUUUAUUGUUUCAUCUACGUUUAUGUUAUAAAAACCAAUCCAACUGCCUAGGGCGACCAAAAAUUUAAUGCAUCCUUUCGAGAAAGAAAUUGCUGAGUAGGAAUUAACAACGGUCCUCGUGGAUUCGAUCUUAUUUAUUACUUCGAUAGUUUUAGUUCACUUGCCAAAUCUCUAUCAUGUAACUAAAAAUUUAAAGGAUUCAAGCUAGUUUGUGUUUUCUACUGUGCUGCUAUAGCUAGACCAUGGUUUUAGUUUUAGCGGCCAAACAAUAUGUUGUGGACCUUAAUAGAAAUAAUAAAAAACCUUAUUCUAAUUGUGAAUAACAGGAACAGAUUAUGAAUAAAGCAAAUUUACUGCCUAACAUAUAGAAUCAGAUAAUGGUAAUUACUGAUUACAGUAAAAGCCCUGGGGAUCUAUAAUUGACUGAAGUUCUGAUGAGAUAACAUAUAGAAAAGAUUGGAAGCCAACAUAAUAUUGCUUCCUAAGUAAAGAUCGUACCUCUAACCAUUUUUCCUAUAUUCUUUUCUCUCUCUGUCCCGUAUCUUCCACUUCUCUGUUUCCAUCCUUCCUUUCCUUUUCGGUUUUUUUUUUCUUCUUUUCCUCGCAUCAUCAAUUUUCAACCCCAAUUCAAACAUCACAAGAAUGAUAAUACAUCUAGGUAAAACUAUCGCAUAAAACAAAUGAUUUUGGGUAGCAUUUUGAGUUAGAGUUUGUGCUCUAAGAAAGGAGAAGAAUACCCAUACAUGGAAGGUGUGCUCUUUGGUGAUCCUUGAGAUUCGAUGGAAAUUGCUUUGGUGUUCAUUCCGGGAGGCAUUGCUAGGAAUGAAAUUGAUUAGCCAUAGUUGUGAGUUGAUGACGAUCCUUAUUUUAAUUAUCGUUAUUAUUGAUAUUUUGGUAAUUUUAUAAGUUAAAGUAUUUACCAAAAUGGGAAGCACACCCUUUGUUGUUGAAAUUUAUGUUUAAGGUCAUGAAUAUUGAUAUGGUCUCUAUUUGAACUUGUCUAUGAUUUAUAGAGCAAAGGUUUUAUAAUUGAGAUAUGGUUGCAUUUACUACUGACAUAAGUUUUGAGAUGUUGACAAAAAAAUGGUUUUUGAGAAAUAUGUUUUUGUUUUGAAAAUUAUUAUGAUACUAUUAUACACUCCAUUUGGAUUGGGUGUUGGAUUUACCUAUGAUUUAUGGUUUAUAAAGUAGUGAAUUUAAGAAUUGAAAUUUGAUUUCAUGUAUAUUGGCACUAGUUUUCAUACGUUGUAAAGCAUAGUUUGAAAUAUGUGUUUUUGAAAGGAUUUGAUAUAUAUGUACGCGAUUUGAAUUUGGAUUUACUUAUGAUGAUAACUAGUAGGUUUUCGAUUGAGUUCUGAUGAAAGUAUUUUGAUAUAAGUUUCGUUAUUUUGCGAAAUAUGGUUUUAGACAUGUGCUUUAAGAUUGGGGUUUUGAAAAUUACGGUUAUAAUUAAUGACGACGACCUAGGUGCACCUAGUAUGUGAUUUCGGUUAGGUAGAGUUACUCCAUUAGACGGAGCCGCCCCUAUGGAAAGGCCAGUACCAUUAGGAGGAGAGGGCUAUCAAUGAGAUGUAAACUCCCUAAUUGAAAAUGUUUUACAAUUUAUUUUGAGUCGGGAGAAAAGAGCUAUCUAUUAGAUGGAGCUACGACUAAGAGAAAGACCACUCAUAGGAAAUUUCCAUCAACGAUAUGGAGCUAGUUCUCGAUUCAUCCAUUUUGAUUAUUUUCACUAAAGUUGGAUUUUUAUACUUUCUCUGAAGUUGAUUAUUUUGGAUUCAUUUCAUUAAAUCCGAUUGUUAUAGUCUAUUUGGAUUUGAUUAUUUGGAUUCCUUUUCAUUAUACAUGAUUUCUAUAUUUCCUUUAAAGUUGUUGAUUUGGAUUCACCUCUUACGAAAUUGAUAUUUUGAUAUAGUAUUAUUUGAUUUGAUAAAUUUACAAAAUUUUCUGAAUUUUCAUGGUAUACUCUUGAUUGUGAAUUUAUUAUAUUUUUAAAACGAUUACAAGCUUUGUAAAUUAAAAUCAGAUUUGAGAAAAUAAAAUAAUUGUGCUCUCGUGUGUUUCCUUUCUAGUUGGUGGUGGUUGUUGUCUCUCACUAAGUCCUUGUGACUUACUAUUUUAUUUUCUAUUUUUAUUCCAGAUUCCCAAGCAACUAAGUAGGAAGCUGCUAGUAGAUUCGAAGUUCAGUGGUGUCACUUUUUUGGUGGGCUACCUUGAUGAAUGUCUCCAUUGUUUAUGUACAUGUUGAGUCAAAGUAUCUGCAGCUAUUUGAAGUUUAGAAAUGUCUCAUUUUGAGUUGUGCAAAUAUGUAAAAAUGUCACUUUGAAAUUCUGGUUGAUGAUAAUAGUUUAUGAACAGGAUUUAGAUCUUCGUAAUGUUGAAAAUAUAGGGGUUGCUCUGUCGAAAUUUCAGUAAACAUGAUUUUGAAUCGAAAGUUAGCUUGAAAAUUGUUUAUUAAUUCUUUGGUCAUCAGGCUUGCCGAACUAUAAGCUAUUAGUUCGUAUGCCGGUCACGGUUAUAUUUUUUUUUGGUCCUGACAAAAACCUUCACCCGUUAUUAAAAAAGUCAAAUUCCCCAAAGAAACUGUAAAGUUACAUUGCAACAAACAUACAUUUGGAAUUAAUAAUCAAAUACUCUAUUUAGAAAUAGUAGUUCAAAUCAUCGAACAUAGAUUGUGAUCUGUCAGUAUCGCAAUAUGUACAAACUCUUGUAUUCGUAAAAGCAAAUUAAUCGCAAUAUGAACACUCUGUUAAUAUGCACUAGGACUUGUGUUGUUGCUGCUAAACAAGUUCUGUCUCAAAAACUGAUUUGGCAGAAAAGUGUUUUUACACAUGAAUAACUUAUUAAUCACAAAAGUUAUACAGUGUUGUUGCUGCUACGCAAGUUCUGUCUCAGAAACUUCCAAGUUCUGAUCUUCAUCUUCUUUUCUCUUUCUAUAAGGAUAGGUGAAUAUCACAUCCUCUUCUGUGCUUCUUUUCUUGAACAUGUGGAUUCCAAUUUGUGUACUAAGAUUGAAAUCUUAAAACCUCUCAAACUGAGCUGCAAAGAAUGUCAUUAUUCAUUAGUCACUGCCCUUUGGAACAACCAAUGGAUUUUGUGGUGCGAGCAAUGUCUAGACAUAUCACAUGACAAUGCAAAUAGCCAGAUGACCAUAGAUGGUUUCCUGACAAUGUGUUGUUUCCUGACAAUGUAAAGUCAAUGAACAAGUAAAUGCUUAGUUUUGGUUAGAGAAAAGUUGCGUAUAUUACCGGCAACAGGCUGAAAUCGUUGGGAAAGGAUUCUCUAUGUUCAAUUAAUGAGAGAAAAUGUUGUUUAAACAUGGGGAUAGGGAGAUUAAGGGUAGAUAUUAGAAACAUCACUUUACUCAUGUUUAUUUCAACAUGAGAGGAUCCACUCUUGAAAUUUUCAUACACACCACUAUGCAGAAAACAACCAUUCUACCAUGUUACAAUUUUAAAAUGGAAACGUUCAGGCAAAACGAGAAAAUAAAAUGAAAUUCAUAUGAAUAAAGUAAAUAUUAAUUCAUGAGAUACAUUAAAGAGAAAUGGGGAAAAAGCAUAAUCCACUCAUUACAACAGUAACUUUAAUGCUUGGAAGCAUAAAACCAAAAUUUUGAGUUAUGAAACGAAAUUCUCCACUUCCAUUUGCCAGAUCAAAACAAAUAGUAAUCCCUGCUAUUACUCAUAGAUGUUUCUACUGCAGCAGCAGAUAAGAUCAAUAUUGAUUACUCAUGUUUGCUAAAGAGCUAGUGAAAUUUUUAUCAAUUAUCAGUAAUGUUUCAAUUGCAAUUACGUUAAGUUUCAUUCUUAAAAGUUAGAAUUGGAUGUACUACUCAAAUUAUCUAUACGUUUAGAGGUCAGGCUGAAAGCAUAUGACAUUACUCCAUAUCAAUAAUAGUAAUCCCUGUUAUUAGUGACUAAACAAGUCCAAUUUGAAUCAUAAUUAAUGAGAUCAAACAAGUUUAUCAAACAUAAAUACUUUUUUCUUUUUUACCCAAAUGAAAUGUAUAUACCUUACUGUUAAGAGUCCCACAUCGGUUAGGAGUUGGCCUGACAAUUUGUUUAUAAGUGGGGGAAAUCCUCACCUCACAAGUCGGUUUUGUGGGAUUGUGUUAGGCCCAACCACGAUUUCUAAUAUGGUAUCAGAGCCUCUUCACGAUUGUUUGGGCCACCUGUUAUCAGGCCACCCGUCAUUUAUGUUCAUGUAACAGUCCGAUUUUUAGCUAGUUUUAUUUAAUUACUCUUAUUGUUUGAUUGUAUGUGAUUAGUAUUUAAUUGUCAUUGGGUGCAUUUAAAUGGAUUACCGUAUUAGAAGGGUAUUUUGGUCAUUUGACGGGUAAGGGUAAAAUGGUAAUUUUGGUGAGAAUUAUUUUAUUAAUUGGUGAGGACCCUUAUUUUACUAAGUUACUAGUGGAGUGAUUAGUUUUUACCGUUAGUAACCGUUGGUUAUAUUUUAUCGUCGUUAGUAAUUACCGUCGAGUGUAUAGAAACUUUUGAAUUGUGUUAGAAUGGGUUAGGCCCAUUAGCAUUUUGAGUUAAGCCCAUUAAGGGGGAUAACACUAGGGUUGUCUUAGAAUUGUAUUCAUUUUCACAAAACAAUUUUCAUAGAGAGAAGGAGAGGUAGAGAGAGAAGAGGUGAAGAGAAGAGCAAGAGGGUUGAAGGGAAGCUUUAGGAAUCAAGUGGGUGACCUAGGAGCUGAAUUGAAGCAAGGGUUAGAGAUAAUCAACUUCAAAGGUGAGGGGGUUAGUGAUUAUCAUAAUCAUGUGUAAUUUUGCAUUUUCUCAUGUUGUAUGAAAAUGGAUUGAUGAACAAAUCAUGCUAAAUUCGUGCUCUUGCUGUGAUGUUAUGCUUGUAUGCAUGAAUUGAUGUUAGUUGUAUAAUUGUUGGUGAAAUUACAUGUUCAUAUAUGCAAAAAUGAUAAGUUAUGAAGAUUGUGCUAAAUUGGUGAAUUUCUCCUAAGUUGUUGUUAAUUUGAGUUGUGAUUCUUGUUCCAAUGAUGUUAUGAAUGUUAUUUGAUAUUAUGAUUGAUGAAUAAUUGCUUGGGUAUGCAUAUUCAUGGAUUAAUGAUGAGAAUUUGAAUUGUGUCGGUGUUUUGGUGAAAAUGAAGAGUUAGCUCAAAUGUCAAGUGUUUUCAAGUUUGAUUGUGUCUUUGUAAGUCUUUUUAGUCAUAUUGACCUAUAAACAUGUUCUUGAAACACAUUUGGGCAUUGAGGGAUCAAAAUUUGGGUUUUGGGGUGAAAAAUGGUUCAAACCCGUGAAAAAUUAUGCAGAAAUGAUGACUGUUCACUUAAGCGAACUGGAAGCGAGUUGUAAGCGAACAGCUACUGUAAGCAGGUCGCUUAAGCGAAGAAUCGUUCGUUUAAGCGAAAUGCCUUUUGACAGCAUUUCUGAUUUCGCGUUCUUGUGUCUUUUUCACACGUUUCUGUUUUGAAUUGGACUUUGGUGUAAACAUGAAAGUUGUAGAUAAUUUUGUUAGCUUUCUAAUGGCAUUGGUUUGACGUCCAAAUGAUUUUUAGAACUUGAGAUAUGAUUAAAUUACUACACAUGGGUCAUGUGGAUUUUUGUGAAAACUUAUCAUAACUUUCUCUAUGAGCCGUGGAACUUUUCCAAACUUGAUAUUGUGUUUAAUGAAGUACUUAGAGUGAAUAAUUUAGUAUGCAUUUAUGUAUUUGGGAAUGUGAAUGUGUUGAUGGUUUAAGAAAUAUUUCGGGCGGAGUUGAAUCGGUGAAAAUGGGUUUUGAGCUAAAUGUUGUUUUGUCUUGGUUUUUCUCAUACGAACUUGAGCUACCCUUUGAACUAAUUUCUAAUAGUUUGUAAGUGGCUUAAGUCCUUGACUACAUGAUUGAUUAAGAUUGAAUUGUAGGAUUUCAAACUUAAAUAAGUUGUCUAGCUUUAAAAAUUGUCAAUGUUGGCCGUUUGCCACAUGUUUUGGAUUUUUGUUGGAAAUGUUUCUUAAGCAAAUUGUCUUGUGAGUUAUUGAGAUUAUUCUUGUAUGACUAAGUGAAGUUGUAUGAAUGAAUGAUUGUAUUGAAUAUGAUGUUUAUCAUGAGAUGUGUAUGCUAUCUUACUUAGAAUGUAAGGAAUGCUUGAAUGGUGAAACUAUAUGUGAUAGUUGAUGUUGGAUAUGAUAUUUGUCAUGAGAUGUUGUAUGUUCUCUUACUUGGGAUAUGAGAAUUGUUUGGAAUGGUGAAACUAUAUGAUAUAGUUGAUGUUGAAUGACAUUGUUGAUUAUUGAUAAUCAUGUUGAUGUGUGAUGGUGAAUACUAUGAUUUAUUUGUGUGGGCAUGUUUUCUUGAUAAUGCAAUGUUGUGGAAAUAAUCAAUAUAAUUGGGUGUUGUCCUAUAUAUUGAGGUUGAGAUUGUGAAUUGUUGUCGCAUUAUCGAGUCCUUACACAUGUCCAUGCAUCAUAGUCGUUGUUGCUGUAAAAGGGAGGACUCUUUUACUUCGAGAUUAUUGUAAGGCAGAGGUGAGCCUUACAUGCGAUGUUGACUUGUCCAUCGGAGGUGACGACCUUGUUGAGAUUUGGUACCACAUGCAUUUAUGUGUCCAUAAGUGCAUAUCAUAGCAUGAGUCUUAUGUGAAAUAUGUGAUUGGUGAUGAAAUGAGAUGAAUGAAUGUUGAUAAUGAUUGUUCAAUGAUUGGUGUUGUGAAUGAAUAUUUAUGAUUGGGUAAUUAUUCAUGUGAUUGAUGUAUGUUGAUAUGAGAUAUCGAGUUGUGAUGUAAGUAUUUAUGUAUGACUAAUACUAUUCAAGUACAUGAUAUUAUUUGAUUUGAUUAUUAUUUGGUUAUGAUAAUGUAAUGCUUACCCCCAGUGGUUUUAACCGCCUACUUGCCUGUAUGGGUGAGUAGACGUUGUGCAGGAGUAGUGCUCGGUGAGUCUUUGCGUGGGAUAUCGGGAGCUUUCUCCGAUAUCGGGUCGUGUCGGCUCUGAUCUAGGCUUGUCGUGUCGGUCUAGAUUAGGUUGUUUAUAUUUCCUUUGGAUUAUUGUUUUGUUGGUGACUGCCCGUAUGUUUGGGUUUUGAGAUUUAUCUUAGGGAUAUAAGUUAUUUGUUCAUGGCAUGUAUAUAUUUAAUCACUCUGAUUUAUAUUCCGCUGCAGCUAUUGAGGUUUAUAUACAUGUCUGUCGGUUUUUGAAUUUUGAAUAAGAUGUAAUCUCUAUUUCUUGAAUAAAUGUAUUAUUCGCAUGUUUAAUUGCUUAAAUAGAGAUAGGAGUGUUACAGUUCACGCUUCAGAUGUGUAAUCCUGAGCGUGAGGGGGGUGUUAAGAGUCCCACAUCGGUUAGGAGUUGGCCUGACAAUUUGUUUAUAAGUGGGGGAAAUCCUCACCUCACAAGCCGGUUUUGUGGGGUUGUGUUAGGCCCAACCACAAUUUCUAAUACUUACUAAGAGUAAAGCCACUUUAUUUCAUCAACUAAAUGUAGAGAAAUAUUCAAAAACUUCUUCAUUAACCACUAAUGCUGUGUUUAGGCUAUUAACUAUUUCAGUCAAAAGCUCCAUUCAAAAUCCCCCCAUACCAAAAUAAAUAAAUAGAAGGGGAGAACAAGCUUAAGUUUUCUUAAUAUUUACAACAACAUCAAAUGUCAACUUUUCUAAGCUUAAAGUGGCUAAAAUUAACUAUAAGUCAGUCUACUUAUUGAACUUUAUGCAGUUGCAAACUCUGAGAACCUUCAUUUCAACAUUUUUAACCAUUAGAGAAGGGAGAAAAUAAAAUUAAAAAUUGGUAAGAUUUAUGUGUAAAAAUGUUUUCAUUUAUAAUUUAUAAAGCUUCCAUCAAUGAAGCGGGAAAAAAUAUCCUCCCUAUGAAGCACCGAAACAGACACGGAUACCGGACUCGACACUUACAUUGAUUUGUCAACACCAAUAGUAAUUUAAGAAAAUCAGAUGUGUCAGUAUUGGAUACGAACACCAAACAUGCUUAGCAUCAGAAGUGUUUGUGCAACAAAGCAUCCUCCACAGUAUCUUACAUAAUGUCUCAUCAUUUGAUAAACUAUUCAAGGUAGAAAUAAUUAAUUGAUUUAUAAAGAUAAUAAUGAUAAUGAUGUACCUGGACCAAGGAAUCUAUCUAGCCAUGGUGUUCCUAUUCUUGUUUCAUUAAGAACCAAGUUCUGCAUGACUGACACUAAAGCUAGAUGUUGUUGCUGCAAAAUUUCUGUCUCCGAAACUCCCACUUCCACUAACCUUCUUUGCUUUUUCAGCAGUGGGUGAAAUUGUAAUAACAAAGCAUUGAGAUAUUUUUCUAAUUUUAUCUUUCUAAUAUAAGGAUCAGUGAAUACCACAUCCUCCUCAUCCAUGUUGCUUUUCUUCUUCAACACGUGGAUUCCCAUUUGUGAACUCCUUAAUUUUUUAAUCACUUCCUCAGGUGGACUACAAAUACUCGUCAACUUAAGCUCCACAUGGAUCCAUUCAUUUUUCAAAAGUUCUUUGUCCAUUUCAGACACAAGAUUUGCACAUUUAAUCUGUUCUUUCAAUUUCAUAUCAAACAAAAAUGCAUGUGCCGAGUCGAAAACCGAUAGAAAGUGAGAACCACAGAAUAAAUAUGUAGGAAAACCACAUCGAUAUCCAUUGACAAACAAAUUGAUAUCUGGAACUAUAGUAGUAUAUCCCAAAAAAAGAAAAAUGGAAGUAACAGAAGGGAUCUUUUUACGAAACCAGAAAGAAAUUGUAUCUCCCCCUGAUUUGGUGCUCGUACCAAUCUGGAAUCCCCUCUUUUACGUUUGAGAAACGAAUAUCGGUGCAUCCAGCAUCAUUUAGGUUCUGUUUGUUUAGAAUAAGAUAUAUUACAUUGUCCAAUAUGAAAUAUUAUAUAUCAAUAUCAAAUAAUAUAUACUGCAACACAAAACAACAACAAACCUGACUAAAUAACAUUCUUCUAGUUGAGAAACUCAGUGAUACGCAUCGCAUUGCAUCCAAGUAAUUUAGAUUUGGUGGAAUCAAGGGGAUUAUAUGGUUUGUGCUGAGAAGUAUCCGUUUUGCAUAAAAUUUAUAAAAAAUAUUAUCAUCACACAUUACUAACUCACAGCAUAAAUAAAAUACUAAGCAAAACAUAAUUGUUUGGAGUGGAUGGAGGAGGAGGUGGAGAUAUAUUUUCUUGAGUAAAUAAAUUACUAAGAAAUCAAAGGUUCAAUGAAACUAAUUUACGAUUUAUGCAACAUCACAUUAAUCACCAAUUUAAAAUAUCAAAGAGUACAGCAAUAAAAUUUUAAUCAAACAUAUCUAAUGCGAGAGUAAAAGGGAUCAGCGUGAGAAUUGAAGUAGUAAUUCCUUGACAGUUUUACCAUCAGAAUAAGCCCAAGCUUCUUCUCCAUCAGAUUAAUUAGUUUUUAAUGUUUUUAAAAAAAAAAUGUUGAGUCCAUUAUAUUCAUGUGUUUGAGUCUCCAUGUCACCGACGGCAGUAAAUAAAUAUUAACAUAAACUAAUGGAUGAAAAUGACUAACCUGACACAACUUGAUGAAAUUAAAAGACCAUUUUUGCGGUAGGGGAUCAAUAAUAUGAACCCCAAAAUUAAGAUAAAUGAUCAAAAAGGUAUUUACGCCUAAUUAAUAGGUACAUUCAAACUACUCACUAACAAAGUCCAUUUGAUGUGAAUGUGGCACUGCACCCUAUUUGAUUUUUUUGGUUAUACUGAAUAAUUUAGCUUAUUACUGGUCAUUUUUGUCUUUGAAAAUGGAUCUGCAAGUAUAUCAGAAAACAAAUAACUACUUCAUUUCAUAUUUUUCAGUUUAAGAUGAUCAGAUUAGUCUUUUGAUUUGAGGUCAAAAUUCUUUUAAUUGACUUCAAAAACACACUUUAAAAUAAAAACAUCCUAGUCUUUGAGUUAACCAACCAAAUAUGAAAUCUUGUUAUCAUACUGAUGAAUUCUGGAUAUCACAUGUUUCUGCAUGACUAAAUUUUCAAUAAUAGCUUUUCUCUUAAGUUUUGUUUGGCAUAUACUAGUGGUGAAAUAUCCUUUUCACUUGCCGUUACUAUAUCAACAAAAAACUUAUUGCAAGGAAUUCUUUUUCAUAUUUAUCAAACCAUCAAGUGUCCAGCAUAUAUAUAACAUCUCACUGUUAAAAAAUUCAUUAUAAUUUACUUAUAUACAUAUCCAAAACUCAGCUCAGGCACGAGUUUCUUCUUUAUGUUAUAGCAUUUAAUCCUUUCUUCCAAUCUCAGAUGUCAUAUCAAAAAGAUAUGUUUGAUUCGAUGGAAUCUAGACUACUUUUACAUAGCCAUUGACAGACAAAUUGACUACUUUUUCAGUUAUACAAGGGAUUUCUUUACAACACCACAAAGAGUGUGUCUUAUGAUUUGGUGCUCGAACCAAUCUGGAAUCCCCUCUUAAUGCUUGUAUUGAUAUCAACAACUAAAUACUUAUUUAAUAUUGUUUCAACAUCAUUAAUAUAUUCAGAAAAUCAACAAUCAUUGAACAACAAAAGUUAAGUUAGCAACAUCGAAGUUUCUGAUAUUUGCUUUUUCAGUACACAUGCUUCUGAACAUACAAUAAUGAAAGAAUCAAAUUCAAACAAUAUCUGUAGCACAAACAUCCUCCUUAAAAACUUACAUCAUGUCUCACCAUAUAAAAACCAGAGUGCAUUGAGUAUUAUACCAAUAACAUUGAUUAGGAUUUUGGAGAACAAAAGCACGACUCUUGCAAAAGGAUCUCAUAAAUGUCGGUUAUCAGAUUUAACUCUUUACCACACAUAACUUCUUGCAUAUCCAAAAGCUCUUUUCCAGUAAGGACAGAGUUUAGUUUGAGAAACCCAUCACUUCAUAGUCAUUUCAACCUGGUAUGCAUAUUUACAUGACAUAAAUAUAGAAACUAAACAGAAGACACAUUUCAUUAUAAAAACAUUAGUAUAGAACAUCUCUUCCCAUUCAAUUAUAUAUGUUCAAUUUCUAGUUCUACCAAAUAUCUGUCAGAACACAAAAUAGCAAUUGUUUUGCCAAAGUUUUGAGGAGACAGAACAUUUUGCGAACUUUAGAGAAAAUAAUCUAAACACAUGUCCUCACCAGGGGAAGGUAUGGAUAGAACGAAUGAAAUUACGUAGAGCUGCAGAAGGAUCAUGUGAAAUGUUCAAUUCACACCCAAUGUGGCAACACAAAAUUCCAACUGAUCUGCAAAGCGUAUGAUUACCCAAUUCCCUUUCAAGCAACACCUCUAGACAUCUCGUAUGACAAUGCACAAAGAAAGGCAACUACAAAUUGUUUCCUGACAAAUGUAAAAAUAUAGGGUUAAUAGUGUUUUUCACCCCUGUAAUAUAUGUCAUUUCCGGUUUUCGCCCCUAUAAAAUUUUCGGUUUGAUUUGCAUCCUCGUAAAAAUUUUAUUUUCCGGAAAACACCCUUAAUAGGCCAUUCAAAAACCAAAAAUUCUUGAAAGAAAAUUCUGAAAAUGGCCUAUUAGGGGUGUUUUCCCGGAAAAUAAAAUUUUUAUGAGGGUGCAAAUCAAACCGAAAAUUUUAUAGGGGCGAAAACCGGAAAUGCCAUAUAUUACAGGGGUGAAAAACACUAUUAACCCAAAAAUAUAUUACUUUGGUAUAAUUAUCAAUUUCUUUUUCAGAUUAUGAUUAAAAGCAUUUAUUCUUUCAAAGUAUAAGGAUCUUACUUGUAACAACAUUCAUCUAGGAUUCGAAGCAAUUUAUUAGAUAUUGUGAGAAAGUGGCCAACCUCCACCACACCUUUUAAAAGUUCUGGACUGAAGGGAUAUAUCUGCAUUUAAAUAGAUGUUAUAAGUAACACAAUACACAGUUACACUUCAACAGAGCUUUGAGCUCAUUGUAAACUUCGAGUGUGCUUAUAAGCUACUGGAAUUUUGAUCAAUUAUGUAUCAUGUUUCAAUUGCAAUAACGCUAAAUUUCAUCAUAAAAAUAAAAAAUGCAUGCAUAUACUACAUAAAUUAUCCAUACGUUUAUUGGUCAGACUUAAAGCAUAUGCCAUUAGUUAGGAGAGAUUAAAGUUCCGAUUUGAAACAUAAUUAAAGAGAUCGAUAUGUUAGUAAUAGGAGUCCUGAUGGCAGAAGUUAUAUUAAAUUAUUAACUGCUACAUCUGCAAUAACUGCUAUCUUUAGUACUUCUAUGUAACUGCUAUAAGGAGUUAGUAUUAUAAAUAUGGAUGCNNAGGGAAAAGAAGGGCAUUGGGUUAUUUGGAUAAAGGAUUGAUAGGAAUAUAUCAAGCUCGCGAGUUCUUGACGGGGAUAGAACGAACAUUCUCGAAUUUCUUGGGAUUCUAUUGUAAUGAUUAUAUUAAUUAAUAUUUUGAUAACAGUGUAUAUCACAAUACAAGUUUAUGAAAUGUUUAUAGUUACUAAUCAUCAACUAAAUGUAGAGCAAUAUUCAAAAAGUCUGAAUCUUUAUAAUAACUCAUGAAGACUUCAACACCUAAUGUCAACUUUAUAACCUUAAAGUGGCUUAAAUUUACCUUAAGACGGUCUACUUGUUGAUCUUUAAGCAGUCGCAAACUCGGAGAACUUUCAUGUCGACAUUGUAACCAUCAGAACAUGGAGAGAAAAAAUACUUGGUAAGCAGGAAAAAAAUCCUCCAUUGAUGUAGGAGAACAAACACGAACACCGAACUCGACACUAACACUGAUUCGUCAACAUUGAUAGUAAUUUAAGAAAAUAAUAUAUUUCAAUGUAAUCACAUGUGUCGGCAUGAGACACGUGUCAGACACAUAAUCUUACAUCAUGUCUCAUGAUUUAAGCAACUUCUCCAUCUAUAAACAAUGAAUUUGUAAUUGACUAUAUACAGAAAUUAAUCAAUAUUUAUAAUAAUGAUAAUGAUUUCAACUGUAAACAGUAAAGCACAAACCUGCAAAGUUGAGAUUGAGAGGAUAACAACAAGACGGUUAACUUUAUGGCGCACCUGGAUCAAGGAAUGUACCCCACAUAUUUCUUUCAUCUUGUCCACUGUUUAAUAUUUCUUUCUCCUCUUCUUUCAUUAUAUCUUCUCUCUAUAAUAUAAGGAUCGGUGAAUAUCACAUCCCCCUCCCAUGACACGUGGAUUCCCAUUUGUGCACUAACAUGAUCAUCCUUCUCCGUGAUCCAAUUAAGCUCUACAUGGUUCCAUUCAUUAUUUUUAAAUGCUUCGUACAGUUCAGGCUUAUUUCCAAAACUCUCGUCAAUAUGGUCAUCCAAAUUCAUAUCAAACAAAAAUGCAUGUUCCGACGGCAGAACUGUCCCCUUAUAAUCGAAAAGAUAGCCAGAACCAAUAAGUUCAUUGCCAUUGACAAACAAAUUGAAUUUUUUAAUCGCCGCAAAUUCCGGAAUAAGAAUAAUACAAGUUAUAGAAGGGAUCUUUUUACAUAACCAGAAAGAAAUUGAGUUGUGUCCCCUGACUUGAUGCUCGAACCAAUCUGGAAUCCCCUCUGUUCCGGUUGGCAAAACAAUAUUGUUGCAACCAGCAUCGUGCAGUCGCUGUUAGAUUAGCAUAAGAUACAGUAUUUCAGUGUGGAUAAUAUAUGAAAUACUAAAUAUCAAAUACCAGUGCAAGAUAAAAUAAAAACAAACCUGACUCAAUAACAUUCUUCUACUUGAGGAACUCAAUGAUUUACAUCCUUCUGCAUAAAGAUUUGUUAGAUUGGGUGGAAUCCCUCUAAUUUCCUCAAGAGACUCACAGUAAUCCAAAUAAAGAUGCUCAAGAUAGUGACAUUCACUAAGGCACUUGGGAAGAAUUUUGAAAUUUUUGUCCAUUAUUACUAACUUUUGAAGUUCAUUGAGAUUUUUAAAUGAAAAUGGCAUUUCUUCUAUGGAAGUAUCACAUAACCAAAUCUCUUUUAUAUUUGACAUCUUGCAUAAUAAUUCUGGAAAACUCUUGAGACUCCUACAAAAAUGGAGUUCCAAUUUCUUAAGAGACGGCAGACAUAAGGGUGGAAAACUCUUGAGCUUCCUGCACAUGGUCGCAUCUAAGAUUUCAAGUUUAUAAAGGUACCCAACUGAAUUGUGAAUUGUAGUUAAAUUUUUACAAUUUUGAAAUGAGAGCCUUAUUAAUUCUGGAAGACCUGAAACAUCAGGUAUAUGAGUUAAAUAGUCACUACAGUCAAAGGUCAAGAUUCUCAGGUUCAUGAGCUUCUUCUGCAUAAACACCAUAAAGAAACAAACAAAUAAAAAUCAGACACUAUAUAUUGAAUUUAUAAAUAUACACAAUUGGAAAAUACAAUUAUUUUACUUGCCUUGAAUGAAAAACAAAAUGAUAGAGGCUCCGAAGUAAAUCCUUUCCAUUUCAAUACUAUCAAACUUUUUGGAAGAUACUUGAGACCUUUAGAAAAAUAGCCCUUUUCAAUGAUAAGUGUUUUGAGUUUUUUCAUCUUCUUAAAGGCCUUUUCAUUGAUGUUGAUGGGUUCCAUUGAGGAACAAUUCAGAUAUAUCAUUUCAAUUUUACUAGUUCCCUUUUAACAAAAAAUAAAACAAAAAUUAAUCAACCAUAAUACAAAUAACAUAUAGAGCUUGAACAUGUACAUGUAAUUAAGUGUAAAAAGAUUUAGUAUGAGAUGGUCAUAUAUAAGUCCAAAAAGAGGAAAGUCAUGGUAAGCUAAAAUAACAAAUUGUUCAUAGAUAUCAAUCUUACUGUGUUUUGUUUUAAAACAUGAGCUAUAUCAUCAUGACGCCACAACCUAGUGCGCUCUCCAGGCUCUUUAAUUGAUUCUUGUCGGACUAUUUCUAUACCCAUAUACUCUAUCAAGUCAUGUAAUGUAACAAUAUAAGAAGUGUAGUAUGGAUCUGGAGCACUAAUCUUUAUGAGAGAUUCAUCAACCAACACUCUAACAUGAUGUGUCAUUGAAUGGCCAUAAUGAAAUUGAAGUGUCUCUGAAACUUCUGCCAAUCACAUCCUUUGAAGCAACAAGCAAUAUCCAAAAAGACACUCUGUUGUUCUUCUUCCAAAGUAUCAAAGCUUACUUUAAGUAUCUUUUGGAUAUCUUCAGGUGGAAUUCUUUCAUACUUAUCUAAGGUUGACUCACAAUCUGCUAUACUCUUUCCAAACAAGUUGGAACCCACUACUUUUAAAGCUAAUGGAAGGCCAGAAGCAUAUUCAACUGCACGGUUUAAAAUAUAAUCAUAGCUGGAAUCAUUUUUAAAAGUCAUCUUUCUUAACAAUUCAAGAGAUUCUUCCUUAUUUAAACUGUCUGCUUCGUAUAUUUUUGUUAUCCCAUGGCAUGAUAACAAAUAUCUGUCUCGAGUGGUAAUGAUGACUCUGCUUCCUUGACCGAACCAACCAGGCUCUCCGACCAAUUUCUCCAACUGAUUUGGUUUGUCAACGUCAUCAAGAAUCAACAAAACUUUCUUCCGACAUAGCCUUUGUUUUAUGAUUUCAAUUCCUUCAUUAUCAUGUUCUAGCGGGGUGUCAUAUCCGAUUGAUUUGGAGAGGAGCUGCUCUUGGAGAUACUUUAAGCUAUGUUUAAAUGAAUUUUCUCUAACAUUGUAAAGGAAACACCUACAUUCAAAUUGAUUAACAAUUGAAUUAUAAACUGCUUCAGCAAGUGUUGUCUUACCCAGACCUCCAGUUCCAAGGAUUCCUAUUAUGUAGACUCCAUCGGUACAUCCCAAGUCUAGAAGUGAAUUCACUUCUGAUAUUCGAGAUUCGAGUCCAACAAGGUACUCAGCAACAUGUAAAUGACAACGGUUGAUCUUGUUGGAGACGUCUGUAACUAUUUCUUCAAUAAAUUUGUAUUCAUAUUUAUUUCUGUCCAAUCAUACAUAUUUAAAUAGAUGUAUUAGAAUAACAAUCACACAUAUGUAUUAAUAUAUAACAGUAAUUAUAAUAUUGCAAUUCAAAUUGUUUGAACAUAGAAUGACCAAAUUUUCUCUAUAUGUAAGAAAAAUGGAAAACAAGAUUGAAAUGAAGAGCGGUACCCAUGAAUGAAAUUGGUGAAGAGCUUCCUUCCAUUUCAGCAACCGCUCCAUGUUUUCCAUGUCAUUUUGAAACUCCACUUCAUGCUUAGCAAGUGCUUCACCAUAACUGUCUUCCAGUUUUCGCACAUGAGAAGGUUCGGUGCCAUAGAAAACAGGAAUAACCUUGGUAACCUUUUCUCUGAAGCAAUGAAUGAUGUGGACAAGUUCAUCUAAACAAAAUGAAGAAGUAGCAUAGUUCUUAGAGAAUAUAAUAAUGGCAAUCCUCGAUUCUUCAAUGCUCUUCCGGAGUGAAGGUGUGAUUUCGUCACCAGUUGGAAGCUCCUUGUCAUCAAUGAAGGUGUGGAUUCCUUUGUCAGAAAGAGCCUUAUAGAGGUUACCGGUGAAACCAAAUCGAGUGUCGGUACCCCUGAAACUAAUGAACACAUCGAAGUUGAAAUCAUAAGAGAGGGAGGAGGAGGAAGUAGGUAAUUGCAUAGCCAUGAGAAAAAAUGGCAUUGAGAGUCAAUUUAAAACAUUAGUCUUGAAACUUCCAUCUCAUCUUCUGAAUUUUUGGUUGGGUAAGGAGUUAUUAGUAGGACUGGCCCUCUUGCUUUGAUUUGGCUCUGCAGAGUCAGAAACUUCCUUUGAAUUUUCUAUAACCCUUCCAUGUGACUUCUUGGUAAUAUCUUGACUGAUAUUACUUACUUUUCAUUUUUGGACAAACACCAUUAAAAGAACCAAAUAUUAUAUAAUGUAACUACCAUUAGAACCAAACUUUUUUUUUUUUUGAGAAAGAAGAAUACUGAGAGUAGCAUCAUAUACAUUCUCUAAAUAGGAAAUAUCUUCCAAAUAACAGUCAAAUCCAAAAAUAAACGAUUAAAUGGAACAAUCCAUACAAAUUAAGAAAACUGUGUAAACUGAAGAGAGGGAAAAGUAGUACUCCCUAUGUUUUUAUAUAUAAGAAAUUUUAGCUUUUAUUAAAAAAAAUUGAUAGUGUAGUUGAUGUUUAUCAAUUUACCAAAAAAACCCUUUGGUUGUGUAUGUAGAAAAUUUUGCUUUUUCAUAUAACAAAGUUGGGCUGGGCUUUGUUUGAGAGUUUGGAUGGGAGAGGAAGAGAGGGCUUUGAGGGAAGAAAUUUUAAGGGAAAAUACAAAAAUCUUUCACAAUUUUUUAGAGUUUUUUUACAAAAUGAGUAUUUUUAUUAGAGAAUAAUAAAUUAAUGUUUAUGAUUGAUAUCUUUUAAAUUUUAAGAAUAUUAUAUUAUAGCAACAUUUUCUUUCAUAUGGCGUAAUUUGAUCCAUGUAGUCAACUAUGUUUAAUGCGAUAAGGAUUCAUUGUUGUUGUAUAGCAACAUAAAUUAAAUUUAAAAAUUUUUAUAAACCCUUCAAAACUCCUCCUCCAAAUCGGAGAGUUUGAUCUAUCAUUUAUAAAACACUAAGUAUAACAAAAUAAAAUAAAACCACACAACACGCAGGUCUAAAUCUAGUUUUGUGCAAUUUCCACAUAUUUUCAAAAUACACAAAAACUAUAUGAUAUUUAUAAUUGAUAUCAAUUUUUUAUGCACAACUAUUAUUUCUCUUUUUAUAGUAACUAUUUUAUAUCUUCAUUGUUAAUUUUAUGGUUAUAAAUGUUGGAAAAAGAAAGGUUGAGUUGAUGGCAUCAGAAUGAAUCGAGAGACUAUGUGAUAUUUAGAACUUCAGGCCUCAAUAAUCAAACAGCUUAAUCACUAAUGCAUAAAAAAGUUAUGAUAUAAUGUGAUUGGACCUCAAAAAUCAUACAGCUUAAAAACUGUAAAAAAAAGGUCGAAAAAGUUGUGAUAUUUAAUGCCACCGUAAACUAUUUAGGAUGUAUUAGUAACAUUUUUGUAUUAUUAUAUUUGUACAUAAAACAGAAAUAGUAAAAACCAAGCCAGGUGAUAAAAUAUGGAGUAGUGUAAUUUGCAAAAAGCAACAAAUAUUUGACAUACUUUUACAAACUUUUUGAAGUAGCCCAUAUGUAGAAUGUUUUAACCUUUAAUUAGCCCAUCUAGUUGAAUGCUAAAACCAAAGCAUCAUUUUUAACAUACUUUUACACACAUUUUUCUGUGCAUUAGGGUGUAUUAGUAACAUUUUUGUAUAAUAUUUGAACAUAAAACAUUUAGUAAAAACUAAACAAGGAUAUAAAUAUGGAGUAAUAAAGUUUGCAAAAUGAGUCCCCGUGAGCUUUGCUCAGUUGGUAGGGACAAAUGCAUUUUAUAUGCAGGGGCCGGGGUUCGAACCCCGGACACCCCACUUCUCCACAUUUAACUUUUUAUUUUGAAGGAACUAGAGUAACUUGAUGUCUAUAUUUGGAGUUUGACUCACCUCAUGUAAAUUUUUCAAUUAGUUUUAUGUGCACAACUCCUAACACAACCGACAAAAAUGCAUAAAUUAUGAGACCGGUCGUCGUAAUCGAGAUUUGAAUCCAAAUUCCUUUACUCGUUUGUGUAUGUUUUCAAGUGAUUUAUCAUUUUGUCUAUCUACCAAGAAAAUAUACACAUUUACUCAUGUCUUUAUAUUGGCAUAUCUAUUAACCCAAAGCAUCUAAAUGGGGGGACAUGGUUCUUUGCUCCCUAUUUUACCAUAUAACCAUUUCAUGGCACCCACCCACCACUCUGCCCCUAUCAGAUGUGCACAGGGCGCUAAUUGUACCACAACUAGGCGUGCCACAAGUUUUGGCAUCUUUUCCCUGCACACUCUAUUGCUCUACCUAGGUACUUUGGAGUUCUGUGCUGCAUGUAAAGAAAAAAAACAUGAACAUAACCUUUGUAUAAAAUAAUAGUACAAUAAUUUAGUUAUACUUUAGUUAUUUACAGUGUGCAUGCAUUUAAAUUAGAAACAUCCUUCUCAUUUUCCUUUAGCCGUGUGGACCAUUCACACAAUUAUUGUUCAACUUUUUCUUUACUGAAAAACACUGCAGAACCAUUAUUUAUAUUGUCCUCGUGCUACGUUAUUAAUUACACUUCUUAACCUUUUUCCAUUUUACUUCUACGAUCUUUCUUUGUUACUUCAUGGGACUAAAAUAAUAGUAUAAUUUUUUUUUUUAAGUCAAGAAGCAAGGAAGACGACAGACGUCAAGGGAAAUCAACGACAUCCCAAUUAGAUUGAUACCCUAAAGAACCGUAUAUAAAAUGAAAAUAAAAGUUGUUAUGUGGACUCAAACAGACAGGAAUGUUGUUGUUCUAAAGAUUUUGUCAUUUUCCUUGAUUCUAAAAAAAUGCACACAAUUGUUCACUUUUACGGUCUAUUAUCUCCUAAAAAAUAUAUUUCCACUGCUUAUAAGUUAACUGUUUCGUAAGUUAACUAAUUUAACUUGUUCCCCAAAAAUAUACGCAUUUGUUCAGGUCUUUAUUUUGGUAUCUAUCACAUACACUUCACUGCACCCUGAAGUCGUGACACCACUCUGCUCCCAAUCGAACUACUAUUGAUAUCAAUUAAACAUUCGUAUGUAAACAUAUGAACAUUCAAUAAACAUGCUUAUAAAACUUGUAUGCUAAUAAAAACAUGGAAUUCCAACAAUAUUUUACACUGGACAAACAUCCUCCAACUCUAGCAGUAGCACCAUGACUAUUUCAAAAAUGCUCAAACAGCCUUCGCUUACUCAGCUCUCUAAGCAGCAAAGGUGGACCAAAUAAACUAAACUUAAUUAAAGCAGUGGCAACUUCUUUAUAACAAGCCUGCCACUCAAAUCUGCCAACACUAUUGCUGAAGAAUUGCAGGAUCAGGUGAAGAUGAAGUUAUCCGGGAAGCAGCUUAUGGAAAUAAGCUAAAAGGAAGCAUAAGCUGAAAUAAGUGGAUGGAUACAAACAAACCAUAAAUAGUUAAUUUAAAAUAAAGCAUUUAAUUUCAAUCUUUCUUUGUUACUUCAUGAGAGUAAAAUAACAGUAUAUGAAAUAAAAAUAAAUGUAGUUGUUCUGUGGGACUCCAAAAUCAGACAAGAAUAGGAAAUUUAAGAAGCAGAAUAAUAGUAAUAAUAGAAAUGUUAGUAUCCUACUAUCUUCAUCAUUUAUGUUAUUUAAAGGACAAAGUUUAUAUUUUAUAUUGAACAAUUGUAAAAUGAUCAUUAUUGUCACAAUUAUUAAUAUUAAUUCUCCAGUUAAUUUUUAAUAAAAAAAUAUACAUCAAAAUAUAGAGUGACAUUAUAUAUUAGCUUCAUCCUUUAUUAAUUUUUUAUUUUGUAUAAUUACCACACAUUUUAAAAAUACACAAAAACUAAAUGAUAUAUAUACCAUAUCUGGUAUCAUUCCUAUUAUAACCUUAUAUCAAUGCAACAUUAACAGUAAUACAAUUUGGGAUGGAGGGAGUAUCACAUAAUUGGACAAUGAUUCACAAAUGUGUGGUAGAUGUGAUUCGAACCUGAGACAUAGAGAUGUAACAAACUUGCCUUAGCCUCUUCGGUGUAGCACUUUUUCUGUUUAAUUUUCGCAUUUACUAAUAUAUAUAUAUAUAUAUAUAUAUAUAUAUAUAUAUAUAUAUAUAUAUAUAUAUAUAUAUAUAUAUAUAUAUAUAUAUAUAUAUAUAUCGUAUUAUAAAUCAAAUAUGUACACUAAAAAAUUUCUUUUACAAUUUUGUCACACCAAACCAUCAUGUCUAGAUCUGUCCCUGGUAGGACCUGUGCUUUUAUUUGGCUCUACACUUUUACCAUGUAAGAAACUUCCUUCCUAUUUCCUAUCUUCUCUAAAAUAACCAUCACUUUUUUGCCUCCUCUUUCCAUGUAAUUUCUCUAAAGCAAUGUGAGUGUCUUAAAAAAGAAGGAAAAAAAGAUACAGUUUGAGGGAAGGCAUGAAUGGAGAGAAAAUGGGAUUGAACCUUAAAAAUCAUAUAUAGUUUAAAAACACGGAUAGAUCGGUCUCGUUUCCGGAGGGAGACCUGAAUAUAUCACCUACUUUAAAAGACAUAAUACUUUUUUUAUGAAUUUCUCAUUUAAUUAUUAGUAGCUUUUAUUUGGAUCUGCACUUUUACCAACCACUUUUUCAAGUUUAUGUGGGGGACCUAAAAAAUGAACUGACAUUUUUAAGUGGGGGUCCUUAAAAAUGAUUGAUGUAAUAUUUUUGCAUCAAACAAUAGUAAAUAUUUAUAUCGUCUCCUCAGAGACUAGUGCGAUAUCAUGGAUCGUUCGACACCAAAUAUCAUUCUAAGUUAAACGAUAAUUUGUUGUUUGUUUUAAUAACUAAGUUGCAAAUGAUAAAGUUGAGAUUAAUAAAGUGUGAAACUUGUUAGGAUUAGAGUUCCUUGAUCAAGUGUCACACGUAACCUAAUAAUCAUACAUGAAUUCUAGCUUUUCUUUGAUAUUAUCACGUAUCCCUCGACAACAUCAUUCGUGUCCAAACAAUAUUGUGAAAUCAAUUGUAUCAUUCAAUCGUCGAUGUCUCAAACUAUUGAAUGAUUCAAGAGUCGGUCUUAUCAUUUAAUCGAUGAUUUCUCAAUCAAUUGAAUGAUAAGAAAGCUUUAAGUUUGGAUACAAAAGGUGAUUAUCAAAACAUCAAUUCCAUGUCUAGAACCCAUGUUUUGAUAGAUGAUUAUUCUAAACUUAGAUUCAAAAGUAUUUAUCAAUCACAAUUAAAUCAAACAUAAGUAUUAAAGUGCAAGAAUAACAUCAAUAUCAAAUUAAAUGCUAGAACCAUAUAUUUAUAGAUCAAAAGAUUACAUGUUAAGCUAAGAUCAAGUACCUCUAAUCCGAACAAAGGAGAUUUAGCUACUCAUUACACACUUGUGAUCUCUCAACAAAAUGAUGUAGAAUCCACUUUCUAUCACUCUCACUCUAUCAAGAACAAUCCCUAUCUCUCUCUCUCUAUGAAUAUUACAAAAUGAAAACUAUGAAAAAUUAAGGAUCCUUAAUGAAAUGAUUGAAUGAGCUAUUUAUAGAAUUCUAAUUCUGCAUCAAAUCGUCUCGCGAGCUCCUUCAUUCGCCAGGGCGAGUGAAGUUCCUUCACCAUUGGGUUUGUGCCACGUCAGCCGUGAGAAGCCUAAGCCGCCCUAACUCGCCUCGCGAGUACAUUCCCUCGCCAUGGUGAGGAGAGUGAAACACUGAUGCUCUCCAAAAUUGCUCGCCUUUGAAACUCGCCUUGAUCUCGCCAUGGCGAACGUACUCGCCUUCUACUCGCCAUUGUGAGUUGGUGGUGUGUAAUCUUUGUUGCUUACUGGAAUUGCUCGCCUGUGCUGCUCGCCAUGGCGAGUUGGAGGCGAGUGACUUCAUUUCCUGCCUCUUUGUACUUUUCUCCAUUUUUUUCUCUUUGCUUGAUGUCUUGAGUUCCAAUCCUGCACAAAUGGGUGAAGUAAGAUAGAUAAAGCGUAAAAGGGCAAUAAUCACUUAUCUCUCGGCUUUUUCCUCAAUAACUUGCAAAACAAGUAAUAAAAGUGCUUUGAAUAUUAAUUUAAAAUACAACUUUCUAGCACUUAUCAAUGAUUGAGAGCUUAAGUGAUAUUUUGUUUGGAUCUCAAAAGUCUUUCUGAUAUUUAAUCACAUCUACCAAACUCACAUUUCUAGCUGUUAUUUUAAGUCAAAAUUGGAAAUCAAUACAUGUUGUAGUCUGUACAGUAACUUGAUCUCUAUAUUUGGAGUGCUAGGUGACAGUCUGGCGCUGACAUGGCACUUGCUGACUGUGUACUCUUUACCACGUGGCGCUGACGUGGCAAUCAAUUAAUUUUGAGAUUAAAGAAACAAUUUUAAAAACUUGGAAAUUAAUUUUUGAAAUAAAAACAUUGAAAAAAGGGAAAAAAAGAUUAAAAAUAAAUAAAAUGAAAAAAAUUCCAAAAUAAUUGUUUUUUAUUUUUUUCUAAAAAAAUUAAAAAAUAUGGAAAUUAAUUAGAGAAUAUUUUUCAAAAUGAAAAAAAAACAAAUUCUAAAUUAAAAGAAACAUAUUUUCAGAUUUGUUUUGAAUUUAAAAAGUUUUUUUUUUCUGGAAAAAUUAAAAAUUCUAGAAAUUAAUUUUCAUAAAUAAAAAAAAACUAAAAUUUAGAUAAUAUUUUUGAAAAAAAAAUUCUGAAAAUUUAUCUUCAGAUUAUUCAUUUGAAAUAUUUUUUUUAAUGUUUUAAAAAAAUUUAAAUUUUCUUUAAAAAAUAAAAAUCUGAAAAUUAGAUAAUGAUUUUUUUUUUUUAAAAAUUUCAAUAAAUUUUAUAAUCUGACAAAUUUUCAAAAAUUUAAAUAUAAAUUUCUAAUUUUUUUUAUUUUUAUAAAUUAAUUUCCAUUUUUUAAUUAAUCGAAAUGACAUGUCAUUGCCAAGUUGCAACUGCCACAUAUGACCUUAGAUGGGCCCAGGGAAUUUUCUUAAAAACAAAAUCUUUUGCAAGGACGCAUUUUAUUUUUUAUUUUUUACGAAGACCUAAAGCCAAAUGUGUAACUUGAAAAUCCAGGGACUUAAAAACAUUGAGAGUUUAAGUGAUAUUUUGUAUGGACCUCAAAAGUCUUUUUAAUAUUUAAUCCCAUCUACUAAAAUCACAUUUCCAGUCGUUAUUUUUAGUCCAAACUGGAAUCUAAUCACUUUUGUAGUCUAUAUACAGUAACUUGAUAUCUAUAUUUGGAGUUUGAUUUAUCUCUUGUAGAUUCUUCAUUAAGUUUUAACCAUAAAUAAUUAGUGUUAGGACCCAAUUAAAAAUGGAUAAAACUAAACAAUACAAAAAAUAUAAACUAUUAAAGAUUCCAGUUUAAUAGUUGAACAAAAAUCCAAGUUGAUAGCUAUGGCUUCUCCUUGAUCGAUAUUCAUUACUCGACAAAAUGGUUGUGCAUCAUGCUAUUAGAUAGUACACGCAAAGAGGAUAUUACUUGUAUCUCAAGCAACUAAGAUUAGAGUCUCACCUUAGUUUACUGUGUUCCUACACUUGUAUAUAAAUAAAUACUCAUUGUAUCUUCAUUCACAAGUAAUAACGAUACCACAUUUUACAUUCAUUCUUCUUCUCUUAAUAUGGUAUCAAAACUAAGCAUUAACCUCACUCUAAACCUCGUCUCGUCUGUGCUUAACCAUAUAUUAAAGGUAAUUAAUCAUAUAUUUUAACUUCAUUAACCACCCAAAUUGUUGUCAAAUAUUUUGUUACGUUUUUGUAUCAAAUUAAUGUAGCUCAAAUACAAAUAUGUAUAAGCCAGAAGCCACCAUGGAAGACAGGCCCUAGCAAUUAACAUGCAUAUCUGUUAAAUAUGAAAUCUAAUACUAAUUAAGAACCAGCAGUGGCACAUUCGACUUAACUCGGAACAGAACAAAUCCUAGGUUGUAUCUGUACAUGGUUAAUUAAUGAGUUUCUUUUAUUCCCAACUCUUCUCAUAUAAUUAAGAAUUUGAUAUAAAAGUUUACCACUCUGCAAUGCACUUGAGUUUCAUUUUUAACAUACACGUUUGGGACAAUCUUAGAAAAUCCUUCAUUCUUCUCUAUGAAAGUGGCUAAAAUUUACAAUAUGACAGUCUAUUAAUUGAACUACAGCACUUGCAAACUAUGAUUAAAAAUUCAGUGGUUUCAAAAUUCGACAUUAUGAACCAUAUGAAAAACCAUCCUCCCUAUCAAGCAUGACACCGGACUCGACACUUACAUGUAAUUGCAUGUGUCGAACACAAACACUUGUUGGGCACCAGACAUGCUUCUAUGAGAAUUGUUUGUGCUACAAAACAUCCUGCAUAUUAAAUUCAAACAAUAUUUUAGACCGCACAAAUGCAACAAUUAAUCAAUUUUUAUAAUAAGGAUCUUGCUAACCGGUGCCCUAAGGGCAAUGAUUAAAGAUUCCAUUACUAGAAAUGUUGUCUUGGAAAUACAAGUCUUUAUUUUUUGCUUAGCAAUAAUUAACCACUCUUCGAUAUAAACUUACUUAUUUUACUAAUUUAACCAAUGCUUUAAGGGCAAUGGUUAGCAUCACGGGCGUAGCCCUUCAUAUGGGAGGGGUAGCCUUGGCUACCCCAAAAAAAAUAUUAUUCUUGAAGUGUUCCGUGUGUAUUUAUAUCCAGGUACCCGAAAUAAAUUUAGUUGCAAAAAUUAGCAUAAAUAAUAAAGUAAAAAAAUUACUACAAAAUUGAUAUAUUUAUUUGUAUUGGUUUGAUACUUUCGGUCUCAAUAACAAUAAUAGAGAAACCUUUUUCAACAAUCUAUCUCAAUUUAAUUAUGUAAAGUUUAAACAGAAAACCACAAACCUGUGAUUAAUUGAGAGAAUCUUGGUGCUCUUUUUGUUUUCUGAAUCUAGCCCUGAAUUUAGGAUGCACCCAAAUCUUUUUCUGAAGAUUUAUACGGAUUGAAAAUUUAUUUCGUUUCCGUUUCUUUUGUGACAAUGAAGCAUUGAGAUAUUCAUUUGAUUUUGUCUUUCUAAUAUAAGGAUCGAUAAAUACCACAUUCUCCUCCUCCGUGUUGCUUUUCUCUUUCCACACGUGGAUUCCCAUUUGUGCAUUUCUGAAUAUUAUAUUGUCACGAUCCUUCACCUUAAACUCCACAUGGAUCCAUUCAUUUUUCAAAAGUCCUUUCUCCAUUAUAUACUCAAAUUGCCUUUUACCGAGUUCAUUCAAUUUCGGGGUAUGAAACAAAUUUGUAUGCUUAAAGUACACAUAGCUAAAGCGGGGACAAUAAUCUAUCUCAAUUUCAUAUCCAUUCACAAAAUAAUUGACUCUUGUGUCAGCCGACCAAUUAUUGCCUUCCGGAGGAAUACAAAUAUAAGUCAUAGAAGGGAUUUCUUUACGAAACCAGAAAGAAAUUGUGUCUCCCCUGCUUUGGUGCUCAAACCAAUCUGGUAUCCCCUCUUUUUCGUUUGGGAAAAGAAAACGAGUGCAUCGAGCCUCAUGUAGUUCCUGUUAGUGUAUAUGAAAUACAAAUAUAUAUUACACAUUAUCAAAUAUAAAUAUAUAUGAAAUACUAUAAAAGAUGUCAAAUACUUUAGUGCAAUAAAAAACAACAACUAACCUGACUCAUUAACAUUCUUCUACAUGAGGAACUCAAUGAUUUACAUUGAUAUGCGGAAAGCUCUUUAAGAUUUGGUGGAAUCCCUCUAAUUUCCUCAAGAGAAGAGCAGUAAUGCAAACCAAGAUGCUUAAGAUGGUGACAUUCACUAAGGCACUCAGGAAGAAUUUUGAAAUUGUUAUGUGAUAAGUCUAGCAAUUCCACAUUAACACACCACUUAAGAACUAUUUGGAGAUAUUCAUCUGAGAGGUUGCACUCGUAGAUUCUAAGCUUUGUCACCUUUGAAAACACUUUAGAAUACAUUCUAUCAUUAUGUUUUGGGAACCUCAGCAUUCUAGCUUCCCGUACUGAUAACUCAUCAAGUUCACUGAGAUUUUGAAAUGAAGAUGGCAAUUCUCCUAUGGAUAUAUUAUAAUCUAAAUCAAUCUCUUUGAUAUUUGUCAUCUUGCAUAAUAAUUCUGGAAAACUCUUGAGACUCGAACAACAACAGAUAUCCAGUUCCUUAAGAGAUGCCAACCCUAAAGGUGGAAAACGUUUGAGCUUUCUGCAACCAAAUGCACUUAACCUUUCAAGUUUGUUUAGGUGUCCAAUCGAAUUGUGAAUUGUAAUUAAAUUAUAACAACAUUCAAACGAUAACUUUUCUAAAUUUGAAAGGCCUGAGACAUCGGGUAUAUGUGUUAAAUAUUCACAAUGGUCCAAUAUCAAGAUUGUCAUAUCCUGGAACUUCUGCAUAAACACAAAGGAAGAAACUAUAAAUAAAUUAAAAAGCAAACACUAUACUUUCAUAGUGAUUUCUUUUAUGUUGGCGAAAAAGAAAUCAUUGUACAUUAUAAAUAUAUACAGUUAGAAAAUGAUUUUAUUUCACUUGCCUUGCUUAAAAUACUAGACGAGAGAGACUUUGAUAAACAUCCUUCCCAUUUCAAUGCUUUCAAACUGCUUGGAAGAUGCUUGAGACCUUUAGAACAAUGGCCAUUUUCAAUGAUAAGUGUUUUCAAUCUUGUCAUCUUUUUGAAGGCCUUUCCUUUCUUGUCUAUUACGGAUUCCAUGGAGUGCAAAUUCAUACAUAUCAUUUCAGUUUUACCAGUUCCCUUUUAACAAAAAUAAAAAUAAAAAAUGCAUCAACCACAAUAAAAAUCUUUUACAGAGAAAUUUACAUGUAAUUAAGUGGAAAAAAAAAUACUAAUAUGAGAUGGUCAUAUUUAGUCCAAAAUGAGCAAAAUUGUAUUAAAACUAAAUAACAAAUUGAACAUAGAUAUCAAUCUUACUCACAGUGUUUUCUGUUAAAACAUGAACUAUAUCAUCUUGAGACCAUAACCUGCUUCUUUCUCCAGGCUCUUUAGGUGAUUCUUGUCGGACCACUUCUUUACCCAUGACCUCUAUCAAUUCAUGUAAUGUCACUUUGAUACCACUGAAAAAGCACCAACUAAUCUUUAUGAGAGACUUAUCAACCAACACUCUAAGGUGGCUUUUUAUGCUAUAACCAUAAUGAUGAUGAAGUAUCUGUUCGACUUCUUCCAAUCUACAUCCUUUGAUGCAACAAGCAAUAUCCAAAAAGACACUCUGCUCCUCUUCGUCCAAAGCAUCAUAGCUCAGUCUAAGUAUCUUUUGGAUAUCUUUAUGUGGAAUUCUUCCAUACUUAUCUAAUGUAGACUCACAUUCUGCAAUACUCUUUCCAAACAAGUUAGAACCCACUACUUCUAUCGCUAAUGGAAGGCCAGAAGCAUAUACAACUGCACGCUUUAAAAUGUCUUCAUAACUUGAAGGAACUUUCUCAUUUUUAAAAGCCUUCCACCUCAACAAUUCAAGAGCUUCUGUCUCAUUCAACUCUUCUACUGCAUAUGUUUUUUCUAUCCCAUGACAGUCUAGUAAGUGUUUAUCUCGGGUGGUGAUGAUGACUCUGCUUCCAGGACCAAACCAAUCGAGUCUUCCAGCCAAAGCCUCUAGCUGAUCCAGUUUGUCAACAUCAUCAAGAAUCAAAAGAAUCUUCUUUCCAUGUAGCCUUUCCUUUAUUUUAGGAAUUCCUUCGCUAACACUUCCUAACUUAAUUUCAAGUUGAAGUGUUUUUAAAAGGAGCUCCUGCUGGAGAUUUUUCAAGUUAUUUGAAGCUGAACUCUCUUUCACAUUUUCAAGAAAACAUGAGCAUUCAAAUUGAUCAGCAAUAAAAUUAUAAAUUGCUUUCGCAAGUGUUGAUUUUCCCAAGCCUCCAAUCCCAUAAAUUCCAACCAUAUGGACCCCAUGAUCAGAUCCUUCAUCAAGAAGCGAUUUCAUUUGUUGUACUCGAGACUGCAAUCCAACAGGGUAAGUGGCAACAUGUAAGGGUUGUUGACUGAUCUUGUUGGAGAUGUAUUUGACUAUCUUUCCAAUAAGCUUGUAUUCAUAUCUAUUCAUGUGCAAUAAGAUAAGUUAGUGUCUAACAACAUCACAAUCACAUCCAUGUACUAAUGUAUUAUACAUUUCUAACUAUUUCGACAUAUAAAUAACUAAUAGUACUUUUAAAACUGUAUAUAAAAAAGGUAUUUCCCUUUUAACCUUUAAGAUGAGAUUAUUGUGAAAUUGAAGUUGAAGAAAUAAAAUAGAAAAGGGAAAAAUAGGAUUUAAGUAAAGUUGGGUACCCAGGAGGACUAUCAUGGUAGCCGGACAAGUUAGCAGCCUGGCUCAGAGCCUCUUUCCAUCCCUGCAACCUCUCCAUGCUUUUCGGAUCAUUUUGAAACCUCUUUUCAUGCUCAGCCAAUGCUUCACCAUAACUACCUUUCUGAUGUCGCACAAUAGUAGGUUCCACAGCAAAGAAAACAGGCAGAACGAGGCGACCCUUUGUCUUGUAGCAGUGAAUGAUGUGGACAAGUUCGUCCAAACAAAAUGAAGAAGAGGCAUAGUUGAUAGAAAACACAGCAAUAAAAAUCCUAGACUCUUCAAUGGCCUUGAGAAGUGAUGGUGUGAUUUCAUCCCCUCUUUGAAGUUCAUGAUUGUCAAUGAAGGUGUGGAUUCCCUUGUCAUCAAGAGCCUUGUAGAGAUUGCCGGUGAAACCGUACCGAGUGUCACUUCCUCUGAAAUUGAGGAAUACUUGGUAUUUGUACUCAUAGGAAAUUGAAGUGGAAGAGGAAGGUGAUUGCAUAGCCAUGAGAAUAUGAAUGAGAAGUUUUUGUGGUCUGUGAAGUCUUUGAUAGAAAUGGUAUGUGAAACUUCCUAUAGCCGUGUGGACCAAUCAUGUAGGAAAAGGGAAGGAAGCUUCCCAGUUCCCAUUUGGUAAAAGUGUAGAACCAAAAAACAGUGAAAAAUAGCUGCCAAGUUUGAUUUUGUCUUCAACUCAAUCAUUAUUUUUCCAACAUUUAUAAUUGUUAGUACAAUGUAAGAUUAACAUGAAAAAUAGGACAUUGUUAUAUUAGUUCUGUUGGAUAGCUAAUUAAACAUUUAACGUAAACAUGUACAAUAAUAAUUGUGUGUGCAUGGUUAAUUAACCAUUUGGUUCAAGUGGUAAUAUUUUCAAAAUAAAUAGAAACUAUUAUAUUUCAUAUCUAUGCUAACCUAAUCUUGUUGUUAACUACCUAAUUAACAAGCUAGUUUAAAAUGAAAAUAGUAUGAUCAAAACUUUCUGAUAUUUGCAUUACUAACUGUCUUUAAUUGUAUGUUUGAAUGGCAUAGCUUGUAUUUAUUUUAAGCUCAUGUAAUUUAAGAUACUGAUUAAUUAAGUAACAAAGUGAAAAAUUACAUGCAGCAGAAGAAUAAGAUUUGGCAAAAAGAUGAACAGUAACAAGAAAUUAGCAAGAAGAAGAGGUGGUAGUACAAUGAUUGGUCCACACGGCUAUAGGAAGUUUCACAUACCAUUUCUGUCAUAACUUUUCUCAUAAGUUAUAAAGUUACUUAUCAAAGACUUCACAGACCACAAAAACUUCUCAUUCAUAUUCUCAAACUCUUUUUUCAUCUAAUUUCUCUAAAAUCUCAUGGCUAUGCAAUCACCUUCCUCUUCCACUUCAAUUUCCUAUGAGUACAAAUACCAAGUAUUCCUCAGUUUCAGAGGAAGUGACACUCGGUACGGUUUCACCGGGAAUCUCUACAAGGCUCUUACUGACAAGGGAAUCAACACCUUCAUUGAUAAGAAUGGUCUUCAAAGAGGAGAUGAAAUCACACCAUCACUUCUCAAGGCCAUUGAAGAGUCUAGGAUUUUUAUUCCUGUGUUUUCUAUCAACUAUGCCUCUUCUUCAUUUUGUUUGGACGAACUUGUCCACAUCAUUCACUGCUACAAGACAAAGGGUCGCCUCGUUCUGCCUGUUUUCUUUGGUGUGGAACCUACUGUUGUGCGACAUCGUAAAGGUAGUUAUGGUGAAGCAUUGGCUGAGCAUGAAAAGAGGUUUCAAAAUGAUCCGAAAAACAUGGAGAGGUUGCAAGGAUGGAAAAAGGCUCUGAGCCAGGCUGCUAACUUGUCCGGCUACCAUGAUAGUCCUCCUGGGUACCCAACUUUACUUAAAUCCUAUUUUUCCCUUUUCUAUUUUAUUUCUUCAACUUCAAUUUUACAAUAAUCUCAUCUUAAAGGUUAAAAGGGAAAUACCUUUUUUAUAUACAGUUUUAAACAAGUACUAUUAGUUAUUUAUAUGUCGAAAUAGUUAGAAAUGUAUAAUACAUUCUUAGUACAUGGAUGUGAUUGUGAUGUUGUUAGACACUAACUUAUCUUAUUGCACAUGAAUAGAUAUGAAUACAAGCUUAUUGGAAAGAUAGUCAAAUACAUCUCCAACAAGAUCAGUCGACAGCCCUUACAUGUUGCCACUUACCCUGUUGGAUUGCAGUCUCGAGUACAACAAGUGAAAUCGCUUCUUGAUGAGGGAUCCGAUGAUGGGGUCCAUAUGGUUGGAAUUUAUGGCAUUGGAGGUUUGGGGAAAUCAACACUUGCAAGACAAAUCUAUAAUUUUGUUGCAGAUCAAUUCGAAGGUUCAUGUUUUCUUCAUGAUGUGAGAGAGAAUUCAGCUCAAAAUAACUUGAAAUAUCUCCAAGAGAAGCUCCUUUUAAAAACAACAGGUUUGGAAAUUAAGUUAGACCAUGUUAGUGAGGGAAUUCCAGUCAUAAAGGAAAGAUUAUGUAGAAAGAAGAUUCUUUUGAUUCUCGAUGAUGUUGACAAUUUGAAGCAACUGCAUGCUUUGGCUGGAGGACUUGAUUGGUUCGGAUGUGGAAGCAGAGUCAUCAUUACCACUCGAAACAAAGACUUACUAAGCAGUCAUGGCAUAGAAAGUACACAUGCAGUAGAAGGGUUGAAUGAGACAGAAGCUCUUGAAUUGUUGAGGUGGAUGGCUUUUAAAAGUGAUAAAGUUCCUUCAGGUUACGAAGACAUUUUAAACCGUGCAGUUGCAUAUGCUUUUGGCCUUCCGUUAGUUUUAGAAGUAGUGGGUUCUAACUUGUUUGGAAAGAGCAUAGAAGAUUGGAAGCAUACAUUAGAUGGGUAUGACAGGAUUCCCAAUAAAGAGAUCCAAAAGAUACUUAAGGUGAGCUAUGAUGCUUUGGAAGAAGAGGAGCAGAGUGUCUUUCUUGACAUCGCUUGCUGCUUCAAAGGAUAUCAAUGGAAGGAGUUCGAAGAUAUACUUUGUGCUCAUUAUGACCAUUGCAUAACACAUCAUCUAGGAGUGUUGGCUGGAAAAUCUCUCGUUAAGAUUAGUACUUAUUACCCUUCGGGAUCUAUUAAUGAUGUGAGAUUACAUGACUUGAUAAAGGACAUGGGUAAAGAAGUCGUCCGACAAGAAUCACCUAAAGAGCCUGGAGAACGAAGUAGGUUAUGGCGUCAAGAAGAUAUAAUUCAUGUUUUAAAAGAAAACACUGUGAGUAUGAUUGAUAUCUAUGAUCAUUUUGUUAUUUAGUUUUAAUACGACUUUGCUCUUUUUGCACUAAAUAUGAUCAUCUGAUACUAGCAUUUCUUUUCACUCAAUUACAUGUUAAUAUAUCUAUGUCUUAUUUUUAUUGUGGUUGAUUCAUGUUUUUAUCUUUGUUAAAAGGGAACUAGUAAAAUUGAAAUGAUAUAUAUGAAUCUCCACUCCAUGGAAUCCGUGAUAGACAAGAAAGGAAAGGCCUUCAAGAAGAUGACAAAACUGAAAACACUUAUCAUUGAAAAUGGCCUUUUUUCUGGAGGUCUCAAGUAUCUUCCAAGCAGUUUGCGUGUAUUGAAAUGGAAAGGAUGUUUAUCGAAGUGUCUGUCAUCUAGUAUUUUAAACAAGGCAAGUGAAAUAACUUCACAAUGAUUUUGUUUCAGUCAACAAAAGAAAUCAGUAUGAAAGUAUUAUUGUCUUUGAUUUUUAAUUUAUUGAUUUGUUUCUUCCUUGUGUGUAUGCAGAAGUUUCAGAAUAUGAAAGUCUUGACAUUGGACUAUUGUGAAUAUUUAACACAUAUACCCGAUGUCUCAGGCCUUUCAAAUUUAGAAAAGUUAUCGUUUACAUGUUGUGAUAAUUUAAUUACAAUUCACAAUUCUAUUGGACACCUAAAUAAACUUGAAUGGUUAAGUGCAUAUGGUUGCAGAAAGCUCGAACAUUUUCGACCUUUAGGGUUGGCAUCUCUUAAGAAAUUGAUACUCUAUGAGUGUGAGUGUCUUGAUAAUUUUCCAGAAUUAUUAUGCAAGAUGGCACAUAUAAAAGAGAUUGAUAUAUCUAAUACUUCCAUAGGAGAACUGCCAUUUUCAUUUCAAAAUCUCAGUGAACUUCAUGAGUUAACAGUGACAUCUGGAAUGAAGUUCCCAAAAAUAGUGUUUUCAAAUAUGACAAAGCUUUCUCUCUCCUUUUUCAACCUCUCAGAUGAAUGUCUCCCAAUAGUUCUCAAGUGGUGUGUUAAUAUGACACAUCUAGACUUAUCAUUUAGCAAUUUCAAAAUUCUUCCUGAGUGCCUUCGUGAAUGUCACCAUCUUGUUGAAAUUAAUGUGAUGUGCUGCGAGUCUCUUGAGGAAAUUAGAGGGAUUCCACCAAAUCUAAAAGAGCUUUGUGCUAGAUAUUGUAAAUCAUUGAGUUCCUCAAGUAGAAGAAUGUUAAUGAGUCAGGUUAGUUGUUGUUUUAUAUAGCACAAUAUUUUAUAUAUAAUAUUUAAUUUGUAAUUCAUAGUGUAAUUAUUAUUAUUUUGUAUAAACAAACAGAAACUACAUGAGGCGGGAUGCACCAAGAUUUAUUUCCCAAAUGGAAGAGAGGGGAUACCAGAUUGGUUUGAGCACCAAAGCAGGGGACCCAUAAUUUCUUUCUGGUUUCGUAAAGAAAUCCCUUCAAUAACUUGUAUAUUUAUUCUUCCGAAAGGCAAUGAGUAUGCCACAAGUGUCAAUGUUUUUGUGAAUGGAUAUGAAAUUGAGAUAGGUUGUUAUUGGUCUCUCUUUUUCUUCACGGACCAUACAACUUUGUUUCAUACCUCAAAAUUGAAUGAACUCAUUAAAACACAAUGCGAGUAUAAUAUAGAGAAAGGACUUUUGAAAAAUGAAUGGAUCUAUGUGGAGUUUAAGUUGAAGGAUCAUGAGAAUAGUGUUUAUGCACAAAGGGGAAUCCACGUGUGGAAUGAGAAAAGCAACACGGAGGAGGAGAAUGUGGUAUUCACAGAUCCUUGUAUUACAAAGACAAAAUCAGAUGAAUAUCUCAAUCAGAGCAAUAAUACUUCAUUAUCACAAUUUGAGCCUCCUCUAAAAAAGCAAAGAUUGGUGGAAGUUGGAGUUUCAGAGACAGAGGAGGAUAUCAAUGCUUCAUUGCAACAACAGGAAUUGAUGAAAGAGGAACAAAGAAAGACAUGGGGUACAUUCUGAAACACACCGCUUCAUUAAAAUAAUAAUAAUAAUAAUAAUAAAAUAUAUAUAGAAGUUACUAGACACACGUGGAAAAAAAAAAGAAAAAGAAAAGCAUAACACUUCCCUCAUUCUUUCUUUUCCUCCCGUAGCUCUCUCUGUUCUCACUUUUCUUUCCAUUUUGCUUCUUCCCUUUCCAUAAUCAACCAAUUCCACACACUAAUCAAACACCCAUAAGAGAAAUUAUUCACCAAAGUAAAACAAUUUCAUAUUACAAGUUAAUUUGGGUUUGAUUUUGGAGAUUGGGGUUAGGGUUCUGAGAAGAAAAAUACCCAUUUUGUGAAGGUUGCUCAUUGAGACUUUUUAAGGUAUAUUUAUCAACUUAUAUUUCAAUUAAUGCAUAUUUAGACAUGAUUAGUGAGUUAGAAAUUAAUUUGAGAGUAAAGUAUAAAAGAUUUCAACAUAUAAAUAUGACAUGGACUUUCAUUUACUUUGAAUGGUUAUAUAUAUAAUUUAAGCAAUGUAGGCACAUUACUUCUGCUAUUCGUUCCUUGUAGAAUAAGCAUUUGUGUCAUAUUCAAUCUAAAACAAAAGUUGGGAAUAAAUUAAUAAAUUCUGGAAGCCUAUAUGUUAUCAAUAAUGCGAUAAUACAUAUUCAACUUGCAUUUCAUGGUCAUCUAGUGCUACUAAAGUUCUGGAAUGAGUUUCUAAUAUAUGUGAAAACAUUAUUAAUGCUCAGAUACGAUGCCGGAUGCUUCACAUGCUUCUCCCGGGAUGGUUGGAGAGCACGCUUAGUUGAUUCAUCGUAACAGUGAGUUGAUGACGAUCAUUAUUGCUUAUUUUCAAUAUCGUUAUUAUUGAUAUUUUUAUGAUUUUAUAUGUUAAAAGUAUUUACAAAAAUGGGGAACACACCCUUCGAAUAUUUUUCUCGUUUUUGACACAUUUUUAAAAGUCAUUGAUAUUAUUGUGGUCUCUAUUUGGAUGUUAUCUGUAACUUCUAAGCAAAGGAUUGCAAAUUGAAAUUUGAUUGUGUACGUUUGACACAAGUUUGAUGUUUUACAAAAUCAUGGUUUUUAAACCUAUGUGUUCGAGAAAAAUGAUUAUCAUUAUGACGACCUAGGUGCACCUAGUAUGUGUUUUCAAUUAGGUAGAGUUACCCCAUUAGAUGGAGCCGCCCCUAUGGAAAGGCCGCCAUUAGGAGGAGAGGGCUAUCAAUGAGUGGUAAACUCUCUAAUUGAAAAUGUUUUACACUUUGUUUUGAGUCGAGAGAAAAGAGCUAUCCGUUAGAUGGAGCCGCCCCAUGGAAAGGCCACCAUUAGGAGGAGAGGGCUAUCAACGAGAUGGAGCUAGUUCUCGAUUCACCCAUUUGACUAUUUUCAAUAAAGUUGGAUUUUAUACUUACUUUUAAUUAAAUGGAAUUUGAUUUUAUAUUCUAUUUGGAAUUGAUUAUUUCGAUUCCUUUUUCAUUAUACGCGAUUCUAUAUUUUCUUUAAGUUGUGGAUUUGGGUUCACUUCCUUACGACAUUGGAAUUUUAAUAUACUUUUAUUUGGUUUGAUUAAGUUACGAUGUUUUCCGAAUUUUCAUGGCACACUCGAUUGUGAGUUUAUCAUAUUUUUAUACGGGUACUAGCUUUGUAAGUUAAAAAUUAGAUUUGAGAAAAAUAAAUAAUCGUGCUCUUGUGUGUUUCCCUUCUAGUCGGUGGUGGUUGUUGUCUCCUCACUAAGUCCUUGUGGCUUACUCUUUCUUUUCUAUUGUUUUUCAGAUUCCCGAGCAGCUGAGUAGGAAGCUGCAAGUAGAUCCGAAGUCCAUCAUUUCUAUUUUUGGUAGGCCUCCUUGAUGGAUGGCUUUUUAUUUAUGUAAAUAUUCAGUCAAUGUAUCUGCAGCUAUAUGGAGUUAGAGUGCCUCAUUUUGAGUUGUAAAGUUAUGUAAAAAUUGUCUUUUUGAGCUUCUGGAUGAUGUGACAGGUUUAUGGACAGGAUUCAUAUCUUGGUAACGUUAAAAAUACAAGGGAUACUCUGUCCAAAUUUUUGUAAAUAUUAUUUUGAUGAAAAAAAUGGAUAUCUGUAAAUUAUUUAUGUCAUUUGUCGAGUUUGGUCGUUAGGCUUGCCGGACUAAAAUGUACAAGUCUGUGCGCCGGUCACGAUUUUGUGCUUGGGUCGUGACAAAGUUGGUAUCAGAGCCCGGUUUUAGGUCCAAAUAGCUGCAGACAUAGAGUGAUAAUAGAUUUUUGCUAGUAAAUUGUGAACCGCGGCACCAUUUACUCGCAAAAAGCUAUUAGAACUCUAUGGUAGUCUCAUUUGUUGUCCGAAUUUGUGUCUUUGAUUCAUGUGGUCUUUGAUUGGUGUCACUUUCCUCGUUGUCUGCUUCUUUUUCUGAUCAAUGUUACUUUCUUAGGUGAGGAUGCCACCCAGGAAUAGGAACCGUCCUAGAAGGGAAGUUGUUGAUGAGUCAAAUGCACCACCUCAAGGCACUCGUCAUAGAGGUCGAGGCCGUGCUCGAGGUGGACGUGGGGUUAACGUUAGGGGACGUGGAGUUAAUGCAGGCAGGCAUGCCUUUGAUGAAGAGUUAUUCGAUGUUGAGGUUCCUAGAAGAAGACGUGGAAAUCCAGUUGUGGAAAAUGCUAACCUACAGGGUUUACAACAGGUUGUACAACAACUUGUUGAAAUUGUUGCUGGGCAGCAACAAGGAAACCAAACACAUGAAAAUUUAGAAGGUCAACAAGAAGUUAGACAGGUUGAUCAGGUGGUGGUAGCUCCAACAAGGGGAAUUGAGGUUACUUUAGCAGAAUUUUUGAAACUUAAACCACCUACUUUUUCCGGGUCUAGUGUGAGUGAAGAUCCACAACGAUUCAUUGAUGGACUAGAGAGGUUAUGGAGAGCAUUGGGAUGUUCAGAUGUAAGGGCAGUGGAAUUGACAUCUUAUCAGUUGGAAGGUGUGGCACAUGACUGGUUUGACACAGUGACACAUGGAAGACAAAUGGGAUCAUCUCCCAUGGCAUGGAAAGAAUUUUCUAAAUUAUUCAUGGCUCGUUUUCUUCCUCAAAGUGUUAGAGAUCAAUUAGCUCAUGAGUUUGAGAUAUUCGAGCAAACGGAGGGAAUGUCGGUUUCAGAGUAUAGUGCCCGUUUCACACAGCUUUCUAGGUAUGCUGCCUACUGUGUCACGGAAGAGAUGCGUAUCAAGAAGUUCAUCAGAGGGUUAAGGGAAUACAUAUUCAGAUCAGUGGUCGGUUCUAAUUGUCAGACUUUUGCAGACGUUUUAAGUUUGGCACUUCAGAUUGAGCAGCGACAGAAGGAUAAAGGAGGUACUAGACAAGAUCCUCGCAAGAAACAACGAGUGGAAGGAUCUCACAGUAAUUAUUCUAAUCGUGGGGGUGGAUCUAUGUUUGGAUAUCAGGGGCAACAAAAAUCAGUAUCACAGAAGGGUGGUUUUAGUGGACAAUCAUCUGGUACAGUGCAAAGUCAUAGGUCGGGUCACAGGGGAUCCACGGGGUCUACUUUUCCUCAUAGGCAUUCUAGUGGUACAACCAGAGCUUGUUCUGUUUGUGGUAGAUUUCAUUCUGGAACUUGUUUUAAUGAUGACAGAGAGUGCUUUCAAUGUGGUCAAAAGGGUCACAUUAAGAAGAAUUGUCCUAUACCUACAACACAACCAUCAUCUAGUCGUGCAUCAGCACCUGUAGCUUUAGCAUCUUCUCAUUCCCCUUCUGCACCUGUGAGACAAGAGGGAAAUUCUUUUGUUCGGGGUUCAGGAGCAUCUCAACAUGGAGGUAGAGGACCUGGAGGUAGAGGUCAGUCACAAGUAGGGAGAGGUCAUGCUCGGGUUUUUGCUUUGACCCGACAAGAUGCUCAGGCAUCUAAUGCAGUGGUUACAGGUACACUUUCUGUUUGUUCCCAAGAUGCACAUGUUUUGUUUGACCCUGGCGCUACAUAUUCUUUUGUAUCAUUAUACUUUGCUCCUCGACUUGGUAAAAGUUCAUCUUUUCUAGAUGAGACCUUAGUUGUGACUACACCUGUUGGUAAUAAUGUGCUAGCAAAGUCUGUGUAUUAUUCAUGUGAUGUAUCUAUUGAGGGCAAAGUAUUACCUGCGGAUCUAGUGGUCCUUAAUAUGGUAGAUUUUGAUGUGAUUCUGGGUAUGGAUUGGUUGUCUUUACAUCAUGCCACCGUAGACUGUCAUAAUAAAGUUGUGAAAUUUAAACCACCUGGGGAAGCAACCUUCUCGUUUCAAGGAGAACGCAGUUGGGUACCAAAUAAUUUAAUCUCAUCAUUGAGAGCUAACAAACUUCUAAGUAGAGGUUGUCAAGGGUACUUAGCAUUGGUUAGGGAUGUUCAAGCGGGUGAAGAAAAGUUAGAAAAUGUUCCCAUAGUGUGUGAGUUUUCAGAUGUUUUCCCAGAAGAACUUCCUGGAAUACCACCUGAUAGGGAAAUUGAGUUCUCUAUAGACUUAAUUCCUGGCACUCAACCUAUAUCUAUACCUCCUUACCGAAUGGCCCCGGCAGAAUUGAAGGAGUUAAGGGAGCAACUACAAGAUCUUCUUGACAAGGGUUUUAUUCGUGCUAGUACUUCUCCGUGGGGUGCACCAGUAUUAUUUGUGAAGAAGAAAGAUGGAUCCAUGCGAUUAUGCGUAGACUAUAGACAGCUGAACAAGGUGACAAUAAAGAAUAAAUAUCCUUUACCCCGUAUUGACGAGUUGUUUGACCAACUUCAAGGAGCCCAAUGUUUUUCUAAGAUUGACUUACGGUCUGGGUAUCACCAAUUGAAGAUUAAGAGUGAGGAUAUAUCAAAGACAGCUUUUCGCACUCGUUAUGGACAUUAUGAAUUUCUUGUUAUGUCUUUUGGGCUUACAAAUGCUCCAGCAGCUUUUAUGGAUUUGAUGAACCGUGUUUUUAAACCAUUCUUGGAUCGGUUUGUGAUUGUUUUUAUUGAUGACAUCCUUAUUUAUUCCAAGAGUAGAGAGGAGCACGAGCAACAUCUCAGGUUGGUUUUGCAAACUUUAAGGGAGAAGCAAUUGUAUGCCAAAUUCUCUAAAUGUGAAUUUUGGUUGGAGAGUGUGGCGUUUCUAGGACAUAUUGUGUCAAAGAAUGGGAUAAGUGUUGACCCUAGCAAGGUUGAGGCAGUGCAGAAUUGGCCCAGGCCCACUUCAGUGAAGGAGAUUCGAAGUUUUCUUGGUUUAGCUGGCUAUUAUCGUCGUUUUGUGAAGGAUUUUUCCAAACUUGCGUUCCCAUUGACUAGAUUGACCCAAAAGAAAGUUGAGUUUAAAUGGACUGAUGCAUGUGAAGAAAGCUUUCAAAAGUUAAAGGAAUGUUUGAUUUCAGCACCUAUUUUGGCAUUACCAACGAGUGGUGGAGGUUAUGUUGUUUAUUGUGAUGCUUCUAGAGUUGGUCUUGGUUGUGUUCUUAUGCAGCAUGGUAAAGUUAUCGCCUAUGCAUCUAGACAACUUAAAAGGCAUGAGCAGAAUUAUCCUACACAUGAUUUAGAGAUGGCAGCAGUGAUUUUCGCUCUUAAAAUUUGGAGGCAUUACCUAUAUGGAGAGACUUGUGAGAUUUACACCGAUCACAAGAGUCUUAAGUAUAUUUUUGAGCAGCGCGAUUUGAAUCUAAGACAGAGAAGAUGGAUGGAGCUCUUGAAAGAUUAUGACUGUACGAUCUUAUAUCACCCUGGUAAAGCAAAUGUUGUUGCGGAUGCUUUAAGUAGGAAGUCCAUGGGUAGUCUUGCUCAUUUGACAGCAAUUAAGAGGCCAAUUGUUAAAGAGUUUCAAGAAAUUGUUGAAAGUGGAGUUCAAUUUGAGAUUGAUCAUUCAAGGACAUUGUUAGCCCACAUGAAAUUUCGUUCUACCUUAAUUGAUGAUAUCAAACAAGCUCAAAGUCAAGAUUCGGAGUUGAUGAAGAUGGUGGAUAAUGUGCGAAAUGGUAAAGUUUCAAACUUCUCAGUUGACUCCGAGGGUGUUUUGUGGUUGAAGUCUCGAAUUUGUGUCCCAAAUGUUGAUGAUUUAAGGAGGAAAAUCUUAGAGGAGGCUCAUCAUUCUUCUUAUACUAUUCAUCCAGGUUCUAAUAAGAUGUAUCAAGAUUUACGAGAAUUUUAUUGGUGGGAAGGAAUGAAGAGAGAUGUAGCGAAUUUUGUCUCUAAAUGUUUAGUGUGCCAGCAAGUGAAGGCUGAACACCAGAAGCCUGCGGGUUUACUUCAACCUAUUGAAAUACCUAAAUGGAAGUGGGAAGGCAUUGCUAUGGAUUUUGUUACAGGUUUGCCACGGACUCAGAAAGGUUUUGACUCUGUAUGGGUGAUUAUAGACCGUUUGACAAAGUCUGCACAUUUCUUACCUGUGAAGACUACCUAUACUGCUUCUCAGUAUGCUAAGAUUUAUUUAGAGGAGAUUGUUUCUUUGCAUGGUGUACCAAUUUCUAUUAUCUCUGAUCGUGGGGCUCAAUUUACCGCUCAAUUUUGGAAGUCUUUUCAAGCGGCAUUAGGAACUCGUUUGAAUCUUAGUACAGCUUUUCAUCCUCAAACUGAUGGUCAAUCUGAGAGAACUAUACAAAUUUUAGAGGAUAUGCUUCGUGCUUGUGUUCUUGAUCUUGGAGGAAGUUGGGAUCGAUACUUACCGAUGAUGGAAUUUGCAUACAAUAAUAGUUACCAAUCAAGUAUCCAAAUGGCACCUUUUGAGGCAUUGUAUGGUAGGCGAUGUAGGUCUCCUAUAGGAUGGUUUGAAGUUGGAGAAGCUAAGCUAGUGGGUCCCGAGUUGAUUCAGGAUGCCAUUGAUAAGGUUAAGUUGAUUCGAGAUCGUUUAGUAACUGCUCAGAGUAGGCAAAAAUCUUAUUCUGACAAGAGGCGACGUCCCUUAGAGUUCACAGUGGGGGAACAUGUAUUUUUACGUGUUUCGCCUAUGAAGGGCGUUUUGCGGUUUGGAAAAAAGGGCAAGCUAACUCCAAGAUUCAUUGGGCCGUUUGAGAUUUUGGAGAGAGUCGGACCUGUAGCUUAUCGAUUAGCACUUCCACCAGAUCUCUCACGAGUUCAUCCGGUCUUUCAUAUUUCUAUGCUUCGGAAAUACAUUUAUGACCCUUCUCAUGUGAUUAGUCAUAAAGAUGUGCAAUUGGAUGAAAAUCUGUCAUACACCGAACAUCCGGUAGCUUUAGUUGAUAAGGGAGUGAGACGUUUACGCUCAAAAGAUAUUGUGUCAGUGAAAGUUCUUUGGAAAGGUCCGUCGGGUGAAGAAACCACUUGGGAACCCGAAGAAACUAUACGUGGCAAGUAUCCACACUUAUUUGAAAAUCAAGGUUAGUAGUGUUUGCGAUGUAGCAAAAUUCGAGGACGAAUUUUCUUAAGGGGGGAAGACUGAAACACACCGCUUCAUUAAAAUAAUAAUAAUAAUAAUAAUAAUAAUAAUAAUAAUAAUAAAAUAUAUAUAGAAGUUACUAGACACACGUGGAAAAAAAAAAGAAAAAGAAAAGCAUAACACUUCCCUCAUUCUUUCUUUUCCUCCCGUAGCUCUCUCAGUUCUCACUUUUCUUUCCAUUUUGCUUCUUUCCUUUCCAUAAUCAACCAAUUCCACACACUAAUCAAACACCCAUAAGAGAAAUUAUUCACCAAAGUAAAACAAUUUCAUAUUACAAGUUAAUUUGGGUUUGAUUUUGGAGAUUGGGGUUAGGGUUCUGAGAAGAAAAAUACCCAUUUUGUGAAGGUUGCUCAUUGAGACUUUUUAAGGUAUAUUUAUCAACUUAUAUUUCAAUUAAUGCAUAUUUAGACAUGAUUAGUGAGUUAGAAAUUAAUUUGAGAGUAAAGUAUAAAAGAUUUCAACAUAUAAAUAUGACAUGGACUUUCAUUUACUUUGAAUGGUUAUAUAUAUAAUUUAAGCAAUGUAGGCACAUUGCUUCUGCUAUUCGUUCCUUGUAGAAUAAGCAUUUGUGUCAUAUUCGAUCUAAAACAAAAGUUGGGAAUAAAUUAAUAAAUUCUGGAAGCCUAUAUGUUAUCAAUAAUGCGAUAAUACAUAUUCAACUUGCAUUUCAUGGUCAUCUAGUGCUACUAAAGUUCUGGAAUGAGUUUCUAAUAUAUGUGAAAACAUUAUUAAUGCUCAGAUACGAUGCCGGAUGCUUCACAUGCUUCUCCCGGGAUGGUUGGAGAGCACGCUUAGUUGAUUCAUCGUAACAGUGAGUUGAUGACGAUCAUUAUUGCUUAUUUUCAAUAUCGUUAUUAUUGAUAUUUUUAUGAUUUUAUAUGUUAAAAGUAUUUACAAAAAUGGGGAACACACCCUUCGAAUAUUUUUCUCGUUUUUGACACAUUUUUAAAAGUCAUUGAUAUUAUUGUGGUCACUAUUUGGAUGUUAUCUGUAACUUCUAAGCAAAGGAUUGCAAAUUGAAAUUUGAUUGUGUACGUUUGACACAAGUUUGAUGUUUUACAAAAUCAUGGUUUUUAAACCUAUGUGUUCGAGAAAAAUGAUUAUCAUUAUGACGACCUAGGUGCACCUAGUAUGUGUUUUCAAUUAGGUAGAGUUACCCCAUUAGAUGGAGCCGCCCCUAUGGAAAGGCCGCCAUUAGGAGGAGAGGGCUAUCAAUGAGUGGUAAACUCUAAUUGAAAAUGUUUUACACUUUGUUUUGAGUCGAGAGAAAAGAGCUAUCCGUUAGAUGGAGCCGCCCCAUGGAAAGGCCACCAUUAGGAGGAGAGGGCUAUCAACGAGAUGGAGCUAGUUCUCGAUUCACCCAUUUGACUAUUUUCAAUAAAGUUGGAUUUUAUACUUACUUUUAAUUAAAUGGAAUUUGAUUUUAUAUUCUAUUUGGAAUUGAUUAUUUCGAUUCCUUUUUCAUUAUACGCGAUUCUAUAUUUUCUUUAAGUUGUGGAUUUGAGUUCACUUCCUUACGACAUUGGAAUUUUAAUAUACUUUUAUUUGGUUUGAUUAAGUUAAGAUGUUUUCCGAAUUUUCAUGGCACACUCGAUUGUGAGUUUAUCAUAUUUUUAUACGGGUACUAGCUUUGUAAGUUAAAAAUUAGAUUUGAGAAAAAUAAAUAAUCGUGCUCUUGUGUGUUUCCCUUCUAGUCGGUGGUGGUUGUUGUCUCCUCACUAAGUCCUUGUGGCUUACUCUUUCUUUUCUAUUGUUUUUCAGAUUCCCGAGCAGCUGAGUAGGAAGCUGCAAGUAGAUCCGAAGUCCAUCAUUUCUAUUUUUGGUAGGCCUCCUUGAUGGAUGGCUUUUUAUUUAUGUAAAUAUUCAGUCAAUGUAUCUGCAGCUAUAUGGAGUUAGAGUGCCUCAUUUUGAGUUGUAAAGUUAUGUAAAAAUUGUCUUUUUGAGCUUCUGGAUGAUGUGACAGGUUUAUGGACAGGAUUCAUAUCUUGGUAACGUUAAAAAUACAAGGGAUACUCUGUCCAAAUUUUUGUAAAUAUUAUUUUGAUGAAAAAAAUGGAUAUCUGUAAAUUAUUUAUGUCAUUUGUCGAGUUUGGUCGUUAGGCUUGCCGGACUAAAAUGUACAAGUCUGUGCGCCGGUCACGAUUUUGUGCUUGGGUCGUGACAUAUACUAGCAAAGUUUCAUCCACAAAUUUUACUUGUGUAAACUUUUCAGGUAACUAUUGUCACUUCGUUUAUCUAAAAAAAAAAUACAUAAAAAUUGAUUAAUAAAUAACUCAUUAAGCUUGAUCCCAAAAAAAUAAACACAUUUGCGCAAAUCUAUUACCCCAAAUCAUAUUGAUGAACAAUAAGCUUAUUAACUUUUACCCUUUAAUAAUUUCAUAGCACCCACCCAUCACUCUGCCCCCUGUCAUAUAUGCACAUGGCAGUAGGCAUGUCACAAAUUUUGGCAUCUUUUUCAUAACAAUAAAAGAAGCUCCAUUACACCAUGAGGAUACAUUUUGGUUACUUCUAACCAAAGAAAAACAAAAAGGAAAAUUUUGCAUUUCAAAUAUCAUCAAAUGACAUGUUAAUUGAGUCUCACAUUUGAUUUAACUUGUGCUUCCAACAGUAGUAGUAUCAACAGGACCCGGAUUCCGUGCAUUAAUAAAAGUCCAUAGUUUCAACUUUCAUGCAAUCGUUAAACUCCACCCUUUGUGAUCGAAUGGUUCAGAUUACAGAUACACGAAUUCGGUUUUCAACCAUCUCAACCGUAGAUUUAAAUCAGACUAAAUUGGUGCAGUUACUACUGGGAAUCCAUUUCCAUAUCAACUCCAUGAAAAACACUAAUAAAUAGACUAAAAGAAUUAUCCCACAUCAUGUACAACUAAAGAUUCCAAUGACUUCCGUUUCCAUCACAAACCAAAACAAAGAAACCAAAAGCCUAACAUUACAUCAUAUAUUGGUUGUUCUAAAUUACAUCCUUGACCAUGGUUAACAAUUUGGAGAGGGAAGGGAAAAGACAAGAAUGCCCCACAAAAUAAAAACUUCUCAAUUCAUUAUGCAGGAAUGUGAAAGUGCACAACUCUUUCCAUAUCAUCUUUAAAAUUUUGAUAAUGAAAAGCAUCAUGGAUGCAAAGGUAGUGCCUUUCCCUUUCAAUGAUUAACCUAAUCAACUUAGGGUAAUAUUGACAUCAUCACCAAGUGUGAAAAAAUCGAAGAAUACUUCAAGAUGAUAUCGGUUCGUAAGGGUAUGAUAACCAGGGGUGCUUUAGAGCUUCAGAUGCAGAAGGUCGCUUCUUCGGGUUAACCUCGAGCAAAUGAGAAACGAAGUCAAUGAAGCCUUGGUCCCCCAUCGGUAAUCUAUGCCUCAGAUGUCUUCUUUAGAAUCAGGUAUUCUAAUAUGUUGCUUUCCUGCAUAUCAAUACCCAAUACCUCACUGAAUAAUUUUUCCAUGAUAAUUAAAGAUACAAUGCAUGUUUUAUAUGAGCAUGUUUGGAUUGGGUUAUUUGAGCCUAUUAUCAACUCGCAUAAGUACUUGUGAGACUAUUUGAGAGAAUUUAUGGAAACAACUUAUGACAUGUUCAUAAGCUAUUUUCAAGUAAUUUCCGUAAACUCUCUAGGAUUGCAAAUGAAAUCAGCUUACAGCUUAUAUGAAAAUAAUUUGACUUUAUUUUAUCUUCUAUUAUAGAAAAUAACAUAUAUAAACACUUAUAUGAGAAGUGUCUAUGUUGUAAGCUUAAUUAAGUUGUUUAUCCAAACAUGAUACAAGCGAAUGAAAAUAAUCAAUUUUAGAAAUUUUAGGGAGCUAUCUCUUGAUUUGCUUUUUGAAGGCGAUGCAAAUGAAAAGAUAUCGAAAAUUUUAAAAUUGUUCGAUGAUGCAUUUCAUAUGCAAAUACAUUUUAGAAAUGAAUUUCUUACCUGAUUCCUCUCAUAAAGCAUAUGAUUUUUUGUGAAGUACUUAUAAGUAUCUCGUCCUUUUGCUAGCAUACUUUGACCAAUUGGACCGAUGAUCCCAAUUACCCUAGCUAGUAAUGUGGCCGAGGAAUCGUUUUGGAAUAAGACCUACAAUAAGCAUAGUUGAGUUCAUUAAGAAUCAAGAUUCAUGAGUGUAUUCACUAAAAUGGAUACAGAUUUGACAUCCGCUUUCACCCAAAAAUGUAAAAAAUCCUACAACUGCAAGAACACGUAACUUAAAAGAAAUUCACAGUACCUAAUAUGUCACAAAUCAUUUUCACGUCUAAAGAUACAGGGCGACUUGUUCUGUUCUAUUCUCUAUGUAGUUCCACUAAGACAACAGAAACUCACUAGCAUUGUCAAUCGUAGAUUGCAAAAAAUAUUGGUUUGUUCCGAUUCUGCUACACAGUAGUUCAAUAGUGCCACUAGAGCAACUAUUUGACAAUAUUUUGUACUAUAUAAUGCGUAAUACAGAAUAAUAAUGAUUUGUUCAAAUUCUGCUACGUUAUAGCCGCUAUUUAACAACACCCAAAUCAUUUUCAAAUUUAAAAUAUACUUCAUCAGUUUAUUUCAGGUACUGUUUGGAACACGAAUAGAAUUAAAUGGGACGGCUUAUUUAUUCUUCAACAAUUUUUCUGUUCUAUUUUUUAUUUGCUUCGAAAACGUAGAAUAUAAAUUAUUCUAUCCUAUUCUAAACUGACUACCUAAAACUUCCUUAAGACUAAUAGUGAUACAAUACAACAUAACAGAGCAAAUACGACUUACACAAAUUGGCAUCUAAACAAUGCCAUCACCGGGGGAAAAACACGAAUCAAGGAUCAUGCAGUAAAUUUUUCUGUUCUAUUUUUUAUUUGUGAAGAUUGCUUCAGAAACAGCAGAAAAUAGAUAAGACUUUGCCUUUGAUUUUCGCUGCUUUCUCUCCUUAUGAUUUUUGAUUUGUGCAAUUGUUGGAUUGUCUGGUAAUGGCUCAAUCUCAUAAUCAUCCUCAACAGCCUCCCAAAGAUCAUGAGGGUCAAGAUAAGCCUCCAUUUUGGUUGCCCAAAGGUGAUAGUUCUCACCCUCAAAGAUUGGCAAUUUUAUGGCUGAGUUAUCGGAGUGCAUUUUCAACUCUUUGGUAAGUGUUUGGGUGUUUAGUGGAACUCUCAACCUCACCAGGUCCCUCAAGAACAAGAGUGCUCUUGAUACCACUGUUGGAAUUUAGAAAAGAAAUUAAGCAGAUUUAUGAGUUCUGAAAACUGAAACACACAAAUUUCAUUCCUUCUAACAACCUUUAAAUACAAGAAAUUCAUAAUCAGAAAUAAACAAAAGAAAAACUGCCUAUAAAUUUGUAACAGACAACAUAAAUCUAUAACCUCCCAUAAUUCCUAUAAUUAAAAUCAUAACAGUCAUAACCAUAAAUACUACAACAAACUCUAAUAAUAGGUUCUGAUCCAUAUUCUCAACAGAAACUCCCACUUCCACCAAUCUUUGCUUUUUAAGAUAAGGAUCUGUGAAUACCACAUUCUCCUCCUCCGUGUUGCUUUUCUCAUUCCACACGUGGAUUCCCAUUUGUGCAUAAACACUAUUCUCGUGAUCCUUCGACCUAAACUCCACAUGGAUCCAUUCACUUUUCAAAAGUCCUUUGUCCAUAUUAUACAUGUGUUGUCCUUUACAGAGUUCUUCCAAUUUCAUAUCAAACAAAGUUAUAUGGUCCGGGAACAAACGUUGAGAGCGAUAACAACCUAUCUCAAUUUCAUAUCCAUUCACAUAUAAACUGAAAUUUGAGGCCCAACGGCGUUCCGGAAGAAUAAAAAUACAAGAUAUAGAAGGGAUUUCUUUAUGAAACCAAAAAGAAAUUGUGUCUCCCCUGCUUUGGUGCUCAAACCAAUCUGGUAUCCCCAGCUCUGUUCCGUUUGGGAAAUCAAAACGAGUGCAUCGAGCCUCAUGUAGUUGCUGUUAGUAUGUAUGAAAUACAAAUAUAUAUAUUACACACUGUCAAAUAUAAAUAUAUAUGAAAUACAAUAAAAGAUGUCAAAUACUAUAGUGCAAUAAAAAACAACAACAAACCUGACUCAUUAACAUUCUUCUACAUGAUGAACUCAAUGAUUUGCAUUCAUAAGCAUAGAGACUUCCAAGAUUUGGUGGAAUCCCUCUAAUUUCCUCAAGGGACUUGCAGUACCUCACAAUAAUUUCCACAAGAUGGUGACUUUCACUAAGGCACUCUGGAAGAAUUUUGAAAUCGCUAUAUGAUAAAUCUAGAUAUGUCAUAUUAACACACCACUUGAGAAGUAUUGGGAGACAUUCAUCUGAGAGGUAGCAAUCGAAGAGAGAAAGCUUUGUCAUAUUUGAAAACACUAUUGAAUACAUCUUAUCAUUAUGUUCUGGGAACCUCAGGAUUCCAUAUGACACUGUGAACUCAUCAAGUUCACUGAGAUUUUGAAAUGAAAAUGGCAGUUUUCCUAUGGAAAUAUAAAAUAUAUCAAUCUCUUUUAUAUGUGCCAUCUUGCAUAAUAAUUCUGGAAAAUUUUCGAGACACGAGCCACCCAUGAGAUUAAGUUCCUUAAGAGAUGCCAAACCUAAAGGUGGAAAAUGUUUGAGCUUUCUGUAACCAGUUACACUUAACCUUUCAAGUUUACUUAGGUGUCCAAUCGAAUUGUGAAUUGUAAUUAAAUUCUUACAAUGUUCAAACGAUAACUUUUCUAAAUUUGAAAGGCUUGAGACAUCGGGUAUAUGUGUUAAAUAUUCACAAUCGUCCAAUGUCAAGAUUUUCAUAUUCUGGAACUUCUGCAUAAACACAAGAAAGAAACAAUAAAUAAACUAAAAAUCAAAGACUAAUAUUACUUUCAUACUGAUUUCUUUUGUUGACGGAAACAAAAUAACUGAAGUUAUUUCACUUGCCUUGUUUAAAAUACUAGUUGACAGACACUUCGAUAAACAUCCCUUCCAUUUCAAUACACUCAAACUUCUUGGUAGAUGCUUGAGACCUUCAGAAAAAUGGCCAUUUUCAAUGAUAACUGUUUUGAGUUUUGUCAUCUUCUUGAAGGCCUUUCCUUUCUUGUCUAUCACGGAUUCCAUGGAGUGGAGAUUCAUAUAUAUCAUUUCAAUUUUACUAGUUCCCUUUUAACAAAGAUAAAAACAUGAAUCAACCACAAUAAAAAUAAGAUAUAGAAAUAUUAACAUGUAAUUGAGUGAAAAGAAAUGCUAGUAUCAGAUGAUCAUAUUUAGUGCAAAUAGAGCAAAGUCGUAUUAAAACUAAAUAACAAAAUGAUCAUAGAUAUCAAUCUUACUCACAGUGUUUUCUCUUAAAACCCGAGUUAUAUCAUCCUGACAGCAUAACCUACUUCUUUCUCCAGGCUCUUUAGUUGAUUCUUGUCGGACGACUUCUUUACCCAUGUCCUCUAUCAAGUCAUGUAAUGUCACACAACCAUAUUCCCUAUAUUGGUUUAUGAGAGAUUUUUCAGCCAACACUGCUAGAUGAUGUGUUAUGGAAUGGCCAUAAUGAGCAUGAAGCAUAUAUUUGGCAUCUUCCCAUCCAUGUCCUUUGAAGCAACAAGCAAUGUCCAGAAAGACACUUUGCUCCUCUUCUUCCAAAGCAUCAUAGCUCACUCUAAGUAUCUUUUGGAUCUCUUUAUUGGGAAUCCUGUCAUACCCAUCUAAUAUAUACUUCCAUUCUUCUAUGUUCUUUCCAAACAAGUUAGAACCCACUAUUUCUAUAACUAACGGAAGGCCAGAAACAUAUGAAACUGCACGACUUAAAAUCUCUUUGUACCUUGAUGGAACAUUGUCACUUUUAAAAGCCAUCCACCUCAACAAUUCAAGAGCUUCUGUCCCAUUCAACCCUUUUACUGCAUACGUUUUUUCUAUCCCAUGAUGGUCUAGUAAGUGUUUAUCUCGGGUGGUGAUGAUGACUCUGCUUCCAGGACCAAACCAAUCGAGUCCUCCAGCCAAAGCCUGUAGCUGAUCCAGUUUGUCAACAUCGUCGAGAAUCAAAAGAAUCUUCUUUCUACAUAGCCUUUCCUUAAUGAUUGGAAUUCCGUCACUAACAUGGUCUAAAUUAAUUUCCGAUCCAGUUGUUUUAAAAAGGAGCUUCUCUUGGAGAUGUUCCAAGUUAUUUUUAGCUGAAUUCAUUCUCACAUUAUGAAGAAAACAUAAACCUUCAAAUUGAUCAGCAACCAAAUUAUAGAUUGCUCUUGCAAGUGUUGAUUUUCCCAAGCCUCCAAUCCCAAAAAUUCCAACCAUAUGGACCCCAUCAUCAGAUCCAUUAUCAAGAAUUGAUUUCACUCUUUGUACUUGAGACUGUAAUCCAACAGGGUAAUUGGCAACAUGUAAGGGCUGACGACUGAUCUUGUUGGAGAUGUAUUUGACUAUCUCUUCAAUAAACUUGUAUUCAUAUCUACUCGUGUCGAGUAAGAAAAGUUAGUAUGAAACAACAUCACAAUCACAUCUAUGUACUCAGAAUAUAUUAUAAAUUUCUAACUAUUUCGACAUAUAAAUAACUAAUACAAAAGGGAAAUAUAGGAUUUAAGUAAAGUUGGGUACCUGGGAGGACUAUCAUGGUAGCCGGACAAGUUAGCAGCCUGGCUCAGAGCCUCUUUCCAUCCCUGCAACCUCUCCAUGUUUUUCGGAUCAUUUUGAAACCUCUUUUCAUGCUCAGCCAAUGCUUUGCCAUAACUACCUUUAUGAUGUCUCACAUUAGUUGGUUCCACACCGAAGAAAACAGGCAAAACGAGGCGACCCUUUGUCUCGUAGCAGUGAAUUAUGUGGACAAGUUCGUCCAAACAAAAUGAAGAAGAUGCAUAGUUGAGAGAAAACACAGGAAUAAAAAUCCUAGAUUCAUCAAUGGCCUUGAGGAGUGAUGGUGUGAUUUCAUCUCCUCUUUGAAGAUCAUUGUCAUCAAUGAAGGUAUGGAUUCCCUUGUCAGUAAGAGCCUUGUAGAGAUUUCCGGUAAAACCGUGCCGAGUGUCAGUGCCCCUAAAACUGAUGAACACUUGGUAAGUGAAUCCAUAGGAAAAUGAAGUGGAUGAGGAAGGUGAUUGUAUAGCCAUGAGAAUUGAGAGAAAUAGGAUGAAAAAGAGUUUGAGAAUGCAGAAUAUGAAUGAGUAAAUUUUGUGUUCUGUGAUGUGAAGUCUUUGAUAAGUAACUUUAUAACAAGGAGAAAAAUGGUCUUUGAAACUUUCCUGACCACUUCCUAUAGCCGUGUGGACCAAUAUCGUUGUACUGCUUUUAUUUUUAUUCAUCUGCUGAAUGUAAUUUUUCACUUUGUUACUUAAUUACUCAGUGUGUUAGAUAAAAAUAAAUUAGGUUAGCAUAGAUAUGAAAUAUUAUAGUUUCUAUUUAUUUUGAAAAUAUUACCACUUGAACCAAAUGGUUAAUUAACCUUGCACACACAAUUAUUCCAGUAUAUAUUUAGAAACUUCCUUCCCAUUUCAUAUGUCUGUAAAGUAACCAUCACAUCCUUCUUCCAUGUAAUUUCUUUAGAGCAAUGUCAAUGUCUUAAUGAAAAGAAAGGAAAAACAAGGCAAAGUUUCAUCCACAAAUAUCUACUUGUGUAAAUACUUAAGAGUUAUUUAUGAGUUUCCAUUGAGAAGAAAUAGAAGCAAGAAGUGUGAAACUUCCUUAGCAUUUCUUAUGUAUAUACGUGUGAACCAAUAACACAAUAAAAUAUAUUUACCAACUCUUUCUUUUUUCUCUUGUCUAUUUCCGCGUGGGUUGUGUUGUCCCAAAAAGACUACCUUAUAAAUUUAAAAUUCAACCCUUUAGGUGUUAGUGUUCUUCUUUCUCCCUAACUUUAAAAUUAACAAUUCCUUUACUUUUUUCUGAUAUCUUUUUGGAUAUUUUUUUUUUAUAUUGCAAUGACGUUCUCCAUAUUUUUUUCUAUUUAUCUAAAAAAGAUAUUAAGGUUUUUUAUUUGGUUAAAGACUAUCACCUAGUGGGUAACUUCCUUCCCAUUUCAUAUCUUCGGUAAAGUAAAAAAGUAUCAUUUUUCCUACAUCAUUCUUCCAUGUAAUUUCUUAAUCCCUCAGCAAGAAUAGAUUUGAUGUGAUCUUAUAAUAAGCAAGAACUAAGAAGUCACAUAAGUGAUCAUAUAAUACUCAUAAUUAUAUGGUUCAAAUUUCUUAGACUUUAAAUAGAUAACUCUAAAUCAAAAUACUCAUUAAAUUAUGGUUUCUAGUUCAAAUUUGCUGAUUGGUCUCUAGUUUUGAAUUUGGAAGGCCCUCUAUAUGUGAGGAAAUUUAUUUGGGUGUAUAUUAAUUGUAUUUUUUACGAACUAUAAUAAAGCUUGUAAAAAAAAAAAUACUUUACCUUCAAAAUUGUGUUCAACGUGGGGAUUAUGGUGAAAAUACUUGACAUAUUUUUGUUACUUUUCUAAUUGCUACAGAGACUUGAAGAGGUUUAGGUGUAUGGAUUUGAUUGAACCAUAUAUUAUGACAGUUGAUGGUAUUGUUAAUUGAUUUUUUACUGUUGCAAACAAAUUGCAUAUGGUAAAAAGCGUAUAGUAUGUGUCUGCCAUCAUCGUAAUCUUGUGUUUGAGUCUCCAAAAUACCGGGUCAAUAUCACAUAAUUGUGAGACUUGAGAGGUCAAAAGUACAAUUAAACCUAAAUCAUAUUGUUUAGUCUUUUGUGUUUGAGUCUCCAUUAUUUCUGAUGUGUUGGAAAAAGAAAGGUUGACUUGAAGUCAACAUCAGAAUGAAGUAAGUAACCAUCACUUUUCCUACAUCCUCCUGCCAUGUAAUUUCCAUAAAGCAAUGUAAAUGUCUUAAAGAAAAAGAAAGGAAAAAAAGGUAAAAGUUUGAGGGAAACAUCAAUAUGAAAGGACCUCAAAAAUCAUAAAGCUUAAAAACAGUACCUAAAGGGAUCAAAACGUCUUGAUUCUUAAUCCCAUUGUAAACUAGUUUGUCAACAACACUCCUAUAAGCAUGGUUGUAAACUUUUUUUUUUACUGGAGCAUGGUCGUAAACUUAAGCAAGUAAAAACAGCAAAUUCCAAAAAUAUUUUAGAAUGCAUCAUAUCUAACACUAGAUCACAUUAUAUCUGACCAAUAGCAGUUCAUUAAGUCGGAUUCUAGAGAACAAAGGUCACGACUCUUGCAAAAGGAUCUCAUAAAUGUUGGUUCUUAGAUUUAGUUCUUUAUCACACAUUACUUCUUCUAGAUCAAAGCGAUCUUUUCUAGUAAGGACAGAGUGGUUUGAGAAAUCCAUCCAACCAUAACCUUUUUGACCUGGUACGCUACAUAAAAUAAUGUCAAAUCAUUUUCAUAUAAGCUAAGUUGCAUUCAAAUAAGCUAUAAGCCGAUUUAAAACAAGUUUCACAAGUGCUUCUAUCAGUUUAUAAGCUCAAAUAAGUCAAUCGAAACAAACCGUAAAUAGUUAAUUAAUUUUCAAAAUCCAUUAAAUGCAUGAUUAGGCCUAACAGCACCAAAUUGACUACAGAAACAGAAAUAAUUAAAAUCAUAACCAAAACCAUUAACUUAAAUUCAAAUUUUAAUUGCUCCAUCCAAUAAACCUCAUAACCAGCCAAAGCUCUACUCUAGCACGCGACUUCCUUGAACGCAAUUCUCUUAUCACACCGAUCACGCUUCCACUUCUUCUUCUUGCUUGUCUACCUCUCCUCUCUCUCCAUUCCAUCGGUGGUAAGAGAUUUUCAUCGAUGUCACGUUACUGAGCCAUAGAGGAACGGAAGAGAAGAUUUUGGUUCGUCGGAGGACGGUGGCACCUUCUUUUGUUCCACCGGAUAAGUAAUUGAUCAUUUAAAAUUUUACAAGCUAUAGCCAUGGAAAACUGGUCAUGACAUGAACUUAAUUUUUGAAAUUAAGAGGAUCAGAGGAAUGUUUUAAUUUGAGGUAAAAAUUCAUUUAAUUGACUUAAAAAACACGCUUUAAAAUGAAAAAUAAGUUCACCAUAUCCCAAAGAAAAGAGGUAACUAUAUUUUUCUCUAGAGCAAUUACUAGCAGCACAGAACCAACCACUGGACCUGAAUAGUGCAAUAGGGAGGCAUAUUCACAAUAUCUUACCACUUCUAAAUAGAUAUGUUUGAUUCAAUGGAAUCCAGACUAUUCUUUGAUAGCCAGUGACAGACAAAUAGACUACUUUUUCAGUUGAAAACUUGAACCAGAGAAUAACAGAAGUUACAUGUAACAGAAAUUACAUAAGUAGCCUAGCAAUGAGUAAGAAAUAUUAGUGAAUUAGCCUAUUUUAAGUAUUAGUUUUACUUAAAAUACGUACGCUAAUUAUCCUGACUUUUAGUGUUUUUGUGCCUUAUAAAAGAAAAACUAAUAUUUCUUGUAUUGAUAUCAAAAGCUAAUAUAUCAACUUUGCUAAGGAUUUAUUAAAGAUUGUUGCAACAUCAUUCAAAUAAUUUAAAAAAUCAACAAUCAUUGAACAAAAAAAGGUUGCAACAUCAAUGUUCCUGAAAUUUGCUUUUUUCAGGACAUAUUUACAAGCAGGUAAAAUGUUCAAAUACAUUAUCCAAAUUGUGUACUAAGAUGGAAAUUCUCAAAGCACUCCAACUGAGCUGCAAAGCAUAUCAUUACUCACUGUCCUUUCGAACAACCAACGGAUUCUGUGCUGUAAGCAACCUCUAGACUUGUCGCAUGACAAUGCAAAUAGCCAGAUGACUACAUGUCGUUUCCUGACAAUGUACAGUCAAAAAACAAGAAAAUACUUAGUUUUGGUUAGAGAAAAGUUGCGUAAAUUACAGACAACAGGCUGAAAUCAUCGGGAAUGGAUUCUCCAUGUUCAACUUUAUGAAUGAUUUUUAGAAACAUCACUUUCUCAUUUUAUGAUAUAAGAUGAAGUUUGUAUCUAAUUUGACCUGUGGGAUAAAAGCUACACGUUUACAUUAACGGUCUUUUUCAAAUAAUCUUUCAUAAAGAUUAUGAUUAAAACCAUUUAUGCUUUCGAAGUAUAAAGAUCUUACUUGUAAAACCAUUCAUCUUGGAUCCAACACAAUUUAUUAGAUGUUGUGUGAAAGUGGCUAACCUUUCAUUAGACCUGAUUGCUUCUGAUGUCUCUGAAGCACCCUUAUGUAAUAGUCAAACAAAAGUUCAAGUUGAUAGCUACGGAUUCUCCAUUCUGCAGGACACAAGCAUUUAUAUAUCACUGUAAGCCUUUUGCGUGCUUAUAAGUUAGUGGAACGUCAACUAUGUAUCAUGUUUCAAUUGCAAUCACGUUAAAUUUAUUCUAAAAUCCAACUACUUUGUUUAGCCUAUUAAUUAUUUCACUCAAAAGGUCCAUUCAAAAUCCCAUAUUAAGAUACAAUAACUCAUGAAGAAUUCAACAUCAAAUGUCAACUUUAUAAGCAUCCCCAAAUGUAAAUAGAAACAAUAUUUUAAGAUUGCACAAACAUAAUCCAGAAAAUCUUAAAUCAUGUAUCAUCAUUUGAAUAACUUCUCCAACUAGAAACAACGAAUUUGUAAUUGACUAUAUACAGAAAUUAAUCAACAUUUGUAAACAGAAAAUCACAAACCUCCAAUGUUGAGAUUGAGAGUUAACUUUAUGAUGGAGCUAGACCAAGGAAUGUACCCCACAUCAUUCUUUCAUCUUGUGCAUUGUUUAAAAUUUCAAUCUCAUCCCCAUGCGUGUUGCUUUUUGAUGCACCUAGACUAAGGAAUGUACCCCAUGUCUUUUUUUGUUCCUCUUUCUUUAAAUCCUGUUGUUGCAAUGAAGCAUUGAUAUCCUCCUCUUCCUCUGUCUCUGAAACUCCCAUUUCCACCGAUCUUUGCUUUUUUAGAGGAGGCACAAAUUGUGAUAAUGAAGUAUUAUUGCUAUAAGGGUUGAGAUAUUCAUCUAAUUUCAUCUUUCGAAUAUAAGGAUCGAUGAAUACCACAUUCUCCUCCUCCGUGUUGCACUCAGGAAGAAUUUUGAAAUUGUUGUACAUUAAGUCUAGAGAUGUCAUAUUAACACACCACUUGAGAAGUAUUGGGAGACAUUCAUCUGAGAGGUUGCAAUGGCAGAGAGUAAGUUGUGUCACAUUUAAAAACACUAUUGAAUACAUCUUAUCAUUCUGUUUUGGGAACCUCAGCAUUCCAUUUACCACUGAUAACUCAUCAAGUUCACUGAGAUUUUGAAAUGAAAAUGGCAGUUCUCCUAUAGAAGUAUGCUGCAACCAAAUAUUAUCUAUAUUUGUCAUCUUGCAUAAUAAUUCUGGAAAACUAUCGAGACUCUCACAAUAACGGAGAUUCAAUUCUUUAAGAGAUGCUAACCCUAAAGGUGGAAAACGUUUGAACUCCCUGCAACCAAAUGCACUUAACCUUUCAAGUUUAUUUAGGUGGCCAAUCGAAUUGUGAAUCGUAAUUAAAUUAUCACAAUAUUCAAACGAUAACUUUUCUAAAUUUGAAAGGCCUGAGACAUCGGGUAUAUGUGUUAAAUAUUUACAAUGGUCCAAUGUCAAGACUGUCAUAUCCGGGAACUUCUGCAUAAACACAAAGGAAGAAACUAUAAAUAAAUUAAAAAGCAAACACUAUACUUUCAUAGUGAUUUCUUUUAUGUUGUCGAAAAAGAAAUCAUUGUACAUUAUAAAUAUAUACAGUUAUAAAAUGAAGUUAUUUCACUUGCCUUGCUUAAAAUACUAGACGAUAGAGACUUUGAUAAACAUCCUUCCCAUUUCAAUGCUUUCAAACUGCUUGGAAGAUACUUGAGACCUUUAGAACAAUGGCCAUUUUCAAUGAUAAGUGUUUUCAAUCUUGUCAUCUUCUUGAAGGCCAUUCCUUUUUGGUCUAUUAUGGAUUCCAUGGAGUGAAAAUUCAUAUACAUCAUUUGAAUUUUACUAGUUCCCUUUUAUAAAAAAUAAAAAUAAAUAAAUAAAUAAAUAACAUGAAUCAGCCACAACAAAUAUAAGAUAUAGAGAAACUUACUUCGAAUUAAGUAAUAAAAAAUACUAGUAUGAGAUGGUCAUAUUUAGUCCAAAAAGAGCAAAGUCAUAUUAAAACUAAAUAACAAAAUGAUCAUAGAUAUCAAUCUUACUCACAGUGUUUUCUUUUAAGACAUUAACUAUAUCAUCAUGGCAGCAUAACCUACUUCUUUCUCCAGGCUCUUUAAUUGAUUCUUGUCGGACGACUUCUUUACCCAUAUCCUCUAUCAAGUUAUGUAAUGUCACAUAACAAUAAUUUGUGUCUAUGAGUGACUUUUCAGCCAACACUCGUAGAUGAUGUGUUAUACAAUGGUCAUAAUGAGAAUGAAGUAUAUUUUCAACCUCUGUCAAUCUAUACCCUUUUAAGCAACAAGCAAUGUCAAGAAAGACACUCUGCUCCUCUUCUUCCAAAGCAUCAUAGCUCACUCUAAGUAUCUUUUGGAUCUCUUUAUUGGGAAUCCUGUCAUACCCAUCUAAUGUAUUCUUCCAUUCUUCUAUGUUCUUGCCAAACAAGUUAGAACCCAUUACUUCUAAAACUAACGGAAGGCCAGAAGCAUAUGCAACUGCACGGUUUAAAAUGUCUUCAUAACCUGAAGGAACGUUGUCAUUUUUAAAAGCCAUCCACCUCAACAAUUCAAGAGCAUCUAUCCCAUUCAACCCUUCUACUGGAUAUGUUUUUUCUAUCCUAUGAGAGGCUAGUAAGUGUUUAUUUCGAGUGGUGAUGAUAACUCUGCUUCCAGGGCCAAACCAAUCAACACUACUAAAAAAACAAAAAUUAGUGAGGGAAAUUUUGUGAGGGAAAACGUGAAAUCCCUCUCUAAUUCCGUCACUAAAUUUUGCGACCAUGGAAUUUGUGAGGAAUUUCAUUUUUUCCGUAACUAAUUUUGCUUUUUCUACUAGUGCAAGUCCCCCAGCCAAAGCAUGCAGUUGCUUCCUAUCGUCAACAUCAUCGAGAAUCAAAAGAAUCUUCUUUCUACACAGCCUUUCCUUUAUGAAUGGAAUCCCCUCACAAACAUGAUCUAACUUUAUUUUCGAUCCAGUUGUUUUUAGAAGAAGCUUCUCUUGGAGAUGUUUCAAGUCAUUUUGAGCUGAAUUCUCUCUCACAUCAUGAAGAAAACAUAAACCUUCAAAUUGAUCAGCAACAAAAUUAUAAAUUGCUCUUGCAAGUGUUGAUUUACCCAAGCCUCCAAUGCCAAAAAUUCCAACCAUAUGGACCCCAUCAUCAGGUCCCUCAUCAAGAAGUGAUUUCACUUGUUGUACUCGAGACUGCAAUCCAACAGGGUAAGUGGCAACAUGUAAGGGAUGUCGACUGAUCUUGUUGGAGAUGUAUUUGACUAUCUUUCCAAUAAGCUUGUAUUCAUAUCUAUUCAUGUGCAAUAAGAUAAGUUAGUGUCUAACAACAUCCCAAUCACAUCCAUGUACUAAGAAUGUAUUAUUCAUUUCUAACUAUUUCGACAUAUAAAUAACUAAUAGUACUUGUUUAAAACUGUAUAUAAAAAAGGUAUUUCCCUUUAAACUUUAAGAUGAGAUUAUUGUGAAAUUGAAGUUGAAGAAAUAAAAUAGAAAAGGGAAAAAUAGGAUUUAAGUAAAGUUGGGUACCCAGGAGGACUAUCAUGGUAGCCGGACAAGUUAGCAGCCUGGCUCAGAGCCUCUUUCCAUCCCUGCAACCUCUCCAUGUUUUUCGGAUCAUUUUGAAACCUCUUUUCAUGCUCAGCCAAUGCUUCACCAUAACUACCUUUACGAUGUCGCACAAUAGUAGGUUCUACACCAAAUAAAACAGGCAGAACGAGGCGACCCUUUGUCUUGUAGCAGUGAAUGAUGUGGACAAGUUCGUCCAAACAAAAUGAAGAAGAGGCAUAGGUGAUAGAAAACACAGGAAUAAAAAUCCUAGACUCUUCAAUGGCCUUGAGAAGUGAUGGUGUGAUUUCAUCCCUUCUUUGAAGUUCAUGAUUGUCAAUGAAGGUGUGGAUUCCCUUGUCAUCAAAAGCCUUGUAGAGAUUGCCUGUGAAACCGUACCGAGUGUCACCUCCUCUGAAACUGAGGAAUACUUGGUAUUUGUACUCAUAGGAAAUUGAAGUGGAAGAGAAAGGUGAUUGCAUAGCCAUGAGAUUUUAGAGAAAUUAGAUGAAAAAAGAGUUUGAGAAUAUGAAUGAGAAGUUUUUGUGGUCUGUGAAGUCUUUGAUAAGUAACUUUAUAACUUAUGAGAAAAGUUAUGACAGAAAUGGUAUGUGAAACUUCCUAUAGCCGUGUGGACCAAUCAUUGUACUACCACCUCUUCUUCUUGCUAAUUUCUUCCAUGUUGUUACUGUUACUGUUCAUCUUUUGGACAAAUCUUAUUCUUCUGCUGCAUUUAAUUUUUCACUUUGUUACUUAAUUAAUCAGUGUGUUAAAUUACAUGAGCUUAAAAUAAAUACAAGCUAUGCCAUUCAAACAUACAAUUAGUAGGCAUGUCACAAAUUUUGGCAUCUUUUCCAUUACACCAUCAGGAUACAUUUUGGUUACUUCUAACCAAAGAAAAACAAAAAGGAAAAUUUGCAUUUCAAAUAUCAUCAAAUGACAUGUUAAUUGAGUCUCACAUUUGAUUUAACUUGUGCUUCCAACAGUAGUAGUAUCAACAGGACCCGGAUUCCGUGCAUUAAUAAAAGUCCAUAGUUUCAACUUUCAUGCAAUCGUUAAACUCCACCCUUUGUGAUCGGAUGGUUCAGAUUACAGAUACACUAAUUCGGUUUUCAACCAUCUCAACUGUAUUGUGAUCGGAUGGUUCAGAUUACAGAUACACUAAUUCGGUUUUCAACCAUCUCAACCGUAUAUUUAAAUCAGACUAAAUUGGUGCAGUUACUACUGGGAAUCCAUUUCCAUAUCAACUCCAUGAAAAACACUAAUAAAUAGACUAAAAGAUUGUUCACUAAUGCAUUUCAUAUGCAAAGAAACUUUAAAAAUUAAUUUCUUACCUGAUUCCUCUCAUAAAGCAUAUGAUUUUUUGUGAAGUACUUAUAGGUAUCCCGUCCUUUUGCUAGCAUACUUUGACCAAUUGGACCGAUGAUCCCGAUUACCCUAGCAAGUAAUGUUGCCGGGGAAUCAUUUUGAAAUAAGACCUACAAUACAACAAGCAUAGUUGAAUAUCAAUAGGGAAAGAAAAAUUUAUGGGUGUAUUUAACACAAGAGAAACCAAAUAAAGCACUGUACUAUAACAGAUACAGAUUCAAUAUCCGCUUUCACAGUUUCACCCAAAAAAGAAUAAUAAUCCUACAACUGCAAAGAGCAUACAACAAAAAAGAAAUUCACUGAGCCUGAUACGUCACCAAUCAUUUUUACGUCUACAAGAUACUUUGUCAAGUUAUUUAAGUCAUCAUCGUUUCACACACAUAAUAGAUUAAGAUAACAUGUCCUGUUCUACUGUCCAUAUAGUUCCACUAAAACAACACAGAAACUAACUUGUUUUCCCAAUCAUAGAUAGCAGAAAAUAGUGGUUUGUUCAAAUUCUGCUAUUCAACAGUUCUAUAGCACCACUACAGCGAUAAUGCAUAACAAUGGUGAUUUCGUUCAAAUUCCACAUCAUUUUCACAUGUAAAAUACACUUCAUCAGUUCAUUUGAGUGGAACACAAAUGGAAUGAAAUGGGACAGCUUGUUUUGGUUCAACAUUUUUAUUUUAUAUCAUUUUAUGUUCUACUUUUUACAUGCCUGAAACACGUAGAAUAUAAAUUAUUCUAUCCUACUCUAACCUGUCUACCAGAUACCUACUCUAACCUGUCUACCAGAUACUUCCUAAGAGUGAUUCAACAAAAGUUGGUAUCUAAACAAUGCCAUCACCAGGGGAGAAAAUGAAAUUUCAACGAUCAACAGUCAAUUUCAGUCUAAAUUAGACCUAAUGUAUUAGAGAAGAAAACUUGAGCAUUUUUAUGUACCUCCAACACGAAUUUGACAUGAAUCUUAACAUGCUUAAGUUUGAAAACUAUAUAUUAUACUUACAUUGCCAGUACAAAGUUCUGCCAAGAUGCAUCCAAGGGACCAGAUAUCAAUCUUCUUGUCGUAUGAAAGCCCGAGAAUAACCUCGGGAGCACUAUAGGACCUAGACUGAACAUAUGAGCAAAGGUGAUCUGUCUCAAAACAACUACUUCCAAGAUCAAUGACCUUCACCUCACAUCGGCUGUAGCUUUUAACCAAAAUAUUCUCCGGCUUCAAGUCACAAUGUAUUAGUCCAAGGUUAUGUAAAUACUGAAGUGCUUCCAAACAUUGAAUGGUAAUUGACUGCAAAAACAAAUCAAGACAAGUUUAUAAUGUUUUUAGUGUGACAGGAGUAGAAUCUAUGUAUACCUGUACAUAAAGAGAAUACUAAAGUUUGCUGUAGCUUUUUCUUCCAAUUUCACCCUUCAUUUAAACUCUUCUUUGUACAUUUUUACCCUUCAAAUUUGAUCUAAUCUAAUCCUAAUUAAAUUUUAAAUCAAAUCUAAUAAAAUCCUUAAAUCAAUCUAAAAAAUCAAAUCUAAACCAACCUUAAUUCAAUUUUGAAUUAAAAAUAUCUUAAUCAAAAUAAAAAUAACAAUACUAAAUAAUAAAAUUUCGUGCAGGGCAACAACAGAAAGAAAUGAAAGGUGGUAAGUCAGAUGAUUAAGUGAAUCGAUAUAUCUCAACAUCACUUUGUACAUAGCUUAACGUUUAGUCCUCGUAAUGUAAUUCAAUUCUUUCAAAAAUAUGACACCAGUGUGAAAAAUUAUAUUUUAUAACAAAUCCUGGAAUGUAUUGAAAAAUACCAUAGCCACAAACACAUUAAGUGGCUAUAGAAGAAGUAAAAAGUAAAUAUCAAUACCACAGCAACAACCUUUAUUCAGUUAUAUUAAAGAAGAAAGUCAACGUCAAGUCAGAACAAAUAAAUAUUUAGUCAUCUAUAUAUCUCGUUAUCAAAUUAAUGUUAAAAUUGCCUAGGAAGGACAGUAUCUAAUGUUGCACUAAUAGAUGAGACGUAAAAUGUAAUAGUAUUAACAAGAUCAAUAGCACAUGCAAAAUCACUUACUCUAUAAUAGAAAUAAUCAUAUAACCGCAAAAUGUGAUACUUGUCUCCAGGAUCAUGCUUAUUGACAUACUUGAGGAGUUUGAUCUCAUCAAGGCUUUGAUCAAAGAAAUCCUUGUUGUUCUUUAUAAUUUUAGUACAAACAUCCACGCCUGUGUGCAGGUCAUGAGCUUGUAUAGCUUCACUAAAUGCAGCAGAUCCCAGAUACUCGGUGACAUGAUAGCGACCAGCUAUUACAGAAUUUAAAACAACAUGGAAAUUCUUGUCCUCUUCAAAGCCAGUUCUGAACAACAAAACAUAGUUUUAGAUAGCAUGUCAAAGCCAAAAGGAGAAACACCAUGGAACAAUGACAAGAAUAUCCAUUGUGCAACAUAACAAAAGUAUCUACAUAGACGAGUUCAUUGAGCCUUCUGACAUGGCAUAAAGUACAAGUGCACAAUAUUUAUAAUGAAAAAUAAUUAAUUUUAUUCAUCUCAAAUCAUUAAUAUACUCGGAUUUGUAUUUUAACAAAGCAAGGGAUUUUUUACGGAUCAAGAAUGAAAUAGAAACUCUGCUGCCAUCUUAGUUUCACUUUAUUUUCAUCAUUAAUACAACCAAAAAAUUCACAAAAUGUUGUUUGUGCUUGCUAGUGUGGAUUGAAUUAAUGCCUGUUAUCAACUGAUUAUUGUAUCAUAAAUUUAAAUGUAAAGAGAUUGAAGGUUUCAAGUUCCUCCUCCUGAGCCUUUAUUUGCCUUACCUGCUCUUGCACAGCAGCAAUCUCUUCAUCCUCUUGUGAAACACCUAAAUCAUCUUCCCUUGUAAUGUCAACUUCUUCAUCAUCCUUUUCUAGCUUGACAUGCUCUUUAUCAGCGUACCCGUAAUUAUCGACAGUAGUUGGAGACGAGUUCGAAGAUCUAACCGCGUGAGCAUUAUUCUCAUCCCUAGAACUUUUCUCGGGUGAAGAAUCACUACUCUUCUGCCUCCACGAAGAAAGCAUUUCAUCAGAUCCUUCAAAAGCAUUCAUACAGUCAUCGGUUUCAUCCGCAUUACAAUUAUUUAACCAUGGCGACUUACUGGAACCACCACCCUGAAUCAUCUGGCUAUCUAUAAGAGACUGAGGAAAUGAAAAGUUGCCUUCAGUAUGUGUUUUUCUUUGUGAGUGUCCAUCUUUAUGACCUCCAAAGACAUAUUUAUUCGACUCAAUCUCGUCAUUUUUCUUCUUAUUUUUAAAUGAUUUGUCCAUAGAAUUCUUUCCGAAAUCAUGAUGAGAGUGUUUAUAAUCCCCCAAGUCCACUAUCACGAUCACGGAAAUAUUCUAAAUCCCCUUCACUGCUACCACCAAUAAAACUUCCAUGCACUUCACUGCCGAUAUCGGCAGCAUCACUGUUGAAACCCACCCCGAUUGACCUAACUGAACCGUGUUGAUCAUCUUCCAUUUGCUCGAGUCGUGAUCUUCCACUAUGAUUCAUAACUAUUCCAUCUCCCAACAUGAUCAGGUCGUUUGUCUGAGGGAAAAAUCCCUGCAUAACAGGUUCCGCGUGCAUCAGAUUGCAUUCCUCUACGUCCAUCAAUUCCCUGUCAUAUUGAGCCAUUAAAUCAUUACCAUUAGCCCUUCCAUACAUAUUAGUAACUGUUAUACAGAUAGGAUCAUCUGACCCUAUGACUGGCUCAACAUUCUUUGCUUGAAGAUAUUGCUCUCCCGAGAAAUAAGAAUCCUCUUCAGCGAAACAUUGAUCAUCAUCAUCCUCUUUGGCAGGACCUCUUUCCUGAGGAUCUAGAACGCUUCCAUGCCCAGUUCCCUUUUCAUUUUCACUAGGGUAAUCAAUUUCGUGCGCCAAAAACCAGGCUUAAUACUCAAUAGGUUUUCUCAUGUACCAGGGGAAACUCUGCAAAAUCUGUCAAAGAACAUGUUCCAGGGGAAAUCCUGGAACCAAAACAGGAUGUUACUGAAGUAAAAGCACAAGUUGAUGCCAUAUGGGAACAAAUGAAUAAAGGCCUGUCCAAUAACGUUAUUAACAGUUUUAAAAGCAAGCCUAAAUCUUCUGCUGUGGAUGUUGUCCUUGUACAAAUCAAGAAGAAAACAGAACCUGAAAUUUUUGUAGGUUAUAGCUCAUCUUCAAAAGUCUAUAGAAUCUAUCUUCCACAAAGCAACAAAGUAAUUGUUAGCAUAGAUGUCAAAUUUCUUGAGUCAGAUAGUUGGAAUUGGGAAGAUUGUGAGAAGUUUGAAUUUCAGGAGGAGAAUGAAGAUGUUGAUGAUGAACCUAUUAAAGGAACUAGAUCACUUUCAGACAUGUACCAAAGGUGCAACGUCGUUGUCAUGGAACUAGAAGGAUAUGAUAAAGCUAGAUAUGAAUUCUUGACACAAAUGCUUGGUGUAUGCAGUUUCAGAGUCAAGGAGGAGUGUAGACUGGAUGACUAUGAAACUACUGUUUUAAGUUCCUAAAUUUUAGGAUCUAUUAUCUUUUUAUGUUAUUAUUAGGCACUCUCUGAUAUGCUCUAUUUGUUACCAGUUUUUUAGGCAUUUAGUUUUCAAAUAGUAGUUUCUUUAUGCAUUAUUUUAGGCUUUUCUUUAUGUAUAAAUAUGAUGGUUAUCAUUCAAUAAAAAUAUUCCUUUUAUGCUGUUCACAUAACAUAUUUUUUCCACGUUAAACCUUUCUAUAUCCAACAUGGUUUCCCAAAUUUACAAGUACUUCUACAAUACUGUUGAUUUUACAAGUGAUAAGCACGGUUGUAAACUUAAGUAAAUAAAAACAGAAAAUUCCAGAGAAAAAAACUCACCACUCUUGCAAAAGGAUCUCAUAAAUGUUGGUUCUUAGAUUUAGUUUUUAUCAUGCAUUACUUCCUCUAAAUCAGAAAGCUUCCAGUAAGGACAGACUUUAGACUGAGAAAUCCAUCCAACCAUAUCAGUUUUGAUCUUGUACGCAAAAAGCAAAUAUGUCGAGCUGCAUAAGGAUCAUGUGCAAUGUUCAAUUCAUAUCCCAUGUAGCAAUGCCACAGUACAACUGAAUUGCAAAGCAUAUCAUUACUCAGUGCCAUUUCAAACAAGCCACGGAUUCUGUGGUUUGAGCCACCUAUAGACAUCUCGUAUGACAAUGCAAAAAGCCAGACAACUAUAGAUGGUUUUUUGUCAAUGUACAAUAAAAGAAGAAAUGGAUGCUUAGUUAAUAGUUAGAGAAAAGUUGCUAAAAUUACUGACAGAACAGUCUGAAAUAGCCAUACACACCAUUAUGCAGAAAACCAAAAACCUAGCUUGCUACAAUUGUAAAAAGAAAAUGUGCAUUCAGAAUGAGAACAAAUAAGAUUCAUUACAUCGGAUAAAAGUAAAUUAAUUUUUCAGCAAAAAGACUUCGAUUCUAUUAAGUUAUAGAAUUUCAUUUCUCUUUUUGAUGUACAAAACUAAAACAUUAUGAGACAUGAUAUAAGAUGAAGUUUCAAUCUGGUAAGGGUGUUCAAAUGAAGAUCUAUUACUUUGCCUUUUAAAGCUUAUCAACCUAUCUUGGAACUCUGCAAAAGCUAACCAAACGUUUUCAUCAUGUGGGCGAUCCCUUGUCAGUUUGGUGAUGAAAUUUUAGAGUCGGAUUCUCUUUCAAACAACUCCAAGAAAUGCACCAACAUCUGAUAACGGUAUAAACUCAUCUUCUCCUGUAUGAGGAUCCAAUUUUGGACCAACAAGACGAAGGUGCUUGAAGCUGUUAUGUCGUUCUAAAGCCAAAUUCAUGUAUGAUUUAUUGUCCUUUGCAUCCUCUCUAACUGAUGUCAAUAAGUUAUCAAUUUCUUAGAACCAAAUAAUGUCAUGGCAUGAUUCAAGUUCUAAUAUAUAAGCUAUUGAUAUAUCAAAAGAUAAAAUAAAGUCAAAUUCUUUUCAUAUAAGCUACAUUGCAUUCAAAUCACAAAUAAGUCGAUUUCAUAAGCUAAUAAUCCUGACAAACAUAAUUAUAAAAGUAAAUUCCCCUGACAAACAUACAUUUGGAGUUUUUAUUUUCUUCUUUUGUUUGAUGUGGAAAUUGCCAUUUAGAAUUUGGCUAAACUUGGUAUCAAAUGCCAUAUACAUUGAAAUACAAAAUGUCAUGUUAUCAUAGUUAAUAAUCAAACACUAAUUAAUUUGAGAAAUGGAUCAUUGGACAGUGAUUUGGUUGAAACAUCUGUCGGUAUCACAAUAUGUACAUACUCUUGUAUUAUUAAAAGCAAAUUAAUCAUACAUACAUAUGUUGUUGCUGCUACACAAGUUCUGUCUCAGAAAACUGAUUUGGCAGAGAAGUGUUUUUACACAAGAAUAACUUAAUAAUCACAAGAGACAUACAGUGUUGUUGCUGCUACACAAGUUCUACUCCUUCUAUAAGAAUUGGUGAAUACCGCAUCCUCUCUCAUGCUUCCUUUCUUGUUGAACACGUAGAUUCCAAAUUGUGUACUAAGAUUGAAAUUCUCAAAGCACUCCAACUGAGCUGCAAAGCAUAUCAUUACUCGCUGCCCUUUCGAACAACCAACGGAUUCUGCGCUGUAAGCAACCUCUAGACUUGUCGCAUGACAAUGCAAAUAGCCAGAUGACUACAUGUGGUUUCCUGACAAUGUACAGUCAAAGAACAAGAAAAUACUUAGUUUUGGUUAGAGAAAAGUUGCGUAAAUUAUGAUUAAAACCAUUUAAGCUUUCGAAGUAUAAGGAUCUUAUUUGUAACACCAUUCAUCUUGGAUCUGGCACUAUUUAUUAUAAGUUGUGUGAAAGUGGCCAACCUUUCAUUAGACCCGAUUCCUUCUGAUGUCUCUGAAGCACCCUUAUGUAAUAGUUAAACAAAAAUUCAAGUUGAUAGAUAUGGCUUCUCCUUUCUGCAGGGCACAAGCAUUCAAGUAGAUGUGAUAAGUAACAUAAUAUACAGUUAUGCUGCAACAGAGAUGACCGAUAUAUAUAAGCUAAGAAAUUAUAUCGAUAUAAGCAAAGUAUUUAGAUCACUGUAAACCUUUUGCGUGCUUAUAAGUUAGUGGAAUGUCAAUUAUGUAUCAUGUUUCAAAUUUCAAUUGCAAUGACGUUAAAUUUCAUUCAUAAAAAGUUAAAAAUCCAAGUACUUAGUUUAGGCUAUUAACCAUUUCACUGAAAAGGUCCAUUCAAAAUUUGACAUUAAGAUACAAUAACUCGUGAAGAAUUCAACAUCAAAUGUCAACUUUAUAAGCUUAAAGUGGCUAAAAUUUAAAAUAAGGUAGUCUACUUGUUGAACUUUGUUGCAAACUCUUUCAGAACCUUCAUUUCGACAUUUUCUACCGUUAGGAAAGGGAGGAAAAUUUAAAAAAAUGUUUUCAGAAAAUGUGAUGAUAAAGUGUUGCAAUAAUUGAGAUGUUCCACAUGCCUUGCAUCAUUAUUAUAAACCACUGAGAUCUCAAUGGUUUAUAAUAAUGAUAAUGACGUAAACAGCAAAGCACAAACCUGUAUUCUUGAGAUUGAGAGAAUAACAAGAAGACGAUUAACUUUUUGUUCCUCUUUCGUCAAAUCCUGCUGUUGCAAUGAAGCAUUGAUAUCCUCCUCUGUCUCUGAAACUCCCACUUCCACCAAUCUUUGCUUUUUUAGAGGAGGCUCAAAUUGUGAUAAUGAAGUAUUAUUGCUAAUUUAGAUAAGGAUCUUUGAAUACCACAUUCUCCUCCUCCGUGUUGCUUUUCUCAUUCCACACGUGGACUCCCAUUUGUGUAUAAACACUAUUCUCGUGAUCCUUCAACUUAAACUCCACAUGGAUCCAUUCACUUUUCAAAAGUCCUUUGUCCAUAUUAUACUCAUAUUGUCUUUUACCUAGUUCAUACAAUUUCAUAUGAAUCAAAGUUGUAUCCUUCGAGCUCACAUACUGGUAACAAUAAUCUAUCUCAAUUUUAUAUCCAUUCACAUAUAAACCGACAUUUGAGCCCCAAGCGCAUUCCGGAAAAAUAAUUAUACAAGUUAUAGAAGGGAUUUCUUUACGAAACCAGAAAGAAAUUGUGGGUCCCCUGCUUUGGUGCUCAAACCAAUCUGGUAUCCCAUCUGUUCCGUUUGGGAAUUUAAUAUAGGUGCAUCCAGCCUGAUGUAGUUUCUGUUUGUUUAUACAAAAUAAUAAUAAUAAUUACACUAUGAAUUACAAAUUAAAUAUUAUAUAUAAAAUACUGUGCUAUAUAAAACAACAACUAACCUGACUCAUUAAUAUUCUUUUACUUGAGGAACUCAAUGAUUGACAUCCUUGUGCAUUAAUCUCUUUUAGAUUUGGUGGAAUCCCUCUAAUUUCCUCAAGGGACUCGCAGUACCCCACAUUAAUUUCAACAAGAUGGUGACAUUCACUAAGGCACUCAGGAAGAAUUUUGAAAUUGCUAUAUAAUAAGUUUAGAGAUGUCAUAUUAACACACCACUUGAGAACUCUUCGGAGACAUUCAUCUGAGAGGUUGCAAUGGUAGAGAGUAAGCUGUGUCACAUUUGAAAACACUAUUGAAUACAUCUUAUCAUUCUGUUUUGGGAACCUCAGCAUUCCAUAUGUCACUGAUAACUUAUGAAGUUCACUAAGAUUUUGAAAUGAAAAUGGCAGUUCUCCUAUGGAAGUAUUACACAACCAAAUAUUGUCUAUAUUUGUCAUCUUGCAUAAUAAUUCUGGAAAACUCUUGAGACUCCUGCAAGAACUGAGAUUCAAUUCCUUAAGAGAUGCCAAACCUAAAGGUGGAAAAUGUUCGACCUUAUUGCAACCAUAUGCACUUAACCUUUCAAGUUUAUUAAGGUGUCCAAUCGAAUUGUGAAUUGUAAUUAAAUUAUAACAUCUUUCAAACGAUAACUUUUCUAAAUUUGAAAGGCCUGAGACAUCGGGUAUAUGUGUUAAAUAUUUACAUCGGUCCAAUAUCAAGACUUUCAUAUCCUGGAACUUCUGCAUAAACACAAGAAAGAAACAAUAAAUAAACUAAAAAUCAAAGACUAAUAUUACUUUCAUACUGAUUUUUUUGUUGACGGAAACAAAAUCAUUGUGAAGUUAUUUCACUUGCCUUGUUUAAAAUCCUAGAUGACAGACACUUCGAUAAACAUCCUUUCCAUUUCAAUACACUCAAACUGCUUGGAAGAUACUUGAGACCUUUAGAACAAUGGCCAUUUUCAAUGAUAAGUGUUUUCAGUUUUGUCAUCUUCUUGAAGGCCUUUCCUUUCUUGUCUAUCACGGAUUCCAUGGAGUGGAGAUUCAUAUAUAUCAUUUCAAUUUUACUAGUUCCCUUUUAACAAAGAUAAAAACAUGAAUCAACCACAAUAAAAAUAAGAUAUAGAAAUAUUAACAUGUAAUUGAGUGAAAAGAAAUGCUCGUUUUAGAUGAUCAUAUUUAGUUCAAAAAGAGCAAAGUUGUAUUAAAACUAAAUAACAAAAUGAUCAUAGAUAUCAAUCUUACUCACAGUGUUUUCUCUUAAAACACGAACUAUAUCAUCCUGACAGCAUAACCUACUUCUUUCUCCAGGCUCUUUAAUUGAUUCUUGUCGGACGACUUCUUUACCCAUGUCCUCUAUCAAGUCAUGUAACAUCACAUAAUCGUCAUAUUCCCGUAAUUUCUUUAUGAGAGAUUUUUCAACCAACACUCCUAGAUGAUGUGUUAUGCAAUGGCCAUAAUGAGAAUUAAGUAUAUAUUUGGCAUCUUCCCAUUUACAUCUUUUGAAGCAACAAGCAAUGUCUAGAAAGACACUUUGCUGCUCUUCCUCCAAAGCAUCAUAACUUACUUUAAGUAUCUUUUGGAUCUCUUUAUUGGGAAUCCUGUCAUACCCAUCUAAUGUAUUCUUCCAUUCCUCUAUGUUCUUUCCAGAUAAGUUAGAACCCACUAUUUCUAUAACUAACGGAAGGCCAGAAGCAUAUGCAACUGCACGGUUUAAAAUCUCUUCGUAACCUGAAGGAACAUUGUCACUUUUAAAAGCCAUCCACCUCAACAAUUCAAGAGCUUCUGUCCCAUACAACCCUUCUACUUCAUGCAUACUUUUUAUCCCAUGACAGGUUAGUAAGUGUUUGUCUCGAGUGGUAAUGAUGACUUUGCUUCCACGGCCGAACCAAUCAGGUCCUCCAGCCAAAGCAUGUAGUUGCUUCAUAUUGUCAACAUCAUCAAGAAUCAAAAGAACCU
rnacentral:lncRNA from 1 species